GUUCUCUUAAGCAACAAAUCCGCUAUCUUACCAGCUACAACACAAACAUUCAGAAUCUUCGAAGCCAAGUUUCAGAAUUAAAACUAACAAGAGAAGGAGUACAAACCAGAGUGGAGGCGGCUCUAAGGAAUUUGGAGGAGCCAUUUCCAAAUGUGCAAAAGUGGCUUGAAGACACGACCGAGGAAAAACUUGACGAACAACUGAGGGAUUUCGAUGAAGCCAAUAUUAACAAGAAAUGCUUCAAGGGACUCUGUCCAGAUCUUAGCUCACGUCUCAGGCUAAGUAAACAAGCAGUGAGAUUGGCAGAGACCUUCCAUACCCUUCAAGAAAAGGGGAAUAACUUCCCCGAAACUGGAAUAUCGCAUCCACGACCUCCUCCAAAUGUUGAACUUGUCCGCACUACUACCAUUGUUGAGAACAUUUUGCCGAGGGAUUCUCUUAUGAAUGAUUUGAUGGUGGCAUUGGGAGAUUCUAAUAUCAGAUCUAUUGGCGUGCAUGGUAUGGGGGGUAUAGGGAAGACAACUCUUGUGGAAAAAAUCAACAAUGAACUUGCUGGACACAUACUCUUCAACAAAGUUAUAAAGGUCAUUGUGUCCAAAGAUCCAGACUUGAUGAAAAUCCAAGAUGAAGUUGCACGGCGGCUAGAAUUGAAUCUUGAAGCUACUUCAACAAAUGUAAGAGCAAGCAGAUUGUUUGAAAGGUUGGAAGCAGAGGAGAAGUUGUUGAUAAUUUUGGACGACGUGUGGAAACCACUUAAGGUGGAGGAUAUCGGACUUCCUAGAGGCUGUAAACUUAUAGUCACUACUCGAUAUCAUCAGGAAGUUUGUGUCCAAAUGGAUCUUCAGAAAAUAAUCAAGGUGGAGCCUCUUUCCAAGGAUGAAUCAUGGGUUUUAUUUAAAUCAAAAGCAGGUGAUGUAGUUACAUUGCCCAAUUUGGAACCUAUUGCGCAAAAUAUUGUAGCAAAAUGCAAGGGCUCGCCUUUGGCGAUUGAUGCUCUGGGAUCGGCACUGAAAUCUGUGGAGGAAGAAUAUGUAUGGAAUAAUGCAUUGAAUGUAUUAUCAGAUCCUACUCGAAGUGGUCUAGAAGGUAUAAUGCCAGAAGUGGUAACAAGCUUAAGCUUUAGUUUCGAACGGUUAGAGUCACUAGAAAUCAAGAAGUGUUUUUUGUUUUGCUGCCUGUUUCCUGAAGAUUACAAUAUUAAUUUGCGUGAUCUGAGAGAUUAUGGCAUCGGAGAACGAUUCUUGAAGGUGGGUGGGACUUUAGACAAUGCAUCUGACAAGUUGCUCACUUUUAUUAAGAAACUAAAAGAUUGUUGCCUAUUGUUGGAGGGAGAUGAAGAGUAUUCUGUAAAAAUGCAUGAUGUAGUUCGCGAUGUUGCGAUAUGUAUUGGUGGAGAUGCGGAGUAUGGGUUUCUUGUGAAUGUUGGUGAAGGAUUGAUUAAAUUUCGAGAAUCAGAAGAUCUGAAAGAAAAGAAGCGAAUCUCAUUUAUGAAGCAUUCGAAUGAUGUGUUGCUGGAUCCACUAGAAUGUCCCCAACUUCAGAGUUUAUUAAUAAGAGAAAAUGAUGAUAUAAGGAUAGAUCAAGAGAGUUUCUUUGAAGAUACUAAAUCACUUGAAGUCCUUGAUUUGAGAGGAUGGUGGAAAUGGGAUGGUGGAAAUGUGAUCAUCGUGCCAAGUACACCACAAUCAAUCUCGUGUCUCACAAAUCUAAAGACACUACAUUUAGUUGGUUGUGAUGUUUCAGACAAAAUCUCCUUGUUAGGAGGUUUAAGAAAACUUGAAAUACUCAAUUUGAGAAAUUCAAUCGUAAAGACACUGCCAGAAGAAAUUGGCAACUUGGUCAGUCUAAGAAGCUUGGAUUUGAAUGAGGUAGAACUAUCGUUUGUAGCAUGGAAUGUUAUAUCAAAAUUAUCAUAUUUGGAGGAAUUCUAUAUGAAGAAUAAUUAUACAGAGUGGGACACAAUGACAAGUGGAGGAGAAUACAAUGCUAGCUUGAAGGAGGUGGAGUUAUUAAGUCGUCUCUCAAGGUUGACCAUUUGUAUAAAAAGUACGGAAACCGAGCCCCAUGUCUCAUGGUCCAACAAUCUGAAACAACUAUUCAUUAAAGAAACAAAUAAUACUGGGUCAUAUUAUGAGCGUGAUCCCCAGCAUCAGCAUCAGCGUGUGGUAUUGAAUAAAGUUAAUCCGUUGGAGUAUUGGCAUUGGGUUUACAAGUUGAUUUCCACCUCAGUUGGGUUAAACCUUGAGUUAUUUUUGUGUUUUGGAAUUAAAAAUGUUGCAGAUCUUGUUGCAUCGAGGGAUUUGAAACAAUUGGAAGAACUCAAGGUUCGUGAUUGUGAUGAUAUUGAAUAUCUCAUCGGCAUUGAUGAAUCAAAUAAGGAUUCACAAGAUUCCUUCAACACGUUGAAGAAGAUAAGAUUAAUGGAAUUGAACGGAAUGAAGAAAAUCUACCAUGGCCCAACUCCAUCAACUCGAUUCUUUGGACAAUUAAGAUUCUUACAAGUGAUUGGUUGCAAUCAAAUAAAGAACAUCUUUUCAGCUAAUUUGUUGUUAGCUAUUAAGAGACUUGAACAUCUUUCUGUAAGGGAUUGCUCCAGUUUGAAGGAAAUAGUUGGAGGAGAAAAUGAAGAUGAAGUGCCAGACGAUUAUUCUUGUUUGUUACCUCAACUCAAAACUCUCCAAUUGUGGGACUUGAGGAGUCUAACAAGCUUCUACCAAGGCGAUAUACCUAUCAGUUGUCCUUUGGAAAAGAUUGAUGUUUUUAGAUGUAGGAAUUUGAAGAAGUUUCCCCUUGCACCACAAACUGCUUCCCAUCUACAAACUUUCGAAGCAGAAACUGAUUGGUUCGAUGCAUUAGAAUGGGCAGAUCAAAGCCAUCACGCAAUAUUCCAGCCUUUCUUUGAAGAGGUAGAUCAUUUAUUUUAUUUUUUCUUCCUUUUUACAUAUGCUUUACAUUUGGGUCUAUGAUUAGGGUGCCAGUAGAGAUUGCAAACUUCUUAUCAUCUGAAUCCAUAAUACUGCUAUGACAUGUUCUUCCAUUUUUUUCUGACAUAUGAAUAUUUUAUUUCGUGAUUUACUAUCCAUAAUACUGCUAUGACAUUUUAUUUUUAUUUUUUUUCAAAAGAUGGCUGAAAGUUAUUACUAGAUUUCUUCUUUUCUUUUUCUGCUUUUCAUUAUCAAAAUGGAAAAUUUUGAAGAUAGGUUGGGGAAUUGUCAGAUAUUAGUCAAAACUUAUUGUGAGAUUUGCUGCAAUAAUCGACAAAAAAAAAAUUGUAUGAGAGUAUGACUAUGAGAUUUCAGGCCAUUGCUUGUUUAGUUAUAGCUUAUUCUUUUUCUAAAGAUAUAUUUGACCGAUAAAACCUAUAUCAAUGCUUUCUAAAUGAAUUUUACGGUGUUAAAAUUAUGUAGCUUUACUUAAAGAAAUUAUGUUUGAUGCAGCAGGCUUAAUUAGCAUCAAUAACAGGAGAUGGUACUAUAAACCAUUGUACCGUCUACCUACUCUGCUACUCAGUUAAGUUUGUCAGAGAUAUACUCUAUCAAGUUAGUAAUAUCCGUAAACUUUAAUCUGAAUUACAUCUUUUUAUUUUUCUCAUAUUGUUCUUGUCUUACAUUUUUGCAGUAAUUCAAAUCUUGAUAAGGAAAAUUUGAUUCCAGACAGCGAUGUUUAAAAACUUGCAGCACAUCAGACUCUUUGGAGUAGCUUCGUCUAUGUUUAUUGUGAUUGCGAUGACCUGGUGUGUAAUCUUACAACUUUUAGUUGCUUUCUUCUUUGUUAUGUUGUUAUUGUGAUUGCGAUGAGCAGAAACUGAUUGGUUCCAUAAAUUAGAAUGGGGAGAUCAAAGUCUGCAGGCAAAAUUCCAUGGCUCAGACAUGCGUUCAACUUCGGUAGAACCAAUUAUAUUGGACAGUUUUGACUUCUUCUCAUUUUGGUUUAUAAAAAAAAUGUACUAUCUGCUUCUGCUUCUGCUUUUCCAAUGGGAGCCAUAUUAAUACUGUUACAGCUGUUUUUUUUAUUUUUAAUUAAAAAAACUGCAGCACGUGCAUAUUCACAUAGUGUAUUGAAUAUGGUAAUUGUAAGCCCACACCAUUAGGUUUCAAGAAGCUUACUAGCUCACUGCUUACACCUCCGGGUGUAGACUACCCAUAUGCAUUGUGUCACAACUCCACCCUUGAAAACAUUGAUUAACAGAUACAGAUCUCAUUAAAUUUUUGUUAAUGAACAGUUAAUUUCUCUGGCGCAAGAUGGACAUGAGAUAACAGAAGGCCUCCUUAACUCUACUGGUAUGAAAAAAAGGAAGUAGCCUCUUAACCUGUCUUGUAAUGGAGAUACUGUUUGGUGUUUUAUUCAAGUAUGUACUGGUUGGUUGUAAUCCACUGAAUGCAACGUAUGUGUUUUGUGUUGCAGUUGACUUGGAAGAAUUUGGAUGCAUUGUUAGCAGUAAGCAUAGAUUUUGUUUAUGACAUGAAUUAUAACUAAAUUUGUUUAGAAUCUUGCGGUGUUCUUAAGUAUGGUUGUUUCUUUUCCAGAAAAAACGCUCACCCAAAAAGGAGUCUGAAUUUAAAGGUAAUUAGCACAAUGUUAGCAUAACUUACAUCAGUCUUUUAUAUUAGUAACACAUUUCUUAAUCAGUCAUUGUCAUGGUGCAGUUAAUUCUCCGCCCAAAUCAUCAGUAUCAGCUCAAUGGUUUACCACGAAAUCUGUAAAGAAGGUAUUUUGGUGCUGUUUUGUACAUUAUAGUAUACAGUAUAUUUUAUUUGUUUUGUUAAGAUUUUAGUGAAAUUCCUAUUAUUGUUAAUAUAUUAUGAUUUUUUACUUGUAUUUAAGCUUCUAUAUCAUGGUGAAAUUGAUAAUCAUAGUUUUGAUUGAUAUGCAUCUUGCUCAUUUUGAAGCCUAGUUGAGCUGAUGUUUCUACCAUAGUCCAUAUCCUUCUCUUGUCUUCAACUAAUUAACUUUUGUACAUUUUGACCUAUUCAAACUUCAAAGCAGAGCAUGCUUGUUCUCCACUAAGUUUUCAAACUUCAAUCAACAAAGACCACAUAUUAGUCAAACGCAAGGACGUGACUAGAAACUCAAAAUCUCCCUAUGAUAAUUGUCCACCGUGAUCUUAUUGAUCUAUUUGUACAAUGCACAGUCCAUAUUCAUGAACAUAAUAUAUACCAGUGGUGUUCGAACACACUAGGUCUUCAAUAACCUACAGAUAAAACUGUAACAUGAACAUAUUAAGUAUUGUAGGCACUCAGUACGACAAACUUGAGGAUGUCCAAAUAGCCUUCGGAUCUUGGGUUAUAACCUCAACUCCUCAAGUCUAGCGCAGUUGAAGUGUAAACCUAUAGGCCUAGCCUAAUAUGAAAAUCACUGGAUGAGCGUAAUCGAAUUUGCUUUAAACAGUACCAAAUCAUAAAUUAUAGAUUUCCAAGCCAUGCUCGAGUCAGAGUUUAAACCUAGCUAGAAAUCAUAUUUUAUCUGUUAAGCCUGACUUGAAAAGCUUAGGCAAAUCAGUAGAGGUCCAAUUUGAACCAUACAACAGCCUUCAAUGCAUUAUCUUGAAAAUAUUUUAUCCAGGUUUUUUAGUGCGAGUUUUUUUAUGCAAGGAAUCAUGACUUCACAGUAAACUCUGUUAAAACAAUGGAAGUGUUAGUGGGUAUAUGAGAGUCAAGAAGAAGAAUAUGACCAAAUAACAAGUUUAUAAAAGAAACUUUGUUUUUAUUACAAAAGGGGACUUCUAGUACUAGAGAACUUCUUUUCUUGAUUGAUUUCCAAACAACAUAUUCACCUCCCUAUUUAUAGGACACUUCUAUGAACUAGAUAAUUCUUUAUGCUUCUAGACACUUCUAUGGACUAGAUAAUUCUUUAUGCUUCUAGACACUUCUAUGGACUGGGCUUUUCUUGGACUUGGACAUUACAGAUUACAUUUUUAACAAACUCUUCCUAUACACAUAUUUGUUACACAAGGUAUGCAGAACGACAAAGAGGGCCUAGUUUUCAUCCUUCUCUUCUUUCUCUUUCGUUUUAUCUUUCUUCAUCAUUGGGUAGGGAGUGUACCUGACAUUACUGUGUCAAAAGGCUUCUUUAUUAUGAAUAGGAGCUCACAUUGGUCCGGAGCCUACAACUGACAGAUUUGUGGUUGUUAUGGUAAACACUUCCAUUUCUUCUCACAGAUGCAUACAUAAAUCCCUCUUUAAUCUUCAUGAAAAAGUAAGAUUCACAAAGGUUUAUACUCAAGGAGAAGCUCUCACGAAAUACUGAGUACAUGCUUGACAAUAUUUGCUUUCCUGUUGAGAUAAUGAUUAGAUGUUCUGAAAACCAACAUUAAUUUAAGAUCAAACAUAUGCAACUAUGCAAGGGUUUUCGAAAAAGGACUUUGUGUAUCUUAGAAAAUUGCAGAAUAUAUAAACAUUUUUCUAUGAUCUCUUUUGACCAGAAGAUAGUAUUUCAGUGAGUUUGCUUCAGAAUGCUCUAUCUGACCUAGCUACCAAAGCUAAUAUGUGUUUAUUGUCUUCAUAUGAACAGCUGCAUUACUAUAGCUUUUGACACAGUAAUGUCAGGUUAAAUAAAUUUUGUAGUGUCAGAUUGUUCUUUGCCAUUUAGAUUGUUCUUUGCCAUUUAGAUUUUGUAGUGCAUAAGGAUUUUAGAAGUUAAAUAAAUAACUUUUCAGCUUAAUUUGGUUUGCAUCUAUUGCGUUUUUUCCAUCUUUUCUUUAUCCAUUUCACCAAAUUUGUCUCUUGGCCAUGACAUUUUCACCUCAGUCAGGACCAGAUGAAAGAAGUAUUCCUGGCAACACUAUAGCUGUUCAAGCAGACAUGCCAUUCAGUGGACUUACAACAUUUGGAACUGCAUUUUUAUCCAAAUUUCAGUGUUCCCAAAUGCCACAUCCAGUGAGUUUUUUUCUUCAAUGUUUUGUAUUGACGUCAAAAUCUAAGUUUUGUUUUUCUUACAUUUGCUGUGAUUGUCUUCCUCCUCAAUAUUUGGGUGAAGCUUCUAGAGCACAUCACAUUUGUGGACACUCCUGGAGUGUUAUCCGGUGAAAAACAAAGGACGCAGCGAAGCUAUGAUUUCACUGGGGUGACGUCGUGGCUUGCUGCAAAAUGUGAUCUCAUUCUCCUUUUAUUUGAUCCUCAUAAACUGGACAUCAGUGAUGAAUUCAAGCGUGUCAUUGGAUCUCUACGUGGUCAUGAUUCAUGACAAGAUACGUGUGGUUCUUAAUAAGGCUGAUCAAGUGGACACACAGCAAGUAAGGAAAUCUGUCAAUUUUAUCCAAUAAGAUAUCGUUAUCUGUAUCUGAAUUGACAUUAAUCUGUCAAUGUAUAACCCUUUUUUAUAACCUACCUAGUCCUGAAUCUAUUCUAAAAGCAUUGCUAUUCUGGUUGAUCAUUAUAUAUGGUAUUGUAGGAGAAGAUGGGUAUCCUACUUAUCUAGAAACUAACAUUUUCUUUGACUUGGACAGCUCCUUCAAUGACAAACCUGUAAAUGAAGCACUAAUUGGUCCAAAUGGAAAAGAGCUAUUUGAGAAAGAACAAGAUGACCUUCUGUCCGAUCUGAAAGAUAUUCCAAAGAAGGCUUGUGAUCGUCGAGUAUGUUCUCCAUACUUGUCUGAAAAACUAGCCAUCUUGUAUGCCAUUUGUCAUGUUCUUCCCGAUAACAUAAAUGGUAUUUUUGAACGUAGAUAAAUGAAUUUGUGAAACGUGCUAGAGCUGCUAAGAUUCAUGCCUAUAUAAUGAGCCAUCUUAAAAAGGAGAUGCCUGCAAUGAUGGGCAAAGCUAAGGCCCAACAAAGACUCAUUGAUAAUCUUGAAGAUGAGUUUGCAAAGGUACUACAAUGAUGCGAGUAAUAUUAUUGAUGUACUCAUUGCUUUGAAAAUGGAAGCAUUUGACAACUAUUACUUGUUUGUCAACAGGUCCAAAGGGAGCAUCAUCUACCAAUAGGCGACUUCCCAAAUGUUGAACACUUCAGAGAGGUUUUGAGUGGUUACAGCAUCGACAAAUUUGAGAAGCUGAAGCCAAAGAUGGUACAAGCUGUUGAUGAUAUGUUGGGUUAUGAUAUACCAGAGCUCCUGAAAAACUUUAAGAAUCCAUAUGAGUGAUACAAGUGAUAGAUCGACAGAUGAUCUACCAAUAUAAAGAAUAGAAUGAAUGGUCAAUAUAUACUUGUUAUAGGAGGAACGUCGCACAAUUCGGAAGUUUCCAGUUCAUAAUCUCUUCCAUCUUCUUUGGCCAUCAUUUUUAUAUAUUUUGUACUAUUAUAGCUAUGACUCAUAGCUUUUGUAAACCCAACAUCAAACAUUAUGCACAUGACAUCAGUCAGUCCUCCCAGGUUGAGUAACAAGAUAUUGGAAGCUCCGGAGUUAUAUGUUCAGACUUAUUGUUUACCUUUAAGUAUAGCUGAAGUCGAAAAUAUAUUCAUCAGUUGCAGUCUUGUAGAUUGUUCAGAGUUUCAGACUUUCUUGUUUUACCAAUCAUCCUUAUUAGAAUUGAGCCUUUGUGAACAUUUACAUCAGUUACAUUUUUUCCUUAGUUGCGUCUCAAGUACAUAUGUGUUAUAAAUUUAGAAUGUCUGGGCAUCUGCUGCUGAUCCUUAACCUCGUAAUUUAUGUUUCAUUCGACAUCUGUGUGAUGAUGUAUAGGUUGUUAUGUCGUCAUUGUUCUUCUCCCCCACUUGGUUUAGAUUGUUUGAACAUUCGUAUCUUUGGAUUGCUGGUUGCCUGGUUGUAAGCGCUCUCUAUCCAUUGGUCUUCCUCGUCGAAUAUCACGAUUUUUAACUAUGGUUGUAACUCAGUUUUUGUGUAUACUACAUACAUACAUCCAGCUUUUAUAACCUGACUUCAUUUUUUUCACUGCUCAUCCAUAACCAUGUACCAUUGCCACAUCAUAUAUUGUCAAUCACUUGCAUUCAAGUGCUUUUACGGCCACCUUCUUUCAUAUCAUCUAAACAAAUUACACAUACCUUCCUACUAUGAACAAUCUCAAUUACAGGAUCAAAUUUAUUCAUAUAUAACGACGAUGUCGUCAUAAUCUCCAUAUCAGAAUGUGAUGCUAAAUGUCGUCUCGAUGAGUUUACUACAAUCAUACGUGCAGAUGAGUUUACUACAAUCAUACGUGCAGUUAAUCUUACUCGAGUUAUCAUCAUCGCAUUACAACUAUUCAUACUUAAUAACCUAAAACGAUCUAAACUCUAAACCAUGACCUUCUCCCUACCUCCUUUUUUAUACAUUUUCAGAACUGAAGAAUAUAUUCUGCAUAAUCGUCACCUGCUUAUCUUGCUGUUAACAUAUUUCAUCUCCACCUCCUGCUUAUCACAUUCCAGUAGAACUGUAUUAUCAUACCAACAUUUAAGACAUAUUACAACAAGUCGACAAGUGGUAUGAUCCAUAGUACAAAAUAUGGUAUCGAUCUCCAAAAAAUAGAUAUAUCAAGAUAUAUUGGAAUCUAUCGGUGGAUAUUUUACAUCGAAUGUAUCGACUAAUAUAUCAAUUUGUUAUACAAAAUAUAUAUAAAAUCAAAUUUGGAAGUAUAUUAUCAUAGUAUUUACCUAAAAAACUGUGCGCAGCGGGAAAACUUAUGCCACCAAAAUAUGAUGAUUGGAACUAAUAUUUCGAAAGUAAAAAUGAAAACCGGCCAAAAAUUAACCAAGCAACCCCCACCCAAGACACAAAAAUAUACGUGGUUCGGCAAUAUGCCUACGUCCACGGGGAGAAAGGAUGAUGCUUUUCUUAUCUAGACAAUUGUACAAGCCCUCAUGAAGAAACCGAAGUCUUCUUCCUCACAAAAGUUCUCUCAAACUCUCUAAUGGCUUCUCACAAUCUCUCUCUCAGAAAAGUUAAUUAGGUUUUCCACUUCUAUUUGGCUUUAUACCAUAGCCUUACAAUAGACCACGAAUUGGGCUUAAACAGGCCCAAUUGCACAAAACAAGAGGAGGACGUACGUACGUCGAAAUCACGUACGUACGGUACAACACGGAAUCAUUAUCUGGCAUACGGGACGUUCGAACGCCCUAACCACGUUCGUACGUUCUGUCCCGAAAAAGUUGUCUGCCACAUUGGACAUAAAACCCAACAAUUCUCCACCUCGGCGAAGAUUCAAUAAAUCUAAGCCGACACCAAGAAUCACAAGUCACAAACUCCCACACAUGUCCCGAAAGACCACCUCGGCUGCACCACUUCAUGGUUGCCUACGUACCCUCCUCCUAAGGGAUCAAGCCAUCGUAGUUCACUCCAAGAUAUACUAUCAACUCGAAGGAAUGAUAUGAACCAAUUCUAACCAAUAGAACUUAGUCCCAUACACCACUUUAGUCACGGUAAUAUUCCAAGCUUCUGUCGGAGACAAAGCAACCAUAGAAUGUAAUGUGAACAAUCUGCUGAUAGAUCUCACUGCCAAUGUAAACACAUAUCCAAGAGUAGACCAACGUCUAUCAAAGUGACAAUCAUACUCAACAUCCACAUAACCACCACACCGCAGACUCAAAGUCCUUCCAUGUUGAACUAACAAACCAACCUCCACACUACCUUGAAUGUAGUGGAACAUCCAUUUCACAGCUUCCCAAUGUCUCACAUCAGGAUCAUGCAUGUAUCUACCUACAAUGCCCACUGCUCGUGAAAUAUAUGGUUUGAAACACACCAACUCAUCAUACUUUGCAACUCCAAAACCACUAGGCUGAGACAUAUAUAUCUCCUCAUCUAGCUCACCAUGUAAAACAACCGUUUUCACAUCAAACAGAGCUAAUACACAAUCAGAUCGCACUACCAAGGCCAUAAGGAUGCAAACGUUUACCUUCAAGUGCACAUCUUUACCUGGAGAUUCUUCUUCCUUCUUAGGUAAUCUAGUUGCAAUUGGACCCUCAUCAAUAGGAUCACCAUUUUCUGCAUCUCCAAUCGUCUCAUCAUCUGUCAUGUCAUCAGAAUUUGAAACACCCAAAACCCUUACAAGAGUUUCCACAUUAGAUACAGAACCCACUGGAACAUAUGGAGAUAUGCAAAUCUCCACCCACUGCAAAACCUCUUUGGUCUUGUUCUCCACCUGUUGAGAACUCUCAGGCUUCAACAUAGAAACCUCCAUAAGAGUUUUACCACUUAUCACAAUCAAAUGCAACCUGUUAAUAAGAUGACAUGUCUCAACCCGAAACACUUUGCCUAAUCCAGCCAUAGACAACAUGUGUUCUGCCACCCUAUUCUGUUGCAGUGUCUUUCUCACAGUGAAGUGACGCUCAAUACCCUCAGUCUGACAUACUUGCAAGACCGGAUCAUCUUUGUACUCUAUGCUAUUAUCUAAGCACAAUACCAUGAUCUUUCUGUCAAUUCGGGCCUCAACUAGCUUCUUCCACUUCAAUAUUUCUAGGACUUCAUCCUUAUGCUUCAUGAUGUACAUCCACGCACGCCUAGAAAACUCAUCAACUAAAGACACAAAAUAAGACUUACCUCUCCAAGCUGUGUACUUGGUAGGUCUCCAGACAUUCAUGUGAACAUAAUCAAGAACUCCACUCAUACAAUGGAUAGUUGUGCCAAACUUUGCUCUUGUCUGCUUGCCCAGAUCACAAUGCUCACCGAACUCUAACUUGCAGGCGAUAGCACCCAUAAAAAACCUUUGCUCCGUCAUUGUCUGCAAAGAUUUUUCACAUUUAUGCGUCAACCGCAUAUGCCACAAUUUGGUAGUCUCUCUAGCAAACUUCGUUGUAGCCUCUGACAUGGCCACAUCACAUGUAACUGUACUACCCUGCAAGAAGUACAGGUUACUUCGUCGAGUACCCUUUAGUAAUACCAUUGCACCAACCAUAACCUUUAGAACACCAUUCUGAGCUACUACCUUGUAACCUUUGGCUUCUAAAGUACCAAGUGAAAUAAGGUUCUUCUUCAAAUCAGGAACAUAUCUUACAUUCCUCAACUCUCUUAUCUUUCCAUCAAACAUCUUCAAUCGAAUAGUACCUAUCCCCAAUACAUGACAAGGUUGAUCAUUCCCCAUCACUACUGCACCAUUAUCUAGCCUUUUAAAGCUAGGAAACCAUUCCCUUAUGGGACACACAUGAUAAGUACCAGCCGAAUCUAAUAUCCACUUUUUAGCAUUAGUGGAACAAUCGAUGGAUGAAACAAAUAAAGAGUAAUCAGAACCAUCAUCUUCAUCUCUAUUAUUACGUGCAAUAUUUACCUCAGAGUUCUUCUUCUUGUCCUUUGCCUUGGCUUGAAGACAAUCUUUCUUCCAAUGCCCUUUCUCAUGACAAAAGGAACAUUCAUCUUUUGCUAGAAACCCCCUCUUCGGCUCCCUACGAGACUCACCCCUACUAUUGUAGCUUCCCCUUGCCACUAAGACCUCUGGUGUUGAGCUUUUGGACUCUUCUUUGUCCUUCUUCAUACACGCAUGAUUUAACAAUGCUGCAGAAAUCUCACUAUACACCAACUUGUCUUUUCCAUAUGUAAGUGUGAUAGCCAAGUGUUCAUAUUCGUCCGGUAACGAAUUGAGGAGACACACUGCCUUGCUUUCAUCACUUACAUCUGCUCCAAGAUUCACCAAGUCGGCAAUUACCUUGGUAAAAUCAUUAAGAUGCUCCGCCAUGGAAAUACCUCUUCUCAUAUCUAUUCGAUAAAACUUUCGAAGUAGAUAGUUUUUAUUAUGGAUAGUCUUUGUCAUGUACUUCUCCUCCAAUUUUCGCCACAUCUCCUUUGCAGAAACAUCAUUCAUCACAAGAUAUUUAACGUCUUGUGCCAAACACGAUCUUAUGAUUCCACAAGCUCGUUUGUUCAUCUUUUUCCAAUCCUUCUCUUCCACAUCUUCUGGCUUAUCCUCCAGAACAUCUUCUAGGUCUUGUUGACAUAGAGCAUCCAUUACCUCACACCUCCACAUGCCAAAGUUAUUGGUGCCGGUAAACUUCUCUACAUCAAUCUUUGCUUGAUGGUAAACCACUGUCUUGGUUUCCCCCUUCGAAUCCUUCAAAUUCAAUUCUUUUGUCAUCUUACCACCAACUUUUAUGCACUAAACAAUCACCAACCGAAGGUAAACAAAUCUGAAAUUCACACCGGAAUUUCAACAAACACCUUCUAUGCAACCCACGAACAAAAGGUAGAACCUUGGACUUGAAACACAAUUAAGAAACUCACUGCGGAAUUUCUUCAAACACCUUCAAGACGCUCAAGAUCUAACCGAAGCUCUGAUGCCACUUGUUGUGCGCAGCGGAGAUUAAUGCACAAAUAUGAUGAUUGAACUAAUAUAUGAAAGUAAAACGAAAAACGACAAAAUAAACAAGCAACCACACACAAGACACAAGAUAUACGUGGUUCGGCAAUAUGCCUACGUCCACGGGGAGAAAGGAUGAUGCUUUUCUUAUCUAGACAAUUGUACAAGCCCUCAUGAAGAAACCGAAGUCUUCUUCCUCACAAAAGUUCUCUCAAACUCUCUAAUGGCUUCUCACAAUCUCUCUCUCCGAAAAAUUAAUUAGGUUUUCCACUUCUAUUUGGCUUUAUACCAUAGCCUUACAAUAGACCACGAAUUGGGCUUAAACAGGCCCAAUUGCACAAAACAAGAGGAGGACGUACGUACGUCGAAAUCACGUACGUACGGUACAACACGGAAUCAUUAUCUGGCAUACAGGACGUUCGAACGCCCUAACCACGUUCGUACGUUCUGUCCCGAAAAAGUUGUCUGCCACAUUGGACGUACGAACGCCCUAAAGCCGUUCGUACGUUCCUGAACAAAAAACUUCCCCUUCUCCUGAAUUGCACAUAAAACCCAACAAAAACAUUAUAUCUACUAAAAAUGGAAUAAGCAAAUUAUUUCUAAAAAAAAAAAAUAUGCAAAAAAAGAAUAUAUUUCCAAAAAAUAUCGGAAAAUAUCAACCAAUAUCGGUAAAUAUCAGAAAAUAUCGGUCGAUAUUUUACAAAAACAUUAAACGGUAACUAUCGGGAAUAUAUCGUAUCGUUUUGUCAAAAAAUAAUAUAUAUAUAUAUCGCGAUGAUAUUUUGUACUAUGGUAUGAUCAUAAUUUUAUUUGCAUGCAUACAUGUUUCUUUGUAUACCUAACCAUAGCUCAAAAUGCUCAUAUUUUGAGUGAAAUUUCGAAUUCUGAAAAAACGGAUUUUACCAAGAUUUUUAUACUAGAAACUAAUUUGAAGAUCGAGUAUUCGUGUGAAUAUUCGUGUAUUCGAUUUCUUAAAAAAAUCGGCAUAAUUCAUGAGAUAUUCCGAUAUUUUGAACCCUUUAAACUAUGCACCUAAGAACGAAGUCCAUAUUAUAGAUUAAUUAAAUAAGAUAAGGUAAGACAAAACUUGCCAAUGUUGAAAAUGUCAGACGUACACCUGCACACACCUUCAUUUUCAUGGUAACAAUUUAAAAUCCAGCUACCAUUACCAUUGUUAUUUGUCAGUAUCAUACUUAUAGAACACUAGUGUCUUAGCACAGGUUAAUUUUAAUUUAUCUAUGUAUGUCUGAUUACUAUUGGAGUUUUAAGUUAUUAAUUUUAUUAAAUAUUAUAAAUUAUAUCAAUUUAUUAAAUUUUAUAAAAUAAUUAUUUUAGUAAAUUUGGUUAAUUUUUUAAUAUUUUAUAAAAGUUCAUUAUUAAAAAUUAUUGAUUCUCAUAAAAAAUAAUUAUAAGUGUUACCAUUUAAAAUUAUUAUUUCAUUAUAUUUUCUUAAUUUCUCUUUUUAAGUUAUUGGACCUUUUGGACUUUUGGUUGUUAAAAAAAAAUCGAUCAUAAAUAAAAAUAUGUUAAAUUACAGUAAAACUAUUAUUUAAAAGAUAUAAUGUAAAUUUACCAAAAAACUAUGACUAAAAGGGUAAAUUUACCCUGAAUUUUAUUCAGGUUUAUAAUAGUAGUAUAGAUAGAUAUCCACUCCCACUUCCAUACACACUAGAGUAAUAAAUGUAAAAAUUUGUGAAUAUUUGAUGAAUAUAUAUAUUUUUUUUUAAAUUGGAUAUCAAAAUAUUUGUGAAUAUUCAACAAAUUCUGACGUAUACAGUUUGUUUUUAGUGUCGGAAUUUUGGAUAUAUCUAUUUUUCUAAAAAUUGGAUAUCCGCACAAAAUUGAAAUUUUAAACUAUAACUAUAGAGUAAACCCGAGGACAAAAUAAAAAUUGCAAGCACCUCAACUAUAAUGUAGAAAUUGCCAAAUUACAGAAGCAAAACCUAUUCUAAUAGUGCAUUCACACUACCUAAAUAUCUAUUGUAUGUGUCAGUGUGUAAAAAAUACACGCUGACACAUGACUUGCUCGCAACAACCAUAUCAUGUGUCAGUAUGUAAAAAAUACAUGUUAACACAUGAUUUGCUCGCAAGAACCAUCUUAUGUGUCAGCGUGUAUGAAUAAUAACGCUGACACAUAACUUGGUCCUAACGCAGAAUAAAGUAGUGUGUCAGCAUAGAAUUAAUAGUAUCUCAAUGAUCUCAGAUAACUUUACUUACUAGGUUAUAACUUACCUACUAGGAGUCUACUAGUACAUUAUCAAACAAAACAAUCCUCUUCAAAACAAAAUACAUUUAAAAACCCAUGAUCACAACUCAAUCUUGUUUUCAGUAAAACUUCAUCGAAAUCAUCAAAACUCUAAAAAAAAAAAAACCCAAUCUUUGAUAAAAAAAAAGAUGGCUUUGAUGAAGAGAUUUCAAGGCAAAGUAGCCAUAAUUACAGCAUCAACACAAGGAAUUGGUUUUGGUAUUGCAGAAAGACUUGGUUUAGAAGGAGCUUCUGUUGUAAUUUCUUCACGAAAACAGGUUUGUAAGAUAUGGGUAUUUAUUAAAAUUCUGUUUUUUUAAUGGGUUUGUUUCAAAAUUUGAUCUUGUUAAUGGUUUUUUGAAGAAAUUUUUGAAUCUGGGUUUUUGCAGAAGAACGUUGAUGAAGCUGUUGAGAAACUUAAAGUUCGUGGGAUUGAUGCUUUGGGUAUUGUUUGUCAUGUUUCAAAUGCUCAACAAAGGAAGAAUCUCAUUGACAAGACUAUUGAGGUAGUUUUUUUUUUUUUUUUUUUUAUUAAACGAAAAUUUUAUUGAUAAAUCUAGGAAUUACAUAAAGGUAGAUGACAAACGCGCUGUAAACUGCGCUGCAAGUCCUUUCUGAAUAGCAAAACCGAUCAAUCGAGGAAUUACAUAAAGGGAGAUGACAAACGUGUUGUAAACUGCAUUGCAAGUCCUUUCUGAAUAGCAAAACCGAUCCUUUUAAAUUAAACGGAAAUUUUAUUGAUAAGUUGUGGAAUUAUAUAAAGUUAGAUGACAAGCGCGCUACAAACUGUGUUGUAAGUCCAUUAUGAAUAGCAAAAUCGAUUCUUCUAAAUACAUAUUCGUUCGAACCAACAGUCAUCAUGUUGCUAACCAUUACCUUCUGCACUCUCUUGAGGAGCUCCACUGCAUCUGAGGGCAAUCUUGAUUUUGGUAAAAUAACAAUUUCAAAGAAGGGUUUUGAUUUUGAUUUUAAUUGAAGUAUAGUUUUGUAGGUUUAAAUUUGUUGAUGAGUUUCAUCUAGUAUAACUAUGUUGACCUUGUGUAGCAAUCAACAAUGCUCAUGGGAGCCUAAUAUGUUUUUACGCACCUACAAGGCUUUACAUUCACAAGGUUUGAUUGUACAAAACAUUGCGUCACGGCCUAACUCACUGGGUGCGAGGCAAGUCUGACCCAUGUUCAUAGUGUUGCUUAAGCCUUUAAGGGUUUGUUAGUAGUAGUGCUGCAGAGCUUAUUUUAUGCGUAGAGACUAGUGAGCUCCUGUUUAUAGAGUAUAUGUUUCUUUUGUUUAGAGAUUUUUUAAGUUUCACUUUUGAUGUAUGACCAGUUUAUGUAUCAGACUUUUCAGGUGGAACUUUUUUCAUUGAUUUUUCUCUUGAUAUAUUUUACCUUUAAUGUCAGAGCUAUCUUUUUCGAUACCGUGGACUUUUCCACGGUUUACCCACUUGAUUUUCAACUGUGUAUCAACUUUAAGUAUUCUAUCUGUGGUUAUGAUCAGAUAGGGUUCUAGUUCAUUAAUUCAAACUUGUUUGUCUGCAGAGAUAUGGGAAAAUAGAUGUAAUCGUAUCCAAUGCUGCCGUCAACCCAUCUGUAGAUAACAUUUUGGAUAGUCAAGAAUCUGUCCUCGAUAAGCUCUGGGAGAUCAAUGUCAAGGCUUCCAUACUUCUCUUAAAGGUAAUUCACUUUAUAACAAUAGCAGUUUUUAGGCCAUUAGAAAAGUGCAAGUGUCUACAAAGUCAUAAACUAAUUGCAAAGUCCCUCGAAAUAGCUGUCAGAUGUCCCUAAUAUUCUGCUCGCAUCUUUUAUAAGUUGGAAAUUAAUACCGGAUUAUUGGCAAUCAUGAAAACCGAUUUGACGAUGACUGGUCUGAUUGUCUUGCAUCAUCAAAACCAAUUACUUCUUUCACAUAGGACAUAAGUGAUUGGUAUAUCUAAGGCUGUGCCGUUGGUUGAUCACCUGUACUGUAGAUGUAAAGAUUUGUUUAGAUAUCCUCACUGCAAUCUCUUAAGCUUCUAUUUUGCAAUGUUGUCACCACAGGACGCAUCACCUCACUUGGAAAAGGGAUCAUCAGUUGUUUUUAUUUCUUCUAUCGCAGCUUAUCAACCGCAGUCAUCAAUGGCCAUGUAUGGGGUGACAAAAACAGCUCUUCUUGGCCUUACAAAGGUAAUUCUGUUGGUUAAAAUACCGAACUAUGCGUGCUUGCUUGUUUAUAAAUUGCUUUUGAGUUUUGACUACAAAGAAAGAUUAUCUCAAGUGUAUAUAAAUAUGAGCACCAUCCACGAUGUUACCUAAAUUCCAUGCCAUGGACAUAGCUAGCCAUUAGCCGAUCGAUCAAUAUUGACAAUUCAAUUGGUCAGCCCUCUAUUUGUUGGAGCAGAACCUAGAAAAAGAAUUUGCAGUAAAUUUCUGUUUGUUCUUAUACAAGACAAGUUCAAAGCCAUAAAUCUAAAGAAAAUAUCGACGGCAAGAAAAGAUGGCUGGAGCAAGUUGUUUUUCAUGUAUCCUUGACAUUCUUCUCCUUUUCUUUUUAGGCUCUUGCAAACGAGAUGGCUCCUGAUACUCGAGUGAAUACUGUUGCUCCAGGGUUCGUACCCACUCACUUUGCAGAUUACAUCACAAAAGACGCAUCUGUGGUGAGUACAUAUGCUCCUAAAUCAGUUUCUCGUUUCUCUUAAACUUUCUUUCGGAUUUGUAAAUUCAGAUCCUUGCUGUUAAACAGACUGAGUAGAACAUGAUAAAAGAAACUGAUUACUUUGGCGAUUUAUGUAUAUGUCAGAAGUCCUAACGAAAUGUAUUUCUGCUAGAAUUUCAAUUUGCACGUUUGCUUCUUUCUUAUUUCUGAAUGUGAAUGAAUUCUGUAAACAGAGAAAGAGGCUCGAAGAGACGACCUUACUUAACAGACUUGGAACCACAGAAGACAUGGCUGCAGCUACUGCCUUCUUGGCAUCUGAUGAUGCUUCCUACAUCACAGGAGAAACUUUGGUAGUCGCAGGAGGGCUCCCUUCAAGACUAUAAAUUUUGCGAAGUACUUCUGCUGCCUGUUGUAGUGAUAAUAAGAUAUUCUCUUUGGUUCUCGUGUAUCCAAGGCGAAGUCAACAAGUUCUUAAUUCCCUAGUGAUUGGUAUCUCAUCAUACAUAGGAUUGGCCUGUCAUAAAUCGGAAUAAACAUUAGUUUAAAUGCUUUUUACGCACUACAGCUUGUUAAUGUGGAUCUUUGAUCAUUUUGUGAUGGAGUUGUAUCAAUGUUUUGUUUCUCUUGAAAGCAGUGGAAAAGAAAAGAACAUGAAAUUCGCGGAUUGUAUUUUGACUAUGGUCGUUAUGCUGUAAUAUCAUUUACUGAAGUUCCAUGUUCUAUGUCAUACAUUUUUGUGUCAUCAUCCAUAGAUGUGAUUGCACUUCAUAUUAACCCAGGCCGUGGCAUAGAUUUUAAGGUUUUGUUAUUCGCCUGUUGUUGUUUUGGCUUCUGGUAAGGCUCUAGUAAACAAAUUUGGAUUUCAUUCACAGAUGACAACAUACAAGUGUGUUGCUUGUGUUUGCUGAUAAUUUACAGAAGAAAAGAAGUUCAUUAUACAACUGUUGUCACAUGGCUUAUCUAGUGGGCAUUAAUGACAGUAUUAGGGACAACAUUGACAGGGCAUCAUGAUAGAAUUGAAAAGGACAUAAAAACAAGAGCAAAGCUACAAGUGGGCAGUCACAGCUAAACACCACCUCCUCCGCCACCAGCACUACCGCAACCACCACUGCUGCCACAACCACCACCAGAGACAACAACAACGGGAGUGUGCUUGUUGUGACGCCUUCUUGACUUCUUUUCUGAACCUUCACCACAAGCGAGGAUUACCAUUGAAAUAACUGAGAUAGAUGCAACAAUAAUGCAAAGCAUAAGCAAAGCUCCUGAAAUUUGAAAUAAAUUCCCACUUCCUCCAUUGCCAACAAGAUCAACUGCUAAUGUCCUUGCCAUCUCUUAUGUUCAAAUAACUGCAGAUAAUAAAACCACCAGAGAUCCUACACCUUUAUAGCCAGACUUGGUACAUUAAUAUAUGACUUUUAAUUUGUAGUCAAAAGUAAGCUAACUUGUCUCUAAAGCCUUAAUCAUGUACCAAAAAGAAUUGCAAAAAGAGCGUUGACUCCCAAGUUGCUUUGUAUGUCAAAAAGUGCAGAUUCCAUCACAUUUCUCCUAGCACAUCUGCAAGGCUUUAGGUCACUGGUUAUUACCAUAAAAAGGCGACAAUGGUAAAACCCCACCUUUUAGAGGUAUAGCUUGGUGUUAUUCCAUAAAAGGGUAGCUCGUUAGCAUUUCUCGCAGACAUAGUAAAUAGAGAAAAGACAUACUUGUCUAUACUAAGAUUUGAGUGUGUUUGAAACAUUCUAAAAAACAUAACGUAACACUAACUGGUGGUAGCAAAGAAAUCAACCUUUGGAGCAUCUCUGCUUCUAUGUACAUAGCUCAGCCACGACAACUAUAGCACAAUACAAACAACUAUAAACUGCUUCAAAGAGAGACGCUUUUUUAAACUUGGUGUUCCAUCAUAGCUCAACCAUAUUUCAUCCAUGCAUACAUUUUCUGUGUAUUACGUGGUCUUCCAUGGACUUUAUGCUUGGCAUCUUCUGGACCAUUUACAUACACUUUACACAUGGAAGACAUGGCUACUGAUUGCCGUGCAUGAUUUUUUUUUUACACUCGGUUUACCUUCCAAUAUUCUUGGGAUGGAUAGCAACUUCUAAAGAUCAAACACAAAUUUACACGGGUACCACAUCUGCAUCCUGGCUCUCAUCGCAUUUCAAAAUGAGACCUUCAAUAUAAGUGGGGAGAAGGCAACGCAUCCACUGACAACCAGUGGAGGGUGGCUGUGGUGAAGGGACAAUCAUCAGUACAUUCUCCUGGCGCUGGACGAUACCCAUCACGCUUACAGUGCUUCCUUCUUUGAUAUACCUGAUACAUAGCAAUCUCUUUGAGAAGUCUUCAGAAAGCAGCUUAUAAAGGUAAAUAGGCUGCAAUCAUACAACAGCUAGGCAACACCUAUAAAACUGAGUAUGGAAGUCAAUACACCAACUGAUAGCUUACCCUUCUUUGAGGCGCAUGAUGCGUUCAUCACUAGAAAGCUUGCGAUCAGAUAGCCAGUUUAGAAAGCUAGGGGACAACUCUCGAUUUUCCGUUGUUAUAUCAACUACAGUUGUAGGUUUAACAAAAGGAGCAACUUUUGCUCCAUUUCCUGCCUUAACCAGUGCUCUCAGGCCUGACUGAAAGUCCGAGACAUAAAAAUCUGCAACAUGUUUCUGUUCAAAAGGAUGAAAUCAGCUCAACAUUGAUAAGAGAUGCUUCAAAACCAGAUUACAUGUAAUCCUUAACCUGUAGUAAUAAAUUUUACAUCUCAGAUCAUUACACAGUAAAGCAUACGCACAAGCAAGAUGCUUAAAGUAUUUCAGAACUUAACUGCUGGUCAUGUACUAGGAAUAGCAUCCACAAUUAAACCUCAAUAGAUUUUUCCUCGUAAAUUGGAAGUGCUCUAAGUUGUGCGGGGUGGGAAGAAUGAUGUGGAAGCUCCUAUUUCAUGCUGUUAGUUGGGAAUAUGGCUGGAACGCAACAGAAGAUUGAUUGAAGACAAAGCAUUAAUACCGAACCGGCUGAUCACAUCAAUUAAAUAUGCUUUAUGGAACUGGACAUCUUUUCUGCCUUGUAUGAGAAUUAUAAGACUGGAAGCUGUAAUGGGAGACUAGACGUAGUUGUAUGUAAGCCACAUUGAUGUAACCUCUCGGAACUACUGUGACUAUCUUUAUAACAUUUCUUAUUAAUAAAAAAUUGUUAGCCUAUCAUUAAAGUUCAGUUAGCUUCCUAUAACAGAAUGUUAAAAUUAUAUUUGACACAUGGACGUUCUAAAUCAUAAAUCCAUUCAAUACAAUCAUUCUCACCAAAAUUGGAUUGCAUCCAAUUCUUCAAGAAUUGAAAUUUGAAAUUGAAAUUCAGAAGUCCAGAAUUCAGAUAAUAGUCAUGACUGUUGGAUUCAAACGAUUUCCAAACUGUAAUCAAGUGAUUACAGUGUACCAAGUGUUCCAGGGUUUCUUUAAUGAAUCCUAUAGGGUAAGUCUACACAUCUCUGCUGUUAGCUUCUAAAAAAAUAGGGUGCCACAUGAUUUUAUAGCUCAGGUUGAAUAGGUUGGAAUUUUCGUUAAUUCCGAUUUGAUAAAAAACGGGAAAAAAAAACCUAAAUUGAGAAAUUAAGCAUUCUCUAAAAUUUCCCCGAGUUACUGGAUCCUGACAUUUAGGGGUGUGCCAAUCCCUCCAUGCUCCAAUAUCAUGAAAUCCUGAAGGUUUUUGUUCUUAAUUCUUUAGAUUUCUUACCAGUGAGUAUAUUAUUGUAUUUGGACUCAUCAACGCAAACAAAGAAAAUCAUGAUAUGUGAAAGACAGAAGAAACAGAAAGUGACAUGUAAAGUUAAAUAGAGGAUGAAAGCACUCAAUAAGCAACUUUCAUAUUUCCAUCAGCAUAGCAGUUGUGCAUUUCUUGAUUAAAGUAAACAUAUGAUCUAAUGCGCAAUUAUAGACUAAAAUAUAAGAGAACUCCUCUCUUCAAGAUUUGUAAUUAUUCAAUCAACAGAUAUUAUUAGUUCCAGACAAAACAUUAAAAGUGUCUUCAUAGGUAGCUCAACAUACUGACCUCAGAAUAUCGCAAUCCCCAUGAGAAGGGACAGUGUUUAGAGUUUGCAGACUUUCCACCCCAUCCUUUAUAUUCAUACAAUUCUGUAGAUACAUAUGCACACCUAGGGACCCUCUGGUAAGAUGAUUCAAGAGGAAUACUACCACAGGUCACAACCUGCAUAUAGAGAUAUUCAAUACACUAUUUUGUGGAUAAGAAUCUUAAAAGUAAAGACCAGUAACAUAUGAACUUUAAGAGCAAUAGUCUUAACUCUUAAAACCCCCUUAGAAUUUUAAAUUAUAAUUAGAGGAUGAUAAAUCCAGAUGUAAUAAACACUAAGAACUUAAUUAUAUACCAAUGACAACUCCAUCGUGAGACUCUCAUCGAUGGAAAAGAGAAACAACUUAAAAUGGUUCUAUAUUCGGGUAUGACAUUACAGUAUUGAGACUGUCUUAUGUCAGCGCCAGAUACUCAUUAUAAAUUCACCAGGACUUACAACUCAAAAACUCAUAUGGUAUGGAAGUCAAGAAAUAUAUGAUCUAAUCUGAUAAGUUAUUUCAAUCCAUAGAAAAGUUCAAUGAAGUUUACUUGCAUUAACCAACUUGAGUUUUACUGGACAAUUCAUUCGCCGUAGUGAUACAAAGCCAAUGAUGGUAAAGAGUGAGAGAGAACCCCACAAAAGUAACAGGAGGACAUAUAAGGGAGUACAAAGUGGUCAGUCUUGGAUAGAUAAUGUCACUCCUAUCACUCAUUUGACCCCAAACAUUGUUGUUCUUUAACACAUUUUACAAUGAAGCUUUACCUAGCAAACUCUGGAAAUCAACAUCACGUCAAGUUUUUCCUGUAGUCAUACACUAGAACAUAUUGUGGGCUAGAAGGCAACUAAACAUAGGUGCUUGACAAUUUAAGCCAUCUACCAUGUGCUUUUCGAAAUCCCAGCACUGCUGGUACUAUAAAAUUGCAGGGAAAAAAAUAGCGAAAAUGGGAUUAAGAGUUCAAAAUCAAGAGUGAUCUUAUUGAUUGUUAUUCUGAUGCAUAAGAAAUCCAGUCUAUCCCACAAAGACAUCUCCAGAGUGUGAUGGGUUUGAGGAGAAAGUAUCAAACAAGUGAGUGAGAAAAAUCUAAUUCCAAAUCAAGGUCAACUUUUUUUAACUACUCCAGAUUCCACUUUCUGCUUAAUUUGCUAAAAAUAGCCAAUUUGACGGUAAGACUAGAUUUGCAUAUAACAAAUCCCAGAUUUUAAAUAUAUCAAACAAACCAAUAUAGCAAUCAUCAACAUUACUUGAACAAACAACAAUAAGAACAAAAAUAUGCAGGCCACAACAACUAUGAAAAUGACAUAAGUAAGUCUGCAACAAAUAUUGUUGAUACUGAUAACAACAGUAACGAUGAUCAUAAUAUACAAAAAUGCAUUAAAAUGUUAAAGCACGACAAAGGUAAAAAAAAAAAAUUACCCCAGUAACUUUGACAAACUGUCCAUCUUUUGCACUUCUAAGCUCAGCAUCAGGAUAUCUAUUUACAAACCCUAACAACCCUUUUUUCCUCCAAGCACAAUUCCAAAUUACAACAACCAAAACUGGCACAAUAAUUGCUCCUACCGCGACUAAUAUUAUCGCAUUCUUCACUGUCGCCAUCAUAAAUACACCAACUACUAACCCCAUCAACACCACUAUCCCAAAAACCCACAUUAUUGCUUUACUUACCUUAAACCCAAAUUUCAAAUCUUCCUUAAUACUAGUUACAGCUACCCCAUAAUUCAUUUUCCCCAUUGUAACCGACAUUUCUGACCGACGAAUCCCCCCACUACUUCCAGUCCCAGAAUUCCAUUGAAUACCACCAGAAGUAAUUAAUCCAGUUGGUUGUAAUGGAAAUGAACCAGAAUUUGAAGAUUUAGUAACUUGGGGACCUGAGUUUGAACCAGAUCGAAGUGAUCCACUAUUAUGUUGUGAAGAUGAAGAUGGUCUAGAUGGUUUAUUUAAUGUUGAAGAUGUUGUUGUUGUUGUUGAAGAAGUAGGAUCAAGUAUAGGUAUAUCAAACAUUUUUCCUAACUCACCAGAUUUCUUCACAUCACCACCUGUAUAUGGUACUACACCUCUAGAUCCCAUUGUUUGUUGUCUAUCUUUCAGUUUUUCUUGUCUACCUGAUACAUAUAGACCACUACUUAACUGAUGUGAUGGGAUUCUUGUUGCCAUUUCUAUAUACAGAAAAAAGGGUAUGAAGAGAGAGAGAGAGAGAGAGAGAGAGAGAAAGAGAGAGAGAAACUUGGGUUUUUUUCAGAAAGAGAGAUAGUGUUGCAGAGAGAGAGAGAGAGAGAGAGUGAAGAAGGGGGAGAGAGAGAAAGGGGAAGUGGAGGAGAUGAGUGAGGAUGAAAUGACAUAAAUGGUGUUAAUUAUUUUUGAUAAUGACUUGUCUAUAUACAAUGAUUUUUUAUUUUUUUAUUUUUUGGUUUUUUUUAUUUAGUAAAAAUCUUUUUACAAUGAUUUUUUUUUCACUUAUGGUAAAUAUUAAAAAAAAAAAAUUAAAGGUAGUUUAUUCUUAUAGGAAAUUAGGAAUUCUACGUUAAAUCGUUAACAAACUCAAUCAUCGUCUACACUCUACAUACACACCAAUAACCACGUGGUAUAAAAGUUGUGUAGACGUAGUCUGGUAGAUGCUUGAGUUUGUUAGCAUGCAACUAUUACUUUAAAAUCGUGUUUUUUUUUUUACAGUUAAUUUUUUUACGAUGUACGAUGAGUUUGUAAUUGUACAUUGAGGUAAAAAUAAAAAAAAAAUAAAAAUUACCUCAACAAAUAUUAGUCGAUUAGAUAACUGCACGUGUAAAAACCACUCUGUUUUAAAAUUUACACGUUUAAGUGAAAGUUAAGAUUCUUUUAGCCACGAAACCCCUAUGUAAAUCGGUAGUUAGACUAAACACCACUAAAUUUAUAUCCGACAAAUUCAAUCCGCUAUGUUAAAAUUGAUUGGAGACACAAAUAAUCAUUAAUAUAGGAUCAUUUUAUUGUAAGGCUUCUUUGAAGAACAUUUUAAUAGUCGCUCACAUACAUUUUUUUUUUUUUUUUGCCAGUCACAUACACACUCAUAUACAUAUACAAAUAGUAUAGUCAUUAAUUAAUUAGUCAGAGUCUAAUAUUGGUAAGAAUUUGAUUAUUUUAUAAGAGCAAUGAGCUAAUAUUCCACAUAGAUGACUUAAAAGGAAUGAUAAAUCUUCUUCUCUCAGUUAAUAUUCUUAUACAUUAAUUAAAGAAUGAAGAUCUUUCUAAUCAUGUUUAUAUAUCUUAAGCUAUAUUGGAUACUUUUAGUCAUGCACUUAAUCAACUAGCUGGAUGCCUGGAUGUGGAUGGACAUUUUCAAUUCAAACAAUAUAAUCAUUUUUAACCAAAGGAACUCUUUAAUGUUUAUAACCUUCUUCUAUUACCUCAGAUAUUUUGUAGUUUGUAGAAGUGAUGAUUGAUGACAUUACUCGAAUAGUGCAUGGCAUAAUAUUUUUACCAUAAACACAUGUUUCUCACCUAAUUCUUAGGUGGGUCAGUCUUCUGGCUUGGUUCGAGAUUAAGAGACCCAUGCUCUUAUGAUGAGGAUGUGGUUAGGUGUUCUCUCAUGAUGAUGAUGUGGCAACAUAUUCUUCAGCAAAAACAAGUCCCUAAGUAACAAAAUUACUCGAGUUGUGAGGUGGCGGUGUGGACACUUAGGUGGUAACAUCAGUAGCCUUCGGGCUUUGUUUUUGUAAGCCUUUUAGACCUGUCCUUGUAAGCCUUCGGGCCAUCAUAUAAUUUUUUUUUUCUUAAAAAAAAACCCCACGUACUUAUAGGCCACACAAAUAAAAUUCACGCUAACAUAAUACCUGUUAUUUGUCGAAUUUUAUUUUUUUUCCUUAAAAUAAUUUUAUGGGUUGUAACACCCCGAGUCGGCAGGUGGUUUCCCGAGGGGGUGGGUCCUAUGACACGUAAGAGGGGGAUGUCAUGAUAUUGGAAUAUAGGUAUAGAUCUGUCAUAUAUAAUCACCGAGGCCUUUUGGGCUCACUUGGCUCGAGAGUUCGAAAGAACUCCGGAGUUAAGCGUGCUCGGGUGGGAGUAAUUCUCAGGAUGGGUGACAUCUUGGGAAGCAGGCUGCUGUCCAAUAAAAUCCCACACUGUCGGACAUCCGCAGUGGCUAAGUGGAGACAAUAUCGGUGGUGAUAUAGGUCAGGUCGUUACAUGGGCGAAUGCUCACUAUUAUAAAUAAAAUUGGAAAUUGCCACCCUUUUGAACUUUUAGGUAGUCAAACCACCGUUGACCUAAUCAAGUUAUGGUCUCUUACUUAAUAUAUUCAUGGAGUACUUUUCAUGAGCCACGUUGGCUCAUGAAAGGUAUUCCAUAAAUAUUAAAUAAAAGACCACAACUUGACUAGGCCAAUGGUGGUUUAAUUUGAACUUUUAGGUAGUCAAACCACCGUUGACCUAAUCAAGUUAUGGUCUCUUACUUAAUAUAUUCAUGGAGUACUUUUCAUGAGCCACAUUGGCUCAUGAAAGGUAUUCCAUAAAUAUUAAAUAAAAGACCACAACUUGACUAGGCCAAUGGUGGUUUAAUUUGACCAACUGAAAGCGCAAAAAAAUAGAUGAUCUCCAAUUUUAUUAAAAGUAGUGGGUUAUCGCAAAUUACAUCUAUUAUACUCUAUUAAAGCAGGAAAUACCCCUAAGAAAAUAUCUCUUCAAUUAGGCUAUCAAUUAGAUUAAAAUAGAUAGCCUAAUUGAAGAGAAUUUUAAUUAAGUUUGGGUAUAUUUGUAAUUACGCAAAAGUGGACCACCAUCACAGAUAUAAUCAAGCCCAAUUAGACCAAAUCAUGGGCAUAAUUAAGCCCAAUAAAAAAGUUAAAAGUAUACCCAAUCCCAAGUAUAAUCAAGUCCAGCCCAUACCCAGUUGGACUAAAUCACAAGCAUAAUUAAGCCCAAUAAAAAAAAUUAAAAGUAUACCCAAUCCCAAGUAUAAUCAAGUCCAGCCUGUACCCUAAGAAAAUACAGUAAAACCUCAAUAAAUUAAUAGCCUUGGGACUAGAAAAUUAUUAAUUCAUCGAUUAAUUAAUAAACUAUUAAUUUACAUAAUUAACAGUAUAUUUUCAUGUGUAUCUUUCUUUUGGGGGGCUAACAUGAUGAAAUUGGACAAUCGUUUUAUUCUAGAACCCGUUCCACGAAAAGAAACACUAAAAUCGAUAAUGAUAUUGGAAUAAUUUCUUCUAGCAUUACAAAAUACAACACCAGAUCAACUCAUCACACUACAAAAAUUCGAAGACGAGGUUCAAACCAAAAUCAAUUUUGGGAAAAACAAGCAACAAUUGACUUUUAUUAUAAAAAAAUAUAAUAUAUAUUUGUAUAUCAAAAAAAUAUUAAUUUAUAUAUUAGUUGGGCAUUCAAGGAUUUUUCUAAAAUGUAUUAUCUAAUAAAUUUAGCGAAAUAUUAAUUUAUCAACCUAUGCCCAAGUUGGGACCAACUAAAAAUAUUAUUUAAAGAAGAUAAUUAAUUUAUCGGGUAUUAUCUUAUCGAGGUUUUACUGUAUCUCUUCAAUUAGGCUGAAAUUGAUAACCUAAUUAAAAAGAAAUUCAUUCAAUUUUGGGUAUUUUUGUAACUACACAAAAUAAAUAAAAAUGGGUCAAUAUGUAAUUCCACAUCUUAAAUAGAACCACUUUCAUAAGUAACCUUAACUCGAAUUCUUUAUAGGCAGUAAACCAAAUUAUUACCACUAGAUUUAAUACCAGUUAUUGACUACCAUUGAUAAAAUGCCCUAACUCGAAUUUCUUUUAAUUCAACAAUUUUAACUUCAAUAAGUUUACCAGUAAUCUUUUUUUGAAUAAGUAGUUAAAUAAUUAUCUGGUGGAAGUAGUGAUUUACAAGUAUCUCCAAGAUUUACAUUGAAAUCACCAGAUGAUAUACUACGUUUGUACAACUUCUCCAUCUUCCUCUUUACUCAAAAUCUAUAUUUGUUUAUAUGCUUAUAUUUGAUGCUUGUUGAAGAUCUCUCGACGACAAAGAAAUCAAAACUCACCAAUAUUUUAAGUCAAAUGGGCAGGUAUACAAGUUUAUUAAUAAAAUCAUUAAUAAUAUUAAUAUGAUAUUAUUGUGGACACACAUCAAACAUGUUUGUGAUGGUCAUUUUGAAGUACAUUCUCAACUUGACAAAAAGUAUAUUUUGCAGGAAUAUGGAGAACCAGUAAUCUAUUUCUUUUUUUUGCACUUAGUAGACAUUAACAAAAAGUAAAUGAAAAUAGAAAAUAGACUCCAGUAAAGAUGAUGAUAUAAUCUUCAAUACAUUUCAAUGGUGGGGAUAUGAAAGGGGACCCAAGUAGCAGUAAGACCUGCAAUUUCAUGAAAUUUGAGUUUCCCUUAAUUUGUGAUGUAAUGUAUGUAAAUGUGUUGCAGAUGAGACUAUAUAAAAAAAGGUCGCAAGAUUCACACAGACAUGGAUCGUAUGGUUGUCUUCCAGAAAGGCUUAAUUACAUGGGCCAAAAGGGAUCUCUCCGUCAUAUUAUAAGUAAGCCAUUUUUAUCAUCAUAAUAGUUUGCUAAAUAUUUUGAAUUUUCGGGAUGUUAACUGUUACAAGCAAUUAAGAGACGCUCGACUGCUAAUGGACUACAGUGAAAAAAUUGUUUCCCAAAGUGAUGAAGCCUCAACAACCGAGCCAAACCAAAUUUUAAUUGAGACUUUGAGAAUUGAGAGUGCUGCAAAAUCCCACUCUCCUGGAUAUUUUCAACUACUUUGGGUUUAGUUUUCAUGUAUAUAUAAUAAUCAUUCAAUUUCAAUACUCAAAGAUUUAUAAUAAUUCUAAACGAAAUCAUACCAAAUCAUAAACUUUUGAAAUAGGCUAAACAAAAUAUUACAAGUUACAAACCAAAAGCAACAUAAAACCCCCCCAAAAAAACUUUAAAACAAUCAAAUUCACCCGUGCUUUGCAUGUGCCUAAGGACUUGUUUUUAAAUUAAUAGGCAAUUGCUAAUUCAUUCUAAUUUUAUUGAUAAAUCGAGAAAUUACACAAAGAUAGAGGAUAUGCAUGCUAUUUCAAAACCAAACCCUCCAAAAUUCGUAUUCGGAAUCAGGUGUUCGGAUUUUAAUUAUUUUUAUGAUAUUUUUUUGAAAAAAAUAACAUAAAUAUACUAUUUUAAGACAUAAAUUCAGGUUACUUGGAUUAUCAGGUUUUAUUCGGGUACAUAUUAAAAACCAAACCCUCGGUUUUCGGGUACAUUCGGUUAAUCCAAAUCCGAUUUCCUUCCCUGCCCUAGGGCCUAGGUACAUGCCAAUCUCAACAGUAAAAGGCCAUUGUCACUAUUGGGCCUAUAAAUGGGCCUAAAAGGUCCAAAGAAGUAAAAGUCCUGUGUUGUGCUCUUUCUUCUUCUUCACUCACUCUUCACACACAGAGAGAGAGAAUGUUGCCACAACUAGCAAAGAAAUCCAUUACAGAGAAUCCAAAGAAGUUAGCAAACUUAAUUGAUUUAGUUAAUCUACCUUUAACACUUCGAGAUUUUGUGGGUCAAUCUCAGAUUUCUCGUUUAGGUUGUUUUAUGCGUGUUUGGUCUUACAUUAAAGCCAACAAUCUACAGGUUUGAUUUCAUUUUUUUGUAGUUUUUUUUGAGUAAAUAUGAUUUGGGUUUUGCUUGAAAUAAGUGAUUUAGUUCAUAUGUAAAUGUGUUGCAGAUGAGACUAUAUCAAAAAAGGUCGCAAGAUUCACACAGACAUGGAUCGUAUGGUUGUCUUCCGGAAAGGCUUAAUUACAUGGGCCAAAGGGGAUCUCUCCGUCAUAUUAUAAGUAAGCCAUUUUUAUCAUCAUAAUAGUUUGCUAAAUAUUUUGAAUUUUCGGGAUGUUAACUGUUACAAGCAAUUAAGAGACGCUCGACUGCUAAUGGACUACAGUGAAAAAAUUGUUUCCCAAAGUGAUGAAGCUUCAACAAUCGAGCCAGACCAAAUUUUAAUUGAGACUUUGAGAAUUGAGAGUGCUGCAAAAUCCCACUCUCCUGGAUAUUUUCAACUACUUUGGGUUUAGUUUUCAUGUAUAUAUAAUAAUCAUUCAAUUUCAAUACUCAAAGAUUUAUAAUAAUUCUAAACGAAAUCAUACCAAAUCAUAAACUUUUGAAAUAGGCUAAACAAAAUAUUACAAGUUACAAACCAAAAGCAACAUAAAACCCCCCCAAAAAAACUUUAAAACAAUCAAAUUCACCCGUGCUUUGCAUGUGCCUAAGGACUUGUUUUUAAAUUAAUAGGCAAUUGCUAAUUCAUUCUAAUUUUAUUGAUAAAUCGAGAAAUUACACAAAGAUAGAGGAUAUGCAUGCUAUUUCAAAACCAAACCCUCCAAAAUUCGUAUUCGGAAUCAGGUGUUCGGAUUUUAAUUAUUUUUAUGAUAUUUUUUUGAAAAAAAUAACAUAAAUAUACUAUUUUAAGACAUAAAUUCAGGUUACUUGGAUUAUCAGGUUUUAUUCGGGUACAUAUUAAAAACCAAACCCUCGGUUUUCGGGUACAUUCGGUUAAUCCAAAUCCGAUUUCCUGCCCUGCCCUAGGGCCUAGGUACAUGCCAAUCUCAACAGUAAAAGGCCAUUGUCACUAUUGGGCCUAUAGAUGGGCCUAAAAGGUCCAAAGAAGUAAAAGUCCUGUGUUGUGCUCUUUCUUCUUCUUCACUCACUCUUCACACACAGAGAGAGAGAAUGUUGCCACAACUAGCAAAGAAAUCCAUUACAGAGAAUCCAAAGAAGUUAGCAAACUUAAUUGAUUUAGUUAAUCUACCUUUAACACUUCGAGAUUUUGUGGGUCAAUCUCAGAUUUCUCGUUUAGGUUGUUUUAUGCGUGUUUGGUCUUACAUUAAAGCCAACAAUCUACAGGUUUGAUUUCAUUUUUUUGUAGUUUUUUUUGAGUAAAUAUGAUUUGGGUUUUGCUUGAAAUAAGUGAUUUAGUUCAUAUGUAAAUGUGUUGCAGAUGAGACUAUAUCAAAAAAGGUCGCAAGAUUCACACAGACAUGGAUCGUAUGGUUGUCUUCCGGAAAGGCUUAAUUACAUGGGCCAAAGGGGAUCUCUCCGUCAUAUUAUAAGUAAGCCAUUUUUAUCAUCAUAAUAGUUUGCUAAAUAUUUUGAAUUUUCGGGAUGUUAACUGUUACAAGCAAUUAAGAGACGCUCGACUGCUAAUGGACUACAGUGAAAAAAUUGUUUCCCAAAGUGAUGAAGCUUCAACAAUCGAGCCAGACCAAAUUUUAAUUGAGACUUUGAGAAUUGAGAGUGCUGCAAAAUCCCACUCUCCUGGAUAUUUUCAACUACUUUGGGUUUAGUUUUCAUGUAUAUAUAAUAAUCAUUCAAUUUCAAUACUCAAAGAUUUAUAAUAAUUCUAAACGAAAUCAUACCAAAUCAUAAACUUUUGAAAUAGGCUAAACAAAAUAUUACAAGUUACAAACCAAAAGCAACAUAAAACCCCCCCAAAAAAACUUUAAAACAAUCAAAUUCACCCGUGCUUUGCAUGUGCCUAAGGACUUGUUUUUAAAUUAAUAGGCAAUUGCUAAUUCAUUCUAAUUUUAUUGAUAAAUCGAGAAAUUACACAAAGACAGAGGAUAUGCAUGCUACUUCAAAACCAAACCCUCCAAAAUUCGUAUUCGGAAUCAGGUGUUCGGAUUUUAAUUAUUUUUAUGAUAUUUUUUUGAAAAAAAUAACAUAAAUAUACUAUUUUAAGACAUAAAUUCAGGUUACUUGGAUUAUCAGGUUUUAUUCGGGUACAUAUUAAAAACCAAACCCUCGGUUUUCGGGUACAUUCGGUUAAUCCAAAUCCGAUUUCCUUCCCUGCCCUAGGGCCUAGGUACAUGCCAAUCUCAACAGUAAAAGGCCAUUGUCACUAUUGGGCCUAUAAAUGGGCCUAAAAGGUCCAAAGAAGUAAAAGUCCUGUGUUGUGCUCUUUCUUCUUCUUCACUCACUCUUCACACACAGAGAGAGAGAAUGUUGCCACAACUAGCAAAGAAAUCCAUUACAGAGAAUCCAAAGAAGUUAGCAAACUUAAUUGAUUUAGUUAAUCUACCUUUAACACUUCGAGAUUUUGUGGGUCAAUCUCAGAUUUCUCGUUUAGGUUGUUUUAUGCGUGUUUGGUCUUACAUUAAAGCCAACAAUCUACAGGUUUGAUUUCAUUUUUUUGUAGUUUUUUUUGAGUAAAUAUGAUUUGGGUUUUUCUUGAAAUAAGUGAUUUAGUUCAUAUGAUACUAGUUUAAAUGUAAAGUUUCGAUUUUUAUGUUUUUUUUUAACUAGAAAAUUUGAGUGGAAAAUUAUGAUUUUUAUGUUUUUUUAUUCAUUUUUUCUAGUUUUGUUUUUUUGAGUAAAUAAGAUUUGGGUUUUGCAUGAAAUGAGUGAUUUAGUUCAUAUGAUACUAGUAACUAGUUUGAGUGGAAAGUUUCGAUUUUUAUGUUUUUUUUUUUUUUUUACUAGAAAUUUGGAGUUUUUUUAUUCAUUUUUGGAGUAUUUUUGAGUAAAUAAGAUUUGGGGUUUGCUUGAAAUGAGUGUUUUAGUUCAUAUGAAACUAGUUUGAUUGGAAAGUUUUGAUUUUUAUGUUUUUUUAACAUGUAAAUGGGGAUUGUGUAGUUAUAAGAAAUUGUGCAAGAGUUUGAUAGAUUUUGCAAAAUGUAGUAAUUACUUUUAUGGAAUUAGAUACGAACUAUUGCAUAUUUUUAGCUUAAUUUUGCGAGCCCAUUUAUUGCAUGUUGGUAUAACAUGAGUGUUACAGUUCAUCAUAAGAGCUACACAAUUUGAUUAAAAAGUUCUGAUUUAUCUAUGUAGCUACAACUGAGUAUAUAGUAGUUUAGACUUUAGAAUAGGAAGAUUUUCUGAAAAAUUAAGGAACUAGUAUUUAAAGAGAUCGACACAAGAUAUUUUCAUGGCGAGUAGCAUUGUAGGGUAUGUUUUUGUAGAUUUGCGAGAAGAAUUGGACUUUGUUAUACCAUUAUUUUGUAUUAGGUUUUCAUAAUGAUGUUAACUGAAAUGUAUUUUGUAUUAGGUUCAUUUAAGUACAGAAUCCCAACAAACGUAUUUUCCUUUCAAAUUUUUAGUCAUGGAAUAGGAUAAGGUAAUAUUCAGUUCAAAUGGUCGACAAUAUUUUCAUUAGUGAAGUUUGACAAAUGUAAGAAUGAAAAGGGUUGAUAGAUACUUCUGUUAGCAUUUUGAUUAUUUGUUUGCUAAGUGCUUGUAGAGAAAUGGACGGGUUUGGGAUAUUGAGCAUAAUAUAAUGGCAAAUGCUAGGCAUAUUACUAGAAUAGCGUAGGGUUUUGAAUCCAGAAGAUUGUCACCAAUAACAUAAACUUGAGGCAAGGUUCUUUAUCAAUAUAUAGUGAGGUGUCACCAAUAACAUAAACUUUUGUUUCUGAGCCUUAUACUGAGAGUUCUAUGUCGUGCAGCACUAAUAAGCUAUGACAGUUGCCUCUUUGUUAUGAAACACGGUUAUUAUCAUUUGAAAGAUCUUGAAAAAUUAUUUAAACGACCAAAUUAUGAACAGAUUAAUAUGUUGAUCAAAGUAAGCUUCAAGGUAACUCAAGAAAACAAAAACGUAUUUUUGAAGUCUUACAAGUCUAGAAGUACAAUAUAGCUCUUUCUAUACUAGUCAUUUACAUGAAUGCCGCUUUGAUGUUUUUAAACUUACUCCUGCACUAACAUAAGCGGUCAAUAUGUAAGGUUCCAUCCGACUUUUAUCUCCAUUAGUCCAUUAUAGUGCAAUCGUAGCCAGAAUCAAUGCCUUUUUUGCUUGAGACUUGUUUAUGAUGUAAAAUCCUUUCCUCCCUUAAUUCCUUCAUUUCCAUAAAUCCUUUUUUGAAUGAAAAAAAAAAAACAUGCUUAGUUAGGAGGAGAGUUUCAUCUUAUUAUACUAGAAACUCAUGAGUCACGGCUUUCUUAAAAUCUCAUGUUUUCACUUUCUAGAAACCGAGGCAUAUACCAUCAAUAUUUUAGCCUCUGAUAUGUGCUUGUUUACUAAAAUUUUUACCUGUACAUAUUUGAAUGAUUCCUUAUAAAAUUCGUCGCACUAAUAUAUUUUUUCUUACAAAAAUUAAAUUCAGAUGUAACUGGAGAUGUUCUCUGUUUAUUUUGCAGGAUCCAAACAACAAGAAUGUGGUUAACUGUGAUAAGCAACUGAGCAAAAUUUUGUUAGGUAAGUCUCAAGUUGAGUUGGUUGAGCUCCCCACACUAGUCAAGCUCCAUUUUCCUAAAGAGCCAAAGUAAUUAGUUUGAUCGUUUGUUGCUAUUGGUCUCAUGAAAAAUCUCGAGAAACUUUCGUAGCUAGUAUCAGUCUCAACAGAUUUUCUGUACAACUUAAUAUUAUGUAAAGCUUAUGAUGUAUCUCUUGGCAACUCAAUAACCAGAGAGAAUGAUAUGAAGCACUGCAUCUUAUUUACUGCAGAGAACAGUAAGAUACUAUUUCUCGAUAAUGAGAUGUUGUUGACAGCUAUCUUCUUAUCGUACAUUUAAUGAAGUUUUUAUUUCUCAGAAUCUUUGACAUAGGUAACUGUAGUUUCUCUCUUUUAUCUUUUCAAACGAUUGUGUUUUGCCCAAAAGUUGCUUGCAGCUAGGAUAAUUUUAACCUCAUCCCCUAAGGGUGCUGUCUUUCUCCCCAGUGUUUCUUGUCAUUUUUUCUUUGAAUCUUAUGUUUUAAAUUUGGAAAUCUCAAAUUCUUGGGACGCAACACCUUACAGUUCACUUUCUUGUAUGAACCACGCUACAAUCUUCAAUACCACACCAUUUUGUAAAGAUUGUGCCCUCCGCAGUCUGUUUCCCUUCCAUUAUUAGUUGAAAGACUUCUAUUAUAGUGUGGUCAUGAGUAAUGUACAUGAACCAUUGCUUUCCCUUGCCCUAGUUGCAGGUACAUGCCAAAUUGUUAAUGGCAUGUUAGUUAAUGGCCUGUAUUUUGUUUGCAGGUCUGAUAGAUGUUGACAUAUUUUUUUUUUGUCUGGCUACUCCAAAAAGUUGACUUUGGAAGUUAUUUAGUGUUAUACAUGACCUAGACUUUGGAAGUUAUUUAGUGUUAUACAUGACCUAGACUUAGGAAGUUUUAGUGUUAUACAUGACCUAUGCCGGCAAUAUUUUCGUCUUAGGACUAAGUUGAUCUCAGCUCUGAAGACUCAUUUUAAUAUUGGCUUCAUGGAAAAGUUUAAGAGAUUACUAGCUAAUUUUCCACCAACUUAUGACAGAUUAAACCUCCCUCAACUAGUUCACUCCCCUCUAAGCAACAGAUUAGGACAGACCAAAUGACCAACUAAUACAGAAGAUAGAGACAAUGCACUGCAAUGUGGUAGACUCCAAGAACUUGUAUAUUGGUUUCUGAAAGACACAUUUGGCAAAAACAUGUAAUCUUGCAGCACUAUGUUGUUUUUCAAAAAAGUUGACCUCCUAGUAGGACCCAUUUUAGUGAUGGGUCCACCACCAGAAAUGUGCCACAUGUACACAUUACAAAUUUUUGGAUAAAGAGACAUGCAAGCCAAGUAUAUAAACAGAUAACAAUGUUAAAUAAAAAAAAAAUCACAAGUGCUCUAUGUAAUUUGUCAAUCAAAUUGCCUGAUCAACUGUAGCCACUGCACUUCACAGUUCACAUUAAUAAAAAGUAAAAGAAAGUAUAUCAGAUGAAUUCAGUCCAGAAAAGUUCUCUCUAUAUAUGUUUUUUUUUCUUCCUUUUAUACUACUUGUGCUACUUUUUUAACCAAGUUAUCACAAGAUAUCCUUGAAUAAUCUUUCUUUAUAUUCAUCACUUGAACAACUUCUUCAUCUCUACAUAUUCAUCACUUACAUCUACAUAAGAUAAGUUUGAUAGAGUAAAAGAAAUCAAAAGUAACUACUUUAAAAGAAACUGGGCAAUUUGUUUCUUUGUUCUUGUUGUUGUUGUUGUUGUUCUUGUUCUUGUUCUUCUUCUUCUUAAAAAACCCCUUCAAGUUUCUUCAAGAGAAACAAGACCAUGUUUCCUACUUUGUAUGUCUCUUAACCAUGAUUGUUCUGUGUGUUGUGAUGGAAUUUUUAUAAUUUAAUUUUGUUUUUUGUUUGUAAACUCAUGAAAACCCAUUCCCAUAUUUCUUUAUCCUUCAAACACAUGUCUUCAAAUCAGUUUAUUCUCUUCUUAGAAUCAGCUCUUAGUCUAAGAAGAAAAGAUCUAACUAGUUCUUCAAGUGAACCCUCUUGGUUUUCUUAGCUGAAGUUUGAAGGAAAAAGAAAAAAGAAAAAAGAAAAAGAAAUGACCUACUUGUGUCAUAGUAUGAAAUUCUGUAGACCUAUCACACACUUCACUUCAUAGGCUUCUCUAGUGGGAGGAACCUUAAAGAAGUGAAGCAAUGGCACCUUCUCUCUUUCGAGCAUUUAGGCUUCGAAAGGAGAAGAACAAGCCUCUCCCAAUGUCAUCAUCAUCAAGGAGUUCAGAUAUGGGAAAUAUGGAGAAGAGAAGAUUUGAUAGUUUGGAAUCAUGGUCCAUGAUAUUGGAUUCGGAAAAUGUGGAUGCUUGGGAGGUGCCCCCUGAAGAGCAUGAGGACUGGACUGCUGAUCUUUCCCAGCUUUUUAUUGGAAAUAAAUUCGCUUCGGGUGCUCACAGUAGAAUUUACCGGGGAAUUUAUAAGCAGCGUGCUGUUGCAGUGAAGAUGGUGAGAAUUCCAACUCAUAAUGAGGAGACUCGGGAAUUACUUGAGCAACAGUUUAAGUCUGAAGUUGCCCUGCUUUCGCGUCUUCUUCAUCCUAAUAUAGUUCAGGUAACUUCUUAGUUCUUACACAUAUGUGAAUUGGUUUUUUUCUGAGUUCAUUCCUUACUAUAGCUAGUAGUGCAUUUUUCGGUAUAUUGGUUUCGUAUGCAUAACAUGGUAAUUUUUCAAGUGUUUUCAGUUUAGAAUUUUAGAAUACUUAUUCAGAUUGCCUUAGAAAAUUUUGCCUGAUGUACAUGAGUUCAGCUUGAGGGUAAGUCUGCCUUAGAUGCUAAGAAAUGCACACUUCACAUAGGCUGCAUGGUCUGAGUUAGUAGAUAAGCACACAGACACAACAUACUAAUUACUGUGUGAACGGUUAAGUACUAAACUUCUCCAGAAGGAGAGGAUACAGAGAUAAGUUGGGAGAACAAAAUGCAAGAGAGCUCGAGGAAAUGUUGGGGAAGUAAGACAUUAGAACAGGGAAGAAAUGGUUUUAGGCUUUUGACAUGAAACAAUCGUGUGGCUCUCCUUAAAUGAUAUAAAAAGGAAAUUUCUUUCGAGAGAGUCGGUAUUAGUCCAGUUCUGUAAUACCGAAACAUCACCUUUAUACAACCAGUAAUACGAAACAUCACCUUUAAAAUAGUAAACUUUGUAGUCUAUGUAACAGAUUAUGACAUUUUUAUUGGUGCAGUUUAUUGCAGCCUGUAAAAAGCCUCCUGUGUACUGCAUCAUUACGGAGUACAUGUCACAAGGAACUCUUAGGAUGUACCUCAACAAGAAACUACCAUAUUCACUCUCAACUGAAACCAUCCUGAGGUUAGCCCUUGACAUCUCCCGAGGAAUGCAGUAUCUUCAUUCACAAGGGGUGAUCCAUAGAGAUCUCAAAUCCAAUAAUUUGCUCCUCAAUGACGAGAUGCGUGUUAAGGUGGCAGAUUUUGGCACUUCAUGCCUUGAAACACAGUGCCGAGCAUCUAAAGGUAACAUGGGAACUUACAGGUGGAUGGCUCCAGAGAUGAUAAAAGAGAAACCAUAUACAAGGAAGGUCGAUGUGUAUAGUUUUGGCAUUGUGCUCUGGGAGCUCACAACAGCUCUGCUUCCGUUUCAAGGGAUGACCCCUGUGCAGGCUGCAUUUGCUGUAUCAGAGAAGGUAGCUAACUAAUUCUUUCACUUGAUUAAACUGAAAUUUGUCUGAUUAACUCGGUGUUCCUCACCCAACGCUAUUCAGUUAAAUCUAUUAUUAUAUCACUUUUAGUUUCUCUGUUUGUAUCUCUUGGGCUUUUAGGUAAAUCUGCUUGUAGAGAUUUACUAUCAGGUAAUUAGUGUUAUAUUGUGUUGAGGGAGGAAAUUUAACGAUUAGGCUGGUCAUAGAUAUCUGGAAAUCGCUGCCUUUUGUUUCAUAGGAGAAGAAUGUGAUCAGUUCAAUGAUUAGACUCAAUAUACUGGUAGGAAUUUGACCUAAUAGAUCUGAAUGUGACAUAUGAACGAUAGGUUCUACUAUAUCCCGUCAGUUUUCACUACAUAUGUCAUCAUGUUUGAAAGCUUAUCCUUAUCCCUCGGUAGAUCUAUAACUCAUACUGUUGUGUUAUGCAUACCAAUCAUCAUAUUAAAUGGUUGUUUGCAAUUUUCUUUACAUCCAAAAUUUAGUAUCCUAGUGGGUGAGCGCUAUACGUAGUUUCGAAGACUUAUGUUUAGAAUCAGGAUCUUCUACCACCAAUCAUAGGUUCUAAGCACGAGUAGAUUCCAAUUGGGAAAACAUGGCUAGCCUCUUGAUCUGUGAGAGACUGAUACAAAGUUAGUCUCUUGGUCUGUGCAGGCCACGAUCCUGACGCUAUGUUUGUGAUCAUGAUUAUAAAUGAAGUCACUGUACUUUUGGAGUUUCAAAUGAUUGAGUUGCUGGGACUCCACUUCACUGCUAGAAUUUCACGUAUGGAGGUGGGAUGAAGGAUUCCUACUUCUUGGUGCUGCAUCUGCAUUGCUUGGCAAAAAUGAGAUCUAUGAUAUGGCUUGGUUUAGGUAGUUGGCCUUUGAGACCUUGAAAUGAACCGUGCUUGAGACUUUGAGAGCAUUUAGCGUCCAACUUACACAAAUGAAAAUUCUGUUUUGAUUUGGUUUUCCACUCUUGAUUGCUUAUGAUAUGUAGAGGGUGUCCUAGACAAGUAGAAAUGUUCCUAGAGGGUCAAGGGGUUUCUGUCGAUUUCUUUCCCUAUCGUUGGAUCAACCUGGUUUCAGAGUGAAUCCAUAAGGAUAUUUGUUUUCCUUCCAGACCUAAUCUAAAUCUCGAUUAUUGUAGUCUCCUUCCACAGUUGUGAUUGCUCUUAGAAUUAGGCCGCUUUUAUUUCAUAUAUGCUGUUUCUUUUGCACCCUUCGAGAUCCUUUCACAUCUCUUGCUUCUAAAGUCACAAGUCAUUAUCAGGGGAAAAGACACUUGGUUUCUUACCUAUUUGAAUGCGGCUUUACACUUAGUAUUUUAGUACAUUUUUGACACUUCUCGUCCACUAACCUUCCGCCCUAGGUGAUUAAAUCUGGUUGUCUUUACAUGACUCUGGGAACUCUGCGCCUUUUUUAUUGCAUGCGCAUAAGAUUCAGAGUUUCAACCAGCUAACUUGUAAGGUUCAUAGUUUUACAGAUGAGCACAAGAGUCUGCGGAGAGCCCAAAGCCAACUUGUUUUCUCAUUUAGAAGUGUUUUUAUUUUUCUUUCAAUUAUUAGUGUUACUGGUUAUAUACACAUUUUCGUACUUGACAUAUCGAAUAGUUUCUUAGUAGUGCCUUUCGUUUCUUGUGGCAGAAUGAACGACCCCCAUUGCCAGAUAAUUGUCAGCCCGCCAUUGCAAGCCUUAUAAAACAUUGUUGGUCUGCAAACCCUUCUAAAAGGCCUGAUUUCAAUGAUAUUGUGGCUCUCUUGGAGAAAUUUGAUGAGUGCAUCAAGGACGGACUCCCUCUCCCGUCUCAUUCGGGAUUGGUCAGUCGAAGUGCGAUUCUUGAGCGCUUCAAGGGCUGCAUUUCAAUGAGCUCAUCUAUACCUGUGUAUGUUUGACCUCAGUGGUAGGUACCAUGGUAUCUUAUAGAUCUUAAUGUUGAUAGCUUAAGAUACAGAACUGUAAAUAUUGGAAUCGAUCAUCUAAUCUAGUUCUAUAGACAAACACAUGGUAAAUUUUCUAGAAGAUAAGGACAACCAAUUCUUUGUGUGUCACUGUGGUGUAAAAGGACUUUGUCCCUUUUCGACUUUCCAUUGGAUGGCGAUGAUUUCCCUUGCCAAUGCUGCUGAAGGGUGCUGAAGGGUUCUGUUUACCUCAAAGUUCCUCACGUUUAUCACUGUUUACAAAGCAUUCUUUUAUAUUGUUCUUACACUGUAUAGUUCUCAUGUAUUGAAAUUCACAUGUUGGAGAAGUUUAUGAUAUUAAUCUAAUGUGGUUUCUCUGUGUUCGAUCUUCUUUGUACCAUAUUUUCAUAUAGAUUGUAUGAACAAUGAUGUCGAUUGUAGUCUGUUUCUCGUCGUAUCAGAGUUAUACACUACUUAUACUUUAUCAGAGGAUAACCAAUAUUGCUGAAACUUACGAAGAAUGCCAGCCAGAGCCAUGUUCUGGCUUUGGUAGAAUGGUUUGUAACAAAGUUUUGAGAGGGCUGUCAGGGGAGUUUAUGGCAUUCAAAAACAGGGUUACAAUGCAAAUUGGAAGUAGUCUUUUGCAGACUGGUUGGGUAGCCAUGUGGUGGAGGAUUGGGUGUAACCCUCUAACUAUGUUGCCGAAUUGAAGGCCAUCAUCGACAAUGCUUGAGAUUUGCAUAAACGUUUAAAAUGUAUGGUGAAUAUUGAUGCUUGGGAGAGCACUUUGCUCCUAAGUGGGUAUGGAGAAGUUUUUCUGCAUAGGAACCCUGCAUGAACCCGUAUGACUCCAUACGAACGAGCUAAUUUCAAUAAACGGAUUUUCAGGCGCCACGCAUGGACAACUAUGUGAUGACCGCAAGAUGUAAUUCAUCUGGAUUUUGACUUUUUCAAAAGGACAAAUGUUUAUGAUCAGACUUGUAAUCAUAUAAUCACACUUUUUCAAUUUUUUUUUUUUACCCCUAUAUACAUGUAAUUGUCAUUAUGAUUAUACGCGUGAUCAUACACACUUGUCCCUUUGAUUUAUGUGAUCACAAUUGUAAUCAUACUCAUGAUCAUAAAAUGUUUAUAUGUGAUCAGGAAUAUGAUCAUAACAAGUAAAUGUGAUUAUAUGUCUGAUCAUAACAAAUAAAUGUGAUUAUAAGUAUGUAUAUAUAUACAUGUGUUGUGAUUUAUGUGUGAUCAUAAUUGUGAUCAUAACGAAUAAAUGUGAUUACAAGUCUGAUCAUACCAACUAAUUGUGAUUAUAGGGUCUGAUCAUACGGUUGCAUAAGAUCGCAUCCCAACAAGAGUUCAUUUGGGUAGGGUAUAGUUUUAUUGCAUUUAGUGUUAUGUAGUAUAUGAUUAGACAAUAUGUGAUCAAAUAAUUAUAGGUCUAAUCAUACGGUUGCCUAAAGUCGCAUUAAAACUAGCUAGGGUUCAUUGAGGUAGGAUAUAGUUUUAUUGUAUUUAGUGUCAUAUAGUAUAUGAUUAGACCCAUGAUCAUUUGAUUAUAGGUCUGAUAAUAAGGUUGUUUAAGAUUACAUUCCAAGUAGGGUUCAUUUAGGUAGGGUACAGUUUUAUUGCAUUUAGUAUAUGAUUAGACAUGUGAUUAUAAAGUUAUACAUCUUGUCAUAAACAGUUUUUUUUGUUUUUUCAAAUUUUUUUGUUUGUUUACGAGGUUAGAGGACGUAAUUCAAAGGGUAAUUUUGACUCGUGAAAAUUAUAAAGUAGGACAAAAGGCUUGUUGGGGAAGAUGGCACCAUAUCAGGACCUAUUUAGAAAGUGGCACCUAAACAUGAGGCUUUUUUUUUGAGAUAUUACCCUUGUUUUUAUUAUUAAUACGAGUACCUAAGCCGAAUUAGAUUUAUAAUAUAGGUUAUCAACAUGAUGUUUUAUGCGAAAUUUUGGAAUUUAGCAAAUGACUUAUUUUUAAGUACUUAUAAUAAAUUAAGUAACAAAAAAUUAAAAUUGCAGCCAGCUUGUAUUUGGUUAUGGCAUGGAACAAAAAAGGUUAGACUAACAACAUUUUGCAAUUUUUGAUUCCAUUUUAGUCAAAGUGCAACCAUUUUUUGUUCCAUUUUGCUUAUAACCAUAGACUUAAAAUUACUGUUUGAUACAGUAAUUAUUAGUUUUUCUUUCUUUCAUCUUCUAAGAGUUCAUGCAAAUUGCAAUAGCCAACAACAACAACAACAACAGAAGCUGUAUAGUACAGAAAUUCAGGCCAUGGCCAACAUAACAACAUCUUCGAUAGCGUAUGAAGCUUGGAUCUGUAUCGGAGAUACUUCUAUUACUUCAAAUGGUCUGUUUAGAAGUGAUAUUAAUCCUCUCUAUUACUCUACUACCAUCAUCCUGCUGCAAUCUUCUUUAGCUACGUUUAUGGGAUGUAUCACAGCAGCUCUAUUCUUGCCUCUUGGAGUCCCUUCCAUGGUUACCCAGCUUAUGGUUAGUUACCUUUCAUCAACUCUUCUUUCUCUUAAUAUUUCCAGUUUUCUACCAUACUUUUUGAUUGAUUUUACGUCUAAUUUCUAACCACGCGUUGUACUUACUUUUGCUGAUCUAUUAGGCUGGUAUGUCACUAGGUCCUACGUUGUUAGGACGUAUCAAGAAUUUUCCAACAGAUAUAUUUCCCCCCAGAAGUUACAUACCGUUGCACACGUAUAGCGACUUUGGAACAGUUAUGCAUAUAUUCUUAAUGGGGGUACAGAUGGAUAUUACUACGGCUAUUAGGCCAGGGAAAAAAGGAGUGAUUACUGGCAUUUCCGUAGUUGUUGUUCCCCUCGCAUUAACAACCCUUUGGACUUUGUUUUUAACGAAAUCCAUUAUUGACGAAACAGGUAAGUUGUCUAAUUAUCUUACGGUAGUUGGAAAGGUCGAAUCCUUAGCUACCUUUCCUGUCAUUGCUGGUUAUCUUAUUGAGCUCAAUAUCCUCAAUACGGAGUUUAGCAACUUAGCGUUUUCUGCUUCAAUGAUUAGCGGCGUUCUCGGUAACAUGAUAGUUGGAGACAUUAUGGGGAAUCGACAUAAAAAGGACUACAAGACAGAGGGCGCAGUAGGUGCUAUGUCUCUCAGUUAUCUAAUUGUGGUGAUAUUAACCAUUGUUCUACUAGCACCAACAAUAAGGUGGAUUAUUAAAAAAACACCAGAUGGACAAAUGGUUAAACAGGAUCACUUGAAUGUUGUACUUUCGCUGAUUUUUCUGACAGUUUAUAUAUGCUUUCAAGGAAGCCUACAUAUAUUGUUUCCGCCUUUUAUCGCAGGGCUUAUUAUACCUUCAGGACCACCUUUGGGAUCCGCCUUAUUGGAAAAGUUUGAUUUUUUCAGUAAAUGGAUGGUCAUGCCAAUUUUCUACGCCACACAUGCGAGCAUGAUGGCUGAUAUCUUUGAAAUUCCGUUAACAAAAAUUUUUCUCGUCGGUUCGCUUAUUUUUGUUAGUUUCAUAGGAAAAUUUUUGGGAGCAUUUCUACCAGCUGUAUUCUUCAAUAUGUCCUACAAGGAUGCUACCUUACUCGGUCUCACCAUGAAUACACAAGGCUUUCUUGAGGUUCUGUUGUUUGCAACUUUCGCGGACAAGGAGGUACGUAAGACAAAAUGUCAGAACCAUUUUUUUUUUUUUUUUUCUGGCAAAGUUUAUUAAUAACUCUAGUAACAUUGUGUUGUAAUGACUUGCAGAUAAUUGACGCAGAAUGCUUCACCAUAAUGUGUUUCUCAUUGAUAAUAUUGACAGGUGGUUCGGCACCCCUAGUGAGAUAUUUGUACAAGAGUACCAUGAAAUAUAACCUCCAUAACCGAAGAACCAUUCAAGACACUGUACCAAAUAGUGAACUCCGUGUUCUAGGGUGCGUGUAUGAAGAAGAUAACGUACCUUCCAUGAUCCAUGUUUUGAGGGCUACCAAUCCAACCAAAGAGAACCCCAUCUACUUGAGCAUCAUUCAUUUUGUGGAGCUUGUCGGUCGUACAACCCCACUCGUUAUUUCUCACAAAGUGCAUAGAAAUCUUCCUUCUGCCGCUGCAGUUUCCCAACACAUUGUCAAUGUGUUCAAAUCCUAUGAAGAUAGCAAUAAAGGGAUCAUUUCAGUACACCCGUAUACGAUUGUGUCAAAUUUCCCAUCUAUGCACAAUGAUGUGUGUAAGCUUGCGUUCCACAAAAGAACUUCCCUCAUUCUUCUCCCCUACCACAAGAAUUUAGCAACUGGUUCCAUCAAUCCAGGCAUAAGGACAGUGAACUGUGAAGUCCUUAACAACUCUCCAUGCUCUGUUGGCAUCCUAAUAGACCGAGGGCUUCAGAAUGGUGGUAAGUUUCUUUUUACAAACUGGGUGUCCUAUCAUGUUGUGGUGGUCUUCUUAGGGGGUGCUGAUGACCGUGAGGCACUAGCUCAUGCGAAAAGAAUGUCUGAACAUCCAGCCAUUUUACUGACAGUUUUUCGGUUCCUCCCUAGUAGCGGUAUAGGUACUGAUACUGAUACUACCGAGAGGAAUCUUGAUGAUGCUGUGGUUGAAGAAUUCAAACUUGAAACUACAUCUAACCAUAAAGUCAGUUACAUAGAGGAGGAGGUUGAGGAAGGGUUAGGGGUGAUCAAAGUCAUUAAUUCAUUUGCAGAUAAAUAUGAGUUAAUCAUAGUCGGGAGGCGUCAUGAUGAAAAAUUACCAUUUAUAAUUGAUCUUACAGAUUGGAACAAGUGCUCUGAACUAGGGACUAUUGGUGACAUAUUCACAGUAUCUGGUUAUGGGGGAAAGGCAACAAUAUUGGUGAUUCAACAACAAUCAAAAGUAGCAGCACGCUCACAAUCUUCUCAGGAUGUUGAAUCGAAUGUUAGUUAUGAUGUCGAUCGAGAGCAGAAAUCAUUCCAUUUGGAAAGUUAGUUGCCGAAUCAUCUUGUCAUUUUAAUGAAUUAUCAUUAGUCAUAGGAUUUUUUUCUUUUUUUCUUUUUUUUGUGCUAAAAAAAUCAAAGGAGGUUGUAGUAGUUCUGAUAGCUUAUAAGCUAUUAGAAAAUCCGAAUGUAUAUGUUUGAUUUUACAUCUAGUUAUGGUCUUAUAAGCUCUUCUAGUAGAAAUUCGCUAAAAAAGUGGCGGUUACUAUAAGCUCCAUCCCCAAGCUCAUAGCUAGUAACUUAUAAGCUAUAUAAGCUACUAGACAAAAAAAAAAACAGUGUUUUUGGUAUUUUUCUGUCAUACAUAUUUGUAGGUCAAGAAUCUAUAUUUUGAAUCAAGGAUCAUGUUCUAAAACCAACACUCAUCCAACUAAACAAUAUUUGUUACUUGUGACUUCAAGAAUUCCUUGUGGAACUGUGUGUGCAUUAAGGAUACACCACGCGUAAACAAAACAGAAAACAAAACCAAUCAACACCUCAAACGAAAGCUGAUCCCUUCUUAGCUGCCAUAUAUAUCAGCAGAAAAGUUUGCUUCCCUGAAGUUGUGGGAAAUUUUCAUUUCCUGGAAAAAAACUAGCACAACUUCUCCAUCGAGCAUGAAGUUGCCAUUUGCCAUGGUGGUAGACCUUGACCCAUAGCCUGAACAGCAGCAGUAGAGUCUGAUUCAAUCCAUAUUCGAUUCCAUCCCUUCUCCUUUGCCAUUUCUGCAUUUCUCACAAUGACAAAGCAUUCUGCAAAGAAGUUUGUACAAAUUCCCAACCCACCCCAAAGCACCAUCUUCAAGUCACAAAAAUUGUCUGUGAAAACAACCCCAAAACCUCCUCUGCCAGGGCUCCCAUUCAGUAUUGAUUUUAACUACCAAUGCCUCAGGUUGUUCCCAGUAGCAGAUCUGAUGUGAAAGAUAGCUAGAAAUUUUGUCCUGUAUCUUCCAUUUUCUUAACACAUUCUUGCCAUUACUAUAACCUUUAGCCUUGGAUAGUCUUGUUGUGAGUUUCAUCUGAGAAUAAACCCCAUACUUGAGCUGUUUGAGGGUAUAGCUGCAUUCCAUAACUGUUUGAGAAAGGGGCUCCAGUGUUGAGACAGGUCCAGGGUUUCCUUCAUAUUACAAAAACCAUCUGUAGUGUAGAACUGAUUUCUAAUCCAUUGCCAAUGAUCAUGAGAGAACUUACAUUCUCAUAGUAAAUGAGACAAGGACUCUUCACUUUUUUUUUUUUAAAAAAAAAAAAUAAAAAAAAUGGUAUAUUAAUCAUGGCCCGAAGGCUUACAAGGACAAGGCACAAAGGGCUUACAAAGACAACGACGCCCGAAGGCUACUAAUGUUACCACCUAAGCGUCCACACCGCCACCUUGCAACUCGAGCAAUUAUGCUACUCAGGGACUUGCUUUCGCUGAAGAACACCUAGCCACAUCAUCAUUAUGGGAGAACACUUAACCACAUGCAUAUCAUCAUCAUAAGAGCAUGGGCCUCCUAAUCUCGAACCAGGCCCGAAGGCUGACCCACUUAAGAAUUACUUGAGAAAUUCCCCCAAACAGGAAUUGAACUCACAGCAACCUCUCACUCGUGGGAGUGUUUGAGAGGGAUAACAAACCAACUGAGCUAGCUAGCAGUUGUUUGGGGGAUAACAAGGGCUCUUCACUGUUUUUGCAAAGUUGGCAAAUAGAAACCACCAUAUAAUGCCCUUCUUUUUAAUGAUGUCAUCAGUAGCAGCAAAAGAAUUCACCAGUUUUCGAGCAAUUGCAGAAAGUCUUGGAUGAAUAUGAAAGUUCCAGAUAGCUCUAUGCCAUGCAAUUUUAGGUAUUUUCUUUCUGAUGGUAUCAAAAAAUGAUGAUAAAUGUGAGUUUACGAUAUACAUGAUGUUUUAUGCGAUAUUUUGGAAUUUAUAAAUGACUUAUUUUUAAGGACUUAUCAUUCUUAUAAAUCAAGUAAAAUAAUUUAAAGAAAUAAAUGUUGUUUAUAAACAGUGAAAUGAAUUGUACACAGAAGUAAUCGGAACAACUUGCCCAUAGCAUAACUCCAAUAGCCAUUCUAUGGGAGAUAUGGAAAGAAAGGUGUGCAAGGAGAUUCGAUGAAGCGCAUACAUGGAAUAUAAAUCAGAGUAGAUUAAUCAUUCUGAAAGUCAGAUUCUGGUUGGUUAGCUUAGGUCAGCAUUUUUCACCAAAAUGCAGAUCUAGUUCUAAUUUUGACAAGGUAGCCAUGCAACUGGGAAUAUGUUCCAAAAACCCACCUAUAAAGCCACCAAUUAUUGUGUACAGGACUAGACCUCCAGGAAGGUUUUGUAGCCCUUAAUAUUGAUGGUGCUGCUAAAGAGGGCUAUGCUGCAGGAGAGGGGUUGUUAGAAGCACUGACGGUAUCCAUAUCUCUAACUUCUUCUCCUACUAUGGUCUUGGUACUAACAAUCUUGCUGAAACAAAAGCUAUACUAGAUGGUUUAGAUUUGUGCUUGUUAUUGGGAUAUUCUAAAGUACAGAUUCAGACAGACUCCAAAAUGGCUACAAUGUGGUACAACAAUGAAAUUCCCAUCCCUUGGCAUCUAAGUACAUGGUGGAGAUAUAUCCAGGCAAGAGCAACAAGAAUGCAGAUUAUCAUUAAGCAUACCUAUAGAGAAGGCAACUGCCUAGCAGACUACCUCUCAAAGCAAGGUAUGCAUUUCAAAUGUAAUGGAGCAAUCAAUCAUAAUAGGGAUGCAAAGUUUAAACAACUACAAGCUGGAGACAAGGCAGGUAUCCCUUAUAUUAGACAUGUCAGAUAGCAUACAAAAUUAAAAAAAAAAAAAGUAAUCGGAAGUGAUGAAUUUGAUUUUUUUUUUUUUUUUUUUUUAAAAAAAGAAUGAAUUAUGAAUAGGGACAAGCCAUGUCCCUAUGGUUGGGAAUUGGGAUUCCGGUUCAAAAUGCCGACAUAUUUCGAGAAAUUUCGGCGGAAUAUGCCGGUUUUUAGAAAAUCGGCAUCGUAAAUUCCGGGAAUAUUCCAGAUAUUUCAGGUGACAUAUUUGUUUCGAGGGUCAGAAUGUCAGAAUAUACCGUUUUUUCUGAAUCCGAAAUUUCGCAUGGAUUCAGAAUUUUGAACUAUGGUUGGGAAUACUUCCCCACGGCCUAUAUUUCUCAAAAACAGUUUGGGUCAGUUUAAUAAAAAGGUAAGACUUGGUAAUUUUCAAUUUUAUUCUAGUCAAAGUGCAACCAUUCUUUGUUUCAUUUUUUUCUAUAACCAUAGACCUAAAGAACAGUUUAGGAAUUAGUUUUUCUUUCUUAUCUUUUUUUGCAUUUAUCUUCUUGUUCAUGUAAAUUGCGCGCGAUAGCCAAAAACAACAACCGAAGCUGCAUAGUACAGAAAUUCAGGCCAUGUCGAACACAACAGAGUCUUCCAUAGUGUAUGACGCUUGGACCUGCAUAGGCGAUAGUUCUAUAACUUCGAGUGGUCUGUUUAGAAGUAACAAUAAUCCUCUCUAUUACUACACACCCAUCCUGCUGCUGUAAUCUUCUUUAGUUACGUUUAUGGCAUAUAUCACAGCAGCUCUAUUCUUGCCUCUUGGAGUCCCUGCCGUGGUUACCCAGCUUAUGGUUAGUUACGUUAAUUAACUCUCCUUUCCUCUUAUUUGCUAUUAUGUUUUCGUUCGUUCUGGAAAAAAAAUGUUAAUAGACUUCACGUACGUCUAAUUUCUGACCGUUGUACAUAUUGUUUCUGAUCUAAUAGGUUGGUAUAUCACUAGGUCCUACCGUGUUAGGACGUAUCAAGAAUCAUACUCGGGAGGCGCUAUGAUAAAAAUUUACCAUUUAUAAUUGAUCUUACAGAUUGGAAUAAGUGCUCUGAAUUAGGGACUAUUGGCGACAUAUUCACAACAUCUGGUUACCGGGGAAAGGCAACAGUAUUGGUGAUUCAACAACAAUCAAAAUUAGCAGCACGCUCACAAUUUUCGCCAGGUUGUUGAAUCAAAGGUUAGUUAUGAUGUCGAUCGAGAGAAGAAAUCAUUCCAUUUAGAAAAAGAUAGGUGCCCAAUCAUGUCGUCGUUUUGAAUUAUCAUUGGAUCAUAAGAUGUUGUAGUAUCAAAUACUACAAUGUCGUAGCAUGUCCUAAUUGCCAGUUGUUGUCAGAAGGCACACAACAAUGUUUUUGUUUAAAACACUUGAAACAAAAAACCCUUAAAUGCAAUGCUGGUUCUUUUAGGUACAUGACUUAGCCAUGAAAAAGGUGCAAAAGCCUUAUAUGAUGUUGCAGGAAGUUGAUAUAUAGUUGUCCCUCACGCAUUUUUAUAUAAUUCCUUGAACACGGUCAGGUUGUUCACAAGCAUUAUAGAUUUUUCCCUGCCAAGAUUGAGACACUUCUUAAUUAUUAGAGCCUCCCACAGCUAGGAAAAAUUGCACAGACAUUAAGGGGAAAGAGGUUCUUGGCAAGAAGUAUUAACUGACAAGCUAACCUCAGCAGAGGAACAAAAAUAGUGCCUGCAGUGAAGAGAACGCUUUCGCUUUUCAAAGCUAACAAGAAAAUGUUCUCAACUGCAUGCUAAAUAUCAAUCAUUCUGCUCAUGUCUUCAAAAACUCGUCAAGUUGACUCGGAACUCGGCCGAGUCGACUCGACUCAACUGAAAACUGAGCAGACUCGCUUACAUUACCCGGUAGUUAUGACUCGCCGAAUUGAAUGAGAAACCUGGUCGAGUUGGGCCGCGUUAGUCUGAGUCAAAUCACAAAUUAUUGUUAAAAUUUUAAUCUAGUGUGUAUUGAAUAAUAGCUACAUGUUAGUAAUUCCAUUUUCAUUAAAAAAAAUGCCUACAAACUAAAAUCACCAACAACAACUAUUUCUUGGCAUUAAUAUAGACUAAAUAUAUGUAUGAGACUACCAUAUAUUCAAGUGUUAGCAUAUUCACGACUCACCGAGUCGACUCUCGAGUUUUUGAUUAAACUCGACCCAAUAAAAUUUCGAGCGAGCCGAGUUUUUGAGUUUUUGAACUCGACUUUAUAUGAGCAAAAAAUUAUGACCUUCCCAUUCAAAACAACAUGCUUGCAACAUUUUCACGUACGCCCUUCUGGAUGUCCAUAUGUCCACGUUCAAUUUUCAUGGGCCUCGGCCCAAUUUCUCCUUUUCUCUUUGUUUAGGUUAAAUAGGUUUUUGGAAAAACAAUGGAGUUAGUUCUUCGGCUGUCUUCUUCCCUUCUUCUUGACUCAAGUGUUUUGGUUGUUUAGAACUCAUUCUUCCUCCCCAAUCAUUCUAAACUCGAUCAAUCGGUUGUUUAGAACUCAUUCUUCGUCCCCAAUCAUUCUAAACUCGAUCAAUCAUCAUUGUUUUCGUUAUGAGAUUGACUUCGUAAGUCCUUUGUGUGUGCAUCAAAAAACUCUGGUGAACUCAAGGUAUUAGAGAUAACCUGUAUUGUCAAGUAGCAGGUGUAUGCGGUAUUGUUUGAUAGACUUGUCAUCUCUUGCUUAUAGUGGAUUGUUUUGUUGUCACGAAGACAACCGUGGACGUUUCCCUAGCUAUUUGGGUUUUACCACGUUAAAAAUAUCGCAUGUCCAUUUAUUGCUUUAUUGUUUUUCUAGUUCAUUUGUACCAUUAUUCACUUGCAUUCAAACCUUGUACUACUAGUGCACCCAAAGUCCUUUUUUUUGCUCAUCUUGAAUCUGUCCAAUCAUCACUUCAUCCCAUCUGAAUAUCAAGUCCGAUCCUCCAUCUGUUAAAGCAAUCCCAAUAGAGGGUGGAUUUAUCCACCUCCACAUAGGAUAAAUCCAUCUUAAUGACUUAAAAGUAUAAGGUGGAGAGUUCUUAAGGCAAAGUGGACUCUUUGGGAGAGAAAGUGGAUUUUAUAAAAAAAAAAUCGAACGACAUGUUACGUGCCAUCCAUUUUUUUUUUAAAAAAAUAAAAAAUAAAAUAAACAUUUUUGACAUGUCAUCUGAACAAAAAAAAAAUAGGACGACAUAUGACAUAUCGUCAUUGUCUUUUCCGAAAAAUGGAUUUCAAAAUGGAUUCUCCUACCUUGAAAUCCACCUGUGAGAGGAAAUUCCACUCUGCAUUGGGAUGUUAUUUUCUAGCUAAAUUUUUGUUCUAAUUUUGAUUGAAAAUACACUCUACCUCAAAUUAUUUAUUGAGAAUCAAAUAAACCCUUAUUUUUUAAUAAAAUAAGGUACCUAAAAAAAUCUGACUAAAUCAAAUGUUCCUUAGACAAUAUGAUAAUCUAAAUAAAACCCCCCAACAACUCUUCAAACCUCUCUUUCAAUCAGAACCACAUCAAGAGAGAGAAAACCCCCUUCUAAGAGAGAAAGAGAGAGAAGAAAAAAGGAUAGAAAAGAAAUGAAGAAACUCUACAAGAAGGGCAAAGUUCAUCCAUCACCACCUUUAAUCUCUGAUCAUUUAGCUUUUCUUCCAGCUACAAUCUUAACACUUACAGUUGCUCUUUCUCCUCAAGAUAGAGAAGUAUUAGCUUAUCUUCUUCUUUCUUGUUCUACUUCCCCAACAACCAACUUUUCAACUAGCAAUAACAAGAAAAAUUCUCAUAAGAACAUUAAUAAAAAUAAUAGUAAUGGUGUUGGUAGGGAACAUCCUCCUUUGUUUUACUGCAACUGUUUUAGAUGUUAUACUAGUUAUUGGGUUAGAUGGGAUUCUUCACCAAAUCGUCAGUUAAUACAUGAUAUCAUUGAUGCUUUUGAAGAUGAAUUAUCUCAGAAAAAGAAGAAGAAUAACAAGAAAGAAAGGAAGAAGAAAGGGAUUAAUGGUUUGAAAAGGCUUGAAGAUGCUUAUGAUGAUGAUGAUGAUUCAAGUCAAGUUAUGUCAGGUAAUUUGUCUGCAGAAUCAGUUGUAGUGAAUAGUUGUCUUGGUCAUCAUGAUAAUGAUAAUGAUUAUGGUACUAGUAGUUGUAGUGCCGAGCAUUAUGAAGAAGAAAUGGAGAAUUUGAAAAAGGUCAGUAAGAAAAUUUGUUAGUUUUAUUGGAGAAACUAUUUGGGGAGUUUGGAAUUAAUGAAAGAAGAAGGUGGAUUGAGAGUUCUUGUUUCUUCUCUUCCAUAGAUUUUUUUUUUUUUUUUUUCACUUUUUAAUGUAUAUUACUUACUCCUUUUUUUUAAGAAAAAAAUGAGUAUUUUUGAAUUACCAUGAUUUUCAUCCAAAGAAAAAGAACCCUUUUUGGUGUAAAUUACCACUUUUAUAUAUGCAAUUUGUUCUUAUAUGUUUUAAUUUAUUUCCAUUGUUUUAGUAUAAAUGUGUUGAUAAGCAUUUGUCAUCCAUUGUGUAAUAACUUGUUGAACUGCAGCAGAAAUAUACUGCUAUGGACUAUGGUACAGUUUAUUGGUGAAGUUGGGUUUGUUUGGUAGUGUAGUACAGUUUAUUGUGUGAAGCAAAAGCUAUCUAUAUAUUUCAUUGGUGGUGUGUGUCCUUUUGAAUUUUUAUGAUGCUUUGACACUCAUAGUAUCAUACAUUGUGAUGUGAAUCUUGAAGAAAUUUUUUAGUUAAUUAAUGAAUUUAAUUUUAAUUGUCAUUAUUAAUUAUUAAUUAGGGUCAUCAUCAAAAGGGUUUUUCGAUUAAAGCAAGGGUAGAUAGAAAAAAGCAGUCCCCACUAAAACAGCUUUCCAGGCCUCAAUUUCAUUGAUAGUUGUGUUCUCCAAGAAUUUAUUCUUUGCAUUAUAGUAUCAAUUUAUUCAGUGCUAUUUACCUUCUUUGUUUAUUAUAUUGAAGAGACUAUACUACCCUUCAUGUAAUGUGGUAGCAUGCAUAGUUCAAAAUGCCAGAAAUAUAUUUUACGCAAUUUUGGUGGAAUAUGCCGGUUUUUAAAGAAUCGACAUUAUAAAAAUCCAGAAAUAUCCGAAAAUAUUUCUGAAAUUUCAGGUGACAUUUUUGUUUCGAGUGUCGGAAUAUUGGAAUAUACCGUUUUUUUUCAAAUCCGAAAUUUCGUCCGGAUUCGGAAUUUUAAAAUUAUGGUAGUACAUAUAUCUAUUUUUUCUUGGUUCUUGGUUUUUGAUAUUUGUUGAUGAAACAUGUUGCCAUUUUUUUGUUAUGCUAUUAAUGUUGAUUUGAUAAGUAGUUAUUAUUUUAUUUUUUUUAAUAAAUUUUUUUUUUUAUUAAAUUUCAAGGCCCAAAGACUACAUCAUUAGUCGUGAAGGGUUAUAUCUGAAACUAGACCAUAGGUUAUUCAAUAAUUUGUUGCCACCUAAGUAUUCACGUCGCAUCCACAUCACCUAGAGUAGCCACACUCUGAAGACUUGUUUUUGCUUUGCUCUACCUAAACAACAACAUCACCUCAAAGCAAUUAAAAAUCGUUGACAAAUGACAGUUUUUUCAUCUAACAAAGAAAUACACUAACCAAAAAACCAAAAUGUGUUUGUGUGGCAAAAAAUGUUUUUGGUUUUUUAUAGGAAAUGAAUGUCAUAUUAUAUAAAAAGGGUAAUGUUGGUAAUGAAUCUCAAAAAGCCUUAUAGAAUUUCUUUUUCAUUAACUAUGUUCCCUUGUCUUUAGCUUUCUGUCACUGUGAAUGGAUGGCCUAUAAUAACUCCAAGAUCAAAAGGAAUAACAACCUUUUUUUCUUCUUCCUUUGCUUUCGGUGUGUUUUGUUCACCCUUUUCCGGCAAGCCUAUAGGAAACAGUGUUUGGCUCUAAAUCUUGGUAACAACUACAACAUAUUCAAUUCAUUUGGAUGACAAAUAUAUACAUAUAUCACCCUCACAAGUCACACCUCUUUUGGGUUUUUCUAAGAGCAUCUCUAAUGCAAUGUGUAUAUUAAUUUAUAUUCCAAACCAUAAGAUUGGUCACACGUAUAAUUUACCAUACGUGUGGUUCCACAUUUGAAAAUUAAAUAUAUAUUCUGAUGUCAUGAACAUAUAUAUCAAGAAAAAAAAAGAAUUUAUAAUGUAUNNNNNNNNNNNNNNNNNNNNNNNNNNNNNNNNNNNNNNNNNNNNNNNNNNNNNNNNNNNNNNNNNNNNNNNNNNNNNNNNNNNNNNNNNNNNNNNNNNNNUUUUUCGAAAUCUUAUUGGGUUUGAACGUCGUAUUAUGGAUGAAAUAGGUCUACACUAGAAGAAGUGUUUUACGCGUAAGCAUUUCAGAUGUUCUAAUAUUUUGGAAAAUCGAGAAAAACAUAAUACUGGAUGAGGUUGAUAAUGUACUAAUCUAGCAGAAAUAUAUUUAUUCGCCCGUGUGAUCUUAGCUUCUUCGAAAAUAGAUCAAAUAGUCAAACACAUCCUAAUUUGAAGAGUCAUCUAUGGCCAGUCAUCUUCAAAGUUAGACAUGAAUAUGUAAGACUGUUUCAGCCUUUCAGGUAAGAAUGUGUCAACACUCUUAACACAAAGUGAAGUUAAAAUAUUGAUCAACGAUCUUAAACAAAUAAUGAGAAUGUGACAUAAGGCCAUGGACUUUUUUUCUCAUUGAAAUAAUUGUGACUAUUAAUGAGUUGUGAUAAGACUAAAGAGUCCAUUUCUUGGUAGCUAGGUUAGAUGUUUGUAUUAGAGAAAAAGAGUCAAAGAAAGACUACUCUGUCAAGUUUUUUUUUAUGACCAACUUCUUCAACAAGGCUAGCUCUAGCUUUGUCAUGCAUAUAUGACUGCAUGAGAAUUGAAGGUUACUUUGCCCUGAACCAUCAUCAACUUUGUUGAUCAACAUUAGAUUGAAAUUCUUAUCAAUUGAAGAAUGUUUUUUAUAUAUAAUUAUUAAUCAAAAAAAUUAAUCUAAUUUAAAACAAUUAAUAAUUUUAAGAGCUAAUUUUAAGUGAUUUCAUAUUUUUAAAUAUAAUUAUCUCAUCUAUCGUUAUUUAAUUUUUUAUUUUAAUAAAACUAAAAUAUCAAAUAUUAUAUUUAUACAAAAAUAAAUAAAAAAUUCUCACGUUACCAACACUUGUCUAGCAAUAAGCCAAUUGUUUUGUCUACAUUUUAGUACUCCAAAUGAGUAUGUUUUAAGAAGAACUAAGUGAAUAUGCACGUUUGUGCGUGCUGUAUAAGUGGGGUAUUAUAUUAGGUAUGGACGUAAAUUUUUUUACAGUUUGCUUAUAUAAAUAAAGUAAGAAAUAAAACUAAAAUUAUUAGUAUGUUUAUGAUGGUGACACGUCAGGUUUCGUAAACCAUCUUAUUUUGGGGGUGUCUUUAUAAAGUACUAGAGAUUCCCACCUUGUAGCGCAUUUGUUUUUCACUUUUUCAUAAUUUUUUAAUUUUAUUAUUAAAUAUUAACCAACAUAAUUUUUUAACCAACAUAAUUUUUUAACCAACAUAGUUUUUUAACCAACAUAGUUUUAUCCCCUUUGGUUAAUAUUUAAUUUUAUUAUUAAAUAUUAAUCAACAUAAUUUUUUAACCAACAUAGUUUUAUCCCCUUUGCAUUUGACACAUUUGGAUUGCUAGGCUCAGAAGCAGUUGAGCUUCUCAGGAGAGUGCAGAAGAUAAUGGAUAGCAACGUGAUGAUUGCAGGUUCGAACGAAUAUGUAUUUAGAAGAAUCGGGUUUGCUAUCCAGAAAGGACUUGCCGCGCAGUUUGUAGCGCGUUUGUCCUCUACUUUUGUGUAAUUCGUUGAGCUUAUCAAUAAAAUUUGAAUUAUAUUUAAAAAAAAAAAAAAAAAAAAUUUGAAAUCCUUCACAAGUAUUUCCAGCAGGACACCAGUAACUUUGGCAGUCUGUACAGUCAGUGGGGUUGUUGACAUGUAUUGUCCUAUAUGAUGGGACCUAUCUAUACCCAUCAUUUCUUCCUUCUCCGUAGUACUACACUGCUACUACAUAGAAAGAAAGAAUAUAAUAUCCAUAGUUCAAAAUGUCGAUUUCGAAUGAAAUUUUGAAUUCUGAAAAAAAAAAAAAAAAAAAUUUUUAUCGAGAUUUCGACAUUAGAAAUAGAAACCGAUACGAAGGUAAAUUAUUCGUAAAUAUUCGUGUAUUCAAUUGUUCGUGAAUAGUUGUGUAUUUAAUUCUUAAAAAUUCGGCAUAAUUUGAAGUUUGAAAUAUGAUAAAAUUUAUAUAUAUUUAGAGUUAUUUAUUUAUUUAUUUUUUUUAUGUUAAUGGAGAAUCAAGUGUGAGGUCCCACCAACGUAGGUUCAAUGGUUUGAUCAAAAGUUAUGGGUCCACUUUACUCUCAAGGAUUUGGUUCAUGAACUAAUAAGUAAAGACAUUUUUCCUGGUUCAUGUGAUUGUGAGAAGCAAACAGAGAUGUAUAGCUACUUCUGCAGUCUUUUUGGAUGAUUUACUAGUGACUAUUACAAAUACAAUUGUUUGAGAUCCUUAAACAUUUGAUGUCAAACAUUUGAUGUGCUAAAAUUUUGGAUAUUGUUUUAGUGUAGUUCUUACAUGGGCUGAAUUUGAUCAUAUUUGUGAUUAGUAAAAAAAAUAUGUUUGGGGAAAUUUAAGCUUUUGUAAGUAGAUCUUGAUUCAAAACUCUCUACUGCUAGGUAUCCAUAGUGAUUAAAAGGGGACAUAAUGAACGCUACGAAAAGGGGUUUUUCAAGUAUUUAGAAAAAAAUAAGUCCAUUAUAAGAGCUGGAUACAGUUUUGCCCCACCCCUAGUCAAAUUUUAGAUUGACGGAUGUUUGAAUUUUGAAACAGACAUUUGGUUUCAAGGUUUGACAUCAUUUUGUGUAUGUGUCAUCAGUUAUCUCACCCGAGCUUCAUUGUUUUUUUGAAAUAGACAUUUGGUUUCAAGGUUUGACAUCAUUUUGUGUAUGUGUCAUCAGUUAUCUCACCCGAACUUCAUUGUUACGCCGAACCUUGGUAUGUGUGUCAUUCUUCAUUCUUUCCUCUAUCAUCGUUUGUACAAGUUUCUCAGUUUUUAGUCUGUUAGAAUUUGGUUCGAACGAAACCUUGUUUCAGUUUUUUUUUUUGUUUAAGGGUGAUUAAAUUUAUAAAAUAAUGAAGAUUACAAAAGUGAGAAGGAAUUUAUAACUGCAUUCUUGUCUCAAAAAUUAAAAAAAAUCUAUACUAGACAGAUUUGUGGCUCUCUAAAGGUAAUUGAAUUGGGGUUUGUCCCAUCUCAAUCUCUGCUUUGCCCGGAAGUGAGUACCCUUCCUAGCGCAUAUAUCUGCUGCGAAGUUAGCUUCCCUUUUGUUUGUAGUGAUCAGCAGAUUCAGUUGCAGGUUUCUUAUUUCUUCCCAUUGCGGCUUUAGUUUCCAAUGAGGUUUGUUGUUCCAAAGAGCUAGCUGCAAUAGCAGCCUCUGAAUUUGUCUCCCCCCAAAUGUUUCUCCAUCCCAUUUCAAUUGCCAUUAGUGUACCUUCUAUGAUGCCUGUCAUCUCUGCAAUGUAACAUGUUUCGACGCCCAAACCACCAAUAACUACACCUGAAAGUUCACCAUCAUCUCUUCUGAACACAUCCCCCAAACCUGCGACCCCAGGGUUUCCUUUUCUGGAUAAGGAUAAAUAACCUUGUUCCAGGUUAUUUAUCCUUAUGCAGAAAUUGGAAUAUGGUUCGAACGAAAUGCUUCGAGUAAAUUUUUCGUCCUUAUGGUUUGUUUAUUUUUUUCUAGCUAGAGUUCAUAUAAAUAGGUUUAUACUCUUAUUAAAAAACCUAACUCCUCUCUAGUCGUCUUCGUCUCCAUCUUCUCAAGUGUGUUUGUUAAGGGAAAAACUUUUCUCCAUCUACUAAUUCAUCUUCUUCCUCACUGCACUUAUUCAUUCAUCAAUAGUAAGAGCGACUUCGUGAGAGUCUUGUGAGGCUAUCAAGAUUCCCGGUGAAGUCCAAGAGUAUUAGAGAUAGUUGGUAUUGUCAAGUAGCAGGUGUAUGCAGUAGUGUUUGAUAUGCUUGUAAUCUUUUGCAACAUAGUGAUUGAUUUGUUACCGAUCGAGGUAACUGUGGAUGCGUUUCUCAAUUUAGAUUUUAUCACGUAAAUUUUUUUGAUGUUUUUUACCAUUUUUGUUGAUUUAUUUACUGUUUGUUUAUUCCAUUAUAUUGCAGUUGCGUGGGGUUUUGUAUUUUUAUCCUUGUAGAUUCAAAAUAACGACAUUCUCCGGUAGAAUUACACACAUAUAUAUAGUAUAUACCCAUUUAUGAGUAGGGACCCUAAUAGUAAUGAGCCCUUUGUAACAGGAAGAAUAGUACUAUAUAUAGUACUAGUUGGGACUGUGGGCCUUUUGGUAGGCUAUGUGAACCCCAAACAUAAAUAUAUAAUAGCAUUAUGGAGAAUUCAACAUCACCAAACAUUUCAUUUUUAUGUGGGCAAAGUUAAUAAACAAUGGAGUUGUGGACCACAAUAUUAUAGGUACAGGGCCAGCUCAAAGUAUGGCACAUGAGAUGAUAUGAAUAUGUCUAUGAUUAAUCAAAAGAAAUCAAGAAAAUGAUUUGGUUGUAAUUAUCAAAACUUUGGUGUGUACAUGGCCUCGGAGACCAAACAACUGCUACCUCAAUUGGUUUGGUACUCUUCUCAAACACUCUCAUUCCAGGUCAAUUCCCAUCAAAGCCUUCGGGUCUGAUUCGUGAUUAGGAGACACAUGCUCCAAUGAUGACAUGAUGUGGCCGUCUGGUGUUCUUCAGCGAAAGCAAGUCCAUGUAUAACAGUAUUACUCUAGUAGCAAGAUGGCGAUGUGGACGUUUAGGUGGCAAAAAUAGUAGUAUUUCUAGCCUUCGGGGUCUUGUCUUUGUAAGCCCUCAGGCCCUAUCCUUGUAAGCCUUCGGGCCAUGAAUAUUAACAAAAAAAUAAAAAAAAAUACUUCUUAUUUUUAUUUUUUAUUUUUCAGUGAAACAUCCUUUAUGCUUGUUUAAUCUCAUGGGAUCCUCAUGUUAACAUCUCAUCAAUAUAGCAUAAAAGCUAACUCAACAUGAGAGUAUAGAAAGGCAAGUUAUUAUUAUUGCAUUUUUGUUUUGAAUUAAUGGAUGAAAACCUUUUUCAAUAAAGCCAACUAUCAACUUGUAUGCCUGUGUCUGUUAAUGCAAUAUACUUGCACUAUUUUGGAUAGUGACACCUUUGAUCUUUUUGCAUCUAGUGGGCAUAUUGCAUAGGUUCAUUGCUCGUUAUGCCUGCAGAGUUCAAUGCAGCCAUAUGCAUGCAGGCGUUGAAGUUAAGCACGAGCAGUGUAUAUACAAACAAAUCACACAAUCUUUACCCAUGUCGAUCUAGUGUCUGCAAAACACCAAUCAUCUUACCAAUGACAAGCUUGCAGUUACGAAAGAAAGCGAUAUGAUGGAGAAACAAGUAGGUUUUUUUUUUUUUUUUUUGCAAAAGGUGAGCAUAUAUUAAUAUAAUUUAGAUACAAAAAUACAAAAGUUGAGUGCUAAGCACACUCAAAUUCAACUAAACUCUCAGAAAAAUUUGAUAAGGAUUCUCCCAUCUAACAACCCAUUGAGGCUUGCCUUCAAAAAUGAUCUCUUCUCCUGCCAUCAGAUUAGCUCCCUUCUUAGCAGCCUGGUCCGCAGAGAAAUUUGCCUCUCUCCAAGUAUGAGAGAACAAAAUAUUGUGCAGCUUAAUUCUAAUAUUUUUCCAUCUCACUUCCACUCUCCAAGGAAGAGAUCCUUGUGUGAAAGCUUGAAUAGCUGCAGCUGAAUCCGAUUCAACCCAAAUGUUCAGCCAGUCUCUCUUGACUGCUUCCUCAAUGCCAGCAAUAAUGGCCCAACAUUCAGCUCCAUUGUUAGUAUUUACACCAAUGCCUCCUGCUUUGACCAACAAAAAUUUCCCAUUUCUAUCUCUGAAUAUACACCCUAUCCCUGCAUCUCCAGGAUUACCCUUCGACGCCUCAUCACAGUUAAUUUUUACAGUGUUACCUUCAGGAGGAUACCAUUUACAUUCUUUUGGUGGCUUGGAAAGUACAUGUCUAGCAGGUAGGUCCCAAGCUCUCAAAAUAAGCUCCUCUCUAUCUUUGAGUUGGAAACCUGCCAAAGAUGCAUUAUUAGCAAAAAAAGACAUGUCUCUUAACUUCAGACUUUAACCAUACAUCAUUGCAUCUUCCUUCAUCAUAAACAAUCUUAUUUCGAAGUCUCCAGAUGGAGACAGAAACCCCGACCACUGCAGCCUGCCAAAGAACCCUGAUGAGCUUUGAGUUAGAGGAAGCCACCUUAAAAGCUUGGCUGAAGCUCUCAAAAUUGUAUACAAACCCAAAACUGCUGGAAGCCCAUUCCCAUAACCUUUUUACUGUUUUACACUCCCAAAGAAGAUGCUCUAAAGUUUCCUCCUUUUCCCGACAGACCUGGCAUUUGGAAGCUAACUGAAUUCCCAUAUUUUGAAGUCGGUCAUCUGUAGUUGCACACCCUCGGAUCAGUUUCCAGACAGUUGCUGCACUGUUUGGGUGAAUGUGUUGUUGCCAAAUAUAUGAAUGCCAUGAAACUUUAGGGGAUUUCUGUCGAAUGGUGUUGUACGCUGAAGCAACAGAAAAUUUAUCUUUAUCAUCAGCUUUCCAUAUCAAAUAAUCUCCUUCCUCUUGACGUGUACACUCCACUGAAGCCAAAGAUAAAUUUGAGGCGUCCAGAAGAUCUGAAAAAAAACCUGGAACUUCCAGCUGACCCUCAACAAGAAAAUCUUCUACCCUGGCUCUGCACCCUUUCAAAUCAGCUGAACUGAGUUGCAAAGUGUCUUUAAGACUACCACUCCCCAACCAAUUGUCCCUCCACAAGUCAGUCUUCUUCCCGUCUCCAAUAACAGCUUGAAUUCUGGGGAAGAUCUCUUGAAGUGCCCAUUUUAUUCCACUCCAAAGGGAAGAGGGAACAUAAUACUCAAUCACUUCAUUAUCUCUUGUCCAAUAUUUGUGUCAUAAAAUUUGCAAAAUUUGAAUCAUCUUGUAGAAUAUGCCAGGCCAGUUUCAUUAGAAGGGCUUUGUUGAUGUCCCCAAGCCUUCUUAUACCCAGUCCACCUUCAUUUUCUGGCAUACACACCUUAUGCCAAGCCACUGUAGUCUUCCUUGUCUGAGCUGGAUUCCCUGUCCAUAGGAAAUUCCUCAACAUUUUCUCCCCCUCUUUGAUAAGGCUUUGAGGCCAUUUGAAGAUUGACAUGUUAUGCAUUGGAAUGCUACAUAGAACAUGUUUAAUGAGCACAUUCCUCCCUUGAAAAGACAACAUUCUGCCUCUCCAGCUGCUGAUUCUAUCUUUGAUUCUAUCCAACAUUGGCAGUAGGAUUCUUCUAGAAACUCGACCUUGGUGCAGCGGGACACCCAGGUAUUUUUCAGGAAGGACACCUCUUUUCAUUCCCAGAAUUUGCUCCACACAUUGUUGUUUAUCUAUGUUCAUCCCACCUACAAAAACUCGACUUUUUUCUGUGCUCACCACUUGACCUGCACAUUGUUGAUACCGGUAGAGGAGUUCAGCAAUACAUUUGACCCCUUCAAUAUUGCCAUUCGCAAAAAUGAAUAUGUCGUCAGCAAAUAACAUAUGCGAAGGGCCACGAACACCUUUUGCUUUCAUUAGAGGAGCUAUCAAUUUCUGAUGUCGAAGAAAAAGCAACCCCCUACUGAGAACAUCUUCAGUCAGAUUAAAGAGAAUUGGAGAAAGGGGGUCUCCCUGUCGUAGGCCACGACCCACUCCAAAAAAACCACAAGGACCUCCAUUAACUAAAACAGAAAGCUUUGUUGAACUUAAAAGAGUUUUAAGCCAAGAAACCCAAAUCUGACUAAAUCCCAGUUUAGGGAAUCGUAGGCUUGAGCUAUGUCAACUUUAAUGCCAAGGCUUCCCUCUUUAGCCUUUCUCUUCAUACCAUUCAUCAUUUUGGAUGCUAGACAAAUAUUCUCUUGGAUACUUCUGCCUUGGAUGAAUCCAGUUUGCUCUCGACUGACAAGGUGGGGAGCAAAGGAAUUUAAUCUCAACUGCAAGAUUUUUGAAAGGAUUUUCAAGAUGAAGUUGUUCAUACAGAUAGGCCUGUAGUGCUGAACCUUUCUUGGUGAAUUGUCUUUAGGAGCAAGUGCAAUAAAAGCAUUAUUAACCCCCACUGGCAAAUGAUUUUCACUGAAAAAGGAAAUCACUGCUCUGUUCACAUCAAACUUGAUAAUCUCCCAGCAUUUUUGAAAGAAGACUCCUUGGAACCCAUCUGGACCAGGGGAGCUAUCAGCUGACAUUUCAAACACUGCAUUUUUAAUCUCUUCUGGACCUGGUAUAGAUGUCAAAAUAUCAUUGUCAAGGUCUGUCAGCAGACAUGGCACCAGGCUCAACAAUUGUUCAUCCACUACCACAUCUGUAGCUUUAAACCUUUGCUCAAAGUGGGUCACAAACUGCUGCUUAAUGGUCUCUUGAUCAGUAAUAAGCUCACCUUCGUCGUCAUCCAAUUCAGUAAUCAAUGCUCUGCUGUUUCUGAAAUUGCUCAUAGCAAAAAAGUAGUUGAGAUUGUUUUGGCCUUCCGGUAGCCAUUUUUCUCUACUUUUCUGUCUGUACAUACUCUCUUUAUGUUUCAUAGCUUGAUCCAACUCCUUUUCUUUGUCAGACAGCUCAAUAACAAGAGCCUCAUCAUUAGAGCUAUCAACCAUCUUCUGCAGGUCAGAAAAAAUCUGAUGAGCUUCUGCUAGUUUGCUGUUGACGUUACCAACAACCUCUUUAUCCCAUUUCUUGAGGGCAACUUUGAGUCUUUUAAGCUUUCCAGCCAGCACACACUGAGGAGUACCAUAGAGAAACUGCUCUCAACUGUUCUUUACAACCUCAUAAAACCCAUCCACAGAACACCAAAAUUUCUUGAACCUAAAAGGGAUGUUAGUAGGCUUAGGAACCACAUUAUUAAACCCAACAAGGGGAGAAUGAUCAGACCCUUGUCUAUGGAGAACUUUACAACUCCAGCCUCGGAACUUGAAUUCCCAAGGCACAUUGUGGAGAGCUCUAUCCAACUUAGCUCUAAUUCUGCCCAAACCAUGUUGCCCAUUACACCAAGUGAAAUGUAGGCCUUCCCACUUGGAUUCCUGCAGCUCACAGUCAGCAAUAACAUCAAAAAAUUCUUGCAUAUCUUUGAUUUUUGGAGCUCUCCCCCCCUUCUUCUCCUCAGCAGCAAGGAUCACAUUAAAGUCACCAAUAACAAGCCAAGGAGUAUCAGAAGCAAAUGCUCGUAUAGUAUCCCAUAACUGCCUUCUAAGUCUAGGAGAGUUGUAGGCAUGCACAAAAGUCACCACUACUCCUUGGACCAGAAUAGUAAUGUGUUGUCUAUCACAUGAAACCAAAUUAACAACCAAACCUCUUCUAAAAAACACCCACAAGUUUGCAUUUCUGUCUUCAGUCCCAUUAUGCAAGUAAUGGUCAUCCAACACAUUCAACGCCAAUUCUCUAGCUAUAUUACCAUUAGAUCUCACUAAUGGUUCAGCAAUACCUACUAAGUCUGGUGAAUAUUUACCAACAAGAUCCCUAAGCCUAGACAAGGCUUUAGAUUUUUGAAUACCGCGAAUAUUCCAGAAAAUUGUUCUCAUUGAGAAGUUGAGGAAUUUUUGCUUCCGGGAUCCAUAGACAUGGUCACUCUGUCAGUCAGGUUCCCUUUACUUGAUCCUUCAUUGAGGUUUUUCUUCUUCUUUUUGUUCAGUACACUUGCUACCUUAACCACUUCAAGAGCUAGUUGGUUUUGUGUCUCAAGCACUACUUCUGCUGAUUGAAUCUCACCAGUAUCUGCUACCUCAUGAAAGCCAUCAGACCUGCUACCAACAUCAUCAAUUGGCGGCUGCCCUACUUCCUGAAUAGCUUCCACUACAGUGAUUGGUUGUACUUCCUCCGGAGAUUCAGUUACAACCUCAACAUCAUCAACCAAGUAUUUCCCACCUGAAAACAACAAGUAGUUGUUUAUAAACUAAACUGAAAACCUUCACUUUGGGCUUAACAAAGUUUUUUUUUUUUUUUUGCAUGAAAGUGUGAAUCGUACGUAUUAUUAUUGUAAUACCCCAGCUAUGGUGCUCGGCACUCUUGGGAUGAGUGAGGAAGAAAUCCCCGGGUACUACAGUUGAUAUUAGAGUUGACGACAAAUCUCAUGUCGAGGAAGAGGUGAUGGUUGCCUUCAGAACCAUGCCACAACUUCUUCCAUUUCUUCUUAAUUUACGCAACCUCCAUUUUCUCCCAUUUCUUCUUCACUUUGGGCUUAAAAUGAUCUAGUCUCUGAAAUUCUAGUUUGUAAGUGUAAAUAGGCCCAAAUCAUCCAAAAUUGGGCUUGACUCAAAUUCUGGGUCAAGCUUAGGUAUCAUCACAGGACACAGAUCCAUCGUCUCCUGGUACCAUCAACUAGGGGUGGGCAAACAAAACCGAAAAUCGAAUAACCAAACCGAUAUAACCAAACCAAAAUCGGUAAGACCGAGUUGAUCGGAACGGUCAAAGUCAUGACCGAAACCAAACCGAACCGAAUAUAUACUAGUCCAGUUCCAAUUUCUUUUUUGAUAGAACCGAUAAAACCAAACUAAUAUUAUUUAAAUAAUAUAUUUUUAUUAUUUUUUAAAAGUUUUAUUUUAUUUUUUAAAAUAAAGCGUCAAAGUCAAAAACCCAAAAUAACGAAAGAAAGAACUUUCUUGGAUUAUAGGCCUGUAAUAAAACCCAAAACCGAGAACCAAACCAGAUCAGACCGAUUGGAUUUGGUUCAAUCCAGUCUGGUUAUAUUUAAUUCUUCCUCGAUCUGUAGAAUGGACCGAACCAAUAGUAUUACAUGGGUUUGGUCCUAGUCGUACUGUUACCUUGUUCUCGGUGUUAAAAUAACACAAAUCCUAGUAUUUUACUUAAAGUUUUAGGUCAAUUGUUAAAUAUAGCACAAAACCUAGUAGAUUUUGGUCAAGAUACAAAAUGGUAUCAGACUGCAUAACAUGGGCGGUCUCACUAUCGGACCGCAUUACUUACGUGGUUUCACUAUAAAUCUUGUCAUACCGCCUUACUUGUGCAGUCUAAAAUUUGAAAAGGCCAACAGUCACUUGAUUCUAGCGUUCACCUGCGAGCCCAACGGCUCUAUUUUGUGUAUGGCUUUGACAUUUUUCUCACCAUCUCAUCUUCUUAUUUUCAAUCUGAAAAUUAUGUCUGGGAAAUGGGCCACAUCCUUAUUGUACAUAUAUAGUAUAUUAGGAACAAACCUUAUCUACAUAAAUCAAAUGUGGGACUCACAUUUUUCUUGCUAUGUCUCAAGUUAUACCACUUACAUAAGUAACUUGGGACGCCAAUUUCUCAUUCAAUAUAAAAUAAUUUUGGAUGUAUGGAUACUCUACAAGUAUCUACUCGGAACGAGAAAUCCAUGUAUAUCAAGAUCUUGCUCAUCGGAGCUCUUGAACAUAUUCAAAUAUGAUCCUAAAGAUCUUGUCAGAAAUCUGUCAAAACUGUGACAGAUUUCUGCCAAACAUUUCCAACAAUAUUUUGUUCUAUUUAAUUUCCUCAUUUUAUAUUGGGAUCACAUAGGGCUUUAAUAAUGCUUGCCUUAAAUUCAACUUAGUGUGUACUUGUGAAAUGUUUAAAGCAUUUGCAGACAUGGCUAUCUCACAGAAUGAUAGAAUAUGCUCAUUAGGUAAUCAUGCAGUUCGAUCUAGAAUGUAACAGAAGACCAAGUGCUAAUAUCAAUCAUGCUGAGAGCACUAGAUAGUGUAGCAUUCAUCAAUGAGAUUCAUAGAUCUAGCAGUACAAAAAGCUUGAGGAGAAACAUGCAAUUCUGGUGUUAAAAGUUGUCUAUCGAUAGAUUUUUAGCGACAACCAGUGAAUUGAUUAGUAACUUGAUGCUUCCAGCUACAAGAUCUUCCUACUGAAGUUCCUCAAUCACUCCAUAUAUCGGCACACUCCAAAUUUUGUGCAUGACUGGAUGCUUGCAGCGACUGUAAUCUCUACUGCCAUACUUUGAUUUUCUUUCAUUAUUAUGAUUCUUUAAGUUUAGUCUGUCAAACUAUGCAAUAAAGGGCUUAUUAAUCCGAAAACGUACAGUAGCAAAAUGUCCCGUAUGUUAUCGACUACUCUUAGUAUAAAAUCCGAAAACGUACAAAAAUCUGCACACUUUGGACUUUGUUUAUCUAUAAAAAUGCUUAGUAUAAAAUUCGAAAACGUACAAAAAUCUGCUAGCUACUAAUGCUUUCAGAACAUUACAUAGUAGUAUAUCACUCUCACAGUAUGUAUACCUCCAAUUACAAUACCUUAUAUAUACUAUAAUUACAUGAAUGUAGCCAAAGUCGUCCUCAUAACAUAAUCAGAAAUAAUCUGACUUGUUUUCUCAGUUGGAUGGAAUGAAUCCCAGAACACAUAUUUUCUCGCAUCUGCACAUGUAAAUGGGCUAAAUUCAUUGCACAUAUAACCCAUUUCAAACAUUCCUGUCGCGCAACAUCCCACUGCUGCAUUUUCAAAUCCUGUAAUUACCACAACAACAACAACAAAAAAUGUUCAUUGCAUGUCAAUACUAAUAAAUCCAUUACACAAAGAAAACUGUUCUAGCACGACGACACCCCGAUUCUUCUGUAAUAUAAGAAUGUACUAUUUCAGAGAAAUUGUGGUACCUUGUGGUCAACCAGUUUCUAGAUGAAAGCAACUCAAUUACUUCAUCUGUACUUCCCACCAUCAUAGUAAUGGUAUUAAAUUAAAGCAAAACUACUAGCCAAACCUACCAGACUUGAAUGUCUGCCUAAUUUGGGGCAGAGCAUUCUGAUCAGUGUUUUGUUAAAUUGAUCCUAACUAUCCAUAAAUAUAACUCUGAUUCUACAUGGGCAUGGCAUAUCCAAAUCCCAACACACUGACGCGUCGGCUGCAUUUACCAUCCAAUUAAUGCGGGACACAUGAUUGGACGGUUAAUGCAGACUGCAGAGGACACAUCAGUAUGCCAAAAUAACUUUUUUUUUUUUUUUUUUUUUAUUGACAAGCAGGGUUGAGAGGACCACUACCCCUUUUAAAUUACAUGUAGAAACUUAUAUCAACAAUCAGCUGUUGAAGUGUCUCAAACCCACAACCUCUCCACUUUGUGAGAGGGGUGCUACCAUUGAGCCACAGGCUCAUUCCCAAAAUAACUUGGUUCUGUCAGAAAACUGAAUAAAAUCAAACUUACCAUAUUUACUCGGCAUCUGAAUGAUAUUAAGCAGGAUACCAUAUGUGUUGGAAUGGACAAUUUGAGCAGCAGGAAGUUCUUUGUUCAAGUUUACAACCAAACCUUCUAACUUUGUAUUGAACUCUGUAGCCACAUUGUUAUACUCUUGGUUACAACCAGUUCCAACAAAAGCAUUUCUCAUUCUUUCUAAUGGUAAACAUCCCAUAGGAGGAAGUCCACCUAUAGAUAAUUUUCUUGCACCAAGAUUGAACAAGUCUUUCACAAAAUUCUCGGCUAAACCGAGAAGGAAGUCUUGAUAUUGCUUGAUAGUGAACUCAGAUGCUCUUUUGCUGUUGAAUUGGUAGUAAUUCUCUAGAAAAUCAUUUGUACCAAGACUCAUUAUGUACAAUGCUUCACGCAAUGUUUCAUCGGCUUUUUCCUCUCCAAUGUAGUCUCUUAGUUUCUUUUGGUACUCCUUAUAGUACUCUAAUUCUUUCCACAAAGGCAUCACAUCCUACAUUUCAAAAAAACACAAACAUUACACAACAUGAUGAUUGAUGAUCAUAUGCAUAUACAUAUAUAUAGUAGGACAGUUUGUUAAAAUAACUGCGCAUCAACUUACUAGUACAUUCGAUGUAGCAUUAUCAUAACCAGUUCCGGCAGAAGCAAAACAAACACCAGUCGCGAAAUCUUUAAUACUAUAUGAAGGAUCUAAGUAUGCAGGUACAGUAGGCUUAAUACCAAAUGCCUCAGAAAUAAAAUCACCAGGAACUCUGCCAUUUGAAAAUCGUCCGGUAGGUUUACCAUCAUUGAAAUCGCGUCCAUAUGGCUUGAAAUUACUCUUCAAAACUGUCGAAAGUUGAUUAUUAUUCCCUGUAUCAACCGAUGAAUCUCCGAAGAUAAUAAUUGCUGGAACUUUUGCUGUGAUUUGAAGAACUUGUAAUAUGAGUUGCAUUAAGAGGAACCAUGGUAUAGUACUAUGACAAAAAAGUGUCAUUUUAUUGGAUUUUCAAAGAUUGUUAUGUGAUGAACAAACUAAACUAGUAUUGCUUAGAGUGGAAAUGUGGAAUGGAUUUAAAUGUGAGAGGUGGGAAUAAAGGAACAUUGUUUGAUUAAAGUUAUUUUAUAGGAUGAUUUUUGUUGGGAGUUUAUAAUUAAUUGCAUGUAGUUGAAGAGUGAGAAGACCAACCAUUCUAUGAUGAAUCAUCAUUCAUCAUCUAAUUUUCCAAAUGUGGGCGGUUGCUUCAAAACCUAUAAAACUGGCUUAUUAAUAAGUGGGUCAUAUAUGUCAGAUGGAUGGUUUCUAAUUUCUAAUAAAAUUGUUAUCACAAGAUGUCAAGAUAGUCCUCUAGAAGGCCCCCAAUUUUUUGUGUAAUUUAAUUUAAGAGAUUUUUGGACAAAUGGCCGCAUUUGAAAGUCGAAAUUUGAGAUACCGCAUUUCAAGAUGUGGUGUUAUUGCCGCCAUCAUAAAACUAACUUAAGACCGUAAAUCUCUACCAUCUUGAAACAAGUAUCUCAAAUUUUGACUUUCAAAUAGGGGUAUCUCAAAUUUCGACUUUGUAUGUCCAAAAAUCUCUUAAUUUAAUGAUAUUUUAAUUUUUUUAGGAUAAUUUUGAAAAAUUACACGAAACUGGGGGAUAAUCAUGCUACACACUAGGAUGCUAAUAUUUUUAAAACUAAUCUUUCGAAUACAUACUCAUUAUAACCCACAGUGAUCAUAUUACUAUCUAUUUUGUUAGUGAAUAAUAUAUUGAUAGAUGGGUAAAUAAUAUUAGAGAUAAACUUUAUGAUCGAGUAUACAUAGAUACUGUAUGAUCAUUGACAUUAAAUACAUAGGCCAUCACACCAUGUAUUGCCUAUAAACGCACACUUUUUGUAAAUGCACAAAAAAUAUUAGUCCCAUACUCAGAGUACUACAUGUUAAUUUUUACUUAAACACACAUCUUAUGCAAAGUACAUUUUCUCAUUUGUGGCUACUAGGACCCCUUAUGAAUUAGGGUUUUUUUUUAGAAACACUUGGUAUAAGAAUUCUUCCGAAGUACCACGAUUGUGGUACACAUUUUUUUUUUUUUUUUUUUUUUUGUAUUUUUAGGUCUUAAUAUGGCAAGAAAAGUGUUUGAAAUCGCAAAUUUCCAACUACUUCUACCAAAAGAUCAACCAGAUAGGAACUUGCAUAGACUUUGAGGUACAUUUAUGUGUUCCCACUGUUUAGAGCACAAUUUAAAAGUCUUAAGUCAAAGACCAUAAUAUGCAUUUAAAGCUCUGCUACCUUCUAACAACAAUAGAGGUUCCUCUCUAUCUCUCAUUCAUUUACCUUCUAGAAUUUUACACCACAACACCAACCAAAAAUGUCCCAAAGUUCAAACCAUGCAUGAGUCUUCAUUAAGAUCUUAGCCAGUAGAGUAUAGGGUGUUCAUGGGUAUGAAUCUUCAGUCCAUUUGAGCCCCAUAGACCUCAUUACUUGUUUUUUAUACACACUUUUUCGUUCGAUUCGUUUAUCUACCUUUUUCUAGUAAAGCAGAAUACGUCGUUAAGAAAUUUACUCUCUAAAAUUACAAAAAUUGAUAGUCUAAUUGAUAAGAAUUUUUCUAAUAAAAUUCUUCUUAUCCACAAAAAAAUAAAAAAAUAAAUAAAAAAUGUUAUUUUAAUAUAAAUAAAUUAGUAAAUAUACAAUAUUAUAAUAAAAAUAUAAAAUAGACUAUAAUGUAAAAAAUUAAUUAUAAACCCACAAUAUACUAAAAGCCCAUCAUAACCAGAAGUUCAGCCCAUGCAUUUCAAAACAAGCAUAUGAGCCCGUGCUACACACGGGUUAAAUAUGAGUUAAUUCAAGAUCAUUAACCAGGCUGAGUUGCUCAUAAGUGACAUAUAUAUAUAUCCAAACAGUUUGAAUUUGGAGUGUGGACAACAUUUUGAUCUAACAACAUUGUACUACUGGAAUACCUAUGAGUUCUCCUAUCGCCAAGAAAUAGUUGUGGUUCUACGAAUGAGCCUGUGGCUCAGUGGUAGCACCCCUCUCACAAAGUGGAGAGGUCGUUGGUUCGAAACACGUCAACAGCGGAUUGUUGAUAUAAGUUUCCACACGUAAUUUAAAAGGGGUAGGGGUCCCCUCAACCUCGCUUGCCAACCGAAAAACAAUAGUCGUGGUUGUGGUAUAUAGGGUAUAUAGGGGAUAGAUGUACUGCUUAUUUUCAUGGGUUGCUAAAAGAGAGGAGGAAUAGAAACAAAAUUUGGUCUCUUACCAACUCUGCAGGCAACAAAAUUACAGACCUAGCUGAAGUUCACAAGCUUAUUGUUGAUCAUUAUGAACAACAACUAGCUACAGAGAUUGAUGUGGAUAUUGAUCUGAUCGAAUAUUCUAAGGAAUGUUCAAGUGCAGGCUACUCUUGAAGACUUUGAAGCUCAGUUCUUGCUGCAGGCAGUUUCAAAUGAGGAAAUUAAAGCAUGCUUUUUUGAUAUGGAUAAUUAUAAGUCACCGGGGCCUGACGGUUUCAAUGCUAUGUUUUAUAAAGUAUGCUGGAACAUUGUAGGAGAGGAUACGAUAAGGGCAGUUUUAUACUCUCUUCAUACUCAAUCCAUUCCUAAGGGGUUGAAUUCUACUUUUCUCUGUCUAGUGCCCCAAAGGUUCCAAAUCCCAGUACUGUAUCAGAUUUCAGACCUAUAGCCUGCUGUAAUGUUAUUUACCAGGCUAUCUCUAAACUGUUGGUAAACAAAAUGAAGGAAAGCAUGAAUAAGCUGAUAGAUAUUAACCAAGCUGCUUUUAUUCUAGGAAGAACAAUUCAAGAUAACAUCUUAUUGUCCCAUGAGCUCCUCAGGAAGUAUGGAAGGAAGCAUCUCUCCUCAAGGUGUUCUGUUAAGGUUGAUAUUAGUAAGGCGUACACACAGUCCACUAGCCUUCUCUAGAGCUUAUGUUGUCCAAGUUGGGAUUUUCUAUUUUGUUUAUGAGGUGGAUUAAAAUGUGUUAUUCCUCUGCUCAUUUCUCUGUUCUUAUAAAUGGGAGUCCUCAUGGGUACUUCAAAGGGAAAAAAGGCUUAAGACAAGGGGACCCUCUAUCCUGUUAUCUUUUCGUCUUUAUUAAUUAUGGAGAUUUCGACCUGUCUGUUAAAGCAACAAGUGGCUAACAACAAGAUCGCUUACCAUCCUAAGUGCAAGAGAUCCCCAGUUAUAAACCUUUGUUUUACGGAUGAUUUGAUGUUGUUCUUUAAGGGGGACAGUCAAUCGGUAUCAGCAGUCCAAGCUACUCUGCAGCUGUUCACACAAGCUUCUGGAAUGAAACUGAAUAACCAGAAAACUACCUUACUAGUAACUAGUUGGAGGUCUCAAUGAUCAGGAUAGUUUGGUGUUAGCAAAUAUUUUGGGUGUUAACUUGGUUAAGCCCUCCUAUUACUUACAUGGGGUUGCCUUUCACUGCUUCAAGAAUUAGUAUUAGGGACUGCUUACCACUUAUUGAGAGGAUCACAAAGAGAAUACAGAGCCGGAGCAACAAGUUCCUCUUUUAUGCUGGCAUUCUUGAAGUAGUUCACUCAGUUUUGCAGUCCUUGCAUAUCUACUGGGCCAAAACUUUCAUUCUACCUAGCACAGUGCUGAAUGAGGUGGCAAGGCUAUGUAUUAGAUUUCUAUGGAGUGGUCCUAUGAUGGGGAAUAAGCUUCACCAUGCAAAGAAGGAAGUGUUGGCCAGGUCAAAGAUUGAGGGAGGGCUUAACAUCAUGGAUGUGGAGCAAUGGUACAAAGCUACUUAUUGUGGGAUGGUUUUCAAAAUUGCUUCUAAGGAAAGUAAUGUAUGGGUGAAUUGGUCUUGGAACCAGAACCAUCAAAGACAAACAUUUCUGGCAUAUGAAGAUACUAGGGGAGUGUUCCUGGGUCUGGAGAAAUGUGCUAUUGAUGAACACACAUUAUAUCCAUAAUUUAUACACCCAAAUUUAUACUACUUAGUCUAUUUAUAUUUAUUAGUUUAAAUAAUUAAUAUGUAAUUGUUCUUUUUGUAGGAUAUGUUUGAUGCGUCGAAUGAGCAUAGUUUUGCAUCAUUUGGAUGGUUAAUAAAGCUUGCGAAGGUUGUUGUUAAAGAGAAUGCAUGGGAGCCCAAAACAUUUUGAGUAUGAUUCCAUUGGAGCUCCAAAGGGCCCAAAGUCCGUCCAUUACUUCUCAAUUCAAUGACUUACUUCUAGUAGGCUUACACAUUUGACAAUGUGAAGGAAAUAACCGAAAUUAUGGAUUUGCAAACGAACAAAAGUGGAAUGCAUUAAAUGGGAGAAGAAGAAAGAAAUGAGCUACACAUCCAUCACACCACCCUAUAAUCUUUUAGUCAUACUAUUCAUUUUUUUACAUUUCCAUAUUCACACCAAAUUAUUCACUAUUCUCUAUACUAUUUCACCAAUUCCUUACUAUUCAUUGCACUAUUCUUCACCACACCCAUACUCAUUUUCCUAUUCUCCUACACGUCAGCCAACACAAACCACUCUUCCAUUUUAUGUACACCAUUUGCAAAGUCAAUUGAUGCCAUUAACCACACAUGAAAACACUUUGGUGCAUAGUUGUAAAAGUCUCAAAUUGUGGCUUUAGAUAUGGCCAUAGGUGGUGCUAUAGGAGUGGCUAAUUAAUGAGGAGCAAGAUCAUGCCUAAUUUUUUGACGUGCUUGCAUGCAUGUCAUUUGCUUGGGGGGGGGGGGGGGAUAUUGGAGAUACAAAGUAGCUAGUUUUGUAAGAUAGAUUUAUCAAUGAGGUUAUGUUAUUUUGUAUUUCUUUCUUCCAUUAUGAGUAGCUAAAUUAUUUAACUAGGAUUGAGGAUGAAACCAUCAUUAUGAAUAUUUGAUUAAAGUAUAUUCUCCAUUAGUUAUAUCCUUUCAUUUUAGUAUUUAACGAUUACUAAUCUUGCUUCAUUUGAUAUAAUCAUAAGCUUUGGUUUUAUAAUUCCCUAAGUCAAUUUCUUUGAUUAUGUAUACUUCUGUUUGAUAAAUCAUACUUAGAUUAAAUUCUUUGAUGGUUUAUACUUAUGUUGAUACAUAAUUCUUAGAGUUGUUGUUUUUGAAAACGAAGAAGAUUAAACUUGUUUGGUUUAUUUAAAUAUUGUAUUUUCCGUAUCAUUAUUAUUCAUCUAUGAUAAUGAUAUGAGUUAUAAAAAAGGAUUAAUUAGUGGAGAAUAGGUUUAGUUGGAUAUGCAUAGUGAUGGCGGAAUCCAAAAUAUCCUAGUGUUUCUUUUAAGUUGAAUCUUAUAUUUUACCGCUUUUGUUUAGUUAAUUGUAAUUCAAAAUCUCAUCUUAAAAGGUUUGUUAGGAUUAAAAUUUAGUUAGUCUUACAUUUAAUUUUUAUAUCUCUUGUCCUUGUGGAUUGACUCGUACUUGCCCUAUUUAUUUUGAUAAAUCGUGUGAUUGCGAUAUUAUUAAACUGUUUUCACGACAAUCAGCUCUACAUGAGAUAGACAGCCAAAUAGUUCAUACAUUAUUCUAUUGCAGAUGGAACUUCUACUUCCCUUUGGUAUGACCCAUGGUGCAAAGGCCAGAUUUUAUGGGAGUGUGUUGAAGCUAAGAGUUAUCUGUCAGUUUUUUUUUUUUUUUUGAUAAGUUCAAAGCUUUAUUGAUGAACAAAUCGAAAGAGAUUACAAGGUGAGAAAGGUACUCACCUAGGAUACAGGAAAAAAAACAAAAUAGAGCAAACUUACAUCUUACUAUUACCCUCCCAUAAUAUGAGCAGCCCAGUCAAGGAACAAUUCAUGUAAAUGGUGACCUCUUCUGGAUUCCGAGCAAGCAAGCCAAUACCAGAGGUACCAUUCAACCUCCUGACACACCCUUUGUACAAUUCUGCAUCUACCCUUGAAGAUCUUGUCAUUCGGAGCUUUUCAGAUUGCCCAAAUGACCGCAUACGGAGCCACAAGAUGCUACCGUUUAUGUGCUCAUUGAAGGAGCUAAUUGGGGCCAAGUGGUUCAAAAUCUUCCGCAGUGCAAACUUAAGUCAGAUAUCCUCAGCAUAGCAGUGGAAAGAGACCCGCCAGCUGAUAGGGUUAUAUGGACUCCGACUUCACAUGGUGGGUUUACUACACACUCAGCCUACAAUGCUCUAAGGACUCCUAAAGAUAAAGUGAUGUGGCGCAAUCUGGUUUGGGGUAAGUGGGUUGUUCCUAAACACUCAUUUAUUUCAUGGUUGCUUCUAUCUGGUAAUCUUGCAACUCAGGAUAGGUUGGUGCAAAAAAAUGUGAUGCAGACCUCUCAGUGUUGUUUCUGUAAAAGGGAGAGAGAAAAUUGUAAGCACUUGUUCUUUUCCUGCCCUUACACCCUAGCAAUUUGGAAAUCUAUCAAAGUGGAGAUGGGACUAGAUAUCGACCAGAACAAUGUCAAUAGGGAAUGGCAAAAAGUGUUUGCAGCAUGUAGCAAGAAUGAUGUUACGGCAGAAAUCUACAAGGUGUUCAUCUGUGCUGUUGUUUACUUUAUCUGGCAAGAAAGAAACUAUAGAACUUUCAGAAAUGAAAGUAGACCUUGGGGCAUUGUCAGAGAUAUUAUUAGAAGAGAAGUAAAAGAUUACCUGCAGGAAUCUAUAGGAGCUAUUCAAGAUACUACCUCUGCAAGAGAAACUCUGGCUAAACUUGGGCUUGUUGGUCAGUUUAAGAAGACAGUCUACUGCACUUGGUUCAAACCUCAGGAAGAUUUUGUAAAGCUGAAUUUUGAUGGAUCAAUGACUGAUGUGAGGAGUGGUAUAGGUGGUGUGAUAAGAAACACACAGGGAGAAGUUUUGCUGGCCUAUGCAGGAUCAGGAGGAGAAAAGUAGGUUAUAUUUCAAGAACUUAAAGCUAUUUUGACUAGUUUAAAGGGAUGCAGGUUAAUCCAGAAGAACAAAGUCAUUGUUGCUACUGAUUCUAUGUUUGCAGUCCAGUUUUUGUUGAAGAAAUCUAAGCCCCCUUGGUAUUGCCAAAGUUUAGUUGCAGAAAUUAUGCAUCUAGAGGAAGGUUUUGAUAGUGUUAUCUAUAAACAUGUAUAUAGAGAGUCUAAUAGAGUGGCAAACUAUCUUGCUAGUCUUGAGAAUUUUGUAGGAGUAAAUUUCUUUAUAUAUAGGUCCCUUUUGUAGUCUGAUGAGCAGGUUUGUACUCGAUGAUAUGAACGGUUGUAUUUACACGAGAUCUUAAUACAGGUUAAGGGUCUGCCUAACCCCCUAAAGUUGUUUAAAAAAAAAAAAAAACUAACGUCAAGACUUUUAAGGAAAGUCCAGAUAGAUGGACCCUGAUCCAAAACCGUCUACUGCUGGAUAUCCGCAGUGAUCAAAAGGAGGCAAUACUGAUAUUAGCGAGCGGUAUGGUGCUCGAGGCUCUGGGAUGAGUGAGGACAAAAUACUGGGGUGUUGCAACUACUUCAGCUUGGCUAGAGUUUUGUUUUAUAUCAUUUUCCGCUCGCUGCAUGCUCAUUUGUAUAACAAUAAAAUGAAGUCCUAAAGCAGUACCUCUAGGUAGAACUUGGCUUGAGUUAUGUUUCACAUAAAAGAACGAAGUUUCUAUUUGCUACUAUUCAAUUUUCUGUGGUACACAGAUGACAGUACGUAAUCUACAUUCGGGCUACAACACGUAAGAUAUCCCAUUGUUUCUUGAUCAGUGUAGGGUGUACAGUGUUGUGAAACUGUUCUGGCCAGUGGCCACCACCAUGUGCUAUGUACCACAACAUAGGUGCACCACAAUUAACUUCUUGUGUACUCUCUUGCGCGCACAAAAAGAAAGGACAAAUAUAGUUAGGAAUAAUAGGAACUUUCAAGAGGUCCGUUUCGUUCUCCAUUUGUCUUCUCUAUAUCUAUUUAUUGGCAAGUGAGAUUAGAGGGGACCCCUUUCCCUCGUAAGUUAUGUGAGGAAGCUUCUUGUCAAACAAUCAGCUGUCCACGUGUUUCAUGCCCGCAAACAUUUCCUUCGUGAGAGGGAUGCAUUCUGAGAUGGCAGUGUAACGGUUAAUGGAAUGUUCGGCUUGGGAACUAAUAGAUCUCUAUAGUAAUGUAACUCAUAAUAGUGUGUGAGUGUAUAUAUAAUUGCACUGACUGCAAUGUGUAUAAAAGCAUCUGUAUUUUCGGUGCCAGCAACUCUAGCUGCUUUAAGCCAUAUGGUUGAGAUUUCAAAGGCGGAAAACCAACUGGAAGAUUUUGUAAUGGAAGUUUGAUUACUGAUUUCAUAUCCGAGGCAUUUGGUAUACCUGCUUAUUUGGAUCCUGCUUAUGGUAUUAAAGACUUUGCUACUGGAGUUACCUUUGCUUCUGCUGGUUCUGGUUAUGACAAUCUUACUGCGGGUAUUGCGGUAUGUUAGUUAUGUCAAAUUUUUAUCAGUAGUGGUUGCAUAGUAAUAAUGUGUCGUCGUUUUAUACCAUGGAUCUUUGGUACCACUACAUUUAUAUGUACUGAUAUAAUCUUGGUUGAUUUUUUAUCUGCAGUCUGUGAUACCUUUGUGGAAGCAAUUAGAGUUCUUCAAGAAUUAUGAGAGGAAUUUAGUUAAUUUCAUGGGAAUGGCCAAUGCAAAUAAAAUGUUGCGCGAGGCAUUGUAUUUUAUAAGCAUAGGUACAAAUGAUUUCAUAAUAAAUUACUAUUCACUUCCCCAAGGUCGAAGAACACAAUUCCGUGUAGAAGAAUAUGAGAAUUAUCUUCUCUCAAUUUCAGAGAAUUUCGUUAGAAAUAAUUACCAAUUAGGCGCUCGGAAAAUAGCAUUAGCUGGGCUUCCACCUUUUGGUUGCUUGCCAACAGUUAGAACUACUACUGCUGGGGGUUCAUGUAAAGCUGAUUAUAACAAUGUCGCAAGAACGGGUCGGUUAGUGAUCAUUGUGAUGGGGAGGGAGGGUGGAAUCUACAUUUGAGGAGAACUCUCUUUAGAGAUAGUGAGAGGCUAGAGCUUGAAAGCCUCAAUCACAUUCUUGAGGAGAUUUUUCUGAAUGAAGAGAAUGAUGGAUGGGACUGGAUAUGGUCCAAAAAGAAAAUCUUCUCGGUUAAGUCGUUUUAUUACCAACUGUGGGUCUCUAAUCAAAGCGACGAUCGCCUCAGCUUGGAUUUCCCACAUGAGCUAGUAUGGGACGUUAAUAUCCCCACCAAUGUGAAGGUUUCACAUGGUGUUUAGCUUGGAACAAAAUUCUGACAGUUGACAGACUUAAAAGAAUGGGAUGGCAGCUAGCAAACAGGUGUGUCUUAUGCAACAGUGAAGAGGAGGAUAUACCUCACUUAUUUUUGCGGUGCACACAGGCUGUGAAGGUGUGGCAGAGCCUAUCAGGUGGCUGUACUGAAGCUACUAGAGUGGUACAGGAACAACACAACAUCAUGGCAGUGAUCAAACAUUGGCCUAGGUUGAACACCACUGGUCUGGGGUCCUAUCUGUGGGGAUUGGUACCCUAUGGGAUUGUCUGGUGCCUCUGGACAAUGCGCAAUGAAGUAAUCUUCAAUGAUGUUGUUUUCUCGGCUGAUGAGGCAAUCGUUAGAAUAAAAGCUAUGUUGUGGGCAUGGAUGGCAUUACAGGUGGAAGGUCUGAAGGAGCGCAGAAAGCACAGGUUCCCUGAUUUGUUGAGGAAUUGGACCAACACAAUGGGUGUAUGCUAAACUGGCUCUGGUAAGCGGUUGUAUAUGGAUAUAAACUUAUAUGAGAGAUUAUAAUAUAUUGUAGUCUGGUUAUACUACCUGACGGAGUAUUACACUCGCUGAUCACGGUUGUAAUUGUGUUCUGAAGAUCAAUAUAAUUCUACAUUCUAUCAAAAAAAACAAUGUCGCAAGAAAUUAUAAUGCGAAGUUAAAAAUUUUAAUAGCCAAGUUAAAGAUGGAGCUCAUAGGAAUGAGAUUGUUGUAUACAGAUUUCUAUAAUCCACUCCUUCAAAUCAUCAAUAAUCCUAAGCCAUAUGGUGAGUUCCAUUUCGCAGAAUUUCUUUGACUAUUUGCGUGUAUAUAUAUAUAUAUAUAUCAAUUUUUUUCAUUUGUUUUUUUUUAAUGUAUAGGUUUUGAGGUGGUGGCUACAGGAUGUUGUGGCACAGGGACAUAUGAAAUGGGUUAUUUGUGUCGUGAAUACGAUUUAUUUUCAUGCAAGGAUACGAGCAAGUACAUAUUUUGGGAUGCAAUACACCCAUCCGAUAAACUAUACCGUAUUGUUGCUGAUUAUUUGAUGAAGACAACUUUCGCCCAGCUUCUAUAGACUACCAGACUAAAGAAAUGGAUAUUACUUCGAAAAAUAAUAUUUCUAUUUUUUUAUUUGAUUUUAUUUUUUCUUAAUAGAAGCGGCCUUAGAGCGAGUGUCUUUAUACUAAGUACUUAGACGAAAAAUCUUUUUUGUAAUAUUAUGAUCUAUUAAGGCGCAUAACGGCUUAACAAACAGGGGAAAUCCUGCAACAUAUGAAGUCUAUAUUUGCAUAACACAACACUUUAUAGAACAGAAAACAGGCAUGUAAAGCAGAAUACACCCUUAAGAAAUUUACUCUCUCAAGUGGAAUAAAUGAUGCAUAUCCAAACAGUUUGAAUCUGGAGUGUGGACUGAAGGAAUGAAAUUAAACCAAAUGAAAGAACUAAAAUCUAAUACUUAUAAACUUAGAUUACACAAAAUAUCCAGGAUCGAAUAUGCAUAAGGUAUUGGUCACAAAAUAAAAUAAUAUAAAUAAGUCAUACCUUUGUAUAUCUUCUAAUUCAUACAACUUAGACCAUAGCUUGACUUCUCUCAAUUUCUCUUUAAAUCUACCUAGGUGAUGGUCCCUAUAAUGUAGAGAGUGAGCAUUGAGGGGAGCUAUGGAGUCAUCUACUUAAGUCUUCCAUCAAGACCUUUGAGUUCUUCACAAUAAUGAACAUAUAAAUGGAGAUUAAUAAUACAUAACUUAUAUUGGAAUCCGAAAAACCAAUGCAAAAGACUUAUCAAUUAAAUUGGACUUAAACAAAUGGUUAUUGGGCCAUAAUUCUAACAUGGACAACAUUUUUGAUGUACCUAAUAUUAUAAUACUGUAACACCCAUGAGUAAGGAUAGUCGUAUGUCGUGAAAGAAUAGUUGUGGUUGUGCUAUAUAGGGUUUAACCCUAAUCUAAUUAAUGUCGAUGCCUUUUAAAAAAAAGUCCAGAUAGGUGGACCCUGAUCCAAAACUCUCUACUGGUUGGAUAUCUGCAUUGACUAGGGGGGGGGGGGGGGGGGGGAAAAACCAACUUAGAGGGGGGGAAAGGAUUUCAAAGUUGGCCCAUUUUGGGGGAUUUUUAAAAACAAAGCUUUUCCACCCCCAGGGGUAAAUGGGGCGGCUUGGAAAACAGGCCCCAAAAGAAAAAAAUAUAUAGGGUUUUUCUCAAAAAAAACCCAGGGUAUCACCCCUCCUCCCCCCCCUGGGUCUGGGGGUUUUUUUUUUUUUUUGGGAANNNNNNNNNNNNNNNNNNNNNNNNNNNNNNNNNNNNNNNNNNNNNNNNNNNNNNNNNNNNNNNNNNNNNNNNNNNNNNNNNNNNNNNNNNNNNNNNNNNNNNNNNNNNNNNNNNNNNNNNNNNNNNNNNNNNNNNNNNNNNNNNNNNNNNNNNNNNNNNNNNNNNNNNNNNNNNNNNNNNNNNNNNNNNNNNNNNNNNNNNNNNNNNNNNNNNNNNNNNNNNNNNNNNNNNNNNNNNNNNNNNNNNNNNNNNNNNNNNNNNCCCACACACACACUUGCAAGAAAAAACUUUGACAAAGCUUGAAAUUGAAACCCCUCCCCCUUUACAUCACCACCAAGUAGGCUUUAUGUUGCCCUUCUAAAACCCAUCUGAAAACCUUAUUCUUCAAUUGCACCGAAAAGAAUGCCAUCCCGGCCCAUGCUUCCCCAUUACUAAAUCUGAACAUCCUAGUAACCGCAAAACCAAAAAUAGAUCAGAUCCACGGUCAGUCAACGGCUCCGAGAGACGGAAUGCCGUGGUCAACGGUGGUUUCUCUAGUGGAACUCUCUCUGGUGGUAGCAAGUAAUACUUAUUUAAUUGCCACUCCAUUACUACUGUGUGAAGCAAAGGAAACUUUCAUCUUUUUUAUUUUUUUGUAGAAAAGGAAACCUUCGUCUUCUCCAUUCCAACUACUACUACACCAUUGUUACAUAGAGUUCUUCUCAGAGGGAGUCUGCGAAGGAGUUGCAGUGAUUGCAUCGAUAAAAGACUACGCGGAGUACUAAUACAAGUAUUAACUUGUAUGAUUGAAUUAAUCUGAAAUUGUAACGUAAUUGUGAGUGUACUUUUCUGUGAUUACGGUAGAUUAUUUAUCGUCGUGAGGACAGCCGUGGAUAUGUUUCCAUGUGAUCGAUAGGGUUUUACCACGUCAGACAACUGUGUUCUUUACUAUUUUUCGUAGUUAGAUUAUUUUUAUUGUUUGUCCAUUGGAAUACCGCACUAUUUGGGACUUACAGCUCUACGCUCAGGGAUGAGUGAGGACAAAAUACUGGGGUGUUUUUUUUUAGUUUAAAAUAUCGGGGAUAGAUCCACGGAUAUCGCAUGAAUUAGACUGGGAUUUGAGAAAUCGGAUAUAUAAAUAUCCGCGAAUAUUCACGAAUACUCAGAUUCCAAAUUCCUUUCUAGUGUCGAAAUCUAGGCAUAUACGGUUGUUUUAUGAUUCAAAACUUCGCUAGAAAUCUGCGUUUUAAACUAUGGUUACAACUACUUCAACUUGCCUUGAGUUCUGUUUUAUAUAAUUUGUCGCUGGUAAUUGCAUGCUCAUUUAUAUUGCAAUGAACCAAAUCCUAAAGCAGUACCUCUACGUUUAACUUGGCUUGAGUUAUGUUUCCUUUUGCUACUAUACAAUUUUCAGGUACACAGAUGACAGUAGUCUAGGUUCCAGCUACAACAUAACACAUACGAUAUCCCAUUGUUUCUUGAUCAGUGAAGGGUGUACAGUGUAGUGAAACUGUUCUGGCCAGUGGCCACCAGUCCACCACCAUGUGCCAUGUACGACAACAUAGGUGCACCACAAUUAACUUCUUGUGUACUCUCUUGCCCGCACAAAAAGAAAGGACAAAUAUAGUUAGGAAUAAUAGGAACUUUCAAGAGGUCCGUUUCGUUCUCCAUUUCUCUUCUUCUCUAUAUCUAUUUAUUGGCAAGUGAGAUUAGAGGGGACCGCUUUCCCUCGUAAGUUAUGUGCGGAAGCUUCUUGUCAAACAAUCAGCUGUCCACGUGUUUCAUCCCCGCAAACAUUUCCUUCGUGAGAGGGAUGCAUUCUGAGAUGGCAGUGUAACGGUUAAUGGAAUGUUCGGCUUGGGAACUAAUAGAUCUCUAUAGUAAUGUAACUCAUAAUAGUGUGCGGUGAAUUGAGUGUAUAUAUAAAUCUGUUGUGGCUGCCUACUUUUGAACUCAAUACAACUAAUUGCACUGACUGCAUUGUGUAUAAAAGCAUCUGUAUUUUCGGUGCCAGCAACUCUGCUUUGUACACUAAUAAAGUCCUAAUUUCAUGGCCAAGUGGCAUUGCUAAUUGCCUCUUAAGCCUAUUUAAAGGAAAUUCUAUAUCUUAGCACAACAAAGAGUAAAUUCCUUUGCUAGCUCGUAUUUGUUAUAGCAAACAGAAUGAUCCCUAAACAUAAUUUAGCAGUUUUGUGUUUAGUGAUGAGUUUCUUUGUAUUUUCCAGAGAGACCGGAGCAAAGGUACCUGCAAUGCUAGUCUUUGGUGACUCUACAGUAGAUGCAGGGAAUAACGAUUAUAUUCCAACAUUAAUAAGAAGCAACUUUAAGCCAUAUGGUCGAGAUUUCAAAGGCGGAAAACCAACUGGAAGAUUUUGUAAUGGAAGGUUGAUUACUGAUUUCAUAUCCGAGGCAUUUGGAAUCAAGCCAGAUAUACCUGCUUAUUUGGAUCCUGCUUAUGGUAUUAAAGACUUUGCUACUGGAGUUACCUUUGCUUCUGCUGGUUCUCGUUAUGACAAUCUUACUGCGGGUAUUGCGGUAUGUUAGUUAUGUCAAAUUUUUAUCAGUAGUGGUUGCAUAGUAAUAAUGUGUCGUCGUUUUAUACCAUGGAUCUUUGGUACCACUACAUUUAUAUGUACUGAUAUAAUCUUGGUUGAUUUUUUAUCUGCAGUCUGUGAUACCUUUGUGGAAGCAAUUAGAGUUCUUCAAGAAUUAUGAGAGGAAUUUAGUUAAUUUCAUGGGAAUGGCCAAUGCAAAUAAAAUGUUGCGCGAGGCAUUGUAUUUUAUAAGCAUAGGUACAAAUGAUUUCAUAAUAAAUUACUAUUCACUUCCCCAAGGUCGAAGAACACAAUUCCGUGUAGAAGAAUAUGAGAAUUAUCUUCUCUCAAUUUCAGAGAAUUUCAUUAGAAAGAUUUACCAAUUAGGCGCGCGGAAAAUAGCAUUAGCUGGGCUUCCACCUUUUGGUUGCUUGCCAACAGUUAGAACUACUACUGCUGGGGGUUCAUGUAAAGCUGAUUAUAACAAUGUCGCAAGAAAUUACAAUGCGAAGUUAAAAAUUUUAAUAGCCAAGUUAAGGAUGGAGCUCAUAGGAAUGCGAUUGUUGUAUACAGAUUUCUAUAAUCCACUCCUUCAAAUCAUCAAUAAUCCUAAGCCAUAUGGUAAGUUUCAUUUCGCAGAAUUUCUUUGACUAUUUACGUGUGUAUAUAUAUAUAUAUCAAUUUUUUUCAUAUGUUUUUUUUAAUGUAUAGGUUUUGAGGUGGUGGCUACAGGAUGUUGUGGCACAGGGACAUAUGAGGUGGCUUAUUUGUGUCGUGAAUACGAUUUAUUUUCAUGCAAGGAUACGAGCAAGUACGUAUUUUGGGAUGCAAUACACCCAUCGGAUAAACUGUACCAUAUUGUCGCUGAUUAUUUGAUGAAGACAACUUUCGCCCAGCUUCUAUAGAUUACUAGACUAAAGAAAUGGAUAUUACUUUGAAAAAUAAUAUUUCUAUUUUUUUUUAUUUGAUUUUAUUUUUUUCUUAAUAAGAGCUCGCGUAUCUUUAUACUAAGUACUUCGACGAAAAAUCUGUAAUUUUUUUUUUUCUUGUAAUGUUAUAUGACCUAUUGAUGCACUUCACAAACAGGGGAAAUCCCUGCAGCAUAUGAAGUCUAUAUUUGUACUAGUGUCUUAGCCGGUGCUACCCACCGGUUAAUUUUAAUUUACCAUUUUCGAUUACCAUUCAAGUUAUAAGUUUUUGAUUUUAUUAAAUAUUAUAAAUUAAACUAAUUUAUUAAAUCUUAUGAAAUAAUUAUUUCUUAAAUAAAUUUGAGUAGUUUUUUUUAAUAAUAUGGAGUUCAUUAAAUUUUUUUAAUUUAAUUUUUUUUUUUAAAUUUCAAGCAAGCAAAUAUAUUUUAUUGAUGGGCUCAAAGAAUUACACAAAAGUAGAGGACAAGCGCGCUACAAACUUUGCUACAAGCCCUUUUUACUUAUAAAUAUAAAAAUCCAGUUUAUAAAUAAAAAUAUGUUAAAUUACGAUAAAACCAUUAUUUAAAAGGUAUUAUAUAAAUUUACCAAAAAACCAUGACUAAAAGAGUAGUGACAAAAUUCUAAAACUCAAUUCUCAUUAACCGAGACUUAUCCCUGAAUUUUAUUCAGGUUUAUAAUAGUAAGUAUAGAUAUAGAUAGAUAACACAACACUUUAUAGAACAGAGAAACAAGCAUGCAAAACACAACAAGAAUUACGCAAGAAGAGAUUAUUUACCAUGGUAAAUGACAACUGACAAAUGCACUACAAGUUGUGCUGCACACAAGUCCUUUAUAAUAAUGAAAACUGAUAGCUACAAAUCAAAACCUUCCGACCUAACCGUUUGUAGUACAACCUCUAUAGAGGUAAUUCAUUUAUCGAACACUCAUUUAUCGAGGUUUUACAGUAAAAUUAAUGUUCCUAUCAUGCACUCACAAAACCCAUGAAUUCUGCUUCCAACAUUUAAGCAACCAUAUCAUGGCCAGUUGGCAUUGCUUCAUAGUGUAUUUAACCAAAACUAGUAUAUAUACUAGCUACCACUUGCCACAACAAGAACAUUGUUUCCUGUCACCAACCUCAUUAAGAUAUAUUGUCCUUUGUUUUGGCUAUAUAUGUUCCUGCAAUUGAUCUAUUGAUCAUAUUUAUUUACAUAUAUAAAUCAAAGAACAUGAUUCAUCAAAUUAGCCUAGUAUGUCUUUGUCUAGUGAAGAUGUUCAUGUUCUUUGGAGAUGCCAGAGCUAAAGUUCCUGCGGUAAUAGUCUUUGGUGACUCAACAGUUGAUCCAGGAAACAACAAUUUCAUCAAAACCAUUGUCAGGAGCAAUUUUCAGCCGUAUGGUCGAGAUUUUCCAGGAGGAAAACCAACUGGAAGAUUUUGUAAUGGAAGAUUAGUUCCAGAUUUUUUUUCUGAAGCUUUUGGUCUUAAGAAAACUAUACCUGCUUACUUAGAUCCAGCUUAUAGUAUAGAAGACUUUGCAACUGGUGUCUCUUUUGCUUCUGCUGGAACUGGUUACGACAAUUUUACUUCCAAUGUUGGGGUAUGUACGUCAAUGCCGACACAUUCAUAUACUUUCGAUUAAUUGUUUUCGCAUUGUAUCAUGAUAUAUAAUGUCAUUACCAAUUUACCAUGCUAGCUACUACUAAAACUAGAAAUUUUCUUCAUUUUUUAUGCGAAAAAGAUCACUAGCUAGUUAGUACUGAUGCACACCAAAAAUGUUGUUUUCUUCCAUGUUUGUAUCAUUCUUUAGAAGGCUUGAAGGUGAUCCAGACAUCCAGUGGUUAUUAGAAAAACCUGAGUGAGAGAAGUCAUGUGAAGUAAAACAUUAUUAAUAUGAACUGUGCAUCAUGUGGCAUUAAUUUGAUCAUUUGUCCAGUAUAGAUGGAGAUAUUGCCCAAUUAUGUCAAUUGAAUUAAUGAUUUCACCAACUUAUAUAUGUGGUUGGGAACUUGGGUUUCACAAAAAAGGAGUGAGAAAAUGAUCUUUACUUCUCCAUACUUGCUAAAAAAGGCUAUCCUGCAUUUUGCUUGCCAGGGCCGCUAUAAAUGCAGGAUAGACUCUUUUAUGAAUCUGCAUUGUGCUUCUUAUGUUGACACUUUUUAGUUGAUGAUAAUGUGUGCAGUCUGUGAUACCUAUGUGGAAGGAAUUGGAGUACUUUAAGGAGUAUGAGAAGAAAUUAUUCGAUUUCAUGGGGAAAAACAAUGCAAAGAAUAUGUUGCGCGAAGCAUUGUUUCUGACAAGUUUAGGGACAAAUGAUUUUAUAGAAAAUUACUACAUAAAUCCUGCAGGUCGAAGAGCCCAAUUCACAGUUGAAGAAUACUCGAAUUACCUUAUUGGCAUUUCAGAAAGUUUCAUUCGGGAGAUUUACAACUUAGGCGCUCGAAAAAUAUCGUUAGGUGGCCUUCCUCCUAUUGGUUGCUUACCACUUAUUAGAAGCAUAAAUAUUAAAGGAGGAGGUGCAUGUAGAGCUGAUUGUAACAAGUUGGCAAGAGAUUUUGAUGGGAAGUCAAUAGCAUUAGCAGACAAGUUAAACAAAGAGCUCACUGGGAUUAAAAUUUUGUUUUUAAAUGUGUAUAACCCUGCUCUUCAAGUGAUUAACAAUCCCCAGGCAUACGGUAAUCGCAUUUUCUCCCUUUAAUCCCACAUUUAACUGUUUUAUACAAGGUUUUUAAGUUAUUUUAUCAAUGAUUUUUGUAUAUAAUUUGUUUUAGUUUUCAUUUAUGAUGUAUAGGUUUCGAGAGUGUGGCUGUGGCGUGUUGUGGAACUGGAACAAUUGAGAUGAGUUACUUGUGCAACCGAGACAAUCCAUUUACGUGCAUGGACGCAAACAAGUACGUAUUUUGGGAUGCAGUGCACCCUACGGAGAAAUUAUACCAUAUUGUGGCAGAUCAUUUGAUGAAGACAACUUUGGCUGAACUUGUAUAAUUACUCCUGUACAGGCUACAACAACUAAGAUGAGGGUACCAUGGAUCUGGGUCAUAAAUUGUAAAUGCAUUCAAUAAUUCAUUGAUCUACUGUCUCUAAUCUGUCGUUCAUAACGUAAUGCAACCAUCAUAUAUUAUUUCAUUUUUAAUUAUAAAUACAUGUGCAGAAGCACAUUUUUUUAAUCAAGUCAAUCACAGUAUAUAUUUUCUGUUCUGGCUAAAAUCUGCACAACAAACUAUAAUAUCUUGGUGGAUGAUAUGCCAGGCAGCUCACCCAUUCUUCAUUACGCUGGGCCACUAGAUCAGGUAUGGGUCUAGCAAGCUGAGAGCAUUUGGUUUGGUUUCGACAGGCUUCAUUAUAUUAACCAAUAUGUUAUUGUGGAUAGCUGAUGAUAUGCAACUGGUAUUCAGGUCACAUAACAAACUGCAGCAGAAGACAGUGAACUCAUUGGACAACUGACAUCAGAAUGCUUUGAUGUUAUGUUGUCUUUGUUAUCUUCUGCAACAACUCAUACCAACUUGUAUGUAAUGGUAAUGAAUGUGACAACGAUCUGUGAAUGUGUGUGUACAAUUACUUUUUACACGAGUUAUAACAUGAUCGACAAUUAUUAUUGUCUAUCUUAGGCUUAUCCUGACAUAUAUGACAAACCUAACUAAGCCCGAAGACGAAGGCCAACAAACGCAAGGGUAAACCGAAUUACCGAAACCUGGCUCUUGACCUUUUUUUUGUUUUUGAUAAAGGGUAAUUGUAUUUAAAUUGGUUAAAAGAUACAAAGAAAUGGAGUUAUAACUUCUCCAGUUAAGUUACAAAUCUAUAAUAUACAAGUACAUAUUUUCAGUGGGCACGGUGAAAGGCAUAGGUCGCUCCCACCAAUGCUUAUCUCCUGCUUGCAGCUGCACGCCUGCACACCCUUGUUUGUGCAAAAGUCAGCUGCACACCCUUGGUACAGCACUGUACCUGAAAAUGUAUUGCCGGUUUCAGGAUGUGAUGGCUUAUAUAUGGGCCACAAAUUACAGGCUCAUGCAUUGUAUUGUAUGUGAUGGCUUUGUUGAAGAAGAAGAAGAAGAUAUCCUGCACUUUCGUUUGAAGGGUAGUAUUCUUUUUAUUUUGCAUGAAUGGUAGUAGCAUAGGAUACAAGACUACAUUCUCCAUUAAACCAAUAGAUAAACACUGGAGUAAUUGUAUAUAGUCUUUUUUCGUCGAUAAGAAUUGAAUUAAUGAAGAAUAAAAAGAAACAGUACAGAAGUAAAAGCCUUCAGGGUCCUCCACCCCACUGACUCCAGGCUGCAUCAACAGAAUCUGCAAUAACUCUCAUGGGGGUCCUCCAUUUUAUGUAAGAAUGGAGGCCUGACGACAUAAAAUUGUUCACUCCCAUUUACCAAAUUAACUCCUUCACUUGUCAGUCUGUCUGCAGAAUAGUUCACUCCCACCAUGUGGUCUAUUCCCUGCAACACCAACUGCCAUCUUGUACUCAGCUAGUCAGCUCCCAUGGCACCUCCUUCUCCCCAAAAGCAUGUACCACAGCUGUUGAGUCUAACUCUGUCCAGAGCUUCUUCCAAUAACUUUUUUAAUGGCUCUCUCUGCUCCUGCAACUACUGCAUGACACUCUGCCCUGUAGAUGGUGCCUGCGCCAAUGUUUGCAUCUAGCCAUUGCGGUCUCUGAAAACUGCACCAAUCCCAGAAUCCCCUGGAUUCCCUUUGGCUGUGCCGUCUGUAUUCAUCUUUGUGAAAGCAUGCACCACAAUUGUAUGGUUAUGUUUAUAGGUUUUUACAAUUGUUUAUGACUCUAAUUCAAUGCCAAGGACAUGGACUGACAAGAAAGACACCAAAAACAUUGAAAAGACUGCCUUUUUUUUUUUCCAAAAUGAAAAGACUGCCCUUUCUUCUGUAUACAUGUUUAUCUUAUAUUUUGACCUGGAGCCAUGGCUUGUUUAAUUCCAUUUUCAGUCCCUGAGGGUGCUCUUUGAUAUGGCUUCACAAUCAAACGGAAGACGUUGAUGCCGAUAGUAUUGCAGUAUUACUCCGAUACAUUCUCAGCUCUUUUGAAUUUCAGUGACUGCACUACUUGCAUGCAAAACCAUACUAAUUGAUCCACUGGAUUCAUCUACUUGGGAAAAGGUCAUCAUAUUAUAUAACUUAUUACUGAUAUUAUUGUGUUCUUUUCGUGUUAUGUCUAAUCAUUUUACAUUGUUUAGAAAUCUGUCUUCAACAUAAUAGUCCUUUACCUUUAAAAAUAGACCACAAUUUAGCUUUUAUAUUUUGCAGGACUGGCAUCAGAUUAAGCCAAUUAUCAUUAGUCAGUACAUAUAUGCUUAUCAGAGUGAGUACCUCUAUUCAGUUUUCUUUUUUAGUUUAAUGGUGGUUUUAUUGCAUUUCACUGGUGCUCUUUAGAUAAAAAAAAAAAAAAAAAAAGGCAUGAUCGUUUGACAUAAAAAAAAGGUAUCUUAAAAUUAAGGGUGUUUAUUCUGAGGAUGGAAAAAUCGAUUGAUCUACCUGAUGUAGAAUAUAUAAGCGAAGAAGAUGUUGAGGAAGAGGAAGUAGGGUUUAAUCCCAAAUUUGAGACAAAGCAAACCAUAUAAUCUUUAGUUGAUACAUUGUUAGCAAGUUAACAAGUUUUGUCGUUCAAAAUUGUACCUGAAAGGUUAUGUGCUCCCGCUAAAUCUGAAUUACCCAAGUGCGGAAUCGAACCACACAAUCACAUCUUUGCCUUUAUCAGUUUAGCUAUACCCAGGAAGCCAGGAUGGGCAGCUAGUGCUGCAUGCAAGUCUUUUAUACCGAAAUCUGAUAAGUGAUUACAAAGAGUUCCUAUGACGACAUGAAUUCUACAUCCAACAUGUAAGCAAUGAUAUCAUGGCCAGUUGGCAUUGCUUCAUAGUGUAUCUAAACAAAACUAUAUUACCAGUUAUUACCACAACAAGCUAGAACAUUUUUUUUUUCCUGUCACCAUCUUCAUUAAGCUUGUCCUUUUUUCUUUUCUUUUUUUCUAUCUUUUGCUAUAUAUAUGGUCCUGCAACUCCGUUGAUCUUAUUUACAUACAGUAAAGUAAAUGAUUCAUCAAAUUAGCUUAGUAUGUUUUUGUGUAGUGAACAUCUUCAUGUUUUUUGGAGAUGCCGGAGCUAAAGUUCCUGCGGUAAUAGUCUUUGGUGACUCAACAGUUGAUGCAGGAAACAAUAAUUACAUUAAAACACUUGCUAAAAGCAAUUAUCUGCCAUAUGGUCGAGAUUUUCCAGGAGGAAAACCAACUGGAAGAUUUUGUAAUGGAAGAUUAGUUACUGAUUUCAUAUCUGAGGCUUUUGGUCUUAAGCAAACUAUACCUGCUUAUUUGGAUCCAGCUUAUGGUAUUGAAGACUUUGCUACUGGUGUCGCUUUUGCUUCUGCUGCAACUGGUUAUGACAAUCUUACUUCCAACGUUCUGGUAUGUCUUUCGUACUAUAACGCAUUAUCAUGCUGCUACUAAAACUAUAGGUGAGCUCUGAUACACAUAAAAAUGUUGUUUUCUUCCAUUUUUGUCAUUCUUUAGAAGCUUGAAGGUGAUCUAAUAUGUCAAAACAGGCAAGGGAUCUUUGUGGGUCAAUGGAGUUAAUGAUUUCACCAACUUAUCUAGUUGGGAACUUGGGAUUUACAUCUCCAAUAUAGUUUUUUGUUAAAAACAUCUCCAUAUAUAGUUGCCAAAAAGGCUAAGGCUGCAUUUGCUUCCAGCCAUCACGCCCUUCUAGAUGUACAUUUGUCGAGAAUUGUUCUAGUUCUAAGAGCAAUUAUUUUUGGCCCUACGGAAAAAAGGAAACAAAUGCAGUAUAGCCUUUUUGGCAGAAAAUUUGAGAGACUAUAUAUUUUCCAUCAUUUUUUGAAUUUGCAUUGCGCAUUUUAUGUUGACACUUUUAGUUAAUUUUAAUGUGCAGUCUGUGAUACCUAUGUGGAAGGAAUUGGAGUACUUUAAGGAGUAUGAGAAGAAAUUAUUCGGUUUCAUGGGGAAAAACAAUGCAAAGAAUAUGUUGCGAGAAGCAUUGUAUUUGAUAAGUGCAGGGACAAAUGAUUUUAUAGAAAAUUACUACAUUAUUCCUGCAGGUCGAAGAACCCAAUUCACAGUCGAAGAAUACUCUAAUUACCUUGUUGGAAAUUCAGAAAGUUUCAUUCGGGAAAUUUACAACUUAGGCGCGCGGAAAAUAUCAUUAGCUGGUCUUCCUCCAAUUGGUUGCAUACCAAUUCUCAGAAGCUUAAAUAUUAAAGGAGGAGGUGCAUGUAGAGCUGAUUGUAACAAGUUGGCAAGAGAUUUUGGUAGGAAGUUAAUAGCAUUAACCGCCAAGUUAAACAAAGAGCUUACGGGGAUUAAGAUUCUGUUCCUAAAUGUGUAUAACCCUGCUCUUCAUGUGAUUAAUAAUCCCCGUGCAUACGGUAUGUAAUCGCCUUUUAGCCUUACUCUCACAUUUCAGGAAAAAAAAGCUUUUCGUACAGGGUUUUAAAACCAGCUGUGGAUGAUUUUCGUGUAUAAUAUUGGUUUAUUUUCCUUUUAUGAUGUUUAGGUAUUGAGAAUGUGGCUACGGCGUGUUGUUACUUGUGCAACCGAGACAGCCCAUUCACAUGCAUGGAUGCAAAUACGUAUGCAUUUUGGGACGCAGUGCACCCUACGGAGAAACUAUACCAUAUUGUGGCAGAUCAUUUGAUGAAGACAACUUUGGCUGAACUUGUAUAAAUAUCCGACAAGCUACAACAACUAAGAUAGGUGUAAAAUGAAUCUGGGUCAUGAGUUGUAAAUGCGUUCAAUAAUUCGUUUUGAAUUAUAAAUAUUAUCAAUGACAGUAUUAUCUGCACACCAAACUUCAUUAUAAUCAGUAUAAACAUUCCAGGCCAAUUAGCUCAGCCAUUCAUGACUAUGGUGCACAGUUCGGCUAUUGCUCGAGCAAAUUGAGGGUCCUAUAUAUGGUUUGGUUUCAACAGACUUCAUUAUAAUCAGAACCAAUAUUGUGUUAUAGUGAAUGAAAAUGAAGGGAACAUUAAUUUGGAUAGUUGAUAUUUAACUGGUAUUCACGUCGCAUAACAAGCAUGCUGGCUACUGACAGAAUGCUUUGAUGCUGUGUUGUCUUUGUUUAACUUCUGCAACAACUCAUACCAACUUGUAUGUAAUGUUAGGCCAUGUAUUAAAUGUACUGAAUUCAUUGAAAAACUGUGAAUGUGUUUUUACCAUAGCCUAUAAUUUUCUUUAGCACGAGUUUUUUAUUACCCCGAAGAUGAUUAUUCUUUUCUUAGGGUUAUUCUGAGAUAUAUGACAAACUUACUGUGCCCGAAGACCUCAAAGGGUAAAACCGAAACAUGGCUCAUGGUUGUUGUCACGGCACUGUACCUGAAAAUGUGUUGCAGGUUUCAGGGUAUGAUGGCCUGCGAACGCUCUAGAUGCACAAUGUGGUGGUCUCCAGUGGCUUGUAAUAACAUUCGGCGAGAUUUUUGUUCGCUAAAAUAAAUUUUAAGAGUAGCUAAUUGUUCGAUACUGUGAAUUCUGAGCUCAUCUCAUAUGAUAUCAUUGUAUCACAGCAGCCCCCACUUCCCUUGACCUUUCCACAGAAAGAUAUUUUCUUGUUAUAUUGACAGAAAUCAGAAAACAAAACACUAUAUCGCCAUCCGACAGUACCAUAUCCAGUACAAACAUUAGAGGAUCACAACUACCAAUCGUAGGCAUUGGUAUAAAUCAUUCUAAAGUAUACUGUAAUGAAGGCAAAAAAAGGACCACAUCAAAAAUUGACUAAACCAUUUGACCAGAAUAAGCAAGCAAGUAAUAAGUUUUCUCAUCUAAAACAUACUGAGCAACAUGACUCAUAACAGGUCAAUAUGUCUCAUGGUACUCCAACUCUGCUUCCUAGUACUACUAGGCCAGACUGAAGCAAAGGUUUCGGCAGUCAUAGUGGUCGGAGAUUUCACGACCGGAGUCACAUUUGCUUCUGCAGGAACUGGCCGGGCUUGACAAUGUUACUUCAGAACACAGAUUUUUUAUUUGAAUAUAUAAAACCUGACUUCUUAUUAUAUAUAAUUUUGUCUUGGAUGAAAUGUGUGUGUAUAACAUAAACUGUGAGAAACUACAAAUAGUGCUAAUGUAACAGUUCAAUAUUCAAACAAAUCAAACGAUACGCAGAAAGUAAAUAACACACAGGAAUUUUUAACGUGGUAAAACCCAAUAUGGGAAACGUCCACGGUUGUCCUCGCGACAACAAAUAAAUCCACUAGAUGAAAAGAGAUGUACAAACCUAUCAACUACCUGCAAUCACUGCGAGUUGACACUCCUGGUUAUCUCUAACACCUUGACUUCACCAGAGCACCUUGAUGUACGCACAAGACACUCGACUUCCUGAUGAACACACAAGAAGACUCGAAGCCGAUCUAUGUAACAAGCUUACACCAGAGUUCCUUGAUGAACACACAAGGAUACUCGACUUCUUGAUGAACACACAAGAAGACUCGAAGCUAAAUCACUAUUCAAUAAUGUAGAAGAAGAUGAACAGGGAAGAAGAAAGAAGAAGAUGAAUAGGGAAGAAGAAGAUGAGUUCAAUCACCAAAACAACCUAAACCAAAACCUAAACAAACUCCAAGAAACAAGAGGUGAAUUGGACGGCCAAAGAACUAACUUCUUCUUUGGAAGAGAAACCCUAUUUAUAACAGGGUUGGAAAAACCACCGAAAAUGGGCCGAAAUAGCAAAAGCCCACUUUGGACGUACGUACGUCGAUAUGACGUUCGUACGUCUCCAAACGAAAAUACUCCUGCUGCCUGCUGUGACGUACGAACGUCCUGUAAAGGUUCGUACGUCCAGUACUACCAACAAUCUUGCUGUCAUUCGAUACGUACGUACGUCCUUAAGAGGUACGUACGUCCUGGACCAGAAAUCACACCAAUGACACACGACGCGAAGGCAAGGACACGGGACGACGCGCGUACAACCAGGUUUUCUUAACAAUGAACUCAAGGCGAGAUAACCAAGGACACUUUGUCACAAAAUUGAUGUCAAACCACUUCAUGCCGGUUUCAAUCUCCCCCUUUGACAUUGAUUUUGUGACAAAAACCUAUGACUCUAAUAGCACUUAUAAAACGUGCUUACAAACCCAAACCAUGGCAUUUAUAAAACAUGCCUACAAAAUCACUCAAAGAAAAACACAUACCGAGUCACCAAUUCUUGAUAUUCAGCUUGAGCAAAAUGCUUUAACCAUCAGAGACCGAACGGAAGCAACAAAGAAUUUCCGAAGUAAUCAAGGAAUCAACAGAAGUUCCUUCGAGUAACUCCCCCAUACUUCAUGAGCUCCAAAAUUUUGACAGCUCCCCCAUAACUGUAUAACUCUUAAAACAUCAACACGUUCACUCCCCGCAUACAUGUAGCAUACCUGAAACAUGACCCAAGAAUACCCUAACAACAAAGAGACGAUUGUUAGUAAUUAGAGUCAUAAAUCUCCCCCUUUUUGUCACAACAAGUGAACAAAAUAACUAACCAACAAGAGAAACGAUAAAUAACAAUAAUAAACAAAUAACGAAGAGAAGAAAACAAUACCAAACAAAGAUGACAAAACAGAUAAAAAGAUAAACCUAUCCCAACUCGUAAAGUUCAAGAGAACAACAAAUAACCAAACACAUAAAACCAUAGUAAUAAGAACCAACAAAGACAGAAGAGAAAGCUGAAGUUAGCAAAUUCGAAAAACUCGCUCCCAAUGACCUAGAGGAAGCUUGGAGAAAUAAGCUUCCGCACGAGCCGAAGAUCUAAUCCACCGAGCUUUCACAUGAUCAUCAUAAUCCUCUAGCCAUUCAUUCCCAACGAUUGAUAUGAACCAAACAAGGAUUAAGAAAAAGUCGAUGGAUAUAGUCAUACCCAUGGGGAACGCGACACAAACGACAAACCUUAGCAUUGUUCUUGUACUCCAUUACCAUGAACGACACAUAACCAACAGUCGGAACAAAAAUUCCAUGAAGUGCAUAUUCUGCCAUAGAGGAUUCUGAAGAACAAAGAGAGAAUUAGCAAGAGGUAAGAAGACACAAUAGGAGUGAAAGAGAAGAAGACUCCCUAUUUAUAAGAAACAAGAAUAACUCUAAUCAUGGGCCCAAAUAGAAAGGUCCAUUACCUCAGAAAAAUUUACUGCAAAACAAGGAAACCAACUUGAACUAUCAUGAAAAUAGCAAUAUUCAAGAACAUGUACAAUACUAAAAAAAUAGAAACAAACCAAUAUAGCAGUUAAGUACAAAAAUGUGAAGAGGAAACCAUAAAACCAACUACUCGGAUUCCGAGGCACCAUCACUCGGUUCACCAUCACCCUCGUCCUCACUCUCUGAGUCAUCACCAUCACUCACACCAGGAACUUGAGGCACCUCUUCCGAAUACGGAGGCAAGUCUGUGGGAGUGAAGUCCAGCUGUAGAUGACGCAUCUGAGCAACAUUCAUCGCAUGAAUAUCACUGAUCAUGACAUCAUGACGAGAGAGAAUGACCCCAAAACGAUCUAACCGAGCAUCCAUAUGAUCCUGAUGUCGUCGGAGUGAGGAGACCCGAGCAUCAAUUGCUGCAACAGCCCGAUUUCCCCUAGCAGAGGCUGGGAUGGGUCGUCCAGACGUCAAGGCCCGAUCAAAAUCAUCUUGGCGAUCAAGAGCCCGGCCUCCCCAAAUAAGGUGAUGCGUCAAACGCGCACCCACAGACUCAAAGGCAACCUUCCGAGACUGACAGCCUUUCUUAAUGGCAUUGACCCAGUCAUGGCCAACGAACCUUGGAGGGCUCACCUCCGUGUACUGUCCCUGAAAACCCAAGUGCCUGAGAAUUGUCAUUAUAAAGCUAGGGAAAGGAAGAGUACCCUUAGCUGCAUCAAUUUGAAGCAUCCGAUUGUAGAUGACCUCAGAAAGACUAAUAUGGUGCACCGACAUACAAACCACCAAUUUGACCAUGUCGUCGGUCAUGAUUAUCUUGUUGCCCUUGGUUGGGUAGAUGUUGGAGUGAGCAACCAUGUGGACAAGGAUGGCGCUGUAGAACUUUGCGUGAUAUCUUUCCGUGACCCCAUCGAUGAACAUCCGCUGAACUUGAUCGACAAGGUCAAUCUGAAUCUCAUCCGGAAUAGGCCAUCGAACAUGAACAGCACCUUCAGGAAGAAAAUCACCGUCAAUACCCAAUGCCUCACGGAUCACCUUCGGAGAAAUAGUGUAUCUCCGACCGUCAAUGAGGACCGAAAAACUCGAGCGAUUCUGCGAAGGACUCUUCGUCUCAUAGAAUGCUAUCGUAUGCUCAACCGAGUACUUGGUGAUUGGUUGAGCCACCCUUAGCCAAUUCCGAGUCUCAAAGAACAAUGCGAUAUUGCCAAGUUGAGAAGCCCCGAGAGGAGUGGCAGCAAUGUCUCCCAAGUCGAAGAAACGCUCGGGUUUUCCUGGCCUUGGCUCGAGGAUGAGCGCCAAGGGAUGAGGGAUGAGACGACAAACCCGAAGUGGAACCACGACCCCUCGGAGCGCGAGAAGAAGAUGCACCCUUAGAUGCGGAUGCCGUGGAGGUGUGUGCACGCUUUGAAGCCAUUUCCUACACAAACACAACAGUAAACAGACGAAAAGUGUGAGUGAAAUGUAAUCCCAAACAAGAUAAACAAACCAUUGGAGUCAUGUAGACAUUUUGUCAAACAGUUAGUGCGCAGAAACUAAAUCCAAUAGUAAGACAGCAAACCAACAAUCACAUUCACACUAAACAUGGCAGAUGAUUAAGACUAGAGGAGGAACGAAGUGCCAAGUAAAAGAAAAAUCCCAGCGACACCAAGGAAUAUGAUCUUUAAAAAAACAAAUUCUGUUACCCCAUGAUUAAUCACUCACAACAACAAAAAAAAAUUUCAUCACAAAUAACCAUUAACAAGCAAUGAAAAGGAGAAUUGAGGAACUUACUAUUGCCGAAAGAGUGAGAAGAUAAACACCACAAAACUCUUUUGAACACUUAGAACACAGCAGGGAGGGAAUUGCUUAAACAAGCUAUAAGAAUAGAGAAGUAGGAGAGAGACAUAUGAGAGAUACAAAGAGAGAAGAUUUGUUUCCUUUCGAAAGCAGAGUGUAGAGCCUUGAUAGAAGAAACCACACUGGUUCGUGCGGAGAGAGAGAUAGCACGAUUUGAAUGAAACAGUUGGGCAAAAAGGUUUAACCAAAAUUUGAAUUUAAACAGCAAAUGGGCCGGACUGUAUCAGGGACGUUCGUACGUCCUAAAGACGUUCGUACGUCGGGACUCUUAAAAAAAACAUCUGUCAGACCCUACGUUCGUACGUUCUAAUAACGUUCGUACGUUGGAACAAGAUCUGCCCACCUCAACGUUCGAACGUCAUGACAGCGUUCGUACGAACCCUUUUUUUUUUUUUUUUUUUUUUUUUUUUAUAUUUAUUUAACGAAUGAAAGAACAACCUAAAGACCAGAAGGCAAACCGACGAACAACACAAACCAUAAUAAGAAGAUAAAAAAUAACCGAUGUACCAUAGAACUGAAGAGGAACACAUCAUGAACUUCCAAAAACAGUAGCCAAUCCCAAUCCGUACAAAAAUAAGAGGCAAUAUAUGGGGAUAAACAAAAUAUUGAACAAAUAAGAGAAUUGAAAUGCAUCAUAAACUAAACCUCGGUGUAUGUAGAUGCAAUGCAAUGCAUAAAGCGAGAGAAAGUUCACCACUAGAACACACCCUUUGAAGACCGAGAAUAUAGAACCAUCAACACGAGACAUACGAUUAGAUUAGUAAGUGAGCAUAGAAGAACCAAACUUCAACCCCCCUUUGAAACAAACGUUAUGAGUAGAAGGCAAACGAAUAUAAAUAUAUAAAUAUGAUCUUUCACAUGAAAACCAAGACAUUAAAAAGGCAAAGGAAUAUAAACUUUGUAUGCCUUUCAUAAAAAAAAAUGAAUAUGCGCUUGGAUUUUUAUUUUGCCGCAUAAGGUGGAGUUUAGUCUACAUCACUCUAAUGUCAUUCCCGCGUGGGAGGGAUUUUUGCCUCCAUCUUUUCAAAUACACGAGGGUAGGGUGUAGCCCACAUCUUUUUGACAAACACAAACUCAAGAAGUGCAAUACCAUGAUAACGUGCAACACAAGAACUAACAUCUCUUGAGUGCAUCCGUCAGAGCAUGACCCUCACAACCCCAACGGGUUCUUAGCCAACUGAUAUUGCUUCAAAGACAAUCAAAUGGCUGGGGAUAAAGUGAGUCAUUGACCACUAACAAGAGUUGUAAUAGGAAGAUAAGAAUGCUCAAUAACACGAACAACAAGAUGAACAUUAACCAAAACAAAGGAGAGAUAGCUCAAGAUCACAUAAAUACUCGAGAGAUAGAGAAGUUCUAUGAGCUCAAAGAAUAUGUAAGUGGUUUCCAAAAACUCCCAUCAUGCAAGCAUGCCGUGCACUGUGCAAACAAGCGAGGAAAAAUGCAUGAUACAUACCAAAACAUACUUAAGAGUUCAGAAAGAGAAAACACCCAAACAUAUUGCAACUUAUUUAAGACAAUUGAAUUAAACCAAUAUCUCAGAAAAGAUGCAUCCAACAACACAUAUAUGGAAUAAAUAAAGAAAAAAGAAUGAAUAACCAACAAUGUAUUCAGACAUGCAACAUGAUCUGCAAGCUAAACAAACAAAGUAAAAAAAGUAGAAACACCAAACAAAUAGCCUAUGUGGUUAGAGAAAUAUGCAACUCAAAUAACACAAGGCUAGAAACAACCUACAUCAUCCCAAAUAUGGGACACCACCAGACCUUUGCAAGUCCAGAAAAACCUUCAACUUAUCCUUUCUUACCCAUACUUGUUUAACACUAGGCGUGCACACCUUGGAAGUUGAAAAGAUAUGAGAUUUCUCCUUAACAAAUUUUUCAAUAGACUUGUCCUUAACUAAUUCCACCUUAGUCUUUGACUCCCUUUUGUUGGAAUACCUGUUUUUCUUAAACCUGUGACGAACACCACUAUAAUUCCAAGGUCUAGAAAAAGCACAAGAAGAAACAUUAGGAUCAACAUGAUUAUAAUGAUCAGGAACACGAGAAUAGGAUGCAUCAUGUUGAUUAAAAUCCCAACAAAAAAUAUCCAAAUGACCAACCCUACCACAAUAAGAACAAUGAAAAACAUUAGACUUACUCAAAGAAUUCUUAUAAGAAGAUGUGGUAGUGGUGGAUAAACCAUGUAUGUCACUAUUUGGUUUAUGACAUUGUCCCUUAACAAAACCCAUACCUCCAUUAUGAGGACAAUAUGACUUAUCAGUGAAAACAGCCUUACCAUUAACCUUAGACUUAAAAUUCUUACGAGAAACAUGCUGAAAAUUAGUAGCAUUAAGUCUAGUCUCAAUAGGUGGAGUAGGCAAAAGAGCAGGCAAACUAGUAGAUUUUACAGGAGUAAUCACACUAGAUGAACUAGUAGAACUAUCAAUAGGAGAAUCAAAUCUAGUUUUGUCCAAAACCUGCAAUUUGAGUUGAGUAGACGUUAAAUCAUUCUUUGUUACCUCAUACUCCACCAAUAGAGAUUUGUAUUUCUCAUCGACCUCCUGAUUGGCCUUCUCUAAAGCUGCAAUUCUACAUAACAAGUCAAGUUUUUCUUUGUCAAAUAAUUGAGAAAUAGAAAUUGUAUCAUCUGCAGCACAAGAAAUCUGUUUUUCAAGAAUCUCAAUUUUAUCCUGCAAAGAAAGAUUAGCCUUUUCCAAAUUUUCAAUUUUGGAUUCAUAAACUUCCCCUUGAAGCAUAUAGUCCUCUGCACAAUGUCUGAGUCGUUGUUCUAGAGAAUCAACCUUAGUCUGGAAAACACCAUUAUCUUCAAAACAAACAUUAUCAGAAAUAGUAGACACAUUACAAUUAGCUUUAUUAAAUUUUUCCUGCAAAUCAAUAUUAGCUUUUUGUAAUCUUUCACAUUCUUUUGCAGAAAGUCUGUAAAGAAGAGCCCAAUCACUAUUGCUAACAACAUACAAAUUAUCAUCCUUUUCAAAAUCAGAUUUUGGUUUUGUAGAUUUAGAUGAUUUAGCAAUAAAAUUAUUAUGACCAGACUCAUGAACCAUUAUUGCACUCAUAGGAUCGUUAGCGUGAGCCUUGACGCUCCUUAACCAGCCCCCAGCGACUGAUACCAAUUGAGAAACUACAAAUAGUGCUAAUGUAACAGUUCAAUAUUCAAACAAAUCAAACGAUACGCAGAAAGUAAAUAACACACAGGAAUUUUUAACGUGGUAAAACCCAAUAUGGGAAACGUCCACGGUUGUCCUCGCGACAACAAAUAAAUCCACUAGAUGAAAAGAGAUGUACAAACCUAUCAACUACCUGCAAUCACUGCGAGUUGACACUCCUGGUUAUCUCUAACACCUUGACUUCACCAGAGCACUUUGAUGUACGCACAAGACACUCGACUUCCUGAUGAACACACAAGAAGACUCGAAGCCGAUCUAUGUAACAAGCUUACACCAGAGUUCCUUGAUGAACACACAAGGAUACUCGACUUCUUGAUGAACACACAAGAAGACUCGAAGCUAAAUCACUAUUCAAUAAUGUAGAAGAAGAUGAACAGGGAAGAAGAAAGAAGAAGAUGAAUAGGGAAGAAGAAGAUGAGUUCAAUCACCAAAACAACCUAAACCAAAACCUAAACAAACUCCAAGAAACAAGAGGUGAAUUGGACGGCCAAAGAACUAACUUCUUCUUUGGAAGAGAAACCCUAUUUAUAACAGGGUUGGAAAAACCACCGAAAAUGGGCCGAAAUAGCAAAAGCCCACUUUGGACGUACGUACGUCGAUAUGACGUUCGUACGUCUCCAAACGAAAAUACUCCUGCUGCCUGCUGUGACGUACGAACGUCCUGUAAAGGUUCGUACGUCCAGUACUACCAACAAUCUUGCUGUCAUUCGAUACGUACGUACGUCCUUAAGAGGUACGUACGUCCUGGACCAGAAAUCACACCAAUGACACACGACGCGAAGGCAAGGACACGGGACGACGCGCGUACAACCAGGUUUUCUUAACAAUGAACUCAAGGCGAGAUAACCAAGGACACUUUGUCACAAAAUUGAUGUCAAACCACUUCAUGCCGGUUUCAAACUGUAUCCCCACAUGUUUGUCUUUUAAUAAAAAUCUUUGAUUUUGGCUUGGAAUUAAAAACACAGAAAUAGGUUUGACUUUUGAACACUAAAAUAAUAGGUUUUGUUGUGACUUAGUUGCCAAGCAUAAUUAAAAAAAAAUAAAAUAAUAGGUUUUGUUGUGACUUUGUUGCCAAGCAUAACUAAAAUAAUAGGUUUUGUUGUGACUAGAGGGCUUUUUGGCGUUUAAUAUAGUAGAAUAGAUAGAUAGAAUAGAUAGAUAAAACCUACUUCUUAUUAUAUAUAAUUUUUGGCUAGAGAAUUGACUUAACACAUUGAUAUCAACUUAAAGAAAAGUCAAAUGAUGUCCCAUCAAUAAUUAUAGAAAGGGCUAAAAAGUCUAAUCUCCUCACUGUUGUCUCAUUUAUAACUUCAGUGCAUCAAGCACAGAAGCUUUCAAAGUUAGUGUUGAUAGGUUUGACUUUUGAACACUAAAAUAAUAGGUUUUGUUGUGACUUAGUUGCCAAGCAUAAUUAAAAAAAAAUAAAAUAAUAGGUUUUGUUGUGACUUAGUUGCCAAGCAUAACUAAAAUAAUAGGUUUUGUUGUGACUUAGUUGCCAAGCAUAACUAAAAUAAUAGGUUUUGUUGUGACUAGAGGGCUGCCUGCCCUCCUGCCCUCUAGUCAGUCACUACUCACUUGUCUGUUAGCUAGAAAUGAAUUUAAUAGAAUUGUCUUGUCAGUUUGGGAUUAAGCAGUUGAUCUUAGUGUUAUUCAAAUAGCGUCAUUGCUUACGAAACUAUAUAAUAUAAUGUUGUGUCCUUAUCACUCCAUAGAUAGAUAGAUAGUAGGGCUGGGCAAAACCGAUCCGAAACAUGCAAACCGAACCGAACCGAACCGAUCCGAAAAUAAGGUGUUUACAUGUUCGGUUGCAGUUUCUAAUUUUGUAAAACACCUACUUUGGGUGUUCGGUUGCAGUUUCGAAAAUUUUGGAACACCCAAAACCGAACCGAACAUGUAAUUUUGUAUAUAGUCCAGCCCAUCAUGUAAUUUUGUAUACAGUCCAGCCCAUCUCUCCAGCAGUCCAGCCCAUUUGUCCAACACUCCAACAGUCCAACCCAUCUACUAGGUGUUCAGUUCGGUUUUAUUCGGUUAACCGAACCGAAUCACAUGUUCGAUUAUGUUUCGGUUUUAGUAAAUUUUUUUCGGUUCGGUUCGGUUCGGUUUCAAAAAUGAAACAGUUCGGUUUCGGUUUUAGUUUUUACAAAACACCUACUAGGUGUUCGGUUGCCAGUUUUGGCCAAAACCGAACCGAACCGAACCAUGCCCAGCCCUAAUAGAUAGAUAUAUAAAACCUGACUUCUUAUUAUAUAUAAUUUUUGGCUAGAGAAUUGAAUGCGAAACUUAACAUAUUGAUAUCAACUUAAACAAGGAGCUUAAAGAAAAGUCAAAUUAUUUGAUGUCCCAUCAAUAAUUAUAGAAAAAGGGUUGAAAAGUCUAAUGUCCUCACUGUUGUCUCAUUUAUAACUUCAGUGCAUCAAGCACGUAAUUACUUACAUGGUGAUUUGUUUCCAUUGAAUUUUCUGGUUUUUUUAUUGAGAUGGGUAGACGAACAGUCAAAAAAAAAGAGAGGACAAGUGAUCAGUCAAAGAAAAGAGAAGACAAGUGAAGGAAGACAAGUAAACAGUCAAAGAAAAGAGAAGAUAAGUGAAGGAGGUUGUUGAAAUUAUUAGGAUUCUUUUUUUAUUUUUUUUCUAUUUUUUUCCCACUAUUUCUCUCUCCUAAAAUCUCUUUGUAUUAUAUGCAAACCGGCUGAAAACUUAACCAAUUUCAAGAGAUGUACGUGGCGAGAUUUGGUGAGGAGGUAAGCCUAGAGCGUCACCUCUGCAGUGACGCUAGCAUUUCUCAAUUAAAAACACAGAAAUAGGUUUGACUUUUGAACACUAAAAUAAUAGGUUUUGUUGUGACUUAGUUGCCAAGCAUAAUUAAAAAAAAAAUAUAAUGUAGAAGUAAGUUGCAUGACUUGCAUCACUCCAUAGGCCAUAGUAGUCCUUAUCACUCCAUAGACAUAUAUAUAUGAUCCAGUUAAUUUCAUUUCAUACAUUUGCACAGAAGCUUUCAAAGUUAGUGUUGAUCCAGUUAAUUUUCAAUCUAGCUACUGGCAAGUAGAACCUCGAUCAUACUAGUAUUAUGGCAGGUACGUAUAUAUAAUGAUAAAUGAUUAAGGUGUAUGUGUGUUCUUAUUCUAAACUUCUGUACUGUCUGUCUGCAUAACAUCAUAUGUAUAAAUCUCUUCACAUCAUUUUUAUAAAUCUAUAUACAGUAUGUAUCCUUAUAUGAUGAAGAACAUAAAGUUCCAAAAGUAUAUUUUUUUACGAGUUUCUUCCGGUGUGCAGGAAAGCUCUUGAUUCAACUCAUUGAUGAAGAUGGUCGUUUUAAUGUUACUGGGAUGCAAGAUUUUGCAAAUUUGGGUGAACAUGGAAUCUCUUAUGGAGUGGUCUCAAUCUUUGGACCACAAAGUAGUGGUAUGCAUUUUAUCUGUCGUCUGAAUUCCAAUAUUUCCUAGGUAUCAUUCAUUCAUUAUCAUCUUCCCAAAGAUGUUCUGAAUCUUUUUUUUUUUUUCUUGGCAGGUAAAAGCACACUGCUAAAUAAUCUUUUUGAGACUAAAUUCAAGGAGAUGGAUGCUUCUAUUGGGAGGCAAGUUCUCCACCAGAAUACUGAUCAGUUAAACAUUAUAUAAAUAAGUAACCUAUGUGAAAUAUACUUUUCAGGUCUCAAACAACUAAAGGAAUAUGGUUAGCUAAACAUGCUGGUAUCAACAAGUCGUGUAUCCUUGUCAUAGAUCUGGAAGGUAGUGAUGGAAAAGAACGAGGAGAGGUGUGUAAAUACAAUCUAUAUCCCUGGUACACUUUAAUUGAUAGUAAAGAUUUUUUACUUAAGCGAGGUUAUUCACUUAUCGAACUUUCAUUUAUCGAGGUUUAACGGUAAACCAAAACCCUGUAGUAAGUAGUAUAAUGGCAUGUCACUCUGAAUAGAAAAAUUUAAAGGUAUUGGUAAGAAGUUGAAACUCUCAUUCUCAGAAGUGUAGUGUUGUGUUACAGGUUUCCAAUUGUCGUAAGUUCACACGGCAUUGAUUUGUUACAUUUAUUCUGUUAGUUUUUUUCAUCUCCAUGGGAAUUUGAGUUGGUGUGCUGAAGACAAAUACUUUUCAUAUUGUUGUUCGUUUCACUAAUUUGUUUGUUUGGUUUUUAGGAUGAUGUUUGCCUUGAGAAGCAGAGUGCUCUGUUUGCACUAGCAGUAUCAGAUAUUGUGCUGAUAAAUAUGUAAGCUUAUUAACAUGUUCCCUUUGGCAGGACUAUUCUUCUUCUAUAGUUUGUUGUUCUUUCGAUUUCAGGAGUCUUGCUAGUGACCUUAUAUAAGUUGGUUUAUUUAGGUGGUGUAAUGACAUUGGCCGUCAUCAGGCUGGAAGCAGGCCUCUUUUGAAGACAAUUUUCCAGGUAUAGGUAGAUGGUAAUAUUUGGUUAAUAUUUAGUAGUAAAGUUGUUCAUUACUUUUGUUAACAGGUAAUGAUGCGCUUGUUUCAACCGCGUAGAAUAACUUUGCUAUUUGUCAUUCGUGAUAAAUCUGCGGUAUGAUUUUUCUAUACUAUCUUACUUUGUGGCUAUUUUACUUUAAGUAUAUUGAAUUAAAAAUAAUUAAGGAUGGAUUGUCAUUUUUCUUUACAUGCUUUGUAGACACCAUUGGAUAAGUUGACAGCUCUUAUAAGGACUGACAUUCGGGAGGUUACAAAUUAACAGACUAUUUCACUAUCUGUAAACUUUUGUUUGAUAUUUUAUUAUCAAUUUUUAAAAUAAAAUGUUAUUGCUUAUUCUUAAUAAUCAGAUAUUUGAUUCUGUUAUUAAACCAGAAGCCCACAAAAAAACUGCGCUGACCGAGUUUUUCAAUGUAAGUUGCAACUCUGUGUGUGCAGUACGUGUGUGUGUGUGUGCGUGUGUUUUUAAAACCUUGUGAUAUCACUGCUCAAACGACCAGGUUGAAGUCAUUGCUCUUUCAAAUUAUGAAGACAAGAAAGAGUUGUUCAAAGAUGAGGUAUGCAAUAUAUCAACUGCUACUUCAUAUUGUUUUGGUUAUCUUCCUAUUAUGGUUGCGAACUUGCGAUUAUGAUUAAGUUGUUUUGGUUAUCUUCCUAAUAAUCUGCCGUUGAGUUCUGUCCAAUCUAAUGAACACACACAACUCACUAUUUAAACACUGUUUACAUACUCGGCAUGAAGGUUGUCAGUUUGAAGCAGCGAUACAUAGAUUCGAUUGCUUCUGGUGUACAUUCUGAGGGUCGACGAGACAGAGUUCCUGCUUCAGCAUUUUCAUUGAGUGCACAAGAAAUAUGGAAAGUUAUUAAGGAGAACAAGGACCUUAAUCUUGCUUCCAAUAAGGUAAAGAUGUGAAAUACUUAAAUGUAUCAUUUUGAAGCUUACUGAUUAAAACAAGUUGAUUCCUUUUUGUUAACCGCAUUUGGUAUUGGUUUUUAGAUUUUGGUUGCCAGAGCGCGUUGUGAAGAUAUAUCCAAUGAAAGCUUUGCUCAUUUAGUUGGAAAUGAGGUACUUUAUAAUAUAAUAUGUGGAAUUUGUUACUUGUUACUACUGUCAUGGCUUAAAAACCUGCCUUUCACUGUAAUAGACCUUUACAUUUAAAAAUAGAUUGCAAUUUUAGUUUUUAUAUUUUGCAGGACUGGCAUCAGCUGCAAGAGGCUGUGCAAUCUGGUCCAGUUAAGGGAUUUGGGAAGAAGAUUAAGCCAAUUAUCAGUAAAUGCCUAUCAGAGUGAGUACCUCUAUUUAGUUUUCUGUUUUGCUUUAAUGGUGCUCGAUCUUUAAAAUAAAAUAAAAAAUCCUUAUCGUUUGACAUAUAUAUGUGCAUGUGUACAGUACAAUUCUUUGUGGAUUAUUUGAUGUAUAUCUCUAUAUAGGUAUGAUGCAGAAGCUGUUUAUUUCGAUGAAGGCAUCCGGACUGAAAAACGCCAGCUUUUGGAAGCUAAAGUGCUGCAAGUAAUUCUCUGUCGGCUUUCAAUUGCUAUAAAGUAUUUUUUAUCUGUGUGCACAUAACUAGUUCAUCAUAGUAGAAUAGAAUAUGCAGAACUUGUGAUGAAUUCAAACGGUUUUUUUUUUCUUUUCUUUUCCCACUAGGUAUGAAAUUCAUGGAGAGCAACAGAUCUAGUUCUCAUUAGGAUGAGUUUUAGUUCACUUAUCCAACAAAAACACAAAAUUUUUAUAACUUACCUAAAUUUAUAUAAAGUUAGAUCAAUAGAUACCAUCUAGUAAUCCAUGCGGGUCAACCUUAAAAACAUUUCACAGUUUCAUUACGCAAACCUACCAGUUCUUUAGCAGCUGCAUAUAUAUGUUGAUAAGAAGUGUUUGAAGCUUGGUUAGACCCUGAACUAGCUGUUAAUUUGUAAAGUAGUUUAUAGUGGUUGUUGCUCUCUCUUCCUCUUAAUCUCCAUACCCAAAAUCUUUUGGGCUCUACCCAAGUCUUUCAUCUCAAACUCUGAUGUAAGUGAGAUUUCAACCUAUCUAUUUCCACCAUGCUCUUGGAAGCAAUGAGCAUGUCAUCCACAUAAAUCAACAGAUAGAUAUAGUCAUACGAAAGUAAACACAACAAUCGUACUCACUUCUGGUGUAGUUAUGUCUUCUUCUAAAAGCAUCAAACUUUUUGUACCAUUGUCGAGACCUUUUGAGUAAUAUGGAAGGUUGGAAGCUCAAUAUUAAAAACCCCACACUUAGAUUAAGAAUUUUAUCACUUGGACUCUUCAAAGCACAUUCUCACUUAGACCAAGCACUUUGUCACUUAGACUCUUCAAAGCACCUUGUCACUUAGACUCUUCAAAGCACUUUGUCACUGUGUCACUAAGGACCGUGUCACUUGAUGAAGCACUUUACUAACCACCUGACGAACCACCAUGUCAUAGAACAUCAGUGACCAAGAACUCGUACUACUGCUUUAGAAUCUGUCCUCAGCCACAAUUUAUGCCAGAUCUUCUCCUCUAGACAAGUUAGAUGUCAAUACAUUCUGCCUUGACUACUUGGCAGCUUAUAUUACCCCAAAGCCUUUAAACCUGCUGGCUGCUGCCAUGAAACUUGUUGCACAUUGAAGACUUAUAUCUAUAUUUAUUUCAAGGAUACUAUGGGGUGGGUAGUCUCUUCAACCUGAGUCACUGCCUGUAACAGGCGCUCUCCAGAGGCUGUCAGGGUAGGACUCCAACCUCUUUCAAUCAUCACUCAUCUGCCAAGGACUUGAGUUGCGUAGUACUUUUGAAGUACCUUUCACCAGGAUGGCCACAUCCAUAGUACAUGAGUUACUGUUAAUUGACAUCACAUGAUUAUGCUCUCUUGUCAGAAGGCAGAGAAUUCCUUUUUAGUUUUUUAAUUGUAUCACACUCCUUGGAUGAAUAUAUUUCUUCCAUCUAUCUCUAUCUUUAAUCUCAUUACUGAAGCCAUAAAAGAAUACUUACCCCUUGUUGAUUUCUGACCUUAUGCACCUUAGUAUCUGUCCAGCAACUGGGUGCUUUUCUGCACAGCCCUCAUACCACAAAUUGAAUAAUAAUCAUAUAAUUUGGAAAUAACAAAUAGGGUCUUCAAUGCUCACCAUAGGCUUAACAAACUUGGAAGCCUUUAAAUAGUUCAUUCCUUUACUGAAAACAUCUUGAGUUAUAUGUCCAAUAAUGUAGGUGGCAGAGGGUCCUGUUUCUGACCUAGAAUUUGCAACAAAAUACAUGGGGUAUCACUAAGUAGAGCUUGUUAGUAGGAAUAGACUUUGUUAUAAAAACAAACGUUUUUUUUUUUUUUUUUUUUUUUUUUGACCACAUGAUAUCUUCUUUCGCUUUAUUGAGAAGUGCAUUGCAUGGUUAAAAUGCUAAGAUUUAUGCCUAGUGAAAUUCUAAUUGCGCGCAUAUUGCUGAAUUCUAGUUCAUAACACCUGCCUAUCAAAACAUUUUGGCACAACUACACUCUGGUGCUCUAGACAAUUUCAAGAAAGCAUUUCAUGAGGCUCUUAACCAAGGGAAACAAUUUGUUGUUGCUGCUCGUGAUUGCAGUAAAUAUGUUAUGUCAGUAUUUGGUGAAGGAUGCUCAGGUACACAGAAAAGUAUUAUUUGCUCAUAUAGUUUUGCAUUUAGAAAAAAGGUAAGAUAGGAGAAAACAAAACCUUGUUAAGGCUAGAUUUCUUUAGCACAACUUGGUGUCAAAAACGGGUUUAUGUCGUUUAUUUCCAAAGCUCAACUACUGCAAUUUUGUCAAAUACUUUUUGUUCAAUCAAAUUCAUUCAAUAAUUAAUGGAAGAAGUCGAUCUUGUGAGGUUAGUGGAGGAAUGUAGAGUGAACGUAAAAUAAUGGCAGAAGCAAUGGAUGGUUAACAAAUAAAAACUGUGUGAAAACAGAUUUUAGGGUGAUUUAGGUUUUGGUCACCACUUUUUAGUAUAAAUUAGGUUUUGGAGCCGGUUUUUUUCUUUAUUAGGGUUUAGAGCUCAUUUUCCAACCAACAACUAAAAAAACCCGGUUGAACCGAAAAUAUUUUCAAAAUACCUAAUUUUACCCCUGAAACUCACGUGAUCUGCACGUGAUCACUAACCCUAAUAUAGUUUUGAUCAGGGGUAUUUUGGCCAUUAUAAAUAAUUACUUGGGUCAAUUGUCGGUUCAGCUCUAAACCCUAAUAAAGAANNNNNNNNNNNNNNNNNNNNNNNNNNNNNNNNNNNNNNNNNNNNNNNNNNNNNNNNNNNNNNNNNNNNNNNNNNNNNNNNNNNNNNNNNNNNNNNNNNNNNNNNNNNNNNNNNNNNNNNNNNNNNNNNNNNNNNNNNNNNNNNNNNNNNNNNNNNNNNNNNNNNNNNNNNNNNNNNNNNNNNNNNNNNNNNNNNNNNNNNNNNNNNNNNNNNNNNNNNNNNNNNNNNNNNNNNNNNNNNNNNNNNNNNNNNNNNNNNNNNNNNNNNNNNNNNNNNNNNNNNNNNNNNNNNNNNNNNNNNNNNNNNNNNNNNNNNNNNNNNNNNNNNNNNNNNNNNNNNNNNNNNNNNNNNNNNNNNNNNNNNNNNNNNNNNNNNNNNNNNNNNNNNNNNNNNNNNNNNNNNNNNNNNNNNNNNNNNNNNNNNNNNNNNNNNNNNNNNNNNNNNNNNNNNNNNNNNNNNNNNNNNNNNNNNNNNNNNNNNNNNNNNNNNNNNNNNNNNNNNNNNNNNNNNNNNNNNNNNNNNNNNNNNNNNNNNNNNNNNNNNNNNNNNNNNNNNNNNNNNNNNNNNNNNNNNNNNNNNNNNNNNNNNNNNNNNNNNNNNNNNNNNNNNNNNNNNNNNNNNNNNNNNNNNNNNNNNNNNNNNNNNNNNNNNNNNNNNNNNNNNNNNNNNNNNNNNNNNNNNNNNNNNNNNNNNNNNNNNNNNNNNNNNNNNNNNNNNNNNNNNNNNNNNNNNNNNNNNNNNNNNNNNNNNNNNNNNNNNNNNNNNNNNNNNNNNNNNNNNNNNNNNNNNNNNNNNNNNNNNNNNNNNNNNNNNNNNNNNNNNNNNNNNNNNNNNNNNNNNNNNNNNNNNNNNNNNNNNNNNNNNNNNNNNNNNNNNNNNNNNNNNNNNNNNNNNNNNNNNNNNNNNNNNNNNNNNNNNNNNNNNNNNNNNNNNNNNNNNNNNNNNNNNNNNNNNNNNNNNNNNNNNNNNNNNNNNNNNNNNNNNNNNNNNNNNNNNNNNNNNNNNNNNNNNNNNNNNNNNNNNNNNNNNNNNNNNNNNNNNNNNNNNNNNNNNNNNNNNNNNNNNNNNNNNNNNNNNNNNNNNNNNNNNNNNNNNNNNNNNNNNNNNNNNNNNNNNNNNNNNNNNNNNNNNNNNNNNNNNNNNNNNNNNNNNNNNNNNNNNNNNNNNNNNNNNNNNNNNNNNNNNNNNNNNNNNNNNNNNNNNNNNNNNNNNNNNNNNNNNNNNNNNNNNNNNNNNNNNNNNNNNNNNNNNNNNNNNNNNNNNNNNNNNNNNNNNNNNNNNNNNNNNNNNNNNNNNNNNNNNNNNNNNNNNNNNNNNNNNNNNNNNNNNNNNNNNNNNNNNNNNNNNNNNNNNNNNNNNNNNNNNNNNNNNNNNNNNNNNNNNNNNNNNNNNNNNNNNNNNNNNNNNNNNNNNNNNNNNNNNNNNNNNNNNNNNNNNNNNNNNNNNNNNNNNNNNNNNNNNNNNNNNNNNNNNNNNNNNNNNNNNNNNNNNNNNNNNNNNNNNNNNNNNNNNNNNNNNNNNNNNNNNNNNNNNNNNNNNNNNNNNNNNNNNNNNNNNNNNNNNNNNNNNNNNNNNNNNNNNNNNNNNNNNNNNNNNNNNNNNNNNNNNNNNNNNNNNNNNNNNNNNNNNNNNNNNNNNNNNNNNNNNNNNNNNNNNNNNNNNNNNNNNNNNNNNNNNNNNNNNNNNNNNNNNNNNNNNNNNNNNNNNNNNNNNNNNNNNNNNNNNNNNNNNNNNNNNNNNNNNNNNNNNNNNNNNNNNNNNNNNNNNNNNNNNNNNNNNNNNNNNNNNNNNNNNNNNNNNNNNNNNNNNNNNNNNNNNNNNNNNNNNNNNNNNNNNNNNNNNNNNNNNNNNNNNNNNNNNNNNNNNNNNNNNNNNNNNNNNNNNNNNNNNNNNNNNNNNNNNNNNNNNNNNNNNNNNNNNNNNNNNNNNNNNNNNNNNNNNNNNNNNNNNNNNNNNNNNNNNNNNNNNNNNNNNNNNNNNNNNNNNNNNNNNNNNNNNNNNNNNNNNNNNNNNNNNNNNNNNNNNNNNNNNNNNNNNNNNNNNNNNNNNNNNNNNNNNNNNNNNNNNNNNNNNNNNNNNNNNNNNNNNNNNNNNNNNNNNNNNNNNNNNNNNNNNNNNNNNNNNNNNNNNNNNNNNNNNNNNNNNNNNNNNNNNNNNNNNNNNNNNNNNNNNNNNNNNNNNNNNNNNNNNNNNNNNNNNNNNNNNNNNNNNNNNNNNNNNNNNNNNNNNNNNNNNNNNNNNNNNNNNNNNNNNNNNNNNNNNNNNNNNNNNNNNNNNNNNNNNNNNNNNNNNNNNNNNNNNNNNNNNNNNNNNNNNNNNNNNNNNNNNNNNNNNNNNNNNNNNNNNNNNNNNNNNNNNNNNNNNNNNNNNNNNNNNNNNNNNNNNNNNNNNNNNNNNNNNNNNNNNNNNNNNNNNNNNNNNNNNNNNNNNNNNNNNNNNNNNNNNNNNNNNNNNNNNNNNNNNNNNNNNNNNNNNNNNNNNNNNNNNNNNNNNNNNNNNNNNNNNNNNNNNNNNNNNNNNNNNNNNNNNNNNNNNNNNNNNNNNNNNNNNNNNNNNNNNNNNNNNNNNNNNNNNNNNNNNNNNNNNNNNNNNNNNNNNNNNNNNNNNNNNNNNNNNNNNNNNNNNNNNNNNNNNNNNNNNNNNNNNNNNNNNNNNNNNNNNNNNNNNNNNNNNNNNNNNNNNNNNNNNNNNNNNNNNNNNNNNNNNNNNNNNNNNNNNNNNNNNNNNNNNNNNNNNNNNNNNNNNNNNNNNNNNNNNNNNNNNNNNNNNNNNNNNNNNNNNNNNNNNNNNNNNNNNNNNNNNNNNNNNNNNNNNNNNNNNNNNNNNNNNNNNNNNNNNNNNNNNNNNNNNNNNNNNNNNNNNNNNNNNNNNNNNNNNNNNNNNNNAAAAGUGGUGACCAAAACCUAAAUCACCCCAGAUUUUAUGUGAUGAACACCCACUUUUGAAUAUGUAGAGCAGUCAUCAGCAUGCUACUGCAAAGUAUGUGUUUACCUCUAAAAAUAAAGAUUGUAUAGAAAAUUGUUUAAACAGUAAGCAUGUUCAAAUUCUAGUGGAUAUUACUUCGACAAUUUGUGAUUUUGUCACGUGAUCCUAUUAUGAUUUGCAGAUGCGGCCAUUGAGAAUUCAAACUAUGACUCUUCCCAAGUUCUUGAUAGGCUUGGAAAUGAUAUAGGCGCAUAUGUUGCUUCCGAAAUUACUUCCUUUAAUGAGGUAUGGAAUCCCCUCUUCUUUUCUUUUCACUUUCAUUUAUGUAUAUUUUUCCUAGGAUGUUUAUGUGUGCAUGGGAGUGAUUCUCGACUCUCGAGGUUUAUGUGUUGUCCCCCCCUGUAAGACUUGCCAUCCCUUUGUUAGAAAAUUUUGCAUCUCGCUUUAUCAGCUUGAUUUCAUGGUGUAAACUCGUUGUUAAAAGGCUUUUAAAUUUUAGUUAUAUGUAAUUGCUGGAUGCACCCUUGAGUAGCAUCUUUUUAUUUGGGUUCAGGCAAAACUAGAUAUGGCACUAUCAGCACCAGUAAAAGCUCUUUUAGAUGAAGCUGGGGACAAUACCUGGCCUACCAUCAGAAACAUGUUACGAGAGCAAACAAAAUCAGCCAGCUCUAGGAUUGUUACAGAUAUUUCUUGCCUUGACGUUGAUCAAAAGACCAUUGAUCAAAUUCUCUCAGACAUAGAACGUUAUGCAAGAAGCGUUGUUGAAGCAAAGGCAACUGAAGCAUCUAAAGAAGUUCUGAGCAGGAUGAAGGACAGGUAUUGCCACAAUUAAGACUGGUGCAUGUGCCUAAAUUUUCCUGGUGGAUAACCACUGGAGUAAUUGUAUGGUUUUGAUUGUAGGUUUUCAGAAUUGUUUAAUUACGACUCUAAUUCAAAGCCAAGGACAUGGACUGGAAAUGAAGAUAUCGAAGCCAUCAUAAAUACUGCCCUUUCUGCGGUAUAAAUGCUUACCUUAUAUUUUGUUGUAGGAACUUCCAUCUUCUUUUGACCUGUAGCCAUGGCUUGUUUUAUUCCUUUUUCAGUCCCUGAGGUUGCUCUCUGUUAUGACUGCUAUCCAAUUGGACGAUGAUGCUGAUAGUAUUGCAGAUACACUCUCAUCUGCUCUUUUGGGUUUCAGUGACUGUGCUACUUACGAAACCACAUUAAUUGAUCCACUGGCUUCAUCUACCUGGGAAAAGGUGAUCACCAUAUGAUGAAACUCAUUAAUGAUAUUAUUGUGUUCUUGUCUGGUUAUGUCUAUAUAUAUAUUGAGAGAGAAACAAUAUCAUGUAUCUACAUUGGAUGUUCUGUUAGGUUUCCUCAACAAAUACUUUGAAAACUCCUAUAGAAUGCAAGGCUUUGUGGAAACUAUUCCAAGAAGAGAUUAAGCAUACAAUUAAUCAGGCCAAGAGUAUUGCUGCUCAGACCAAGGCCAUUGCUGCUCUGGAAAACGCCAUUGCUGCUCAGACCGAGGCCAUUGCUGCUCAGGUAUGCUUUUAACAAUUUUUGGCCUUCUCAAAAGUAUCUAUAUUGUAUACAUAUGUUUAUAUUAUUUAUGCAUACAUAAUAUUAAAUUUCAGAAAAUUUGUCGGACAUGGAAAGUUUUUUGGGGGUAUGCAUUCUAAUUUUGUAUAAAUAUGGGAAUGCUGACAAAGAUUACUCGCUAAGUGAAAGAGACUACGAGAUAAAAACAGAUGCUAAAUAUCCCAAAAGGACAGAAGUCAACAAAUUUAGGACAAAAGUAACCUCUAUAAUCACACUAUGAUCAGACAUCGAAUCAUGAUGUAGUUAACAAAACUACACACUAAAUUUAUGGUAAAUUAACCCUAGUAGAAAAGGGCAAAAUAGGAACUACAAUAAAUAGAUAUGAUCAGACGUGAAAAAAAAAGACUGCAUGUCUAUAAAAGAUACUUUCAUAAGAUUGUCCUUUUGGAAGAAAGACUUUCAUAAGAAUAUUGUCAUGUAGACUCAGAAGAACGUUGACUUUGACCUUCACAAAGGUUACUUGCUUAAAAAAUCGCUAAAUUCAAGGUGUUGCUCAAUAAAUAAAUAAAAUAUUUAUGAAAAGAUGAUGAAUUUUCACAAACAAAGUAGGUUAUUUUGGAUUUGGGAACUAAUGUUUACAACUACCAUUUUUUGUUGCCAUCCCCUUUAAGCGUACAGUAACAAUCUGUUAAUCGUGUAACAUAGAAAUACUAUCAUAACCCUGCACAAGGUUUCUCCUACAGACAUACUUUAUUAUUAGUUUCAUAUAUAAAAUUUAUUAUGCACAAUGAUGUUCUUAUAUUAAGCUACAGGUUCAGUAAUAUAUAUCUAGUAUGUCUUGAUUGGAUUUUACUUCCCAUUAUGACAUUUACAGCAAAGUAAAAGUCAGGCAGAACGGUUGUUAAUGAUUCCUGUCCAUCUUCUUCUCCAUUUAGCAGGAGUCGGCGGAAGUACCUAGUACGUGGUUAGCUAAGAGAAAGGAUGUAAUACUUUAUCGUGGUUUUCAUUUAGUUUUCCAUGUCAAUUUGUUGAUAAGAAUUGUCAGGACAACAUGAUAUCGUGGGACUUUAUAUUUUCUUGCUGGAAACAUAUUAAGGUUGUGCUUGAUUACCGGGAAAUCUGACGGAAAGCAAAUCCACGUCAGAUUCUCCCUUUAACGACUGCUUGGGUGAGUAUCAGAAACAGUAGGGCCCACAUUUUUUUUUACAAAACAGCAAAAACACGUCAGCAUAUAUUCCGGUUUCAAAGAACCCGGAUUAAGUUGGAAACCUGUCUCUCACUCUCUCCUCUGUGCCUUUCUCUCUCUUCUUUUAUCUCCGUUUCUCUCUUCUCUCUCAUCGUUGUUAGUUAUUUUUCCCCGAGAUUAUCAAGCACCUUAAUCUGAGUUUAAGCAAAAUUUAUGUAAAAACAAAUUAAAAAAAAUCUUUUCCAGAAACUGAUUCCCGAUUAUUACUGUGAAACAAGCACAGCCUAAAUAAAACCAGGAGUUUGUGUGAAGAUCAUAUUAAAUAACACCUAUUAAACCAUGUGCUUAAGUCAACCACUAUUUUUUUUUUUUCUCAAAGGUGAUUAAAUUGAUAAGAAAAAGAAUCAAACAUACAAAAGUGACAGGAAGCUAUAGCUACAUCUCAGUCAAAUAUUUAAAACAACCAUAUGUUUAUGGCGGUAAGUCCCAUCUCAAUAUCUGAUUUGCAAAAAACAAUGUUUCCUUUCUUGCAGAUGUAUCAGCAAGAUGUAUCAACUGCGAAGUUAGCUUCCAUUUUAUUUAUUAUUUAUUGACAUCAAUAAAAUUUAUGUCCAUGGCUCCGAUAGCUUCCGAUUGUACCUUAGUCUUCCAAUACGACUUAUUAGUUCUUAAGGCAGUGACAGCUGCUUCAGAGUCUGAUUCCACCAUCGCUUGAUGACAUAAGGUGAUUUUGUGUGGAACAUUUGGCACAAAAUAUAAGUGCACAAUUGUCCAAAUGCAGAAUCGAACCUGUGCGCAUAAUUAACCACACAAUCACAUCUUUGCCUCUUAUCAUUUUAGCUACCCAGGAGGCUAGGAUGGGCUAAUAGUGCUGCAUGCAAGUCUUUUAUACGAAAUCUGAUAAGUGAUUAUGACGACAUGAAUUCUACAUCCAACAUGUAAACAAUGAUAUCAUGGCCAGUUGGCAUUGCUUCAUAGUGGAUCUAAACAAAACUAUAUAUAUUACCAGUUAUUACCACAACAAGAACAUUUUUUCCUAUCACCAUCUUCAUUAAGCUUGUCUUUUUUCUUUUCUUUUUUUCUAUCUUUUGCUAUAUAUAUGGUCCUGCAACUCCGUUGAUCUUAUUUACAUACAGUAAAGUAAAUGAUUCAUCAAAUUAGCUUAGUAUGUUUUUGUGUAGUGAACAUCUUCAUGUUUUUUGGAGAUGCCGGAGCUAAAGUUCCUGCCGUAAUAGUCUUUGGUGACUCAACAGUUGAUGCAGGAAACAAUAAUUACAUUAAAACACUUGCUAAAAGCAAUUAUCUGCCAUAUGGUCGAGAUUUUCCAGGAGGAAAACCAACUGGAAGAUUUUGUAAUGGAAGAUUAGUUACUGAUUUCAUAUCUGAGGCUUUUGGUCUUAAGCAAACUAUACCUGCUUAUUUGGAUCCAGCUUAUGGUAUUGAAGACUUUGCUACUGGUGUCGCUUUUGCUUCUGCUGCAACUGGUUAUGACAAUCUUACUUCCAACGUUCUGGUAUGUCUUUCGUACUAUAACGCAUUAUCAUGCUGCUACUAAAACUAUAGGUGAGCUCUGAUACACAUAAAAAUGUUGUUUUCUUCCAUUUUUGUCAUUCUUUAGAAGCUUGAAGGUGAUCUAAUAUGUCAAAACAGGCAAGGGAUCUUUGUGGGUCAAUGGAGUUAAUGAUUUCACCAACUUAUCUAGUUGGGAACUUGGGAUUUACAUCUCCAAUAUAGUUUUUUGUUAAAAACAUCUCCAUAUAUAGUUGCCAAAAAGGCUAAGGCUGCAUUUGCUUCCAGCCAUCACGCCCUUCUAGAUGUACAUUUGUCGAGAAUUGUUCUAGUUCUAAGAGCAAUUAUUUUUGGCCCUACGGAAAAAAGGAAACAAAUGCAAUAUAGCCUUUUUGGCAGAAAAUUUGAGAGUAUAUUUUCCAUCAUUUUUUGAAUUUGCAUUGCGCAUCUUAUGUUGACACUUUUAGUUAAUUUUAAUGUGCAGUCUGUGAUACCUAUGUGGAAGGAAUUGGAGUACUUUAAGGAGUAUGAGAAGAAAUUAUUCCGUUUCAUGGGGAAAAACAAUGCAAAGAAUAUGUUGCGAGAAGCAUUGUAUUUGAUAAGUGCAGGGACAAAUGAUUUUAUAGAAAAUUACUACAUUAUUCCUGCAGGUCGAAGAACCCAAUUCACAGUCGAAGAAUACUCUAAUUACCUUGUUGGAAAUUCAGAAAGUUUCAUUCGGGAGAUUUACAACUUAGGCGCGCGGAAAAUAUCAUUAGCUGGUCUUCCUCCAAUUGGUUGCAUACCAAUUCUCAGAAGCUUAAAUAUUAAAGGAGGAGGUGCAUGUAGAGCUGAUUGUAACAAGUUGGCAAGAGAUUUUGGUAGGAAGUUAAUAGCAUUAACCGCCAAGUUAAACAAAGAGCUUACGGGGAUUAAGAUUCUGUUCCUAAAUGUGUAUAACCCUGCUCUUCAUGUGAUUAAUAAUCCCCAUGCAUACGGUAUGUAAUCGCCUUUUAGCCUUACUCUCACAUUUCAGGAAAAAAAAGCUUUUCGUACAGGGUUUUAAAACCAGCUGUGGAUGAUUUUCGUGUAUAAUAUUGGUUUAUUUUCCUUUUAUGAUGUUUAGGUAUUGAGAAUGUGGCUACAGCGUGUUGUUACUUGUGCAACCGAGACAGCCCAUUCACAUGCAUGGAUGCAAAUACGUAUGCAUUUUGGGACGCAGUGCACCCUACGGAGAAACUAUACCAUAUUGUGGCAGAUCAUUUGAUGAAGACAACUUUGGCUGAACUUGUAUAAAUAUCCGACAAGCUACAACAACUAAGAUGAGUGUAAAAUGAAUCUGGAUCAUGAGUUGUAAAUGCGUUCAAUAAUUCGUUUUGAAUUAUAAAUAUUAUCAAUGACAGUAUUAUCUGCUCUGGCCAGUUGAUAAGUAUUAUCUUCACAACAAACUUCAUUAUAAUCAGUAUAAACAUUCCAGGCCAGUUAGCUCAGCCAUUCAUCACUAUGGUGCACAGUUCGGCUAUUGCUCGAGCAAAUUGAGGGUCCUAUAUGGUUUGGUUUCAACAGACUUCAUUAUAAUCAGAACCAAUAUUGUGUUAUAUUGAAUGAAAUUGAAGGGAACAUUAAUUUGGAUAGUUGAUAUUUAACUGGUAUUCACGUCGCAUAACAAGCAUGCUGGCUACUGACAGAAUGCUUUGAUGCUGUGUUGUCUUUGUUAACUUCUGCAACAACUCAUACCAACUUGUAUGUAAUGUUAGGCCAUGUAUUAAAUGUACUGAUUUCAUUGAAAAACUGUGAAUGUGUUUUUACCAUAGCCUAUAAUUAUCUUUAACACGAGUUUUUUAUUACCCCGAAGAUGAUUAUUCUUUUCUUAGGCUUAUUCUGAGAUAUAUGACACACUUACUGUGCCCGAAGACCUCAAAGGGUAAAACCGAAACAUGGCUCAUGGUUGUUGUCACGGCACUGUACCUGAAAAUGUGUUGCAGGUUUCAGGGUAUGAUGGCCUGCGAACGCUCUAGGUGCACAAUGUGAUGGUCUCCAGUGGCUUGUAAUAACAUUCGGCGAGAUUUUUGUUCGCUAAAAUAAAUUUUAAGAGUAGCUAAUUGUUCGAUACUGUGAAUUCUGAGCUCAUCUCAUAUGAUAUCAUUGUAUCACAGCAGCCCCCACUUCCCUUGACCUUUCCACAGAAAGAUAUUUUCUUGUUAUAUUGACAGAAAUCAAAAAACAAAACACUAUAUCGCCAUCCGAUAGUACCAUAUCCAGUACAAACAUUAGAGGAUCACAACUACCAAUUGUAGGCAUUGGUAUAAAUCAUUCUAAAGUAUACUGUAAUGAAGGCAAAAAAAGGACCACAACAACAUAGACUAAACCAUUUCACCAGAAUAAGCAAGCAAGUAAUAAGUUUUCUCAACUUCCCCAUGCCACUCUUGGGUAACUUUUACUACAAAAGCUAUUUCAUCUGUACAUCUAAAACAUACUAAGCAAUAUGACUCAUAAGAGGUCAAUAUGUCUCAUGGUACUUCAACUCUGCUUCCUAGUACAACUAGGCCAGACUGAAGCAAAGGUUUCGGCAGUCAUAGUGUUCGGAGAUUCAUCUGUUGAUGCAGGUAACAAUGAUUAUAUUCACACGAUUGGUAGAAGCAAUUUUCCACCUUAUGGUCGCGAUUUCUAUGGUGGAAAAGCCACCGGACGAUUCUGUAAUGGUAGGUUGAGUACUGACUUCAUAUCAGAGGCAUUUGGGUUGAAACCUGUGAUACCGGCUUAUUUGGAUCCUGCUUAUACAAUCAAGGAUUUCGCGACCGGAGUCACAUUUGCUUCUGCAGGAACUGGGCUUGACAAUGUUACUUCAGAUCUUGUUGUAAGUUAACACAGAUUUUGAUUUGAAUAUAUAAAACCUGACUUCUUAUUAUGUAUAAUUGAUUUACGAGAUUAUCGUUUUUUUCAGUCUGUCAUACCAUUCUGGAAGGAAAUGGAAUACUUCAAAGAGUACAAAAGAAACUUGACAAAAUUCAUGGGGGCAUGUAAAACCGAUGAACUGUUACGUGAAGCUUUGUACAUUUUGAGUAUUGGAACCAAUGAUUUUCUAGAAAAUUACUACCAAGUUCCUAUACGAUCAUCGCAUUACACUGUCGAUCAAUAUGAGAAUUUUCUUCUUGACUUAAUGAAGAAUUUUGUCUUGGAUAUAUACAAACUAGGUGCUCGGAAAAUUGCGUUAACAUCAUUUACAGCAUUUGGUUGCUUACCACUGGUAAGAACUACAAAUCUUUUCCAAGGGCGUGCUUGUAGGGAAGAUUAUAACAAGGUGGCUAGAGAAUUGAAUGUGAAACUUAACACAUUGAUAAUCAACUUAAACAAGGAGCUUAAAGGAAUCCAAGUGGUUUAUUCUGGUGUCUAUGACACCUUGAUGAAUGCUAUUCAGAAACCUUCUUCAUAUGGUCAGUUUUCCUUCAUUCUUUUUCUUUUCGUUGUGUGUUUUUGCAUUGAAAGAUUGUUCUAUAAUCCACCAUUCUUAUUGAUGUAAUCGUCGUAAAUUUUAUCUCGUAGGAUUUGAAGAUGUUGCGGAUGGAUGCUGCGGCACAGGAUUAUUUGAGACAGCAUUCCUAUGCAACAAAUGGGAGAAAAAAACAUGCAAGGAUGCAAACAAGUAUAUAUUUUGGGAUUCAAUUCACUAUUCUGAAAAAAUGAACAAAGUAGUUUCUGAUCACGCAAUGAAGAACGCUUUUGCUCCAUUUUUAUAAAAUCAUAUCAUACAUUGUCCAAUGUCCAUGAUACAAAAAUGUUGUUUUUGUUUUUUUAUUGGCAAACAAGGUUGAAGGACCCGUAGGGUCCCUACCCCUUUAAAUUACGUCUGGAAACUUAUAUUAACAAUCAGUUGUUGACGUGUUUCAAAUCCACAACCUCUCCACUUUGUGAGAGGGAUGCUACCAUUGAGCCACAAGCUCAUUCAAAAAAUGUUGUUACACCAUGUGUUGUGUGUAUAUACACCACACAGUCUUGAAUGAUUUUUGAAUGAACACAACAGCUUAUGAUUUGGUUCAGUAGUCAGGAGAACAAGAUUUUUUUUUAUGCCCAUGUUAUGGAAGUAGACAUACUGUAUAUCCAUUUAAAUGAGGUAGUUGGCUUUGGCAACUGUUAUAGCAGCUAUUAAAGGUUCUAUAGAAAGGCCUCAUGCAUGUCAGAGUGUAUUAGAGGUGGAGGGAAGUGGAAUAGUUAGUUUCCAUUAAUAAGAUUCAACUACUUCUGGAACUUGAUUUGAUAUGUGAUCUUAACUAUUUUCUACAGACUGCUUUACAAUAAAUUCACCCCUCUUCUCAGUUCCAACUACUUAUAUCUCUUUAAUAGAAACUUGAGCAAACUUUCACACACUGUUUUGUUUGGUGAAAUGUUAUCUAUCAAUUGUAAGUUAUGACCUGAGCAGAUCAGUGCAGUUCUACAAAGACUUCUACUUGGUCUUCCAUACAUAGUUCAAAAUGCCGAUUUCAAGCAAAAUUUCGAAUCCUGAAAAAACGGAUUUUGCCAAGAUUUGGACUUUAGAAAUCAAUUUGGAAGCCGAGUUGUGGAUAUUCACAAAGUUCCGUGAAUUCGAUUUCUCAAAUAUUAGCAUAAUUUGUGGGAUAUCCCCGAUAUUUUGAACUAUGCUUCCAUAUACAUGGAGAUUGAAUGCUUCCAUAUACAGUACAUGGAGACAUGCAUGGCUACUGAAACCAAGAUUGAAGCAAUGUGUGAUCACCAGAAGCAUCGAUUACACUUUCAGAUAUCAAAAAACAUUGAUAGAAAAGGUUUUAGCGCAGAAUAAAUCAACAAAUAUGGCUCACCUCAUCUCUGGACAGUAACUUGAUGUCUGUAAGAAGAAGUGAUCAACAAGAAAAGGAUCCCAAUCUUGUCAAGCCUCGACUAGAACAUAGAAAAGGAACAAAUAUAACACAAAGUCCUUACAUAAACCCAAGUGAAUAUUCUAAUAAGUUUAAUAAAAGGCAUAACAACAAUAAAUAUAUACUGCUCUAUGUAUGUGCGUGGGUGGGGGGGAUCGAGGCACCAUGGUUAUGUGUUCCACAUAUUUAGCAAAAACUGUCUCUCCUAACAUCUUUUGGUCUAAACAAUAUGAAGAAGAAUAUAUCUGAUAGUCUUGUAAAAUUAACCUACUUAUAAAGCACCCACAGUCUAAAUGUUUAGAAUUCACGAAGAGCUCUUGAAACGUGUCUUGAUCCAAGACUCCAGUGACUGUAGCUCUUCAUUGCUGAUUGAAUGCCCAAGAUUUGGGUAGGCCUGCAAGACAAAAAAAUUAUUAGUAUCAAAACGAGUUAUUUUGCGGGAAUUGGGAUAAAAAUGUGUGACAAACUACCUUGAAUUCACAGCUUACGCCAACUUGUUCUAAGAAAGGAGGGCCUGCUUGUCCCGCUUCAAACAACACAGUUCUGUCUGCAAUACCAUGGGACCACAGAAAAGGUGUCUGCAAUAAAAUGGAGUUUUAGAGCACACAUCAUUACAUAGACAAAUGAGGUAGACAGGACAGUGGUAAGAACUCUGAUAACGAACUAUGCUAUCCAUCUAACCAGCUUAUACACCUUUGCUGGAUCAUUCAUAGCCUUUUCAUUUUCAUACUGAGGUUGAGGAUGAAGCCUCAUUAACAUCUAAUAAGCUCUUGCAAGCUAAUUUACCUAAAAAGGUUUAGUUUUUUAUUGUAUUCUAUUACUAACUUUGAAACCCGAGAGACAAAUCUAAUUGAGUGUUUUUGUAGCUUAAGAGUAUUUUUAUCAAAUCAAAUCUUGAUAUUGUACGCCUAAGUAAGAAUUGGAGAUCCCUUCUACUCCAAUACAAGUGACACAUUCAAUGCUUCAGAAAUAUGUAUGUGCAAAUUAUCAGUUCACAUAUGAAUUAGAUUAGACUCCCAUAUUAUCCAGGUAGACAAAAUGAGUCCUUAUAAAUAGAUAAAUUACAUCCAAUUCGUUAAUCGCAUCACUAUUCAUAAAUUUAUUAUUUAGAAAAAAAAAAAAAUCUUCCACAUUGAAAUUGAUUUACCUUCCUUGCCUCUGGAGUGAUACGUUCCAUAAUCUUUGAGCUGAAAGGAACCCACCCACUAAAAACUGCACCUCCACCUAGAGUUUUUGGGUACAACAACACACUAGCCAAGGUCAAGGCACCUGCAAAACACAACAAAAUCAGUGAUCCACUACUGCGCAUUCCUGAUGUCUAUUGACGAAGUAAAAAAUAAGUCGAGUAAGAUGAAGGAUCAAUCACAAAUUCAAACCUCCUUGACUGAACCCACAGAUGAAUAUGUUCUCAGGAUUAGUUCCAGCAGCUAUCUCUUUGUCUAUCAUUGCAUGAACAUUCUGAACCGCCUUGAGCACACCACUUUCAUCUUUUGGCGAUGCCUAAUUCAAUUCAGCAAACUUUACUAUACAAUUCUAGAAAAAUGGAAUUCUGAAGACAUAAUUUUAUACAUAAAUCUAAUCUCCAACAUUUUGCACAGACUAGAUGUGAGUCACUGUAUUGUGCAAUUGUGACAUAAACAUUUAAACCCCUCACCAUAUUGGUUAUGCCCAUCUAAAAGUUUACAUGUGAAAUAUGAACACAAGAGAACUUCUACAGAAGACAAUAUUAUUGUGGAUCCAACGCUUCUUAUUUCGGCCAUGUAAUGGAGAAUAGGCUGAUAAAAAGCUACCAUCGAAACUUUGAGAUAUACUUCAGUCUAUACACAUGGCAGACAUUUAAUCCAAGAAAAAGCUGUACUUUUAAGGCAUUGAGUUUAUAAAUAUUUAAUGCCCCACAAAGUGACAUUGAAGAGUUAUUAUAAGUUAAGGGAUAGUAUGAGAAACAUGCCAGUUUAAAGUCAGGUCUUGAGGUCAAGAAACAGGUAGUGGAACCAAAGAGCUUUGGAAAAAAAGAUGGAAGGCGGUGAGAGAAAACCUAUACAAGGAGUGGCAACUGUGCAGGUUUGUCCGUUUGUAUUCUGGCAUCUUGUGUUGAUACAAAAAGCCCAACAACUUGUGGCGAAUCCAGGACAGAUACAUUUUAGAUCAUGCAAACCUCUUGCACAUUCUGCAACUAGAUACAGCCUCAGUUUAAGGUAUUAAGUCCAAAACUCAGAAAAUCAUUGUUACUCGUUGUAGCAAUUUUAAUGUCCAAAACAUCACGUGCACAUACAAGUUAAAAAUAAGUUUUGUAUCUACCAUGAAGAUUUUAGUUUCUACCAAAGAAUUCUUCUUCAGAAACAUGGGGAUCUAGACUCAAAUCUCCAACGAUCCUACAAAGUGAAAUUAUAUCGGGAGUAAGGGAGUACAACACAAUAUAAAAGGUAACACAUGGGUAUAGGCAUCUUUUGUCAUUAAACCUUAGCAAGUGCAAUCCUGUCAGGUUUUUCCAAGUAAACUACAACAAAACUAUACACUCUGCUUCUCCUAAAGUAUCUCCUCACAGUUGUUAUCACUUUGGCCUUAAACAAGUCCUACAUCUCAUGUGUCUAUUACAGGUUUCAUUUUCAAUUUUAGUGUAAAUUUUCACAAGACAGCUAAACAACUGUUUUAUUGCCUUUGUUACACAGGUAUGCACUACACUUCAACGAACUAGAAGAAAUCAGCAAUUCCACUAGAUCCUAUGUCCAAUGUCGAAGCUAACCAAAGUUGCAGACAAUGGGAAAACACAACUUACAGCGGUAAUAGGUAUCUCAAAGAUGUCAAACCAAGAAGGCAUUACAGAACCAUCUGCAAAAAUGGAACUUAAGUAUCAAUGAUAUGUACUUAAACUAGUCCUUAUUAAGAGAACUCAAGAUGUUUUUCCAGUGAUCCAAGAAUUGCCGAGCACAGAAGAAUGCUGUUAAAAAAGAUUUAUGUUCUGAAGAAACAAAAUCAGGAUUUCUUAAUAGGACUGGUCAAAAUCUAGGAAGCACGGACACUUCUACAAAUUCACUGUGUCAGUGUCGGACACUGCUCGGACACGGACACGGCUUCGGACACGGCUUGGACACGUGUCCGACACGGCACAUGCGUGUCCCAUGUGCCGUUCAAUCUGGACACUUCUUGGACACUGUUCUGGACACGGCUUGGACACUGUUUUGGACACAGAUAUGUUCCUAAGUCCUAAUUUAAGACGAAUUGUAAUAUCUUUCCAACCGUUUCUCUUUCAUGCUUUAUGAACUAUGAAUGCAUAUGAUACAUGACAUGAUUUCUAAUAUAUUAUUGAUAUACCAUAAUUUUUUAUAUAUAUCUAAUUGCCGUGUCCGUAUCCUAAUUUUUGGGAUAUACAAGUGUCGCCGAGUCCGUGUCCGAGUCCGUGUCAGUGUCCGAGUCUGUGCUACCUAGGUCAAAAUAUUAGUUCGAACAAGGUUGGGGAUAAAUGCUUUGUAAGCUUCCCCUCGACUAUAGCAUUUAUAAAAAAAAAAUCAGGAUUUCUUGAAGUUAUAACAAGACUCCAACAAUAUUUACAAAGUCGAAAAGUGAAUACGUUAAUUUCUUUAUCCAAAUGCUCAAUUAUAAGGGAUCAAAAUCAGUGCAUUCAGUUUCCCAGAAGUUCUUAAAAUUCCACUAAAUCAAUCUCAGUUUACAAUAGAUUUUUCCACUAACAUUCUUAUUAUCACCAAGAGAAUAGUAAAAAAAAAAAGACUGAGAUUUCGACAGAACCUCAAACUGGGGGAAAUUAAUCGAAAUAGUUUCUCCAAAAUUUCGACAACAAACUCAUCCAAGUAUCAUAAAAUAAAAUGGAAAUAUUCCAUCCCCAUUUACUAAAAACCCCUAAAUUUUCGGUUAAACCUCGCAAAAUUUUAUAUAAAUAUGCAUCAAAUUCUUUGAAACCCACCAAAAAGCUUAACAAAAACCAUUCAUUGAUACCAUAAAAUCAAAAUAAAACAUACCCACAUCAAAAUUUCGACAACAAACAACCAGUGUCAAAAUUUCUCCCAAAGUAUCAUUAAAAAAUCAAAAUAUUCCAUCCCCAUUUUCUAUAAAACCCUAAAUCUUGGGCAAACCUCUUAAAAUUUUACAUAAUAUGCAUCAAAUCCCUUAAAACCCUCCAAAAAACUUAACAAAAACAAUUCAUUGAUACCAUAAAAUCCAAAAUAAAACAUACCCAGAUAAAAUUAAGCAUUCUAUAAAUAAUAACAUUCAUAAUAAAAUUAAAAAAAAAAAAUCAAUCAUAAGAAUCUAAGAAAAAAUCAUGGAAAACACAAUGAUGGGGUUGAAGAAAAACUGCAAAAUGAUCAAAAAAUACUUACAGUUACAAGAGACAGGAUUUGAAGGGGCAGAAGGAAAAGACCAAGUAGUAUUUUUAAACAAAGAAGAAGUGAAGAAAGUUUUAAUAGGUUCAUUUGCAGGACCAGAAUCACCUAAACCAUGAAGCCAAAGAACAAAGCUUUUAGCCAUUGGAUUUGGUUUUUGAGAAGAUGGGUUUUGUUGGAAAAAGAAAAUGAAGAAGAUAGUUGUUGUAAAUGUUAAUGUCAGAAGUGCAAAGGGUUUAAUGAAUUUCUUCAUAUUUAAAUGGAAAAUGGAAAUUUAUAUAUUUUUCAUUAAAAUGCAGAAAAGUAAGGGAGGACUUAGGAGAAUGUAACAAGACAUUAUUACCCUCUUUCUUUUCCAUAAUGCUUAUUAUAUCCCAAUUCUGUAUAACUGAACUUCUGCAGUUGAAUUGUUGUCCAUGACGGAUGACCAUAGUUCAAAAUGCCGAUUUCAAGCGAAUCCUUGAAAAAUGGAUUUUACCGAGAUUUCGACACUAGAUAUCAAAUUAGAAGCCGAGUACUUGGAUAUUUGUGGAUAUUUAUAAAGUUUUGUGUAUCCAAUUUCUCAAAUAUCGGCAUAAUUCGUGGGAUAUCCGCGGGUAUCUUUGAUAUUUUGAAGUAUGUUGAGGACUCCAUUCAACCAACAUUGGUUCCAAGGAAGAAAGUGUUCUUCUAAGCAUCAAUUUACCUCGCAUUUCAAGUACUGUAUCUAUGCAAAUAUUGAGAAAACGCAAACACAAAGCUCCUCCUUCAAUGUUAUUAACAUUUUUUUGUAAAAUCCCGAAGAAGGUUACGUCACUAUUUUCGAGCUUUCGAAGGAUAUUACAUUUGAAACUAGGCCUUAUAAUUUAUUUGGGAGAUCUUAUUGACACCGAUGAUGUUCGUCAAAAACCCAACUGAAAUAAAAUUAUUUGGAAAACCCAAACUGACAAUUAUUUUUUUCCAAAAUUACCCUUUAACCCAUUUAAAACUGGAUUUCUUCCUCUAUCUUCUUCCUGUUCCUACCACAGUACUAUCUUUGCUUCUUGAAAACUUAGAUAUUUAAACAAACGAGUUGUUUUAAUUAAAAACCUAGACCAAUAAAUAUUUAAACAAACACGUAUAAACCUAGACCUAGAACCAAUAAACCUAGAAGCAUUUUUUUUUUUUCUUUUUAUAAAAACCUAGAACCAAUAAAUAUUUCUAAUUGGUAAGCAAAUAGGGCACAAUCAAACACUGUGUCAUUCAAUAAUUGUAUGACUUUAAUAAAUAUAUCAAAUUAAAUCACUUAGUAUAGAUUACAAAGAGAGAAGAAAGAUUUAUUCCCACAAAAAAAUGUGAUUUAUUUAAUUUUUUUAUUCCUUGAACUUUUGAUUGGGUUUUUGACAAGUUAUGAUGGGUGUUUGAUCAAAACAAACUAAUUGUUUAAAGGGUAUAGUUACAAAGAGAGAAGAAAGAUUCAUGUUGGGUUUUUGAAGAUUUUUGAUUAGUUGGGUUUUUGACGAGUUCAUUGGGUGGCAAUAAGAUUUCCCUAUAAUUUUUGUAACGUAGAGAAUAUGUUGGUCAUAGCUAAAGCAAAUUUUUAAACAACAAUGACGUAAUAGUCUUAUGAUGAUGUGGUUAGGUGUUCUUCCACGAUGAUGAUGAUGUGGUUAGGUGUUCUUCGGUGAAAGCAAGUUUUGAGUAGCAGAAUUGCUCGAGUUGCAAGGUGGUGAUGUGGACACUUAGAAGGUAGCAUCAGUAGUCUUUGGGCCUUGUCUUUGUAAACCCUUUGGGCCCUGUCCUUGUAAGCCUUCGGGCCAUGAUUAAUAUACAGGGAUCCUAAUUGCUGCCAACAUACACCAUGGAAAGCGAAAUGUGGUGAAUCAUAGCGGGCUUCAACGGGCGGUUAGAAAUGCUUAAAAGUUUCGGGCUCGGAGGAGGCAUUAAGUCCUUUAUAUGUACCAUUGGCCUCCAUCAAGUCUUCAGGUAUUCCUAAUUUCCAACAACUCGGCCCAGAUAUUGGAGAACACACUUUGCUUUUGGCUGUGUUUUGCUCCUUGCGCCAUUGUCCACUCGCAAAUUAAUAUGUGGCACACGCAGUAACGGAGCUAACACCAUAGCAUUAUUGUGUGUGCCACAUGUUAUAAACUGAUUUAUUAUUAUAGAUCAAAAUUAGCAAAUUUGUUUCAACUUUGAACCUGAAUAUAGACAGUCCAUUUGGAUUCCACAUAUUCUUCUAUCUUCAAUCAUUUUCAGAUAAAAUAGAUUCCCAUAAGACCAGGUAAAACAUUUGUCCUCCUGACAUCUUCACCACCCAAACAUAGAAACAAGGGUAGUGUUCUAUAAUUAAACCUCCAAAAACAAGGCUUUAUGGCCUAAAUAUAGUAUGCAGAUGACCCCUUUAUAUUUAUAUACUUGUGGCCAUUUGAUACAUAAAAAGUUCAAACUUCUAGUGUAAAAAGGUAAGGACUAAAUCAAUAACCAUGGCCAUGAAUAAAGUUUUCUUACUAUGCAUGAUUGCAUUAUUUGUUAGUUUUCUUUAUUGAAAACUACAAAUGCUACUCCUAUUGGUUAUGGAGAAAUGGACAAACAUCGCAUACCUUGUAAGAAGUAUGGUCAUUGUGCACCUCCUCAACAAGCCAACCGCUACACCAGACCUUGCCUUAAAUCAGAACGUUGCAGGGGUGGAACUGCCAAUCGCAGAACUACAGAAGUAAAGGUUGACAAAGAGGAUAAAGAGCAGAUGCUAGAGGUUGAAAACACAGCCACAGACUCUACUCCAACACAAGUUGAUGACUUUGUUGAACAAGAUGUGGUUGUUCUUGGACACUAAUAUAUUUUUCCCUGGAAUUUUACAUAUUUUUUGUAUCCAUUGUAUUGCAUUCUUAUUAAGAAAAGAAAACAGUAAAUAAAAGAGAGGUUGAUAGUCUGAAUUAUGGAUCUAAGCGCAUAAUUUAGUGUUUAUUCUUUUAUUUUACAUGCGCAUUUGUUUUACCUUACUUUAUUUCUUACAUGCAAAGCAUCGAUCUAAAAAAUAAUUACAGCUAUAUAUGAAUGAGGAUUUGCUCAUCCAGGUUCACCUAAAAGUUACGGAAUAGAACUCGUUAGACAUCAACCAAAAUGUAGAAUAUGUUUACUGUCUAAAUGUCCUCUGACAUGGAACUUGUCAGCCACAAGCAAUGAGCACUGUUAACAUUAUCGAACUCUUUUUAUACAACAAUGACAUGAUGGUCACAUGAUGAUGUGGUUGAAACCGGCACGAAGUGGUUUGACAUCAAUUUUGUGACAAAGUGUCUUUGGUUAUCUCGCCUUGAAUUCAUUGUUAGGAAAAUCAAGAUGUACGCAUGGUCGUCUCGUGUCCUUGUGUCUCUUAGGUCUGUCCAGGAAAAGUUAUUAGGUUCUGGACGUACGUACCGGAUUAGAACGUACGUACGUCCACUGAAGCAGCAAACAUCUUUUGGUCAGGACGUACGUACGCAGUUAGGACGUUCGUACGUCCAAGUAGGCAGCAGACGUGUUUUCGUAUGGAGACGUACGUACCGAGUUAGAGCGUUCGUACGUCAUGUUAGGCAGCAGGCUUUUUCUUGUGUGACGACGUUCGAACGUCAUAUCGACGUACGAACGUCCAAAGUCGGUUUGCACUGUUUCGGCCCAUUUUCCUUGGUUUUCAACCCUAAGUAUAAAUAGGGUUUCUCUUCCAUAGAACAAGUUAGUUCUUUGGCCGUCCAUUCUUCUUCUAGUUCAUGUGUUUUGGUUAGGUUUUUGAUAUUGAAAGUGUUUGUGGCUAUUGAACUCAAUUCCCUUCCUUCCCCCUUUUCUCAAUUCAUAUCUUUGUGAUCUUCAAGAGUUAAUUGUGAAUUCGGCUUCGAGUCUUCUUGUGUGUUCAUCAAGAAGUCGAGUGUCUUGUGCGUACAUCAAGGUGCUCUGGUGAAGUCAAGGUGUUAGAGAUAACCAGGAGUAUCAACUCGCAGUGAGUGCAGGUAGUUGAUAGGUUUGUACAUCUCUUUUCAUCUAGUGGAUUAUUUUGUUGUCGCGAGGACAACCGUGGACGUUUCCCUGUUUGGGUUUUACCACGUUAAAAAUCUCUGUGUGUUAUUUACUUUCUGCGUAUUGUUUGUUUGCUUGUUUGAAUUCACAUUUGUUAUACUAGCACUAUUUGUAGUUUCUCAAUUGGUAUCAGUCGCUGGGGGCUGGUUAAGGAGCGUAAAGGCUCACGCUAACGAUCAAUAGUGCUUUAUGGAAUCUCACAAGUCUGCUACUUCAAGUCUUCCUCCACAAUUCAGUGGAAAGGACUUUGGUCAUUGGAAAGUACGUAUGCGAGCUUAUCUCCAAGCAUUAGGAGAAGAAGUCUGGCUUUCUGUUGUCACAGGGUGGAAAGAACCUCUGACUACUACAGGUACUGAUGAUACUGCUGUUACAUCACUGACGCCACGUGAAAAGUGGACGCCUGAACAGAAGUUGUUGGCAAAUUAUAACAACAAGGCACUCAAUGCUAUUUUCAUGGCAUUAAAUGCUAGUGAGUUUCGUAGGGUGCAGGGCUGUGAAGAGGCUAAAGAUGCAUGGAACAGGCUUAUCUGUACACAUGAAGGUGACGAAACAGUCAAAGAAAGUAAGCUGGAACUGUUAACAUCUCAGUUUGAGAAUCUACGGAUGGAUAAUUCUGAGACCUUUGAUGAUUUCUUUAUUCGUCUCCAAGACAUCAUCAACUGCAGUGCGGCUAUUGGUCAUGCAUAUACUGACACACAGGUGGUACGUAAGAUAUUGCGUGCUUUGCCUCCUCGGUUUCGUUCACGUAAGGAUGCCAUCACUGAGAGUAAUGUGAUUAAGAACAUGUCCAUCGAGACACUUGCUGGCAAACUAAGGACAUGUGAGAUGGAACAGGCUUUGGAAGAACCUUUGAAGAACAAAUCUGUUGCAUUCAAAGCUACAUCGUCUAAAGAACCUUCCACAGGACCCUCUGAUGAUGAAGAACAUGAUGUGGAUGAUAACUAUGCGUUUCUGUCACGUAGCUUUCAGAAGAUUCUGAAAUAUCAACAGAAUCGAGAUCCUCGAAAGCGAUUUCCUGAUUCCUCAAAUGCUCCUAGAAGUCGUGGUUUUGAGCGGUUCUCUGUGGAUGGGAGAAGAGCUCGAGUUGAUCGUAAAGAUGUUCAAUGUUACAAGUGUCGUGAUUAUGGACACUUUGCAAAUGAAUGUGACAAGAAGGUGGAUCGCAAACCUGGUGAUAAUUCCAAAGCGAAUCUCACAGUAACAUGGGAUGAUUCAGAUGAAGAUGAUGAUGGGAAUCUCUCAAAUGUUGUCUCCAAUUAUGUGGUCUUCAGUGCAUCCUUGGAUGAACAUCCAGGAGGUAUUGUAUCCUCUUCUGCUGAUAUUAAUGUUUCUGAUUCUGGUGUUCAUGCUACUACUAGUGAAUUAUGUGACAUGUAUAAGUUUUCUAUGCAACAAGUAAAGUUGCUUGAAAAAACUAACACCGUCUUGCAGGAUCAGGUAGAGAGUCUUGGACAGGAUAUAUGCAAUCUUACAGGUGAUUCCAACAUGUUGAAGGAAGAAUUUGUGAAGGAAAAGGAGGAUUUCCAAGUGCGUAUUGUCACUCUGGAAAAGCUGAAUAAUGAUCUGGAGACACGGUAUCGAUCCCUUGUACUGGAGCAUGAGAAAGUAAAGGCUGAGUUGUUUGCUGCUAACAAACAAUUGGUUGGGUUUGGUAAAGCAAGUGCUAAUCUAAACUCUCUGUUGGGAAUCGGUAAAUCUCAUUCAGAUAAAUCUGGUUUAGGUUAUGACACAUCUGUUCCCCUUGCUACUGCUAGCACUUCCCGCACUACCUUUGUGCGACCAACAAGUGUCGCUAUUCCUGCUCCUGUGCAGGUGUCUAGUGUGGUAUCACCACCCAAGGUUACUCAUGUAAAGCAUGUUCGGAAAAAGAACUCUAGACACAAAGGCUUUAAAUGUCUAACAUGUGGUCGCAUGGGUCACACUUCUGCCUUUUGUUGGAAUAAUUUGUAUCCUGCUCAUCAUCCUUCUUUUGCAGGUAACUCAUAUUGGAACAAGUCUUCCACCUUCUCCAUGCAGGCUCCAUACAUGUGGAAUGGCUAUGCUCCGUGGGGUUUACCCAGAACUUCUCCUUAUGGAAACCGUCCUCAAGCAACACCCAUGCCUACUCCACCACCACAUUUCUGGGAUAGGAGUAUGGAUGCAUCCAGGAAAAUGGUGUCUCACAUGGCUCGUUUGGUUGAACCAUUGCCUUCAUCAUGGUAUCUUGACAGCGGUUGUUCGCGUCAUAUGACAGGUGAUAAGACUCUGAUUGAUAACCUGACUCUUGGUUAUGGAGGUAAGGUUAGGUUUGGUAAUGGUAAAAUGCUUCCGGUUGAAGGUAAAGGUAACUUUUCUGAGGUUGAAUCGCUCAAUAGUCAUGAGCUUCUUUUUGUUAAGGGUCUUAAGUCCAAUCUAUUGAGUAUUAGUCAGUUAUGUGAUGCUAAAUUUAAGGUUGUGUUUGAGGAUAAUAGGUGUGAUGUUUUUGAUUCCAAUCAUAUCUUGGUGUUAACUGGUAGUCGCUCAUCUGACAACUGCUUCAUUGUCACUACACCUCUUCCGCAUUCAUAUGCCUAAUGUGUUCAUUGGAAAUGUCUGUGUUUAGGAUAAUUAGGUUCGGUUAUUUAUUAUUGUUGGUAUUGAGGACAUACUACUUCUCUAUUGUGUGGAUUCCAUUUUACAGAUGUUUCUAGUUUGGCGUCCUCAACUGCUUGUGUAUCAUGCAUAGUUGUAGGGUUACAUCAUACUCUCUUUGUCUUGGUAGUUUCUUACAUGAUGCAUUUACAUGUAGUUGGAUUGUCGUUUUGCAUACCUGUAUAUCUCCGGUCUUCUAUGAUUUACUUUCAUGAUCAUCGUCUUCCUUCAUAUGUUUUUACCUCUUGUAAGUGGUCAAUGACUCACAAAAUCCCCAGCCAUUUGAAUGUCUUGAGAGCAUACUCAUUUGGCUAAGAACCCGUUGGGGCUGUGAGGGUCAUGCUCUGACGGAUGCACUCAGGAGAUGUUAGUUCUUGUGUUGCACGUUACCAUGGUAUUGCACUUCUUGAGUGUGUUUUGCCAAAAAGAUGUAGGCUACACCCUACCCUCGUGUUCUGGCAAAAGAUGGAGAUAUUACAUACUCCCACACGGGAAUGGCAUUUGUUUCAAAUAGUUUUAUAAACAAAAAAAAAAAAAAAAAAAAAUGCAAAGUGGCUUUCGCAUUUGUCCGGUUGAAUGACAAGAAGAACCGAAAUAUUGUGUGUUUCCUUGGUUUUGUUGUGAUCCGGUUCACUUUCACAAUGGUCUAGUAGCAAGUGACUUUCUUUAUUCUCAAUGAUCAUGUUUUUAGUUUGUUUCCGGAGAUUGGUAUUGGUCUAUAAGUAUCGUCUACAUGCUUGCAUCAUUCUAGUAAGUACCAUGCCUUGGUGUAUGAUGUCGUUCUUCGAUUUUGCAUUCUCUUGUGGUUGAGGGUUGUUUAAACUGUAUUCGGUUGUAAUUGGAAUACGUAUGAUAAGUAGAAGUGUUUUCUUGUGAUGUCUCUCAAUAUUUGUUUUUGGGGUUAUGUGGUUUAUUAUCUAGCUGUUAGGUUGGUUCUUUCUUUUUCAAAAAAAAAAAAAAAAAAAAAAAAAAAAGAGGGGUACGUACGUACGCUUUCAUGACGUUCGUAUGUUUGGGGGGACAGAUCUUUUUGAAACGUACGAACGUUCCUAAGACGUACGAAUGUGUUCUUAGUCAGAUCUUUGGUUUUUGGGGCUCGACGUACGAACUUCCUAGAACGUACGAACGUCUCUGUUACAGUUCGGCCCAUUUGCUGUUUAAAAACCAAAUUUUUUUUUUCACACAAAGCCAACUGUUAUAUAAAUCGUGUUUCCCUCCUUGGCACUCUACAAGCAGUUAGUUUUUGGUUAGUUUUCCCUCAUUGUCUUAGGAGAUUCUCUUCUCUCUCGUCUUGUUUGAAAUUUGUUCAUCUUCUCUUCUCAUUGUUUUGGUCCGGUGUGUUGGUCGUCAUCCUCAAUCACCAUCUCUUGUAAGUUUUAUUGAUCUCUCUUUCUUCUCCAUUGUCAUGUUUUGUUGAUUGCUUGGUUAUACUUUAUAGUAUUGUCAGUUAAGGUUGUAUGUUUACAUGAUGAAUCAAUGGAAAUUGGUGUUUCGAUACUCAAUCUUUCAUUUUUUUUGUUGUGGACAACCUUGGGAAGUGUUUUGUUCAUGGUAUCUGCUAUUGGUUAUGUUUUGCCGUGUGUUUGGUUGCUUGCCUUUGCUACAUUGUUGUCAAUACCAUGUAUUAAGAUUAUGCACAUCAAGUGUUUGAUGAAAUGCCUCUAUGGGCUUGAAUUUGGUUAUUUUGUCAAUUUUCUUACAUUAUUGGUUUGUUUACUGUUGUGAUUGUGUAGACAAUGGCUUCUAAGCGCGCACGCACCACUCCCAUCUCCACGGCAUCCGCGUCUAAGGGUGCAUCAUCUUCUCGCGCUCCGCGGGGUCGAGGCUCCACUCCGGCCUUGUCGCCUCCUCCCACAUCUCUUGGUGCUCAUCCUUGAGCAAAAGCUAUUGUUCCUGAGCGAUUCUUUGACUUGGCAGACAUCGCUGCUACUCCUUUUGGGGCUACUCAGCUUGGCAACAUAUCUCUAUUCUUUGAGACUCGGAAUUGGCUAAGGGUGGCUCAACCAAUCAUCAAGUACUCGGUUGAGCAUACGAUAGCCUUCUAUGAGACAAAGACACCUUCGCAAAAUCGCUCGAGUUUUUCGGUCUUGAUUGAAGGUCGGCGAUACACCAUUUCUCCUAAGGUGAUACGCGAGGCGUUGGGUAUUGAUGGUGACUUUAUUCCUGAAGAUGCUGUUUCUGUCAGAUGGCCCGUUCCGGAUACAAUUCAAAUUGACUUUGUCAAUCAGGUUCAGCAGAUGUUUAUUGAUGGUGUCACGGAAAGGUAUCAUGCCAAGCACUACAGCGCCAUCCUCUUGCACAUGGUUGCCCAUUCCAACAUCUACCCCUCCAAGGGCAACAAGAUUAUCAUGACCGACGACAUGGUCAAACUGGUGGUCUGUAUGUCGGUGCACCAUCUUCAUCUCUCUGAGGUCAUCUACACUCGAAUGCUUCAGAUCGAUGCAGCUAAGGGUACUCUUCCUUUCCCUAGCUUUAUAAUGACUAUACUCAAGCACUUGGGUUUUCAGGGACAGUAUAUGGGGGUGAGCCCUCCAAAGUUUGUUGGCCACGACUGGGUCAACGCUAUCAAAAAGGGCUGUCAGUCUAGGAAGGUUGCCUUUGAGUCUGUGGGUGCGCGUUUGACGCAUCACCUUAUUUGGGGAGGUCGGGCUCUUGAUCGCCAAGAUGAUUUUGAUCGGGCCUUGACGUCUGGACGCCCCAUCCCAGCCUCUGCUAGGGGGAAAUCGGGCUGUUGCAGCAAUUGAUGCUCGGGUCUCCUCUCUCCGACGUCAUCAGGACCAUAUGGAUGCUCGGUUAGAUCGUUUUGGGGUCAUUCUCUCUCGUCAUGAUGUCAUGAUCAGUGAUAUUCAUGCGAUGAACGUUGCUCAGAUGCGUCAUCUACAGCUGGACUUCACUCCCACAGACUUGCCUCCGUUUCCGGAAGAGGUGCCUCCAGUUCCAGGUGAGAGUGAUGGUGAUGACUCAGAGAGUGAGGACGAGGGUGAUGGUGAACACAGUGAUGGUGACUUGGACUCCGAGUAGUUGGUUUUCUGGCUUCCUCUUCCCAUUUUUGUACUUAUUUUUUUUGCUAUAUUGGUUUGUUUCUAUUUUUUUGGUAUUGUACAUAUUCUUGGAUAUUGCUAUUUUCAUAUUAGUUCAAGUUGGUUUCCUUGUUUUGCAGUAAAUUUUUCUGAGGUAAUGGACCUCUCUUCUUGGGCCCAUGAUAUGCUUACCCCUACUUUUCCUAUAAAUAGGGAGUCUUUUUCUCUUUCACUCCUAUUGUGUCUUCUUACUUCUUGCUAGUUCUCUCUUUGUUCUUCAGAAUCCUCUAUGGCAGAAUAUGAACUUCAUGGAAUUUUUGUUCCGACGGUUGGUUAUGUGUCGUUCAUGGUAAUGGAGUACAAGAACAACGCUAAGGUUUGUCGUUUAUGUCGCGUUCCCCAUGGAUAUGACUAUAUUCAUCGUCCUUUUCUUAAUCCUUGUUUGGUUCGUGUCAAUCAUUGGGAGAGAUUACCGGGACAUCUUCAAAAUCACAUCUUGGAGUUGGUUGGUUAUCCGAAGGUUCCAGGACUUGCUGCUCCACUUACCGACUGUGGCUUGGACAGCAGAAUUGAGGAGUUGUUUUGUAAGAGUGAAUGGCUGGAGGAUUAUGAUGAUCAUGUGAUUGCUCGGUGGAAUCGACCUUCGGCUCGUGCGGAAGCUUACUUCUCCAAGCUUCCUCUAGGUCAUUGGGAACGGGUUUUUUGAAUUCGUUAACUCAAGCCUUAUGUUUUUGUCGUUUUGUCUUUUAUGUUUAUGGAUUUCUCUGUUUGGUUAUUAGUUGAUUUUCUGAACUUUUAACAGUUGGGUUCGGUUUAUAUUUUUAUCUGUUUUGUAUUCAUUGUUUGGUAUUGAUUUCUUCUUCUUGGUUAUUGGUUUAUUGUUGUUCUUUUCCUUUGUUGGUUGGUUAUCUUGUUCACUUGUUGUGACAAAAAGGGGGAGAUUUAUGACUCUAAUUACUAACAAUCGUCUUCUUGUUGUUAGGUUAUUUUUGGGUCAUGUUUCAGGUAUGCUACACGUAUGGGGGAGUGAACGUGUUGAUGAUUUUAGACGUUAUAUUGUUAUGGGGGAGUUCGAGUGUCAAAAAUAUUUUAGAGCUCAUGAAGUAUGGGGGAGUUGCUCAUGAAGUUUGGAGCUCAUGAAGUAUGGGGGAGUUGCUCGAAGGAACUUCUGUUGAAUCCUUGAUUGCUUCGGAAAUUUCUAGUUGCUUCCGUUCGAUCUCUGAUGGUUAAAGCAUCUUCCUAAAGCUGGAUAACAAGAAUUGGUGACUCGUUAUGUGUUUCUAUUUUGAGUGAUUUUGUAGGCAUGUUUUAUAAAUGCCAUGGUUUGGGAUUGUAAGAACGUUUUAUAAGUGCUAUUAGAGUCAUAGGUUUUUGUCACAAAAUCAAUGUCAAAGGGGGAGAUUGAAACCGGCACGAAGUGGUUUGACAUCAAUUUUGUGACAAAGUGUCUUUGGUUAUCUCGCCUUGAAUUCAUUGUUAGGAAAAUCAAGAUGUACGCAUGGUCGUCUCGUGUCCUUGUGUCUCUUAGGUCUGUCCAGGAAAAGUUAUUAGGUUCUGGACGUACGUACCGGAUUAGAACGUACGUACGUCCACUGAAGCAGCAAACAUCUUUUGGUCAGGACGUACGUACGCAGUUAGGACGUUCGUACGUCCAAGUAGGCAGCAGACGUGUUUUCGUAUGGAGACGUACGUACCGAGUUAGAGCGUUCGUACGUCAUGUUAGGCAGCAGGCUUUUUCUUGUGUGACGACGUUCGAACGUCAUAUCGACGUACGAACGUCCAAAGUCGGUUUGCACUGUUUCGGCCCAUUUUCCUUGGUUUUCAACCCUAAGUAUAAAUAGGGUUUCUCUUCCAUAGAACAAGUUAGUUCUUUGGCCGUCCAUUCUUCUUCUAGUUCAUGUGUUUUGGUUAGGUUUUUGAUAUUGAAAGUGUUUGUGGCUAUUGAACUCAAUUCCCUUCCUUCCCCCUUUUCUCAAUUCAUAUCUUUGUGAUCUUCAAGAGUUAAUUGUGAAUUCGGCUUCGAGUCUUCUUGUGUGUUCAUCAAGAAGUCGAGUGUCUUGUGCGUACAUCAAGGUGCUCUGGUGAAGUCAAGGUGUUAGAGAUAACCAGGAGUAUCAACUCGCAGUGAGUGCAGGUAGUUGAUAGGUUUGUACAUCUCUUUUCAUCUAGUGGAUUAUUUUGUUGUCGCGAGGACAACCGUGGACGUUUCCCUGUUUGGGUUUUACCACGUUAAAAAUCUCUGUGUGUUAUUUACUUUCUGCGUAUUGUUUGUUUGCUUGUUUGAAUUCACAUUUGUUAUACUAGCACUAUUUGUAGUUUCUCAGUGGUUAGGUGUUCUCCCAGGAUGAUGAUGUGGCUAGGUGUUUGUGGGUGCAAAAUUUUGAUCCACAAACUCGAGAUGUAUAUAUAUUGAUCGAAUAGUUACAAUGAAAGCCUUGUAUAGACAGAGAUAAGAUGAGGGUAUACAGUGAGACUGGACCUGAUCGGGAUCAGGCUGCCUACGUAUCCAAGAUGAUGAACGUGGAAUCAAGUCUCUGCUUUCACUAAGCUCUAAUGGAGUUGCUCAGUGAAAGACUCGUAGUUCAGGAGGAUUAAAACUCUUGUAUUUGUAGUAGGCCGGAGGAGGCUGACUCAACCACCCCUCCGGUUUUGACUCCAUAAACUCAGGUAGUUCAUCUGUGAAGAUGCUUUCCAUAGAGAUAGCUUGCAUGCUGCCGAGCGGUUAUCUCUUUGGUUUGAAUUCCCUUUGACCAGGAUGACUGCCACGUGGCAUCCUCUGAUAGGUCCUGGUUCAACCUGGGUCUUCCUUUAUCUUCUCCAGCGGGCUAUAACCAUGGGUUCUGUUAGCCUAAAAUCUCGCUAGACUUAUCCAGUUGGUUGGGACUUGGAUUGACCAAGCCCGAAAGCAAAGACUUGGGCUUGACUCCUCUGACCAGAGGCCCAAUUUCCACUGCAUACUCCCAGGCCAGAUCCUCUGGACUUCUGUGUUAAGCCCUUUGGAUGAGCCUCUGUCGCUGCCGGACUUUACUGAGCCGGACCUGACCUACUUGACUAAGGUGGGUCUGGUCAAUGUAUGGGAGCCCACGGUUCAACUUCUUAUACAGUAACCGGGGAUCCACCCAUUGAUAGUGGACUAUCCGGUGAGUCAAGGUCCACAGAGCGUAUGUGGAUCCCUUGAAACCGGGUUGGGCCCAACCCGAUAGCCCAGGCUUGGCUGGCUAAUGUUCAAGUCCUCCCGGUUUAGCUUCUUAUACAGCCAUCGGUGACACCUGUCGGUUUUUUUUACCUAGAGUGCACACAGUGUUCUUCAGCGAAAGUAAGUCCCUGGGUAGCAGAAUUGCUCGAGUUGCAAGGUGGCGGUGUGGACACUUAGGAAGUAGCAUCAGUAGUCUUUGGGCCUUGUCUUUGUAAGCCCUUUAGGCCCUGUUCUUGUAAGUCUUCGGGCCAUGAUUAAUAUAUAGGAAUCCUAAUGGUUUCCAACAUACACCAUGGAAAACGAAAUGUGUUCCAUCAUAGCAGCCUUCAACGGGUGGUUAGAAAUGCCUAAAAGUUUCGGGCUCAAAAGAGGCAUUAAGUCCUUCAUAUGUACUAUUGGCCAUUUGGCCUACAUCAAGUCUCCAGGUAUUCCUAAUUUCCAACAACUCGAUCAGGUACUGAUCAGCCCAGAUAUUGGAGAAAACACUUUGCUUCUAGCAGGGUUUUGCUCCUUGCGUCAUUGUCCACUCACAAAUUAAUAUGUGGCACGCGCAGUAACGGAGCUAAUACCAUAGCGUUAUUGUGUGUGCCACAUGUUAUGAACUGAUUUAUUAUUAUAGGUCAAAAUUAGCAAAUCUGUUUCAACUUUGAACCUGAAUAUAGAGAGUCCAGGCCAUUUGGAUUCCACAUAUUCUUCUAUCUUCAAUCAUUUUCAGAUAAAACAUAUUCCCAUAAGACCAGGUAAAACAUUUAUCCUCCUGACAUCUUCACCAACCAAACAUAGAAACAAGGGUAGUGUUCUAUAAUUAAACCUCCAAAAACAAGGCUUUAUGGCCUAAAUAUAGUAUGCAGAUGACCCCUUUAUAUUUAAGAACCUUUGAAUCCAUAUACUUGUGGCCAUUUGAUACAUAAAAAGUUCAAACUUCUAGUGUAAAAAAGUAAGGACUAAAUCAAAAACCAUGGCCAUGAAUAAAGUUUUCUUACUAUGCAUGAUUGCAUUAUUUGCUUGUUUUCUUUUAUUGAAAACUACAAAUGCUGCAACUCCUAUUGGUAAUGGAGCAAUGGAUAAAGAUCGCAUACCUUGUAAGAAGUAUGGUCAUUGUGCACCUCCUGAACAAGCCAACCCCUACACCAGACCUUGCCUUAAAUCUGAACGUUGCAGGGGUGAAACUGCCGAUCGCAGAAGUACAGAAGAAAAGGUUGACAAAGAGGAUAAAGAGCAGAUGCUUGAGGUUGAAAACACAGCCACAGACUCUACUCCAACACAAGUUGAUGACUUUGUUGAACAGGAUGUGGUUGUUCUUGGACACUAAUAUACUUUUUCCUGGAAUUUUAUAUAUUUUUUGUAUCCAUUGUAUUGCAUUCUUAUUAAGAAAAGAAAACAGUAAAUAAAAGAGAGGUUGAUAGUGAAUUAUGGAUCCAAGCGCAUAAUUUAGAUUGGCUCAUCCAGGUUCAACUAAAAGUUACGGAAUAGAACUUGUCAGACAUCAGCCAAAAAUGUAGAAUAUGUUGCUGUCUAAAUGUCCUCUGACAUGGAACUUGUCAGCCCCAAGGAAUGAGCACUGUUAACAUUAUCGAACUCUUUUUAUACAAAGGAGAAAAGUGAUCCAUAUAUCUUCUCUCUUUCAAUUGUGUGAUUUUAUUUCAAUAUUCAUCGAUCGUGAAGGAAGAUAAGAGGGCCAAUCUGCUUUAAUUUAUUGCAAAUAAAAAAUAAAUAAAUAAAAAGAAAGCAAAAGAUUUCUAAUUCUAAAUUAAUUCUAACCAACCAUCGAUAUUACAUUAGAAAAACAUUACAGUCAUAACAAAAUAAUGGUGGCAGGUGACGUUUUGAAUAAAAUUUUCAUUGAUGUAAUUAUAUUGUGAAACCAUUACAACUAGAUCGUUCUGAAGCAUGCUUUUGUGCAAAAGCUAUAGUUUUCUGAUGGAAGCCCUUCACGGAAUGAUGUUACCUUCCUUUCUGGUAGCUACAUGUUUUCUGAUGCUAUUGAUGUAUAUUCUGUCAAGGAAUGUGAGAAAAUCUAAACUCAAUCUCCCACCAGGUGUCCAGGUCCAUCCAAGUUGCCAAUCAUAGGCAACCUUCAUCUCCUUGGCAGUAGUCCCCACCUCUCUCUCAGUCGCCUAUCAGAGAAGUUUGGCCCCUUUUUUUACCUACAAUUAGGUCACGUCUCAGCGGUGGUAGUCUCAUCAGCAAGAUUAGCAAGGGGAUUGUUGACAACACAUGACCUAGCCUUUUCAUGUCGUCCCGAACUGUACUCAGCCAGACAUCUCUUCUAUAACUGUACUGAUAUGGCUUUCUCCCGUUAUGGUGCUAAUUAUUGGAGACAUAUCAGAAAAAUAUGAUUGAGCUGCUAAGUGUCAGCCGAGUCAAGACAUAUAGCUUUACUAGAGAAGAAGAGGUGGUAAACCUGGUUAACCGAAUUGCUAAGUCAUAUCCAGGCACCACUAAUCUUUUCAAGAUUCUUGCGAUUUAUGCAAAUGAUGUGCUUUCUCGGGCUGCCUUUGGAAGAAGCUUUUCACAAGGAGAUGAGUAUGACAAAGAUGAGUUUGAAAACUUGCUUGAGGAGUACCAAGUUGGCAAGUUUUGCUUGGAGGAUUUAGUGUGGGUGACUACUUCCCUUCCAUGGAGUGGAUAAACACGGCAACAGGCAUGAAAUCAAGACUAAUUAAAACGUUUCAACGUUUUGAUAACUUCUUCAAUGACAUCAUAGAUGAACAUCUCGAUCCGAAGAGAAUAAACCAAGGGAAUAAGGACCUUGUUGAUGUGUUUGCUCGAUUUGCAGAAAAGUGGAUCUCUUGACAUGGCUUUCACCAGGGAUAAUAUCAAGGUUGGCAUCUUGGUAAGCUCAUACAUUUGUACCUUGCGUUUUUUCCCGUGUUCUUUACAGUCACAGUUCAACUGAAUGUUGGCAGGUAAAGAUAUGUUUCAUGCUCAUAACCAUAUAUUGGUUGAUAUUAGCUGGUCCUAUAUGAAAGGAGUUUGUGUCAGUUCAUAUAUUAACCUUUUUUAGCUCAGGAGAGUUUGUGCACUCUCCUGAGCUCUUCAGGAGAGUGCUGAAGAUAAGAUAAUGGAUAGCAACGUGAUGACUGCGGGUUCGAACAAAUAUGUAUUUAGGAGAAUCGAGUUUGCUAUCCAGAAAGGACUUGCCGCGCAGUUUGUAGUGCGUUUGUCCUCUACUUUUGUGUAAUUCGUUGAGCUUAUCAAUAAAAUUUGUUAUUUAAAAAAAAAAAAAAAAAAAAAAUCCUUUUAAGGAUAUAUGUUUAAAUCAGUGCUAAUCAGUCCAAGAGUUCAAGUGAUUAAAGGUCUAGUCAGUCUAACUGAAACUUUAAAUUCGUGCAAACUAAUUUCAAAAUAUAAUUUCACGACUAACUACAGUAAUAUAAACUAACUAACUACAUCACUACAGUAAUAAUUAGCCGAUAAAUGCAGCUCAAAAGCUCGUUCCCUAUCGUUGUAUAAUCAAUUAGUCAUCGUUCUUUCUUUAAACUAAACACAAACAAAGUAACCUAGUACUGGAAAUUAAUUUGACUUGUUUGACUUACUAAGACCAAAAAAUAAAAAAUUUGGAGUACAAAUUUCUAGAACUAAUUAACCUAGAACCAUAUUAAACUAGAACCAAUAAAUAACACCAAAACUUUAAGCUAAAUCCACCCACCACCGAUUUAUAUUUACACCCACAUACCCUUUUUCUUCUUCUCCAAGACCCAAAACCACCAUACAAAACCUUCCUUCUUCUUCUCCAUCUCUUACACUGCGCACUCAGGCGUAUUUUAGCAAAAAAAAAACCCCAUUUCUUCAGAGAUGUUUGUAUCAAGGUUGUUAUCUCGUAUCUCGAGGAAUGGUUUGAUUCACUGUAGAAGUCUUACUCCAAAACAACAACAACAACAACAACAAGUUUUACCUAUUCUUUCUAAUAGUUUUCAUACCCUUCGUGAAUCUUCUUCUUCUUCUUCUCCUUCUAACAAGGUAAUUUUUUUUUAAUAAAGUUUGGAUUUUUAAUGGUUUUUGUUAGAGGGUUUUGAUUUUAUUAUCAUUUGGGUUUGUUUAAGUGAAAAAGAUUUGAUUUUUUGUGUGUUUUUUUGGGUUUGGCAUCGUGGGUAUGAAUUUUUUUUGGGGUUUAUGGUUUUAAUUUGCAUUUUUUUGGUAGAAUUUGGGCAUUAUGGUUUUGUUAGGGUUUAUGUUGAUUUGGGGUUUAGGGUUUAUGAUUUGUGGGAUUCUGACUUCCUUGAAUUUUGGAUUUUUUUAGAGAAUUAUAUCCAUUUUUUUUUGUUCAAUUUAGGACCAUUUGUAAAUUGCAUUUGUUAAAAAUCUGGAUUUUUUAGUAUUAAGGGUUUAGGGUUUAUCAAAGUUUAAUUAUAUAUGCUCUUGUGUUUAGGUUUUUGUUAAUUGAUUUAAUACAUGAUCAUUUCUAAUUUGCAUUUGUUAAAAAUCUGGAUUAGGGGAUGUCUUGAAAUGAUUAUUGUUUUGGGCCCAACUUAUGAGAAAGUAAUUUGCCAAAUUGGCAUUUACUACUACUAGUACUAAAUUUGAUUCGCCAAUCAUUUGUACUACUGUCAAACUCGAUUUUGGAUCCAUUAAGUGUAAAGCAUUGAUUUGAAUUCUUGUAUUUUGUUAAGUAGGAAUAGGGGGAUGUUUUGAAAUGAUUGUUGUUUUUGGUCGAACUUUUACUUAUGAGCCAUAUUGGCAUUUAUUACUUUUAUCGUUAUUUGGUGGUCACCUAUGAACUUCUGUUGUUUAAUUAAGGGUUUAGGGUUUAUCAGAAGUUUAAUUAUUUAUGCUCUUGUGUUUAGAUUUUUGUGAUUUGAUUUAAUACACGAUCAUUUCUAAAAUGCAUUUGUUCAAAAUCUGAGUGUAUUUUGUUAGAAAGGAAUGCAGGGAUGUCUUUAAAGGAUUAUUGUUCUCGUCUAAUUUUUCUUACUUUCUUUGAACUGUUUUGUUAAUUGUUGUCAUCCAUAUUGGCAUUUACUACUUCUGUUGUUAUUUGGAUCCAAAAAGUGUUUAGUAAUGAUUUAAAUACCCGUACGUUUUUUUUUAUUGUCAGUGGAUUCCCUGUCAAGUGACAUCACUGCAUCCAUCAGCUAUCAAUGGUUCUCAGCGGUUCUGGUAUUCAUCAUCUGCUCAGCCCUCUGAUAAAGAGACUAGUCAAUCUGCAGAUGGACAGGAGACUGCUGCAAACGGUACGAAAAAUGUCAAUGGUGCAAACAAUAAUGAAACUGUAGGGAAGAAAGAAACUGAAAGUACAUCUUCUGAUUCAGAUAUUGAGGGUGAUCUUUCUUUCGAUGACCUGGUAAAGCUUGUUGCUGAGAAAGAAGAGUUACUGAAAAUUAAGCAUAAGGAGGUUGAAAAAUGGCAAGAUAAGGCUCUUCGUAGUUUUGCAGAACUGGAGAAUGUCACGGAUAGAACAAAACGUGAAGCAGAGAACUCAAAGAAAUUUGCUAUACAGGUUUAUAUGCUACUACUUCAUGAUCUCAGAAUGCGGCCUCUUCCUCUAUAUUUAGGUUGUUUAUCUUUAAUUUUAAAGUUAUGUAUGUUUGCAUCCAUUGCAGAACUUUGCGAAGAGUUUAUUGGAUGUUUCUGACAAUCUAGGAAGAGCCUCUUCAGUUGUCAAAGAAAGCUUUGCUAAGAUUGAUUCAUCUCAAGAUUCUGUUGGAGCUGUGCCACUUUUAAAAACACUUUUGGAAGGUGUUGAAAUGACAGAAAAGCAGCUCGCUGAGGUAACAACUUGAUUUUGUUUAAAUCUUUUAGUUUGAAGCUGCUUUCUUUCUAUAGUUUUCUGCCUGAAGCCCCUUGAGACAUACUCGUCAUUGAAUCUUUGGAACUACUCACUUGAAAUGUGGUACUGAUAUGUUGAUUAUUUCCAAUGGCCUGAAUCUUGUUAACAUGGUAUAGUGUGUAUCCACAUAGAUGUGCCAUUAGAUCCAAAGCCAGCUUCUGUAAAAAGAGCAUUUCUCUUGCAUGUGCACAGUGCACUCACUAUGCAGUCUCAUAUGCACAUGGUAUAGGAAGAGCUUCUGUUAACAUGGUGUAGUGUGUAUCCACAUAGAUUUUUCUGACAUUUUAAUGAAAACUGGGAUUAAUGUCCGGGGCACGUUUAUGUUUCUUUAUAGGGCCUUUUUUGUUUCGUUUCAUUUUUCUGUUUAUUGUGUUAGUUUUUCUCUAGGACUUUUCAGUCUACAUAGUUAUGUACAUUUUUGUUGCUAUCAAUAGAAUAUACACUUUUCCGGUAAAAGAAAUUGUAUGAUGGGAUUUGAAAUUGCCUCUUAGGUAUGAAUUUCUUUGUUUAUUUACAUUACAGGACACAGUUCUCCUUUUUAUCUGUUCAUAUAACAGACUACUGUACUACUAAAUACUCAUAAAAAACAAUUUUCUUCCUUCUGCUUGAUAUUUAGAAGGCUAUUUUACUUCCAGCAGGAAACAUUCUUUUUGUUCAUGUUGGAGUGGCAUAUUGAGAAACUAGAUCCAGAUUUAAUAGUCAUGAGUGUAGAAACGUGAUUCCUGUUGCCAAUUUAAAUGUGAAUUUAGUCGGGGAUGGUUUUUGUAGUCAGAUUUGCCAGUUAUUGGAGUUAGCUACUUAAGUUGUAUGUGUAGGUUAUAAUGGAUUGAAGCUCAAUUUGUUUCUGAGAGCUUGAAAAUUAUUUCCAGGUAUUCAAAAAGUUUGGAUUGGAGAAAUAUGAUCCUCUGAAUGAGCAGUUUGAUCCUAACAAGCAUUAUGCGAUCUUCCAAAUACCAGAUGGAACGAAACCUCCAGGCACUGUUGCUGCUGUUCUGAAGGUAUAAACUUAAUAAAUGAUUAUGGUUUUCAGAUGUUUAGUUAUUUGGGAUUUUGGGGUUGUAGAUAUUGUCUAUCCUUCAUCCAAAAGAAAACCGUCAACUCAAAUAAAUCUUAACUGCCCACCAAGAAACCUAUACUUUGCUUAUUGGUCUGCUUAUCAGAUAAUUAUGUAUUCAUGACCAUGGAUCAUUUUAUAUGUGUUGCAGUCGGGCUAUAUGCUUCAUGACCGUAUUCUCCGUCCUGCCGAAGUUGGUGUGACUGAAGCUGUGAACACUGAAACCGACCAAAGUUCCUGAAGUCUUGGUUUUCCAGAUGGUUAGUUUUCAAGUGCAUUUGCUUGACAGAUGUGUAUUAUUUCAUGAAUGAGAGUGAAGUAGGUUUGUCCAAGACCUAAUGAGCUCUGGAAACUGUUCCUUUGAGUGUUUCAGAUUUUGAUCUACAAAUUUGUCCAAUUGUUCAUUUAUAGUGCCAUAUAAUGCGUAAAGUACUGGACUUACGUUAUAGCCUUAGUAUUUAUUACAAGCUGCAAUGGUUUUGCAUUAAUUUUAGUGAAAAAUGAACAUAAUGAUUAUCACAAGGCUUGUUAUAACAGGAGAUGUACUUUUGAAGCACCAAUCUUAUAAUAAGAGAUACAGAAGCAAUUAGAUAAACCAUUGGAGUUGUUUUCUUUAUUCCACAUUUUCUAGUGAAGUGUGCUAUGUAGCUCGUAGAACAAAUGUGAUUAGUUAGACUCAGCAAGAAAUAAUUGGUCUGCGAGCAGCUCUUAGAAUAUAGAGAGAGUUUAAGAGCAUGGAUAAGAGGAAAGGAGCUAUUUAGGCUCAACAUACUAUCUUUUGUCUUCUAGAGUCUAUUUGGUUCCUGUGAUUUUGUAAUACCUGCGUUGGUGGCACAUAAUGUUUUGUUUUUGGUCUUUGGGGUUAAAGGCUGUGACCGCAUACCUGUUUUGUGGGUGGUAUAGUGAAUGGAGUAAAUCGUGCGAUUAUUUUGAGCUGUGUUGAGUACUUUUGUACUUGUGUGUUAUUUUGUGCAAGCUAUGCACACAAAUGCACUUCAAUUCUGCAUGUUUGUUUAACUAGAUGGUGUCUGUGCACAUUAAUUCUCAUGUUGUUUAACUAGAUGUGUUGUUUAACUAGAUGGUGUCCUUGGCAAUCUAGGUAUCAUUGUAUCUCCAAUGUCGGGAAACAAACUAGAUAUUCUGCAUUUUGCACAAUCUUUAUAUCCUUCUGUUCCCACAAACUCUAGGGUUUGUUUGAUAAUUGGUGAAUCAGGCUAUUCAUCCGAGUAAAUGGGCUUUGCAAGGUUUGAUAUUUUGACCAGCUAAUUAUCAGUGUUUGACAACGACGAAAAUUUGUAUAAGUAAAUUUAUCGAAAAUUUCAGGAAACAAACUGUCAUGAAAUCUCCAAAAGGGUGGUCAAAGCAGAGUUGAAAAUUCUAAAUCCAGGCGAAAUUUUGAAUUUGAAAAAAAACCCCGGUAUAUUCCAACAUUCCGACACUCAAACAAAGAAGUUACCUGAACUUUUGGGAAUAUUCUCAGAUAUUUCCAGAUUUUUAUAAUACCGAUUCUCUAAAAACCAGCAUAUUCUGCCGAAAUUUUACGAAAUAUGUUGGCAUUUUCAACUAUUGGUUAAAGAUUGUCCCUGAAAAUCAAAUCAUAAAGGGUAAGGAUUGCAGAUUGCAAAUUGCUUAAAAUUGAGUUUAGGGUUAGAUCAAAAACCCAAUCCAAGUAAAAUGCAUAUAUGGACACCCAACUUUUACAAUGGGCCUGCCUAACAAUAUAUACCUAGAAUGAACCCAAACCAGAUCACACCUCUAAAACCCUGAUUUUUUUACUAUAUAAACCCUACUCUUCUCUAGGGUUUUACUCACCAAUUCAUUUCAUCACUUUCUCUUCUCUUGCCUCUUCUCUAGGUUUUUUUUUUUUUUUUUUUUUCUCUCUAAGUAUUUUUAUAAGAUGAAUGUUGUUUAGAAAAUCAAAUCUUUAUGUAGUUGUUUUGCUACAUUGUACCAAGAAUUGGGGUUGUGAUUUGCAAAAAAAAAAUCAUAAAUACCUUGAAUCUUGAAUUUUGCCAUAGUGGCUGUAGCUAAAGAAAUUUCAAAAGAAGUUUACUGGCCGGUUGUUGUGAGGUUUUGUAUAAAUCUCUGUCAACACAUCUGCUUACCGAACUUCUUACAUUUUCUUGUUACUUUUUUUCUUGAAAGUAAUGUGUUUGAUGAAAUCUUUGAAAGAAAGAGAGAAGGGAAGAAGAGAGGAAUUGGCAUAGGUUUUAGCCUUUUUUAAGAGACCCUUCUCUUAUAUUAAAAAAAAAAAAUGGCAUCUUCCAGGCAUUCUGCUUUGAUUUCUGGCAGUUCUUGCGUUCAUAGGUGUGUACAUCUUUGCUAGAAAAACUCUUUUGUGCUAAUUUUUUUUUUUCUGCAGUAGAGGUGUUUGAACAUAUGCAUAGCCUAAAAUUUCUUGGAAAUCCCCUUUUUGGUGAAAUUUUGAUGGUUGUGAAUAGAUACCAUUGUUCACAAUAUGCUUUGCUUUGUUGAUUUUUUGAACAUAGUCAGAUAGUCUGUCUUAUGCCUACUUUAUAUGUGGACACCUGAUAAAAGGCAGGGAUGUCACAUUCUCUACCAUCAAGAAUCAAUUAUACAUGGAAAAGUAAUCACAUAUAAACGGCUGGCAACAUAGCUUUUUUAGCUAUCAAAUUCACGAGGGAAACUGACCUCAAAUCAAAACCAGUUUACAUUGAGGGUUUGAGGACAUGUAGGUUUCUUAUUGGCCUUCACACCACACAUUACAAAGUCAGUCCUACUCAAAAUGUGUGGCUAGUACUGUUACCUAUGUGUAUCAGACAACCCAAGUCUGCUAGCCCUAAACCCAAGGGUGAAGCUAAAUAGCCUAAGGCCCAAUGCGCCCCUAGUUGAAUGGGUAUCAUCCAAGCUCCAUGUGGCAGAUGGGCAUAUUCACUAACGAGCAUUCCCAAUGGGAGGGCAGUUUGGUGCCCUCCACUCCACACCCUCCACUCCACAUAGAUGCUGUAUUAGGGGCUGGCUGGAAAUGGAUGAGGAGUCAGGAUUUAGAUAUAAAAAUACACUCGAAUUAAAAUUUAGAUAUGGAUUUAUAAUAUUCGGAUUUGGAUUCAGAUGUUAAUCUAUUUUGUAAAGAUUUUAUAUAGAAUAUUGUCGGAUUUAGUCGGGUUUUCGGAUUCGAAUUUAUGUACAUCCGAUUUGAAUUUGACCUGUUUUCAGCCCUAUGCCAAAUCAGUUAAACAACUUUUAAACUCACCUCUCCCGUGGUCGUUAAAACUAGGGAUGGUAAUGGGUCCGAUUCGGGACAAGUUUCACUGAUCCCAGUCUUAUCCCAUUUAAAAGGUUUUAAUCCCAAUCCCACCAAGAACUCGUCUUGAGUUCUAUAUCAAAUCCCAAACCCACCCAUUAAAAAUACUUAAUCCCAUCAGGAUCAUUCCAUCCCAUUUAUUUAAAUCGGACGAGUUGGGUCGAGUCUUACGAUUUUAUUAAUAAUUUUAUUCUAUUUGAAUAAUAAUUUAUUCUGUAGCUUCUAAAACUACUAAUUCAACUUCAUAAAAAAAAACUAUAAAUUCCUUUUAGGAUUUAAGUAAUAUGUAUGGGUGGGCUCAGCUUGGGAUGACCUAAUCCCACAUCUCGCCCAUAACCCUGAAUCCUAAAUCUGAUCCUAAUCCCAUUUUUAGCAUCCCAACCCAUCCCAUUAGAGUCGGAUCGGGUUGGGCUAAAUUGCCAUCCCUAGUUGAGCUAAUGGAAAAAAAAUGAACAAUGUCAUUUUAUACCACUAAAAAAGUAUAUAAGAAGAAACUUUAAAUUUCGAUGAAUUAAAGAUAAUUUGUAAGGCGGAACUUUAGUUUCUAGAGGAUUUAUAAGACGGAAUUGCAAGUUCUGAAUUUAAUAAAAGUUUAUAAGACGGAAGUGCAAGUUCCGAAUUCAAAAGAAAGUUCACAAGACGAAAUUGUAAGUUUCGAAAAGUGAAUUUGAUGGAACUUCAUAUCUCAUCAACAUGUCGUUGAAUUCUUGACCCACCUUCCCAUUAGAAGACAGUUUUUUGUUUGGAGUGCAUUUGGUACUAUUGCCUUAGCUCAUAUAAAAACUAGGAGUUACUAAUAUCUUAGGUUUCCUAGUUGCUUGGCAACUUCUAGUUUUCAUAUGAUCUAUGAAAGUCGUAAUGUUCCCAGCGUACUCGUAGGGUUUGAUCUCAUAUUUUGGGUACGAAAGUAUUAAACAAUGCAAUCAAAUGUCAAUACUUAUAUUUAAUGCAACAUGAUAUUUGCAUAUUAAAAUAUAGAAAAUUAAAGUGGUGACUUUUUAUUUAAAUUAUUUUCCACAUACAUAUUUAAAUUAUACAACCAAAAUGUUAAUUAAUUCAUAAUAUUUUUUAAAAAAUGAUGUUAGAUUUAAAAAAGGUGGUGGCUAUUAAACAAUCCAACCAAAUGUCAAUGGUGAGUUUUUUUUUUUUUUUUUCUUUUCUUGUAGAAACUAGUUUAUUCAUUAGUUUAUAAGUCUAGUUGUACAAACACCCAUAGCAUCUUUAGACAAAAUACAAAAAAACCAUAUUAUACUACACCUAGGGCACUGCGACACGUUGAAAAAUUGACACUUGCAUACUUCACAAAAAAACCAUAUUAUACUAGUGAGUAGCUAAGCUGCAUACUUGACUAAAACAUCAGCUACAUUAUUUCCUUCACAGUAACUCCAUUGCACACAUGGUGUGUUAUGAACAUUUGAAUGUAGGAGAUGGAUCAAGGGACGUGAGUUUGUCUCAAGAAUGGCAUUGCAUUGCUUAUUGCUUAUGUUGAGAGUAUGUAGGAUGCGGAGCCCAAAAGCAAAGCACACCUAAGUCUAGAAGGUCCAGGAUUUCCAAAUGAUGAACCAUCAAAAUUAACCUUCAACAUUCCUGAUGGAGGAUAUACCUAAUGAACAUCAACAUGCUUCGCCAGAAAAAUAUUAAAACUUUCAUACCUUUGUGCAUGUGGGGAAUCCAUGAGCUAAAGGAAAAGCUUGUGCUUGUCGAGCAUAAUGGAAAGUCUGCAAAUUGUCCAUUCCUGGGUGAAACAUGGAUGAUUGCGUGCGAUCUAGAUACACCACAAAGCAGAAGAGACAAGAGUUAUAAGAUUGUGUCCAUUAUGUAAACUGUCAAGAGUAGAAAAAUAAAUCGUGUAAUAAACUUGAUAAAUUUAAAAUUACUUUUGAGUUUGUGAAGCAAAGUUAAUUAUUUUUCAAGUAUCCCCACAAAUAUCAAAGAACUCCAUUAUAAAAAAGGGAUAUUACAAGUAUAAAUAAGUUGAUAGAUCACAUCGUAGCCAUCAAUAUUUUUGAAUCUUGUUGUAUGCGAAGGAAGUGAGAUUGGAGUAAUUAUAUUAAGGGAGUCACUAUAGCCGCCCCGAUGUAUCUUAAAUAAUAUAUAUGUAUCCUUAACGACCUUGAAACAUUUCUGUGUGUUCUUAUAGACUAUUAUUGUUGCACCAGGAACACCUCACAUCCAUUUUUAAAGCUAACAGAUCUAACCUAAGAGUCUAAGCUUUCGUAAUGGAGCUGCAACCUGCCUACUUCUCCUUCGUGUUCAUUCUCAUUCUCAUCCUAUUCCUAUUCAUGCUUUUGAAAGUGAAUAGGAGUGCAAAACCCCGUACCACAAAUUCUAAACUGCCUCCACAGCCAUGGAAGCUACCGAUCAUAGGCCACUUGCAUCAUUUACUCGGACUACCACAUCACAUCCUCAGGAAUCUAGCUCAAAAAUAUGGUCCUCUUAUGCUAUUACAACUUGGUGAAGUUCAUGCCAUCAUUGUUUCUUCACCAAAAGUGGCAAGAGAGAUAUUAAAGACACAUGACAUUGAGUUUGCAGACAGACCUGCACUUCUUGCUGGAAAGAUCAUGUCUUAUGAUUUUGUAGGUGUUUUAUUCUCUCCAUAUGGUCAGUAUUGGAGACAACUGCGAAAGAUUUGUUCCCAAGAACUCUUAAGUACAAAGAAGGUUCAAUCCUUGUGGUCAAUAAGGGAAGAGGAGGUAUCGAAUCUCAUUGAAAAAAUUUCCUCGGAAGCUGGAUUCCCUGUCAACAUUAGUCAGAAGCUUAAUUCAUUAGCAAAUGACAUAAUUUCCAGGGCAGCAUUCGGAAAGAAAUGCAAAGACAAAGAUGCAUUCAUAUCAUUGAUGCUGGCCGUGCUUAGAUUGGGUGGAGGUUUUGAAUUUGUCGAUUUCUUCCCUUCACUAAAAUUUUUACAUGGGAUCAGUGGAACAAAGAUAAAAUUACAGAACAUGCAUCAGAAGAUAGAUAAGAUCCUAGAAGACAUCAUUGAUGAUCAUAGAGAGAAUAGGGUGAGAAUUGAGUCAAAAGAAGGUGAAUAUGAAGAGGAUUUAGUUGAUGUCCUUCUAAGGAUUCAAAAUGACAGUGAUCUUGCAACCCCACUUGAAAACAACAACAUCAAAGCUGUACUUCUGGUCAGUGGUUAUUUAUAUUUCAGUUUUUUGUUUGUUUUGUAUGACUAAAUGAAUCAUUCCAUCAGUAAUCUUUGAUGUUCAAAGUGAUCAAGCUGUUUCCUUGACGGUAUAGGACAUCUUCUUUGGUGGAAGCGACACUGCAGCCAUAACAAUGGCAUGGGCAUUGUCAGAAUUGAUGAGAAACCCGAGGGUCAUGGUGAAGGCGCAAACUGAGGUAAGGCACGUCUUCAAUGGAAAAAGAAAGGUUGAACAAUCAGAUAUCAAUGAGCUGGACUACUUAAGGUUAGUUAUUAAGGAAACUCUACGGCUGCACCCUCCUACUCCAUUGCUACCACCAAGAGAAAAUAGAGAGAAGUGUGAGAUUGAGGGAUAUGAAAUACCCCGAAAAACCAAAGUCAUUGUUAAUAUAUGGGCAAUAGGAAGAGAUCCCAAAUUCUGGAGUAAUGCGGAAGAAUUUAUCCCAGAGCGGUUUGAAGAUCAUUCUAUUGAUUUCAGGGGAGCUAACUUUGAAUACAUCCCAUUUGGUGCUGGUAAGAGGAUAUGUCCAGGUAUGUCCUUCGGCUUAGCCAAUGUUGAACAUGGACUUGCUCAAUUACUGUACCACUUUGAUUGGGAUCUCCCUGAUGGUGUAAAGCCAGCAGAGCUAGACAUGACUGAAGUCUUCGGUGCAACAGUUAACAGAAGAGUCAACUUGAAGUUGAUUCCUACCCUUUACCGUCCUUUGGCUGUUGUGACAUGAGUCCAAUGUGUGCAUGUAAUAUCUGCAAACUUUUUUUUUUCUUUUGGUUUAAAAUGAAGUAUGUAGCAUUGUAUUUUUUUUUUUUUUUUUGGGCUUGGUACAGUAAGUAUUAAUGUAUUAAAAUGUACUGAAAGAUACAUGGGUUAAGUGGGUGGUCACAUAUACAGUAUAUCUACCCCUCACCUUAUAUCAAAAGGAGUUGGGGCAUUCCCAUUGGGUUAACCAUGUAGGUUUCCCAAUUACUAUCUCCAUGUCCUGUGUUGUUCUCCCUAAUGCCACCUUUGAUGUCUUAUCUGCCGCAAAAUUAGCCUCCCUCUAUGUAGGGGUACCAUAUGCAAUAUCUAAUUACAACACGACAUGUGGCAUACUAUUACUAUCAAUCAGGUCGCCCACAACAUGACCUUGCAUGACCCGACUAGAGCAGCUCGAGCAUAUUACCGUUGGCGACCUCAAUAUGGACGUGCGGUAAAUCAAUGUUCAGAAAAUAUCCUUGUUCGUUACACAUUAAUUACUAAAUAUCUCGUAAUUAAUGGAUGUCGGAGAAUCCGCAUGAUCCCAUGAUCUAUGCCCUUCCACAUUUUAUAAAUCUCACAAAACUACGGUGGCUUGAUCUCUACGCUCCACUCCCUCGAGCUAGAGUACGUAGGCAAUCUCGAUUUCACGAAGUGCAGCCACCUCCCGAUCUCAAACUCCUAUCUUGGUCAGCCUCCUUGCGACCUGACCCUGAUUAAUGCAUUAAUCUGGAAACAGGUUAAUACAUUUGGCGCCGACUGAAAGGAUUCAAUUGUAUCGAAAAACCAACCCUCCAACCCUCCAACCCAACUCGAAAUCCCAAGCAACUCUCCACUUAUCCAAUGGCCAACCAAGAAGAGAUUAUCCGAGAUCUAAGGAACCAACUCAAGGCCACUGCCAUCGACUUUGACACCAACAACGGUCAGGCUGGAGUCGUUACCAUAGAUAGCAAUAACCGCAAGUACGAGGAACUCAAUCAACAACUCGCUGAAUUCAAGGCCUCCCAGGACGGAAGCUAGCUUGGACGAGGUCGUAUGGCAGAACAACUCGCCAUUCAGUCUUUGUAGCACUUUCAGGAGUCCCCAUUCACCAAGAAAAUCAUGGAGCACGACCUACCAAGCAAACUCAAUGCACCAAAGUUCGACCAAUACUCAGGUGUAGGUGACUCAACAGAUCACGUCAAAAGCUUCUGCAAAUCGCUCCAAUUAAUCAAAGAAAACCAUCUCUUAUGCCUACUGUUCUAAUCCAGUCUUACUAGAUCGACUCUCUACUGGUUUCAUCGCCUUAAGCCAGGGUCAAUCGGCUCAUUCAACGAGCUCGAGAAGCAGUUCGUCAUCUUCUAUAUACACAACAAAAAAUGUCCAAUCACCAUCGACGCAAUGUUUAAGGUAAAUCAGGGAGAAGGAGAGUUGCUGAGUGAUUUUUUCGCUCGAUUUAAAAUUGAGCUACAUUCAAUCCAAGACUUUGCAAAAGACCACGAACAUUUUGCCACAAUAACAUUCUUUCACGGUCUGAUCCCUAGUCAUUGGCUAAGUAACGACCAACAUCUCUCGACGAAUUGUACUUGAAGGUAGAUUGCUAUAUCAAACUGAAGAAGCCUUGGUCGAAAAGAUUAAGAGCCACGUCAUAGCAAAUGUAGAAGGGGCCACCAAAAGCUCUCGAUCAGAAAAUAACAAAAGGUUCAAAGCUAAGCCACUGCCUACCGAGCAGCAGGAAUAUCACAGAUUUACAUGACCUGCGGGAUAUAUAUCUACCAGAGGAUCAAGCACCACCACUGGUGCAAGAUUCGAGAUUUCAUGUCACUAGAGGACACAGUUGGUCGUCCUUAUUGCAAAAUCCACAAGGUAAGAUGUCACCAAAUAGAUGAUUGUCGCAUACUGAAGCGACCUCUUCAAACAUGGGCUGAUGAGAAAAUGCUGAACAACUGGCUUUAUAACAGGCAGGAUGAGCCCGCAGAAAAGAAGAACAAAAAGAGGUCCAGAACUCCACCACGUUCUGAUCAACGAUCUCAAAGCAAGACCAGAGCUGUUUCUCCAAGUCGUUCACGCAAUAGAGGGCGUAGGCUAUCCAAAAGAUUAGGUCCCACUGGCGACCUACGCGAUCAAAUCAACAAGCAUGUAGCAAACAGAAUAGAAAAGGAUAAUGAAACAGAGAGUCAUGUCAUUUACAUGAUCUAUGAGUCCAAUUCUACACCAGUCCCGAGGGAGAAAAAGAGAUGUGUCGAACAUCUUCACCACGUCUACUCGAUCACAAGGCAAGCAACACGAACCAAUGUGCCUGCUCGACAGGAGACAAACCCGUGUUUCACAGAAGAUGACCUUAACAACGUCGUAGUACCACACAACGACGCUCUAGUCGUUGAAUUGAGAAUAAUCACUGUCAAGAAGGCCCUGAUCGACCCCGGUGCGUCUUAUAAAAUCUUGAUGUACAAGACCUUCAAGGAAAUGAGACUCCCUGACUCAGUUCUCCAGACUUCACUCCGAUCCUUGGAUUCAACAGUUCAAGGGAAGACUCAAAAGGGGAGAUAUUACUGCCCAUGACUGUUGGUAGAAAAAAAGAUAGAGUUACCCUCACCGGUAAGUUUAGGGUUCUGAACAUUGCGAGCAAGUACACUGCAAUUCUCGCCCGCAAAUGGAUCCACUCCAUGCGAGGAGUUCCAUCGACCUACCAUCAAGUCUUCCGUUAUCCUGGUCCCAAUGGAAGAAUGGAACUCAGAGGAAACCAGAAUGCAACACAAGAAUGUCAUGGCAUUAUAGAAGCUGUGACAAACGAAAAGCCAACGACCUUAACCAAUAAAGAGGUCACAACUCCAACCAAAGAUGCUGCCAAGGGAAAAGACGAGGCCACAUAUACGGCCAAAUAGCAAUCACAGAAGGAGCAAACGAGCUCCUCUUAACUCUCACUUGGAAGCACAGAUCCUGGCGUGUAAGUGAACCUGGGGUCAGAGGACGACCCCAAGUAUGUGUAUGUGGGCUCAGAAUUAGGAACAGAUAAGUACAAUGAAUUUUGUAAAUUUCUUUUCUCUUAAUAAAGAUGUUUUUGCUUGGUCGUACAUCGAUAUGCCGGGUAUAGAUAUUUCAAUUGCAUGUCAUAAGUUACGGGUAAACCCUAAUUAUCGACCCGUUAGGAAAAAGAUAAGGAAACUUGCACCUAAACUUCAUCAGGCCGUUAAUGAUUAAAUAAACAGACUCAAACAUGUCGUAUUCAUCAAAGAGGUCGGCACACCAGAUUGGCUAGCCAACAUAGUUUCAGUAUUGAAAAAGAAUGGGAAGACAAGAGUUUGUAUCGACGUCACAAGCUUGAAUAAAGCUUAUCGUAAAAAUUCUUUCCCACUUUUAUGAAUCGAUAGGCUAGUCAAUCAGACCUGCGGUUUCAAGCUCCUAUCAUUCAUAGACGUGUAUUCUGAUACAACCAGAUCCCAAUGUAUGAGUGAUAAUCAAAAUGACUAUCAAAAGCAUAUUUAUUAGUCCUUGUGCCUGUAAUAGUUUGUCAAUGUAGAACAAGUAACAAGCAAAGGUCGUACCCACCUCGAAGAGGGAAUUCUUAGCUCAAACACAAUAGAAAAUAAUAACUAAAAAACACCAAUGAAUUAAUUAAAAAGGUGAGAUUGAUUCUACUUCCUACAUGUAAUAAAUAAAUAAAACUAAUACUUAAACUAAUAUUAGAAGAUGAAAGAAGAUGGAAAGAAAGUCUAAGGAUGAUUAGGGGGAAUGAUUGGUAUACACAAACUAAACAAUGCAAGUCACACAUGAUGCUCAUUCAUAUUCAAUCUAUAGCAAUUUCUUAGUCACCUCUCAGCUAUUCCAAAUAAUUACUAAUGCAUAUAAUAAUCAAAUAGUCACAUCUUGGCUAUUCCAUUCAAUUAAAAUGAGAUUCUUUAUAUGUAUUCAUUAAUUGAAUAUAUCUCAUUAAUUAAACCGCCAUCUCCCAGCUAUUCAAUUCAAUUAACUCGAUAUAUUGAUUUAUAAACAAAUCGUCACAUCUCAGCUAUUGAACUUGAUUAUAAAAAGGGUUCCAAUAAAAUAAAUUAAUUGUAGAUAUGCAAAAGUCACCUCUCAGCUAUUCCUUCACAUAUCUCCAAUUAAUCUAAUACUAUUAUUAUUGCUAGGUCUCCCUAAUACUCUAACAAUAGUAUUUAAUAACACGGAUGCAACAAAUACAUAGAAGGAUCAUGCUUACUUUUUAUCGCGAACAGAAAUAAACAAAGCAUUAAGCAAUUGAAUCACAAUGAAUAUAAAAGAACAAUCAUAGUGUUUUUUUGCAUUAUUUAGAAUGCUUCAACCAUUCCCCUUAAAGGGAACUUAGCUACUAAUCCUUGAUAAUGACACCAUGAAAAAAAUAGUAAAAGAUGACAACAUCAUUAAUGAAAAAGAGAAAAGAUUAUUAUUAUAUUAAAAAUACUACAAAAGAUUAACUUCAAGAAGAAGGGAAGUGUUUCAUCUUCUCAAAAGUUCAAGCUUUCAAUAGUCAAAAGCUACUAAACCCUAGUUACUACUUCUCUUUAUAUAGAGAUUACAAUAUAUGAGUCCUCGUGAGAUAGGAAACUUCUUUGCUUGCACACAAAGUAUCCCUGUUUCAUCCAAGAUCUUUAAAUUAGGUGAAAAUUCGUGGUGACUACUGUAGAGCUUCUAGAAGGAGCAAGACCACUUGGAACUCUAAUUAUUUUGGGCUUAAGUUGUAGCUUGGAUCAAUACCUUCAGAUAGACAACUUACGGGCCCAACUCGGAGUUCUGGAUUAUUAUGUACAAUCUUUUUAAGAUUGGAGUUCAAGUAACGGGCUUCAAUGGAUCAUUUGAUCUGUGGGUUUCAAUAUAACUUGGAUUGAGCUGGGAUUUGGAUCACCAAUUUUGACAUAAAGUCAAGUCCAUAGGACCGGUCCAAAGAGUGUCCUCACUAAUACACAAGUGCAAAUAGUAAUUUUUCUUUUUUAUGCCAAUAAUACUUCUUUAACAACUUUUCUUGGUAUUAUUUGGCGGGUUUUAGCACAAUAUUUGACUUUUGGCUAAUGAAACAUACACAAAUGUCAAGAAAACACUAAUCAAUAGAUAUUACACAAUAAUAUAAGCUAAGUGCUAUGCAAACAAGGUGCUAUUCGGGAGAUAAAAAUACACUUUCUCAAGAAUAUGUACAAGAUGAAUGUUUCUUAGAAACUCUCAAAUCUUUAUAUAGUUGUUUUGCUACAUUGUACCAAGAAUUGGGGUUGUGAUCUAAAAAAAAAAUAUCACAAAUACCUUGAAUCUUGAAAUUGCCAUAGUGGCUGUAGCUAAAGGAAUUUCAAAAGAAGUUUACUGGCGGUUGUUGUGAGGUUUUUUAUAAAUCUCUGUCAACACAUCUGCCUACCGAGCUUUUUACAUUUUCUUGUUAUUUUUUUUGAAAGUAAUGUGUUUGAUAAAAUGUUUGAAAGAAAGUGAGAAGGGAGAAGAGAGAAAUUGGCAUAGGUUUUAGCCUUUUUUAAGAGACCUCUCUUAUAUUAAAAAAAAGUGGCAUCUUCCAGGCAUUCUGCUUUGAUUUCUGGCAGUUUUUGCGUUCAUAGGUGUGUACAUCUUUUUUAGAAAAAACCCUUUUUUGCUGAUUUUGUUUGCUGCAGUAGAGGUGUUUGAACAAAUGCAUAGUCUAAAAUGUCUUGGAAAACCCUUUUUGUUGAAUUUUUGGUUUUAUAAGAAACACUGCAGUUUAGGUAUUUGAAGAAAUGCUUAGCCUGCUUUUUAUACUAAAACCCAACAAUUCCAUGGCCUGGAAAAGUAAUAUGGCUUGUGACUUAGCCUGCUUUUUAUACUAAAACCCAACAAUUCCAUGGCCUGGAAAAGUAAUAUGGCUUGUGAAUAGAUACCAUUAUUCACAAGUAUUCACAAUGUUUUGCCUUUUUGAUUGUUGAAUAUAGUUUAAAUGUCCAACACACCUACUUAAUAUGUGUACAAAGCACACCAAUCAAAUGGUAAUCAAAGACGCUAAAUGCAUCAUAAUUGGGAUUUGAACAAGUUACUCAACUAAUUUUAUAUUUUGGAUUUGUUAAAAAAUUUAUCGUAGAGGCGAAGGAUUUUAAAAAAUAAUAAAACCUAAAUUAAGAUAAAUAUAAUAAUUUAUUUUUGAGGGUAAAUAAGUCACCUUUGUAAUAGCAAAUAUUGCCUUGGCAAUUGGCACAUUUGCUAUAUUGCCAAGGCAAGAUUUGCUUUGCGUAGCGCGGGUUCCCCAACUUGUUAGGUAACAAAGACUCGAGGGAAGUUAUUAAGCAAAGAUAGGCAACAAUGUGUUGAACCAACUCGAUUUCCCCAUUUUGAUUUCCAAUGGGCUGAAAUAACCACUUUUUUGACAUAUUUUGAACAUAUCCAUGUUAAAUUGCGCUUAUUCGAAAAACAUAAAAUUAAAAAAAUUCCUGCAGUCAUGGUGAAUACAUUUUGGUCGAAAUUUGGCAUUGUAAAAUAAAUUUAUGAUCAAGUACAAGGUGGAGCUUGUCGUUUAGAGUUUAGACAUGACAGACUGAAACUAAACUGAGGGAAGAGAAACAGGCUUCUGCAGGAUACAUAGGAUACUAUAUAAUGCUUUGUAAUUCAAUUCAUUUCACCUUCUUCUCUUAUCAUACACCUUAGGGAUGUAUUCAAACAAAAUUUCCAGUUUACCUUCACUAUCCAUCUUCAUCACUUCUGCAGCUCCACCUAUUAACCUACCUUUCACAAACAACACAGGAACUUUCGUAUUCCCCGUUAAUGCCUUCAAUUCGUUCCUAUAGCCUGGACCAAAAAUGUCUCUCUCAUACAUAUGAAUCAUAUGUGAUUUUAAAAUUGAACGGACUUCAGUAGAAUCUUUAUAUGGUUCUCUGUUUCCUCGUGAAGUUGUGUAAAGAAUAACCGAAUCUUCACCUCCGGGAGGGCACAAUUUCUGGAAUGUUUCAAGUAGCAAGUCUGAUGAUGUUACUCUACCAUUUUGGACAGGACUUUGAAUUUUUUCCUGAAUUAUUGCGUUAUCCACUUGAGAGUUUUUCUCCUGCAGACUGAAAGAAUAACAUCAAACUUGCCAGUCUCAACAUCAUAUAGAAGAGUUAGGUAAGAGAUUAUUAAUUGUGCGGGAAAAAACCACUUGAGAGCUAUCUAUAUAUAGUACCUUUCAGCAAUUGAACUUGCAAUUUUUGAAAAAACUUGUGAGUAGGACAAGUUCACUGGCAUUGUUCGCCCACCAAUUCGUAUCGAGGUACUGCCUUCACUUGACAAGUCAUAAAACGGAAAGGGAUCAAGUGGCAGUGAUGGUUCAAUAGCACCCUCAAGCAUCAUCACAACCGUGCUCAUGAGUGGUCUUAGUUGGGGAAUAUCUUGAGCGCACAAUAAUGCAACUAAACUUAAUCUCUUCGCUUUAUCUUUAUCUUUCUCUAAAAUGCCACAAUCAGUGAUCAUUUCAUCGAGUUGUCCAUUCUUAACAGUCUUCCAAACUUGAAACGGAAACCACUCUUGGCCCUCCCAAAUCCUCUUCCUCGUCAAAAGUUCAAACAACAUCAUACCGAAGCUGUAAACAUCACAUUUAUGACUCGUUAUGUUGUUCCAUCCUAAACAAACCUCCAGGGCUGCAUAACCAUAGGUCCCUCGGAAGCUGUUCUUUGAGACGUGACUAAGAUCACUAUUAUUACCAAGCUUGGCCAAUCCAAAAUCUGCAAUCUUUGGAGAAAGAUUCGAGUCAAGAAGCACAUUUUCAGCUUUUAUGUCAUGGUGAAUUAUUGGCGGACUACAGAUCUCGUGCAAAUAAGAAAGUCCUUGUGCUAUCUGUACUGCAAUAUGAAACAGUUUUACCCACUCUAUACUGGAAUCGUUUCGAUACAACACUUUAUCAAAAGAUUCAUUCUCCACGUAUUCAUAAACAAGUGCUUUAGUGUUGUCUUCCAAGCAAAAACCAUACAGUUUAACCAAGUUUUGAUGGUAGGUUCUGCUCAUUAUGGCUACUUCGUCUAGAAAUUGACUAGCCAUGAACUUAUUUUUCAUAUUUUCAUUUGUAUUAUAUUUCAGCACCUUAACUGCCACUUUUUUAUCGUAAGCAAAUCCUUUGUAAACGUUUCCAAACUCACCAGAUCCUAGUGUAUCAGUAGUAAAAUUUGACGUAAAUUUCAGAAGCUCUUUAUGUGAAAAUAAUUGUACUUUCUCAUUUUGAAUUCCCCUUAAAAACAUUUGGAUUUGAUUUGAGCUGUCAUCUCCCUUGCUUAGCAUACCAGGAUUUCCCUCCAUCUUAGGUGAUACUAUAUUGCAACUGUCAGGUACAAUAUGAAGUUGCCGAUCCUAACAGUAUCAAAGAUAACCUGAUGAUCAGCUAGAGAAAAAGAAAAGAAAAGCUAAUGACUGACAGAAAAGUCGGUUGAACCUCAUUAUUGUCAUUGAUUAUCCAUUUUUAUGUUUAAUAAUUUUGUCGAUUAUUUGAGAUCUAGAAGGGUACCUAGACUGAUUUCAGAUCCGGGUUUUCUUAAAACCAUCAAGAAAUAUCUGAAGUACACUAACUAAGCUAGCUUUGAUUAAUUAUUUUCAAUUAAUUCUUCAAAAAAAAAAAAAAAAAAAAAUUCCAAAUUAAUCUUACCUUGACACUAUCUUUCUUUCAGCUGUUGAUAUGUGUAUGCUCGAAUUCUUUGUAUCUUCAAAAAGCAAAGAGGCAAUUUUUAUCAAGUAUUCUAUACAUAAUACAAGAUUGAACAACACUUUUAGGCAUAGCUUGCAUACUUACCAAAUACUGUAUAACCCAGCAGAGAGAAGACUGGGUUAGAAGUUGUUUCUAUGUCACCUUGAUGGGAAGAGAUAUGCAUAUGAUGCUUCCUUCUUGGAAUCUUUAUCUCUUAUGAAGUUGUAUUUUUUUAAUGCCAAGUGGAAGUGUGGAACAACAAGUUGGAAAUGUUUAUACACUAAUUAAUUAAACACCACAUGGAAGACUUUGAAUAUCAAGAUUUAAAUUGUUUGAACAAAUAGUUCUAACAUUUUAUAAAGUUAUUGAUAUAAUUUAUGAUCCAUAACUGCCCAUUUUUAAAUUACAAAAUAAGAAAUAAAGUUCCUAUUGAUAAUAUUAUAAUAAAUUAGUAGAAUUACAUUCCUUCUAAAACCAUUAAUCUUGAGUAAGUUUUUUUUUUUUUUUUUUGAGUAACUUGUUUGUUUCUUACCAGUCCUCGUAAUCUCGAAUUUGAUAGAUAAAACAAUAAUGCAAACCCAUGUAUAGUAGUAAUCUUAAGAUUUGAUAGAUAAAACAAUAAUGCAAAGUCUUGUAUUUCACAGAAUUACAAUUAAAAUAUCAGAAUUUUCAUCCCAAAGAUCAAAUAUAGAGUUUUCUUAGAUUUUAGGAAAUCGGAAAACUUUUGUUAGGAUUUACCUCGAACAAACCGUAUUUUUCAGCCAGACCAAAUUACCCUUCCACUACCAACACAGAAUAGACGUGAGAAAGAGUUGUGGGGAGGACAUUGUUGGUUGAAUGUGGGAGUUGGUAGCGAGAUUGAGAAACAAUAGUGGUAUAUGUGGUGCGAACUUGUGGAGUAUUGAAGAAUUGAGAUGGUUGAGAGGUUUAUAGGGUUGUAUGUAUGGGUAGGGAUGUGAAAAUAUGUUUUGUGGUGUUUGGGGGCAACCAUGAAUAGAGAGAGAUGCAAAGUCAAUAUUGGAAACUUGUGGUAAAGUUGUGGUGGUGGUGGAAAAUUGGGGGAUAAAAUGUUCAUUUUGGUUAUUGUACUUUGUCUGUUUUUUGCAAUUUGGUCACAACAUUUUUUUCCUGUCAGUUUGGUCAUAGUAGAGGGUGGGAGGGUUGGAACAUCAACAAUAGAUUGUUUACCUUCAAACUUAUUAAAUUGAAGAGUAAGUUUCUCGAUUAAAGUGGUGAGACGAUUAAUAGUCGAAUUGAAUUCAAUCUUCGUCACAUAAUCUCUAAGAUUAUUGACUUGGGAGCGGGGUGAAGAAUCUACGUCCUUAACCAUUGUAAGAUCGAAACGUAGCUCUUGAUACCAAUUGACAUAGUGGAAGCAAUUAUAUGAUAUUGCAACGCAGACUGCAAAAGGGCUCUCUUAUUUGCAUGAAAGUUGUGAUGAACAGAUAAUUCAUCGAGACAUAAAGCCUGGUAAUGUGCUCCUUGACUCAAAGUUCUGUCCUAAGAUUACUGAUUUUGGAUUGGCUAAAUUUUAUAGCACAGAUAAGAUGCAAAUUGAAUUGAGUAACAGAUCGAUCAGUGGGGUACGCAGUUAUGAUGCUCCAGAGUUGCGAAGUAAAAAAAACGUAAGCUGUAAAUUUGAUGUUUUCAGCUUUGGGGUGAUGCUUUCUGAAAUUUUAGCGCAUUUCAAAGGUGAACACUCGGUUGCAAGAUAUGUUUGGGAAAAGUUUCAGAAAGGACUACUUGACGAAUUUAUAACAGAAUGUGGCAUUAUAUCUGGAGAAAAGGAUAAAGAAAAUGCAAAGACAUUAAGUAUAGUUGCAUUGUUGUGCAUUGAAGAAAACCCCCAGGACAAACCUCAAAUGAGUGAGGUGGUGAAUUUUCUUAUGGGUGUUAUCAAACCUUCCACACCACUGAAUCCUUAUUUCAAUCAAGACUUAUCGCGUUUUCCCCAGGGAACCAAGUUAAUCUCAGAAGUCUAGCUAGAGCUACAUGACUGAAUCGGGCGGUAUAGACAUUGAAGUGUCAGAAGAAGGAAGAAGCACAACAAGGGAAUCAGACGGUUGUAAGACUUUUGUAUUGACCAUUUUUAUGAGGUUGGUCAAUACAUUAAUGAAUGAUGAUGAUGUAUGUAAAUGAUAUGAACAAUAAUAACAAAGUAGAAAAGACAUGACACCAUUGUUUACGUGGUUCGGCAAAUGUGCCUACGUCCACGGAGAGGGAGAAAGAAGUUUAUUAUAGUAGUGGUGAUACAAAAUGGGAGCUCGAUAAUGGAGAGAGCUCAAGAGAGAGAUGAGACCUGAGAGGUGAGGUCUCAUGAGAGAGUGUUGAGGUCUUGUGUAUGAUUCACAAUGAGACCAUUAGAACCUGAGAAGAUGAGUAGUUUGCCUUUAUAUUUAUAGGCUACAAUGUAACUCCAUUCUUAGCAAUUAAUAGGGUAAUAAUGGGGAAAAUAUCUUUGUAAUAAUAAGGCUUAACUUUGUAACUUGUGCCAUCAAGAGAGAGCCCAUUAGAUGUUGACAUGUGGCACCAUGAUGGAUGGUAGAGAUGGUGCCACAUGUAUGUUGUAUAUAGUACCCCUACAUAAGCCCCCUCUUUUUAGGUUGAACGGAGUUCGGGCUGAAAAGAAGUAAUCGAACCGAUCCAGCCCCCAAGAUGAAUGAAAUAUGGGGUUUUUAACGAAGUCGAUCCGCCCCAAAUUUUGAUGAGCUUGAUCAUUGAGAUUUGCAGGACGCGAUGAAGGUCCCUUGUGGUAAUGGCAACUCGAUCAUGAAUUUGUGUAUAGCGAGCUAGUUAGUUCCAGGGAGACCUGGUAGCUCGUUCAGAAGGCAUGUAGACAAGAUGGACAGCUGCAAGCAGGUCGUACUGAAGUGGGUCUUCUUGUAUACUUGGGUGGUUGGUCUCGGUCAAGCUUCGAGGUGGUCGCCUUUUUGUGGUCGAGUUGCAUAGACCUGAUAAUGUUAGCAUGUGAAACAUUAUAAAAUUCAAUAAAAGACUUACAUGGAAUUGUACGUCUUCCUUAUGACUUGUAUAUACUAUCUUUGUCGCCUUGUGACUGGACACUUCGAUAGAUAUGGCACUUUGGAGUGCAAUGUAGCUCGUUUGAGAAAGAGCAUUGGUUGACCAAGUGUUUUGAGAGUUACUUGGAACCUUUUGGUGCCCGAUCUAGUGAAUGGUCGCAGCGUGGAGACCUGUUUGACAAUUCUCGGGCAUGUGGCCUUUGUGGGUCUGCAUUGCAUUGAGAGUGAAUGCGUUCGACCAGGCGUGUGGCUAGAGAAUUGUGUUUGAGGUCGUCCCGCAUACGAGUGACUCACUAGUCAAUGAGGGUGGCCGUAUUGUAUAUCAAGCAUUUCACUUGUAAAGAGUUCAGUGAAAGCAAUGUGGCACAUUUGUGCAAAAAUAGCUCAUGGGGAGUGAGGUCGUGUUCAUGUGACCUGCACAUAGAGAGAGCUACAAAAAAUAUCAUUAAUAGCUAAUUGUGCUAAUAAUAAGUUAAUUUCAUUAGAUAAAGUGAGAAUAGCCCCCUAUAUGGCAUAAAUAUUCUUGAGGUCGUUGAAGGACCUGUAAUUUGAAGAGGUCGUUGAUAGACCUGGUGAGGUCGCGAUGAAGGACCUGGCAUGAAGGACCUGAGAGGUCGUUGGCUUAGGGACCUGAGAGGUCGUUGGCUUAGGGACCUGAAUAAGAGGUCAGGUCGCGAUGAGACCUGAGCUCGUCUGCUUAGAGACCUGAAUAUGUGAGGAGGUCUCUGCAAGACCUGAACAUGUGGCCAUUAAGAAUGUAACUGAUGAUAUAAAAUCUUGAUCGAGUUAUGAGAAUAUAUGUUACAUAGAUGCAUAUAAUAGUCAAUUUGUGUGAGACAAAAUAGAAUGAUCAGUAAGAAAUGGAGGUCUCUUCGAGUGGGUAAACAUAAACAAAUAUCAUAGUGGAUUGAUACUUAUCUUUAUUUGAAGAGCUUGUAGCUAAGUCGUUCUGAUCAGCUAUUUUCCAGGGAGUCCUGGUAGCUCGUUCAGAAGGCAGGUAGACGAGAUGAAUGGCUGCAAGUAGGACGAACUGAAACAGUUCUUCUUGUAUGCCUUAGUUUAAUGUUGCUUUCGUCGAGUUUAGUAAUUGUGUAAACAAUUUGCUCCAAGCCCCCAACUGUGAGUUGCAAUUUUGUCUUUUCAAAUUCAAUGAAUUUCUUGAAAAUCACCAUCUGAGAACCUUAGAACAAUGGUGUUCGGUGGGGUUGGUGGGUGGAAUUCGCUCGAGAAAAUCCCAAGUCCCUGUAGUCGGCGCCAAAUGUAUUGACCAUUUUUGUGAGGUUGGUCAAUACAUUAAUGAAUGAUGAUGAUGUAUGUAAAUGAUAUGAACAAUAAUAACAAAGUAGAAAAGACAUGACACCAUUGUUUACGUGGUUCGGCAAUUGUGCCUACGUCCACGGAGAGGGAGAAAGAAGUUUAUUAUAGUAGUGGUGAUACAAAAUGGGAGCUCGAUAAUGGAGAGAGCUCAAGAGAGAGAUGAGACCUGAGAGGUGAGGUCUCAUGAGAGAGUGUUGAGGUCUUGUGUAUGAUUCACAAUGAGACCAUUAGAACCUGAGAAGAUGAGUAGUUUGCCUUUAUAUUUAUAGGCUACAAUGUAACUCCAUUCUUAGCAAUUAAUAGGGUAAUAAUGGGGAAAAUAUCUUUGUAAUAAUAAGUCUUAACUUUGUAACUUGUGCCAUCAAGAGAGAGCCCAUUAGAUGUUGACAUGUGGCACCAUGAUGGACGGUAGAGAUGGUGCCACAUGUAUGUUGUAUAUAGUACCCCUACAACUUUCAUUAACAACGGCUUUCAUGUUGUCAUCAAAACAGAACCCAUAUUAUGUUAUAUGUGUUAUUUUCCAGUUGAAUAAGUCUUAGUUGUUAUGAGUUAAGCCUAAUAAGUAGAAAGUAGAGUGUAGUCUUAUAGGGGUUAGUUGCAACUUAACGUUGGAGUGGGUUGUUGUAACUUAGUCCUAUUUUAUUGGUAAGAUAUUUGUAAUCACCUUCUAUUUAAGGUGCAGCAUUCAUUAAUAAAAGUAUGCUUAUGAAUUAUCUCCAAUUAUCCUCAACACUUAUUGUUGUUAUUGUAACACCCCGGGUCGGCAGGUGGUUUGCCAAGAGGGUGGGUCAUAUGUUGCAUGAGAGGGGGAUGAUCCCGACAUUGGAAUAUAGGUAUAGAUCCGUCAUAUAUAAUCACCGAGGCUUUUUGGGAGUAUCCCUCAUAUAUAAACAUUUCUCGUAAUGUUUUUCAUUAUUGCUGCCCUUGAAAUCUCGUAAGAUUGUCUGUAUAUUUGCAUGAGACGUGUUCACUAGAAUCAGACAUAGAAGACAUUAAGAUUGAUAAAAACAACAUAGUAAUUAGGAGGAUAUAUACCCAAGCUGUGGCAUUGAAACAGACACAUUUCGUAGUUACUUUCUUGUCCGACUCCACUUCAUAUAUGAAUUCACUAGACUUCAUCACCAACAAAGUUCUUGCUUCCUCAAUCCUCAAAGCUAAAACACCUUCCAUGGUUGGACACAAAGUAGAAGUCCACUUCAACGAAUCGUCACGUCUAUCCAACAUCAUCUUCAUAACACGUGACCUAAUUCUAUCAAGCAUUGGAAGUAUGGGCAUAGAACGUUGUGUGUACCCUGGGUAAAAUACCCGACAGGUGUCAUCGGUGGCUGUAUAAGAAGCUAAACCGAGAACACUUGAACGUUAGCCAGCCAGACCUGGACUAUCGGGUAGGGUCCAACCCGGUCUCAAGAAGUCUGCAUACGCUCUGUAGAUCCUGACCACUGGAUGGGCCACGAUCAGUGGGUGGAGCCCCGAUUACUGUAUAAGAAGUUGAGCCGUGGGCUCCCAUACAUCAGCCAGGCCUGUCUUAAUCAAGUAAGCUAGGUCCGACCCAUUGAAGUCCAUCAGCGACGAAGUCCCAUCCAAAGGCUUAUCAUAGAAGUCCAAAGGACCUGGCCAGGGAGUAUGAAAUGCAGAUUGGGCCUCCGGUCUGAGGAGUCUAGCCCAAGUCUUUGCUUUCAAACUUGGUCAAAUCCAAGUCCUAACUAACUGGAUAAGUCCAACAAGAUUUCAAGCUAACAGAACCCACUCUUCUAGCCCGCUGCAGAACAUAAAGGAAGACCCAGGUUGAACCAGAACCUAUCAGAGAAUGCCAUGUGGCAGUCGUCCUUGUCCAAGGGGAUUCAAACCGAGGGAUAAUCGUCAAGCAGCAUGCAUGUGUGCUAUCUCUGCGGGAACAUCUUCACAGUUUGAACUGCCCGAGUUCAUGGAGUCGAAACCGAAGGAGCGGUUGAGCCAGCCUCCUCCGGUCCACUAUAAAUUCAGGAGUUCUCAACCUCCUAAACUACGAGUCUUUCACUUAACAACCUCCAUUACUAAAUCACAUUAUAUAUUGAAAAGUGUUUAGAGGUGGAUUAAAGUUGGUUAUCAAAGUAUAUUGGUCAUGGUUCCAUAUGUAUUACUUGGAUUUUGAUAUGUGUAUAUUGAAAAGCGUAAAACCCUUUGAACAACCUUCUCUAUUUCUCUCUCAUUUUCCCUCUUCUCACUUUCUCUUUCAAUGAUUAUAAAGUGGAUACAAUAUUCAAAAAUAUGUAAAAAUCUUUUUAUGUUCAAAUUUUCUGUGUUUUGUAGUGCGAAUUAGUUCGUAUAACUUAUGUAAAUUGAGAUAUGUCUCUUGAACUGAAAGAUACGUCAUCUGUAUAACCUAUGUAAAUUCAUAUAUGUUACUCUUAUUGAAUAUUUGUUUUAAAAGAAUAUAUUAUAUUAUAAAACUAGUAAUCUAACUCCUAAAAUUGAAUGUGACAGAAUAAGAAUUUUAAUAUUAUUAUCUUCAAAUUAUUAAUGAUAUUCGUGGCAGUGCCAUGGGUUUUACUAGUAAUUUAUGAUCCAUAACUGCCCAUUUUUAAAUUACAAAAUAAAAAAUAAACUUCCUAUUGAUAAUAUUAUAAUAAAUUAGUAGAAUUACAUUCCCUCUAGAACCAUUAAUCUUGAGUAAGUUUUUUUUUUUUUUUUUUUAGAGUAACUUGUGUCUUACCAGUCCUCGUAAUCUCGAAUUUGAUAGAUAAAACAAUAAUGCAAAGUCUUGUAUUUCACAGAAUUACAAUUAAAAUAUAUACUCUCCUAAACCAAAGCUAAUACAAGGAAACUACCAAAAAAAAACUACUCUUAACAGAAUUAUAUAUAUGUCGUGAAAUACUUAAUAAGAUAGAAUAUGGUCGGAAUCUUUUAUGUAUGAUUAAGGAUUGGAUGAGUAAGAUGGUGGAAUUGAAGUGGAAGUCUUUCAUGUGUAUAGGGAGAGUAACGAAGUAGUAGAUCACCUUGCUAGCCUUUGUAGCUCACCGGAGUUAUGUGUAAACCUUUUUUUCUCCUCCUCUAGAUGCCAAGCUACUUGAGUAGGUAACAGAUGACUCUAAUGGGAGGGAAUUUGUAAGGAUUUCUAUAUAUAUAUAUACAUACAUACACUGGUAGGGGUCUGCCAAACCCUAAAUUUCUUCAACAAAAUAAAAAAUAAUAAUAUGUUCGACUAAUGUUUAUGCCACGGAUGACAUUAAAUUAGAGAGGUCCUACUGUAUAUGAAUCUAAUGAUAUAUAUGAAUGUUCCUAAUUUACAGGUUCAUGAUAUGACUUUAUCACACAAAUAAACCAACCGCCCGAUUGAAUUUUUGUUGUCGCCCAGGUUCCAUUUCGAAUGCAUGGUACAUGUAACGUGUUGGAGUUAUUUUGCAGAUCAUGUCAUAAUAGUGUUUUGUAAGUAGCAACAGGGAUGGUUAUUCAACAAGCUAAGUUGUUCACCACCUCUGCUACAAGAUAUUGAGGAUUUACUUAGCUUCCUGAUCAAAUUCAUUAUCAUCAUCUCCAAUGAAACUAUAGACAGUAAAAAAACAAAAAGCCAGUCUUCCAAAUUUCAACUUACAAACUAUUAAUCAUAGGCAAAGACAGUAAAAAGCAAAUAAAAAAGAAAAAAACAACCGCAUUCAACUUAAGCUUGCUUGAACAGCCUCUGGAGUCUUCAAACCAAAGCUAAACUAAGGUCUUGUAUUCAAGUUCAUCAUUCGGAUGACCUCGGAAUCCCUUCAAACAGUUUUCCCAAUGUGCCUUGUGUAUCCAUCUCAACCAUUUUAUCAAAAGCUAGUUGCUUUCCUUUCACAAAUACUACAGGAGGGUAUACACCCUUUUUACCUAGCACGGUUUGCAAUUCACUCAUAUAGGCUCGUCCAGCAGUAUCUCGCUCAUCAACCUCAAUUUGAUAUGAUUUUAACAUGGAAACAAUAUAUUCAGAAUAAUCAAUGUUGUCUCUACGACCAGACGAAACUGUGUAAACAACAACCGCAUUUUCACCUCCAGGCGGACACCUUGAUUUGAAUUUUGCAAGCUCCAUAUUUGGUUCACUUAUUACAGGCCUUUCAAAAAUGGCAGAAUUGACCUUUGGAUGCCCCAACUUGGCUGGGAGAGAAAACACCAAAGAAUUAGAACUACCACUCAUGCUGCUGCUACUUUCAGCAAAAUCAUAUGUAAAUGGUUCGAGCGGCAACCACGGUUCUAUCUCGCCCUCAAGCAUCUUCACCACUUUGCUCAUAUCUUCACCACUUUGAAAUUUUUCCUGAAUCGUUGCGUUAUCCACAUGAGAGUUUUUCUCCUGCAGACUGAAAGAGUAACAUCAAAUUUGCCAGUCUCAACAUCAUAUAGAAGAGUUAGGUAAGAGAUUAUUAAUUGUGCGGGAAAAAAACACUUGAGAGCUAUCUAUAUAUAGUACCUUUCAGCAAUUGAACUUGCAAUUUUUGAAGAAACUUGUGAGUAGGACAAGUUCACUGGCAUUGUUCGCCCACCAAUUCGUAUCGAGGUACUGCCUUCACUUGACAAGUCAUAAAACGGAAAGGGAUCAAGUGGCAGUGAUGGUUCAAUAGCACCCUCAAGCAUCAUCACAACCGUGCUCAUGAGUGGUCUUAGUUGGGGAAUAUCUUGAGCGCACAAUAAUGCAACUAAACUUAAUCUCUUCGCUUUAUCUUUAUCUUUCUCUAAAAUGCCACAAUCAGUGAUCAUUUCAUCGAGUUGUCCAUUCUUAACAGUCUUCCAAACUUGAAACGGAAACCACUCUUGGCCCUCCCAAAUCCUCUUUCUCGUCAAAAGUUCAAACAACAUCAUACCGAAGCUGUAAACAUCACAUUUAUGACUCGUUAUGUUGUUCCAUCCUAAACAAACCUCCAGGGCUGCAUAACCAUAGGUCCCUCGGAAGCUGUUCUUUGAGACGUGACUAAGAUCACUAUUAUUACCAAGCUUGGCCAAUCCAAAAUCGGCAAUCUUUGGAGAAUGAUUCGAGUCAAGAAGCACAUUUUCAGCUUUUAUGUCAUGGUGAAUUAUUGGCGGACUACAGAUCUCGUGCAAAUAAGAAAGUCCUUGUGCUAUCUGUACUGCAAUAUGAAACAGUUUUACCCACUCUAUACUGGAAUCGUUUUGAUACAACACUUUAUCAAAAGAUUCAUUCUCCACGUAUUCAUAAACAAGUGCUUUCGUGUUGUCUUCCAAGCAAAAACCAUACAGUUUAACCAAGUUUUGAUGGUAGGUUCUGCUCAUUAUGGCUACUUCGUCUAGAAAUUGACUAGCCAUGAACUUAUUUUUCAUAUUAUCAUUUGCAUUAUAUUUCAGCACCUUAACUGCCACUUUUUUAUCGUAAGCAAAUCCUUUGUAAACGUUUCCAAACUCACCAGAUCCUAAUGUAUCAGCAGUAAAAUUUGACGUAAAUUUCAGAAGCUCUUUAUGUGAAAAUAAUUGUACUUUCUCAUUUUGAAUUCCGCUUAAAAACAUUUGGAUUUGAUUUGAGCUGUCAUCUCCCUUGCUUAGCAUACCAGGAUUUCCCUCCAUCUUAGGUGAUACUAUAUUGCAACUGUCAGGUACAAUAUGAAGUUGCCGAUCCUAACAGUAUCAAAGAUAACCUGAUGAUCAGCUAGAGAAAAAGAAAAGAAAAGCUAAUGACUGACAGAAAAGUCAGUUGAACUCAAUCAUUAUUGUCAUUGUUUAUCCAUUUUUAUGUUUAAUUUUGUCGAUUAUUUGAGAUCAUGAAGGGUACCUAGACUGAUUUCAGAUCCGGGUUUUCUUAAAACCAUCAAGAAAUAUCUGAUGUACACUAACUAAGCUAGCUAGCUUUGAUUAUCAAAAAAAAAAAAAAAAAUCCAAAUUAAUCUUACCUUGACACUAUCUUUCUUUCAGCUGUUGAUAUGUGUAUGCUCGAAUUCUUUGUAUCUUCAAAAAGCAAAGAGGCAAUUUUUAUCAAGUAUUCUAUACAUAAUACAAGAUUGAACAACACUUUUAGGCAUAGCUUGCAUACUUACCAAAUACUGUAUAACCCAGCAGAGAGAAGACUGGGUUAGAAGUUGUUUCUAUGUCACCUUGAUGGGAAGAGAUAUGCAUAUGAUGCUUCCUUCUUGGAAUCUUUAUCUCUUAUGAAGUUGUAUUUUUUUAAUGCCAAGUGGAACAACAAGUUGGAAAUGUUUAUACACUAAUUAAUUAAACACCACAUGGAAGACUUUGAAUAUCAAGAUUUAAAUUGUUUGAACAAAUAGUUCUAACAUUUUAUAAAGUUUUUGAUAUAAUUUAUGACUCAUAACUGCCCAUUUUUAAAUUACAAAAUAAGAAAUAAAGUUCCUAUUGAUAAUAUUAUAAUAAAUUAGUAGAAUUACAUUCCUUCUAGAACCAUUAAUCUCGAGUAAGUUUUUUUUUUUUUUUUUGAGUAACUUGUUUCUUACCAGUCCUCGUAAUCUCGAAUUUGAUAGAUAAAACAAUAAUGCAAAGCCAUGUAUAGUAGUAAUCUUAAGAUUUGAUAGAUAAAACAAUAAUGCAAAGUCUUGUAUUUCACAGAAUUACAAUUAAAAUAUCAGAAUUUUCAUCCCAAGGAUCAAAUAUAGAGUUUUCUUAGGUUUUAGGAAAUCGGAAAACUUUUGUUAGGAUUUACCUCGAACAAAACCGUAUUUUUCAGGCAGACCAAAUUACCCUUCCACUACCAACACAGAAUAGACGUGAGAAAGAGUUGGGGGGAGGACAUUGUUGGUUGAAUGUGGGAGUUGGUAGCGAGAUUGAGAAACAAUAGUGGUAUAAGUGGUGCGAACUUGGGGAGUAUUGAAGAAUUGAGAUGGUUGGGAGGUUUAUAGGGUUGUAUGUAUGGGUAGGGAUGUGAAAAUAUGUUUUGUGGUGUUUGGCGGCAACCAUGAAUAUUGAGAGAUGCAAAGUCAAUAAUGGAAACUUGUGGUAAAGUUGUGGUGGUGGUGGAAAAUUGGGGGAUAAAAUGUUCAUUUUGGUUAUUGUACUUUGUUUGUUUUUUGCAAUUUGGUCACAACACUUUUUUCCUGUCAGUUUGGUCAUAGUAGAGGGUGGGAGGGUGAGAACAUCAACAAUAGAUUGCUUACCUUCAAACUUAUUAAAUUGAAGAGUAAGUUUCUCGAUUAAAGUGGUUAGACGAUUAAUAGCCGAAUUGAAUUCAAUCUUCGUCACAUAAUCUCUAAGAUUAUUGACUUGGGAGCGGGGUGAAGAAUCUCCACCAUUGUAAGAUCGAAACGUAGCUCUUGAUACCAAUUGACAUAGCGGAAGCAAUUAAAAAUCAAACCUUGAAUAACCCAAGGUGAGAAUUGUCCUGAAACAAGGAAGAACUAAAACAAAACUAAAAAAAAUAGACAAUCUUAAUUGUAUUGAUUGAAUAAUUGAUCUACAAAACAUGACUCUUUAUAUAGACUAAAGACUUGUUCCGAACCGUGCUCACCCCUAAAACCAACUAUUCUAGAAUUUCAAGACUCUAAAAUAAAAAUUACUAAAUAAAAUAAAAUAAAUUUUUUUUUUUCUAACAUUACAACAUCAACAAUGACGUCAUCACUUCUGCAUUACAUUCAUUGCAUUGAGGGAAUGAGAAAGAAACAACCUCUAACUUCAAAUUUUGCAAGUUGCCACAUGUAGAACUAAUUAUUGUACUUAGAAUUAAAACAUAUAAAACACGCAAUUCAUGCAUGCCGGCCUGUAACCUUGCCCUGUACUAUAUACAAGAAGUAUCCCUAUCGACUAGUUGAUUAGUUCUAAUUAUAUUUUUAAAUGCAAUAUUAAUUAUAUACUCAUUAAAUUAAUAAUAAUACACUAAAUAGCACACAAGAUGCGAAGCUGCAGCAUGUUGACUUAUACAAAGUCGUCUUAAACUCCCAACUCCCAACUCCCAACACCCCUUCUUCCAUAAAGCAAGACGAUGCCAUUAAGAUGGGAGAUCUAAUAAGAACAACUUCUAAGCAAGUCUAAAGUGAUCUUCAUUUGGUUGUUUACCAAAUAAAUAAAGUGUUUAGGGCACUAUCAUGCAUGAAACUUGCAAAGCUAGUGGGAUCAAGUUAGUUAUUUAUUGAAUUUUCCAGGUAAUUUAAUUAUGUGUCUUUCUUCCGAUAGUUCUGUUUUUGUAUUGCAAUUAAUCCUGCUGCAGUUUUUAGUUCUUUGAUCAAUUGUGUUUAGUUCAGUAUUUCGACCAUAGAUCAGAUCUGAAAUUAAUCUCUCCUUGUAGAUAUAACACAUAGCUAGCUAUUCCACACACCAUUCAUUCCCACUCUGGUCCCUCAAACAAGUGCUGAAUGAGAACCCAAUAUAUGUGCAAUAUAACAAUAGUAAAACAAACAAUAAAGCAAUAAACAAAUAAAGAACACACGAUAUUUUUAACGUGGUAAAAACCAAUAUGGGAAACGUCCACGGUUGUCCUCGCGACAACAAAUAAAUUCACUAGAUGAAAAGAGAUGUACAAACCUAUCAACUACCUGCAAUCACUGCGAGUUGACACUACUGGUUAUCUCUAACACCUUGACUUCACCAGAGUACCUUGAUGUACGCACAUGACACUCGAACUUCUUGAUGAACACACAAGGAUACUCGACUUCUUGAUGAACACACAAGAAGACUCGAAGCUGAUCUCAAUAAUUAUUCAACAAAGAAGAAGAAGAUGAAUGGGGAAGAAGAAGAUGAGUUCAAUCACCAAAACAACCUAAACCAAAACCUAAACAAACUCCAAGACUAGAGAUGAAUUGGACGGCUAAAGAAAUCGUUUGUUCAUUGGGUAAAGAAACCCUAUAUAUAGUUAGGGUUUGGAAACAUAGAAAAUGGGCCGGACUUUGCAGAUUUUACAUUGGACGUACGUACGUCGAAACAGCGUACGUACGUCCGCACACGGAAAUAGUUCGCUGCCUGCUUGGACGUACGUACGUCCUAACUAGGUACGUACGUCCUGACCAAAACAUGUUUGCUGCCUAACAUGACGUACGUACACCCUAACUAGGUACAUACGUCCUAAACCCAAAAACUUACUUUUGACAAAAGAACGCGAGGACACAAACUCGAGACGAUGUGCAUAUAACUUGGUUUUCCUAACAAUGAACUCAAGGCGAGAUAACCGAGACAAUCAAUGUCACAAAAUUAAUGUCAAAUAACCGAGUGCCGGUUUCAAUCUCCCCCUUUGACAUUGAUUUUGUGACAAAAACCUAUGACUAUAGUAGCACUUAUAAAACGUGCAUACAAACCCAAACCAUGGCAUUUAUAAGAGAUGCCUACAAGAACACUCAUAGUAAAUACAUACCAAAUCACCAACACUUGAUAUUCUGGUCAAGUAAGAUUCUUUAAUCAUCAGAGACCGAACGGAAGCAACAAUGAAUUCUGUAAAUCAGAGAGCCAACGGAAGUUUCUCGAACAACUCCCCCAUACUUCAUGAGUCCCAAAAUUUGAUACUCGAGCUCCCCCGAAACUGUACAAUCUCAAACCAUCAUCACUUUCACUCCCCCAUACGUGUAGCAUACCUGAAACAUGACCCAAGAUACACUAACAAAGAAGAAGAAUGUGCUAGUAUUAGAGUCAUACAUCUCCUCAUUUUUGUCACAAAAGAAGCAAUGUGACAAGAAAAAAACCAUAACAAGUAAACAAAAAUUAAGAAGAGAAUAAUAAAACAUGUUAACAAGAAAUAGAUAUUGAACAGAAGAUAUAGAACAAUCUCUUGUCAACACAACAUAAACACCAUCAACAUGAGAAAAAUCCUUAACUAAAUCAACUUCACAAACCUUAACAAGAAGAUAAAGAGAAAGAACCGAUGUACCAUAAAAGUGAAGAGGAACACAUCAUGAAAUUCCCAAAAUAGUAGUCAAUCCCAAUCCAUACAAAAAUAAGAGACAAUAUAUUGGGAUAAACAAAAGAUUGAACAACUAAGAGAAUUGAAGUGCAUCAUAAACUAAACCUCGGUGUGUGUAGAUGCAAUGCAAUGCAUAAAGAGAGAGAAAGUUCACCACUAGAAUACACCCUUUGAAGACCUAGAAUAUAGAACCAUCAACAAGAGACAUACGAUUAGUAAGUGAGCUUAGAAGAAACAAACUUCAACCCCCUUUGAAACAAACGUUAUGCGUAGAAGACAAACGAAUAUAAAUAUGAUCUUUCAAAUGAAAACCAAGACAUCCAAAAGGCGAAGGAAUAUAAACUUUGUAUGUCUUACAUAAAAACAAUGAACAUGCGCAUGGAUUUUUAUUUUGCCGCAUGUGGUGGAGUUUAGUCUACAUCACUCUAAUGUCAUUCCCGCGUGGGAGGUAUUUUUGCCUCCAUCUUUUCAAAUACAUGAGGGUAGGGUGUAGCCUACAUCUUUUUGACAGACACAAACUCAAGAAGUGCAAUACCAUGAUAACGUGCAACACAAGAACUAACAUCUCUUGAGUGCAUCCGUCAGAGCAUGACCCUCACAACCCCAACGGGUUCUUAGCCAACUGAUAUAAUUUAAAGACAAUCAAAUGGCUGGGGAUAAAGUGAGUCAUUGACCACUAACAAGAGUUGUAAGAGGAAGAUAAGAAUGCUCAAUAACACGAACAACAAGAUGAACAUUAACCAAAACAAAUGAGAGAUAGCUCAAGAUAACAUAAAUACUCAAGAGAUAGAGAAGUUUUAUGAGCUUAAAGAAUAUGUAAGUGGUUUCCAAAAACUCCCAUCAUGCAAGAAUGCCGUGCACUGUGCAAACAAGCGAGGAAAAAUGCAUGAUACAUACCAAAACAUACUUAAGAGUUCAGAAAGAGAAAACACCCAAACAUAUUGUAACUUAUUUAAGACAAUUGAAUUAAACCAAUAUUUCAGAAAAGAUGCAUCCAACAACACAUACAUGGAAUAAUGAAAGAACAAUUAACGCAUGCAUAAAUAGAAGAUCGAACAAAAAACACCAAACAAAUGGCCUAUGUGGUUAGAAAAAUAUGCAAUUAAAAUACCACAAGACUAGAAACAAACUACAUCAUCCCAAAUAUGGGACACCACCAGACUUUUGCAAGUCUAGAAAAACCUGCAACUUAUCUUUUCUUACCCAUACUUGUUUAACACUAGGCGUGCACACCUUGAAAGUUGAAAAGAUAUGAGAUUUCCCCUUAUCAAGUUUUUCAAUAGACUUGUGGUCCUUAACUAAUUCCACCUUAGUCUUUGACUUCCUUUUGUUGGAGUACCCGUUUUUCUUAAACCUAUGAGAAUAAGCAUUAGAGUUCCAAGGUCUAGAAAACGCACAAGAAGGAACAUAAGAAUCAACAUGAUUAUAAUUAUAAGGAACACGGGAAUAACAUUUAACAUGUUGAUUAAAAUCCCAACAAAAGAUAUCCAAAUGACCAUCUCUACCACAAUAAGAACAAUGAAAAACAGUAGACUUACUCAAAGAAUUUUUAUAAGGAGAUGUGGUAGUAGAAGAUGAAACAUGUAUGUCACCAUUGUAUUUGUGACAUGGUGCCUUAACAAAAUCUGUACCUCCACUAUGAGAACAAGAUGUCUUACCAGCAAAAACACCCGUACCAUUAUCCUUAGACUUAAACUUUUUGCCAGAAACAUGCUGAAAAGUAUUAGUAUUAAGUAUAGUCUCAAUAGGUGGGGUAGGCAAAAGGGCAGGCAAACUAGAUUUUACAGAAGUAGUCACACUAGAUGGUCUAGUAGAACUAGCAAUAGGAGAGUCAAAUUUAGUUUUGUCCAAAACCUGCAAUUGAAGUUGAGUAGACGUUAAAUCGUUCUUUGUUACCUCAUACUCCACCAAUAGAGAUUUGUAUUUCUCAUCGACCUCCUGAUUGACCUUCUCUAAAGCUGCAAUUCUACAUAACAAGUCAAGUUUUUCUUUGUCAAAUAAUUGAGAAAUAGAAAUUGCAUCAUCUGCAGCAGAAAUAAUUUGUUUUUCAAGAGUCUCAAUUUUAUCCUGCAAAGUAAAAUUAGCCUUUUCCAAUUUUUUGAUUUUGGAAUCAUAAACUUCCCCUUGAAGCAUAUAGUCUUCUGCACAAUCUCUGAGUCGUUGUUCUAGAGAAUCAACCUUAGUCUGCAAAACACCAUUAUCUUUAAAACAAAAAUUAUCAGAAAUAGUAGAUAAAUUUGAAUUAGCUUUAUUGAACUUUUCCUGCAAAUCAAUAUUAGCUUUUUGUGACCUUUCACAUUCUUUUGUAGAAAGUCUGUAAAGAAGAGCCCAAUCACUAUUGCUAACAACAUACAAAUUAACAUCUUUUUCAAAAUCAGAUUUUGGUUUUGUAGAUUUAGACGGUUUAGCAAUAAAAUUAUUAUAAGCAGACUCAUGAACCAUUAUUGCACUCAUAAGAUCUACGCGUGAGCCAUUACGUUCCAUAACAAGCGCCCUGCUCUGAUACCAAUUGAGAACCCAAUAUAUGUGCAAUAUAACAAUAGUAAAGCAAACAAUAAAGCAAUAAACAAAUAAAGAACACACGAUAUUUUUAACGUGGUAAAACCCAAUAUGGGAAACGUCCACAGUUGUCCUCGCGACAACAAAUAAAUCCACUAGAUGAAAAUAGAUGUCCAAACCUAUCAACUACCUGCAAUCACUGUGAGUUGACACUACUGGUUAUCUCUAACACCUUGACUUCACUAGAGUACCUUGAUGUACGCACAAGACACUCGAACUUCUUGAUGAACACACAAGAAGACUCGAAGUCGAUCUAUGAAGCAAGCUUACACCAGAGUUCCUUGAUGAACACACAAGGAUACUCGACUUCUUGAUGAACACACAAGAAAACUCGAAGCUGAUCUCAAUAAUUAUUCAAUAAGGAAGAAGAAGAUGAAUGGGGAAGAAGAAGAUGAGUUCAAUCACCAAAACAACCUAAACCAAAACCCAAACAAACUCCAAGACUAGAGAUGAAUUGGACAGCCAAAGAACUCAUUUGUUCAUUGGGUAGAGAAACCCUAUAUAUAGUUAGGGUUUGGAAACAUAGAAAAUGGGCCGGACUUUGCAGAUUUUACAUUGGACGUACGUACGUCGAAACAACGUACAUACGUCCCCACACGGAAAUAGUUCGCUGCCUGCUUGGACAUACGUACGUCCUAACUAGGUACGUACGUCCUGACCAAAACAUGUUUGCUGCCUAACAUGACGUACGUACACCCUAACUAGGUACGUACGUCCUAAACACUAAAACUUACUUUUGACAAAAGGACGCGAGGACACAAACUCGGGACGAUGCGCGUACAACUUGGUUUUCCUAACAAUGAACUCAAGGCGAGAUAACCGAGACAAUCAAUGUCACAAAAUUAAUGUCAAAUAACCGAGGCCGGUUUCACUGAAAUCACUAGCAAUGACGACAAGAAUUAGUUCAAUUGGUUUAAUACUGUACCUGCAACAGAUCUCUGUCAUUCAAGUGUAGCCUGUGCUUGUUUUGUUUUGUUUUGACAUUAAGGGGGCUACACUUAAAAGAGUAGCUAUGUUAUAAUUUCCGAUAUAAUUAAACUAUAUAUACAAACUUUUCAUGUUCGUAUAGGCCAUUUUUUUUUAUGUCAGAUGUUGUUAAAUGUUAAAUAUUGCUUGUUCGAGUAACUCUUGUACAUACAUUACACAUGCAAAAAUAUAAUUAUUGUUUCAUCGGUCUGAGAUCAUGAGUAAUAGUUCCGAUAAGAAAAGAAAAAGAAGUUCCGACCUAAACGAUUAUUUUGAAGCUUUAUGUAAGCAGAUGCUCAAGCUGAAAGUCUUGAGAGACAAAGUGGCCACAGGAGGGGAAGUACGAAUGGCUGGUUGGCUACAGAUUGUUAAAGACAAAGAAAGAGAGGUGCGUGAAAUUGAAAUGAAGUUGAGAAAGUUAGAAAAAUAUCGUUUACCUCGUCCAAAUUCCAGGGAAAGGCUAAAAGAAAGGAUCAUUAAAAGUAUAACAACGGUGAAAGCUUUGAUCAAAAGUAAGGAUGAAAUCUCAUUAGCAAUGGAAACGUUCAGAAGGGCAGCUGAAGAAAUAUACCUCUAAUUUCCCGACUGAGAUAGGUUCUGGUGAUUUUGUGUUUCGUAAUAAUGUGGAAAUAGCCGUUAAGGUACUGCAUGACAGUGGAAUCGACAACAUGGAAAAGCAAUUUAAGGCUGAAAUAAACAGAAUGAGCAGAACUUCUCAUCGAAACUUAGCCAAGCUCUACGGUUAUUGUUUUGAUUCCUAAUCCUUAUUUCAAUCAAGACUUAUGGCAUUUUCCACAGGGAACCAAGUUAAUCUCAGAAGUCUAGCUAGAGCUACAUGACUGAAUCGGGCGGUAUAGACAUUGAAGUGUCAGAAGAAGGAAGAAGCACAACAAGGGAAUCAGACGGUUGUAAGAUUUUCAUUAACAACGGCUUUCAUGUUGUCAUCAAAACAGAACCCAUAUUAUGUUAUAUGUGUUAUUUUCCAGUUGAAUAAGUCUUAGUUGUUAUGAGUUAAGCCUAAUAAGUAGAAAGUAGAGUGUAGUCUUAUAGGGGUUAGUUGCAACUUAACGUUGGAGUGGGUUGUUGUAACUUAGUCCUGUUUUAUUAGUAAGAUAUUUGUAACACCUUCUAUUUAAGGUGCAGCAGUCAUUAAUAAAAGUAUGCUUAUGAAUUAUCUCCAAUUAUCCUCAACACUUAUUGUUGUUAUUGUAACACCCCGGGUCGGCAGGUGGUUUGCCAAAAGGGUGGGUCAUACGUUGCAUGAGAGGGGAUGAUCCUGACAUUGGAAUAUAGGUAUAGAUCCGUCAUAUAUAAUCACCGAGGCCUUUUGGGAGUAUCCCUCAUAUAUAAACAUUUCCCGUAAUGUUUUUCAUUAUUGCUGCCCUUGAAAUCUCGUAGGAUUGUCUGUAUAUUUGCAUGAGACGUGUUCACUAGAAUCAGACAUAGAAAACAUUAAGAUUGAUAAAAACAACAUAGUAAUUAGGAAGAUAUGUACCCAAGCUGUGGCAUUGAAACAAACACAUUUCGUAGUUACUUUCUUUUCCGACUCCACUUCAUAUAUGAAUUCACUAGACUUCAUCACCAACAAAGUUCUUGCUUCCUCAAUCCUCAAAGAUAAAACACCUUCCAUGGUUGGACACAAAGUAGAAGUCCACUUCAACGAAUCGUCACGUCUAUCCAACAUCAUCUUCAUAACACGUGACCUAAUUCUAUCAAGCAUUGGAAGUAUGGGCAUAGAACGUUGUGUGUACCCUGGGUACGUAAAAUACCCGAGAGGUGUCAUCGGUGGUUGUAUAAGAAGCUAAACCGAGAACACUUGAAUGUUAGCCAGCCAGACCUGGACUAUCGGGUAGGGCCCAACCCGGUCUCAAGAAGUCCACAUACGCUCUGUAGAUCUUGACCACUGGAUGGGCCACGAGCAGUGGGUGGAGCCCCGGUUACUGUAUAAGAAGUUGAGCCGUAGGCUCCCAUACAUCAGUCAGGCCCGUCUUAAUCAAGUAAGCUAGGUCCGACCCAUUGAAGUCCAUCAGCGAUGAAUUCCAUCCAAAGCCUUAUCAUAGAAGUCCAAAGGACCUGGCCAGGGAGUAUGCAAUGCAGAUUGGGCCUCCGGUCUGAGGAGUUUAGCCCAAGUCUUUGCUUUCAAACUUGGUCAAAUCCAAGUCUUAACUAACUGGAUAAGUCCAGCAAGAUUUCAGGCUAACAGAACCCACUCUUCUAGCCCGCUGGAGAACAUAAAGGAAGACCCAGGUUGAACCAGAGCCUAUCAGAGAAUGCCAUGUGGCAGUCGUCCUUGUCCGAGGGGAUUCAAACCGAGGGAUAAUCGUCAAGCAACAUGCAUGUGUGCUAUCUCUGCGGGAACAUCUUCACAGUUUGAACUGCCCGAGUUCAUGGAGUCGAAACCGAAUGAGCGGUUGAGCCAGCCUCCUCUGGUCCACUAUAAAUUCAGGAGUUCUCAACCUCCUGAACUACGAGUCUUUCACUUAACAACCUCCAUUACUAAAUCACAUUAUAUAUUGAAAAAGUGUUUAGAGGUGGAUUAAAGCUGGUUAUCAAAGUAUAAUGGUCAUGGUUCCAUAUGUAUUACUUGGAUUUUGAUAUGUGUAUAUUGAAAAGUGUAAAAACCUUUGAACAACCUUCUCUAUUUCUCUCUCAUUUCUCCUCUUCUCACUUUCUCUCUCAAUGAUUAUAAAGUGGAUACAAUAUUCAAAAAUAUGUAAAAACCUUUUUAGGUUCAAAUUUUCUGUGUUUUGUAGUGUGAAUUAGUCCGUAUAACUUAUGUAAAUUGACAUAUGUCUCUUGAACUGAAAGAUACGUCAUCUGUAUAACCUAUAACCUAUGUAAAUUCAUAUAUGUUACUCUUACUGAAUAUUUGUUUUAAAAGAAUAUAUUAUAUCAUAAAACUAGUAAUCUAACUCCUAAAAUUGAAUGUGACAGAAUACGAAUUUUAAGAUUAUUAUCUUCAAAUUAUUAAUGAUAUUCGUGGCAGUGCCACGGGUUUUACUAGUAAUUUAUGAUCCAUAACUGCCCAUUUUUAAAUUACAAAAUAAAAAAUAAACUUCCUAUUGAUAGUAUUAUAAUAAAUUAGUAGAAUUACAUUCCUUCUAGAACCAUUAAUCUUGAGUAAGUUUUUUUUUUUUUUUUGAGUAACUUGUUUCUUACCAGUCCUCGUAAUCUCGAAUUUGAUAGAUAAAACAAUAAUGCAAAGUCUUGUAUUUCACAGAAUUACAAUUAAAAUAUAUACUCUCCUAAACCAAAGCUAAUACAAGGAAACUACCAAAAAAACUACUCUUAACAGAAUUAUAUAUAUGUCGUGAAAUACUUAAUAAGAUAGAAUAUGGUCGGAAUCUUUUAUGUAUGAUUAAGGAUUGGAUGAGUAAGAUGGUGGAAUUGAAGUGGAAGUCUUUCAUGUGUAUAGGGAGAGUAACAAAGUAGUAGAUCACCUUGCUAGCCUUUGUAGCUCACCGGAGUUGUGUGUAAACCUUUUUUUCUCCUCCUCUAGCUAGAUGCCAAGCUACUUGAGUAGGUAACAGAUGACUCUAAUGGGAGGGAAUUUUUAAGGAUUUCUAUACAUAUAUAUACAUACAUACACUGGUAGGGGUCUGCCAAACCCUAAAUUUCUUCAACAAAAUAAAAAAUAAUAAUAUGUUCGACUAAUGUUUAUGCCACGGAUGACAUUAAAUUAGAGAGGUCCUACUGUAUAUGAAUCUAAUGAUAUAUAUGAAUGUUCCUAAUUUACAGGUUCAUGAUAUGACUUUAUCACAUAAAUAAACCAACCGCCCGAUUGAAUUUUUGUUGUCGCCCAGGUUCCAUUUCUAAUGCAUGGUACAUGUAACGUGUUGGAGUUAUUUUGCAGAUCAUGUCAUAAUAGUGUUUUGUAAGUAGCAACAUGUCAUAAUCAUGUCAAAUUCAUUAUCAUCAUCUCCAAUGAAACUAUAGACAGUAAAAAAACAAAAAGCCAGUCUUCCAAAUUUCAACUUACAAACUAUUAAUCAUAGGCAAAGACAGUAAAAAACAAAUAAAAAAGCUAGUGUAUCCAUCUCAACUAUUUUAAAAACUAGUUGCUUUCCUUUCACAAAUACUACAGGAGGGUAUACAGCCUUUUUACCUAGCACGGUUUGCAAUUCACUCAUAUAGGCUCGUCCAGCAGUAUCUCGCUCAUCAACCUCAAUUUGAUAUGAUUUUAACAUGGAAACAAUAUAUUCAGAAUAAUCAAUGUUGUCUCUCCGACCAGACGAAACUGUGUAAACAACAACCGCAUUUUCACCUCCAGGCGGACACCUUGAUCCGAAUUUUGCAAGCUUCAUAUUUGGUUCACUUAUUACAGGCCUUUCAAAAAUGGCAGAAUUGACUUUUGGAUGCCCCAACUUGGCUGGGAGAGAAAACACCAAAGAAUUAGAACUACCACUUAUGCUGCUGCUACUUUCACCAAAAUCAUAUGUAAAUGGUUCUUGCGGCAACCACGGUUCUAUCUCACCCUCAAGCAUCUUCACCACUUUGCUCAUAUCUGGCCGUUCGCGGUAAAUGUGUUGAGCACAUAACAAUGCAACUAAGCUUAAUCUUUUUGCAUUUUCUUUAUCCUUCUCUUCAAUGCCACAGUAAAUCAUUAUUUCACUUACCUUUCCAUCCUGAAGAUGCUUCCAAACUUUUUUUGGAAAGUUCUCGACCAUCCAAAUCCUCUUCCUCAUCAAAAUUUCGAACAACAUCAUGCCAAAACUAUAAAUAUCACAUUUAUGAUUAAUUUUGUCUUUCCAUCCAUAGCACACCUCAGGUGCAGCAUAACUCUCUGUACUUCCGAUCUGUGAGACAUGGUUGACAUCCCUGGUACGAAGCUUAGCCAACCCAAAAUCAGUAAUCUUAGGAGAAUGGUUGGAAUCAAGAAGCACAUUAUCAGACUUUAUGUCAUGGUGAACUAUUUGCGGAUAACAACCCUCAUGCAAAUAAGAGAGUCCUUUAGCUAUCUUUAUGGAAAUAUCGUACAACUUCGCCCACUCUAUACAAGAUUGCUGCUCUUGGUAUAAGAUUUUAUCGAAAGAUCCAUUCUCGACGUAUUCAUAAACAAGAGCUUUCAUGUUGUCAUCAUAACAAAACCCAUAUAGUUUAACUAAGUUUGGAUGUAUAGUUCUUCCCAUUGUGUCAACCUCACUCUUGAAUUGUUUUUCCAUGAAUUUUUUAUCCACGACUUUCUUUUUGGAUUGGUCAGUUAUCUCUUCUCUCAGUACCUUAACAGCUACUUUCCUGCCAUAUGGAAGAUGUCCUUUGUAAACAUUUCCAAACGCACCUGAACCUACUUUGUUUUCGAUCUUUGAUGUAAUGCUCUGAAGCUCGUCAUGUGUAUAUAGUUGUAGUUUCUCAUUUUCUAUAUCACUUAGGAUUUUCUUAAGAUUCUCCCCCAUCAUAAUUAGUUGAGACAAUAUAAUUAGUUGAGACAAUAUGGCAACCAAUCCCAAUCCAAUCGAUUCCUGUAUCAAAUAAAGAUGACAUAGGUACGAUUGUGAAAAACAUAAGGACAUUGACAAAAAAAAUAAUGUAAAUUGUAGGUAGACAAAACUAUUGAGUUUGAAAUUCAACAAAAUAUUCUCUCCAAUGUGUUCAAGCAUUUAGUUUUACUUGUUGGUUUUGAAACCGACAUUCGAUUGUUUGACAUCAUUUUGUGACUAGGUUAGGAGUGUCCGAGGUUAUCUCGCCUUGACGUCAUUAUUAGGAAGUACCUUGAUGUGUGAGCGUCGUCCCGUGUCUUCUUACUCUCGUUCAAAGUCUGUCAGGUUGUUGUUUGUUCCAGGACAUACGUACCUAGUUAGGACGUAUGUACGUAAGGUUGGGCAGAUCUUUUAUUUUUGGUUAGGAUGUACGUACCUAGUUAGGACGUACGUACGUCCUGUUCAACAUAUCACUUAUUCGUUCAGGGACGUACGUACCUAGUUAGGGCGUACGUACGUCGUCGUAUGGAUUUCUUGUUUUCAGCUAAUUUUCUCUCUUUUCCAAACCCUAAGUAUAAAUAGGUUUUUCAACCAUAGAACAAAGUAGUUCUUUGGCCGUCCAAUUGAAGUCUUCUUCUUGAGUUUGUUUAGGUGAUUGAACUCAUCCUCUUCUUCCUCAUUCAUCUUCUUCUUCCUUAUUGAAUAUUGAGAUCAGCUUCGAGUCUUCUUGUGUGUUCAUCAAGAAGUCGAGUAUCCUUCUGUGUUCAUCAAGGAACUCUGGUGUAAGCUUGCUUCAUAGAUCGACUUCGAGUCUUCUUGUGUGUUCAUCAAGAAGUCGAGUUCCUUGUGCGUACAUCAAGGUACUCUGGUGAAGUCAAGGUAUUAGAGAUAACCAGUAGUAUCAACUCGCAGUGAUUGCAGGUAGUUAAUAGGUUUGUACAUCUCUUUUCAUAUAGUGGAUUUAUUUGUUGUCGCGGGGACAACCGUGGACGUUUCCCAUAUUGGGUUUUACCAUGUUAAAAAUAUCGUGUGUUCUUUACUUGUUUAUCGCUUUAUUGUUUGCUUUACUAUUGUUAUAUUGCACAUAUUGGGUUUUUAGGUUUUUCAUUGACUUCAUUCUUCAUUCAAGUGGAUUGACACCUUUCUCAUCAUUAUACUACCUAUUAUUUUAGGAGAGAAAAAGUUUUUGCAUUCUUCGCCUUAACGACAUUUGCAUUUCUAUUAAAAAAAGCAAAAAUGUGAGAAUCAGUUUUUGCCCCAAGAAAUUGUGAUUGUGACAAUUUUAGGAACCUUAUUAAAGUUUGGUUUGAAGGAAUUUUUAUUUCACUUAUAUCCUUUUCGCAAAUACUAAAAGGUUAACUAUAAAAAUGGAUCCUACUUGUGAAAGGGAAGAACUUAAAUUAUCUAGGUUUAAAAUUUAAUUUAUUUAAUUUUUUUUUUUUUUUUUGGUAAAAAGUUUUAAAAGCAUUCAAUUAUUUUCAAGAUUUGGGUCAAAAUCCAAUGGGAUUGCUUGCUUUCUCACUGAGAAGGCUGUGAGAGUACUCUCUCUAAAUAACAAUUCUAAAAUAUAACUUCUUUAGUUACACUAUUCAUUGCCAAUUGGUUUUGAGUUGGACCCCAUGAGUUUAACAUGGUAUAAGAGCGGGCAUUUAUUCUGGGUUUAUAAGCCUAUGUGUGGUUUGAUUGGUCGUGGGAAAAAUUCCCACAUCAAACAUUACCCCAGAAAUUCCCAGAUGCCUGUUUGAUUGGUAAAGUUGGGUCAUGUAAAAAUUCCAUGAUAAAAAUAUUUCUCAUGAAUUUUUCCUUGACCCACCCUUAAAAAAAAAUUCCCAAACUUGUAGGGGAAUAUUUUUUUUGUCUAAUCAAACAACUAAAAUCUUUCCCACAUAAAAUUUUCCUCAUGUUUUUAUGUCUAAUCAAAUAACUAAAAUCUUUCCCACAUAAAAUUUUCCUUGUGUUUUUAUGUCCAAUCAAACGACCCAUUAGUAGGAAUUAUUUUAUGUGGGAAUAUUUUCAACUAUAAAAAUUCCCACAAGUAGUUAUUCCCACCAAUCAAACACACCCUUAAAUCAUGCCAUGCGUGAGGGAGCGGGUUGAGAACUUGAGAUGCUUAACCCCAGAUUGGUUUUGAGUUGAACACCAUGACUUUAAUAACAACGAAGAUCAUUUUGAAUUCUAAGGAUGGCGAGAUUGCUCGCCAUAAUACAGACUCAUUAACAUGUGUCAGAGUUGACAGGGUAACAGGGUCAGAGAGUCUUGGAAAAAGUUGGAUGGCUACUAUGCCCACUUCAUUUGAACAUAGAAAAGCUAAUUAGAUAGAAGCUAAGGCUAACUUAUAUUAGCUCUAUAAAGCAACAAAUUUAAUCUUCUGUAGUCGUGUAUUAAUAAUGAGAACUGAAUACGAAAGACUAACCUUGAAAGAAGAAGAAAACCACAACAGAAGGCCAGAAGCUCAAUCUCAGAACCAGAAUCUCUAUACUACUAGUGUAUUGUGUUUUGUAGGAAGAAGAAGAGUAUGGGUACAUCAAUAAAAAGUGAAGUACAUAUAAAUGAUCCUACAAUCAAUCUCCAAUCUCAAAGUCAAAUAAACCACACGGAAUACCAGGUGUAGCAUGUGAAAGGCCACCUACCCCUAAAUAUAUAUAUACAUAUAGUAACAAAAAAAUUUAAGAGAUUUUUGGACAUACCCCAAUUUGAAAGUCGAAAUUUGAGAUACCCCAUUUGAAAAAAAAAUUGAGAUACCCCUAAUUCAAGACAAAAGAGCUUUACAUCCGUAGGUGAGUUUUAUCAUCCGUAGGUGAGUUUUAUGAUGGACGGCUAAGAUAACACCAUAUCUUGAAUUGGGGGUAUCUCAAAUUUUUUUUCAAAUGGGGUAUCUCAAAUUUCGACCUUCAAAUGGGGGUAUGUCCAAAAAUCUCUCUAGUUUUAAUUUAGUGAAUCUCAAACCACCUAAAUUGUACUAUUCAACAUUGGUCACACCAACAAAAUUAGUCGCAUAACCCAACUUAUAAAAUAACUCAAAAUAACUAAACAAGUAACUUCAUAUCUUAUACCUAUAUUAUCUUUUAUUUCAAAGAAUUAGACUUUUAGUCUUAUUCCAAUUUUUUUUGGGCUAAAAUGAUAAACUUUGAAUUAUGGCGGUCAAAAGGACAAACACACGUUAAUAAUUUAUCAAAAGAACAAACUCGAAUUUUUACUUAGUUAAAAAGACAAAUGUUUAUGAUUAGACCUGUAAUCAUAUAGUCACACUUUUUCAAAAUCCUAAUACAUGUGAUUGCUAUUAUGAUUAUACGUGUGAUCAUACACACUUGUUCUUUUGAUUUAUGUGAUCACAACUGUAAUCAUACUCAUGAUCAUAAAAUAUUUAUAUGUGAUCAGGAGUAUAUGAUCAUAACAAAUAAAUGUGAUUAUAAGUAUGAUCAUACAUACUUAUGUUGUGAUUUAUGUGUGAUCAUAACGAAUAAAUGUGAUUAUAAGUCUGAUCAUACCAACUAAAUGUGAUUAUAGGGUUUGAUCAUACGGUUGCAUAAAAUUGCAUUCCAACAAGAGUUAAUUUGGGUAGGGUAUAGUUUUAUUGCAUUUAGUGUUAUGUAUUAUAUGAUUAGACAUGUGAUCAUAUGAUUAUAGGUCUGAUCAUACAGUUGGAUAAAGUCGCAUUAAAACUAGGGUUCAUCGGGGUAGGAUAUCGUUUUAUUGCAUUUAGUGUUGUAUAGUAUAUGAUUAACGUCGUGAUCAUGUGAUUAUAGGUCUGAUCAUAGGGUUGCUUAAGAUUGCAUUCCAGCCAAAUAGGGUUCAUUUAGGUAGAGUGUAGUUUUAUUGCAUUUAGUGUGUAUGUAGUAUAUGAUUAGACAUGUGAUCAUGAAGGGUAUUUUUGUCCAAGGGAGUAAAUUGUUAUGAUCAGACCCGUGAUCCUAAAAACGUUAUCCUUUUGAGUAAGUAAAAUCUUUUAUUGUCCUUUUGGCCUAACCUAAUAGGAACCGUGUCCUUGCGCCCAACUCACCCCUGCUCUUUUCAUUUGGUAUAACUCAAGAAUUCAUUGGAUAUUUGCAAAAAAUAAAAAUAUAGUGGCAGAACGACAGAAAGAAAAAAAUUGAGAAAAAGAAAAAUAUCACGAACCAUCACUAGAAAAUAGUGGAACGGAAAGAAAUUGAAACAUGCUAAAAUACACUAGUAACCUCUCACUAGAUAGUGACGGAACGAAAAAUGCUAAAAUAUACCGUGAACUAAUAGAUUUUCUUUACUUAGAAAUUUAGAAAUUUUAUUUCUUAAUGGGUUUUCUUUAGAAAUUUUAUUUCUAUAUAGAUUUUCUUUACUUAGAAAUUUUUGAUUAAUUUUGCAUAAAAAUUUGCAAGUUGCCACAGAUAGAAUUAAUUCUUAAUUAGAAUUAAAACAUAAAAAACUCAACACAUGUCUUAAAACACAAAGAUGAAGUUUGACUCAAAAUAAAAAACUUUAGCCCAGUUUCUUGUUGAAUGUGAACUUUACCAUUUUCUAACUCGGGACUUCUUGGAUGCCAGCUGAGUCCAGUUGGUGUAAUACCUUGGGGCGAUGAUACCAGAGGUCUAAGGUUCGAUUUCAGUGCAUCUUUGAGCUACUGAUUUCUUUAAAGACAGGCUUGCCGAUCAAAAAAUAAAAUAAAAUACACUAGGACCGACGUUGUUGUUGUUGAGUGUGUACUCAUUUCAUUUUCUAAUGAGUCUAUUCCUACCUGUACAAUUUGAAAUGAACCUUCUUUAAUUUAAAGAGUAAAUUAAAAUUAAUAUUGUAAAAACGAAAUGCGAAGCUGCAACAUGUUGAGUUAUUCAUUUUUUUAAUUAAAGCUGCAACAUGAUGUUGAAUUAUUCAUUUUUUUUUAAUGAGGGGCUUCUUGUUGAGUGUGAACUAACUGAUCAUUUCUUCUCCCAUCAAGGUGUGAGAAGAACAACUUCCAACCAACUCUUCAGUCUUCAUCAUACGUGGAACUUGCAAAGCUAGUUGGAUCAAGUUAGUUUUUCAUUGAAUUUUCCAGGUAAAAUUUAAAGUUUGUGCUUUAAUUUGGAUCUCCUUUUGUUAAGAUUAAUUACCAAGAUUAUACGUACUACUGCACUGCAUAGAUUAUACGUACUACUGUGCUUUAUUUGUCUUGCAAGUUGCAACUAAUCUUGCUGCAGUUAGUCCUCACUUAAUAUUGUUUCGGUUGGUUUUUCGAUCAUAGAUCAGAUCUAAUUUAGUCUCUCUGUAGAUAUCUAGCGCACUAUUCCACUCACCAUUCCCACUUUGGCCACUCAAACAAGUGCUAAAGUCACUGUUAAAUUACUUCAAUGAGUUUUCGAUGAUCUAGCUUUCAUAUACUGUGCCUGCAACAGAUCUCUGUCAUCCAAGUGUAGCCUGUGCUUGUUUUGUUUCUCACCACCAAGACAUUAAUGUGACAGCAAUUGUUGGUAUAGUUGAAUAAAUCCUGGAAAUCGACCCAUAUACUUGAAUUAAUUACUCCCUCUGUCCCAAAUUAUAAGUACCUUUUGAUUUUUGAUUGUUCAUUUGUCUAUAUUACCCUUGUUUUGAGAUAGAGUAAUUAUUCUAAUGAAAAGUUAGGCAUUAUAAUUAGUAUUAAAUAGGGGUAAGUUAGGAAGUAGAGUUAGUAGACAAACAAUAAAUGAUGUUUCCUUAAUAAAUAGAAUAUUCCAAAAGGUACUUAUAAUUUGGGACGGAGGGAGUAUAUAUUUUCAUUAUAGUACAUUAAUUAAGUGGACCACAACUAAAAUACUAGCUAGGUUAUAAUUUCCAAUACGGUGAUAAAUGCACAACCUGUUUAAUUGCACAAAAAAUAUUGGUUCCAUGAUUGGGAUAGUGUAUUUUGGGAAUUUCCCUGCACACUACUCCGUAUGUAAUGUGCAAAUUAUUUACAGUCCCAAACUCCCAACCCUAUAAUUAUCCCACACUUGGUAAGAAACACUUUAAAAUUAUGUGUAUUAUACUUACCAUUGGAAUUAUAAACCACACUUAGGUUGAAAUUGAAGUAAAUUACUUUUAAAUUUGCAUAUAUAUAAUGUUUUAUUUAUUUUCUAAUCUAUAUCAAAUUAUAACAUUAUAUUAUGUUAGGUAUGGAAUUUUACAAUCUACAUUAGACAGUCUUUCACCUUUACUUUGUAAAUGCACACCCUUUGUAAACGCACAUUAAAUCUUGGUCCCAAGGGCGUGCAUUUAGACAUGUUUCACUGUACAAUUAAAUUAUGCAGACUUUUCAUAUUUGGCAUUUUUUUUUUUUUUUUUUUUUAAUCUCAGAUGUUGUUAGUGUCUUCUACUAGGUUGUUAAAUAUUCCUUGUUGUACAGAAUUAAUGAGCAACUCUUCUUCCUAUAUACAUUACACAUGCAGAAAUAUAAUUGUUUCACCGGCCUGAGAUCAUGGGUAGUAGGUCCGAUCUAGAUGAUUAUUUUGGAAAUUUACGUACGGAGAUGCUCAAGCUGAAAGAAUUGAGAGACGAUGUGGCCACAAGAGGGGAAGCACGAAUGGCUGGUUGGCUACAGAUUGUUAAAGACAAAGAAGGAGAGGUGGGUGAAUUUGAAAUGGAGUUGAAAAAACUAGAAAAAAGUCGUUUACCACGUCCAAGUGCCAAGGAAAAGCUAAAGGAAAGAGUCAUUAGAUGUAUAACAACGGUGAAAGCUUUAAUCGUAAGUAAGGAUGCUAUCUCAUUAGCCAUGGAAACAUUCAUAAGUGAAGUGGCAACAGGGAAACCAACACAAUUUUCAGAAUGGCAGCUGAAGGAAUAUACCUCUGAUUUCGCUACUUCGACUGUGGUAGGUUCUGGUGAGUUUGGGGUUGUCUAUAAAGGUGUAUUACGUAAUAAUGUGGAAAUAGCCGUUAAGGUACUGCAUGACAGUGGGAUGGACAACAUGGAAAAGCAAUUUAAGGCUGAAGUGAACACAAUGAGCAGAACUUCUCAUCGAAACUUAGCAAAACUCUAUGGUUAUUGUUUUGAUGCCAAAAAGAAAGCCCUUGUGUAUGAAUUCGUGAAGAAUGGAUCCUUGGAUAAAAUUUUAUAUGAUGGCAACAGUAGUAUAGAAUGGGGCAAAUUAUAUAAUAUUGCAGUUGAGACUGCAAAAGGGCUCUCUUAUUUGCACGAGAAUUGUGAUGAACGGAUAAUUCAUCGAGACAUAAAGGCUGGUAAUGUGCUCCUUGACUCAAACUUUUGUCCUAAGCUUACUGAUUUUGGAUUGGCUAAGUUUUAUGGCACUGAUAAGAGUCAAGUUGCAUUGAGUAGCGGUUUCAGGGGGGUACGCAAUUAUGAUGCUCCAGAGUUGCGAUUUGGAAAUAAAAGAAAAGUAAGCUAUAAAUGUGAUGUUUUCAGCUUUGGGGUGAUGCUUUUUGAAAUUUUAACGAGGAAGAAAUGCGAAGGUGAUAACUCGUUGGCACUACAUGUUUGGGACAAGUUUCAGAAAGGAGUACUUGACGAAUUUAUAACAGAUAAAUGUGGCAUUGUUGGGGAAGAGGAUAAAGAUAAUGCAAAGACAUUAAGUAUAGUUGCGUUAUUGUGCAUUGAACAUAAACCCCAGGACAGACCUUCCAUGAGUAAAGUGGUGAAUAUUCUUACGGGUGUAAUCAAACCUUCCACACCACUGAAUCCUUUUUUGAAUUACAACUCUUCAAGUGAAAGAAUCUUGAUUUUGGAUUCAACAGGAGGAUCAGGCAGUCUUGAAACACCGCAAAUAAUAUUCCCCACCAUCAAUGAAAGGUAACGAUUAAUACACUUAUAUCUAUACAAGUUAAUUAUUUCUGAAUAGUAAGUAGUAAUUUUACGUAUUGAAAUUGGCAAGACUAACCUUAUUUCAUUUUUCCAGGGAACCUCUUCCCAGCACCCGAUUUAAUCCUAGAAGCGAGAGCUAUAAAACUGAAUCGGUUGGUACAGACUUUCAAGGGUCAAAACUAGGAAGAAACACAGCAAGGGAAUCAGAAUCGUUGUUCGCUUUAUCUGAAAAGAUGUGUCCUCCCCAAGGUGAAAAUUCUGUUAUUAUAUAUACAACAACAUUAAGAGAAAACGCAAAAAUCUUUGAAGAAUGUAACAUGGUCCGUUCAAUAUUAAGAUCACAUCAAAUCCAGAUAUUUGAACGUGACCUUGUGCAGAAUCCUGACUAUAAAGCAGAAUUGAGAAAUGUAUUGUGGAAGAUAGUUGUACCUGCAGUGUUCGUGAAAGGAAAGUUUAUAGGGGGAGCUGAAGAAGUGAUGAAAAUGGAAGCAGAAGGCACAUUGCAGGGUUCGCUCUACGGGAUUCCAAAGGCCACCAAUUAUGUGUGAGGUUUGUGCUAAAAGCAGGUUUCUUGACUUGGAAGAAAUCAGACAAUUUUAUAGUUGAGAAAUUUGUUGGGAAACCGGUUCUAUAAGGGAAUCCGUUUCAUAUUUGGAUUUCUAAGUCCAUAUUAAGGAUUUAGAAUUUGGUAUUGGAAUAUGACUUCCAAUUUGAUUAAGUUUGGUAUUCUUAUUAGGAAUUUGUUUUGUACACCCUAAAGGCUAUAAAUAUAAGGUCUUAGGGAUUGGUUUAGUAUCCUCAAUCCAUAUUUGUUGUUUGUCUCCUUGUGAGAGUUGUGAGGAUUUGUUUGGUGAGUGAGAGAUUUGUUGGGAGAUUUUCUCCAUUGGUUAGAUACUUUGUAUCUUUGUUGAUUUGUUAAUAAGAAGCUCUCCUCUUUGGUUGGUGGACGUAGGCAAUCGCCGAACCACGUAAAUCUUGUGUUGUUUGUUUGUUUUGUUUUGCUUUGUUUGAUUCACACACUAUUUCAAUUUUGGAUAUUCGUGCAUAAGUUUACGCUGCGCACAACAAAAUUAAUAGUGCUGAGUUAUUUUUUGUCAUCGCAAAAUGCUUACUGUGCUCUAACAUUAAACACUAAAUAUAUUCCGCGAAACAUAGAAUUAUAUUUUAGUACUAUAGAUUUCUCUUGGUACAAGAUGUUAUUGAAAGAUCCAUUUUCAGACAUUCAUUACAAAGGUUUUCACGUUUUCAUCAAAUUAGAACCCAUAUAGAGUAGUGUGUGCCUAUUUUGUUUGUUUGUUAGGCAAGAAAAAAAAAUAAGCUACUGUUCACGAGUUAAAACAAUGUAAAUAUAAUGUGACAGUAUAUGCAAACCAAAAAAGAGUCAGAGAAAAAUCUCUGUCCUUAAUAUAUUAUUCGCCCAAAUCAGGUGUUGUAUGGUGUAUGGCGAAUUAUCUCCCAUGAUACAACGAUCAUUACCUUCACAAUGUAGCAAUAUUUUAAAUACCUUGAAGAUGGUGAACCAAAACUUUAAUGUAACUCUCUCACAGACACAAUGAAAUUAAAUGAAUGAGUUUUGAAUGAAUGAAAAAUGCAGACAUAACCCAUCUAUUUAUAACAAGAAAAUGUUUAGGGAAAGGACCUUUUGGGCCGAACUAGUUCAAUGAACAGACUCAUCUAUUGGGUCGAAUAGGUUAAAUGAACAAACACACAAUGAUUGGCUUUGGGCCGAAACUGAACGGACACAUCUAUUGGGCCCAAAACAGUUCGGGCCAGUUGGGAAUGGGUACCCACUUAUUCGGACAUAAAGUUCAUUGAUCCUUUCCAUAAAGAUUAUGUUGGAUCACAAAGAACACAAGCCCAAACCCAAGCCAGGCCGGAUUGGUCGGACGGCGCACGUGUGUGUGUUUUUCAACCCCAUGUAAGGUUCCCCCAAUGCACGGAAAUAUUGUACCCCAAAAGGCCACACCGUUAUAGUGAAAAUAUAGUAUAUUAGGAAUAAACCUUAUCUACAUGCGAAUGAGCAUGUGGCUCAAUGGUAGCACCCUCUCACAAAGUGGAGAGGUCGUGGGUUCGAAACACGUCAACCGCUGAUUGUUGAUAUAAGUUUCUACACGUAAUUUAAUGGGGUAAGAGUCCCCACGACCCUGCUUACCAAUCAAAAAAAAAAAAAAAACCUUAUCUACAUGGUCAAAUGUGGGACUAUCACAAUUUUCUUGCUAUGUCCAAAUUAUACUACUUACAUAGGUAAUUUGGGACUCCAAUUUCUCAUCUAAUAUGAAAUAUUUUUGGAUGGAUGGAUACUCUAUGAGAAUGUAAUCGGAAUGAGGAAUCCAUACAUAUCAAGAUCUUACUCAUCGGAACUCUGGAACAUAUACAAAUGUGGUCCCAAAUAUUUUGUCAACAUUCAAACAAUGCCAUUUGCAAUUGUACUUUGUAAACGUCUAGAACCAGUGGCGGAGCCAAGAAUUUUCCUAUUGGGGUUUUUAGACUUCGGGACAUCUAAAUAAUUCCUCUUUGGGAAAUGAAACACUUUUAAUUGAUAUUGAGAGUUUGGGGCACCUUUCGUGAGUUGACUGUUGCUUGCAUGUUAAAUUUUUUGAAAAUAACAAUACUACCCCUCUACAUGUAUAUCACGAGAUUGAAUUUAAUAACAGAAUUGUUACACGUGUCGUUAUAUCAUCCCUUGAUUCUAUCUUACGAUUGAUAAAUUGACGCGUGUCGUAAUGUUCUCCUUUGUACUUUUUAAAAUUUAAGAAGACACCUGUGUUAAAUGAAAUUAGAGAAUAGAACACCUGUGCAAAGUAUUAUGGUAUUUAUAGAAUAUGUUAUUUGACUUGAUUCAACUGUUAGUGAACUGACAGGAAGGUGCCCCAUACACUAAGGUAGUGUUUGAUAACAGCAUUCUUCUGCGGCAAAUCCCUAUUUUCGUGCAUUUUUUGUGUUUGCCAGCAUUUGAUAGCACAACUGGAUGAUUCGGCAAAGUCUACCAUUAAGCCCUCACGUGACCCCAUUUGCCCGUUUAUAUACGGGAAAUUUUUUCUUGGGUACCCCCCAAUCAAAUUUUGUUUUGCCACUUCAACCAUCUUUUUUUACCGGGUAUAUAAGCUAAAACAAACCCAGAAAACCCUAUCUCACAACCUAACUCAAAGAGAACUUCAAUGGCGGCUCUCAUAGUGACGAAACUCGUGUUCGAGGCUGUUUCUCGUGUUUAAAGGUAUGCCUUCAACCCCCUUUCACUAUUCUUCAUCAUUCUAAUCUUAAAUUGAACAAUUUUAACUCGAAUUCUCGUUUUAUUUUUCUCUUUUUACACUGUUGUUGAUGUUUUUUUUUCUCUUGUGUUGUUGUUGUUCUUCUAUUUGUUCUUCGUAAUCAUCCCAAUUUGAAAAAAUCCUAACCCUAAUAAUUUCAUUAAAAGUUGGGGAUUUAUUCAAGUUCAACAUUGUAUUAUUCUUAUUCAACAGUAAUUUGCGAAAUUCAUUAGUAAUUUUAGUAAACCCCUAAUUUCAAAAAAGUUGAGGAUUUUGUCAAAUUCAAAUUAAUUUGUUAAAUUGAUAAGUAAAUUGUCAAGAAUUUGUGGAAUUGAAUAGUUAUUUAUCAAAAAUUUGUUAACUUUAUAUUGGUUUAAUGUUGGUAUGCUCAAAAUUAUUCAAAAAUUAGGGGUUUUGUAUUUUAAGUAAUUUCAAUGUACAUUUGUGACUGUUUGAUGUAAUAUUUUGAUUUAUUUUUUUAAUAAAGUGUUCCUCGGUUUAUGACAAAUACAUUUUUGGUUUUUUAUUUUUUUUCUGCAAUGUAACAAUUGAUUAAACUUGUACACUUUUGUGUAUACAAUUAUAUGUCCAAUUGCUUAAAUGUUGUGUAUAUGUCCAAUUGCUCAAACAAUUAUUUUGCAGUUUUAAUUUUAAAUAUUAUACUUUUUAUUAAAAAUAUCUGACAUGUUUGAACUGACAUAUUUAGUUAGUUACUAUGGUUGACAUACAUGUUUCUUGUAAAUUAAACUAGUAUACUUUGUUAAUAAAUUGGGACAUGUUUGAACUGGCAUAUAGUUUUAUCAUGAAUCAAUGAUCCAAAGUCAUCAGUUUAUACCUUGCAUGAUCAUAUUUUGAUGAUCAGAUAGUCAUCAGUUUUUCAAGUUUGAUUAUAGUAUACCAUCUGACAUGUUGUAAAAGUUCUCAUUUUCAUCAAUAUGAAGCAUACUACCCUGAUGAACUUUUACUUGCAGAACUUGUUCGUUGUGUGUCGUCUUCUCUCACUCAGUAUAGGUUGGUUUAAUCUUAUUUUUUUGAUGUAUGAGUUGAACUUACUUGCAGAUCUUGUUCGUUGAUAAUGUAUGCCUUUUUUCCAGUCUUGCUUGACUUCACUUGUUCGUGUUCUUCUUUUCUCAGUAUACAAUAUUUUCUAAGGUUUGUGUUUGUCACUAACCAUUUUUUGUAUUUAUAUAUUAUAUAUGGUAUCAUGAUUAUUAUACCAUUGUCAUGUUUAUUAUAUGAUUUAUUAUGUUCAUGCGUAUUUCGUACGAAUACGGUGUGGGGUGGUUAAUGUAAUAUCUUGUAUGGAACACAAGAUAAGGUUGUUUAAAUAGUGAAUUCAAUCAAAAUUUAUCGAUGGAUUUCUGAAAAUUUACUAUGACUUACCUGUCAGAUUUGUGAAGUUUUACGUUGGCAAUUUUGGUUGCCAUUUUUUUUUUUAAUUUUUACUUGUAUUUGUCCAUUAUUAGGUUCAGAUAUAUUCUGAUUGUGGUAAAUUCAUUAGGAAUGGUGCUUUUUAAAACCACGCCUCGACGUCGUGGAUUUGUUUGUCCGUCUUAGGUCGUGUGUUCGUGUGGACUCCAGAUAUGGACCACACUCUUUGUACUGCUAUGUUAGCAGACACCGGAGAGGGUCCAUUGUUUGUCCAUCUUAGGUCGGCAGUUGUAAGGGCUGCUGAUGUUAUAAAUGAGCACACUCGGUUGGAUUUGUGUGUCUAUAGCAUUUGGCAACGUCUAUGCCAUUUGAAGCGCUUGGUAAAACUUAUAAAAGAGUUGUGUGAGGACCACGAGGGAUUUCAUUGGGAUAAUGAAACCAAGAUGGUCAUUGUUUCAGAUGAUGAUUGGAUUGCGCUUGAGGAAGACCUACCUGAGUGUUACACACAUAUUAGAAAUCUGUAUGUUCCAGCGUACCUGGUGUACAAGGACCUUGAAGACAAGUUUUGUUUCUAGGUGUGAGGUCUAGGUGUAUAUCACAUGUGUUUAUUAAACUUUUUAGUUUAUGGAGUGUCGUGGAUUUGUUUUACAAACAAUAGGAACUUGUCAGUGUUUGAUAUUUUGGUAAUAUUAUGAUUUUGUAAAUAAUGGCACAAUGGUGGACUACUAAUGACAUUGUUUGACAGAAUCGUUGUAAAAAGUUGAACGUAUGAACCGUCCAAUUCCGUGUUAUACAGACAACAACGCCAACCGCCGAAGUUGGUCAAUCUCUAUGGAUAUCAAUUUGUGCACCAUUCUACUAUCAAUUAGUACACCCCAACGAUGUUUUUUUAGCUAAUACACUCGCUGAAGUAGCAAAAACAAUGCGGACUAGAAUGACAAGUUGUACCAUCACUUCACUCGUAGUUGCUUGGCCUACCGCCUACUUGUUACACUAAAAGCCAAUAAUUUCAUGGCCUGGAAAAGUAUUAUGGCUUGUGAUAGCUAACACUGUUCACAAAGCACAUCACUCAAUUGUUAGUCAAACAAAUUAUUUAUGGACACAUUCCCUAACCACUCACAGCAUAGACCUUUUUCUGAUUAAAAUCAUGCUGGAAACUCGCCCCAACCCUUUUGCUUGGAUGUAUUUGUUCUCUAUGGUGGUGCAUAUGUUGUUCUAGUUGAUGGAUUCUUUCAUAGCUGCACAUUUUUUCAGUUCUAUUGGUUCUGUAACAAAGACUUACAGAAGUUAUUAAGCAAAGAUAGGCAACAAUUUGUUGGUCUAGAGUUGGUCUAGCUAUUGCUUGCGAAUUCUCUGGCCUGUGAUAUUUUGAUAAUAUAACGUUUUUCGUCCAAGAUUAUAUCAAUGUAUUUCUAACUCCUGGCCGGGAAACCAAUCUUUUUUCCCAUUUUGAUUUCCUAAGGCCUGAAAUAUCCCAAUGGAAUUCACUUUGCUGACAUUUUUUUAACUUAUCAAUGUUAAAUUGCGCUUAUUUGAAAAACAUAAAAUUUAACCAAGAUACCUGCAGGCUGCAGUCAUUUGAAAAACAUAAAAUUUAACCAAGAUAUCUGCAGUCAUGGUGAAUACAUUUUGGUAGAUGGAGGGUGUUAGAUGUGACUGUUGUAUAUUGGCUCGCCAUAGUUUGGUGCACAGGAUCAUACCUUAUAAGAGGUGUGAUCCAUAUGAUCAGUUUCCUAUAUUGGUUAAGGAAACCAUAUAUGUGCAGGAGUUGUAUUUGGACUCGGUUUCCUAUUUAUCUCUAGUUUGAAUUAGUAAUUCUAUAUGGAUUUGAUUUCUAUUCAUGGGCUAUAAAUACCCAAGUAACUUGGUAUUUGUAAGACAAGACACAAGAGACGACAAGAAAGUAGAAAAUAAUAGAAACAUAGAGAUAGAUAGAGUAAGUGAGAGAGAACUUUGGGAGCCAAGGGUGUAUUGGGUUUAAGGUGAGAGAUUAAGAUCUUGAGAAAGAUACUAGGGAGAUUAUUGUAAUCGGUGUUUCUUUUUCUUAUAGUGAAAUCUUCUCAUUGUUCCCCGUGGAGGUAGGCAUUGCCGAACCACGUAUAUCUUGGUAUUAUUGUUCUUUAUUAUUUUGUUCUUCUUAUACUAUUGUUUAUUGUUUGGUAAUCUUUGACCUCAUUGACAAAACGGAUCCUGUAUUGCAAAGAAGGUGUUCUCACGAAUAUCUAGGUUGCGGGUUGUUGGCGUUGUUAGGAUUUACUUAAUCACUGCAUAUAGUUCAACAGUGACAUGUACGAUCAAAAUUCUUUUUUGGCAAUUAUCCAGCUCUGCAGGAAUUGUUAGUGUUUUGGGGCAAAAUGGUGCAAUGGUUUUAGACAUGACAGAGAAACUAAACUGAGGGAAGAGCAGAAAUUCUGCUUUGUAUGACACAAGGAUAGCAAGAUUUCUAUGCAAUACCAUGGUCGUUCUUUAGUUAUUUUAAGUCUUUCAUUUGAAAAUUUUGUGUAGUGGGGAGGACAUUGUUGGUUGAAUGUGGGAGUUGGUAGCGAAAUUGAGAUGGAAAAGCAAUAGUGGUAUAAGUGGUGCGAACUUGUGGAGUAUUGAAGAAUUGAGAUGGUUGGGAGGUAUUAUAGGGUUGUAUGUAUGGGUAGGGAUGUGAAAACAGGUUUUGUGGUGUUUGGGGGCAACCAUGAAUAGAGAGAGAUGCGAAGUCAAUAUUGGAAACUUGUGGUAAAGUUAUGGUGGNNNNNNNNNNNNNNNNNNNNNNNNNNNNNNNNNNNNNNNNNNNNNNNNNNNNNNNNNNNNNNNNNNNNNNNNNNNNNNNNNNNNNNNNNNNNNNNNNNNNUUUUGCAGUUUGGUCACAACAUUUUUUUCCUGUCAGUUUGGUCAUAGUAGAGGGUGGGAGGGUGGGAGCAUCAACAAUAGAUUGCUUACCUUCAAACUUAUUAAAUUGAAGAGUACGUUUCUCGAUUAAAGUAGUGAGACGAUUAAUAGCCGAAUUGAAUUCAACCUUCGUCACAUAAUCUCUAAGAUUAUUGACUUGGGAGAGGGGUGAAGAAUCUCCGUCAUUAACCAUUGUAAAAUCGAAACGUAGCUCUUGGUACCAAUUGACAUAGCGGAAGCAAUUAAAAAUCAAACCUUGAAUAACCCAAGGUGAGAAUUGUCUUGAAACAAGAAAUAACUAAAACAAAACUGAAGAAAAAUAGACAAUCUUAAGGGUAUGUUUGGAAACUUUCUUGGGAAUUGGAAUUGAGUUUAUAAUUCUAAAACUUAUGAUUUUAGAGAAUUAAAAUUUUUAAUGUUAAUUUUUACUAUGUUUGGAUAUAUAGAUUGAAAUGAGAAAAGAAAUUAAAUAAGUGAUAUAAUAGGAAAAUAAUAUAGAUGGCAGUAUUAAAGUUUCCUUAUAUAGAAAAUAAAUUUUCAAUCAAGCCUAGAAUCAAGAGUUUUACCCCCAUAAACUUGUGAUUCAUUGAAAUUUAAGGAUUUCUAUUUUCAAUUCAUGGACUAAAGUCCUUCCAAAUGCACAAAGUUGCAUGUUUUGGAAAAUGAUUUUCAAUUUCAGCCUCAAUUCCAUGUUUCCAAACAGACCCUAAUUGUAUUGAUUGAAUAAUUGAUCUACAAAACAUGACUCUUUAUAUAGACUAAAGACUUGGACCAACUAGGACUAGGACUUCCUAAACAAAGAAAUCAAAAUACAAAUCUUACUUUGAAUUUUUAUUUUUUUUUGAUAAAUUUUUGUUUUAUUGAAAAUUUAAAAGAGAACACCAACAUCUUUAAAUUGUAUUACUAAUAUCAACUUAAUAGUAAACAAACUAGGGGUGAGCAAAAAAACCGAAAAACCGAGAAAUCGAACCGAACUGCUACAUACGGUUUGGUUUUUAACGGUUUUUAGAAGUGUUGAUUCGGUUUAUAAUUUUAAAAGUUUAAUAUCAACUUAAUAGUAAACUAACUAGGGGUGAGCAAAAAAACCGAAAAACCGAGAAAUCGAACCGAACUGCUACAUACGGUUUGGUUUUUAACGGUUUUUAGAAGUGUUGGUUCGGUUUAUAAUUUUAAAAGUUGUAGAACCGGUAUAUACAGUUCGGUUUACGAUUUCUCUCUUCAAAAUAUUGCAGUUAGCCGAAACGAAUAAUAAUAGUAGUAUACUAGUAUAUUAAGGGUUAAGAUAUGUUAAUAUGAUUGGUCCAAUGGAUUUUUUAGAUUUAAUAUUAAGUAAAGUUUGGAAGCCCACAAUGUAUUAAGGCUCCAAGCCCAAAACCUAAAACAACCCAAACCGUAGAAACCAACCGAACCAAACCGUGAAAAUCGGUUCGGUUUGUGACUGGUUCCUAAGGUUUUACGGUUCGGUUUCAGUUUCAAAAAGUUUGAAACCGUGCUCUACGGUUAAGUUUUCGGUUUCACCUAUAUGUGACCGAUUCCGAACCGUGCUCACCCCUAAAACCAACUAUUCUAGAACUUCAAAACUCUAAAAUAGAAAUUACUAAAUAAAAUAAUAAGAUAAAAAAAAAAAUAAGAAAAAAAAAAUUCUAAAUAUUGGUGGAUCUAUCCCCAUGUUUGGUUAGGACUGUGGGCCUAACCGUUUGUAUGGCCCGUGACCCAGUUGAAAGUGUGGCAAAGUCACUUCCGUGUGUUAAUUAGGUAUGUGCCUACCAGUUUAUCCGGUAUUCCGGUUGACAUACAUGGUGGUAGCCUCCCCGGCUCCCCCAACAAGUUCGAGCUUGUAGAGAAACUGGUUUACAACAUCAUUACAACAUCAGCAAUGACGUCAUAUUAAUUGCAUUGAGGGAGUGAGAAAGAAACAACCUCUAACUUGAAAAUUUGCAAGUUGCCCCAUGUAGAACUAAUUAUUGUACUUAGAAUUAAAACAUAAAAAAACACGUGAUUAGUUCUAAUUAUAUUUUUAAAUGCAAUAUUAAUUAUAUACUCAUUAAAUUAAUAAUAAUACUCUAAAUAACACACAAGAUGCGAAGCUGCAGCAUGUUGACUUAUACAAAGUCGUCUUAAACUCCCAACUCCCAACACCCCUUCUUCCAUAAACCAAGAUGAUGCCAUUAAGAUGGGAGAUCUAAUAAGAACAACUUCUAAGCAAGUCUAAAGUGAUCUUCAUUUGGUUGUAAUAAAAAUAAAAAUACCUACAAGUGUUACAACCUGAAGAUCGAUCGAAUACCAAAUAAAUAAAGUGUUUAGCGCACUAUCAUGCAUGAAACUUGCAAAGCUAGUGGGAUCAAGUUAGUUAUUUAUUGAAUUUUCCAGGUAAUUUAAUUAUGUGUCUUUCUUCCGAUAGUUCUGUUUUUUGUAUUGCAAUUAAUCCUGCUGCAGUUUUUAGUUCUUUGAUCAAUUGUGUUUAGUUCAGUUUUUCGACCAUAGAUCAGAUUUGAAAUUAAUCUCUCCUUGUAGAUAUAACACAUAGCUAGCUAUUCCACACACCAUUCAUUCCCACUUUGGUCCCUCAAACAAGUGCUGAAAUCACUAGCAAUGACGACAAGAAUUAGUUCAAUUGGUUUAAUACUGUACCUGCAACAGAUCUCUGUCAUUCAAGUGUAGCCUGUGCUUGUUUUGUUUUGUUUUGUUUUGACAUUAAGGGGGCUACAAUUAAAAGAGUAGCUAUGUUAUAAUUUCCGAUAUAAUUAAACUAUAUAUACAGACUUUUCAUGUUCGUAUAGGCCAUUUUUUUUUUUUAUGUCAGAUGUUGUUAAAUGUUAAAUAUUGCUUGUUGGAGUAACUCUUGUUCAUACAUUAUACAUGCAGAAAUAUAAUUAUUGUUUCAUCGGCCUUAGAUCAUGAGUAAUAGUCCCGAUAAGAAAAGAAAAAGAAGUUCCGACCUAAACGAUUAUUUUGAAGCUUUAUGUAAGCAGAUGCUCAAGCUGAAAGUCUUGAGAGACAAAGUGGCCACAGGAGGGGAAGUACGAAUGGCUGGUUGGCUACAGAUUGUUAAAGACAAAGAAAGAGAGGUGUGUGAAAUUGAAAUGAAGUUGAGAAAGUUAGAAAAAUAUCGUUUACCUCGUCCAAAGUCCAGGGAAAGGCUAAAAGAAAGGAUCAUUAGAAGUAUAACAAUGGUGAAAGCUUUGAUCAAAAGUAAGGAUGAAAUCUCAUUAGCAAUGGAAACGUUCAUCAGUGAAGUGGCAACAGGAAAACCAACACAAUUUUCAGAAGGGCAGCUGAAGAAAUAUACCUCUAAUUUCGCGACUGAGGUAGGUUCUGGUGAUUUUGGGGUGGUCUUUAAAGGUAUGUUUCGUAAUAAUGUGGAAAUAGCCGUUAAGGUACUGCAUGACAGUGGAAUCGACAACAUGGAAAAGCAAUUUAAGGCUGAAGUAAACACAAUGAGCAGAACUUCUCAUCGAAACUUAGCCAAGCUCUACGGUUAUUGUUUUGAUGCCAAAAUGAAAGCGCUUGUGUAUGAAUACGCGGAGAAUGGAUCCUUGGAUAAAAUUUUAUACGAUAGCCACAGUAAUAUAGCAUGGGAACAAUUAUAUGAUAUUGCAACGCAGACUGCAAAAGGGCUCUCUUAUUUGCAUGAGAAUUGUGAUGAACAGAUAAUUCAUCGAGACAUAAAGCCUGGUAAUGUGCUCCUUGACUCAAAGUUCUGUCCUAAGAUUACUGAUUUUGGAUUGGCUAAAUUUUAUAGCACAGAUAAGAUGCAAAUUGAAUUGAGUAACAGAUCGAUCAGUGGGGUACGCAGUUAUGAUGCUCCAGAGUUGCGAAGUAACAAAAACGUAAGCUGUAAAUGUGAUGUUUUCAGCUUUGGGGUGAUGCUUUUUGAAAUUUUAGCGCGGAAGAAAUGCGAAGGUGAACACUCGGUUGAAAGAUAUGUUUGGGAAAAGUUUGAUAAAGGACUACUUGAGGAAUUUAUAACAGAAUGUGGCAUUAUAUCUGGAGAAAAGGAUAAAGAAAAUGCAAAGACAUUAAGUAUAGUUGCAUUAUCGUGCAUUGAAGAAAACCCCCAGGACAGACCUCAAAUGAGUGAGGUGGUGAAUUUUCUUAUGGGUGUUAUCAAACCUUCCACACCACUGAAUCCUUAUUUCAAUCAAGACUUAUGGCGUUUUCCCCAGGGAACCAAGUUAAUCUCAGAAGUCUAGCUAGAGCUACAUGACUGAAUCGGGCGGUAUAGACAUUGAAGUGUCAAAAGAAGGAAGAAGCCCACCAAGGGAAUCAGACGGUUGUAAGACUUUCAUUAACAACCGCUUUCAUGUUGUCAUCAAAACAGAACCCAUAUUAUGUUAUAUCUGUUAUUUUCCAGUUGAAUAAGUCUUGGUUGUUAUGAGUUAAGCCUAAUAAGUAGAAAGUGGAGUGUAGUCUUAUAGGGGUUAGUUGCAACUUAACGUUGGAGUGGGUUGUUGUAACUUAGUCCUAUUUUAUUGGUAAGAUAUUUGUAAUCACCUUCUAUUUAAGGUGCAACAGUCAUUAAUAAAACUAUGCUUAUGAAUUAUCUCCAAUUAUCCUCAACACUUAUUGUUGUUAUUGUAACACCCCGGGUCGACAGGUGGUUUGCCAAGAGGGUGGGUCCUACGUUGCAUGAGAAGGGGAUGUCCUAACAAUGGAAUAUAGGUAUAGGUCCGUCAUAUAUAAUCACCGAGGCCUUUUGGGCUCACUUGACUCCAGAGUUUCAAAGAACUCCAGAGUUAAGCGUGUUCGGGUGGAAGUAGUCUCAGAAUGGGUGACCUCCUGGGAAGCAGGUUGCUGCCCAAUAGAACCCCACACUGACGGAUGUCCGCAGUGGCUAAAUGGGGACAAUAUCGGUGGUGAUAUAGGUCGGGUCGCUACAGUUAUAGAGGUCAAAGGUUCCUCAAUUAACCUUAAUUGUUCCCAAACACUAUCUUUCUUCCUUAUUCCACUAUAGGUAAGAAUGGAUCUCACCAGUACAUACCAUAUUACCGUAUAGUUUAACUAAGUAUGGAUGUAUAUUAGGGCUGGGCAAAACCGAUCCGAAACAUGCAAACCGAACCGAACCGAACCGAACCGAAAAUAAGGUGUUUACAUGUUUACAUGUUCGGUUGCAGUUUCUAAUUUUGUAAAACACCUACUUUGGGUGUUCGGUUGCAGUUUCGAAAAUUUUGGAACACCCAAAACCGAACCGAACAUGUAAUUUUGUAUAUAGUCCAGCCCAUCAUGUAAUUUUGUAUACAGUCCAGCCCAUCUCUCCAGCAGUCCAGCCCAUUUGUCCAACACUCCAACAGUCCAACCCAUCUACUAGGUGUUCGGUUCAGUUUUAUUCGGUUAACCGAACCGAAUCACAUGUUCGGUUAUGUUUCGGUUUUAGUAAAUUUUUUUCGGUUCGGUUCGGUUCGGUUUCAAAAAUGAAACAGUUCGGUUUCGGUUUUAGUUUUUACAAAACACCUACUAGGUGUUCGGUUGCCAGUUUUGGCCAAAACCGAACCGAACCGAACCAUGCCCAGCCCUAAUGUAUAUUGUGCCCAUUGUGUCAAUUUCAUUCAUGAAUUUCUUAUAUGUAUCCACAACUUUAUUUUCCGUCCAGCCUGUUAUUACCUUCCAGUACCUCAACAGCUACAUUCCUGCCAUUUGCAAGUUGUACAUUGUCAAUGUCUCCAACCAAAAUUAUUUUUGAUCUUUGAUGUAAUGCUCUAAGUGUUGGGUUUUCAAUGUGAAUCUGUCAAAAUUGACACCCUGUACGAAAACAUCAUAUCUUUGUGCUCGAUCAUCAGAAUCUAGAUCUGUCUUUUGGUUUGGAAACUAGACGGGUCUAACGAACUUUCCAACGGUAUAUGGCACUGUUUCUGUUUCGCAGUAGUUUGGUGGGAAAACAUGAUUGAAGUUCUGACAAGCAAGUUUCAUCUGAAAGAAAGAAUGUUCGUCCCAACGAAAGGUAACCAGAACUUUUCCAAAGGCAAUAAUAGGCUCAACUUGGGCCCAUUUCGUGAUCACCGUAAUGCUCAACGUAAGGCUACGAUAUAAAGCCUAUUAGAAAGGUGGAAAACCGAACUUCAUGUGUGAGAGAUCACCAAACACUCCCACGAGUGAGAGGUUGUGAGGUCAAUUCCUACCAAAAAUGCUUGGUGGAAUUUCUUAUGUAAUUCUUAGGUGGGUCUUAGCCUUCGGGUCUGGUUCAUGAUUAGGACGCCCAUCCUCCCAUGAUGACAUGAUGUGGUUGUCUAGUGUUCUUCAGCGAAAGCAAGUCCCUGUAUAGCAAGGUGGCGAUCUGGACUCUUAGGUGGCAGCAACAGUAGUAUUUCUAGCCCUCUUGGGGCCAUGAAUACUAACAUUUUUUUUUUUGGAGAUCUAUUAUUGAAACCAUUAAAGAGUUUAAGAGAGAAUUUUUGUGAGGAAGAACACCACUUUGGUUUCUUUGUGAGGGCUUGUAAGAUCGUAUCUAUAAGAAAAAACAUCCUUUCUCCCUGAGGACGUAGGUCUUGUUGCCGAACCAUGUAAAUCUUGGGUCUUUUGUGUGUGUUUACUUGGUAGUAGUAGUAGUUUCAUCUUUUCUAUUUUGUUCGAUUAUUUCAUACACUACUUCAAUCUCGGGUAUUUGUGCUUAAGUUUCUGUUGCGCACAACACUAAGCUUUUCAUGUGAAUGUAGUUGUGGUUUGUAAUUUUUUAUAUCACUUAAAAGUUAUGAUCUUCUUAAUACAAUUUGAGAUAUCAUAAUUGACUGUGUAAUCUAUUAGGACACUCCCUCAUCUUAGGUGAUACAAUAUCGCACCAACUGCGUUCAAUCAAUUCUUGUAUUAAAGAAUGAUAACUUGAUUGGAUUGGCAUUUGCUUGCAUUUCAAUCAAACAAUAUAAAAGUUGAAACACUUGAGCAUUCCCAAUGGUAGGUUUUAAAUCACUUUUAGCAACUUUUAGUAAAAAAACUCUUGCCAAUAGUGGGUUUUAACACAUUUUUCAAGCAAAACACUUUUAUCUUCUUGGCAAAUUUGUCAAGGAGUCUAAAGUGCCACAUAGGAUCAUUUUAUUAAUUAAAAAUUAGAUUUCAUUGUAAUGUAUACUAUGGCUGUGCUUGUUUGCACGUAAUUUUGAGGGAAAAUAUUUUGAAAAUAUUUUGCUAAUUUUGUUUUGCGAUUUAUUUACAAAAAUUAUAUCUAAACAUCCUUGUUUAGUUUGGGCUAAAAAUUCGGAAAUCAAGAUAAAAAGAGGAGAGAGAAAGAGAGAGAGGAGAGAGAAACAAAGAAGAGCACGUGAUUCCCAAAGAUUCCGGUAUUUUCAAAGCAGCAAAAAAUGCUGAGCUGUUUUUACUUUUAAGAAAAUAAUUUCGGUAGGGCCCACUAUAAAUGAUAACUACCAAGCACCAUGCAAAUCUGGAAAACUUUCUAAAAUCCAACGUGUCACGACUUUCCGGGAGAUUUCCAUGCAACCAAGCACAGCCUAUGUUUUUUGGGAAAAGUGAAACCUUAAGUUUUAACACUUAUUUUAAAACCAACCAAUGGUAACUCUAAAAGUACUAAUCACUUUUAACAUUAAUUUUUUGCUAAAACCUUUCUCCUCUCUCCUAUGUGGCACCCUUAAAACCCUUUUGCCAUUGGGAAUGCUCUUAUGUUGCAAUGAAAUGAAAGAAAGAGAGUUAUGGAAAAUAAACUAAAAAUAAAGACUUCUAAAAACUUUGUCAUUUCUGACGUUGUCAUUAACUAUUGAGAAUUGAGAACUGCAGGUUUACUUCUGUAGGCUGCCUUUGGGCUUUUUCAUGCUUCCUGUCAUGGAUAUGUACGAAGCUGUCUAAGGCGCCCGUGUACAUAUCCAUGUGAAUAUGUGUGGCGGCCGGUCUGAUCCAAAUUGGACCCUCCUAUUUAAUUUUAUAAAAUUAAAUUAGCCCGUUUCCGCACCUACGUUGUGAUUGAGUUGAGGACGUGAGGCACACAAGUCACAACUCACAAGAUGCUUGAAUAAUUCAUUCUUGAGGAUUGGCAUUCAACUCACAAGGUGCUUGAAUAAUACCGAUUCAAGACCUUGAUUAUUUGUUAAUGUUUAGGUGCAGAUGUAAUUUCUUUUGAGGCAGGAUUUUCCCACACCACUGUAAAACACCUUGCCAUGAAUCGGUACCUAAACAUUAACAAAUAAUGUUUAGGUACCGAUUCAUGGAUAUGUACAGAAAGCUGCAGCAAAAAAAAUGAUGCUACAUGCUUUCAUCUGCUCGUGCAAAAAAUGUUAAGCCUAAAGCUUAACGAGGGUACAAGAAAGAAACUUAAACGACUACAAAAUCAAAAACAAGUGAACAGUUCACUGAAAAAAAAAAAAAAAACUUUGUUGAUUAUUCACUUGCUAUGUCAAAGACUUGCUUAACUGAAAUUAUUUAUGAUGCAAUACGCAACUAAGCAUUCAGUUUUAGCAUAUCAUAUACUGUAAUUUGUUCCUGAACAUUAGAUCUUGCUGCAUGAGGUUGAAGAGCUUACGACAAUGCUCGACUUGUCAGAUUGUAUAUGGUUCUGUCGUCAUUUAGAUUUACAGGGAAUCAUGAAAAGGAGCAAGAAUGCGCAUAAAAAAUUAGAUGCCCUAUUAGAGAAAAUCAUUAAAGAGCAGGAAGGGAUUCGAACUAAAAAGAACGAGAAAGUUCAGGGAGGUCAUCUGAAACAUCUUCUUGACAUUUUACUUGAUGUACCAGAAAACAAUAACGCAGAGUUCAAGUUGACAAGAGAGAACAUCAAAGCAGUUAUUCUGGUAAGAUUACACAGUAUAGAAUUCUAUAUUUACAUCUCGUUAUUUGGGCGUCUGACCAACAAUAAUAGAACCGCACUCAACCAAAGUUAAAAGAUCAUUGAGAACAAUCAAAUGCAUGUAUUACAUUAAGAUCUUCCUCAAUUCCUGAAACUAACACUAUUUAGUUACCUAUCCACAUUCCACAGGACUUAUUUCUUGCAAGUACUGAUACUUUUUUUGCUAAAGGGUAAUUUUAUAAAUAAAAGAAUGGUUACAAGGGGGUGCAUCAAAAAUAUGACUACACCAAACAUCAAUGAAAGUGAAAAUACACUGAAAAAGGAUUCUCUAGAGGAACUCUAGGCACAGAAGAGUUGGAGAACCAUUCCUUCCUUCCUUUAGCUAAGUGAACUCCUUUUGCAGCACAAGCAUCUACUGCAAAAUUUGCUUCUCUCUUUGUACUGGUUAUAAGUAACCAUUUGAACCAGUUCUUUAAAUGCACAAAUCUCUGUUGCACAGUCCAGUGAGGCUUACCACUGUUGAAUGCUCUAGCAGCUGCAACUGAAUCAGUUUCCACCCAUAGUUGGUCCCAACCUUUUUCCUUAGCUUUGUCCAUUGCUUCAAUGAUGCCGGCGCACUCUGCCUCAUAAUUUGUUACCUUACCAAGACCACCACAAUACACCCCCUUCACUGCACUGCCAUGGUUUCGGAAAAUAACUCCCCAUCCUGCCUGUCCUGGAUUACCAUGAGAUGCCCCAUCACUAUUUGCCUUUAUCAUUCCAUGAGGCGGAGGUAACCAGUAACAUUCAAUGAUAGUUUCUGGCUGCCUUCUUUUGACCUGCAAGUUUAGAUUCAACAACACUUUCUUAUCAUAAUCUGAGCCAUAGUGUGACCCAGGGAUCAUCAUGUAUGCCAACUCCACAGCUUUCUUGAUUCUGAAAGUAGCCUCCCUAUAAUUGGGCUGCACGUCAUCGUAUCUUUGCCUAUUUCUUGUUUUCCACACCUCCACCAAAAGUGACAAAGAACCUGCCUUCCACAUACCUGCUAGAAGUGGGCUUUUUCCUUCUUUCAUUCUAAUGAAUGACAGUAAAUUAUCUGGUGGCCUAGCAUGACAGAACCACUCACAUAACACUUUCCAGAGUUUGACAGUCGUUGGACAAGAGAAGAAGAGGUCUUGAUAUGAUUCAAAAUUCAACUUACAUAGACAACACUGCGAGACAAUAGGAAUGCGCAUAUACUGAAUUCUCUCAUCUGUGUUGAGAGCUUUGUGGAGGAUUUUCCAAGCAAGAGCUUUAGUUCUUGGGUGAAGAUGAGAAGAGUGCCAGAAUCUAGCCCAAUGGGGUCGUCCAGGCUUCCUACAAAUAGCUUUAUAGGCUGAAGAAGAGAAUAACUCACAUGAACAGUUGUAAGGCCAGACUCUCUUGUCAGAAGAUCUUCUAUCUGGUGCUUUCAAAUGUCUCCAAUCAAUAUUCAGCUGAUCAAACAAUCGAAUAAGGUUUGGAGGGAAAUCCCAUGAGCCAUUGGAAAUACAAGUGCUAAGCUUUAAUUGCGAGACAUGCCAGAGUCUACUACUUGGCAGAACAUAUUCACUAAGAGGUUGCUCACCCAACCAGUUAUCCAACCAAAGCCUGAUGUCUUGCCCAUUUCCAACAUACCAGUUUUGAUGCUUCCUGAGAAGUUCCAAACCUAAUUUCAUUCCAGGCCAAACUGAAGACGUUUUACUGCAAGACCAGUCCCCAUUUCUUGCUGUGUAUUUGCCUUUCAUAAACUUGGACCAAUCACCAUCAUUCUGAGAGAUACCCCAAGCCAUUUUCAUCAGACAUGUGCUGUUAACAUCUUCCAACUUCCUUAAUCCCAUGCCGCCUUCUUUAACUGGAGAACAAACCAAAUCCCAUUUCACAGUAAUUUUCUUUCUCUCAUCAGCAUUACCACUCCAUAUGAAGUUUCUGAUAAUUGAAUCACCCUCUCUAGCAAGCUUCUUUGGCCACUUAUAAAUGGCCAUGUUGUGAAUUGGAACACUAUUGAGAACAUGCCUUGCUAAUAACAAUCUACCUUGUAGAGACAGAUUCUUACCAACCCAGCUAGAACAUUUCUUUCUGAUUUUGUCAAGUAACCCAACAAUAUGCUCCCUUUUAACUCUACCUUUAAACAGCGGAACCCCCAGAUAUAUCUCAGGUAACUUGCCUUCACUGAUACCCAACAGUUCCUCUAUCUUCUUGCUUCUGGUUGAAUUCAUCUUGCUAAGAAAAACUUUACAUUUGUUUUUAUUGAAGAUUAGCCCUGAGCAGUCUUGGUAAAUCUCCAUGAGUUUCAACAGAUUCUUAAGUCCCCUAGAACUCUUAUUACCAUAAAUGAUAAUAUCGUUCGCAAAAAUGAAAUCAGUGGGGCUGACAUGGCUUGCUCUCUGUAUCAUUCUUUUCAUGAGACUUCUUCCAACAAGCCAAUCUACACCUCUACUAAAACAAUCAUUGGCUAACGCAAACAAUAGAGGUGAGAGAGGGUCUCCUUGCCUGAGCCCUCUCCCAGCUUUAAAGAACCCUCUUGGGCCUCCAUUCAGCAUGACUGAGAUGGUAUUAUUCUCAAUAGCUCCUUUUAUCCAAUUCACAAAUUUGCUAGCAACCCCAAAUCUGCCAAGAACCUUCCAUAGAAAGUCCCAAGAAAUGGUAUCAAAAGCUUGGCUGAUAUCCAGCUUGAGAGCAAAGCUUCCUCCAUGAACUUUAUUAUCCAGGUCAUUCAUUAAUUCAGAAGCUAAGACAAUGCUGUGAUGCACAUUUCUCCCACUAAAAAACCCAUACUGCUCUUUAGAUAUCACUCUGGAUGCAAUAGAACUCAAUCUACUUGCAAGGAUCUUUGUAAUAACUUUAUAGACAAAAUUUGAAAGACAAAUAGGCCUGAAUUUUUGCACUUGAUUGGCAUUUGGUUCUUUCGGAAUCAAAGUUAAAAAGCUGGAAUUAAAAGUGGGAGAGAGCUUGCCUUUGUGAAAGAAGUACUUGACUGCAUCCAUAAGCUCUGAACCAACAAUUGCCCAGCAGUAACGGAAGAAAAACCCAUUAUACCCAUCUGGUCCCGGGGCACUAUGAGCAUUCAGACUAAAAACAAUAUCAUGAAUCUCUCUAGAAUCAGGAGCUUUCUCUAAGAAGUUAUUAUCAUCAUCAGUUACCACUGUAGGAAUGAUUCCAAACAAGUCCUCAUUAAAAUGACUUCUUGCCUAGUGAAUUUAUCCUUGUAGUGGUCCACCAAAAACCCUGCAAUUUCAUCCUGUGUUCUGAACAUACCGCCAACAGGAUUCUGAAUCUCAGUUAUCAUAGACUUUGCUGUUCUGAUCUUGCAUUUAAGAAAGAAGAAUUUAUUGCAUCUUUCUCCUUCCUGGUCCCAUUUCAUACCAGAUUUUUGCUGUAAAUUAAAAAUUCUAAAAUUUUAUAUUUUUCUGUGUACUAAACCCUUUGGCCGAAUGGCCAUAUUGAUCAUUUUUCGAAAUGUAUAUUUUUAGGUGAAAUAUUUUGUUCAAAACUAAUAUAGUAAAGAAGCUUCCUUAUUAAGAAGCAAUUCAACUUGCUUUUCCUGCUCUUCAGUUUUCUCUAGUAGUGCAACAUCAUCUGGGUUACAUUCAGACUGUGCUUGCAGCUGCUGGAGGUUCUCCGUUUCAUCUUUGAUUCUAGUACCCAGAAAACCAUAGUCAUGCUUGUUCCAAUUUUUUAUAACUUGUUUCAGUCGUUUCAGCUUCAGUGAGAGGUUUAAAAGAGGAUUGUGCUUCUCUGGCAAAGGAUGAUUCCAACUACUGGACAAUUAUUCGGCUUGGGAACUGUAGAAGGCAAACCAACUAGUGGCGCAUGAUCUGAACACAACCUACACAAAACUUUAUAUCUCCAUCCAGGGUAUGCUCGAAUCCAUUCCUGAUUGCAGCACAUCCUGUCGAUUCUGCCCAAAACUCUUCGAGAACCAUGUCUCUGAUACAUCUUCAAAAAACAAUGGAAUGGGGUUUCGCAGAACUUCAUCAAUCAUCCACAUAUUUUUCAAAAGGCAAGAGAAGAAAUCGAUUCUGUCGUUGGAAAGAAUAGGUUGGUGGAAGAAUCUGACAUUCCAAAUCUCCCGUAUCUGCAAGCAACAGUAAAGGAAACACUCAGACUACAUCCGCCAGGUCCACUUCUAGCAAGACGAGCAAAGUGAAGAUUGCAAGGUAGGAGAGUAUGACAUUCCAAAGAACACUAAGCUGCUCGUUAAUGUUUGGAUUAUUGGAAGAGACGCAAAGCAUUGGGAACAUCCACUCGAAUUUUGUCCAAACAGAUUUAUAAUUGAAGAGGGAAGUCUGAAGAGUCAGUUAGAUGUUAGAGGGCACCAAUAUCAAUUGUUGCCAUUUGGGAGUGGAAAAAGAGGAUGUCCUGGAAUUUCAUUGGCAUUACGAAGUGUACAAACAACACUUGCAAAUAUAAUUCAGUGUUUUGAAUUGAGAGUGGCGAGCGGAAAUGGAGCAACUGUUGAUAUGAGUGAAGCUCCUGGGCUCCUGCUCACAAGGGCACAUCCAUUGAUAUUUGUUCCAGUUGCUCGUUUUAAUCUUUCGCCAUUAAUUUAAUAGGUUAUGGUCACUGGGAAUUUACGAUACUAUGGAAUGAUAUGGCGAAUAUGAAAUAUGUAUCGAUGAGCAAGAAAUCCCCGUGUCCACCAAGGUUCCAUAUAUAAUAUCAAUGAAAAUUUAUUUGAAAGAUAAAAAUGGAGAACAAGUUCUUGGUCACAGACUCACAGUGAAACAGACGUGUAGAAGUGAUCAUAUCUAGUACAUCAAAAGAUUUAUAUUUCAUUUUUUAUAGAACUCGAUCACCCAGUAAUUAUCAAAAAAUUUUAUAUGUGUAGCCAACUUCUAUGUGGGUGUGUACACCCAAUCAUAUGAUGCCACGUGUCUAUAAAGUAGUUGGAAAACUGAUCAAACCCACUAGGGUUAACUAAACCCAUACUAGGUUAUAUUAUUAUUGCCACAUGGCAUUUUGUGAUUGGGUGUACACACCCACAUACAAGUAAGCUACACAUAUAAAAUUCUCUGAGUAAUUAUAAGCGAAACACACUUUCUUUAUAGAAGCAAAUCCAGCUUUCCUUGCCAAAGUAUAAAACUCUUCUUCAGUGCGUUCUUUCCCACCUGGAUUUUGUGACAACAUAAUAAGGUCCUUCUGGCCAACCCCUAUCGCAGCAAUAUUAUUCUCAGCUGCAACAUGUAACAUAUGCUCCACUAUUAUCACUUUUUCAUGAUCAGGAAGCGCGUUGUAGCAAUUUUUUAAUAAACUUAAGUUGUGAUCAUCACUCCAAUCGUGAAGUAUCCACUGCAUCGCAAGUCAAUAUGACAGUUAAAUAUGGUAAGAUUUUGCACAUAUUUUGCUGUGGGCUAUCCUGAUAAAAACAUACUUAACUCACCUUCAUGAAAAUUGCUUCAGCUCUAGGAACGCUUUCAAACAUAUUUCCACUAACAUAUUUCCUGGGAUUUAAAGUGUCAUGACCGAGGAAAAAAAAAUGAUGCUGGUUGACCUUAAGAUGAACAAAAAAUAUAUACCAUACCAGGAUAAGAUGGUGCAUGUUCAAUGACAUGCGGCAGAUCAAAGUUAAUACCCUUGAUCGAAGGAUAUUUUGCAGUGAUUAAGCUAAUUGUGGUUCCAACCCCACCACCUACAUCAACAACCUCGCUGAAGUUCUCAAAUCCGUUGUAUGUUUCAAGUAUUUUCUUCAUGACUAUUGUGGUGUGGUUGAACAUUGCUUUGUUAAAGACUUGGUUGAAUCUGGGAUUUAGUCCAGGGUACUCGAAUGCGUGCAUUCCAUGAGCCUUGUUGAAUGCAAUUCCUCCUUCCAGGACAGCAUCUUUCAAAUGACCCCUAACACGACAUAAACGGAAGAUUACAAAACUUACAAUACACUUUGGAAGAAUUCUUGAUCAUGAAAUUGUAGUUACUACUCACCAGCUAUCCAUGAAAACCUUGUCCUGAACCAAAAGCAUAAGUGGUAACAGUGAUACUCCAUCUUCAUUUUGAACAAAAUAUUUGCAAACAGGUGCCAAACCAUACAAUCUUUCAAUUAGGCCAUCGUCAUUAGUACUGACAGAGGAAUUAAGAACUUUGUAGCCGGUAAGAAGUCGAAGAAUUCGAUCAAGCAUACUGACAGCAUUCGCAUUCUGUGUAGGUAAGUGAGAUGCAAUGAUCUUUGGUGACAUUUGUGCACCUGGACCUGCUUUAGCUAUGAUAUCAAACAAACCAAGCUCGGCUGCCACUUGCAUGACCAUAGGUAGAACUGAAACCCCUGCUAAUUGCAUAGCGAACAGAAAAUGAUCUUCAUCUUCAUGGCUAGUUUUUUGUGAAAUUUCUGUGGAACUCAUUGUUUUUUUCCCUUCUUUUAUUGCAAGAUGAUAAAAUGCAUAUAUAAGAACUGUCAGCCCCAGUUGCCUAAAAAAGUCAAUGCAAAAUGGAAUUCGGUUGAUGCCCCCAGUUGCCUAAUAUUGUGGAAUGUAGAACCAGUACUAAUGACCACUCAAAGAAACAUGAACAGGAAGAGAAAAAAUGGCUACAAUGUUAGUCAACAAGAUAAAUCAACCAAGGUAAUAUCAACCCCAGUUGCCUAAUAUUGUGGAAUGUAGAACCAGUACUAAUGACCAUUCAAAGAAACAUGAACAUGAAGAGAAAAAAUGGCUACAAUGUUAGUCAACAAGAUAAAUCAGCCAAGGUAAUCUACAAUCCUAACACACGACGAAAGAAAAUUACAAACUCCAUGCAGUUUUUAACCUCAAAUGAAAGGUAAAUGUAAAAAUAUAUAUAAGCAAAACGGUCACAAUGCCAAGCUCACUUGAUAUCUUCUCUAAGACAGGAAUUAGAUAUGGUACAAGAACACACUUACAUCAAAAGAUUUCUGAAAUAUUCAAAUUACCAUAUCCGAUCAUCUAUUACAUCCACCAAGUAUGUUCAAUUGCUUACUUUCUUUUGUUCACCAAUGGUUCUCGACCAUUAAAAAGAUGGCAGUCUAUGUUGUUUUGUCGUAACAGAUAGGAAUGUAAGUUGUCCUGGCUUUUCUAGAUUGCCAAAUUUCUUUCAGCGAAACUCUUCAAGCUAUUCUUCAUCACUGGCUUUUGGGUUUCUGAAUCUUCACAUAAGGCAAAAGCCCCAUGAAGUGAACAACCUUCGGAGACCAACCAAGCUGCUGAGCUCGGCAGAACAUCAAAAAAGUAUUGGCCAAGUAGGAAUUGAACCCCAUGAAGAUAUGCCACAAAGCAUGACCCUGUGGAUUAAAAUACCAAUGCGAUAUUUCUUUGCAGAAUAAGCGAUCACACAACCAACAGAUACUCCCUGCGAAUAAUGUUAACACGUAGAACUUGGCAAGUCGUUUUGCAGACGCAUCGGUAGUGUGUAUAUAGUACUUGUACAUCCUAGGGAUGCAGAGGAGGCACAGGAUGACGUAAUGAAUCUUGAAGCCAAUGCCAAAUCGUAAUUGCGAAUGUACCAAGGCAAAGGCAACACCAUAGAGGAAAAGGAAGGUUGGCAUUGUACUCCGGUAAUGCCAAUCUGGCGAAAAGAGUAUAUAUAUGUAAAGAAGCAUUUCCCAGACCAUUGGUGUCUCAUCACUUUGCUGUUGCCUGCAAAUAAGUUCAGUAAGCCAAAACAUGUUCAGCAAGUAAUUUUUGGUGAGGAUAAAGUGCAAGUGUAAUAAUAACAAUAAUACUAAUAUACAUGGACAAAUAUCAAUGAAAUAAUAUUCAGAAUGGUACAGCCAAUCAAAAUUACUAAGCAUGGUUUACCAUUAAGUUUCUACCUUCUAGUACUUUUUUGAGAUGCUCAUUAGUACUAUAAAACGACAGAAAAUGUAGAGAAAAACAACUAAUUUGGCAACUAACUUCAACAAAAUUUCCAUGCACCAAUAACCCUCAAAUUCAAUAUGAAUGUAAGUCUUAACCAGAUCCACCAUGCAGAAAUUGCGUGUGCACAAGUGAAGUAUUCUAAAGAUGUAUGACUUAUUUCUUCAAAAAUAAACAAUCAAAUCAUGUCAUAGAGAAUCAAAAUACAUAAGAAAUACGCAAGGGGGUGAGAUAUCUGAUAACACAAAGAAAACAAAAUACAAGACGAAUCACUAAAAGAAAUACUAAGGAAAAAAAAAAUCCCAACUCAAGGCAAUCAAACUGUCCUCCAACUAACAAAGGAUGCUGACACGCCUGAAAAUGAUGUCAGUUCCAACUUCCAAUCCACCAAGAUUAUUUAUAGUAUUAUGAUUCACAAACGGGGUGAUGGUGCACAACCAUUACUUAGCCAGUGUAGGUGAACCCAGCCGACACUACAUCAAUAAGAGAUUACAGACGGAACUAGGACAUAUCCAAGCGACUGACACAGAGUCAAGGAAGUUGCCACAAACAGAAAAAGAGAAACAGCAAUGGAUCAAACAACAACCAACUCACUCCCCAGAGGCGUAACCUAACAUACAGAAGGUUAGCAUUAUUUUCGUACAUCUUCAGAGGUUGUCUAUGGUCUGCAUCUUGCAACAACAAAAUUUCCAAGAGAACUCAGAACAGUAAAGGAGAAAGUACGGGAUGAUUGUGGAAAAAGCAAGGAGCAGUGUCGCAAACCAAAAUUUGACAGAAAAUUGGCCUUUUACAUCGUGGACCCAAAUGUUCAGCAAAGAGACUUUCCAGACUUGCUAUUAUACAAGCAACUUCCCAAACAUGCUAAAUUCGAAAACAUGUGUUUUGUUAAAAUUAAAUUACACACACAAAGAAAAAAAAAGAUAAGGCCCACUAGAAGUAUAAGAUAUGCAUAAUCAAAACACAAGCAUUACUAAAGAGCUUAGAUACCACUCAAUUCUAUGUGACAAUAUUCACUAUAUACUUGCAGAGAAACCAUACUUACACAUUCUGUAGGGUGGCAUGAAAUAGCAUGCUUCCAAUGGAGAGUAUCAUAUUUGAUAGGUGAAGAACACUAAAUCUUUUUUCGAAUCUUUGACUGAAGGCAGUGAUAAGACCAAUAAACGCCAAAAGAAUGCUAGGCGAGUUCGAUAAAGUGUUGUAAAACUCUGCAAUAUAAAAAGAAUGGGUAUAAUUACUCUCACACCACUCAGUGGUGGAUGUAACUGGUCCCCAAAAGCUUGGCGCUGUGUUUGUCAUUAUAUUGAAUGUGUGCCCAAAAUGUAUGCACUGAACAAAGCUUAAGAUAUUUAUAUAUUCAACGGACCAAGUAACUGUAUGCCUGCAAGAAGAAAGAUUCAUCUUAGCAACAUAACAAGAACACAAGAAACUCAAUCGAAAGCUAGAGGAAGGGAGAGAAAACUAGUAUUUGUUAUCUGCCACUAAUUUAUUCCAGUUACCAUACAGCAUACUUUUACAAAGUGAAAAGAUUUAUCCAGCUUCAGUUUGUUAAAAUCACUUAGGAAGGGUGAGAUUAUCAAGACAUAUAACUACAUUACUUUGAGACAGCAUGAGGAUCAACCGAUCAACUGGAAAAAGAGAACUCUGGUGAAUGGUAUUGGAUGGUUCUGGUGAUGCAAGAUGCAAACCCUUCAACAUAAGAUUUCAAUAGAGGUUAUCUGAACAUAGGCCCAGAUAAAGAAACCUCUGAAAUCAUCCCAGACCCUUUCUAGAAACCACACAAGAUAAAGCACUCUCACGAAUAUUCUACCCCUAGUAAGACUACCAACCGUAGAAUUAACUUUCUUCCGCACACUAUCACGUUCUUCCACUAGGCACCUCAAUCAGGAGCAGGCCAAAGUUUAAACCAUCAAAAUUCUUCAAAUUUUAAAACCAAAACCGGAUGGGUAAAAGACCUAGUAUUAAUAGAAAUCCUCCGUACCAUUCCACGGAAGUUUUGAUUACAUUCUCCAUUGUUUUAGACACGCCGUGAGGAAGAUAUGAAAAAUAGAGAAAUGGUAACUUCAACAGGGUUGUCUUUAUUAAGAAAAACUGCAUGUCCUUAGAUAAGUACCUCUUCUCCUAUCUGGCAGGGUCAAUGGCACAGAUAAGAAAAAGGCAACAAGCCCACACUAAACUUAGUGGUUGUCUAGAUACUAUCAUAUCUUCUAUACAUUCUACACUACCAUAGCAUUUCCCUCUGUUUGCGAAUAUAUCAUCUGAACUUUUCACAAACCACAGUGUGUUAUAACUUAUAAGUGAUCCUUCCAAUACAAACAUUUUGGAUAAAAAACGAACUCAAACUCAGUAACCAAAGUUCGCGACGCUUGGUAUCAGACUAUCAGUUAGAUAAAAUCCCCAGAUCCAGCUACUUUCUACAGAUUAUAUGAAAAUUAUACAUAUGGACAAAAAACACCCUGAAUCAUCAGAACUCAAUAUUACAAAGCCAUACAACUAACACAUACUUUUGCAAAGAAGCAAGCUCAAUGAACAAAAGCCUUCCACUCUUGCUUUCUCCUCCCUUUCCCUGAAUCAAUAUCUCCUAUGAUUAACUAUAUGAAAAAAAAAACUAUUUUCUAUCGGUAAAUCAAAAGCAAAUGGUGAAGAAAGUAAAGUUGUUGACUAAUGAGGAAGAAAAUCGUCACACAUUUGUACAAUACCUAGAUUCUAUUUUAGUCUUUAAGAGGAUCCCUCAAAUUAAAACGAAUUUUUAUUCAUGUGGCUAUUGAUAUUUUUACGUCAAAGAAAAUACUAAAUAGUACACAGCAAUGCGGUAUAAAUUCUACUUAAGAAAAACGCAGUAUAGUCUCAAUUUCGGUGUUAUUGGCAAUAAAAUAAGCACGCCUAUGAAUACAUAUUUAUUGCUAGAAACUUCUUAAAACAUAAUAACUCUACAUACGAAAAACAUAGUAGUCUUAACUCUUAAUUUUCGUACUAUUGGCAAUAAAAUAAACACGACUAUAAAUAUACAUAUUUAUUGCUAGGAACUUUUUAAGACAUAAUAAUUCAAGAGAAUAAAACUGAGUCUUCAGUCUUCUUUCCAAAUGACGAAAAAAUGUGCUUGAGUGAUUCCAUCUAAUAUAUUUCCUUUCAUAUAACAUAUUUAUAAUGAAUUCUAUAACCCCACAUUAAUUUCUUCAAUCUAUGUAUAAAACCCGACAUUUAUUGCUUUUAACAUAAAAAUUUCAACAAUGAAACAAAUGAUACCCUCAAUAAGGAAAAUUGAAAUUCUUGUAAAUUCAAUAAAAAAAAAUGCCAAAUUCUUCAAAAACCGCAACUUUGCCAGUUUGGGUACUCUACAUUACACUCUAAUUUCAUGAUUUCAUUGCACUUAAACAUUCUCCAUAAAUCCUAAUCUUUAUUGAAAAUAUAAUAAUAUAUCAGUUAAAACAUCAAUUAUUCACCAUAUUUGAAAAAAAAAAGUUCAAAAUCAAAAGCAACAAAUACCCGUAAUUCAAGGUAGGUGUACUUACAGAUUAGAUAGUGGUGGUGGUGCUGGUGUGAAUGGCGAAGAGAGACAGAGAGAGAGAUUCCAAAAACCCUAGGGAUUUGGGAACUCUGAAGAGAGAGAAGGAAGAUGAAAGAGAGAAAACAAAACAAAUACGGGGACAAAUAAUUUAUGACCCGACCCAACAAAAAGAUGUCAGUCUGGGUCGGAUAAAAUGCGAUCCAGUUUUAUGUGAUAACGACUAAUGUCUGUCUAUUCUAGCGCAUCAAAUUUUUUUUUUUUUUUUUUUUUUUCAAUCAAGAUUUUACAAUUUUUUUUUUUCUAAUUUUUUUUUUUUUUUUUUUUUAAUAAUAAAAUUUUAUUGAGCUCAACAAAUUACACAAAAGUAGAGGACAAACGCGCUACAAACUGCGCGGCAAGUCCUUUCUGGAUAGCAAACCCGAUUCUCCUAAAUACAUAUUCGUUCGAACCCGCAGUCAUCACGUUGCUAUCCAUUACCUUUUGCACUCUCCUGAGGAGCUCAACUGCUUCUGAUCCUAGCAAUCCAAAUGUGUCAAAUGCAAAGGGGAUGAAACUAUGUUGGUUAGCCCUACAAGCUCCGUCAUGUUUCUCCACUUUUGCUGCUGCUGCAUUGCUAGCUGCUAGCCCCACCUCAAAAAUCCCAGCACCCAGGCCAACCAUCGGAGACGCCCCUGUAACAUCAACACACGCAUGUUUACCUUCAGACCAGUUAUAGACCAGAAUAUCAGCAGGACGUAAUGUCGAUCUUCCUUCCUUAGGAUCAGUAAGAAAGUUAACAGGAGCCUCCUUCUUAACCUGUACUCCAGCCCGCCAGAACACAUCACACAAGAUAUCUCUAACGUGGUCAUGCCUGUACUUGAAGCCGGGGUAAUGCUUACAAUGGGCCGCAUGGUCCCCAAAAGCAUCAAGUCUGCUCUUCUUGCACACUGGACAAAGUUCACCAUCUGAAUAAAGAGGGAUCAUCAAUCGAUAACGAAGAAUGGCACGAUAUUCUACCGGCGUCAUGCGUUGUCCAAGCCCUUCCAUCGGGAUGGCAAGGAGAAAAUCUUUGGCAUGUUCUGCUUGCACACAUCCAAUCACGGCUUUUUGUCUAGCUGACAACUCAAAUUCCCUCUCAAGACCAGAACUAAUCUUGAUAAGCUCAACGAAUUACACAAAAGUAGAGGACAAACGCGCUACAAACUGCGCGGCAAGUCCUUUCUGGAUAGCAAACCCGAUUCUCCUAAAUACAUAUUCGUUCGAACCCGCAGUCAUCACGUUGCUAUCCAUUAUCUUCUGCACUCUCCUGAGGAGCUCAACUGCUUCUGAGCCUAGCAAUCCAAAUGUGUCAAAUGCAAAAGGGAUGAAACUAUGUUGGUUAGCCCUACAAGCUCCGUCAUGUUUUUCCACUUUUGUCGUUGCUGCAUUGCUAGCUGCUAGCCCCACCUCAAAAAUCCCAGCACUCAGCCCAACCAUCGGAGACGCCCCUGUGACAUCAACACACGCAUGUUUACCUUCAGACCAGUUGUAGACCAGAAUAUCAGCAGGACGUAAUGUCGAUCUUCCUUCCUUAGGAUCAGUAAGAAAGUUAACAGGAGCCUCCUUCUUAACCUGUACGCCAGCCCGCCAAAAUACAUCACACAAGAUAUCUCUAACGUGGUCAUGCCUGUACUUGAAGCCGGGGUAAUGCUUACAAUGGGCCGCAUGGUCCCCGAAAGCAUCAAGUCUACUCUUCUUGCACACUGGACAAAGCUCACCAUCUGAAUAUAGAGGGAUCAUCAAUCGAUAACGAAGAAUGGCACGAUAUUCUACAGGCGUCAUGCGUUGUCCAAGCCCUUCCAUCGGGAUAGCAAGGAGAAAAUCUUUGGCAUGUUCUGACUGCACACAUCCAAUCACGGCUUUUUGUCUAGCUGACAACUCAAAUUCCCUCUCAAGAUCAGAACUAAUCUUGUUGUAGUAUGCUUCCGCCAAGACAUGUUGGGGUCUGAAGGGGACGGUAGCAGUUGGAGCAAGAUUACUGAGAUCAAAAUCAGGUAUAGAAAGAUGUAAACUAGCAAUGGCAGUAUCGAAAACAUUACCCAUAGGUGGAGUGUCACAACCUCGAAAAAUGUGGUCUUGGAGAUCCUUGGUUUGCGUGCGUGAAGCUACGAAAGCAAACUUCAUAACAUCAGUAGCACAAUAGAUACCAAGUCCACCCAUACGUAAUGGGAGGGUUGCCAUACGCCACUGUAGAUCGCCAAAACCAGGUCCAUCAGAAACCACAAUAUUUUGAAGGGCUGCACGAAGCUUGUGGUCAAACCAUUCGGCUGUUUCCUGAACAUAAUCAGGGGGGCAAGUACGGCGGGCAAAUGUGAGUUUAGAUAAUCCCAUACAAGAACGUAAAAGUGCCAACUCACACUGCGGAUCCUUUAGCUGUGGUAAAAGGUCCAUAAGUUGAAGUGUCUUAUCCACUCGUUGACGAACAUUACCCACAAUAAAUGAUGCAUCAAUACUGACAGCCCCUCCAAGCAACUUAACCCCUCGCUGAGGACAUGAUAUACCAACCGGAAAGAUAUCUGGAUAGGAGCAGUCAGGAUCAACAGAAGGCCAGAACAACUCUGUCUUAGACACAUUAAGCACGAGCCCAAGAGAUGGUCCUCUUUCCUGAAUGAUACGAAUAGCUCUAUCCACAUGUUCUGUACUACCAAUCAGAGUACCAUCAUCUAAGUACUCUGCCUGCAACUCCAAGUGGCAUUCUGACUGAAUGCGGUGUAUCAAUGGAUGCAAGACCAAAGCAAAGAGAAGAGGCCCUAAAGGGUCCCCCUGCUGUAUCCCAGCUGCUGACCAAAUAUGAGUAGACCCUAGAUACAAUCGAGCAGGUUGACAAUAGAGGUAUUCGACCCAUAGAGCAAUAGAUGGACAAUGAUUGCGUACCUCCCGUAGCAUAGCAGACCGAUCAACAAGGUUGAAGGCAUUCUGAAAGUCGACAAGCAGCAUAGAAAGCGAUGUGUCAUCCUUGUUGGCAUAAACCAACCGAUUAACAGCAUGCAAAAUUGCCUCCGCUCCACCAGGCACACCAACCCCAAACUGAAAAUCCUCUAGGUAUGGGACAAUAUCCUUCGAAACUCCUCUCAUGGCAAUCUUAGACACCAGGCGACGCCAAACCAUACCCACAGCUAUUGGGCGAAUACCGUUACCUGGCUUAAGAAGUGGGGUGAGCGGUGCACUAGCUAUGAACUCUGCCAAGACCCGUGGGCAUCGACCUUGUAGCCAUAAGUUCACAACCGGUGUCAAGGCCUCCAUAAGAUCUGUGGCUACAGCGGAUGCAGCCCCGCUCAUAGCAUCCAAUAGGUGUUGGGCCCGGAGACCAUCUCGCCCACAAGACGUCCCUUUGGGGAAGGACCUGAUGCAUGAUAAUAUCACAUCCCUCUCAACUGACAAAGGUGACUCAAGUAAAGGAAUGUCGGGGACAGAUGGUGGUGGAUGCUUCGGGUGUUUUUUUUUUGAUUUUUUUUUUUAAAUUUAAAUUAUAUUGAUAAGCUCAACAAAUUACACAAAAGUAGGGGACAAACGCACUACAAACUGAGCAACAAGUCCUUUCUGGAUAGCAAACUCGAUUCUCCUAAAUACAUAUUCGUUCGAACCCGCAGUCAUCACGUUGCUAUCCAUUACCUUCUGCACUCUCCUAAGGAGCUCAACUGCUUCUAAGCCUAGCACUCCAAAUGUGUCAAAUGUAAAGGGGAUGAAACUAUGUUGGUUAGCCCUACAAGCUCCGUCAUGUUUCUCCACUUUUGCUGCUGUUGCAUUGUUAGCUGCUAGCCCUACCUCAAAAAUCCCAGCACCCAGCCCGACCAUCAGAGAUGCCCCUGUAAUAUCAACACACGCAUGUUUACUUUCAGACCAAUUGUAGACCAGAAUAACAACAGGACGCAAUGUCAAUCUUCCUUUCUUAGGAUCAGUAAGAAAAUUAACAGGAGCCUCCUUCUUAACUUGUACUCUAGUCUGCCAGAACACAUCACACAAGAUAUCUCUAACAUCGUCAUGCAUGUACUUGAAGUGGGGGUAAUGCUUACAAUGGGCCGCAUGGUCCCCGAAAGCACCAAGUCUGCUCUUCUUGCACACUGGACAAAGUUCACUAUCUGAAUAUAGAGGGAUCAUCAAUCGAUAACGAAAAACUGCCCACCAUUUGAAUAAAUUUUAUUUUUUAAUUCAAAAUAAAUUGUAUUGAUAAAAAUUUAAGGAAUUAUACAAAUUUAAAGGACAAACGCACUUCAAACUGCGUUACAAGCUCUUUUUGAAUAGCAAAACGAAUCCUACGAAAUACAUAUUCAUUAGAUUAGUCUGCCGUCAUCACAUUGCUAUUCAUAAUUUUUUGUACCCUUCUGAGAAGUUCAACUCCUUCUGGUGAUAGAAACCCAAAAGUGUCAAAAGCAAAAUGAAUGAAACAAUGUUGGUUCACUGCACAUAUUCCCUUGUGUUUCUGUAUCUUAACUGCAGCUCCAUGAAUAGUUGUCUGACCCACUUCAAAAUUUCCAUUACCAAACCCCACUAUCGGAGAUGCCCCUGUGAGGGACCCAUACCUCUUUAAAUUUCGUCUCGAAACUUAUAUUAACAAUCAACUGUUGAUGUGUUUUCGAAUCCACAACCUCUCCACUUUGUGAGAGGGGUGCUCCAAUUGAGCCACAAGCUCAUUCCCUAAAAGAAAAUGUUGUGGUAAACACGUUUUUAUUGAGAUCAGUAACUCGGUAACGCUGGCGAGGUUUGAACGCUAGAUCUCUGGUAUCAUCAUCCAAAAGUUUUACCAGUUGAGCCUAAUUUCAUUUUCUUCUUAUUAUGCAGUCUUGAUAAAUUUGCCUAUUCUUGAUCAUAACGUAAUUUAAUUUAGACUUUUUUUUGGAUGGAAGCUAUUUAGACUGUUUUAACUUUUAACCUGAUAUUAAUAGCUUGAAAAAUCAUUUCCAUUCUGUUUAGCAGCUACAGUGAGUGGUAAUUUGCAAAACCUCUAUACAUGACACAAUCAUAUGUGUAGUUAGAUGAAACCGUAGGAAAACCAGCGAGCAAAAGAGUAAGAGAACAAUAACAGGAGGCCAUAAUAGAAAUUACACCAAUGCAUAUGUCCGUGACAAAAUAUAUAAUAUGUUUAACAUACCAUUCUGUGACGAAAUUGUACUUACGCAUUCUGUAGGGUGGCAUAGAAUAACAUAUAGUGUUGUAAAACUCUACAAUAUAAGAAGAAUAGGCAUAAUUUAUCUCACACCACUCGGUGGUGGAUGUGUCUGGUCCCCAAAAGCUUGACACUGUCUCUGUCAUUAUAUUGAAUGAGGUGCCCAAAAUGUACGCAACCCACAAAGCUUAUGAUAUUAGCUAAAUUCAACAGAUCGAUGAAUCAUAUGUUGGAAAUGUUUUUAAGUGGUUAAAACAUUUGUAUAUGAAUGAGAAAUUUAAAUCCCAAGUUAACCACUGGCCAUGGCUAACUUGUGUUAUAGUAGAUGAACUAGCUUUUGAGCCCGUCCAACGGACGGGAUGUUUGAAAUGAGAUGCUUGAAAUAGCAAUUAUUUGAUAACACACGUGAUUUUUUUUUCCUUCUGAUAUUGUGAUUUUGUGCCUAAUGAACUUAGUCCAAAUUCAACAAAAAAAAAAAAAGAAAAAAAGAGAACUUAGUCCAAUAGCGAGAAUAUUUUUUCCAGCAAAAACUUUCAAAAGGAAUUACAGCCAAGAAAGUUAGAGAUGAGUCAUUCAUCAACUUGGGCGAUGUCUUCUUCUUUAGCACAAUUAGUUUCAGCGUACAAAUAUGUACCUUCAGGUUGAAUGAACCCAUAAAGAUAGGCCUUUAUUUAUACAUCACAAUUUACAGUUAAACUGAUCCCACAUCGACCACGAUAAUAUAACGACCAAAAAGAAACUGAAACUGAAAGAAGAUCUAUCCUGCUACUGCAUAGUUAUAUGUUUCAACUUGUGCCCACCUUUGAGCUCUGCACUCAACCAAAUCUGCUGCACUUAGUUGAUGCUACUGUUAGAGCUUUUGCCCCUGCCUUGUCUGCUGCAAUUUUCCCUUGAGUUCAUGAUGUCUGGAAACCUUAUCUCCUCCCUAAUCUCCUCCCUAAUCUCCAUUGCUUUCUUGUCCAUAUUAAGCCACAACCAAGCACCUCAAUUUUUUGGACCUCCUUUACCACAAAAGAAGAAUCCCUGAAAAUUGCAUUGUAAUACACCUUUCUAUAUAUGCUGCACAACUUGUUAUCAAUUUCUGACAUGUGAAUCUAUUUCAAGAGAUUCCACUUGCUAUUCUCCGAUAAAUAUGGCUCUCCUGUUUUGCACAAUUACAAAGGAUUGGAUUAGUUAUAAAAUUACCAAUACCAACAAAAUGUAGUUCAUACGCAACAAUUUAUCAUAAUCAAAACAUAACAUGCAAUUGUAUUCAUUCGCGAAUGAGCCUGUGGCUCAAUGGUAGCACCCCUCUCACCAAGUGGAGAGGUCGUGGGUUCGAAACACGUCAACAACGGAUUGUUGAUAUAAGUUUCCACACGUAAUUUAAAAGGGGUAGGGGUCCCCACAACCUCGCUUACCAAAAAAAAAUGUAUUCAUUCAAUUUUUGAGAAAAAUGCGGCAAAAACUUUUGUAUUACAAAUAACAAAUUGAAACAUCUCCAUUAAUGAACCUGCUUCUAGUAAUCAUUAAGACAAUAUGUGGUUUGCCGAAGAUAGAAACAGAAGAAUAUGAAUUUUCAAUUCUGUAAAGUAGCCACCUUACAACAACAUGAACCCCACAAAACAAAGAAGUGUUCAUGUCACUCGGUAUUUUUUCUAAUGAACAGUCUGAUCCAAGGAUGCUGGCACAACCAAGGACUCUUUAAUAUGGAAGGUGGCACACAUAGGACCAGACAACCUUCAAAACCAAAGGUUGAAAUUUGUAAAACUGUAUAAACGAUAUUUAAUUUAAAAUACCUUAUGACCAUCAUGCUUGUCUCAAGGUUGGAUCACUCCACUGCGAAGACUUGCAAGAAUCCAUGGCCUCUUACUUUCUUAAACUCGGCGAGAACUGAAUUAUUCACACCAGAACAGAAAUGAUGAUCGAUUAGUGUUAGACUAACCUUUCCCAUUUGGCUGAUAAAAUUUGAUCGAAAAAUAUGAGAGCAGAGGAAUGAAGGAGUCUUUAAUUUAUAACCGAUUUUUCUAUAACUUCUCAAACACAAUUAGUAAUGUAAUUUCCUUUAGAUUCAAAUAUCAACAAACCACAGUUGAGUCCCUUUGAUGUAUAUUUAAAGUAAAAUAGAGUCAUUUUUAUGUAGACUACUGGUAUUAAUCCAAGCUAAGACUGUACUUGAAUACAUUUUCCCAUAAUUUCAUGGUUGUAAGUAGAAUUUAAAUUUAGACUUUGUUAAAAAAAGGUAAAAUGAUCAAAAAAUACAAUGUACUUUCACUUUUUUUCACUUUAUACAAUGUACAAAAAAUCACGUCAAAACAUCAAUGUACUUCGAAAUUUUUUCCACGUUAUACAAUCUGUCUAAAACAUGCUAACGGACUGCAGACGUGGCUAAUAUUUAUCUACGUGUAUUUUUUCUUUUAAAAUAAAACGCUGAGUUGUAAAACUAAAAUCAGCCCAUCUACUUUAGAACGUGUCAUCAGAUCAUGUCGACACAUGUUUACAUCUAAACCGUCCAUUAAUCCCGCCCAAAGUUCGCGCCAAGAUGUUAGAGAUAUAUAUGUAUAUUUUUUUUUUAUUUGUUAUCUUUCUCAUAGGAAACAACACCGGCAGGGAAACCCUAAAUCGAUAUUUUUCCAUCUCUCUCUCUCACAGCGACAUUGAACCCUCUCUCUCUCUCUCUCUCUCUCUCUCUCUAAUUCUUCAAACCCAACACAAAUCUAUGGUGAAUUGGUGAAUCUCAAGAAACAAUUUGGCGUGGAACAACUGUUGUGUGUGUAAAAGAAGAAUCUUCUUUCAAGUAAGUAACAAGUAGUUAGUUUAUUGCUAGAUUUGGGGUAAAGGGUUAGGCUUUGUAUACUUCAGUGCUAGAUUUUGGGAUUGUAAGUAUAAAAUACUUGUUUAUUAGUACUGAUUUGGGGAUUUGCUAUGGAGUAUUCUUAAUUAGGGUUAGAUGCUAGGAAUUUGGGCAUUUACAGACCAAGUUGUAUUAUCUAAUAAACUAGGUUAUUAAUUUAAGUAGUAAUUUGGGGGUUUGGUAUGUAGUAUUCUUAACUAGGUUUUAAUAAUAGAAAUUUGUGAAAUUCUAUGUAUAAUAUUUCUUUAAAGAGGAACAUUACAUGGUGGAUGAGAUUGUUGUCAAUUUGGUGUUUUUUUUUUUCUGUCUAAGAUUAUACCUAUCUACAAAAGUAAAAAUCGAUGUUGAAAUCUCACUCUUAAGAUUGCUAUAAUAGACUCUGACAUGGUAUACCUAAACACAUUGUAUUACACUUGUUGAUAGUUGCUCAUACUUUUUAUAUUUGGCUCAUAAUAUUACACUCUGACAUGUCAGACUAUUAAGGUUUUAAUAGUUCUUUAAUAUGUUGUUAAUUUUGACAUUGCAGUGGAUGAGAUUGUGUUUGAGGUCAGACAUGGUGGUUAUUUUGAAUGUAAACCUUUGUUAUAUUACAAGAAUGGUGGAAGAGUACCAGAUUAUAUCUACAACAUUAACCCGAGGACUCUGACAUAUUUUGAAGUGAAGAAUUUUAUUGAUGGUUUAGGGUAUAAUAACAUUACAAAGGUGCACUAUUGUCUUAGUGGGAGGACCCAGGAGAACAACCUCAGAAUCUUGGUUGAUGAUAAUAAUACUAAACACAUGGUAGAGUUAUGUGAGCAGAAUGGUGGUAGGUGUUGUAUUGAGAUGAGAUUGUGUUUGAGGUCAGAUAUGGUGGUUAUUUUGAAUGUAAACCUUUGUUAUAUUACAAGAAUGGUGGAAGAGUACCAGAUUAUAUCUACAACAUUAACCCGAGGACUCUGACAUAUUUUGAAGUGAAGAAUUUUAUUGAUGGUUUAGGGUAUAAUAACAUUACAAAGGUGCACUAUUGUCUUAGUGGGAGGACCCUGGAGAACAACCUCAGAAUCUUGGUUGAUGAUAAUAAUACUAAACACAUGGCAGAGUUAUGUGAGCAGAAUGGUGGUAGGUGUUGUAUUGAGAUGUAUACUGAACAUGGUGAAGAAAAUAACCUGACAGAAGAACAAGAAAGUAGUGAAGAUGAUGACGAUGAUGAAGAAAUCAGUGCCGAAGUUGAGAAGGAGCUUAACUAUGAGAAGGAGAUGGAUGAUGACAGUGACAGUGAUUGUAAUUCUACAGAUGUUUCUGAUGAUGAGUUGCAUGCAAUUAGAGUAAGUGAAAAUGCUAGGAAAACCAAUAGAACAAAGAAGAAAAAAAUAGAAGAGGAAGAUGUUCAGGAUGAUGGAGGCAUUGAUGAAGACAUUGAUAAUGCUGAUGACAUUGAAGACUUAACCACGGAACCUCAAAACAUAGUUAAGGCAGAAGAAAAUGGUUAUGAGACUGACUAUGGAUCAGCUGAUGAUGGAAAUGACAGUCUAGAUGAGAGUGAUGAUGAGGUUGAGAAGGUAAAGCCAAAGAAAAAAAAACCUAAGUUUCCCAUGUGGGAUCCCAACUGAGAUCCAUUUACCUAAGUUUCCCAUGUGGGAUCCCAAUAGGGCUUAGAUUUGCUGAUUGUGCCCAACUGAAGGACUUAUUGAGAGCAUAUGCAGUGAAAAAGGGAAAACCAAUCACAUUUCUAAGGAGUGCAAAGAAUUUGUUGGAAGCUAUAUGUGCUCCAGGUUGUCCUUGGAGGAUAUGGGCAACCUGGAUGCAAGCAGAAAAAAGUUUUCAAAUUAAAACUAUGAGGAAGAAACAUAAGUGUUCUAGGAAAUUUCAUAUUAAGAUUGCUAAUUCAGCAUGGUGGGCUAAGUUGUAUCAUGACAAAAUCUUGGAGAAUCCCACAUGGAAGUUGAGGGAGAUUAAGAAUGAUAUAAAGAAGGAGUAUAAAACAUAUGUAAGCAUCACACAAGUAUACAAAGCUAAGAAGAUAGCUUUAGGAAAUGUUGAGCAUGAUUUGGAGGUACACCACAUGUUUAAUUAACUUUUUUUUUGUAAUUAACUAUUGUUUAAUUAAGAUUCUUUUAAUUAAAUUUUACUUUUAAUUUGUAGGUACAUUAUGCUAGAUUGUGGGAUUAUGCUAAUGAGGUGUUGAAAAAGAAUCUAGGCAACACUGUCAAGAUAUGUGUCACAAGAACAACUCCAGAGUCACCACCUAGGUUCAAAUGUAUGUAUAUGUGUUUGGCUUCAAUAAAGAAUGGUUGGAGAGAAGGUUGUAGAUCUGUCAUAGGUCUAGAUGGUGCUUUCUUGAAGGGGUAUGUGAAAGGAGAAUUACUUACAACAGUGGGAAGAGAUGGGAACAAUCAGAUGUUCCCCAUUGCUUGGGCAGCUGUACAAGUUGAAAACAAAGAUAGUUGGGGUUGGUUUCUUGGAAUUUUGAUGGAGGACUUGUGUAUAGGACAAGGUCUUAACUAUACUAUAAUUAUUGAUCAGCAGAAGGGACUUGAUGUUGUCAUUCACAAAUUAUUACCCUAUGCAGAGCACAGAAAUUGUGCAAGGCAUGUCUAUGCAAAUUUUAGGAAGAAAUAUAGUGGGGCACAACUAAGAGGGCUUUUCUGGAAGGCAUCAAAGACUUGUACACCAGGUAUGUACUUGAGUAUACCUUUUUAUUGCUUAUAUGUUACAUUACUGUUUAUUCUUGUAUUUUUACACCAUGUUUCACUACUUGUACACUAGGUGAGUUCUACACAGUCAUGGAUGAAAUCAAAGUUGUUUCUCCUUUAGCACAUGACCACCUUAUAAACCAAGAUCCUAAGUAUUGGUCUAGGGCUUUCUUUAAAACUAUGACUGUGUGAUGUUGUUGAGAAUAAUAUGUGUGAAUGUUUUAAUAGAACAUUGUUGGAGGCAAGGCAUAAACAUAUAUGGCAUAUGAUGGAGGACAUAAGGAAAUACCUAAUGGUUAGGAUGAGGAAAAGAAAGGAACAACUAAAUGUAGAAGAGGAUGUGGUGCCACCUAGAAUUAGGAAGAAGCUUGAGGAGCAGAAAGACCUUGUAGGUAAAUGGUCAUGUGAAAGCAAUGGAGAUAACAGUUUUGAAAUCUCAUGUGGCUAUGAUCAGUAUGUUGUGGACUUGAGUAUGAAGGAUUGUAGUUGUAGAUUAUGGGCAUUGAGUGGAAUUCCAUGCUGCCAUGCCAUUGCAGCAAUCUAUUAUAUGAGAGAGGAGCCAGAUGACUAUGUAUCAUAUUUCCUGACUACUGAGUAUGCUAAAAAAGCUUAUAGGUACCCAGUUCCUUGUUGCAAUGGUGAAAAGGUUUGGGAUAGGACAAACAAUGAAGCAAUUCUCCCCCCGAUUAAUAGGAAAAUGCCAGGAAGGCCUAAAAAGAAAAGGAUCCAGGAAUCCCAUGAAAGACAAGGUAGAAGUGAGGUUUCCAGAAUUGGUAGGGAGAUGCAUUGUACAAACUGCAAAGGAGUUGGACACAAUAGGAAAACUUGCAAGGAACCUAUUGUAACAGAGGCAUCUGUGAGUAUCCAUUUACUUGUUGUUUUAACAUUAACUUCAUUUGUUUACCUAAAUUUUAUAUCAAUGGUUGAUUUAUUUUAUAUCACUGCAGGUAAGGAGAAAGAAACCGAUUGCUGAAGGUGAUGCAAAUGCAAGAAAGGAAGCAACAAGUUUGAAAGCUAUGGAGAAAGAAAGGGUUCAAGCAGAAAAAGCAAAACAAAGAGCUGAAAAAGCUAAGGAAAAUGCUGCAAAAGCUAAGGAAAAAGCAGCUGAAAAGGCAAAGGAAAAGGUUGUUGCAAAGGCUAAGGUAUGAGCCUACCAAGUGCACGAUGUUGUUUGGUAAAUUUUUUUGGUUAUAUGUCCUAAUGAUAAUUUUCUUCUGUAGAAAUCAAAGGAAAGACCACCAAUUGCUCCAGGUGGCAUUGGUGUGUUAACAUUUGAUAAUGGUGAUCAAUAUGUGAAGGUAACAUGUUUUCUAGAAUGGUAGUUACUAAUUCAAUGUUCAUAUAGAUCAUGAUUUUAGUGUUCUGCAGUGGUAGUUAUUAAUUCAAUGUUCAUAUUUUGUGUAGCUUGGAACCAAAAGAGGAAAAUAUUUUAGGAAGAAUGCUGAAAAAUCUAAAGCUGGGAUUUCAAGAAGUGAAGGUGAUGGUGGAAGUGCAUCUCAACUGUCACAAACUAGUGGAACACCCUCUGCAACACAAAGUUCUUCUACACCACCUAGAAUUUCACCAAGGAAAACACCAGAGAAGACUUUGCCUACUAGAUUAUCAGCAAGGAUACAAAAAAAUAAGUCAACUCAUGUACAAGCUGAGAAUCCAAGUAAGUCAAGUCAUGUACAAGCUGAUAAUCCAGUUGUGUUUACUGUUCUACCAUUUAGGAAUGAAGAAGGUCCAAGUAAUGAUCAAAAUGUGAGGAGAUCUCCAAGGAAAACACUUGGAGGCACAAGAAGAUCAUCAAAUGUUACUGCGGCUGUACCAUCAACAAAUGUGCAUGUCAGGAGAUCUCCAAGGAAACAUGUUACUGCAGCUGUACCAUCAACCAUUACUACAACUGUACCCUCAACAAACAAAAGAAAACCUGGUAGACCACCAACAUACAACCCUGGAAGGUGUGAUCCAAAUUUUUCUACAACUCCUGGAACAAAAAAAAAAGGAUUUCAAUUUCUGUUAUUUGGUGACCAGCCUAUGCUAGAUGAGUAGAGUUGCAGAUGUUUUUUAGUUUUUUUUUUUGGGGUGUGGUCAAUGUUGUUUACUCUAAACACUGUUAUUCUGCAGUGUUGGAUCAUUGGUGUUUUUUUUUGGAAGGCAUCAUUCUGCAGUGUUGGAUCAUUGGGUUUUUUUUUUGGGAAGGCAUCAUUCUGCAGUGUUUUUUGUGUUGUAUAAAGAAUAUUAUUCAUUUGACUUUGAGAUAUAUAUAUAUAUAUAUAUAUAUAUAUCUUGGCUUAUUUGAUACAAGCUUAUUUGAUGUAGGAUCAUUUUAUGAUAUUGUGAUUAGAAAAGGUUGAGUUGAUAAUAUAGUAUCAUUUGGUGAUAUUGUGAUUAGAAUAGGUUUAGUUGAUAAUAUAGUAUCACAAGCUGCUGAAUGAUUUAUUUUUUCAGUGCAAGACAAAUGCGGUCUAUAUGAACUUGAAAUCAACUUGAAAUUAAUUCAAAUGCUCAUUUACAGUGCAGCAACAGAAAACAGAGAAGAAAUAGAAUAUUGAUCUUGAUCAAACACUAAUACAAUUUCUACUAGAUUGUCAACAACACAAAACAAAUCCUUCAUGUUAUUGAAAUGGUCUCAAUAACAAAUCCAGAACAACAUAAAAAAAAAUAAAAAACAAAGAAGAAUAUUUUUUUGAAGCUUAACAUUGUUAACCAUUUUCUCUAGUUCUUCUAUCUUCUUCUUGUCCUGUAGCUUAGAAUCUUCAUCUGCUUCAAUAGUCUUUUGCAUCAUUUUGUUUAACUUCUUCAUCUCUCCCAUUGUAUUCUCAAGAUCUGAAAUUCUCAUCUUUAAGUGUCCAUUAACAGACUUCAAUUCUUCAUGCUCAUAGUACAAUUCUUGAUGACGGAGUUCUGGUUUUUUGUAGGGUUCCAUCCAUUUGAAGAAGUUACACUUUGGUAUACCAUUGUAGAACAGAGCACAACCAAUGAACUGCCUCCCAGCAUUUUCAAGUGUCCACGCGAUUUUAAUAGGAGAAGGAGCUCCACAACUGCAAAAACGAGAAGAAUUAACACUAGAAGAUGAUGAAGACAUGGUGAAGAAUUGGGGAUUUGAAUUAGGGAUUUGAAGAAUUAAAAGUGAGAAGAAUUGGGGAUUUGAAUUAGGGAUUUACAGAUUUGUUGAAUUGAAUUGUUCAAAUAGAGAAGGAGUCAAUCACAUGAGAAACAUGCGCCUCAUUUUGAUGUGUUGGAAACGUUGUUUAACUUUAUUUUAAAAGAAAAAAUACACGUAGAUAAAUAUUAGCCACGUCUGCAGUCCGUUAGCAUGUUUUAGACAGAUUGUAUAACGUGGAAAAAAUUUCAAAGUACAUUGAUGUUUUGACGUGAUUUUUUGUACAUUGUAUAAAGUGAAAAAAAAGUGAAAGUACAUUGUAUUUUUUGAUCAUUUUACCUUAAAAAAAACACAAAAUUCUGAAUUUUAGUUACUAAAGCAGUUUGAUAUCAUACACAUGAUUAAUUUUGCAAACCCCCCCAACAGUCAACACCAUCCAAGUAUUUGAGUGAAUUGUUAUAAUAAAUUCAGGUAAAACUAUGGUUUGUGCUUUCAUAAAUUUGUUAGUAUCUAUCUGUAACACAAAUCAUUACUAUACCUUAACCACUCAAAGUUGUAUCAUGGAUUUACAGAAUGUCAGAUAUUACUCAAAUGUAUGAUAUGCUUCGCUAAAUAAUGGUUAUAUUGUGUUGAAGAACACUGUUUUCAUAUUUGCGCAUAACUAAAUUAAACCAUAGAUUAACCCAAACUGAUGGCAAAUUCAUUAUUAGAAAUUGGUGAUUAUCUGGCUAUCAAUCGAUCAAUUUAUGAUAUGUUGUUUUCUUACCCACAAAAAUCAUUUAGUAUAAGCUCAAAGAACAUGGAUUUAAAUUCCACCUUAUGAAAAUUUUGUUGGCAUGUGGAAUUACCAAACAGUUGUAGGACUAGGGAACGAACUUCUGCAGAGCGAACACUAGAAAAUAGUUGAACACGAUGUGAUGACAAGAUCUCUUGAGCAGUUAUACGGCGUAAGUUGCGCCAAUGAUCACCAUAUUGAGCCCAAAGAAGACUAGUGCAAUUGUAAGCAAGGUGUUCUCCCACAAUAAGAUGAGGUCUAUUAGCAAAAGCAAUAUCGUUCUUGGUUAAACAUUCUUCAAUAGCAGAUGAGGAUGAGACGAGUAGGACUUUGCGAAAACCAAAAUGGAGAAAUAGAAUUGAACCAUAUUUUUCAGAAAGUUUGGCUAGUGUUCUAUGGAUGGGUUUCUUGAUGAUGAGGUGUAAUUGUUAAAAAUGUAAUCUGUAAUGUCCAAGUCCAAGAAAAGCCCAGUCCAUAGAAGUGUCCAGAAGCAUAAAGAAUUAUCUAGUCCAUAGAAGUGUCCAGAAGCAUAAAGAAUUAUCUAGUCCAUAGAAGUGUCCAGAAGCAUAAAGAAUUAUCUAGCAUAUAACAGUUAAUAGUUAAUAGAGAAAUCUAGAAUGUAUGAGAAAAAAUCAGAACUAUGUAGAACAAUUAAAGUCGGUUAUAAUGUCCUAUAAAUAGGGAGGUGAACAUGUUGUUUGAAAAAAAAUCAAUCAAGAAAAGAAGUUCUCUAGUACUAGAAGUCCUCUUUUGUAAUAAAAACAAAGUUUCUUUUAUAAACUUGUUAUUUUGUCAUAUUCUUCUUCUUGACUCUCAUAUACCCACUAACACUUCCAUUGUUUUAACAGUAAUGGCCUAGCAUGGGAAGAGGGAAAGGGAUUGAUGGUUUUUCUAUACUGUUUCGAUAAAAGAAUUGCUUGAACAUGAUGACUGCAAAGAAAACCAAGAAGGCUAAACUAAAGGAGAAAUCCAUGAUUUCAAUUAAACUGUGUUGCAUGACUCUGUGAGUUUAAUCUUUCCCAAAAACAUAGUGUAUAUAUAGGCACGAAUUAAUGGCAAAGCUAGCUAUGAUCGCUUCAAAUCUAUUUGUCUGUCCUUUUCAAAUCGAUCAGUGAAUGCAUGGCAGUUGAGAGUAGAUUUCUGCUGUUAUUAAUUUUCGAUACUUCUUACAUAAAUAGAGUUUGCUUGAGGAUGUUGUAAUCUUAUGCUGUCAAUUCCUUAUCAACGUAAAUUAAGAUGGCGGAGUUGAUGAUGUUUGUUGAAAUUUAUUCCUGGAUCUCCACAGUAAAAGGUUACUAUACUCAUCAGUUAUCAGUAUGUGGUUUUCGUCUCUCGCCUUCUUAAUUAAAGAAUUCAGAAUUGUCUAUGCUGUCAGGACAUGGUUUUGUUAUUAAAUUAUUAGGUCUUUACUAGCUAGCACAACAACUAUAUCUUAACCACUGGCAAAUAUCUCAAGAAAAUAAAGAGAAAUGCUAGCGUUACUGCAGAGGUAACGCUCCAGGAUUACCUCUUCACCAAAUCUCGCCAUGUGUACUUGUUGAACUUGGUUAAGGUUUUAGCCGGUUUGCAUAUAUUCCACGAUAUGAAGAGUUUUUUUUAGGAGAGAGAAAUAGUGGAGAAAAAAUAGGAAAAAAAAAAAAAGAAUCCUAAUAAUUACAACAACCUCAUUUUUUUCCAAAUAAUUGAUAACAACCUCUUUAUUUAUUCGUCUUCUCUUCGUUCAUUUGAAAAAAAAAAAAAUCUAACAAUUUAUAACUAGGAUUUGCUUCAUUAUUCUUCUAAUUGCAUAAAAAAAACCACAAAAAAAAAUAUAGCUAAUCAGCUGUGCAACACUUUUUAUAAUAGAUACUAAUAUCACAAAUUGAAAAAAACUACUUCCAAAUUUUAUGUUUUUUUUAUUGUUUUAUGUUCUAGUAAAAUUGAGAUUGAGAUUUGAGAGUAGAGGAAGAAUCCGGGGAAGAGAAGACAAGGAAAGAAGGUUGUCCUAAUUAUUAGGAUUCUUUUUUUUUUUUUCUUAUUUUUUCUCCACUUCCUAAUUAUUAGGAUUCUUUUUUAUUUUUUUGUCCUAUUUUUUCUCCACUAUUUCUCUCUCCUAAAAUCUUUAUGCAAACCGGCUAAAACCUUGACUAAGGGCCUGUUUGAUAACCGGUGAAUACCCUUAUUCACCCGUGUGAAUCGGUUUUACACGGUUUGACCAGCCAAUUACCUUUGUUUGAUAACAAAAAUUUGCUUCAGAUCAUUUUUACCAAAAACAAGCACGUGACCCCAUUUACCCGGAUUCAUCCGGGUGAAUCGGGUCCGGGGGGGGGGGGGGGGGAAAAUUCCCCCCACCGUUUUCCCGGGUUUUUUUUCCCGGGAUAAAGGGGAAUUUUUUCCAAAUUGAAAAGAAAAAAAAAAGAAAACCGGCGGCCCCGGGUUAAACCCUUUUUUUCCCACCCAAUUUUUACUCAAGCGUGAAAGAAAAAAAAACCAAUCCCACCGCCAAGGGUGAAAAAACUUUGAGUUUUCACUUUUUUCAAAAGGGUAAUCAACCCUUCCUUCUCUAUUUUGGAAAAAUUUUCCAUUUUUUCUCCCUUUUUCCAAAUCCCAAACAAAUUUUUUGGUUUUUUGAUUUGGGUGGGGGUUUUCUCCCAAAUUUGCAAUGUUUUUAUUGUUUUAACCCUUUUUUUUUCAAUUUUCGUUUUGGGAAAAAACUAGGGUUUUUAAUUUUUUUGAAUUUUUUAAAUAAGGGGUUCCGCAAUUUGUGGGGGUUUUUGGUAAAUUUGGGUUGGGGGUGGUGGAAUUAUGGUUGUGAGGAGAAAUUUAUGAAAGAUAAUAGCAAAAUUCCGAGGCCUGUUAUGCCUAUGAAAUCUUAACCAAUAUCUGACUGUUGUUCCUUCUUGAAGUAGAAACUGCUUAUUUUUGGAUGAACUCUUAACCAAUAUCUGACUCUGCAGUAUGUCCUCAGAGUAGAAACUGCUUAUAAUAUCCAAAAUAAUUGAUGUUUCUCAUUCCUAUCUGCAUCAGCCUUUUACGUUAUGUCUCGGAACUUCCAUUACGAGGCAAAUGCGCCAAAGUGGCAGACAUCACUUCACGAAACAGACGCGAAAUCUAUUUGCUCAUUAACAUUUAGAAAUACACUUAACUAGAAAACAGAAUAUAGGUGUAUUGAUUUAUAUUGAACCAGCGAGAUUGAGUGAAGCCAAUAUUAUCAUCUAAGAACAUAUAGCCUUGUGCACAAUCAUGGGCAUUCAGUCAUUCUCCCCAGGUGUUCAUAGAGCUACUGCAACAUUUCUCUCUUCAUCAUUAUUUGCAGUCAAUAGUAGGAUUUUAUGAGGUUAAGUGCAGCUUACUGGGCGGAUGUCCUGUUCAUCUUUUGGUUAGUUCAGCUUGUUUUUGCCACCUUGAGAUGGGGUUUAAACAAUAGAAUCUACCUUACAGAUCUCCGUGUGAAUUAUAGAGAAAAAGUUAAAAGACAUUUGCUUUCAAUCUUAAUGCUGUUAUUUUAAUGCAUUUUGAUGGCUUCACAUUCAUAUAUGAUUUGACAGAAGCAAUCGGUAAAGUUAAAUUGGUGGGGAUGCAUUCAGGAACUAGUCAAUACGUGGUUGAAAGACUAGAAUAUUUACUUGAGAUUAAUAUUAAACUAUCUCUUUGUGCAGGUUGAAGACGUCAAUACGUGGUUGAAAGAAAAGUACUGUUCAUAUCCGAAAUUUGCAGAAGAAAUAUCAUCUCCAGGUAAAUAGGUUUUUUUCUUUAUAUUCUUGUUAAUGAUAUUCCUUUCACUGUAUGCUCAUAGACUAGAAAAAAAAAAAAAAAAAUAGUGUGGAAUUGGUGUGUUAGGAAACCUUCAUCUUUUAGCAUUCCGUGCACCAUGUGUGACUUUUUUUUUUCUGUUAUACAGUAUGAUGAUUUUGUUUAGUAUGUAGAUUUUGAGGCAAUUUUCUAUUUUGUAGGAAGCAUAGAAAUAGAAAUAGACGUCCUGCUGUUAUUUAUUGGACUUGAUUGAUCUGAAAAUGAGAUCCAUUUUUCACAGUAGUAAUCUAUUAUAUAUUUAAUUUGCCUGAAGGAGAAAGAAAUAAAUAUACAGUAAUUAGGUAAUAGGUAUGUCCAUUUUAUAGCGGUAUAAUGUUGGGAACAUACACUGUAUAAUGUUACGGUACAUACACUGUUACAUUCAUAUUCUGCAUUCUGCAAUGCAUUUGCAUGAACAUACACUGUACAACUAGAUUACUUUUCUGAGGGGGAUACUUGAUAGCAUUUUUUUUUGAGAAUGCUGCAUUUAUGUUCUUUUUCAUAUUUCAAAAUUUGAACUGAUAUUCACACGACAAUGGGUAUGCCCAGAGCAAACAAAUUUAGAUUAGUCUUCUUCUCCCAUUUAAAUAAAUAGCAUGUUGUCGAAAGGGCUAUUGGUGUCUUCAAUUUGUGUUUUUUUUUAACUGAUUUAUGUAUUUUUUUUUUUUGGUAUGUUUCUCGUUAUGCACAACGGUGGUUUGAACUAUGUGGUGGGGAUAAUUUCUGUAACUGUUUGUUAUUGUGACAUGUACAAGUAAUUCAUUCUUUUGUUCGUUUGAUCUAUUCGACAUAUUUUUGUUUGUAUUUUUAUAACGCAAGGAUCGUUUUACUGUUGUAGUUUCCUGUGCUCCGUGGUCCGCGUCGAUCCAAAGUUUGCUUUCCUAGUUUUGUUGCUGCGCUUAAGGUAUGCCAAUUUUGACCUCUCCUUCACUUUAUAAUGGAUUUUGACAUGGUAUAGUGAUGAAUGUUAUACUAAAAUGCGUAGUGAUGGUCAAUAACGAUGCACGAUGAAAAUUGAUACCCUGUACACGUCUAAAUUACAUCAAGUACCGUUAUUUGUGAAAUGGUAGUUUCUUUGAAUUCGUUUAUAUUACAGCAUGUACCGUUAUUUGUAAUAGGGGUAGUUUGUUUAUAAAAAGAUAUGUGAUUUGUCAAUAUAUUUUCCAGAAAUGGGUAAAUUUGCAUGUUACUUGGUUCGAAAUGGCCGGAACCCUGGUAUUUAUACAAACUGGGCUCAAGCCGAUGCUCAGAUUAGGAAUUUUGAAGGAGCAUGUUGGGAAGGUUGUACUUCAAUCGCACAAGCUCGCUUACUGUUGAAUUACUACAGGAGCUUGGACUCCGAAGUAGAACUUGCAUGCUCCCAACCACUACCCAGCCCCAUUGCCUCUAGGAGCUCUUCUUGUGUUUCUUCUACUUCGACUGACCGUAUCCCCAACGCAAUGCGUGCAAUUUCCUUAGAUGAUACUUGGUGGUUGGUGAAGAACCUAAUUGUAGUUUUGUUAGUUGUAAUCAUCGCGGUGUUGUUGAAGUUGUUAUUUGUUAUUUAGAAUUUUCAAGAAAUUGUAACAUAACUUUGGGAUAUGUUAACGUCACCUUGUAAUGAAAUUUGUAAUGACACAUUUUAAUAUAUGUUUUGAAAUUUUAAAAGUUUUGUUUUACUUAAAAUACAAUCGUGUUUAAAGUGUGUGUUACAAUCGUGGAGUUUUGACGUUGUUGGGGUUUUGUAGAAUGGACAAUGGUGAAGAAGAACGUAGGAUAGUUACUGCCGUAGUCGUUAUUGUUGUGGUUCAUAUGGUAAUGGCAUGGCAGUGGUGGUGUGCAGUACAUAUGAACCACAUGCGACUACCUCGUGCACCUCGUAAGAAUCGAAAUGAAAUGCGACGUGGUAUUCUUAGGAGUUUUUACAUAGGGAGCGACAGGUCCUGUCAUCAUCAACUUAGGAUGAACCGAUUCGCCUUCCAUUCCUUGUGUCGUAGGCUUACAAGACUAGGAUUGCAGGAUACGAGAUAUCUUACGGUUGAGGAACAAGUAGCCCUAUUUCUUAUAACAGUUGGUCACGACCAGCGAAACCGAAGGGCAGCCCAUCAAUUCUAUCAAUCAACCGAAACCGUUAACCGUUUCUUCCAUCUAGUGCUUAAUGCACUUCUACGGUUAUAUAGAGAAGUUGUGACCAAUGUGACAGCGGAGAAUUCUCCGCUCGCAGAUUGAGGAACAUAUCAUCAUUGGCACCAUUAUUUCAAGGUUCGGAGCCUAUAUUUGUCAAUCUUGGGUAUUUGUGCAUCCUUCUUUGAAAUGCAUCCCUUUACUUAACAUGUAUGAAUGGUCGUAGGAUGCUGUGGGUGCAGUCGAUGGUACACAUUUCAAGACACAUGUUGCCUUGGUAGACCAACCUAGAUAUCGUAACCGAAAAGAAGAGAUUACUCAGAAUGUCUUGGUGGCGUGUACCUUUAGCAUGAAGUUUACGUACGUGUUGACGGGAUGGGAGGGUUCAGCGCACGAUGGUCGUUUGUUGAGGGAUGCCGUUAGUCGUCCUGGCCAUAGACUUACCUUACCUCCUGGUAAGUUUGUAUACCUACCAUGUACAUUCCCAUGUUCUGUAAAUCUGAACUGAUUACUUAAAAUACGUCAACAAUCAUUAACUGUAGGGGGUAAAUACUAUCUUGUGGAUGCCGGCUUUGCAUUAGUGCCUGGAUUCCUUACUCCAUAUCGUAAUACUCGAUACCACAUCAGAGAGAUAGGAAGACAAGUAGCGCAGAAUAAGGAUGAGCUUUUCAACUUUCGUCAUUCAUCUUUGAGGAAUGUUGUCGAAAGGGCUAUUGGUGUCUUGAAAAAGCGCUUUGCAUAUCUCAGGAACUCCCCUCACCACAACGUUAGGGUUCAAUCCAAGAUUAUUUUGGCAUGUGUUGCCUUGCAUAAUUUCUUGAGAGAUGUUGACCCUGAUGAUGAGUUUGACCCCGACGCAUUACCUGACGAUGAGGAGGAAGACAUAGCCGAAACUGAGGAAGAACCGGGUGAUGUUGUAGCCCCGGCCAUAAAUAUUGUGCCAUCCCCAAAUUGGACCAAUUGGAGGGAUCAACUAUGUCAUCAAAUGUGGAAAAUGCGUACGUCAAUUUCCAGUACGAAACAGACGAAGAUGAUGAUCUUUGAAGUAUCCCUACCAUGUGUUGGCUAUUGUUUGUUAUGUGUGGUGUGUUUAUUAUUUUGACAUUGGAUAUUUGUUUAUUUUUCUAUUCCUUGUGGACCGAUGGCACAAUUUAUUAAUAAUGCAGUUAUGGUUGGAAUUCAUGGUUUGUAAUCAAGUAUUAUGAUUUUUUAUUAAUAUUCAAGGAAUGUCGACCUCUUCAACAAAAAAACAAAGAGAAGGAACCAACCGACUCCAUCCCACACAUGGAGUGCCCCUCCCGUUCCACCCCCACCCGAACUACCAUCCCAAAGGACCCAACAAAGGUGGGGACCAGCAAUGAUGGAGAUCUUACUUGAUACUCUCUGCGAGGAGGUCAGUAAGUGUGGUAGGCGGGCGGACAAUGGAUUUAAGUCCGACACCUACACUGCUGUCGCAAAUGCCGUGAAUACUAAGUUGGGAAUGGCUGUGACCUCGGAGAAUGUGCGAUCCAGGAUGAGGACAUUGAGGAAAGAAUACAGCGUGGCAAAGGCAUUGUUGAAUGCUAGUGGAUUUGGGUGGGAUCCGGUACACAAAUGUGUUGUUAAUGCCGACCCUGUCGCAUGGGCUGCAUACAUUGCGGUAAUUGACGCCCUUCCUUGUUUGAUGUGUUGUUGUUCAAUAGUGCGAUAUCAAUUGUUAAUGGAUUGUUCAUUGUAGGGGCACCCCGAGGCCAAGAACUUCAAUGGUAAGGUUUUGCCAUUUUUUGACCAACUGGCAUUCUUGAUUGGUGAUGAUUGCGCCACGGGUUUUGGAAGCUAUUCUGGCCAUGAUCUUGAUAUUCCCACUUACGAACCCCCCGGUACGUGGGUUUAUUGUUUGUUACACAACAUGGUUAUUGUGGCAUGUAUGAGUUUGUGAUGUGAAUGAUCAAUCCAAUGCAGUGAACGAAGAUGAGGAUGAGACCUUCGGGGAAGGGGAUGGUGGCGUUGACGGAAUGGAAUCCCAGUUUGCGACAAACACCCCAGUUGUCGAUACACCACCACUUCCUACUGCUGAUUUUGAGGGAGACGGUGGUUCGGUAGCAUCUGCUGCUCGCAAGGGGAAUGAUAGUGCCCCUCCUGUCAUACCAAAGCGUCGUAAGUUGAAGUAUACCAUGGUAGAUAUACCUGAGCCUCCAUCCUUCAAAGGAUUGACUACGGCGGUGCAACAGAUAGCAAGCUCUAUGGGAAAACCCAACAUUUCAGAGGUUUCAAAUGUUGUCAAAGGACUUACCCAAGGAAAUAGACAAGCUUACCUGGACUGCAUGGAUUUCUUAGGAGGGAAUCCAGAAAUGAUCUAUACGUUCAUGGGAAUCGAUGAUGAAUACAAGUUGGAAUGGAUCAUGAGAAAGUUACAGUAGUUGGGGUCUAGCUUUUGGGUGUUGUUGAAUUGUUGAACUAUGUUUGUCUUACUUUUAGGAAUGCUUGUUAUAUGGAUACAAUAUUUUAUUUUGGAUUAUGUUGUGUGAUUACAUUACUAUCGUGCGACAGUUUUAUGGAUACAGUAUUUUAUUUAUAUUAUGUCGCAGAUUGUUAUUUUGUACAUUUUUGUACAUUUUUAUUACCGUUAUGUUGUAGCUUUAUAACUGGCAUUUUCUGAUAACAUAGAUACAGUUCAUUUGUGGUUAUGUGAAUGUGUUAGUCUUUUCAAGACUGUUUUCCCUACGCAGUUUUGUUUUGUUCGUAAUUGUUGUUUUUGGGUUUUAGAAGAAUGGAAGGUCCAAGCACUUUCAAGGUAGAGUGGUACCAUAAAAUGGACAUGGUUAUGCUUGACACACUUGUCAAGCAUAAAGACGAACCUGGUUUCCCUUUCCAAGAACACACGCACGUAGAAGUGGUCUUCCAGGUUUUGGAAGCAACGUCUAUGCCGGUGUUGGUGGAAGAUGUACGCGAUAGGUUAAAGUAUUUUUUCUAUACCUAUUUACAAAUGCGUGGAUUAUUAAAUAUAAAGGGUUUUCAAUGGGAUGCACAUCGUGAAAGGGUGAUUGCGACAAAUGAGACAUGGGAGGAAAAUGCUCCUUGCAGUAGAUUCCGUGGUGAAUGGCUCCCUUACAUGAACAAGCUUCUUGCCUUGUUCCCAAAAUAAAUUGUAUUUUAUAUUAUGUAACAAGACUAUGUAUGAACAAUGUUCUUAUGUUUAUGAAUAUNNNNNNNNNNNNNNNNNNNNNNNNNNNNNNNNNNNNNNNNNNNNNNNNNNNNNNNNNNNNNNNNNNNNNNNNNNNNNNNNNNNNNNNNNNNNNNNNNNNNNNNNNNNNNNNNNNNNNNNNNNNNNNNNNNNNNNNNNNNNNNNNNNNNNNNNNNNNNNNNNNNNNNNNNNNNNNNNNNNNNNNNNNNNNNNNNNNNNNNNNNNNNNNNNNNNNNNNNNNNNNNNNNNNNNNNNNNNNNNNNNNNNNNNNNNNNNNNNNNNNNNNNNNNNNNNNNNNNNNNNNNNNNNNNNNNNNNNNNNNNNNNNNNNNNNNNNNNNNNNNNNNNNNNNNNNNNNNNNNNNNNNNNNNNNNNNNNNNNNNNNNNNNNNNNNNNNNNNNNNNNNNNNNNNNNNNNNNNNNNNNNNNNNNNNNNNNNNNNNNNNNNNNNNNNNNNNNNNNNNNNNNNNNNNNNNNNNNNNNNNNNNNNNNNNNNNNNNNNNNNNNNNNNNNNNNNNNNNNNNNNNNNNNNNNNNNNNNNNNNNNNNNNNNNNNNNNNNNNNNNNNNNNNNNNNNNNNNNNNNNNNNNNNNNNNNNNNNNNNNNNNNNNNNNNNNNNNNNNNNNNNNNNNNNNNNNNNNNNNNNNNNNNNNNNNNNNNNNNNNNNNNNNNNNNNNNNNNNNNNNNNNNNNNNNNNNNNNNNNNNNNNNNNNNNNNNNNNNNNNNNNNNNNNNNNNNNNNNNNNNNNNNNNNNNNNNNNNNNNNNNNNNNNNNNNNNNNNNNNNNNNNNNNNNNNNNNNNNNNNNNNNNNNNNNNNNNNNNNNNNNNNNNNNNNNNNNNNNNNNNNNNNNNNNNNNNNNNNNNNNNNNNNNNNNNNNNNNNNNNNNNNNNNNNNNNNNNNNNNNNNNNNNNNNNNNNNNNNNNNNNNNNNNNNNNNNNNNNNNNNNNNNNNNNNNNNNNNNNNNNNNNNNNNNNNNNNNNNNNNNNNNNNNNNNNNNNNNNNNNNNNNNNNNNNNNNNNNNNNNNNNNNNNNNNNNNNNNNNNNNNNNNNNNNNNNNNNNNNNNNNNNNNNNNNNNNNNNNNNNNNNNNNNNNNNNNNNNNNNNNNNNNNNNNNNNNNNNNNNNNNNNNNNNNNNNNNNNNNNNNNNNNNNNNNNNNNNNNNNNNNNNNNNNNNNNNNNNNNNNNNNNNNNNNNNNNNNNNNNNNNNNNNNNNNNNNNNNNNNNNNNNNNNNNNNNNNNNNNNNNNNNNNNNNNNNNNNNNNNNNNNNNNNNNNNNNNNNNNNNNNNNNNNNNNNNNNNNNNNNNNNNNNNNNNNNNNNNNNNNNNNNNNNNNNNNNNNNNNNNNNNNNNNNNNNNNNNNNNNNNNNNNNNNNNNNNNNNNNNNNNNNNNNNNNNNNNNNNNNNNNNNNNNNNNNNNNNNNNNNNNNNNNNNNNNNNNNNNNNNNNNNNNNNNNNNNNNNNNNNNNNNNNNNNNNNNNNNNNNNNNNNNNNNNNNNNNNNNNNNNNNNNNNNNNNNNNNNNNNNNNNNNNNNNNNNNNNNNNNNNNNNNNNNNNNNNNNNNNNNNNNNNNNNNNNNNNNNNNNNNNNNNNNNNNNNNNNNNNNNNNNNNNNNNNNNNNNNNNNNNNNNNNNNNNNNNNNNNNNNNNNNNNNNNNNNNNNNNNNNNNNNNNNNNNNNNNNNNNNNNNNNNNNNNNNNNNNNNNNNNNNNNNNNNNNNNNNNNNNNNNNNNNNNNNNNNNNNNNNNNNNNNNNNNNNNNNNNNNNNNNNNNNNNNNNNNNNNNNNNNNNNNNNNNNNNNNNNNNNNNNNNNNNNNNNNNNNNNNNNNNNNNNNNNNNNNNNNNNNNNNNNNNNNNNNNNNNNNNNNNNNNNNNNNNNNNNNNNNNNNNNNNNNNNNNNNNNNNNNNNNNNNNNNNNNNNNNNNNNNNNNNNNNNNNNNNNNNNNNNNNNNNNNNNNNNNNNNNNNNNNNNNNNNNNNNNNNNNNNNNNNNNNNNNNNNNNNNNNNNNNNNNNNNNNNNNNNNNNNNNNNNNNNNNNNNNNNNNNNNNNNNNNNNNNNNNNNNNNNNNNNNNNNNNNNNNNNNNNNNNNNNNNNNNNNNNNNNNNNNNNNNNNNNNNNNNNNNNNNNNNNNNNNNNNNNNNNNNNNNNNNNNNNNNNNNNNNNNNNNNNNNNNNNNNNNNNNNNNNNNNNNNNNNNNNNNNNNNNNNNNNNNNNNNNNNNNNNNNNNNNNNNNNNNNNNNNNNNNNNNNNNNNNNNNNNNNNNNNNNNNNNNNNNNNNNNNNNNNNNNNNNNNNNNNNNNNNNNNNNNNNNNNNNNNNNNNNNNNNNNNNNNNNNNNNNNNNNNNNNNNNNNNNNNNNNNNNNNNNNNNNNNNNNNNNNNNNNNNNNNNNNNNNNNNNNNNNNNNNNNNNNNNNNNNNNNNNNNNNNNNNNNNNNNNNNNNNNNNNNNNNNNNNNNNNNNNNNNNNNNNNNNNNNNNNNNNNNNNNNNNNNNNNNNNNNNNNNNNNNNNNNNNNNNNNNNNNNNNNNNNNNNNNNNNNNNNNNNNNNNNNNNNNNNNNNNNNNNNNNNNNNNNNNNNNNNNNNNNNNNNNNNNNNNNNNNNNNNNNNNNNNNNNNNNNNNNNNNNNNNNNNNNNNNNNNNNNNNNNNNNNNNNNNNNNNNNNNNNNNNNNNNNNNNNNNNNNNNNNNNNNNNNNNNNNNNNNNNNNNNNNNNNNNNNNNNNNNNNNNNNNNNNNNNNNNNNNNNNNNNNNNNNNNNNNNNNNNNNNNNNNNNNNNNNNNNNNNNNNNNNNNNNNNNNNNNNNNNNNNNNNNNNNNNNNNNNNNNNNNNNNNNNNNNNNNNNNNNNNNNNNNNNNNNNNNNNNNNNNNNNNNNNNNNNNNNNNNNNNNNNNNNNNNNNNNNNNNNNNNNNNNNNNNNNNNNNNNNNNNNNNNNNNNNNNNNNNNNNNNNNNNNNNNNNNNNNNNNNNNNNNNNNNNNNNNNNNNNNNNNNNNNNNNNNNNNNNNNNNNNNNNNNNNNNNNNNNNNNNNNNNNNNNNNNNNNNNNNNNNNNNNNNNNNNNNNNNNNNNNNNNNNNNNNNNNNNNNNNNNNNNNNNNNNNNNNNNNNNNNNNNNNNNNNNNNNNNNNNNNNNNNNNNNNNNNNNNNNNNNNNNNNNNNNNNNNNNNNNNNNNNNNNNNNNNNNNNNNNNNNNNNNNNNNNNNNNNNNNNNNNNNNNNNNNNNNNNNNNNNNNNNNNNNNNNNNNNNNNNNNNNNNNNNNNNNNNNNNNNNNNNNNNNNNNNNNNNNNNNNNNNNNNNNNNNNNNNNNNNNNNNNNNNNNNNNNNNNNNNNNNNNNNNNNNNNNNNNNNNNNNNNNNNNNNNNNNNNNNNNNNNNNNNNNNNNNNNNNNNNNNNNNNNNNNNNNNNNNNNNNNNNNNNNNNNNNNNNNNNNNNNNNNNNNNNNNNNNNNNNNNNNNNNNNNNNNNNNNNNNNNNNNNNNNNNNNNNNNNNNNNNNNNNNNNNNNNNNNNNNNNNNNNNNNNNNNNNNNNNNNNNNNNNNNNNNNNNNNNNNNNNNNNNNNNNNNNNNNNNNNNNNNNNNNNNNNNNNNNNNNNNNNNNNNNNNNNNNNNNNNNNNNNNNNNNNNNNNNNNNNNNNNNNNNNNNNNNNNNNNNNNNNNNNNNNNNNNNNNNNNNNNNNNNNNNNNNNNNNNNNNNNNNNNNNNNNNNNNNNNNNNNNNNNNNNNNNNNNNNNNNNNNNNNNNNNNNNNNNNNNNNNNNNNNNNNNNNNNNNNNNNNNNNNNNNNNNNNNNNNNNNNNNNNNNNNNNNNNNNNNNNNNNNNNNNNNNNNNNNNNNNNNNNNNNNNNNNNNNNNNNNNNNNNNNNNNNNNNNNNNNNNNNNNNNNNNNNNNNNNNNNNNNNNNNNNNNNNNNNNNNNNNNNNNNNNNNNNNNNNNNNNNNNNNNNNNNNNNNNNNNNNNNNNNNNNNNNNNNNNNNNNNNNNNNNNNNNNNNNNNNNNNNNNNNNNNNNNNNNNNNNNNNNNNNNNNNNNNNNNNNNNNNNNNNNNNNNNNNNNNNNNNNNNNNNNNNNNNNNNNNNNNNNNNNNNNNNNNNNNNNNNNNNNNNNNNNNNNNNNNNNNNNNNNNNNNNNNNNNNNNNNNNNNNNNNNNNNNNNNNNNNNNNNNNNNNNNNNNNNNNNNNNNNNNNNNNNNNNNNNNNNNNNNNNNNNNNNNNNNNNNNNNNNNNNNNNNNNNNNNNNNNNNNNNNNNNNNNNNNNNNNNNNNNNNNNNNNNNNNNNNNNNNNNNNNNNNNNNNNNNNNNNNNNNNNNNNNNNNNNNNNNNNNNNNNNNNNNNNNNNNNNNNNNNNNNNNNNNNNNNNNNNNNNNNNNNNNNNNNNNNNNNNNNNNNNNNNNNNNNNNNNNNNNNNNNNNNNNNNNNNNNNNNNNNNNNNNNNNNNNNNNNNNNNNNNNNNNNNNNNNNNNNNNNNNNNNNNNNNNNNNNNNNNNNNNNNNNNNNNNNNNNNNNNNNNNNNNNNNNNNNNNNNNNNNNNNNNNNNNNNNNNNNNNNNNNNNNNNNNNNNNNNNNNNNNNNNNNNNNNNNNNNNNNNNNNNNNNNNNNNNNNNNNNNNNNNNNNNNNNNNNNNNNNNNNNNNNNNNNNNNNNNNNNNNNNNNNNNNNNNNNNNNNNNNNNNNNNNNNNNNNNNNNNNNNNNNNNNNNNNNNNNNNNNNNNNNNNNNNNNNNNNNNNNNNNNNNNNNNNNNNNNNNNNNNNNNNNNNNNNNNNNNNNNNNNNNNNNNNNNNNNNNNNNNNNNNNNNNNNNNNNNNNNNNNNNNNNNNNNNNNNNNNNNNNNNNNNNNNNNNNNNNNNNNNNNNNNNNNNNNNNNNNNNNNNNNNNNNNNNNNNNNNNNNNNNNNNNNNNNNNNNNNNNNNNNNNNNNNNNNNNNNNNNNNNNNNNNNNNNNNNNNNNNNNNNNNNNNNNNNNNNNNNNNNNNNNNNNNNNNNNNNNNNNNNNNNNNNNNNNNNNNNNNNNNNNNNNNNNNNNNNNNNNNNNNNNNNNNNNNNNNNNNNNNNNNNNNNNNNNNNNNNNNNNNNNNNNNNNNNNNNNNNNNNNNNNNNNNNNNNNNNNNNNNNNNNNNNNNNNNNNNNNNNNNNNNNNNNNNNNNNNNNNNNNNNNNNNNNNNNNNNNNNNNNNNNNNNNNNNNNNNNNNNNNNNNNNNNNNNNNNNNNNNNNNNNNNNNNNNNNNNNNNNNNNNNNNNNNNNNNNNNNNNNNNNNNNNNNNNNNNNNNNNNNNNNNNNNNNNNNNNNNNNNNNNNNNNNNNNNNNNNNNNNNNNNNNNNNNNNNNNNNNNNNNNNNNNNNNNNNNNNNNNNNNNNNNNNNNNNNNNNNNNNNNNNNNNNNNNNNNNNNNNNNNNNNNNNNNNNNNNNNNNNNNNNNNNNNNNNNNNNNNNNNNNNNNNNNNNNNNNNNNNNNNNNNNNNNNNNNNNNNNNNNNNNNNNNNNNNNNNNNNNNNNNNNNNNNNNNNNNNNNNNNNNNNNNNNNNNNNNNNNNNNNNNNNNNNNNNNNNNNNNNNNNNNNNNNNNNNNNNNNNNNNNNNNNNNNNNNNNNNNNNNNNNNNNNNNNNNNNNNNNNNNNNNNNNNNNNNNNNNNNNNNNNNNNNNNNNNNNNNNNNNNNNNNNNNNNNNNNNNNNNNNNNNNNNNNNNNNNNNNNNNNNNNNNNNNNNNNNNNNNNNNNNNNNNNNNNNNNNNNNNNNNNNNNNNNNNNNNNNNNNNNNNNNNNNNNNNNNNNNNNNNNNNNNNNNNNNNNNNNNNNNNNNNNNNNNNNNNNNNNNNNNNNNNNNNNNNNNNNNNNNNNNNNNNNNNNNNNNNNNNNNNNNNNNNNNNNNNNNNNNNNNNNNNNNNNNNNNNNNNNNNNNNNNNNNNNNNNNNNNNNNNNNNNNNNNNNNNNNNNNNNNNNNNNNNNNNNNNNNNNNNNNNNNNNNNNNNNNNNNNNNNNNNNNNNNNNNNNNNNNNNNNNNNNNNNNNNNNNNNNNNNNNNNNNNNNNNNNNNNNNNNNNNNNNNNNNNNNNNNNNNNNNNNNNNNNNNNNNNNNNNNNNNNNNNNNNNNNNNNNNNNNNNNNNNNNNNNNNNNNNNNNNNNNNNNNNNNNNNNNNNNNNNNNNNNNNNNNNNNNNNNNNNNNNNNNNNNNNNNNNNNNNNNNNNNNNNNNNNNNNNNNNNNNNNNNNNNNNNNNNNNNNNNNNNNNNNNNNNNNNNNNNNNNNNNNNNNNNNNNNNNNNNNNNNNNNNNNNNNNNNNNNNNNNNNNNNNNNNNNNNNNNNNNNNNNNNNNNNNNNNNNNNNNNNNNNNNNNNNNNNNNNNNNNNNNNNNNNNNNNNNNNNNNNNNNNNNNNNNNNNNNNNNNNNNNNNNNNNNNNNNNNNNNNNNNNNNNNNNNNNNNNNNNNNNNNNNNNNNNNNNNNNNNNNNNNNNNNNNNNNNNNNNNNNNNNNNNNNNNNNNNNNNNNNNNNNNNNNNNNNNNNNNNNNNNNNNNNNNNNNNNNNNNNNNNNNNNNNNNNNNNNNNNNNNNNNNNNNNNNNNNNNNNNNNNNNNNNNNNNNNNNNNNNNNNNNNNNNNNNNNNNNNNNNNNNNNNNNNNNNNNNNNNNNNNNNNNNNNNNNNNNNNNNNNNNNNNNNNNNNNNNNNNNNNNNNNNNNNNNNNNNNNNNNNNNNNNNNNNNNNNNNNNNNNNNNNNNNNNNNNNNNNNNNNNNNNNNNNNNNNNNNNNNNNNNNNNNNNNNNNNNNNNNNNNNNNNNNNNNNNNNNNNNNNNNNNNNNNNNNNNNNNNNNNNNNNNNNNNNNNNNNNNNNNNNNNNNNNNNNNNNNNNNNNNNNNNNNNNNNNNNNNNNNNNNNNNNNNNNNNNNNNNNNNNNNNNNNNNNNNNNNNNNNNNNNNNNNNNNNNNNNNNNNNNNNNNNNNNNNNNNNNNNNNNNNNNNNNNNNNNNNNNNNNNNNNNNNNNNNNNNNNNNNNNNNNNNNNNNNNNNNNNNNNNNNNNNNNNNNNNNNNNNNNNNNNNNNNNNNNNNNNNNNNNNNNNNNNNNNNNNNNNNNNNNNNNNNNNNNNNNNNNNNNNNNNNNNNNNNNNNNNNNNNNNNNNNNNNNNNNNNNNNNNNNNNNNNNNNNNNNNNNNNNNNNNNNNNNNNNNNNNNNNNNNNNNNNNNNNNNNNNNNNNNNNNNNNNNNNNNNNNNNAAUAAUGGUUUGUAAUAAGAACAAGACAAUAUAUAUAUGAUGGGCUUUGUUUAUGAAUGUUAUUAAAUGUUUUCGUAUUUUUGUGGGUGUUGAUAUGCAUGUUGAUAUAAUAUUCAAUGGUUAUCUUCCAAGUUGUAUAAUGUGUACAGAAUUCUCUAUGGGUAUUCAAUGGUCAUUCUUUGUGGAUUUCUUUUUGAUCCCACGACAAACAUGGUUAUUUUUGAUGAUGUUGCAUGGAAUGAUGUCAUUGAAACAAAGCGGUGGGUGGCAAGCAUGCGGACCAAAUGUUACUAUAUCUUCAAUAAUUGUCUGUUUUAUAUAUCUUCGGAUGAUGUUCGAAGAAUGAACCCCCAACUUCAUCUAUGUAAUCAACUUUUUAUAUCGUUUUAUAUAAUGACACCAUUUUGAAUUAAAUAUAUGUUAUCUAACUUCAUUUAUGUAAUGAUCCCUUUUUUAAUUAAUUAUAUGUUAUGAAAUUUGUUAUCUAACCACAUGCAUGUAAUGACCCCCUUUUUAAUUAAAAAUACGACAAUGACAACCCCCACCCCCAACCACACAACACACCAACUUUAUUUCUAUGUAUGUAAUGUCCCACUUUUCAAUUAAUAAUUGUAUAUCUAUUUCACCUUUGUUAUAAUAGCAUUUGACAACACAUAACAUUAUUUUAAUUUAUAAUGUAGACAAUGGAACAAGGUGGCCCAAGCAACACCAACGACUACUAUGUUUUAAAACCAUGGAACGUUGGUAAAAACGGGAAGGGUUCGUGGAGGAUGGUAAGUACUUUACCAUUAUUUUUUUAAUAUAUGACAUGGGACCACAUGUUGUGCUUUUGCAUUAUUAUCAUGGCCCACAUAUUGAAGUCAUUGUUGUGAUGGCCAUACAGUAUUCUACUUUUGAUGGACUAUUCUUGUUUUAAUGGACCAUACAGUAUGUAUAACAAAAAAUUCAUUCUAGACGACAUGUUUUGAUGGACUUCACAGUAUUUGUUUGUAAUAAUGGUAUUUAUGUUCAUGUAAUGCAACACGUUGUCGACAAUGAAAAAUACAUGUUUGUUAAUUACAUGCAGCCGAUUCCGGCAGUUCUCACCAGUGGCCUUCGACAAGACCAACCGGUCGUGUUGGUUGUUGGGUUGCGGCGGUACAACGACUUGGAGAUUAAUGUGGACGGGUAUGGUCACUUUGCUUUGAAGACUGCAGGAUGGAGAGCUGUAGUUGAAGGGGAGCAUUUGGACGUGGGCGACCGGGUGUUGCUGAGGAUUCAACAUCUCGGUAAGGGGAGACACUCUGGUGUUACCCUUGACAUGCUUGUGAGGAGGAAACAAGCUUCCAGGCAGCAACGAACUUCAUCAGCAACACCCAGGUCUUCAGCAGCAGCAGCAGCAGGUCCCUCAUCAGCACCACCCAGGUCUUCAGCAGCAGUAGCAGCAGGUCCCUCAUCAGCACCACCUGCACCUCCAGCCUCUUCAGAUUCAGACUCCUCUGAUUCAGACUCUUCAGAUUCAGACUCCUCUGAUUCAGACUCUUCAGAUUCAGACUCCUCCUCUACCGGUGGUGGUCUCUCAGCUCAGGCAUCAGCCAAUACCGAUGAGAACGUCUUUAUGGAUGUGAAUGGCAACUUUAUCGACUACGACGACAGUGACUAUGAGCCAGUUGAGACACAGGUAGCAAGGACUGCAUCCGAUCCAAUCAUUAUUUCGGAUUCGGACUGAAGAUGUGAGGGUAGGAAGUCGUUUCAUGACUUUGACAAUUUGGUCACUACUUUAACUUGAAACUGUUUGUGUGUAUUGAUAUUUUUAGGAUUCUAUAGUCUAGGUGGAUUUUUUUUUGAAGUAUGGAUAAUAUGAUAGAUUAUAACAGGUUAUGACAGGUUGUUUAUUAAUAUAGAUAUAUUAUGAUAAUUUCGUCACUACUGAAAUUUAUGUUGCUUGUUAUAACAGUUAUUACGUUUGAUACUUGUUCAGGUAUAUUAUGACAUAUUAUGACUGCCCAUGUUAAGGUAUAUUGUGAAUGUUUAAGAGGUGUAUUAUGGUUGCCCAUGUUUACAAGGGAUAUUUUUCAAUUUUAUCAUGCUAAAAUUGUUUUAAAAUGUAGACAAUGUGAUAAAUAUUGUAAGAGCUAUGAUUGUUUUAGAAAAAAAUAAAACAACAUGUAUGGAAGUUUGCAAUUGUUUAUUGAACAAUUCUGUUUAAUGUAAUAUGGAUUGUUCGUUUCAACAAAAUAUUGGACAAUUCUUUUUAAUGAUAUAUCUGUUGGGUUUUUCUGUGAAAAUAGGACGGAGGGAAGUUUUUGUUCAGGAACGUACGUACGCAUAGGGCGUUCGUACGUUCAGCAUCACAGAUAACGUUUUGGAUCAUGGAACGUACGUACGUAGUUAGGGCGUACGUACGUUGCGUGUCACAGAUGACUUACCCGUGUGGCUCGACGCAUAGUACAAAAUAUCGAUAUCAACUAAUGUAUCGAUCUCUAAAAAAUAGAUAUAUCAAAUAUAUCGACUAAUAUAUCAAUUUGUUAUACAAAAUAUAUAUAAAAUCAAAUUUGGAAGUAUAUUAUCAUAGUAUUUACCUAAAAAACAUCAUAUCUACUUAAAAUGGAAUAAACAAAUUAUUUCCAAAAAAAAAAAUUUGCAAAAAAAUAAUAUUUCCAAAAAAUAUCGGCAAAUAUCAGUGUUUGUCGGAAAUAUCGGAAAAUAUCGGCCGAUAUUUUACAGAAACUUUAUAGAGUAAUUAUCAGGAAUGUAUCGUAUCGGUUUUGCUGGAAAACGAUAUAUAUCGCGAUAUUUCGAGAAAUAUCGCGAUAUUUUGUACUAUGGCUCGACGUACGAACGUCAAUUCGACGUUCGUACGUCCUUCUUUGUUUUUGUGAAUAUGGGCCUGUUCAAGCCCAUUUCGUGUUUGAUUGUAAGACUAUGAUAUAAAGCCAAUGAGAAGGUUGGAAAACCUAAUCUUCAUGUGAGAGAAAUUGUGAGAAGCCAUUAGAGAGUUUGAGAGAGAGCUUUUGUGAGGAAGAACACUUUGGUUUCUUCGUGAGGGCUUGUAUAAUCGUCUCUAUAAGGAAGAUUGUUGUUUGUCCGUGGACGUAGGCAAUAUUAGCCGAACCCCGUAAAUCUUGUGUUUUGUGUGAGUUUAUUUUGUUUUUGUUUGAUUCAUACACUAUUUCAAUCUUGGGUAUUUGUGCAUAAGUUUCCGCUGCGCACAACAAUAUCUUGGUCACAUAUUCACUUUCUACAAAUUAUAUCUUUACUUUCAUAAAAAAUAAUUUAUCAAAUAAAAAUCAAAUAAUAAUAAUAAACAAAAAAUAAGACAUUUGUUGAAGUGGAUAAUAUAUUAACUAUCUUUAUUAUCAAAUACUAAAAAUGAGACACUUGUUCAAUAUUUUUAUUAUCGAAAAAUUAAAUAUUAAUACAUUUGUUGAGGUGUGGAUAAUAUAGAUUUGUAAUGACCCAUAUCAAAUUCAAAGAGUCCAUGGACCAUAGUUAUACUUCAUAUGUUACAAGAAUAGCCCUUUAUCAUAUUUGGGCCGGAGCCCAAUAUGGAUGGAUAAUGCCCAUAUCACAAUCAAAGAGUCCAUGGCCCAUAGUUAUUUGUGAUUCACCAGGUAUGCAAAAAGUUAUCAAACACCGGUUAAUUCGGCAAAUUCUGUUACCUAAUAUUUACCCAAGUUGUUAACAAACACAGGUGAAUUCGGCAAAUUAAUUUCAACCUGGUUGACCAUUCUAAUCCUCCCAUUUACCCGGUUGACCAAAUUUACCGGUAAAUUCUCCCAUUUUAUUCACCGGUUAUCAAACAGGCCCUAAGUUCAACAGGUACACGUGGCAAAAUCUGGUGAGGAGGUAAGCCUGAAGCGUCACCUCUGCAGUAACGCUAGCAUUUCUCGAAAAUAAAUGAUUACAAGGGACAGUGAAAUUUAUCUAUCUAAUUAUUAUCAAAAUGCACAUAUUUUAUUCCCAACAAGAGUAGAAAAUCCUUGCUUGAUAUGAGCAGAUGAGCUGAGUGUGUUACGCGUGGACAGACAACCGUAAUGUAAUUACAGAUUGCUAACUGAAAGCAGAGGCUACUGCUGCUAAUAAAGAUGAUUUUUUUUUUUUUUUUUGGGUGAAGAUAUAAGUUUUUUUUUGCCAAUGUUAGCCCAAUAUUACACGCGUUGCCGUUGCCAUUCCCUCGCCAGAACAUCUUCUUCUUCCUGAUCCAAAUGGAAGAAACUUAAAUCCAUCAUUUACACCUUCAAACCUUUUUGGAUUAUAUUUUAUGGAAUCUAACCAUACAUUUGGAUCCCUAUGCACGGCCCAAAAGUUCAUCAAUAGCAUGGUGUUAAAACUAAGGCUCAUGAAAGGGUUUUUUUAGACUUAACCCAUCUUAUAAAUGGAGAAUUUCGCCUUCACCAUGCUCAAUUUAUUAUUAUUUCUUUUGACAGGUUUGAGUCGCAAGUACAGUUCCGAAGGAACUCUGAAAUAUGGAGUUCAGAAGUUGUUAUGAUGUCUGGCAAAUUAAGAUGAAAAGCUACAAUGGUGUGAUCAUUGUGUUGGAAACGUUUGGCUAAAACUGUCACAAUUUUGACAGUUUUCUGAUAAGAUUUUUAUGAACACAUUUAAUUAUGUUUCACAUCUCGGAUGCGCGAGAUCUUGAUACGUGUGGAUUCCUCUUUCUGAGUAGAUGCUCGUAGUGUAUCCACAAAAAUAUUUUUCAUUUGAAUGAGAAAUUAACGUUUCAAGUUACCCCUCAUGUGGUAAAGCUUGAGAAAUAGCAAGGAAAUAUUGAUAGUCCCCACAUUUGACCCAUGUAGAUAAGUAUUAUUCCUAAUAGACUACAAUUAGACCAUAUGGGGUGUGGCCCUUUGAGUUACAAUGUUUUCCUGCAAAAUGUGCAACCCUUACAUAUGUUUGGGCAUAAAACACACACAUGCACGCCCCGUCCAUCUGAUCGACCGUGCUUGGGUUCUUUGUGAUCUAAUAAUAUAAUCUUUUUAUGAAAAUGUCCAAUGACUUUUCAGUCCCAAUAAGUGCGCGCCCAUACGCAAUCGGUUUCAGAUUGUUCGGCCCAAAAGGUGACUUUCCCAACAGUUACAUACCUUUUCCGAAAAGGUGCUUUCCUGGUAUAAAUAGGUGGUCUGUGUCUGCAUUUUUCAUUCAUUCAAUUUAUAGUCCUUCAUCUCAUUGCGUCUGUGCCCUUGAGAGAGUAUAAUAAUGUUCUGCUUCGCCAUCUUCAAGGUGCUUGAACUUUAAAGUGCUCCUACACUGUGAAUGUACGAUCAUUGUAUUCUGGGAGACAGUUCGCCAUUAACCUUAUAGAACCUGAUUGGGGCGAAUAAUGUCUUAAGGACAGAGAUUUAUCUCGACUCGAUCUUUAAUCUUGUACUUUACAUACAUAAUCUGGUUUGCAUAUUCUGUUUACUUUGGUUUUAUUCAUGAAUAGUAUCAUAUCUCUAUUUCUUGCCUAACACAUUGAAGGGGAUACUUGGGGUAGUGAUGGAGUAUCUUCAGAGUAAGGUUUAUAAUGUGGUAUGGAUUGGUUGUUUGCUAUUUCUGAACAAUUUUAGACUGUCCCCUACUACUGUUAAUGUUAAGCAUGCCAUAAACUUGAACAAUGUGCUAGUAGAUGUGGGUGGAUGAACCACCUCCUUCCUGGUCUCCCAUUACUAGUUUACUGUGUUUAUUACUGUAUGAGUUCAUGAAAGAAACUGGGUUGGCGUCACACUGUCCAUUUUUCACAAGUAGCAAGUUAAUUUUCCUCUAAACUUAAUACUGGAAUUGGGCCAUUCACAUCAUUUUGUGGACUUGAUCUAUAAUUAGCACCAAACUUGCUGCAUAUACAUUGAGCAUGCUUGUUAGAGCUGGUUUGGAAGACAAUCAGUAAACAAUUCGAAGUGAAAUUAUAGAUGAGUUGUUUGCACACUAAGAAAGCUGAACACUUGUGCACCUGUAACUCUGGAUAUAGGUUCGAUGAAGACCUUUCUGUCUUUUUAAAGCUAAAAUAAUGUAUAAGUCUACAUGGUUUUUAUCUGGAAUAUAUAUACAACUCCUUAAUGAAUUGUUGAACUUUUCACUUUUGUCAGUAGAUCCCAGCAAUACCAAAGGAGAAACAAGCUCCAAACUACGCAAACUUGCAACUGUUCUGUUCGAGUCUAAUCUCUCGAUUAAGUUAGUAUUCUGCAUCACUUCAUUGACCCUCAAGCCUUCCAGAUUCCAGAAUAGCCCUGCAGGCUGCAGCUCUUGGUGAAUCAAAGACUUGACCUGUGAAUCUGUGCUUGGGAGUUUUAUUGUGGUUUUUUUAUCUCUAUAUCUUCACGACUUUAGGGGUGUUAAACGAGCCGAACGAGCCGAGCCCAAAUUUUAUACGAGGUUAAUUUUAUGUUCAAGCUCGGCUCGUUUAGCUAUACGAACGAGCUCGAGCCGAGCUUUUAAUGAGUCGAGCCCGAGCCGAGCUCGAGCUACUCCAUUAAAUUAUAAAUAAAAGUAGGAUUUUAUCUAAACGAGCCGAGCUUUGGUAUGUUCAAGCUCGGUUCCUUUAUAAACGAGCCGAGCCCAAAUUUUACACAAGCUUUAUUUGAUAUUCAAACUCGGCUCGUUUAGCUAUACGAAUGAGCUCGAGUCGAGCUUUUAAUGAGUCAAGCCCGAGCCGAGCUCGAGCUGUUCGGUUCGUUUAACAGCCCUACUUCACGUAUGUAAUGUUACAAUUAUCUUAGACUCAAGCAUAGCAUAACCAUGAAUGCCUACAAUGCUAUAAAAAAAAAAAAAAAAAAAAAAACACGAACAAACAUUGAGGUCAUUCUAUCCGUUCGUGUUCUUUCACUGAAAACUAGUGGGAUACUGCAAUGCUUAAAUGUUGUUCGUGUUCUUUCACGGAAUUGAAGAAAAAACAAACCUGUGAAUUUGUUCCUGUUCUUUCACCAAAAUCUCAAUUAAGUUUUGGGACAUUCUAUCUAGCUAGUUAUUGUUAUGGAUUGUCGGACAUUCUAUAUAAGAACACCUUUGCCUCAGGGCAGGAACAGGUCGUAAGGAAAAGUUAGAAAAUUAUUGGUGAAUAUCUAGGUUGCGGGUUGUUGACGUUGUUGGGAUUUAAUUAAUCACUACAUAUAGUUCAACAAAUAGUAUCAGAGCCCACGGUUGAUUGGGCGGGCUUGCAUGGGCCGGGAUUUGGUCGAAGGUGGAGAUUGUUAGGUGUGUCGAUCAAAUAGUCGCACAUCCGAGCCAUAGUAGAUCUCUAAGGGGUGUAUAAGUAAUGGUCUGGUAUCCACUAUUGUCGAGGCCUUUUGGGUAAGUGAAACGCAUAAGGAAAAACCCCACACCAUGGAUAUGGCCUUGGGUCUAGUGGUGACUAAGGUGGGGACAAUAUCGACGGAAUAGUGGUGGACCAUGGGCCCAACAAAUGGUAUGAGAGGUUAGGUUGAAAUUAAGGUUUUGUCAAAGAUGACAGUGACUACAGGUGUUCCUGCGAAUAGUGACGGUAAGAAACCAUCGGUUACUACUCUUGGCGGCGGUGUAAAAGUUGAGAUUAAACCGUUUGACGGUAGAUAUAACUUUACACUAUGGCAAAGGAAGAUGAGAAACGUUUUGAUCCAACAAGAUCUUCAUGUGGUUCUUGACGGGAAAGACAAGAAACCAAAGGACAUGUCAGAUAACGAGUGGAGCAAAACAGAUCUCAAAGCCAUGAGUUCCAUUGAACUACAUAUCUUGGACGAGGUGAUGUUUAAUGUGAUGGAAGAAACUAACGCCAAAAGAACAUGGGAAAAGCUUGAGAAGUUGUAUAUGGGUAAGUCUUUAUCCAAUAAACUUUUCUUAAAGGAUGACCUUUUGAAUCUUCGGAUGGAAGAAGGUGGUGAUCUUAUGGAACAUCUAAACGUGUUCGAUAAGUACAUCACAAAUUUGCUACGGGAGGAUGUGAAGUAUGACGAUGAAGACAAGUCUCUGUACCUGCUCAGAUAUUUGCCUUCAUCUUACAAGCACUUUAGGACCACAUUGAUGUUCGACAAGGAUAUUUUAAAGUAUGAUGAAGUUGUUCAAGAUAUAAUCUCUCAUGUGAAGAUGAAUAAGAACACAGGUGAAGACUUUCAAACAGAAGGACUAUAUGUCAAGAAUUCUAAUGAGAGAUGCUGAAAGAAUAAGAGAAGUAGUAAAUCAAAAGACAGGGGCAGAUCUAAAGACAGGGAUAAAGAAGGUUGCUUUGAAUGUGGUGCGACAGACCACUGGAAACGAGAUUGUAAGAAAUAUAAGGAAAUGAAGAAGAAGGCCGAAAAUUAAAAUUCAACCAGCGUUGUUACAGAUGAUAGCGACGGAGAAAUUUUAGCGACUUCUUCAGGUAAUGAUAUAUAUUUCUUCGCAUUAGAUUUUAGAUUAUGGUGUUUUAUAUCAUAUAUGUUCAAACGAAGACUAGUUUUACACGUUUGAGAAAAGAAAAGGCGACAUAGUUUUUAUGGGGAAUGAUUCCAGUUAUAAAGUUUGUGGAAUCGGUAUGGUAAAGUUGAAGCUGCAUGAUGGAAUUGUUAGGACUCUAGGUAACGUGAGAUACGUUCCUGCACUAAGGAAGAAUCUCAUUUCUCUGGGUUAUUUGGAUAAGAAUGGGUACACAUACAAAUCCAAAUAUGGGAAUCUCGUAGUCUCAAAGGGUUCACUAGCUUGUGGUUAUGAGAGGAGUAAGACUUUCUAAUAAUUUAUACAAGCUUUUGGGAAAUACAGUAAUUGCUGGAGCUGCAAUUUCUACACAAGAAUAUCGCACUCAACUUUGGCACUUGAGUGAAAGACCCAUGGAAGAACUACACAAACAACAAUUGUUGAAGGGUGAGUAUAAACUUGAGUUUUGCAAGUUUUGUAUUAUGGGAAAACAAACUAAAGUACUCUUCAAAACUGUAGAUACAAAGAAAAGAAGUACAUAAGAACUUAACUAUAUUUACUCAGAUGUGUGGGGGCCUUCACCUACUCAAUCAAAAGAUGGAGCUCGCUACUUUGUCACUUUCAUGGAUGAUUUUUCGAGGAAAGUUUGGGUCUACUUCAUAAACGAGAAAUCCGAAGUUUUCACUAAAUUCAAGGAGCGGAAGACAGAGGUAGAGAAUCAAACAGGCAGAAAAAUCAAGUAUCUAAGAACUGACAAUGGCGGUGAAUAUAAGGAUAUGAAGUUUCUACAGUACUACAAGUAUUACAAGGCAUUUUAUCGUGAAGAAGAAUCCCUAACAGAAUGGAGCUGCAGAAAGGAUGAAUAGAACGCUUAUGAAUAAAGAGAGGUGCAUGAGGUUUCAUGCAGGUCUGCCAGAGAUGUUUUGGGCAGAGUCGUUUAACCAUGCUUGUCACUUGGUUAAUCGUUCACCAUCUAAGAUGCUUGAUUUCAGAUGUGCAGAAGAGAUAUAGUCAGGUAAACCGGUAGACUACUCUACUUUGAAGAUAUUUGGAUGUAGUGCAUAUGCUCUUAUUCCUAGUGAUGAGAGAACCAAACUUAAACUCAAAUCUCGUGAAUGCAUUUUCAUCGGCUUCGAGAAGAUAGUCAAAGGUUAUAAGUUAUGGGAUCCAGUGAACCGAAAGAAAAUCCUUAGUAGAGAUAUUGUGUUUGAUGAGAAGACUAUGCCUAUGAAUCAAGACAUGAAGAAUGGUGAGAAAAAUACUAUUGGUGAGAAAGCAACUACAGAGAUAUCUCCUCUAACCAAGGUAUCCAACAAGGAGACUUCUAUUCAGGUGGAGGAGUCAAAUGUAUGGGUUGAAGAGGAUGGGCCAGAGCAACAACAGUGUGAAAAGGAGGUUGAAUCUAAUAAUGAUAAGCAACAACCUUACAGCAUAGCAAAGAACCGGGACCAAAGACAAGUCAAAAUACCUAUUAGACUUGGGUUCGAGGAAGAUGUUCAUUAUGCUUUAAGCAUUAAUGAAGGUGAUCCUACAUCUUAUCGUGAAGUAGUUGAAAGUAACGAAAGAGAAGAGUGGAUUGAAGCUAUGGCUGAAGAGAUAUAAUCUCUAUACAAGAACUCCGUUUGGGAGUUGGUUACUAAACCCGCAGAAAGAAAAAUUGUUGGCUGUAAGUGGGUUUACACGAAGAAGGAAGGAAUACAUGAGAAAGAACCACCAAAGUUCAAAACACAUUUGGUGGCGAAGAGUUACUCACAGAAGGAAGGAGUUGAUUAUGAUGAAAUUUUCUCUCCGGUAGUGAAACAUAAUUCUAUAAGAGUGUUACUAUCACUAGUUGCUCAACAAGAUAUGGAUCUUGAGCAGUUAGAUGUCAAAACUGCUUUUCUCCAUGGUGAAUUAGAGGAAGUCAUCUACAUGGAAGUCAUCUAGUUUGUAGGUUGAAAAAGUCUCUUUAUGGGCUCAAACAAUCUUCAAGGCAAUGGUACAAACGCUUCAACUCUUAUAUGUUGAACAUUGGGUAUAGAAGAUGUGACUAUGAUUGAUGUGUGUACACUCAUGUGUUCGAUGAUGGGAUGGUGAUCCUAUUGCUACUUUAUGUAGAUGACAUGUUUAUUGCUUGUCGGGAUAUGUCUAGAAUUAAGGAGCUGAAGACGUUAUUAAACAAGGAAUUCGACAAGAAGGAUCUUGGUUCUGCAGAGAAGAUCCUAGGUAUGGAGAUAAGGAAAGACAGAAAAAUGGGAAAGUUAUGGCUGUCACAAGUCAAGUACAUUCAAAAGGUACUUGAGCGCUUCAAUAUGAUUGAUGCAGAUCACGUGUCAACUCUUUUGAACAAUAAUUUUAUUUUAAACAAAAGUCAAUGUCCUUCUACAGAUGUUGAAGUGGAAGAGAUGAAGAAGAAGCUGUAUGCAAAUGCAGUAGGGUGUCUCAUGUACUCAAUGGUAUGCACAAGAUUUGAUUCAGCUCAAGCACUAAGUGUAGUAUCGAGAUACAUGGCGGAUCCGGGAAAGCCACACUGGAAACUGUGACGUUGAUUCUCAAGUAUCUAAAAGGCACUAAGACAUUGGGUAUCUUGUUUGAAAGACAACAAGGGAAAACAUAUGUUUCGGGUUAUGUGGAUGCGAAUUAUGCAGGAGAUUUAGAUAAGCGAAGAUCCACCAUAGGGUACGUGUCACGACCCUAAUAUCCAAAAAUUGGCAAAAAGAGAGAAUUUACAAAAUUACCCUCAAUAAGCCAAUAAAAGGACAAAGGAUCGGGACAGUAAUCUAAAUAAACAUUUUGCACAAGGUAAAAUCCAUAACCAUUAAACACAAAUACUUCAACACACAUAAUUUGAACUCCCAAUAAAUUCCAUAUAAAAUCCAAAAACUCCAAAUAUUGAAUUACACAACUCCAAUAAUAAAAUUCAACAGCUUCUACUGAGGUAUUGUCUUCCCCAUCAAUAAUAAUCCAAUAAAUGAAAUAAUGAACUUGAGUAAUCAGCUAACGACAAAUCAAAUGACUAAACCUACUCUGAAAUGGUAACUCCUGCAAAAUCUCAAACUCCCUCUCGAACAACUGGAUCUACACGAGCUUCCUGGUGUUGCUCCCGAUCGUACUCAACUGGCUGCUCUCCUCCGCCUACGCUCCAUAAGGAUACGUACCCACGUGCAAAACAAGCAACAUGGGUCAGCAAAUUAUGCUGGUAUGAGUGGACAAGGGUAGGGAACUCCAGUCCCAAAAACAAUAAAAUAACAGACUCCGCGGUCUUUAUAUAUAUAUCUCGUUUACUAAAUAAAUAUUAUAUAUUAUAAUAAUACAUUACCUGAGCUGCACCUCCUAUUAGGAUAGGUCGAGCCCUGCAAGAAAUGUUAAUUGACCUAUCCUCCUGCAAAACUGUGUUAGUACAAUAAUAUAUAAUUCAUGGCAUCUCAAGUCUCGUCACUAUAUCUCAAUCACUACAAAUCAAUCAUUACACACAAACAACACUUCACAACCUAUACCCAAUCACUAGUACACCUCCCACAGGAUGCACUCCACACAUUUGCCAUACCCACACUGCACCAGUGUGCCUUGACCAUGGUUAAGACCCUCUACGCGGAAACCAAAACCCAAGUGGGUGCUCACCUGCAAGCUUUGGCUAGCCUCGACAUAUGCCUAACUCAUGGCUUCUACUAGCUCCCUUGAGCUUUCUAAUGUGGCGCCCAGACCAACCCCGAAGGCUAUGAAGGUCUGUAGGGUCAGUUCCGCAGGCUAAGCCGUCUAGGAAAUACCCAAUAAAAAUAUAUUCCAAGUGUCAACCCGCAGGCUAAGCCGUCUAGGGUGAUAUCUAAUUUUCUUAAUUCUAAUUCCAUAGGUGCGGCAAAUGUACUAAUGUUUGGGCGACUACAACAACUAAAACUAACAAGCAACACUCGACACGACAAUUUAACAUCAACUUCACAUCAAAUCCAUUUUUGUAUUCCUUUCGCAUUUUCUAGAUUAAUCAAAUACCGUCCAUGGUAUAUAAAGCCAUUCCGAGGCAUUCCAUAAUAAAAGUUCUCAAGUUUAAAAUUUAUCAAUCAUAUCUUAAUUCUUUUCAAUAUCUCUUCAUUAUAAAUUGUCAUAAUAAAUCAUCCAAAUCUAAUGGACACUUCAAAGUAAGAAAUUAAAAGGACUCGGUGUCGCAGAAAAUUUAAAACUAUAGAUAGCUAUAUUCCAAAAUAUCCCAAUCAUAUGAUAACAUUUCAAAUAUCAUGGAAGGCUAGUAGUUGCAGUAAAUACACAUAUACCAGACAAUCAACAGUUAAAACAAAAACUCGGCAACACGGCAAAGAGUGUACAGUACUCAUGCAUAAUGAAAAAUCAUAACUUAGUUAUCUAAUUGAUUUGUCAGAACAUGGUUUUCUAGUACAAAACUAGUGUCCUCUCAAUUUACAGUGCAACAUCAUGAAACGAAUUCUUUAUUUUUUUGAAAUACUACCCACUCAUGUACAUGCUACCAAAAUGACCACUUAAAUCUUAAUUAGGUGUGAAAGAAACCAUCAUUAUAACUUAAUUCAUAAGAUAUAAAAUACCAUCUCUGUUUAAUCUUUGUAAACAAUAUAUGCAUUCACAUGUACCAAGAACUUAAAUAAAUAAACACUAAAUGGAAACAGAUGAAUUAGAAAUGAAUCAUAGUGAGAUAGGCCACUCACAGUUAUACCCCACGUCUGAAAUCAAAAAAAACAACAGCAAACAUAUCUUACACCAUCACUAACAGAAGUCAAACUCAUAGUUUAAUUAAAUUAAGCUAAGCUAAUAAAAUAUCAUCCACUCACAGUUACUGUUCUACUGUUGAUCUUCUUCUCAUGUACUCAAUGGUAUGCACAAGAUUUGAUUCAGCUCAAGCACUAAGUGUAGUAUCGAGAUACAUGGCGGAUCCGGGAAAGCCACACUGGAAACUGUGACGUUGAUUCUCAAGUAUCUAAAAGGCACUAAGACAUUGGGUAUCUUGUUUGAAAGACAACAAGGGAAAACAUAUGUUUCGGGUUAUGUGGAUGCGAAUUAUGCAGGAGAUUUAGAUAAGCGAAGAUCCACCAUAGGGUACGUCUUCACUUAUCGUGGAAGACCGACUAGUUGGAGAUCAAUGCUCCAAACGAUUACUACUUUAUAUACUACUGAGGCGGAGUUUAUGGCGGUAACAGAAGCUUGUAAGGAAGCUAUUUGACUGAGGAUUAGUAAGCACGUUCGGGUUAGAUCAAAGUUCUAUGAUAAUAAGAUGUGACACUCAUUGUGAUAUUUGUCUUGCGAAGAAUCAAAUGUUUCAUGCAGAACGAAACAUAUUGAUAUUCGCUAUCAUCGGAUUCGGAUAGUGGACUCUGGUGAAAUUACAGUUGAGAAGGUNNNNNNNNNNNNNNNNNNNNNNNNNNNNNNNNNNNNNNNNNNNNNNNNNNNNNNNNNNNNNNNNNNNNNNNNNNNNNNNNNNNNNNNNNNNNNNNNNNNNCAUGCUAAAGAUUGGGUGGUACACCUCCUCACUUGAGGUGAGUUGAGGCAAGAGGAUUCUUGCCAAUAUGAGGGUGCUUGAAGUAAUUCAAGCUGCAAUGAUCUUGUUUUGGUCGAUGGCUCACCAAGGUAGAGAUUAUUGUAUAUUGGCUCGCAACAGUUGGGUGCACAUGAUCAUACUUUAUAAGAGGUGUGAUCCAUAGAAUCAGUUCCUAUAUUGUUUAAGGAAACCAUAUACGUGCAGGAGAUUGGACUCGGUUUCGUAUUUAUCUCGGUUUUGAACAAGUAAUCCUAUAUGGAUUUGCUUGCUACCCAUGGGCUAUAAAUACCCAAGUAACUUGGUAUUUGUAAAAAGAUAAGAGAGUAGAAAAUAAUAGAAACAUAGAGAUAGAAAGAGUAUGUGAGAGAGAACUUUGGGGAGCCAAGGGUGUAUUGGGUUUAAGGUGAGAGAUUAAGAUCUUGAGAAAAAUACUAGGGAGAUUAUUAUAAUCGGUGUUUCUUUUCUUAUAGUGAAAUCUACUAAUUGUUCCCCGUGGAGGUAGGCAUUGCCGAACCACGUAUAUCUUGGUGUUAUUGUUUUUUAUUGUUUUAUUCUUCUUAUACUAUUGUUUAUUGUUUGGUAAUCUUUGACUUCAUUGACAAACGGAUCCUGCAUUACAAAGGAGGUGUUCUCACGAAUAUCUAGGUUGCGGGUUGUUGGGAUUUAAUUAAUCACUGCAUAUAGUUCAACAAAUGGUAUCAGAACCCACGGAUUGGGCGGGCUUGGGCCGGAAUUUGGUCCAAGGUGGAGAUUGUUAGGUGUAUGGAUCAAAUAGUAUCACAUCCAAGCCAUAGCAGAUCUUUAAGGGGUUUAUAAGUAAUGGUCUGGUAUCCACUAUUGUUAAGGCCUUUUGGGUAAGUGAAACCCAUAGGGAAAAACCCCACACUAUGGAUAUGGCCUUGGGUCUAGUGGUGACUAAAAUGGGGACAAUAUGAGACGGGACAAUAUCGACGGAAUAAUAGUGGGCCAUGGGCCCAACAUAAGGUUUAGUGGAAUGUGCAGAACCGAUUUCAACAGUGAAGAUUUCUAAGAAAGCAAGAGAGUCAGUACUAGCUUCCUUAGAGACAAGGAGUGCUCCAGAUCUAAAUCUGCUACUCGAGAUACCUCCUCCAAUUCAUCUCAAUGAGGGUGGUGUAUUGGAAUAUAAGAGGCGUCGAUUUAGUAAUACUGUUGUAAUCUUCAAAGUCUGAUGAAAUACGAAACAUACUUGGCAAAAAAAGGGUACAAGUACGUGAAGUCCCUAUUCGAUUAAUUGUAAUUUGUAGUAAUUCCCAUGUAAAUGUAAAUGAGACCACACUCAACAUAAUAACAACAGUAUGUAUGAAGGUGAGUACAUGCAUCAUUACAACCUAAUAUUUUGCUUCUCUCCCAUUAACAAAACCACCAGCAACAACCCUACUUAUUUGUAUAUCUUUCAUUACAUUACACCAAUACACCAUUCGAGGAUGUAUAUCAACAUUAUUGUCGUUCAUUAUGAUCUACAAUCUCCAUUCUGAAAGGUGAUCGAAUUAGAACUUUAUCCAGCCUUGUCUCUCAUCGAACAAAUGGAAUAAGAAAAUAUUCAGCAUUACAUAACUGCAUAUAACACAUAGUGAAAACAAUAAUGUUAUAAUAAAGGAGAAAAUAACAAAAAACUAUAUAGUUAUGAAUCAAAAUAAGUUAAUGCAAUGUGAAAUGUGUAAAUUAUGUGUUUGGACCUUCUUAAUAUUCUUUUGUACGUGUUAUGUCUUUCGAAUCCCUUUUUUAUUCCAGACAAUACAACACCCUUUAAAGGGUUUUUUUUAUAGAUCGAAGACCAAAAGGCCGGUAAUAUUCCUAUCAGAAAUGUUCGAAUGGGGAAUACAAAUUUACUUACUUUCCAAAUAAGUCGGUAAUAAGAAGUUAACGACUUUGUGUUGGAAAGAUCGACAGAUUGAGCUCGAGACCAGAAAAUGGAAGCAAAUGCUAAAUUUCCAAGUAUCUGCAACAAUUAAAACUAUAUUAGUGUAAUAUUUUAUUUAUAUUUACAUUUUUUUUAUAAAACCAGCACUACAAGUAGAGAACAAGCUAGCUCGCUACAAACUGUGCUAGCAAGUCCUUUCAACCCGCAGCUACAAGUCAUUUUUUCUGUACAAAGGAGUUCUAUACUUACGCUCAAAAUCUUGCCAGGCAUGAAUGUUGAAGAUGCCCCUGUCAGCAAGACAGCACCAUAUGCCAUCAUCAUCAAAUAAUUGCAAAACCAAAAUACCUGAUGCAUAUAAUAAACCAACAAAUUGAAUUGAAUUAUUUGAUUUAUCAACUUUCAAAUCUGGCUAAUAAUUUGACUAACAUUUACAAGUACUUACUCUCUCUUUGCCAAAGACCACAGCAAAAGUUUUGGAUCCAAAAGCUUUGUCGCCAUCAAAAUCCGGUAUAUCCUAUGUUAAAACAUAUCAUAAUUUCAUUUUCAGCAAGUGUUAUCAAAUAGAAAGUACACUACAAGUAUUUGAAGGGGGGCGCACUCUUCUAAAUCUACUAUUAGCCAUUUAGCCAUUUUUCACCACUAGCCAAUUCUUAUGGGUAGGUUCUCUAAUUAUAUAGAGUAUAGAUUGAACUCACUCUUUUGGACUUCAAUGGUUACAUCAUUCGUUGACGUGGUCAAACCCAAAUGUCAAGUGUUACUUAAUAUCUCUGAAAUAUCCUUUACUGGUCAUGUUCUUUCUACACCAGUUAGUUGGAAAAUGAGGAUAUUUAUUUAGAAAAUAAGAGUUUUGACUUGGUCAAUAGUAGUUUGACCAUCAAAGGGAUAAAUAGUGAGCAAUCUCCAAUUUUGUUCAAAACAGUAGGCAAUAGCUAGUUUUAAAUUUAAAAAAUGGGCGAAUGCCUAUUUGCCUAUUUGUCGUAUUCAAAUAUAUAAGAAAGGAAAAUUGAUGCAUGUAUUACCUUGCAUAUUGCCAUUACAAGCGUGAAAAUACUAUUGAACAUUGUGAUAACGAUCAGUGGUCUUGUGAAGACUAUAGGUUUCCCAAGUACAUAUCUCUGAGAGUUCAUUAAAAUAACAAUUAGUUUUACAAUAAAAUAUAUGUCAAUUGAUGAAUAAUUGCACAAUAUUUUGAUGAAUACCUGUAUAUGUAUGAAGGUGGCAACAGGAAUAACAAGUCCUCUUGUAAACGUCAUUACAAUAGCAGUAAGAAAUCCAUUUGUUUUCCACCUAAGAAAGGGCAACUAAAACAAGAGAUGAAGUUUAUUCAUCAAAGUCAAGAGCAAGUUUUUGAAGAAAUAUAUUAAUCACAUAUAUGUACGUACGUCAAUCGAGUAUGCAGUCCCAAGAAUAAAGUACGUAAGAAUUGCACAUAACAAUGGAGGAGAUUGAAUCAUCAAACCCAUUCCAAUACUCUGCAACAUUUAGGAAAAACAAACCGUAAUACUAAAAUUAGUGCUUGAUCAGGUUGUUACAAAAUUCAUUCUAUAGCUAUAGCUAGCUAUAUAGUAACUUAGAUCUAACUCACAAUGAAACCUGCAAUGGCCACUAUGAUUAUUCCAGUUUUUAUAGAAAACUCUCCUGAAGCAAGGGGAAGAUAUGGCUUGUUGACCUGUAAAGCCACAAAAAUGGAUUGAGCAGGAAUAAUUCAAAAAGAAAAUGUUAAUUUUUGUGACCAAUCUUGAAAAAUAUAAUCUUAAUUAUAUAUACCUUAUCAAGUUCAACAUCAUACAAUUGAUUUAUUCCCGCAGUAUAGAGGUUCAUCAAUCCCAAAGAUGUCGCUGCCUGCAAUAGCAAUAGUAGUACCACACUUAUAUGUGCACCACCUUUUCUAGCAAAUCAUGCAUCCACCUUAAAGUAGAUGAUCACUCACUGAUAGAAGAAAUGACAGGAAUACGAGGUAAUUUGGCAUGCUUUUUAACGAUUACUAAUAUAUAAAAUUUGUUAUAUAUUAUAUAAUGUUUUCUAUACUAUUUAUUUAUGAUGAAUAAAUAUAUAUAUAUAUAUAUAUAUAUAUAUAUAUAUAUAUAUAUAUAUAUAUGGCUCUGGAUUUUGCCAAGGAGAAAACUGAUCUUGCCGAUGGUUAAUUACCAAAGUGAUUGUAUUACCCUCAAAGUUUUUACUACACAAAAUACUGAAUUUGGCUAUAAAUUUCUAAUAAAAUCUUGAUGAAAGAUUUCAAAUCCAAAAAUUGAAUCUUUAUGAAAUUUAAAUUUUUUACAUAAUUAUAAUUAUGCACCAAUGUUUUCUAAGAAAAUACUUAAAAUAGUGGUCAAUAAUAAAUCAUCAAAUAAUAACAAGCUAAAUUAGGUUUCGUGACUAUCCAAAAAAUCAUUACACAUUUUUUCAGUGUUAUUUAUUGACAUAGUGAGAGAAUGAAGAGUGUUGCUUACAAGAAUUAAUAAAAAAUCAAUUAAAAUUUAUUUUUCUUUUUUUUUAAAAAAAAAAAAUAAAAUUAUUAUAUCUUAGAAUAGUGAUCGGAGGGCAAAUCAAUCAUUUUGGUAGUUAAUCAUUAGCAAGAUCAAAUUUCAUAAAAAAUAAUCAAAAUAUAUGCUAAUGAUAUUCUACAACUUCAUACAUAUAAGAAAUGAAAGGUAUAGUAUGGUAUACCAAAUGCUACCUAAGCCGGAGUCUAUAUAUAUGGUACAAGUACAACCCAAAAAGGGCCUUGUAUAUAUGUCACAUGGCAAAAGUCAUGCCACAAAAAUACCCCAUGCCAAGAACCCAACUAUACUUUGACUGUGAGUUGACUUCAUCAGUCAAGACAUAGAGUCCUAGAAAUUUUAAUAAUAUUUUUUUUGUUUUUUUUUAUUGGCAAGCUUGUUUUAGUAAGAUCAGUAACUCAAAGAUGCCCUGGGAUCAAACCCCAGACCUCUGAUAUCAUCGUCUAGAGGUAUUACCAACUGGGCUCAGGUGUAUCCUUUAAUAAUAUUCCAUUAGUUUCUAUUAUUUGCGAAGUUUAAUUGUAAAGGUUCAACUACUGCCAACCCUUGACAUCAAGUAGCUCUGUCCGUGUCCAAAAGUAGAUCGAAAAGUCGCCAUUUUUCAAUUACCUUUAGUACACCUAUGAAAUACACUGGAGAUAGAUCAGACAUUGUUUGCAAUGGAAGAAGAGAGAUUGAGAAUACAGAUAGAACCUGAUGAUCAUAUUGAUAAGAAACUUAAUUAGAAGAGAGCCGAGACAAUCACACAAUAAGAAUAUAUAUAAAAAAUUUAACUAAGAAGUGUGCAAGAUAUAUACUUACCAAGCCCAAUAUAACAUAAUCGCGACAAAACUUCCUGAAUGCAUAAAGUUUGUUAGUAAAAUUUUCAAACAAAUUUAUUGGAUCGUCAAGUGUCCUUCCAAAUUCAUUCCCUGCUGUUGUUGCUGACAGACUAUGACGUUUUCCAUUCGAUGAACUUCUUUCUUUGGAGAGUGAUAAUGGUUUCUCAAUGCCUGGAGUACCACUGGAUAUACAUUCCACACGCCUUGUCUUCGAGUAACCAAAUUUCAGUAUCUUUAUCGGUUGUUCAGAUGGUAAAACAUAACCUACAUAAAAGAAGAAGUCACUACGCCGCAAAUUAAAUAUAUAAUUAAUAUCUUGCAUAAAAUGAUACCAAUAUAAUAUAUAUCUAUAUCUAUAUAUAUAACAAGAUAGAAAACAAAAGAUGGUCAUAUAUAUAUAUGGUUCACCUGAUCUAUGAGCAUCCAUUUUCAUAGGUGUUAAUCUUUUCCAUAGAGAACCUAUGUAUAUAUCCAACAUGAAAAUGAAAAAAAUCAGGACUAAUGCAUUAUUGUACACAUAGGAAAAGAAGGAAAAAAAGUUCAAUAUUUGCCUUGUUGAAGACAGUAUCCCGACGAAGUAAUAACCAUCUUAAUUAUAACUUUAUAUUUCUUGCUAUAUGCACUCAAAAUCUAAUGCUCUAUAAUGAAAAAAAUGAGCUGAAUUUAUAGUGUUGCUUCAUGUAAUAAUGUUGCUUCAUGUAAUAAUGUUGCAUUAAUUUUCUUCUUUCUUUUGGAUUUUUUUUUGUAAAGUGAAGGCGUCACUUUUGACUCAUAUCAUUGAUGUAUAUAUCUGCAUCUUUGAAUUUGUGUAUAAUUGAAAGUACCAUAAUGUGGAAAUUAUGUACAUUUCCAUAAAACAUCGAUAUAAUUUGAAUUUAUGCAUGACAGAAGUCCUGUCCAUCCUUCCAUGUGUUGGAAAAAUGGAAUUUUCAAAAAGCUGACUGUAGACUAUUCUAAAGCCUUAAAUUUGAAGUACCAAACAAAUCCAUACUGUGUCUUUGCAAAGUAUUUAUUGCUUAGGGGCAAAACUGUAACUGGAAGUGGAAGGGAAAUUAAAGUCUGAUGCAUUUUGGAUAAGAAACACACUUUGACUACAGUUGAAUUUUAUGCACACUGACUCAACUACUCAAGUUGUCUUCUUCAAGAACAAUUCAGUUUGAUUUUCUUUGAGUUCCACAUCAAUCAGUCCAAAUUUUCAUUAUAGUGUGAGUAAAAUUAGGGAUUUGCAACAAAUCAAAGAAAACCAAUCUGAUACAAGUACUGGGGUUUGGAUUUGGUGGAUUGGAUCAGUUCGAUUAUUGGUUUUGAAUUUAACGAAUUCGAUUCAAACCGAAUAAGUCCACCAAGGACUUUGAAGUCCAUAAAUAUCCAAAUAAUUAGGACCUCAUAAUAAUGCGCAUAACCCUAAUACUGUCAAAAAGACAGAAAUAACCUUAAACAUUAGCUAACAAAAGACAAUAAUUAUUUGUGAAUGAGCUUGUGGCUCAAUAAUAGCAUCUCUCUUAUAAAGUGGAGAGGUUGUGAGUUUGAAAGACAACAACUGAUUGUUGAUAUAAGUUUCCACACGUAAUAUAAAGGGGUAGGGGUCCUUUCAACCCUGUUUGCCAACCAAAAAAAUAAAUAAAAAGAAGACCAUAAUUAUUAAAAAUUGAAAAUUUUAAGUUAUGAUUAAAUUUGGACUUUACUCAUCUCUAUUGAUCCAAAACCACAAACCCCAUUCGAAAUAUAUAUAGUUCUUUAGAAGAUUUUAUAAACUAAACAUUGUUUUUCCUAAAAUGACAAAAUUAGAUUGUUACCAAAACGAUUACGGUUUUGCCAUGUUAUUUUGACAAUGUCACAAACUCUCAACUUGCCCACAGACAAGUCUUUGGUAACUAUUCAUACCGCACAUUCAUGCAUGUAUUCUCUAACAAGUCUUUAUCGUUCAACACUUCCAGUCAUUCAUGUAUGUACUCAUCACCAAAUUUUGGAUUCUCUAAUGACAAUGUAUAUAAUAAAUAUCCAGGUGGACUCUCAUUGGUACUGCAGAGACUUCUUGGAAGGGAUUUUGAUGUUAAAAAAGUGUUGUGAUGAGUUUUCAAUGAAGCUUACUUUUCUUUUAGUUAAUUUUCCAUUUAAUAUAUUAAAGCCCACCCAUGUUUACUAGAGACUUUCUUCUGUUCCAAUAUUCAACCACAUCACCACAAUAUGUUUACUAGAGACUUUCUUCUGUUCCAAUAUUCAACCACAUCACCACAAUAUGUUUACUAGAGACUUUCUUCUGUUCCAAUAUUCAACCACAUCACCACAAUUUUCUUCGAAUCGUGGGACUCUAAUGCCUACCAUGAACAAGACCCGAGGGUUAAUCUACCAUGGAGGCUAAAUUAUUAGUUCGAUGGGGAGCUCAGAAUUUAGGCACAGCUACAGAGAACAAAAUAUCCACCAGACUACCUUGCAAGUUUGGUGGUGAUGUAAUGCACGCUAUGUACUUUCAGGGUCUUUACAAUUGUAAACUGUAUAGUCUAUUGGUAGACAAUGAUUCUUAUUGUUUGCCUUCAUUUCUGUCAUGAUUGUAUAAAUUGUGUCACAGUUUCUUCACUGUUUUGAUCCCGACAUUGAGGAUAAUUGUCAACAAGUGCACGAUAAAAGGCCUGGACUAAUGAUUUAGUAGCAAAUGUGUUGAGAACAAGGUCUAAGCCCGUUGUGAAAACCAAUUAAUAUAAGAGUGAUUAGGAAUCAGAGUUAGAUUUCUAAAUAUAGAAAUCUAUUUAGUUGGCAGCAGCAUGUGUCCUUAAAGAACUUGAAUGAGAUUCUAACGUGGAAUUCAAUUUCAUUAGAAACUGUGUAUAAUCUUUUGGUUAUAAAUAGGGAUUGUGACCAUGGGUAAAAUAUAUGUGUAAGAUUCAAUUACUGUGUAGUGACGAAAACCGAAACCUUAGUUUUCAUGUGUUGUUCUUCAUCUUCUAUAUAUUAAUAAAAGCUCUUCACUUUGUUCCGUGGACGUUAGCAAACGCCGAACCACGUAUUUUUCUUGUGUUUUGUUAUUUGUAUUGUUUAUUAUUCUCAAUUAUCGUGUGUGUGUUAUUUUCUAUUCGAUUAUCAACAGUGUUUAUGUGAUUACGUUUCCGUGAGGCGCAACAAAAUAAAUAUAGUACUAUAUAGUCUACUUGUUUUUUCAGGCACCCAGGAUCCUAACAUUGUUGUGCGUGAAAUGGCCAAAGUAUGGGAUAUUGGGAGGGAUCCGAUAAGACGAUGGAGCUGGUUUCUAUACGUGAUUGCUCUAGUAAUAACAUCUAUCUUCUAUCUCUUUUUUUUUUUUAAAAAAAAAAAAAAACAGAAAAUGCACAUAAGUAAAAAUAAAAAUCCUGCAACUUUUUUUCUUUUUCGAUAAUGGUUGCCCGUAAAAUGCACUAUCGACAUCUAGAGGGUGAUGAACCUAUAGAAACAAGCCAAAACCAGUACAUCUAUCAACAUACAAACAGAUUGCAAAUCAAUACUCUCUAUUAAAGUUGGAUUUGCCCUUAAGAAAAAUUUCUCUUUCCAAAUUAGAUAAAUUUGAUGCUUCAAUUGAAGAGAAUUUAACAUAGAUUAAAAUUUAAAGGGUUAUUAUUGUAUGUUUAUGUCUAAUAUGGCUUAAAUAGCUAGACUAGAUGGCUAUAUUUAAUAGGACUAUGGCUAUAUGUCUUUUUGCACAAAUAUAUUAAUGGCUAACCAAAUUUAAUGGCAAUAUAGCUAUAUUUAUCUUAUUAACUCAAAAAAAAAUAAUAAUUAUAAUUUCAUACUUUACCUUCUUCCUUCCUCGACAUCUACCCAUGUUCCUGUUACAUCAAAUUCAAUCUAUCCUCUCUUCCUUCUCCAAAUAGUGGUUGGAAAAAAAACACACACACACACACACACAAACAACAUUCAUUACAAUAGACUAUGUGAAUAUCACGCAAUAGUACAAAACUGUGCGUCUUCCAUUUUCCUUUGAGUACAUGUUAGAAAUAAAAUUAUAUAGGCUUUAUAACCAUAACAUGAUUAUGUUGUGUAAUUAUAUCGUGAAUUUCGGGAUUAGUUUAAUCUUAUUUAUCAAUUAUACUAAAAAAUGGUAAUUUGAAAAGUUGGCCUUUGGCGAAAGGUUAGCCCAGGAUAUAAAUUUAAUAGUGUUUUCUGAAAUGAUGUACAGUCUAGACAUAACCAAAACUCAACCCAAUAACUUAAUGAAGUGAUUUUUUUUAGGCAUUAUUUGGGGAUUACGAAAUAGUAGGGGUACACCUAAAUAUAAAUUUUGAGUUUUUUUUUUCUGAUUUGUUGUGAAAGUAAGGACUGGGAGAAUCGGAAGAUAUUAUUUAUAUAUAGGUUCAACCAUUUUUUUUUUUUUUACUAAAAGUAAAAUUUGAAGUCCAAAAAAAUUGUUUUAGCCAGCAGGUGGGCUUUCAUUGUAGCUUACUACAUGCCUCUUUAUACCAAGUAUAAAAUUGUGUAGAUGAAAUACUUAUUAUAGCAAAUCUAUACUUAGUAUAGAUAUGUCAAUAAGCAUGUGGCUCAAAGGUAGCAUCCCUCUCACAAAGUAGAGAUGUUGUGGGUUCGAAACACGUCAGCAACUGAUUGUUUGAUUAAAAAUUUUCCCACGUAAAUUUAUAAAGGAUAGGUUCCCCUCAAUGUCGCUUACCAAUAAUAAUAGUAUAUGUUACCUAUUAUAAUAAGCUUCAAUAAGCACCAUAUAUUUUGCAAUCUAACAUUUUAUCAUAUAUUUCAACUUGAUAUUUUAGAAGUUUUGUUGGGUGGAUUAGUUGUGAAUGGUUACUUUACUACUAUAAGUUAUUAUAUACUAUGUUCUUGCUAAACCCCUUUUUAUAUUCAAAACUUAAGCCUAGACUCCAAACAAAAAAUGAAUCAGAUCAUAUGUUCAGUCUAAUUCAUGGUUUGAACAUUCAUAAGAAUAAUAAAAAAAAAAAAUUAUACCAUGAUUUAUUAUCACAAUAAAGUAAAACCUUAAUGAAAAAUUCAAUAAUUGCUAGACAUUAUAGCUCAAAAUCUCAGUCAAACAUUCAAAAAACAAACAUUUGACGAUAAACUAUUUGAAAAAAUGAAAUCAACCAUAUUUACAAAAAAAAAUUAGUGGUGUAAUAAAAGUGUAAAAAUGACAAUGAAAGGAAUGACAUCUAUUAACAAAACGUUUUCAAGAGACUACCCCUAAUUUACAUUAUUUAAUAACAUCCAUGCUUUGCACGGGCCUUAUAACUAGUAUGAAUAAUAACUAGACCAAGAAUAAUCUAGAUCACAAUUAAACUAUUUUGUAAUUUACAUUAUUUAAUAACAUCCGUGCUUUGCACGGGCCUUAUAACUAGUAUGAAUAAUAACUAGACCAAGAAUAAUCUAGAUCACAAUUAAACUAUUUUGUUUCUCAUGCAGGUGACCAUUCCAUCUCUAAAUCUUUUUUUUUUGAUGGUAUAUUAGUCAUGGCCCGAAGGCUUACAGGGACAGGGCCCAAAGGGCUUACAAAAGACAAGACCCGAAGGCUACUGAUGCUACCACCUAAGCGUCCACACCGCCACCUUGCAACUCGAGCAAUUCUGCUACUCAGGGACUUGUUUUUGCUGAAGAACACCUAGCCACAUCAUGAUGGGAAUUGAACUCACAACCUCUCACUCGUGAGAGUGUUUGAGAGAGAUAACAAACCAACUGAGCGCUAGCAGUUGUUUGUUUCCAUCUCUAAAUCUUAUAAGAACUUAAGGCGUAAAAUCUUGACGUUCCAAGUUUCAUUUUCCUCGUUGCCCAAGCUACAAAGCAUACCUCCUCUAAUGUAGAGUAUUUUCAAUUUCUUCAAUGCACUAGGCUGCAGCCAGUUUGGUGUACCUGUUUUGGGGAAGCAUCGAAGGUCAAGUUUUUCCAGACUCUGAGGCAUUGAAAGAGAUGAUGAUGUAGUCAUUGUUGCUGCCCUCUCAAGUUUUUUUGAGUUAGUCAUGGUUGCUAAUAACUUCUCAAGUUUUGCAACAGUAGCUUCCUGAGUAACAGAUUUAAUCACUCCUCCCCAUGUUAUAGUUAGAAUGCGAAGUGCUUCAAUCUUUUGCAACUCAAGAAGGUCGUCUUCUGCAACAAUGGCAUCACUCCCAAUAAUUAAGCUCAGUUUCCUCAGCUUCUUUAAAUUAGACAAAUCUUUGAGCUGACACGGAUCCUUACUUACUGAGUUAGCUAUCACAAACCCCUUUAGCACUUGAAGAUCGGUAAGUGCUUGAAGCCCCUUAGGCAUCUGUUCAAGUAAGUAACACUCAGACACAUCCAAGUGUGUCCGUUUCUUCAUUGAUUUGACCCCAGAUGGAAACUUCUCCAAGUUGUGACAUGCACGGAGGUCUAAUACUUGGAGACUGGUGAGCUUGGCUAUGGACUUUGGGAGAUCAGUUAGUCUUGAUAUCCCACAAAAGCUAAGAUACUUUUAAGUGCUUCUGAGCACCCCAAAUGUUGUGUCUUGGAGAGAGUUGUGAGAAUUUGGGAAGGGAAAAAACCUAGGGUUUCUCCAUUAGUUUUAAAGUUUUGUAUUAUCUUCUUCAUAGUAUAAGUUCUAUUUGUUUAACCAUGGAUGUAGGCAAUCGCCGAACCAUGUUAAAUUGGUGCCUCUCUUUUGUUUGUUUGUUGCAUUAAUUAGUUUUAUUUCUUUACUACUUUGCUUUGUUUCUUUCAUACACUACUACAAUCACAAUCAUUUGGGUUUGUGCUUCCGUGCAUCCAACAUGGUUUUGAAUCCAUUUUCAUGGUGAUUUUGAGUUUCCAAAGAAGGGUUUGUUGCUUAAAUAGAUAUCCAACCAGUCAUUCUUCACCAAAACAAAACUAACGAUAAUGGGGUAAGAGAAGUCAACAAACAAAAUAAAACGGUGAAAAAACGGUCAAAUUUUACACAGAUUUUGUGCACAUAAUCAUGUCAUAAAAUAUGAAAAUUCUCUGUUCAUGUGAUUUAUAUGAAAGGAAAUAAUAUAUCCUGUCAACAUCCACAAGAAACAUAUUUUCAUUUGUACCUAAUUACUAAUUUCAACUCUAUUGAUUACUGCAUUGUCAGCUGCUAAUUUCAUCUCUAAGGUGAUGUGAUACAAACAGAAUAACAUAUCAACAAUGUAUAGAUAAGUAAUCUAUAAAAAAAAAGGGGGAACCAUUGAGUGUUUCAUACAUUAGUAGUAGCUAUAAAUCAGCUUGUGUUGGCGUAGUAGCUAUUGAUGAAGGCCCUCUCCAGAAAGACUGAAGCAAGAGUAUCCCUGCAAAAUAAAAAAAAAAUAAAAAAAAAAGAAUGCAUGGCUCAGUACCAAUUGAUUGUGUGAAAACUAGGUUAAAUUGUCGUUAUGUGCUAGUACCGAACUUGCAUCCAAGUUGUGUGAUAAAUACGAACGAACUUCAAAAUUCUUUAUACUGUAUGUUGAUAGUAAAAUCAGUGUAAGACAAUUUCAAUACCAACUAAAAUGAGAAAAUGCCACAAAGCUCAAAUUUAGGUUUAAAUAAAGAAAAAGCAAAAAGAAAUUAGAUCAGUGUGGCAAAUACCUUCAUAUGCAAGUAGAAUUUUAAUGGAAACUAGCAGGAACACUAAGUGAUGCUCCUCAGACAUGGCUGUGUAGGACUAUAAUUCUGUAAAACGCGAGUCCAUAUUGGUGCUUUCAUCUUCCCAUUUCAAGUUCUUCCACCAAACCAAUUCUCCUUUGAUCUUCACACAAGGACUGUUCACACUGACUGGGAUCUUUUGAAGCUUUGGGCAUCCUUGGACUCUAAGAUGUUUAAGUAGUGGCAAUACUCCCCCAAAUAUAGUCUUUAAUUUCGGUAACUUCAGAAGGUUCAAUGUCUUCAAGUUUGGGAGAGUUUGUUCUCUUGAUGUUGUUUCUCCAAAAAUAUUCUCAAGCUCAUCACAAAACUUGAUCUUGAGUGUUGCAAGGUUUUUCAGCUGAAUGUGUGAAGAGAAAACAAUGACAAGGCUUGGGCAGCACUCUAUGUAUAAAUGUUUUAAGCACGCGAAGCUUUCAGAAUCUACCGAACCUCUAAAUAAACUCUUGAGCUCAGAAAGCUUUGACACCCAAAGAUUCUGUAAAUAUCUUCCCAACACAGCAUUCUUUUCUUUUUCUUCCCCAUAGAUAGCGCUUUCCAUACUAUCACAACUCUCUAUCCAGCAUUCUCUCAUGGACUUAACAUUAUCAACACCCAGAUCUGACAGCCGAUUGAUGAAACCAUUCUUCUUUAAAUAUAAAAGUUCCACACUAUUAAGGACUUGUUCAAUACCAGUAGGGAAACUAUGAAAGCCACAUAUCUUCAAAAACUUGUCAGGCUCGUCUGUCAACUGAGGAAUAUGGCUGGUCUGGUAAUAGAUAUCUUUGAAAACAUAUCCCUUUCCUUGCAAGUAAAUGUCAUUUUCUUUACUCCAUUGCUCAGAAGAGCACAAACAGAAAUGAAAUUUCUGGAAGCGAUUCCCCCACAGUCCAGAGUUCUUCUCAAUGAAAUAGAAAAUGUCUGUGUUACUUACAGUAAUAUGUAUGCAUGUCAUGCCAAGAUGCUCUGUUUCAGACAGAUUCAACUGCAGCUGUUUAGUUACAUCCAUUGCAUCUCUCCAAUUAAACCCCCAAAAGUAUUUCCUGUUCAGUAUCGCAAGAAACUUCAAGCAAGUCCAUUUGGAGAUGCCAGCUGGAAACUCACUAAUAUUUGUGCCAGAAAGAUCAACCACCUCAAGCUUCUUAAGUACCUCUGAGUGGGGCAGGAUUGUUAAAUUUGAACAACCUCUAAGGAACAGUUGGCGUAUGUUUUGAAGUUCUGAAGGUGAGGAAGGAAAUAUCCCGAUCUGGGAUCCAGAGAGAUUAAGUUCUUCAAGGUUCAGGAUGCCUUCAAAAGACAAUGUCUCAAAGUUUGAAAGAUCUUUCAGUCUGAGUUGACAAAGAUUUUUGCAUCGUGAAAGGAAAGAGAAUUCUUGCACUUGCGUACCGGACAAAUCAAGUUUUUUAAGGGCAUAACAAACUCCAAGAGGUUCAUCUUGGAAUUGACUGAAAGAAGCAUCCCCAGAAAGAUCAAGCACUUCUAAUCUUUCUAGUUUUUCCAAGUGAGGCAGUGUCUGAAACUUCAGGCAAUCUCUUAUUAAGAGUUGAUUGAGAUUUAUACAAUCUGAAAGGAAUGAUAACUCUACAACCUGGGUUCCCGAUAGGUCAAGUAUUUGAAGGUCACAUAUGUUCCCAAAGGAUAGGUCUUGGAAGGUUGUGAAAGAAGUUGCACCAGAAAGAUCAAGAAGCUUCAGUUUUGUGAGUUCUUUUAUGCAUGAAAGUGUCUGGAGUUUUAUACAUCCCCUUAGUGCAAGCUGGCUUAGAUUUACGCAUCCGGAAAGGAAUGGUAAGUCUACUACCUGGGUUCCAGAGAUGUCAAGUAUUUGAAGGUCAUACUCCAUCCCGACUGAUAUGUCUUGGAAGGUCAUGAAAGAAGUUGCACCAGAAAGAUCGAGAACCUUUAGCCUUCUAAGAUUGUCAAACGCUGGAAGCGCCAUUAACUUUGGACAGUUACGCAGAAACAGUUGACUGAGAUUUGAGCAUCCGUAAAGGAAUUGUAAGUCUCCAAUCUGGCUUCCAGAGAGGUUAAGUAUUUGAAGAUCAAAAUCCUUGCCAAAGGAUGGGUCUUGGAAGGUUGUGAAUGAAGCUGAGCCUGAAAGAUCAAGAACCCUUAGAUUUCCAAGUUCUAACGGCGGCAGGGUUCUAAGGUUUGGACAAUUCCUUAAAAAUAGUUGACUAACAUUUGGGCAUCCGGAGAGGAAUUGUAAGUCUGCAACCUGGGUUCCAGUGAGGUCAAGUAGUUCAAGGUCGCACUCUUCCCCAAAGGAUAAUUCUUGGAAGGUCAAGAAAGAAGCUGCACCUGAAAGAUCAAGCACCUUUAGUCUUCUAAGUUCAUCCAAUGGCGGCAGUGUCCUUAGUUUCUGACAAUCUCGUAGUAAAAGUUGACUAAGAUUAAUGCAACCAGCAAGUAUUGGUAACUCUACAACCUGGGUUCCAGAAAGGUCCAGUGUUUGAAGGUAAUACUUCAUACCAAGAGAUUGGUCUUUAAAUGUCAUGACAGAAACUGCACCUGAAAGAUCAAGCACCUGGAGACUUGCGAGGGUCUCUAUAUGUGGUAAUACCUUUAACUUCACACAACCUUUAAGGAUGAGCUUGCAUAGAUUGUAACAUUCCGAAAGGGAAGGAAUUUCUUGAACUUGCGUGCCAGAAAGGUCUAGUUCUCGAAAAUCUUCCUUUAUUCCUAAAGAAUCAUCAUGAAAUUGUUUGAAAGCAGUAGCACCUGAAAGAUCAAGCACCUCAAGUUUUGUCAGUGGUUUCAACAAUGGAAGUGUUUCUAGUUUUAUACAUCUUCUCAAGAGUAUAUGUCGAAGAUUGCUGCAUUCUGAAAGACUAGGUAGUUGUUCAACUUGGGUUUCGGAAAGGUUCAGUUCUCGAAAGCAUUCCUUUAUCCCUAAGGAAUCAUCUUGGAAUUUUCUGAAACCAGUAGCACCUGAUAGAUCAAGCACCUCUAGUUCUGUUAACGUUGUCAUCGGUGGAAGUGUCUGAACAUUCAAACAAUUUUUGAGAAAUAUUUGUUGAAGAAGGCAACAUUCUGAAAGGUUGGGUAACUGUACAACUUGGGUUGCAGAAAGAUUAAGCAUCUUGAGGCAACUUAACUUCUGAAAACAAUCUUCCUUCAAAUUCUUUAAGUUAAUAGAACCUGUGACAUCAAGCACUUCAAGCUUUUGAAGCUCCAACUGUGGUAGUUCCUCUAGGUAUUCACAUUCUCUUAGUAUGAGUUGAACGAGAUGAGCUUCCAUUGAAAACAUUGGCAGCUUUUGGAUCAAAGUUCUAGACAAGUCAAGAUAUAGCAGACCAUCCCCGAGCGCUUCGUCUUGGAAUUCCUUGAAAGAAAUGGCACCUGAAAGAUCGAGCACUUCAAGCUUUUGAAGCUUCAAACGAGGAAGCUCCUUUAGGUAUUCACAUUGUUUUAGUAACAGUUGAAUGAGAUUAGCUUCCAUUGAGAACACCGGUAGCUUUUCGAUCUGAGUUCUAGAAAGAUAAAGAUACAGAAGAUCAUCCGUAAGGGCUACAUCCUGAAAUUUCUUGAAAGAAAUGGCACCUGAAAGAUCGAUUACAUUUAGUUGUGUCCCCAGGGAUGGCAAUGUUUCGAUGUUGGGGCAACUUCUUAAGAAUAGUUGACGAAGCUUGCCACAUCUUGAAAGAAAUGAAACUUCUGCAAUUUGUGUUCCAGAGAGAUCAAGUUUUAUUAUUGAAGAGUCAGAUCCUGAGUUUUCACCUUGAAAUCCCAGAAACGCACUAGCUCCUGAAAGAUCUAGCACUUGGAGUUCAGGAAAUGCAUCUAUAUCUGCCAUUGUUUGGAGUCUCGAACAACCUCUCAGAAAGAGGUGAUUUAUGUUGGGUGCAGAUGGUAAUCUAUCAACCAGAGUUACGGAUAGAUCAAGGGUUUUGAGUGAACUGAGGGUGUCUGGAAUAUCUUUUAGUGCAUAAGCACCUGCUAGGUCCAGCAGAGAGAGUUGAUCAAAUUCUUCCAUAUAUGAAAUUCUUUCCAGCUGGCCGCAUGCUCUAAGGAUGAGCACGUCAAGUUUAUGAAGGUUCGAAAAGGAGGAGGGUAGCUGUUUAAGAUGGGUGUUUGAGAGGUUCAGAUAUUCAAGAGAACCCAAAUCUUGAAAGAAAUCAUCUGGGAGUUCCUUCAAGCUGCUAGCACCUGCAAGACUAAGAACGAUCAGAUUCUGGAGUUCUCUUACUUGGUUCACCACUUCCAGUGAGGUACAACCUCUUAGCACAAGCAUUUCAAGAUGCUUCAAGUCUGAAAGUGAUUCUGGCAGAGAACUGAUUCCGUAAUGGAGAAUGGAAAGACGACUAAGAUGUAGCAUUUGCGCAAAGUAGUCAUGUGGGAAUCCAUUGUCAGCAUUCCCGUAAAACACCAAAUCUUGUGUCUCAGUUGUUCCUUCAUAGUCAAACCCUCGGGUCUGAAUCCGAUGCAGAGCAUAGCUAUCAAAUGAAACAAUGUCAGAAGCUUUUGUCUGAAUAUACAUACUCACUUCUUUGAUUAAAGGAGUUUGAACACUCACGUGGGUGUAUCCCUUAUCAUCAUCUAUCGAUAUAUCUGAUAAAAGAUGACGACCUAUGAGCUCUUUCAUUAUACUGUUCCCCUUCUCAAAUGCUUCAUCUGUAAAAUAGAAUCCAUCUAAGUAUCCUGAUUUCAUCCAGUUUAGUAUCAACCACUGCUUACUGAAUUUAUGGUAACCUGGACCCAUGUAGCAGUACAAAAAGCAAUCUUUCACAUCCUUGCUCAGCAACAUCUCUAAUAUAAAUUCAAUGCGGGACAUUGAUCGAUUGAAUACCAGGUUGUAUGCUUUCUUCAAAUUAGCCAUCUCCAUGUUGCUCGAAGAAGACUCUCCUAUGUUAUUUCUCAAAGUUCCUGCCAGUACAGCAAUUUCAAAUGGCACACCAUUGCAGUUGUCGACCAGAGGUUGAGCUAAUUCACGCAUAUGGGGAUGUGAAUCAAUUUGUAUGCCAGAUAUAUCCUCAAAAAGAUACAAGGCAUCAUCUUCGGACAACUUUUCCAGUUCCAGUAUCCUGUUGGUCUCUACAUCCCCAAUGUUUGAUUUGGUCCCAGUUAUUAACACCUUGGACGAUGCAUAACCUUCCCUGGGAAGAGGGACCCCUAACGCAUCAAGAUAAUCAAAUGGAUUGGAAGAGCAUAUAUCAUCUAGAACCAGUAAGUAGUGCUUCUCUGCCAGUAAUUUAGAGAUCUUCAUACUAAGAUCAUCCUCGUUGCCAUGCACUUCUCCUUGAUGCUGCGACAAUUGAUUUAGAAUCUGUAUCUGCAUUGUUUUGAUUCCAGGAUUAUCUGGCCCCAUAUAUACAAAGAUAAUGGGGUCAAAUCGCCUUAAGAAUCUUACAGAAUAGAUCACAUUCCGAGCAAGCCAUGUUUUCCCCAUUUCAGUUGCCCCUUGGAUUUUAAUUGUUCCAACAUCAUCAUCAUAUAACCAUGUCUCCACAGUCUUUUCUGCCGAGAAUGCAGUGCCUUUAUAGCAUUUUACCUCUUCAUCUUCACUUGUCGAUUCUUCAUCAUAGGUCCUCAUUGAUUGUGUCUCCCCAUCUUCGCUUUGAUGAUCUUCAUCAUCUUGGCUCAACGGCUCCUCUUCAUCUUCGCUCGUAUCUUCUUCAUUUUCUGUGCUCAUUGCCUGUUCUUUAUCAUCUUCACUUGUUUCUUCUUCAUCUUUUUUCCUCGUUUCAUCUUUGCUUGUAUUUUCUUCGUCUUCUUUGCUUUUCACCUGUUCUUCUUCAUCACUUGUAACAACCAGUACUGCAGAGGGUGCUAAUCUGCACAUUCAUUCCACAAACAAUAAAAAAACAUGAACUCCACAAGAGUCUUUUGUUGUAUCUUACAAUGUACAUUAAAUGUUUAAUCCAAUUCCAUCUCAAUACCUAUAUAUGACAAAGCCCUUCGUGACAGACCUACCUAUCUAAUGAUUCAUCAUAGUCAACUGAGCUAGUUUCAUCUCAAUUAUUUUUGUUUUAAUUGCAAAACAUAAGUUUACAUUAUCUUAUAAUAUUACGAAUCUAGAUUCAUAGAUCAAAUAUCUGGAACUGGAUUGAUUGAACCCAAGAUACUUCACGAAAUUUUGUCAGUUUCUCUUGUGAAGUUUAGAAGUACUUAAUUAACGGCAGUAAGAGUCAUUGGAAAGAAAUAGUAUAAGAAAUUAGGGAUCGUAGUGAUAACACAUGACUUACAUUGAUGAUAACAUCUGCUCAUCAUCUGUAGGGAGACAGACUUCGUCAUUCAAGCCAUUGUCAGAACCUGAGCGGCCAAUAAUAUCAGGAUCAGCAUGACCUCCAACAAGCAUUUCAGACUUCAUUGCAUUCUUUUCCUGUUAAAUACAUUAAUGAAUAAAUGUUGAUAGCCAUAACAAUAGAACACCAAUAAUAUUAAUAUUGAUCUCCUAAUUCAAAUGAUUUUUGAAGGUCUGAGCAGAUCGCCUUUCGUCCAACAACUAAAAUUGCUAGGAAAAACUUUUUUGAUUUUACCUUAUUCUAAAAAAAAAAAAACAUACAUACAUACAUACAUACAUACAUCUUUUCAAGGUCAUCAUCAAAGACUCUAAACAAAGUUCAUAUGAAAGUGAAGGAAAUAUGGUUAAGCUUGUAAACAUAAUAGACUAACCUUGGAGUGUUGGCUACCCAUAGAAACAAGAAAUGAUAAAAAAGAAACACCUUCCUCAGCUCUUUUACCACAAGGCACAAUCAGCAAUUUUCACAAGAUCUCCCUUGUGAUUUUGAGGAAGAUGAGUAGAAAGAUGACCAUUAGCAUGUAUUCACACUUAACUAAACAACAAAAGAUAAAAAUAAUAAUAAGAAAUUAACAACUUGUUGCACAAUUAUAGAUGUUAAUUAAAGAAAUCUCAUGACUUUUUUUUCAAAUAAUUGUUCUGACUUUGUUGGGCCAAGAGGAUACAGGGCGAAAUCAAGAGGACACAGGGCGAAAUCAAUUACCCAAAAGGACAACUGGGUAGAUCUUAUCAGAAGGAUAACAAGAUUUAAUAACCCAAGGACAACUACCCAGGCCUGUUUGUUAUGAUUUUUUAUAAUUCCAUUUAUACCCUUCUUCUUCUUCGAUUUUAAUCGAUGUUUUACUUCUUCUUUGUCCUCUCUCUCUUUCUCUCGUGACUUUUUUCUUUUAUGAUAAAUAUUUUAGCUCAUCAACUGCUUAUCUAAGAUAUAUGUGUCAAACUCUUGUUAUACUUAGAUAGUACAAAAGCUCCCAAGAAGAGUGCAAAAAGUAAUGGACAACAAUAUGAUGACUGUUGGUUCAAUCGAAUAUGUAUUUAGGAGAAUCAAGUUUGAUUUUUACAAAGGGUUUGCAGCGCAGUUUGUAGCGCGCAAUUUGAGUAGUUUCUUUUAAUAGUAGCCAUUUAGCCCAUGCAAUGCAUGGCUUUAAGGUUGCGGCUGAUUUAAGUUUGUUUAAGUUAUGGCCACUUAAAAAUAUUAAUUGUAAAAAUACCAAUUUGACUUUCAUAAAAUUAAAAUGCAAUUCAAUUCUCUUCAAUUAGGCUAUCAAUUAGGAGAGAGAAAAUUUAACAGGGAUUUUGAUUCGUCUGCUUGCCAUAAGGGCCGUGAUAGAAUGUUUACAGACCAAACAUGCCAAGGACUUCCUUAUUGUUAUUCUUAUGGAAAGGUUAGGACAACGCAUGACGACAGUGGAGUACCGUGUCAUUCUCCGGUACUGUUUCAUGAUCCCGUUAAAUACAGAUAGGGACCAUGUUGUACACUGUAAGUAUUAUCUCGGUUUUAAAUACAGACACAAUCAUAUGCGUGAUAUAUUGUAUGAUGUGGUAUGACGAGCAUGAAUACAAUAUAAUUAGUGACACAAUCAAGUGAAGGGAGUAUUCUUAAGCUUGUACUCCCCAUAGUAGACUAACCUUGGAAUAUUGGCUAGCCAUGGAAACAAGAAAUGAUAAAAACACCUUCCCCAGCUCUUUUCCACAAGGCCACAAUAUAAUUAGUGAUUUUGAAGAAGAUGACUUCUAGUAUGUCCUCGUACUAAAGGUAUUUAAUGAUAAUAAUAAUAGAAAAUUAGCAAGUUGCAAUUAAUUAGAUCAGCGUUUUGGGCCCAAGGACAAAAUAUAAGGCUUUAUUAGGCCCAAGGACAGUAGCAACGUUUCAUUAGACUCAAGGACAAGUCUAUUUAAUGACGAAUAUAUCCCUGUUGGUGUUUUAACAACUAUAAAAAAAUCUAACAACGUGGGACAAGGUUUUUUUUUUUUUUUUUUUUUUUGAUUUUCAAAUAAAGCCCUAAUUUCUUUCUUUCUUUCUUUCUCUCUCUCUUUCUCUUUCUCUAUCUCAUCUCUACUGCAAAAACAACGAUUACGACUUGAUUUCUUAGGUUUUUCUUUAAUUUCUUAGGAUUUUCUUCAUUAAAAGUCCGAUUCUCUUUAGAAUUGAACAAAAAUCUAGGUUUUUGAAAGCCAAAACACCUAGAUCUACAAUGGCAAGAAAAAAAAAACAAGUUCCAAGGAGUACAAAUCAUCAUGGAACAAAGAGAAAACGAAAGGAUGAUAAUACAACACAAGAACAAAAAACUUUUGAUUUUGAAGAAGAAAUUUCUGAUUUUGAGGUAAGUUAGGUUUUAGAAUUAUAAUUUUAAUGUAAAUUGUUUUCUUGAAUAACUUCUACAUCACAUGUUCUUGCUUAAUUACUUCACAAUUUCUAAUUUUUUAUGUAAAUUGUCUUUGAUGUUAAAUUAUAUUUCAGUUUUAGUUGAUUAGUAAAUUUAAUCAACAUGUUCUUGCUUAAUUUUACUUCACGAUUAUUGGGUUUUUUUAUGUAAAUUGUAAAUUAUCUUUGAUGUUAAAUUAUAAUUGAUUAAAACAUUAAAUCAACUAUCAAACUGGUGUAAGCAAUUUAUAUCAUACUAUCUGUUGAUUGGUAUAUUAAUCAAUUAAUUAUAUGAUUUUAUUUUUUCUGUUUAGCUGAUUAAUAUAUUAAUCAACUAUAACUUUAGUUGAUUACUAUACUAAUCAACGCACGUAAUAGUUGAUUGAUGUAUUAAUCAACUAAUUAAUUGAUUUUAUCUUUUCUGUUCAGGUGAUUAAUGUAUUAAUCAACUUCAAUAUUUUACCAAACUUUUCACAUUUGAAACAAGCCGAUUAUGUUACUCUAUUGUUGAACAAGAUGCUAAUCAAACAUGGGGAUGUUCGUUUUGAAAAAAGACCUAUAUAUCGAGGAAACACGAGAUUUUCCGCAUCAAGGCUUUUCGUAAGCUCCCUAAACUUGAAUUGUUAAGUUUUAUUAUCAUGAAUACAAUUUGAUUAUUCUGUAAAUUAUAUUUUUCAGCGUGGAUUGUGCAUUGUUUGUAUGCAAAUUCAUGGAUCAUGUUGUUUCUGGACAAGCAAUUUCAUCUAAUGACUAUUCAGAAGGAAUGAUGCAAAUCAUGAACGCGAACAUAACAUAUGAGUUGUUGAGUGAAGUUAGUUUUAACAAGGAAGCGUGGGACCAACAACAACUGCUUGUAAAGCCUGAUGCAGAAGGAAAAGGAAGCAGCUCAAGAAAAGGAAGAAUAGUUUUAUCCAUUAUUGGUUUUUGGUGUUGAAAAACAAAACAUUUCUAAAAAUACAUUUGUGUUGGUGUUUGUCAAAUAUUGUUUGUGGUGUUGAUAAACACAUUUUUUUAUUGAUAACAAUUAAGUGUUGAUACUUUACAUAAUCCUUGUAAACGGUAAUUUUGUUGAUAUAUCAAUGGUAUUGUUAUUUGCUUGUAUUAUGGUGUUUAAAUGAUAAUUGAUAUAAAAAUUUCAUAUGUUGAUUAAUUUAUUAAUCAAAUAUGCAUUAGUUGAUUAAUAUAAACUAAUCAACUCUUCUUUAAUUUUGUAUGAGUUGAUUAAUACAUUAAUUAACUCUUCUAUAACUAUGCAUUAACUGAUUAACUAUGCAUAUAUUAGUUGAUUAAUGAUUACUGUAAUUAUUAUAUUUUACAUUCUGUUCAGCUGAUUACUAAAUUGAUCAACAAAGCUUGAGUUGUAUGGGAAUGGUGAACCGUAGUGGGAAUGUUGUCAUUCUAAAAUCCUAAACGAAUGGGAAUGGUGAACCCUAGUGGGAAUGGUGGUCUUAAAGACACUCUAAACCCUAUUCUAAAACCCUAAACCAAUGGGAAUGGUGAACCCUAGUAGAAUGCGGUCUUAAAGAAAUAAUUUUGUCAUUCUAAACCCCUAAAACCAAUGGUAAUGGUGAACCCUAGUGGAAUACGAUCUUAAAGACUUAAUGUUGUCAUGCUAAAAUCUUAAACCAAUAGGAAUGGUGAACCCUAGUGGGAAUGGUCUUAAAGACACCCUAAACCCUAUUCUAAAACCGUAAACAAAUGGGAAUGGUGAACCCUAAUGGGAAUGAUGUCUUAAAGACACCCUAAACCCUAUUCUAAAACCCUAAACCAAUGGGAAUGGUGAACCCUAGUAGGAAUGUUGUCUUAUAGACACCUUAAACCUUAUUUUAAAAUCCUAACCCAAUAGGAAUGAUCAACCCUAGUGGGAACGAUGUCUUAAGUACACCUUAAUGUUGUCAUUCUAAAACCCUAAACCCUAUAUCAUAAACCCUAAAUAUUAAACCCUAAAUGUAAACCUUAUAUAUAUAUAUAUAUAUAUAUAUAUAUAUAUAUAUAUAUAUAUAUAUAUUAAAAAAAACACUAAAAUAUUUAAAACCCUAGGAAAAAAAGCAAGAGUUGAUUAUUACAUUAAUCAACAUUUCCUUAGUUGAUUAGUAUAUUAAUCAACUUGUCAGUACACUUCCUGAAUACAUGAAAGUUGAUUAAUACAUUAAUCAACCUUUCCAUCUUUGAUUAAGAUAUUAAUCAACUUAUCAGUAAAACUUUCCUGAAUAAAAUAAAGUUGAUUAACACAUUAAUCAAUCAUUACUGAAUGUCCAUCCUUCUCAUAAACUGAAGUAAAUUAUACUGUCACAACUAAAUUAUAUCGUCACCACAAGUGAAAGAAAUAAAAAAAAAACUAAAAUUGAAAAUGAAUUAUAUUACCACCACAAGUUUUAAUCGAAAAAACAGAAAAACAAAACAUCAAAUACAACUUGAAUUUAAUUGUUGUUCAAAUAUGGGCAAGUCCUCCUAUUGUGAUGAUCAAGAUUAAAAGCAUUGCCACAAGUAUGUUUUUCCCCCAUUUUCUUCAACCACAUACGAACACCUUCUUUACUAUACGACUUCAAAUAAAUCAUCCACUUAGCAACAUCAUAUGAAACAACAUCAUCAAUUGAAACAUCAUUUGAAGCAACACUUCCACAUGAUUCCACAUUUGUAUAAAACAACAUCAUGUAAUCAACACAUUAAUACAUUCACAUUAAUAUAGUUAAUUAACACAUUCACCAACAAAAAUAAUGAAAACAGGGAGUUGAUUAAUACUGUUAAUCAACCCGAAUGCUUAAAACACAUAGUUGAGCAACCAAAAAUACUCAAAACACAUAAAAACUAUUGAAUGGCGAGUAGUUCAACAUAAAAAAACAUUAAGCAUUGAAAUUCAAGGACAAAUUGUGAUUCUAAAACAAAAACACAACCAAAAUCAAAAUACAAUCUAAAUUAAUAAAAUAAACUAAAACACACCUAUGCAAUCAAUUAUCCUCAUCUCCAUUUGAAAUCUCGAAUUGCCAAAUCAAAACAAUUGAUGAUGUGAACAAACAAAGUUCUUUAAAAAUCAAAUGAAGAAUCGAUUUGUCAAAUCGAAUUAAAAAAUCAAAAAUCUCCGCUUUUGAUUUGAUUUGCUCUAAAAACAAAUCAAUUGAUGAAGAGAACACACAAAUUUCUUUCAAAACCCAAUGAUAAAGAUCCUGUAAAAUCGAUUUGACAAAAUCAAAACUCUCUUGUCUAUGAUUGAUAAUUCGAUGGAGAUUGUUAAAGAUUCUUCAUCUUGUUGAUUAUUGAGAAGCAAAGAUCCUUUAAGAAACAAAGUUCUUCAAAUUUCGUUCUUCAAUCCUUCAGAAAACCAGAUCUGAGAUUCAAAUCUAAAUUUUGAAAAUUAAAAACUAAACUAAACAUAUCAGCAAUAAGGGAGGGCAGUUCUGGUAUUACAAAAAAAUGAUGGAACGAUUAAUACGCGGCUUGUCCUGCAUCUGAAAAGCUAAACGUAUAAAUGGACUGCAUGAUAUCCAAACACAAACCCGUGUCCUUGGGCCGAGCAAACGUUAGCUUGGGCCUAAAACCCAAACAAACGUUUGUGGUUGGACUUGGAACGAGUUUCUAGUAAUUAGAUAUUUAUUAGUGUUUAAUAAAGCAAUCACAUGACUUUAUUAUAAAAUUUGUUCAAAAGGAUCACUUUACUUAUACCUUAAUUUCCAUCUUGUUUGUAUAUAGAUAAAAGAUGGUGCAAAUCGAAAAUAGGACUGAUAAUGAAUUUGGUUUUGAAUUGUAAACCAGUUAAGGAAAAUGAAGCUAAACAUGAAAUGGAAGAAAGAAAGAGAGAGAGUGAAAAAACUGAAAAUGUGGUGACCAAUUGUAGUGGCUUUGAUGAUAUACGAUGGAAACCACCACCUACAAGUUGGUUUAUGCUUAAUGCAGAUGGCUCCUUGAAGCUUAAUUCAUGUUUCAAGGAGUUGAAUGAACAAUUCUCUAAUUGUGUUUGGAUAUACACUAUGUGUGCGCCAAUGUCAUUUAUGUGAAUAUAGCGUUUGUUUGAUAUAAAAGGUAAGCUUUUGGUUUUAGUAUGUUUAGAUCAAACUUAAUUGGUAUUCGUAAUACUUAGUGAAUUGAUUAUGAUUAAUGUUUAUAUUUCUUGUUGCGUAAAAGACUGGAUUAUACAUUUAGAUGAAAAGUAGACUAGUUAAAGAAGGGGUUUUCCCGAACCUUGAAUUUUUUUAGUGUAUGUGGAUUGCAUUAAGUUAAGCAAACCAAACACACAAAGAAGAGUCAUAAGAAGUACAAAGCUUCUUGAAAUACUUCAACUAGACAUAUGUGGACUUUUGAUAUUCCAUCUUUUGGUGGAGAAAAGUAUUUCAUUACCUAUUGAUGAUUUUUGUCGUUAUUGUAUCUAUCUACCUACUGCAUAAUAAGUCUCAUAUGUAAAUGUUAUUGAAAUUUACAUAAUUGAAGUUAAAAGAUAAUUAUAUAGAAAGGUGAAAACUAUACGUUUUGAUAGAGGUGGUGAAUUUCUUGGAAGGGGUAUGAUGAGACGGGACAACAUCCCGGUUCUUUUGCCAAACUUCUAGAACGAUUAGGAAUUUGUGUCUAAUACACAAUGUAUGGUUCCCUAUAGCAGAAUGGUGUAACUGAAAGGCAUAAUCGAACACUUAUGGAUAUGGUUCAAAGUAUGAUGAGUAUUUCUAUCUUACCCAUAUAGUUGUGGAUGUAUGCUUUAUGAACCAUAGUGUAUAUAUUGAAUUGGGUUCCUCAUAAUGUAGUUACAAAAACACUUUUGAAUUGUGGAAAAGAUGAAAACCUAGUUUUAGACAUUUACACAUUUAGGGUUUAUCUAAAAAAUCUAAAAGGUAUAGAUUUUACUAUCCUAACCAUACCACUAGUAUUAUUGAAACUGAAAAUUAUUGAUUCAUUGUGAAUGACAAAAUUAGUGGGAGUGAUCAUAUCAAAGAGGUAAUCAUUAAAAUUUCGGUACCAAUUUUGUAAUGAUAUUAUUGUUACUUCUGUUGUUUCUCAUGUUUUUGCACGGCUUAACAACAAUUAAUGAAUAAACAAAUACUUGAUCAUCAAUCAUUUAAUGAGAUUAUUGUCAUUGAAUAGAAGGUAAAUGCAUACAAGAAGUAGUAUUAAGAAGAUCUCAAAGAUCACAAUGACCAGCUAUUUCGGAUGAUCAUGUGUUGUAUUUACAAGAAUUUGAUUUUAAUGAUCCAGUUAACUUAUAGUAAUUCUGAUAAAAAAAAGUUAUGGCAUGAAUGAAGAGAUAAAUUAAGUGUGGAUUUUAACUAAGUCCGAGGUUAGUAGAAUUGACUCAAAAAGGUUCUAUUGAAUGCCAUAAAACGAGACUUGUAUCCAAACACUUUACUCAAUAUGGUGGCAUUAUUUACUCGUGAAACCUUCAUUCAUGUGUUAAGGAAGGAUUAUCUUAGAAUUCUUAUGGCAUUGGUGGCUCAUUUAGAUUUAAAGUUACAUCAAAUAGAUAUAAAAAUGGUAUUUUGAAUGGAAGUUUAGAUGGAGUCUACAUGGUUUAAUUAGCCACACAACUUCAUAAAAGAAGGAUAAGAGCACAUAGUCUGUUUGUUAAAAAUGUCAAUAUACAAACUUAAAUAAACUUCUAAAAAAUGGUACCUAACGAUUAAAGUAUCAUGUGUAUCUUUGGGUUUAAUGUAAACACUAUUAAUCAAUGUAUAUACCCAAAGUUCAGUGGGAGUAAGUUUAUCAUUUUUUUAUGUAUGUCGAUGAUUUAUUGUUUGCUAGUAAGGAUUUUGGUAUUUAUUAACCAAAAUUUUUCUUUUUGAACAAUUUACAAUGAAAGUUAUAGUAAGACAUCUUAUGUGAUAGAAAUAGAAAUAUUUCGGGAUUGAUCACAAUAAUUGUUAAAAACAUCUUAGAAAAAAGCAAAAAAUAAAUAAAUAAAUUUCAUUAAUAAAGUUUUGGAUAGAUUUAAUAUGUUAAGGCAUAAUUGUAAUGAUGUUCCAAUUCAGAGGGGGGAUAUUUGGAUUAAAUCAAGAUCCUACAAAGAAUUGGAAUAGAACGAAUGAAAGAGAAACCCUAUGCUCACAUUUUAAGAGAUCUAAUCACUUUGAGGUGAUUGGUUUUAAAUAUUCGAAAUUUAAUGGGUGUGUGGAUAGUCGAUAAAACAUUAUUAUUUCACCCACCAUAUAAGCCGAAUUUGUAGCAUAUUGUAAAGCUACAUGCAAUGUUGUACAGUUGCAAAACUUUAUAUCAUGACUUAGAGUUUUUAAUUUCUAGGCCGUUUGAAUUUUAUUGUAAUAAUGUUGCAAAUAUAUGUCUUUGUAAGAAUGAUAAGUAUUCUAAUGUUUAGCACAUGAUAUAAAAUACCUAUCGAUUAUCGCUUAAGUUUAGAACAAGUGAGUGUCAAUGGAACACAUUAGUACACGUGUUAGUAAAUCCACUAACUUAGAGCUAGAAAUAAUGAUAUUCUAGCAUCAUGUUAACAAGUUGGGUUUUGAAUAUAACCCAUAACUUAAAUGAUUUCGUGGAUUACUUAGUGCUUAUUAUUUGACAUUAUUUUGAGCUCAUUAUUAUUGAUUAAGUUCUGAAUUUUCUGUUUUUCAUUGUUUAUGUACAUGUAUGUGAAUGGAUAAUUAAUUGUUGACAGAAAUAGUCUUUUACGAAGAUAUUACUGGACCAUUAUUGUUACUUCCGUUUAUAGACCUUGUUAAAUAAAUUGUUGAUAUCGUAGUACAUGGAAAGAACCAUGUCAUUUAUGCGAUGUGGAACCGCCAUGACUCAUAUUAAUGAUUUAAUUAAAUGGUAUUAUGAUAACCAUUUCAGAAACUAAUUAUGCUCUUAUUGCGCGCCUUAUGUAUUCUACAUUAAACCGUAUGUGAGAUUUUACUAUAGACCAAGUGGGAGACUGUUGGAAUUUCCACAUAUAAAGCCCAACCUAUAAUGUGGUCCAUGUACCUUUAACCUUGGUUUAAUAUAGAAAUAAGCUAAUUAGUAAUAGGUUAUGUGGAAGUCGUAUCUACCGUAGAUCUUAACUAUGAUGGAAGGUCUAGAUCUAAUGGGCUUAGGUUUGUAGAUUUAGGUCCUCUCUCCACCUCUAUAAAUUGGUGUAUGAUCUCCAUAUUCAAUUCAUACACUUAUUAUUACAACACAUAUUAGGGUUUAAGAGGCAAGUAGAGUGAAACCUAGAUCUUGUGCAGCUUCUCGGAUCAUCAAUUCCUAUGGACAAAGGUAUGUGUAUUGGUUAGUAAUUAAUUACGUGAUUCAUGAUCUUUAUUGUUUAUUGAUAAUAUUAAUUAUGCUUAUAAACCAACCAUAAAAUAAGACCCAAAUGCUAGCCAACAUCCAUAAAAUUACACUAAGAGUCUGUUUGGAAACCUGGAAUUGGUGUUGGAAUUGAAAAUCAUUUUCCAAAACAUGCAACAAAUUUUGGCCUUUGAUUUGAAAUGAAAAUCCCCAAAUAUCAAUGAAUCACACGUUUCUUCUGAAGGUAAAACUCUUGAUUGUAGGCUUGUUUGUAAUUUUUUUUUCUAUAUAAAGAAACUUUAACACUUCCAUUGUAUAUUAUUUUCGUAUUAUAUCACUUCUUUAAUUUCCUUUCUCAUUUCAAUCUAUUUAUCCAAACAGAUAACAUACGUAUUAGCGAUUUGUAGAAAUUGUGAAUAUAUGAAUAAACUUUGAAAUUCUGAUUUUUUCGAUGUAUUCUUAUCCGGGGUUUUUUUUGUGACUUUCCAGGUACACCUGACAAAGGCAAAACGAAGUUAGAAUAAUGCCCCUGGUUAUAUUCUUAGGAGAAGUAUGUACAUCUUUAUUUUUUUUUACAAACUUGUUGGCAUUGAGUAUUGUAUACCAAUUGGUACAUCGACCAUUUAUGUUUCUUCCAAUAGUCUGGAUCGCAUUUUUUUGCUCUGACUUUUCGCAGAAUUUCCUUUCUUCGUUUUCGUUUUUUUCUAGCCUCGGUUGCGUUAUCGACCACUUUUGUUGCUUCCAUUGAGUAUUGUAUAACAAUUGGUACAUCGACCAAUUCUGUUGCUUUCAUUAGUUGCAAUCGCAUUGUAUUUGCUCGAACUUUUAACAAAUUUUUCUUUCUUUCUUUUCGUUUUUUUCUAGCUUCAUUUGUUUUAUCUUCAUCCAUCCUGUAUUGUGAAUAUAGAUUGUAAGCGCGCAUAUUCAGACAUCUCAUUGUGGUACAGUUUGGGUUAUGGGGUUUAUUUAAACAUUUAAUGGUUGUAUGCAGGUGUUAUAUGAAGGGUUACAUAGGUUGUAAUUAGCAACAAUAGGCAUGAAAUAUGAAUUGUAAGAAUAAAACUCUCUGUGCUAUAGUGAUGCCUGUAUUUUGGAGCUCUUUGUGCUAUGGUGAUGCCUGCAUUUUGGAGCUCUCUGUGUUGCAGUUCUGUAUUUUUUUCCUAUGUCUGGUCUGAGUAUGUAUUUGGACAUACAGGAGGGUUGUCUCCUGAAAGUUAUUCUGAUCAGGCUUGUAAACUGAUGUUAAUAUAAUAUUAACUUAAAUUAAAUAAAUACAAAAACAAACAGAGAAAGUUAUACUUUUGAUUUGUAAGACAUCUAUAAACAGUUUUUGCAUGCGUGUAAAAUACGAUAUAUGAACAGUUAUAUGUAAUAUAUGUAAAGUUCUGACCUGUUUCUUCUGAGGAGGAAGGACUGAAUUUCAGAAUUUUUUGAUAUUCGGUGUUGUAGUAUUCUAUUAUUCCUGUAUUCCUUUGAGGAAGUAGGAUUUUAGAAGGUAGAAGGGAAAAUUACAACAUAGGCCAUUUUUUUUUUAUGGUCUGUGCAAUUAUAAUUAUACCCAAAAUUGCUCAAAACUCUCUUCAAUUAGGCUAUCAAUUUCAGUCUAAUUGAAGAGAUAUUUUCUUAGGAAUAUUUUAUACUUUAAUAGAGUAUAAUAGAUUAAUAUAAAAUUAAAAAUUUCAAUUCUCUAAAAUCAUAAGUUUUAGAAAGGAGCUUUUGUAUAAACCCCUAUAUAAGUCGGCUAUAUUUGCACCACUACAGCAUUAUUAGGUUUUUGCAACAUGAAAUUUGUAACAUUUGUAUUAAAAUGUUGCAAAGGUAUAAUUUGCAACAAUAUAUUUAAAAAAUAUUGCAAACGUUGUAAAUAAUAUUUGUUUGCAACAGAUUAAAUCUCUAAUGUUGCAAACCAAAAAUUAAAAAUAAUAAAAAUAUAUAUUUUGCAAUAUUUUUGUAACUAAUGUUGCAAACCAAAAAUUAGAAACGGUAAGAAAAUAUAUUUUGCAACAUUUUCAUUAAAACAUUGCAAAUCAAAAAACCAGUUUGCGGCUUAGUUAAGAUAGUAUUUCGGGUUUCGGACUCGGUUGGAACGAAGGAACGAAAAAUAAAAAGUUAAAAAAAAAAGGGAAAAAACAACAAGAAUUAAUCGCGCAAAUCUCUUCUUCUUCUUCAUCAAUCGCGCAAAUCUCUUCUUCUUCAUCAAUCGCGCAAAUCUUUCUCUCUCUCUCUCAACUGCUUCUAUCUACUCUGAAAUCUCUUCAUCAAUCGCGCAAAUCUCUUUUUCUUCUUAUCAAUCUCUUCACCAACAACCUACUUUUCAUCAACCUAUUCAGGUAGAAUUCGAUCUCAAUUAGCUCUUAUCUUGAGUUUAAAUGCUUCAAUUUGCUCUGUUUUUGAAUUAUUUUUCUCAAAUUUUCUUAGAACAAACAAAAUUACAUGAAAUAUUGAUAUAAUCUAGUUAAUUUUGUUUGAUUAUAUAUAGUUCAGUAUAAUUGUUGUGUUCUAGGUUUUGAUAUUAUGGGAAGUUAGAAUGAAAUUCUGAAAUCUCUUCAUCAAUUUAUUGAAAUUAUGGGAAGUUAGAAUGAAAUUCUGAAAUCUCUUUGUUAUGUUCUAGAUUUUGGUUAUUUGUUUGUGUGUAUUUUUUUUCUUUAAUGCUUCCAAUCUGUUUGAUGAAAUGCUUAAGCCAUUACUUCAAUUCCGAUUUUUUUUUUUAAGUAUUGAAUAUUUCAUCUCAAUUCCUUUAAUUCCGAUUUUUUUGUUAUAAUUCUGUCAUUAGAACACUAGUAAUGUUUAGUGUUGAUUUCUUUACUAAUUAAAUUUAACAAGUUGUUCAUGUUAAGCAACCUGCUUUGGUCAAUAUACCAAUGUCAUUAGAACACUAGUAAUGUUAUUGUCGAUUCUUCAAUCCCACUUUAGUGACAGAUUACAAUUUUACCCACUUUAUCAAAUGGAUUUUGAUCGGGACACACUUUAUGGUUUUCUGUUUGUUUCAUGUCAUUGUUAAAAACAUCUCAUUUUGUAGAAAAUCAAAUAUAUAUUGACUGGAAUCUGGAAUCAUAAAGCAACAUUAAAUUAAUUUAAAGGGCCAACCAACGCAACAAAGGUAUCAUGCUACAUUAAUAUAGUUAGUAUAAAUUCUUAUUCCUGUUUCAAGUCCAUAAACUAAUGUUUUGUAUUGUAUAUUUGCAGCAAAAGUUUAUCCUCAAGGAAGAAGCAAGAGAGUAUGUCAUGAAGGAUGCCGGAUGUUUAUGGAGAUUAGGAAAAUCCAGGCUACACUCAUUGAUUGAUGCAUGUAAAAAUGAAAGUGAGUUACGCGAAGCAAGAGAGUAUGUCAUCAACAAUGGAAGAGCUUGAUUAGACUACAUAGAUCAAAAACAUUUCAGGUUUGUCCCUUUGUUUGUGGUUGUGAAUUGUUAGAGCUUGGAUGUUCAUUAAUGUUUUGUGGGAACAGUUGAAAAUGAACAGUUGAAAAGCUCGGGUUAUUUGCAAGCAAUACAUCAAAAUGUUUGCCACAUUUUUUAAGUGUUGCAAAAAUUUGCAACAUUUAUAAAUUGUUGCAAAAUUUGUAACAUAUAUAAAUGUUACGAAAUUUGCAACAUUUUUAAAUGUUGCCAAAAUUUGCAAUAUUUUCAAAAAUUGUUGCAAACCUUUUGCAACAUAGCCUUUUGCAAAUGUUACGAAAUUUGCAACAUUUUUAAAUGUUGCCAAAAUUUGCAAUAUUUUCAAAAAUUGUUGCAAACCUUUUGCAACAUAGCCUUUUGCAACAUUGUCCUUGCUGACUAGAUGGGCCCAUAACUUAAAACAACUAGCCACAUGUCUUAAUUAAUCUGAAGACAUUUAAUCUAACGAUUGGCGCGGCUAGAAAUUGUCACUGAAGAAAAUAAAAAUAAAAAUAAAGAACUAGUGAUGAUUUCAAAAAAAAAAAAAAAAAAGAGAAGAAAAAAAUAUGUUUAAAAAAAAAAAACGUAGUGAUGUAGAUAGCAAUAUUGGAUGACUAGACAUCUAUACUCUCUAUUAAAGUUGGACUUGCCCUUAAGAAAAAUUUCUCUUUCCAAAUUAGAUCAAAUUUGAUGCUUCAAUUGAAGAGAAUUUAACAAAGAUUGAAAUUUAAAGGGUUAUUAUUGUAAAUUUAUAUCUAAUAUGGCUUAAAUAGCUAGAUGGCUACAUUUAAUAGCACUAUGGGCAUAUCUGUCUUUUUUCACAAAUAUAUUAACGGCUAGCCAAUGAAUUUAAUGGCAAUAUGACUAUAUUUAUCUUAUUAUCCAAAAAAUAAAAAUUAAAUAAAUAAAUAAAAUAUAAUUUCGUAUUUUACCUUCUUCUUUUCUCAAUAUUUACCGAUGUUCCUCAUACAUCAAAUUCAAUCUAUCUUUUAUUUCUUCUCUAAAUAAUGGUCGGAAAAAAACACACACACAUACACACAACCUUCAUUACAACAGACUAUGUGAAUAUAUGCACGCAAUAGUACAAAUUACAAUAUUGUGCGUCUUUCAUUUUCCUUUUAGUACAGGUUAGAAACAAAAUUAUAUAGGCUUUAUAAUCAUAUAACAUGAUUAUGUUGCGUAAUUAUAGCAUAUUUUCUUAGAUUAGUUUAAUCUUAUUUAUCAAUUAUGCUAAAAAAUUAUUUGAAAAGCUGGCCUUCGGCAAGGGCUGGAAACGGGUCGAAUUCAGGUCAGAUGUAAAUAAAUCCGAAGCUGGAUCCAAAUUCGAUUCGAGUUUAAAUAAUUAAUCUGAAUCCGAGAUUUACCCGAAAAUCCGACUAAAUCCGACAAUUUUCUAUAUAAAAUCUUUAAAAAACAGAUUAAAAUCUGAAUCCGAAUAUGAAUAGGUCUCUUAUUUUUAUCAAUCUGAAUCCGAAUUUUAAUUCGGGUGUAUUCUUUUAUAUGUGAAUCCGACAUAUUCGGAUUUGGUUAAUUCGAAUCAAUUCGCAUCCACUUCCAGCCCUACAUUAGGCCAAAGGUUACCCCAGGAUAUGAAUUCAAUAGUGUUUUCUAAAAUGAUGUAUAAUCUAGACAUAACUAAAGCUCAACCUAAUAACUUGACAAUGAAGUGAUUUUUUUUUCCAAAACAAAUUUUAUUGAUAUUUUUAUUUUUAUUUUUUGUUAAAGAAAAAUUAUUUUAUUGAUAAGCUCAAAGAAUUACACAAAAGUAUAGGACAAACGCACUACAAAUUGCGCUGCAAGUUCUUUCUUUGGGGAUUACGAAACAUUAGGGAUACACCUAAAUAUAAAUUUUAAGGUUUUUUUCCUGAUUUUUGUCGUGAAAGUAGGGACUGAGAGAAUCAGAAGAUAUAAUUUAUAUAUAGGUCCCACCAUUUUUUUUACUAAAACUAAAAGCCGAAAUCCAACAAUAUUUUUUGAUUGGCCAGGUGGGCUUUCAUUGUAACCUAUUACAUACCUCUUUAUACCAAGUAUAGAUUUGUGUAGAUGAAAUACUUAUAACAAAUCUAUACAUAGAUUUGUCGAUAAGCAUGUGGCUCAAAGGUAGCAUCUCUCUCACAAAGUGGAGAUGUUGUGGGUUUGAAACACGUCAGUAGUUGAUUGUUUGAUUAAAAGUUUCCCCACGUAAAUUUAAAAGGGGUAGGGUUCCUCUCAACCUCGCUUAGCUAUAAUAAUAAUAAGAAAAAAAAUAUAUGUUACCUACUAUAAUAAGCUUCAAUAAGCACAUAUAUUUUGCAAUCCAAAAUUUUAUCUUAUGCUUCAACUUGAUCUUUCAAUAGUUUUGUUGGGUGCAUUAGUUGUGAAAGUUUACUUUACUACUGUAAGUUACUAUAUACUAUGUUCUUGCUAAACCCAUUUUUAUAUUCAAAACAUAAGCCUAGACUCCAAACAAAAAAUAAAUAAAAUCAUAUGAUCAGUCUAAUUCAUGGUUUGAACAUUCAUAAGGUUAUUCAUACCAUGGUUUAUUGUCACAAUGAAGUAAAAACAUAAUGAAAAAUUCAAUAAUUGCUAAACAUUAUAUUUAGCUCAAAAUCUCAGUCAAACAUUCAAAUAACAAGUAUUUGACGAGAAACCAUUUCAAAAAUUUUAAUCAACCAUACUUACGAAAAUAAAAAUAAAAAUUAGUGGUGUAAUAAAACUGUAAAAAUGAGAAUGAAACUAAUGACGUACAUUAACAAAAACCUUUCCAAGAGACUACCACCUAAUUUACACUAUUUAAUAACAUUCGUGUAUAGCACGGGCCUUAUAACUAGUUCAACAUAGAAUAUAUAGACUCAAAUGGUUAAAAAAUCUGACAUUUUCAUUCAUGAAUUGAACACAAAAUAUUGUUUCUAUCAAACAACAGUUAAUAAACAAUUGUACUAAUGUACCAAGCUCUCAUGUAAUUUGGUUAGAACAAAAUAACGCUCCAAUACACCAAAAGAUAUUGAUUGUCAGAAAACAAAAUGUAACAAAAAAACUGGAAAAAAAAACUCUCAAGGGCGCCAAGAAACUGAUGACGACGCUUGACUAGGAAUGCUCGUGGAAGCUUGGUUGUUGCCUGUGUCAAACCCGAACAAAGCUGCCAUUCUUGUAUGUCCCAUUUGAGGGUUAUAAGUAGGUGUUGGAACCCUGAAGUACUGCCUUCCAUCUGUUGGUGCUCUCAUAUAUGCAUGAGGUGGUGCUUGUUGAUACAUUGGAUUCAAAGGUGGAGGUGCUACAUGUUGAUAGGGUGGAGCUUGUUGAUACAAUUGCUCGGUUGUAUUCUUACCUCGGCCACGACCACUUUUCCCUUUGGCACCCCUUCCUCCAGCUUGUUCAUACAUUGGAUUCGAAGUUACAUGUUGAUAAGAGGUUGGUACUGGCCCUGAAUGUUCUGCAAAUGUUGUAUUCUUACCUCUACCAUUUUCCCUCCCUUUGCCACCUUUUCCAUUUCCACCCCUUCCUCUAGUUGCUGGUGUUUCUGCGUGUAUUUCACCUUGUGGCUGAUAAAAAUUGAGUGGUUAGCCAUGAUUAACCUUCCUUGGCCUUAUCCUAGGCCUCCCUCCCUUCGCAGUUGCUCCUUUCUUUGGUGGAGCUUGAUUUGCCACAUUGAUGUAAGCCUCAUAUUCUGGACCCCCACCUGUGCAUGUUGUCUUGUUAUGACCCCAACCUUUGCAAGCACUGCACCUAUGUGUAACCUUGCCCCCAUGUGGUCCUGGCUCCUCAUCAAACCCUCUUUUUCUAUUGACAGGUGGCCUUCCUUGUUGUCUAGGGCAUAUUGGUGGUGUCACCAAUGUAGUAGGCUGAAAUAUAACACAAUCAUAUGAAUUAAACACAUAGUAUUGUAGUAGUAAUAAUAAUAUAAUUACAUAGUAUUAAAUUUGUAAUAAUUGCAUAGUAUUAAAUUUGUAAUAAUUGCAUAGUAUUAAAUUUGUUAAAUGUGUUGAAUACUCACUUCAUCCCAGUCAGUUUCAUGUAGAAUAGGAUUCACACUCCUUGCGUAUGCCAACCUAUAAGCUUUGACAGUGAAAAAAGGACUACAGUAUCUAUAUAAACCACAAUGCAUACCAAUUAGCUUGAAAAAUUCUAGCGAAAAAAAUUAACUUGAAACAAAAAUGAAAUAUCAAAUAAGAACUCAAAUACAGUUCAAAAAAAAUUUAAAAACUUACAAAUUCCAAUCCACCCUCAAUGGAUUAAUGACUCUCACAGCAUGGACACAUGGAAUUCCCGAAAUUUGCCAUUCGUUGCAUGUACACUCAAGUUUGUGAAGAUCAACAAUCCACCACAUCCCUGAUUGAUUCUUCUUCACUUGAUAUGUGUAGUCAUUUGACGCACCAACAGUAAAUUCCUGCAUUUUUGCCUUCCUCUUCUCAAUUAUGUCAAGAACCCUAGGAACUAAAUCAUUUUCAUCCCAUCUCAUACUUUCUUUCUCCCUUUCAUAGAAUUGUUUCAUGAGCAAUGUCAUUAUUGUUGAAACCAAGGAAACUAUUGGUUUGUCCCUCGAUUCAGAUAUAAAAUUGUUGAAAGACUCACUAAAAUUAUUAGUGGUAUGAUCAGACUUGCACUUCAAAUCAAACUGUGACCUUGCCCACACAUUAGGAUCAGCGUUCAUUAAAUACCCACUAGCUUCACUGUCAAGCUUCUCCAACUCUUUCAUUUUAUAUUUCCAAUAACUUUCUGUCCAUGCCUUAGAAGCUGCCCAUGCCACUUUCUCAAUACCCCUAUAAUAUCUUCUCAUGUUGCUCACAAUAUGCCUAAAACAAAAUCUUUGUCUACAAUCUGGAAACACUCUUUGUACAGCUGAAUCUAGCCCUUUCUGUCUAUCAGACAUAAUAGUUAAAUGUUUCGCAGGAUGUCUAGACAAGUGUGGUUCAAGUAUAUCCAAGAAUCUAUUCCAGUUCUCCAAAUUCUCUCUAACACAUAUGAAAAUAGCAAUAGGAAAUAGACCAUUAUUCCCAUCCAAUGCCGUCACAGACAAGCACACGCCCUUGUAUUUACCUUUUAAAUGACAACCAUCCAGACCAACAAUGGGUCUACAACCAGCAAGAAAACCUUCCAACGAUGCCUUGAAGCUUAAACACAAAAACUCAAAACUACCAAAUUGAUCAUCUCUUGAACAACCACAUAUACCACCAGGAUUUUUUGCGAGGAUUUGCUUACACAACUCUGGAACUUUUCUGAAACUCUCUUCAUAGUUUCCAUAAACCAACUCCAUGGCAAGUGUCAACGAGUUCCAUGCCUGGCCAGUACUUAAUGUCGAGGUGAUGGUUGUAUCACAUAUCUGCUAUUACAUCCCUAGGAGUGUAAGAUCUGUGAUGAAGCUUCAUAGAUUGUUCAAUCUGUUUCGCUAUCCAAGGAGACUUAGCUGUAGGAUUCCUUUCAGCGGUAUAACUUACAUGUGUAUGGUGAUCAUGCAAAUUGCCUAACCUCAUGGUAUGAUUAUCAGUCAUUCGUCCAAUUGAACACCUCCACUCACAUGCUUUAUCAUCCUUAGACUUACCCAUGCAAAGUGCUACUACUCUGUCACUAUCAUUCUUUUUCAUUUUUAAGUGAAACUUAUAGUGAAUGGCAUGACUUUGAAGAUAUAAUCUACACUGAUAAAUAUCAUCCCAUCUUUGAUUUUCAAAUAAUACAAACUUUUCUGUCUCACCUUCUUGUACCCAGUUCUCAUCAUCAUCUAUUCUAGAAGUCUUCCUGAUAAAAUAAAUAUCCUUGUCAAGAGGUCCAUUAUCUUUCUUUGGUUGGCUAUUUAUCUUUUCUUUCCUUUGUCUACCCGGCUUUCUGCGAGUUGCUUGUGUUUGUGCAUGUAUUUGGGUCUCUGCCUCAGCUCUUUGUCUUGCCCUUUCUAUCUCUUCUUCUCUUAAUGGCCCCUCAUCAACCUCAUCUUCUGAAUCUGUACUUUCACCAAAGCUAUGAUACUCUUCUUCAUCAUCAAUUCUGUCAAAGUUGUAGACCUUUUCCUUCCUAACUUGUCUACCAACAUUAACUCUCUCAUGUUCAACAUCAUCAACUCUCACACUUUCAUUAAAAUCAUCACUGAAACCUCUUACAUUUGCAUCAACAUCAAUGAACUCAGCAGCGUCAAAAUCAAAAUUAACAGCUGAAAAAUACCAAUUAAAUUACUAAGCUCAGAGAACUAUCAAUCAAGAUAAUUAUAACACAAUAAUAAUUCUGAACUCACCUUCAGUAAAGAGCUCACUAAAACUAGGACCAUUAACAACUUCAGAUGUUUCAGCAAUUCCACCAAUAACUUGAGACAAAAAAGAAAAACAUUUACAAACACAUAUACUUUAAUCAACAAUUUUUAAUUAAAUUUUAUAAGCUAGUUUAGUUUAAGGAAUUUGACUCACCAUGUGAGGUACUUGGAACAAGACAAGAUGUUUCCAUGUGGUCUCCCUCGUGUGCAAAUAAACCAGGUUUGGUGGGGGUAAGUGCAAAUAUAGGGCUUUAUACAGAAUCUUCCUAUAAAUUAUAAAUUAAUUCCAAUUCUAAAAAAACCGGGCCUGUUUACUUGUAGGAAAUUUUCUCAGUUAAACAGGCAAAUUUUCACAAAACAAAUAGAGUUUAGUUUUCUCUCAAAUCAAACAAAGAGAGAAGGAAGAAGAAGAGAACUUUGUUAGAGAGUUUGAGUUGAAAACAAACACAAUGAUGUGAAAUUGAUGAUGUAGAGAGUUGAAGAAGGUUGAUAGUUGAAGGCUUGAAGCGUCGAUCGUCGUUGUUUGAACCACAAAACUUGAAGCUUUGGUUGGAUUCUACUUAAUUGGAGUUCAAUAAUGGUAAAUCAAACAUACCCAUUAUUUUAAAUCUUGUUUAAUUUAUCGAUUUUUUGAAAAAAAAAAAAAAUGGUUAGGGUUUGUAAUUUGGGGCUUUUAAUAUUUAAUCAUAAAUCAACAAUAUUUUUACCUAAUUUAACAUACUCUUUACAAUUAAAUCACGCCGUGUUUGAUUGUGUUUGAAUUUCGAUAUUAAUCUUGUUGUAUAAAUCAUAUUGUGUUUGAAUCCAUGGUUUGGUUGGUUGCAGUAUGGACCACAAUUUGAGUUUUUGGGUUCUUUCUAUUUUGUAGUAGUUAUAUAUGCUGAAUAAAUCAUUUAAAGGAAACUUUGUUUUGAGAGAAAACUAAACUCUGUUUGUUUUGUGAAAAAUUUGGUUUUUUUUCUAAAAGACUUGGUUUUCAUCUAUUCAGAUGUAACCAUUAUAGAUCAUUAGAUUAAUUUUAAGAUGUGAGGCUAGGAUUAAGCCACGUAUUAAGUAGGUGGGAUAUUUGGUGGAAAAAAUGGUUUAGGAGGGAAAAGGGUAUUUUGGUCUUUUGGGGUUAUUUGGACACGUGUCAUCCUUAUCAGAAAAUAGGGGUAGUUUUGGUAUUAUAAAAAUAUUUUAUAUAAAAAAAAUCAAAAAUUGAUUUUCGUAACUCUGUUUCUUUUUUCCGUCCAUUUGGGGGGAAACUGCUAUAUUUUUUAAAUUGGGGGGGUAACGCAAAUUUCGACUUUCAUUUGGGGGGUAAGUGCCAAAAUCUCAAAAACGUUUAGUUUUUCACAAAACAAACAUUCCAAAAAUGGGUGAUGGGACUCUGUUGUUGCAGUGGAAUUAGUUAGUCACCCAGUUCUUAAAAACACUCCAGAUGAAGUAUUAGUUAGUGACAUGAUUCUUAAAAUUGUUAAAUUAGAUCUGAUUCCAUGUUAAGGGUUCAGAGUAUCAAAAGUUCAACCUAAAGGCUAGACGUAAUCCGCUUGCUUUAUAUUAUGAAAAACACUCUGACUAGUAACCACAUCAUUUCAAAAAUGGGGAUGGCACUCUGUUGCAGUGGAAUUCCCUAGCUGAUAGCGAGAAAUUGUGUUGGUUAAGUGAGUCUACAAUGACGUGGCAUGUAAGUCCUAAGUAAAAGUAGUUAAUUACUGCUCCUUAGCUGCUCAUAACAAUUUCAAAGCAUACACACUUUACAAAUCAAAAUCGAACAAACAAACAGCUUCAUAAAUCAAAUAAAGCGAUAACAAAAACAAUUAUUCCUCUUAAUCAUACUACAUUUCUACCUAAAAUUGAACAAAAUUCACAUAAAUUAAAACUUAAAUCGAAGAGAGUUAAUACCUGAACAAAGAGUUCAAGAUCUUUUCCAAUAGGAAAAAGAUUCAAAUCAUAAUCAAAACAGUAAACAUGAACUCUACUACCAGAACUUCCAGCAUCAAAGAUAACAGCAUAAGAUUUUUUCCCAGGAAGAAAAGUUCUUCAAUUAAGAAUAUAUUCAUGAGAUUGAGAAGAAGAACCAGGCAUAAGAAACAGAACAAAUGAAAUAAGAAUAAGAGGAAUUGAAACAACAAGAAUAGCACCACGAAACCGAUAAAUCUUAUCCGAUACAGAUUCUUGUCUACUCCGUCUAUUAAAGUCAUCAAUUUCACAAAUAUGAUCCAAGACUACUUAUAUGAUCAAAAUUUUCACUAAAUUUCAAACCAACUCAAUAAAGAAAUCACAACUACAAGAAUACCCACUUCUUCAAAAUCCAUUUAAACGAUCAAAAUCAUCAACUUGAACUCACAUCUUAAUCAAAACCAGCUGAAUUACACAAAUAAAAAGUAGAAAAAUGAACAAUUUUUUACAGUAAAUUGGAAAAAUCAAGACAUACCCAGAAUCGAAUAGAACUCCAAAUCCUUGAUUAUGUAAUCUGAUUUGGUAAUUAUGAAAAAUCAGAAACAGCUGAGCAGAGAGAGAGAGAGAAGAGAGGAGGAAGAAGAAUAGAUUGAUGUGCAAUUUCUCCUUCCUUUCGACGACGAUUUGUUUUCUAAUUGGAAAACUCUAAAUUGAUGUUUUCCGUUUUUAAGUUAAGGAUGGAAAACAGAAAAUUAUAGAAAACCAGAAAACUGUUUUCUAAAACUGGAAAAUAAGCUGAAGUAAACAUGUUUUCUAUUUUUUAUUUUCUUUAGAGAUAGUUUUUCGGAAAACUGAGAAAAUUUCCUACAAGUAAACAGGCCCAGGCCUGUUUACUUGCGAAAAACUGUUUUCAGUUUUCCAUUUCCAUUUUUCUUUUCUAUCUCUAGUUUUCUUUUUCUAAUGAAAAUUUUGGAAAAUUGGAAAACGUGUUCACUUGAUUUUAAAAAUUAGAAAACUGUUUUCUGUUUUCUAUUUUUUUUUUUAACAACUUUUUUUUUUCUCGAAAUAAUAACAACUUUUAUUGAUAAGCUCAAAGAAUUACACAAGCUUGAACGUAAAAGACAUAUAAUCCAGGUAUGUUUGGAUAGCCAGCAUCUACAACAUAGUAAGAACCUACAAUUAAAGAAAAUAUUAUUAAUGGGAGAUUAAACUCGGAGAUCAAGCCAUUACAACUGAACUAGUAUUUAACUGAUUUUAACUGAUACAUACUAGCUCUAUGUUUUUAACUGAUUUUUUUUCACUACAGUAUCUAGUAAGCUCCACAUACGCUUGAAAGGUAAAAGACAGACGCAGCUGAAGCAAAUUAUAAUCCUCCAUAGGGCUUAUAUUUAGAAUUUAAGAGGUACGGACUCUCUAUUUUUCUGUGUACAGUGUACACACGCACACACUCAUUUGAAGAUCAUAUAAAGGACAAACACACUCUAGUAUGAAAAAGCAGGUCUUUAUGCUUAUGUCCCAGAUGAUUACUCUGGUCAUCCAUGCAGAUGUAACCAUUAUAGAUCGUUAGAUUAAUUUUAAGAUGUGGGGCUAGGAUUAAGCCACGUAUUAAGUAGGUGGGAUAUUUGGUGGGAAAAAUGGUUUAGGAGGGAAAAGGGUAUUUUGGUCUUUUUAGGUUAUUCGGACACGUGUCAUCCUUAUCAGAAAAUAGGGGUAGUUUUGGUAUUAUAAAAAUAUUUUAUAUAAAAAAAAUCAAAAAUUGAUUUUCGUAACUGUUUCUUUUUUCCGUCCAUUUGGGGGGGAAACUGCUAUAUUUUUUAAAUUGGGGGGGUAACGCAAAUUUCGACUUUCAUUUGGGGGGUAAGUGCCAAAAUCUCAAAAACUUAAGUUUGGACCCAACCUUUGAUUUAAUCUCUGCCUCAGAUCUUACAGAUCUCAAGACGAUCCAGACCAUUGAAGUAUUGAACACAACUUAAGUUUGAACCCAACUAUCGAUUUAUUCUCACCCACAGAUCUACCCACAGAUCUUAAGACGAUCCAGACCAUUUAACACAACUUAAAUUUGGACCCAACCUUCAAUUUAAUCUCACCCACAGAUCUCCCCUCAUCAACAAAUCUCUAGACGAUCCAGACCAUUCUUUGUCUUAUCCAGACAAACUGUGUUUGGGGUAUAGAUUUGAAAUGGGCCUGCUUUCUAGUAGGCACAAUUAACUUUCUAAUAAGAGAUUUUUGGACAUACCCCUAUUUGAAAGUCGAAAUUUGAGAUACCCCGUUUCAAAAUUUCAAGACAGAAGAGCUUUACAGCAGUAGGUGGUGAGUUUUAUGAUGGACGGCUAAGAUAACACCACAUCUUGAAAUGGGGUAUCUCCAGUUUUUUUUUCUUUUCAAAUGGGGUAUCUCAAAUUUCCAGGGGGAGGGUAUGUCCAAAAAUCUCUUUUAAUAAUAACUAGGGUCCAAGACCAAGAUCGAUACUAGUAUACUCUUCUCUCUCUGCUGCUGCUGCUUCUUCUUCUUCUUCUUCUCUACUCUGUUGCUCACUGCUUCUUUGAUCUUGUAUGUCACCUUGAUGAACUAAUCUAAUCCAAUCUGACAUCAGGUCCUUUGUUUGUAUGUUGUAUGUUCGCUCAGAUUGGAUUUACAGCAGAGAUCAAAUGACUUGACAGCCCACGUAAGUUCAUUCUAUUUCAACUUUAAAUUGAACUUGCUUUUAUAUGUUUAUUCUUUCAAUUUUAUGACCUAAUUCCAACUACUUUUGUUGAUUUUUUUUUUCUGGAUAAUUUAAUAGAUCAAUCAUAAAUAAGGCCAUGGUUUUAUCUUUGCAUUGAAUGAAUUGAAACACUAUUUUGGUACCAAUCAAUCGGCAUUUUAUACUAUUAAGGUUCCAACACUGCUGUUUUUCUUAUUGUAGUAUUUUCGUUCGAGUUUCUUAGUAUUAAUCUUGCUGCUGGCCAUGACUGGAUUUUCUGCAAAACCAUUUAGGAGAUCAGUUUCUCAAUACCCAUUUCUUGCUUUGGUUAGAUUUUGUCAUUCGGGUUCCAACUUGCUCUCAAAUUCCUUGCCCAAAACUGCUGGAAAUGUAGCUCUAUUCUGGGAUUUAGAUAACAAACCACCUAAAUCAAUUCCACCGUUUAAUGCUGCUAUUAGAUUGAAGAAGGCAGCAUUUUCUUUUGGCUUUGUUCGAUAUAUGCUUGCAUAUGCAAAUCACCAUGCUUUUCGACAUGUUCAACCUGUAGUUAGAGACCAAAGGAAAGAGAAGAAGAAAGUGAUUCAGUUUGAGAAUAAAGGGGUAAUUAAAUCAGCUAAUCCCAAUGUUUGUCGAGUUUGUGGGAGGAAAUUUUGGACAAAUGAGAAGCUUAUGAAUCAUUUUAAGUUACACGAGCAUGAACAGAUGAAACGUUUGAAUCAGCUGGAGUCAUCGAGAGGGAAGCGAAGGGUCCAACUGGUGGCGAAGUUCUCAAUGAAGAUGGAGAAGUAUAAAAAUGCUGCCAGAAAUGUAUUGCUUCCGAAGGUAGGUUAUGGGCUAGCGGAUGAGCUUAAAAGAGCAGGAUUUUGGGUCAAUCUUGUGUCAGACAAGCCUCAAGCGGCAGACACUGCUUUGAGAAAUCGGAUGAUUGAAUUGAUGGAUAAGAAACAGGCUGAGUGUUUGGUACUCGUAACCAACAAUUCUGAUUUCACCAAUGUUCUCAAGGAAGCUAGAUUUAGGUGUCUCAAAACAGUUGUUGUGGGGGAUAACAAUGAUGGAGCUCUCAAGAGAUGCGCUGAUGCUUCAUUUUCAUGGAAGGAAAUUAUGUUGGGGAAAGCUAAAAAGGAGGCAGUCUCUGUGUUGGGACGUUGGAAGGAUCGUGAUGUUUUGAAAAGACUUGAGUGGACAUACAGACCAGAGUUGGAGAAAGCCAAGCAGAAUUUGGACGAUUCUGAAUUUGAAAUUGAGGAUGGUGACAUCGAUGAUAUCAUGUUUGAUGAAAGUCAUGAUCUUUUGAAAGAUGCAAGGCCUUGGUGGGAGCUACAUUCUGAUGACAAUGACACACCCACUAAAUCAUGAUUGCCUUUUCUUUUGAGCUAAGUUACUCAGUAUUUAAAUUUGUACUCUGAAUUCGUUCUAUACUCUUUAUGUGAACAAGGUUAAGUAUGGGACGUAUUGUGACUUGUUUUGCACUUUUGCUUUCUCCCUUAUUGCACCCACUCUUCCUGAUUUCAUCUUCAUACGAAUGUACUUAUAGCCUAUUUUCUUGAGAAGUUUGUAUGUCUAAUGUUUUGUUAUUACAUUAUUGGGUUAGAAGUUUAGUUAGUCUAUGUUUCUGAUUGUGUUUUGUGUAUUAUCUUAUUUAUUAAACAAAAGGAAGCAGUACCUAUAGAUGAUUAGUUCUAUGCAAAGUAAGAAACACAUUGUCAUGUUUAUGACACCUGAUAUACAAACACAAUUUUCACUAUAUUUCUUAUUCGCAGUGUUUUUUAUGACGAUUUCUUUAAAAAAUAGGGUGGCCUUGUUAAUAGUGGGGUUUAUUUCAAUUCCUUAGGACCCUUCCUGAAACGUAAUAUUUGCGAGCACGUUGUAAGAUUGUGGCCCUUCAUGUGUCCUUCAAGUUUGGGAUCCUUGUCUUCCAAAGUUCCAAGCAAUACUGUCGGUUUGAAUUUAUUAAUGAAAUGUGACUGGGAAAUCCUCAGCACAAGAAGUGGAAGGACUACAUCCAGUGUGCAAAUUUGUUCUUGGUGUAAAGCAAUGGAGUGCAGAUCAAGAAUUGGUUAGUUACAUGGCUUUGAGGGGGGUUCUGUUGUCAUGCUUGUGGUGAAAUCGUUUCCUCAUAGAAUUGCUACAUUUACUGUUAUAGGAGUUUGUACCAAGGUUCUACUUUUAAGAGCACAGAAAGCUAUGUUUUUUUAACUGGGGAAAUUGUUUUGGGGGAUAAAAUAAUAAAAUAUGCUUUAUUAUGUUUCUAGUGGAUGCAUGCUUUUGAUUGUGAGUAAUGCUCUACUUGGUUAUUUUUUCAAUCAUACAUUUAUAGAAAGUGUGGGAAUAAAUGUUUUAUGCAGCCAAGGUGAAGCAUAAGACAAAAUCAGAUAAUUCAUAGCUUGAUCAAGUCUUGCUUCAACUGUCAAGCUUUUAAACUUCUGUCUUGGCGAUGAUACGUAAGGCAGAGAUUUUCAAAAAGAAUCAUGAAAAGCUGCAAUGGUUGGCGCCGACUUGUCAUUUGUCUCCCCAUCAUUUUCUUCCUUCCGUACUUGUUCUCAGGUAAAGAAAAAAAAAAUGCUGAAAUGUUGUUAAUAUGUUAUCUUUUGAUGUUCUUAACUAGAUCCCAUUUAAAUCCCUCUCUUGCAUUCUUCAGUUUUGGAUUUACACCAAAUAUCAAAUAUUGAGAAGUUGCCCAAAAAACAUAGCAACAAAUUCGAUCAUCUAGUUCUUGGGCCUGCUGCUGGUCAAGGUCUGCAUGACCGAUUGCAAUGUCAAGGUAUUUUCUCUGUCUUUCUCCUUUCCUCUUCACAACAAUUUUGGGAUUAACAAUAAUGCACUAGGUCACAAUAAAUAAAUGACUAAAACUGGCAAGAAAUAUAAAGAAGUAAGCUAGAAAGACGGAAAAGGCGAAAAUAACUUGCUGCUUCACAGCUCAUGAGCUUCUCUAAAAAGAAGACCUAAAAAUAAAUCUUUGUAACCUUACGAACACAUGGGAUUUUUUUUUUAAUUUUUUUCUGAUUGUUAACGUUUUCUUCUUGUCUUAUUGUUUUAGGUAAAAACUCAUGUAACAUGUUAAGAUUUGUGACCUAUUAUUAAGGAAUCCAACAAAUUACCACAAGUUAAAAUACAUGCAUCACGCCAUCCCCAAAUUAAUACCAAACAGGGUGUCCCUGAAAUACAAAAUGUUCAAAAUAGUUUCUCCUCAACUCUUCCCAGUUCCCACAACUUAGUCCAAAUACAAAGUUGACUUUCGAUUGAUAGGAUAAACUUUUCAGUGGUCUUAUGCUUUUGGGUUAAUUGGAUAUAGUGAAUGGAAAUAUAGGUAAAGAAGACAUUGCAGGAGAAAGGGUAGGGAUAGACAUAUCUGGCCAUUUGUGGGGACAGGAAUAUCCCACGUAUAUGCUGAAUUCUCCUUGUAAUUGCAUUGAACUCUGUCUGGUUUGGUCUUUCCGACAAUAGUCCAAGCUGAUUUCAAAUUUUGGUUGGGAAAUUAUUGGGGAUAGCCAGAAUGACACUGGUUGCAACUUACAACUCUUUUUUUUUUGGUUGCAACUUACAACUCUUUUUUUUUUUGGUUGGAACUUACAACUCUUUUAGCCUAGCUUUAUUAUCUCGUCUUAUUGUUUUAGAAAACAACUCAUGUAACAUGUUCAGGUUUGUGCUUAUUGCUGGGGAUAUUUUAUCAUCUCAUGUAGUUCAUAUUUAUAUUCUCUCUCCUUACUGCGAUAUCUAUGAAUAAUGAGCCCCCUUAUGUCCAUUUACUGUAUAUCAAACAUGAAGGGAUAAGAAAAGCAAGAAAUACGUUUUGUUCUACAGUGUUCUUUAUUUGUUGUUCUAUUUUCACGGUUAUGUAAAUUCCCUGUUUGCUAACUCCACCCUAUUUUUCAUUUGUUGAUUUUUGCUAGCUCCUCCAUGAUUCCCACUUAUUAAUAAUUAAUGCCAUAAGAUUAAAUAUUUAACAUCUGUUGUGUUAUUUGCAUUGAUGCAGGUCUGAAAGCCCUAAAUAAGACCCAUCUUCCAAAUAUGUCUCACACCCCUGAUUAUAAGGACACCGUUUCUAUGGUAACUGUCUUUACCGUCUACAAUACUUCUGUCUCUGCACGUGCGAAUGAUCGAUCAAAUGAGAUGGUGACUGUUGGAAACACCUCAUAUAGCAAGACAGAAAGGUCAAUGGCUGUAUUGAAUGCCUUUAUUAACUUCAUCCAGGUAAUUUAACUAAAAGGUUCCAUAUAUUUUAUUAAGAAAGUGUAAAGUUAAAACUGUAACUGCAACUUAAUGAGAUGAUAUUAUGCUUAGUUAUUGUUUUGGAAAAGUAAAAAUAAAAAAAUUAAAUUGAACAUUACGCUUAGUUAUUGUUAUGCUCUCCUACAUACUUCGUUGAACUAUAGAGAAACUAACAUCCCCCUCAAUCAAAUCCAUGUCGAUGCUAAUGAUCAUCUUUUAAAAGAAAAGCAAUUUCAUUUAGUAGCAUCCUUAUAACAUCAACAAGGGUUGUGGUAUGUAUUCCUGUUCUGGCAAGAUACUAAAAUUUGUAUCCAAGCCAAGGAUUACAUUACCUCUAAUUUGUAUUUUCAACUAUUGGAAGAAAAGUAAAAGGUGUCCUUUGUGAUGCAAAAGAAUCUGCUCAGUGUAGUUCUAUGUCAAUCUUAUUUGCUGUGUAAUGCUCUAUUCUUACUCCAUUGUCUUUCAUCAGAAAGAACAUAGUGAAAUAUGAAAGGUAUCGAUUAAUAAUUCCCCGAAAGGUAUCAGGUUCUUGUAUUUUAAGCACUACCCUAUGUUACAAUUAUGAAGGUUUGUGUUAACUUGCCAACAAAAGAAUUUGUCAUGAGACACAACAUGUUGUGCAAUUGAUUUUUUGUAACGUUUAGGUUUAUGAUAUGACAUAAAUUGCUGCGCAGAUGCCUGGAUAUAUCGUAAUUCUGAAAAAUCAGCAAAUAACUUUGGCGUAUUUUGCAUUGAUCAUCACUGCAAAUUUUGGUCAUAUACUAGAAGGGAAUAGAAUGGUUUGUGUCUAAGAGUAUGCAUGUACUGCAGCUUAGACUCUUGUUCUUUAUUCAACAUCUAUCAUGAAGUAAUCCUUUUAGGCUAAUUGUGAAAGUAGCUAUAAUUUGUAUAGAUUAAGUACGUCACCACUUUUUGGGGGUAUAUUUGCACAACGUCCUCACUUUAUUUUUUAUUUGUGUUUAGUCACCAUUCCGUCUCAGCCUCGUUAGUUGACCAAGUCAACCUUUAGUUGACUGAUUCAAAUAUACGUUGACUGAGAUCGAGCUUCAAUAAAUUAAGAAAUCGAAGAACAACAACAAUGAAGAGAAAAGAGAGAAAAAAAUACCUAAGUUUUUGUUGUGUGAUAACAGUUUGACCAGGUGAAAGUUGAGUUGACCGUUAGAAUUAACGAAGCUGACACGGAAUGGUGACGAAAUGCAAGUAAAAAAUGAAGUGGUGACGCUGAGCAAAUUUACCCCAAAAAAGUGGUGACGAAACACAAAUUUUCUCUUAAGUAUAAUUUUUUCAGUAAAUAAAAAUAGAUCAAAAUACUAAACUUUCCCUGCCACAUCUAACUUGGAAUUUCUAUGUUGACUUUGUAAUUUAUGCAGGUAUCAAUGCCCCUGAGCAAUAUUAUAAUUCUCACAGAUCCAGCUUCUGAAUUUAAAAUAAACAAAAAUAGGGUGACUGUCGUCCCAAUUAAAGGUGAAUAUUCACGAGACAAGUUGAUGCUUCAAAGAAUCAAGUCUUACAUUGUAAGAGUUUUCAUCGCAUCAAUCAUUAAGUAAUAGUAAUAUUGCAACUGAGAUUAUUAGCUAUCCUGCUACAUGCUUCAAGUCUACUGAUUUUCUCGUUAAGUCUACUGAUUUUCUCGUUAGUUUGAUUACUUUCUGCUUUCUGAUGUACAAUGUCUGCUUUUCACUCUUUUGCUCAUAGCUCUCUCUAUGCGUAUUAUUCCAAGUUUAUUUUUGUAAAUACUUGGAAAAAUUUUAUUUGGAGAGGAUGCAUGAAUAAUGAAAUUAUGUUAUGACUUAUUUUGUCGAUCUUCGGGAAGUUUACCUGUUUUUUAAAAGUGUCUAUUUUCUUGAGGUAAUCAAUCAUGCUUUACAGAUUCAAUUUGUUAUCAUGUGCUUUGUGUUGCGUUUACCAUGUGAAGAAUGAUCCACUUUUGUUUAAAAAUAUACAUGCUUGAUGAAUUUCAGUUUUAAAAUAUAUUAAUCAACUAAGUCUAUUUAUUGGAUUUAUUAUAUUGCCAUUAAAUUCUAUAGAAAAAUUCUAGAACUUGUCUAUAGGGAUACUGUAUCUUAUCACAAUGGCAAUGAAAAAAAAAAUUAAUGUUGAGCAAGAGAUGAAAGAUAUCGUUGGAGAAAUCCAUGUUUCAAGUCUGUAUCCCUACUGUUGAUUUUCUUUAUGCAGGCAUUCCUAGACGCAAGGCUUAUAGAGCUUUCUCGGAGGCAUGAACAGAUUCAUCACUAUAUCUUUACAGAUUCAGAUAUUGCUGUAGUUGCUGAUCUAGGACAGAUAUUCUACAACUAUCCGAAAUUUCAUCUUGCUGUCACUUUCAGGAACAACAAAGAUCAGCCUCUGAAUUCAGGAUUUAUUGCUGUGCGAGGGACCCCUGAUGGAAUUCUGAGGUGGGCUCAUUGUAUAAGUUGCUUCAUCUUUCUUUAAACAGCACAUCCCAGACUGAAAUUUUGAUUGCAGGGCAAAAGUUUUUCUACAAGAAGUGUUAAAAGUAUAUAGUUCCAAGUACAUGAAAGCUUCCCGAAUGUUAGGAGACCAGUUGGCACUGGCAUGGCUGGUGAAAUCCCAUCUUUCAUUUGAUGCUAAAAGAUUUGCCAGACCAAAUAGUUUUUUAUAUGACAUUGGGGGAACAUCAGUGCUGUUUCUACCAUGCGCAGUUUACAAUUGGACACCGCCUGAGGGUGCAGGGCAAUUUCACGGCAUGCCUUUAGAUGUUAAGGUAAGUCUUUAUGACUUUAUGCUAUUGAGUUUAUCCAAACAGUUGGGAAGAAAUCUUUGUUUCUUCUUUUCUAUAAAUCCUUGGUAGGUGGAUUCCAUGAUUUUACUCAUGGAAGGUUGCCAAGGUAAUAGCUAUUCACAAUAGAUAUACAACAUUUGAGUCAUCAGAUUAGACUUCACUUUGUUUUAGAGCUCUUCUGGUUAAGUCAUCAGAUUAGACUUCACUUUGUUUUAGAGCUCUUCUGGUUAAGUCCUCGUAAUAAUGGUUGUUCUGACUUCAGUAUAUCUUGUGUGAUACAGGUUGUCCAUUUCAAGGGAUCGAGGAAACGAAUGAUGCUGGAGUCUUGGAACUUCUAUAACUCAUCUGCCUCAGCUGGCAUUUCCAAUAUGUUGUGCCUUAUCUUAAUGAGUGGGAGAACAAAGUAUGAUUUUUAGAUAUUCGAGUGUGGAACAUCAUCGGUUACUUAGAUUAUACAAUUUUUUGUUAUUCUUGGCGUGAGAAGAGAAAAAAAGAAAGAAGGCCUCAACUGGGAAUCCUUUCCCUUAGAUAAUUGUCUAACCUAUACUUCUGUUAACAAAUCCCAUGUAAUCUUUUGCUCAAUUUUGGCUGUAGCUACUGUUAGUGCUGUACAAUUUGCUGUGUUUUCGUCUUGUGGAGUAAAGGUUUAUAACAAUGAAAACAAGUAAGCUGAAAUCACAGUUGGGACUAAUUUAUCCAGGAAUUCAAAAUUCGAUUUCAAUAAAUAUGCUUGGAUUAUUGCAGAUUAUUUUCCAUCGUGUUGGGGGUGUGUUUGAGGGUUUGAGCUGCUGCAGGGUAUAUUUGUCAAUAACAUGAACAACUUUGAACAAUUACUAUUUUUGUAUCAAAGAAGAUUUGAGUAUGAUGUGAAUAAAAUUGGUAAAACUGAUGGUCUCUUAAUAUUUUGGGAAAUUUAUCAAUGAUUUUAUUGAAGGCCAUAGACAAGCAAAGCUCCAACUCCAGCUAUUCCUGCAACCAGUCCAAUAAUUACUCCAAAAGGAGGCAAUCCCCCACCUAUUGGCUUUCCAGUGUUCACAUCAUAUCCUGUAAACCGCUUCUUUGGCGCGUUACAUUGUGGGCAUGUGUAAGAAUCAGGCUGCAAAAUACGAAAACGUUUUAGAAGGUAACUGCUGCAUUAACACGCCCACAAGAGGGAAUUAAAAGAGGGUUUGGCUUGCCUGUUCUUCAAAAGGUUUGGAUAAGGUGUAAAUGAAUCCACAAUCAAUGCAUAUGUGAGUAGCUCUUGCCUGCAAUAUGGUGCAUCACAUUACAAAUAUAUAAUCUCUAUACAAGAGCGCAUACAGAACAAAAGAGACAGUAUAGAUCAUAGCCUGCCUUUUGUGAGUCAGUCAACUUUCGACCAAAGCGAGGAGGAGCUGGACGCUUAGGUAAACGUUUUACAUCAACCUCAGCACCUCUGCAUUGUAAGAUUAAACAAAGUCAGCGAAAACAAAGCUUCUCUAUGUCCAUUUUGUUUUCUGGUUGAAGUGGCCGCCAUUUCUUGUUUCUAGUUUAGAAGAAAAUCUCUGGUUAGGAUUAUACUUAACCUAAUGCUGCAUUCUUAUUCUUAAGCCAUGUCACUAACUUUAAUACGAGAAGAGAGGAAGAUCGAAGGACCUGCUUAUUACAAAGUAAACAGAAUCGGGUUUUGCUUGGAUAGCAGUUUUGGUAAAUCCCAGUUUAUCUGCUGGCCAAGGUUCAUCCCCAAAAAAGCUGCUGGUGUAUAUCACUUGAUCCCCUGCUUUAAGCCCUGCUUUUGCUGCAUUUCCACCAUUCUCUACUCCCUGUCAUAUUAAGCAACCAUUAUGUUAAUCUUAAUAUUCCAGUGCGAUCGUUGCUGAGGUAGUUUGUACUUAAGCUGACGUAAAGUUUACAAGAUCCUGCUUAGCAGAGGAUUUCUAUCGCUAUUUUAUGUGCUGGAAAAGAGUGAAAGGCAGGGUAUUAUUGUUUUUUUUAGUUAAUAUAGACUUCAUUUCAUCCCUCUGAAAAUCCAUGAAAGAUUGCUAAGUGUUCAGCAGGCUAGCUGGUCAAGCUUCUGGUGGUUGUACUAGGAGGUCAUCACGAGUGGGGGUUUACGUUUCUUUCAUGUAAUACCCGGUAUUUCUUAAUAGAAAUUGGAUUUCAAUUUGGACUUCUUUGACUAUAUAAAUAGGUUUAAUAAAUGGGAUUAGUAUCAUGCCUUUGGGCUUUAUUUUAAACUCAUUUUUAGGUCCACAUAAAUAAAUAUUAGUAUAUAUAAUAUUCUUAGUUAUUAAAUCAAAAAGAAAAACCCUAGAUCUCAAACUUGAAGAGAAAUAUAUGGAUUCUCGUUUUUGAUAACACCCUGUUAGUAUUUCGGUCAUAACUCUCUUUACAGAACUCGGAAUGACAUGAAUCUUACGUCAUUAGAACCCUAUUGAAAAUACGCAUCUGAGCAUAUAAAGUAGAGUAUGUGAAUCUUCCGGACGUGACCUGUACAACUGAUUCUUUGGAGGUCAGAAAAUCUAUGACUGGAUUGCCGUAUGGUGGUUUUGAGUUGUGUUCUUCGUAUAUUUGGUGUUUGGUGGUCUUCUUAUGAGGCAAGUUAUAUUACUUGAUGUUUUCUCUUAAUUUUCAGAUUAGGUUGAAGUGUUAGUUUGGUUAUUAAGUUUGGGAUAGUAGAAUAAUAAUUGAUUCUCAUGAAAAUGCAUGUUUUAAUAAUUAGAAUUUGAUAAAUAUGCAAACUUGUUAAUAUUUAGUUAUUAAUAUUGCUGAAAUUUAUAUUUUAAAAUAUGUUAUUAUUGGAUUUGAAUGUUUGACUUGGUAUUGUAAUGUUUGAUUGAACCCAUUGGUUAUAGACUUUCUUACUUUAGAAAUUCCUGAACUUGACAUCAUACACGUUUAUGUUGUUCGUCAUAUAUAUUUAUAUGGACAAUGAUUGGAAUAGAAUGGUUGGAUUGAACCAUGUGUUGGAUUAGAUUUGGGCGUGUUAAACAAAUUAACACCGGACCUGUAUGAUGGGGAGACGUCCCAGAGUGUUGUCACAUGACAUAACUCAAUGAGUGUAUGGCGUGAUGCGUACGACUCGGUGCUACUGCACAACUUUAUAUAUGAAUUUCAUGUGAGUGUAUGACGUGAUGCGUACGACUCGGUGCUACUGCACAACUUUAUAUAUGAAUUUCAUGUGAGUGUAUGGCGUGAUGCGUACGACUCGGUGCUACUGCACAACUUUAUAUAUGAAUUUCAUGUAAGUGUAUGGCGAUGAUGCGUACGACUCGGUGCUACUGCACAACUUUAUAUAUGAAUUUCAUGGAUUGAAAUUGAUGGAUUUGGAUUGAUAUAAUAUGAUGGAUUGGAAUUACUGAAUAAAGACUUGAUCUGAUAUUGCAGACUGAUUAAUUGAUUGAUUGAUUGAUUGAUUGAAACAGAUUUUGAUUAUUCGAUUAUUGGAACUGGAAAUAUGAUUGACAUUGCGGAUUACCAGAGAAUGAUCUUGUUGAUUUAUUGAUCACUAUGUUAAAUGUUAAAAUAAAUUAAUUACUAUUUAUAAUUGUUUAUCUUUAGGAUGCACGGAUUCCUUUUCUGGGAAUUAAGAUCGAACCUCAAGUUCUGUAACUUGCUGGCGUUUAACGUCUUCCCUUUUCCCUUUUCAGCAUACAAGUGUUUUAGAGAUGAAGUAUUCAAUAAGAGUUUGGUGGAGGUUGUCUUGGGUUGCUCAUAUGUCUAGUUGGAGUUUGAUGAGUUGUAACCUUCGGGCAUGACUCUGAUUUAUAUUUAUACUAGUUGUACCCGUGGCUUCGCCACGUUAGUUUAUACCGUUCAUUUUACUAAUAAUUUUUAGAUUUUGUAAAUUGCCAAUGAAAUUAUAAAUAAAAAUUACAAAUAGUAUUUUUAAUGAAAUUACAAAAUUAUCAAAUUUUUUUUUAAUAUAUUUUAUAAAUUCCAAAUAUCAUUUUUAUCCAGAUGCUUAAGCCGGUUUGAAGGCCUUUAGCAGUUAUGGCCCAUAUAUAUCUGUGGUUGGGAUUUGUCGUUUCUUCGUGGUAUAAACAAUCACUUUAAACAGUGAAAACAACAAAAGAUGUGCUUCAAAUUCUUUGGCUGUUGAACAGUUUCUAACCACACUGGAAUUGAUGGUACCAAACCAUCCAGUCAUAAAUUAAAACCUAAUGGGUAGUAACAUUUUAUUAACAAAAUGAAUGAAUAAAUUUCAACAAACACAAAAUGAAAAAAAAUUGCUACCAUAUUAGGGAAGAAGUAAAGAAUGAAGAUUGAACAUUGAAGAACAACUAUAAUGAUAUUACCAAAAUUUGGAGAACAACUAUUUUUUUUCAUUUAUCUGCAGCUGAUAUCCUAUUGUUUAUACCAUCCAUUGAGUAAGAAUAAUCUAGUCUAUCAAUUUAUUUUUUAUUUUUUUGAGAGCGCUUUCUUUUCCUGUAGAAGAAAUAUGUGUGAAAAUCUGUGAAAAAUUGCAACGGUAUAAUAAUUAAAGCAAUGUGGAAAUAACAUUAUCCGUGGGUGAACUAAUUACUUUGGCUCGGCUUCUUUAUUUUGAGUUACAAUAUUAUUGGAUGCAUUCCUUUCAGAUAAUUCUCUUUCUCUUCGUUUACGUUGGCCUUCUUGAUAUUUGUUUCAUUUAACAAUUUGACUAAUAAAUAUGGAGAAAAUUGAUAUAUCAAUUUAUUGUACCAUACAUUUUAAAAGCAAAAAAAAAUUUUAAAAAGAAAUUAAGUUAAAAAGAAUCAGCCAAUAUAUAAAUAGAACUACGCCUACAGAAUAUCAGUUAUCUAUUCUUCAGUCAAUGUCUAUAUAGCGGUCUAUGUAGUAUGCAUAAAACCAUAUGACAUAACAACCAAUUAUAGUGUGACCAUUAACUGAAAACUGUAAAAGGGUGAAUGAAACUAAUGGAAAUAAAAUUUUGAACAUCAGUUAUCUAUUUGUCAGACAUGAAACCAAUUCUGUGGCUGACUAAAUGUAUAUUAGUUAACAAAAUAUGACUAAAUGUAGAUGCAGUACAAUGUCUCAUCUAUAUUAGUUAAUAUGACGCCUAAAUUGGUAAAGUUGUGGCUGACUAAAUGUGUGAUUGUUGCAAGUAGAUUCUAAAACCUGUUGUGGCUUGCUUAGGUUUACACGGUAACAAAAUAUUAUCGUGUAAAUAAUGACUUUGCUCAAGCUAACUAUCUCAGUGAAGGAGUGCAUAAUGGUGUCUUGGGACGACAGGAGAGAUGACUUCAACAAUUUGGUCGAAUGAAUUUUUGUUUUAUUAUCUAGAUGGUUUUGUUUUUAAAUUUUUAAUUGGGACAUUAUUUUCACAGGAAAUCGUUGUGAAGAAACUUUUCUCGGACACUCCCCGGUCCUUGAAAGAAUUUUACAACGAAUUCUGUUUACUAACCAACUUAGAUCACAUCAAUACAGUGAAGCUUCUAGGGUUCUGUGCCGAUCAAAGAGAAAAGUUUGUUGUGUAUGAAUUCAUGCAGUUCGGAUCAUUAGGGAAGAGCUUGCAAGGUGAGCAUAGGUGUCUAAUUAAGUGUGUGUUUUGUUUACCAAGUAUGAACUUCUCUUGAGUUUAAAUGGAGUGGAAAUUUUGUUUUCUAUUCAUCCUAAUUUUAAUUUGAUUGCAUUUUAUAGAUGGUGGUGAGGAAUUCACCUUUCUCGGAGACUGGAAUUAGAUAGUUCGAAUUGCCCAGGGAAUUAUCAAAGGCCUUGAUUUCUUAUAUAAGAUGAAUAUUAUUCACGGAAAUCUUAGGUCCGAUAAGAUCCUUGUUGGCAGAGGACAUAUUGCUAAGAUUUCAUACUUCCGGAUUGCAAGGGUUGGUUCUGCAACAGAGAAAAAUGAUGAGAUGUACAAUCUUGGCAUCAUCUUGCUAGAGAUCAUCUUUGGGCGCAAAGCAUAUCCUGAUGGGGAUCUGGUUACUUGGGUAAGUUCUGCUUAUACCAAUAUCUGGUCCACUACUUAUUUCUAACUGCAACAUGGUCCUAUGGUCAUUUGGACAAAAUGAAAUUUGCUUCCACCAAGCUAAGUGGUGUUAUAUAGUUUGGAACUAAAGUUUUGUCAUUUUGAGUAUACAGGCAAGACCAAGGUUCAGGGAACGUCAUAACUAACCUAGUAAACCUAAGGCUUCAUGGGAGAUACCCUAAAAGAGGGCUAGCUGUCUUUGCAGUUGUAACUGAAAUGUGCUUGAAUAUGCAUAGGUAGAAUCGACCUUCCACAAACACCAUGGUCAAUGCUAUACAGUUUGUGGUGUAUCAGUCAUUGCGCUUCAAUGCAAAUUUGAAUAGAGCCCAGCCCAGGAAUGAGAAGCAAAAUGAUGAGAUGUACAAUCUUGGCAUCAUCUUGCUAGAGAUCAUCUUUGGGCGCAAAGCAUAUCCUGAUGGGGAUCUGGUUACUUGGGUAAGUUCUGCUUAUACCAAUAUCUGGUCCACUACUUAUUUCUAACUGCAACAUGGUCCUAUGGUCAUUUGGACAAAAUGAAAUUUGCUUCCACCAAGCUAAGUGGUGUUAUAUAGUUUGGAACUAAAGUUUUGUCAUUUUGAGUAUACAGGCAAGACCAAGGUUCAGGGAACGUCAUAACUAACCUGGUAAACCUAAGGCUUCAUGGGAGAUACCCUAAAAGAGGGCUAGCUGUCUUUGCAGUUGUAACUGAAAUGUGCUUGAAUAUGCAUAGGCAGAAUCGACCUUCCACAAACACCAUGGUCAAUGCUAUACAGUUUGUGGUGUAUCAGUCAUUGCGCUUCAAUGCAAAUUUGAAUAGAGCCCAGCCCAGGAAUGAGAAGCGGCCUGAUUGUUUUUCGUGGUAAGAGAUGCCAACGUGUAAUAUCUGACAAACUACUUUGAAGAUAAACUGUUCCCAGUAAGACUAUUACUUCUUGCACAGUCGGGGUCAGAUGUGACAGGGAUAAUUAUUAGUGAAGGCACGGGUAUAAUCUAUUGUACAUGAAUUUUUCUGUACAGUCGUAAACACAUGGCACAUGCCUAGAAUUGCACAGGGUACUUGGAUUGAAUCACCUAAAAAAGUUAAAAUUAUACCUCUCAUAAGAAUUGUACAGGGGAAGCCUAGAAUUGCAGGGGUCUCGGAUCACCAAAAUAAGUUAAAAUUAGGUAUCUCAUAAAAAUUGGAUAGGUGACUAUCUAAGAAAAAAAAUUAUACAUCUUCAUAAGAAAUUUGUUUUUGUCAACAUAUAAGAUAUGAAUAUAUACCUGACAAAAUUUGAGAAAUUUGAGAUAAGAAAUUUGUACCUGACAAAAGUUUUGUAGAAGUCUUUGUGAUUGAGAUCGAUUUGUUUGAUUUAGUGUUUAUUCGAAAAGCUUUGAUUAGGUUUGUUGAUUGGGUUAAAACCAUUAUAUAGAAGUGAAGGAAGAAGAAGUAGAUCAAUUUCCAUUAUAAAUCAAUUUCUUAUUUCUUUUAAGUGAAGAAAUAAGAAGUACAAUUUGUAUUAUAAAUCAAUUUCUAUUUUUAUUUGUAUCUACCCCCUAGUAAUUUAAAAGGUGGGAAAAAAAGCUUAUUUUCUCACUUGAGUGAGAAAAUAACUUAAACAUUUUCUCACCUCCUACAAACCAUUGGAUUGAUAUUGAAGGAUAUCUAGCCAUUGAUUACAUUAUGAUUAUACAUUUGAAGUUUUAAAUUGUUGUUUUCAACCUUGAUGGUGGUAGAUAUGGAGUUUUGGGUGGUGGUUGGUUUCAACUUUUGGGUGGUGAAAUCAAACAUUGAGUUAGUGGGUUUAUUGUUUUGUGAGUGGAUUUAAAGUUUUAAGAUAUAGGUAUUCGGGUUUUUAGUGGUGGAGAUCAAAUUUUAAGGUGGUGGUUGGUGUAUUUUCAUGAUGUUAAGUCAAAUUUAAUCAUUUAAAUGAUGAAUUAUAUAUUGUUGGUGUUAAUUUCAUGUUUUAAACUUGAAAAUUUAACAUUUUGAUUUCAAAAUCUAUGAUUGUGAAGGUUGAUUUCGAAGUUUAGGUGGUGGAUCUAUGAUUUUGGUGGAUUAUUUCAUCAAUUUUUUUUUAAUUUCUUAAUGUAACCAAACAAAACAUGUGAAAAAAUAAUUAGAAUUCUCAUUGUCAAUCAAACACCCUUAUUUGAUCAAGUGAGAAAACUUAAAAAUAUUUUCACACUGAAGUGGGAAUUUUUUUUUAAGUCAUUCCCACUAUAGUAGGAAAUUAAUUAGAAUGCCCAAUGAAAUAAUUCCCACUCCCUUUUUUUCCACUCUGCAAUCAAAGACACCCUAAUUGAUUUGAAGUUGUAAUUGAUUUGAAGUUGUGAAGGAGUCGGCUUUGAAGUGCAAGAAGAUUGGAACAAAGGAAGAAGAAGAAAAAGAAGUUUUAAUAUAAAAAACUUACACAUAAUUUCCUUGUUAAAUCUCUUUAAUCUAAGCCUCCUAUCAAAAUUUCACAUAUGGAUCUCAAGGCUAUCCUAACCAUUGAACACAACUUAAGUUUGGACCCAAACAUUGAUUUAAUCUCACCCACAGAUCUACUCUCACAUAGAUCUCAAGACGAUCCUAACCAUUGAACACAACUUAAGUUUGGACUUAACCACGGAUUUAAUCUCACCCAUCUAUUAUUAUCAACACAUCUCUAGAUGACCUCAAGGCUAUCCUAACCAUUGAACACAACUUAAGUUUGGACCCAACCAUUAAUUUAAUCUCACCCACAGAUCUAUCAUUAUCAACACAUCUCAAAACGAUUUUAACCAUUGAACACAACUUAAGUUUGGACCCAACCAUUGAUUUAAUCUCAUCCUUAAAUCAACCCUCAUGCACAGAUCUCUAGAUGAUCUAUACCCUUGUUUGUUUUAUCAAGACAAACUGUGUUUGUGCCAUCCUCACAGUAUAAUAUAGAUUUAUAUAGUUUGUAUUCUGUUUAGUUUUCCGCUGUUAAUUUAGUAUUUGUUGUUUAUUUUAUUAUGUUCUUCUGUGGUCUAGAGGUGUGAUAUCACGUGACAGUAGUGUGACGCUACGGUCCAUAGAGGACAUAUUGAGAUCAUUAUGACUCUGUUGCCCGAUUUUGGCCUGGCCAGCUAGGAUCGGAUUUCAGGGGCGUUCCAAAUCCAUCUGCACAGAAAACAUAACCAACCAAUUUUAACUUUAACUAUUUUUUCAAUCAAACGAGUAAUGUAAACACUUAUAAAACAACUUCAAGGGAAAAAAUACCUCACAAGAAGAAUAGAAGAUGGAUCACAAGUUCUUUACACAAACAAGUUUAAAUAUCAUUAGAAACUGAAUUUUGUAAGUUGUGAGAGAACUGUCUAAGGUUUUUUUAUUGGUUAAAUGUUUAGGUUUUUUUUUAAGGGGACAAAUCUUGGUCGUUGGAUAAACAAGAUCAAAUAAAAUAAAAUCUACAUACAUGUCAUUGCUCAAUGUUUGUCAGCAAGGACAAUUUAAGGAAAAUAAAUAUCCACGUCAGCUGCUCAACACCCACUAUCAGAUAAAAAUUGGGUGUACAAAUAAACCAGGUUUGGUGGGGUAAGUGCAAAUAUAGCCGAGUUAUAUAGGGGUUUAUACAGAAUCUCCCUAUAAAUUAUAAAUUAAUUCCAAUUCCCAAGAAAAUUUCUAAAAAAACCUAAAAUUUUCAAAAGGAUUUGAAUCCAUAGGUGGAAGAUGCCAUUACCAACUGAGGCAGCAAUUAUUGACCAAACCCAUGAUUGUUUGACUUUGGGUUUUUUAAAAAAUUCCCACUUACUUGUGCACACUGUGUAUGCUUAUACUUCUCUUCCUAAAACAUCCUAUCAGAUAUUUUAGGGUUUUGAUCAAAUUCUAAGGUUAGUCUUUUGAUAAACUGUGAUCAUGUUUCUUCUUGUUCAUUUAAAUUUCUUUUCCAUUUGCAUAUGUUUUUUUUUCAUAUCCUGAUUCAUAUUGAAUUUGUUUAUGGAAUAGAGUUUACCCAUCUAGAAAAUAAAUUUUAAAUGUAAUUUUCACUGAUACUUUUUAAGAUAGUAAUCAAGGAUAAAAUUGAAUAAAUCAAACAUUGAUACUGAUUAACCCCAGAUGGAUUAACCACUUAAUCUUAAUCGAUUCGAUCUAAUGUAUCUAUACAUAUCCCACAGAAUUACGAGUUAACAGUAUCAAUAAAAUGAAGGUUUUCUUAGUUGGAUUAGAGCCAGCUGUGGUUUAAAUAUAUUUUCAAAACCAGUAUGUCGAAAUUUGAUAAUUAGGGGUAAAAUCUGAGUACAAAAUGAGUAUAUGGUUAAACAGAAGAAAAGUUGGAAGAAACGUCAUCACUAUCUUAAAAUUUUCAUCCAUCUAAUGAUAUCGAUAAUCACAGAACUGAUGUACCUCAAGUUAUUGUUACACCAUUUGGUAAUUAUUCACUAUUGUUAGAUACCUGAAUGAGUAUAUGAUUAAACAUCUAACUGUUCAGCUACCUGAAUCUAAAUUGGGGUUAGUUGUUAGAUAUAAUUGUUGUUGCAUUGUUUCAAUUUUCAUCCUUUACUUCUUUUUUUUUUAGCCUCAAGAAGAACACAUAUCAAGGUCUGAAAUACUUAAUGGAGGAAGGUACCAAUUCUACUGCACCUUUGGUGUCAAGCUGUAUGAGUGAAGGUAAUAAAACAAAAGACCCAUGUGUACCACAGCAAGGAGAUGAUUUCGAGAGUGACAAAGAGCUUGUCGGAGGUCAUCAUGGUUUGGAUAUGUGUGAUUCAGAUUAUGACAUUUGCUUGAAUGAUACUGUCACAAGUUCAUUGUCUGUUUCCAGUUUACAAGAAGAUUCACCUUCAGAUGAGAAGAUGCUAUCGUGCAUGUAAGUCAUUUGACAUCAUCCCUUACUCUCUGCCAUUUGCUUUAAGUGCAGCUUAUCUACAUACAGACCCAUGGGUUAUUGACUGAAGCAAUUUGUGACACUGACAAAUUGUCCCAAUUCUAAUUCUUCCAUCAAUUGACUAGUUUGGACUGAUGGGACCAUUGCUCAUUUUGAGCAAAAUAUAUUGGACCCCUGUUUCAUUAUAUUGACCCCUUUACACCUGAAAUUGGGGUACACAUAGACUCAGAUUGCCCUACUAAUCAAGGACUCUAUUCAUGACAAUACUAACUUCCUCAAAACAAAUUGUCAUCCUUCGGAUGAAUUGUAGAUGAACUGGAAGAAGCGAGGUUAUUAUACAUAUAUGACUUGUUGAUCUCUUUAGGGAUGCUGAACUUUUUUCAUGGAAUCAAUUGUGCAGGCUAUUCUCUGCACUACAGACAUCGCCUUCUUCGGCCAGUAUGGUGGUGGCUAAUCUGACGAAAGAAAACGACCCGAGUUUUCACAAUUUUCUGGUAAUUUAUUCAUAAAUCUCUUAUACUUAUACUUUUUCCGAUCCUAGUUCGCCAACCCUAUGAUAUUUGUCUACCUCUCCUUACGAGCAUAUCUAAUGUGGAGAUGGCUUCAGUGCCCAUUUUUAUCACUAUAAUUGAAAUUAGAUACUUUUAUCAGCCGAGGGUAUAAUUUAAACUACCAAGUAGUGUUGCAAUUAUCAUUGUAGUGCAAUUAUUAUUUUCGGCUAUAAGCGAAUGUUCAGAAACAUAAUUUAAUUACGUUUUGAACUGUUCAUUAAAAAGUUCAUUCUCCACACUACAGCCUAUGAGAGAAGAUGAAGAAGAGCAUGAUGAUGAUGAUGCUGUUGAUGUUGAUAGUCGUGAUGAUGAUGAUGAUGUUGAUAGUCGUGAUGAUGAUGAUGGUUGUGAUCAGAGCAAGAAAGCUGAGGCUGGUGCUUGCUCCAGUUCAGCAACAAUCAUAGAGACUGUAUGGGAAUGGUUAAAUGAUAAAGAUGUUGGAACAAUCAAAAUUCAAGGGGAGACCGGAAUGGGGAAAACAUGGAUAGCUAGGCAUUUAAUAGAUAGGGCAAGGAAUUUAAAACUCUUUGACCUGAUCAUCUUUUUGAAUUUCGAUGGCUCUAAUAAUAAAAAAAUUAGAGCCGUGAAGAUGGAUGUUCAAAACCAGUGGUCAAGACAUGAAUUAGAAAAGGAAGGCUAUGGGGGUAACCAAAUACAAUGGCAGUCAAUCUCAGAGUCACUGGCAGAGGAGCGGUACUUGCUGAUUCUUGACGGUUUUAAAAACUUUAAAACUAAUAUAUUAGAGGUUGUUGGCAUUCCUCAUCCUAAGGCACAAACGAGUAUAGGUUCUAAGGUGUUAGUAACUGGGAAGAAAUCAGAUAUUGAGGAUUUAGCAGCAGAUAAGGUUCUAGAACUAGGAAAGUUGCCUGAAGACAAAGCUUGGUUGCUGUUUCAGGAUAUCUGUGGUUUUAAAGUUGAUUCUCUUCCAGAUAUUCGUGAAUUUGCACAACCUUUACUCGAGAUCUGUAAUGGUGUGCCAUUUGAAAUUGCUAUACUUGCAGGAACUUUGAGAACUGACAUUGGAGAGUUGUCUUCUUCUUCUUCUUCAGCAACUGAUAUGGUGCUGGCUAAUUUGAGAAAAGCAUAUGACCUGGUACUCAAAGGACCAAUAUUGUCUCGUGUUGAGUUUAUAUGUGAGAUGCUAUCGAGCAAGGAUGUAAAGGAUUGCUUUUUGUACUGCUGUACCAUUCCACUGUACCAGCGAUACAGCGUGAAAAGAUUGAUAGCGGCUUGGAUGAUAUCAGGAUUUCUUGACGGAUUCAAUUGUUUGGAGAAAGCAUAUGAGAAGGGGCGCAGAAUUUUGAAAGAGCUCAUAGAUCGUCAUCUAUUGUUUAGUAUACCUAAAUAUAACGACGAUGAUACCCAUGUUAGUGUGCAAACUCCGCUAAUCGAUGAAGUAAAUGAUUAUGUUGAGAUGAGAGAACUGCCCACUGUUUUUUGUGAUAAGAUGCAUCUGAAUUUUUUGAUGAAUACAGAAUCGGACUGGGGAUCCUUGAAAGUCUCACUGAUUAAUGGAAAUUUGCAGUCGAAGUUUACAGAUUAUCAAGGCCACAAUGACGGUUUGUUGCUUCAUGGGAAUAAAGGCUGCAUCCCAGAAGAACUCCCAGGUGCAUUCUUCGAUCAAAUACAACAUCUUCAUGAUCUUUCCCUUCUCCAUUGUGGAAUCAGGUCUCUUCCAAAAUCACUUUCAAAGUUAGCCAAUCUUAAAAUUCUUGCAGUGAGAGGUUGUGCCUCACUGGAGAACGUCAACCAAAUAAGAAGACUCUGGAAAUUGUCCUUUCUCAGUCUUGCAGGUGCUAGCAGCUUAAAGAAAAUCCGGGAUGACUUCUUUAGAAAUAUGAGUAGUCUUAUAUACCUGGACCUCUCAGGUACCCAGCUUAAGAAGUUACCCUCAUCCUUUUCCACCCUUCGUCAACUCAGCAUUCUAAUCCUUAGAGGUUGCUCCCAGUUGGAAAAACUCCCAUCCAUGGAAAAAAUGGAUGAACUCACUGUGCUAAUACUAGCAGGUGCGCGUUCUUUGAAGAAAUAUCCUCAAACCUGCAAUUCACUCAAAUUCCUUGAUCUAUCCGAAACUCUUAUCCAUAGAUUGCCAUCUGUUAUCAACCUAAAAUACUCUCUAUCCUGCCUUCUUUUAAGAGGUUGUUCAAGGAUCGAAAGAGUGCCACAUCCAGAUCAAUUUCAUGAGCUACAUUUUCUAGAUCUUUCAGGCGCAAGUGCAUUCAAGACAUUCCAACGCGAAGCCGCUUCUAACAGCCGAAAUGACUCAUCUUUUCAAAAAAUUGAUCUCUCUGAGACAAAUAUUGCGAAAGUUCCGUCUCUUUCAAGAUGCAGCGAGCUACGUGAACUCUUACUAAGAAAUUGUUCCAAGUUAGUGACAAUUCCAUCUUUGGGUACAAAGCUUGAGGUACUUGAUCUAUCUGGUUCCAUUUCAUUGAAUUCAUUUCAAGAUGAAUCCCUUGGGGAUGAUCUUCUAAAUCUUGAUCUUUCUCGAACUCGCAUCGAAAAGCUGCCAUUUUUUUCAGUGGACGCCAAACUUAUUCAACUCUUACUUCGAGAAUGUGAGUACCUAGAAGAAAUACCAGUCUUAGAGCUUCAAAAUCUUGAGGUUCUGGAUCUUUCAGGUUCUAUUAAAUUCAAGAAAUUCAAUAAUGCUUCUUUCGACAAAUUUUCUCGCCUUCAUACCCUCAGUCUUUCUGCAACCAAGAUUGUAGAAUUACCCAGACUUUCAGAAUGCUGCCAUCUUCGAAAUAUCCUCCUGAAAGGAUGUCUGAAGCUUGAGAAACUUCCUCCCUUGAAACAACUAGUGAAACUUGAGGUGCUUGAUCUCUCUGGGGCUAUUUGCUUCAAACAAUUUCAAGAUGAAUCUCUAGGAAUAAAGAAAGAGUUUCGAGAAUUGAACCUUUCUGGAACCCAAGUUGUUAAACUCCCUAUCAUUUCUGAAUGCUACAAUCUUUCCAGGCUUAUAUUAAGAGAUUGUCCAAACUUUGUUAUGUUGUCACACUUGGAAGCACUCACUAGACUUCAGGUGCUGGAUCUUUCAGGUGCAGCUUCUUUCACAACAUUCCACGACCAAUCUCUUGGAGAAAAGUAUGAGCUUCAAGUACUUGACCUCUCUGGAACCCAGGUUGGAGAGUUACCAUCCCUCUCUGGAUGCACAAGCCUCAGUCAACUUUUACUCAGAGAUUGUGCAAAAAUCAAGACACUGCCAUCAUUAGAAGAACUUACAAAACUAGAAGUUCUAGAUCUUUCAUGUGCAGCUUCUUUUACGGCCUUCCAUGACAUUUCCCUUGGGCAAAAGUAUGACCUUCAAAAACUUGACCUCUCGGAUACUCAGGUUGCAGAGUUGCCAUUCCUGUCAGGCUGCAUUAAUCUCAGUCAACUAUUACUAAGAGGUUGUCAAAACUUGAGGGAACUGCCACACUUAGAAGAACUUGCGAAGCUAAAGGUGCUUGAUCUUUCAGGUGCAUCUAAUUUCAUGGCCUUCCAAGACCAGUCCUUUGGGAAGAAGUAUGACCUUCAAGUACUUAACCUCUCUAAAACUCAGGUUUCAGAGUUGCCGUUACUUUCCGGAUGCCUAAAUAUCACUGAACUCUUACUUAGAGAUUGUGCAAAGCUAAAGACAUUGACACCCUUGGAAGAACUCACAAAACUAAAGGUGCUUGAUCUUUCUGGUGCAACUCUUUUCGUGAAUUUCCAAGAUCAAUCCCUUGGAAAGAAGUAUGACCUUCACUCUAUUGACCUCUCUAAGACUCAGGUUGUAGAGUUACCAUCGCUUUCUGGCUGCACAAAUCUCAUUGAACUUAUACUAAGAGACUGUCCAAAAUUCAAGCAACUUCCCCAUUUAGAAGAACUUGAAAGAAUAGAGGUUCUUGAUCUCUCUGGUGAUAGUUCUUUUACAGCACUCCAAAAUGAAUGUCUUCCAAAUAACUGUGCGCUUCAAACGCUGGAUUUAUCUGGAACCCAAGUGCAGGAGUUCUCAUUUCUCUCCAGAUGCAAAAAACUUUCUCAGAUCUCACUUAGAGGGUGUUCGAACUUGGAGACAUUGUCUUUGGCAGGCAUCCUGAACCUUCAAGAACUUGAUUUGUCUGGUACUCUGAUCGAGAAGUUAUCGACCUCCCCUUCAAAUCAUCACAAUCUGCACAAGCUCUUGCUAAAAGGUUGCACAAAAUUCUCGAUGCUUCCGGAUUCAGAGGUACUUAAAAACCUUGAGGUGCUUGACCUGUCAUGCACAAAUAUUAGAGAGAUCCCAGCGAAGAUCUCUGAAUGGUCUUGCUUAAGGUUUCUUGCGAUACUAGACAGAAAAUACUUCUGGGGAUUUGAUUGGAAAAAUGCAAUUGAAGUAACUAAGAAGCUGCACUUGGAUCCAUGUGAAACAGAGCAAUUCAGCCGACCAUGCAUUCACAUAACAGUGAGGAACACUGAAAUUUUCCAUUUCAUAGAAAAGAACUCUGAACUGUGGGAGAAUUGUUUCUGCAAAUUUCAUUUCUGUUUGUGCACUAUAGAAGAAUGGGGAAAAGAGAAAGACAUUUACUUGCAGGGGAAGGGAUAUGUUUUCAAGGAUAUCUACUACCAGGCCAGCCAUAUUCAUCAGUUAACAGAAGAGCCUGACAAAUUUUUUAAGAUUUGUGGCUUCCAAAGCUUCCCUACUGGUAUUGAGCAGGUCCUUAAUCAUGUCGAACUUUUAUAUUUAAAGAAGAAUGGUUUCAUCAAGUCUCUGUCAGACUUGGGUGCUAAAAAUGUUAAUGUCAUGAAAGAAUGUUGGAUAGAGAGUUGUGAUAGCAUGGAGAGUGCUUUCUAUGGAGAAGAACCAGAAGAAAAUGCAGCAUUGGGAAGAUGCUUACAGAAUCUUUGGGUGUCAAAGCUUUCUGAGCUGAAGAGCUUAUUUAGCGGUAGGGUGGAAUCCGAAAGCUUCGUGUGCUUGAAACAUUUAUACAUAGAAUGCUGCCCAAGCCUCGUCAUUGUUUUCUCUUCAUAUAUUGACCUGAAAAAUCUUAAAACUCUUAAGAUCAAGUUUUGUGACAAACUUGAGCAUAUAUUUGGAGAAGUGACAUCCAGAGAAAAAACUCUCCCAAAGCUAUCAACAUUAAAUCUUUUAAAAUUACCGAAAUUGAGGAGUGUUUGUGGUGGAGUUUUGUCAUCACUAAAAAACCUUAGAGUGCAAGGAUGCCCGAAUCUUCAAAAGCUCCCAAUCAGUAAAAACAGUACUCAGGUGAAUAUCAAAGGAGAAUUGGCUUGGUGGAAGAACAUGAAAUGGGAAGAUGAAAGCACCAAUAUGGACUCGCGUUUUACAGAACUAUAGUCCUACAGGACCACAUAAUAGAAGCAUCAUUCCUGAUUUCUGCCUGUUUCUUCUCAACUUGCUUUUGACAUGCAAGUAGAGGUAUCUUACACUGACAACAUUUUAAUUUUUAGAAUUGUUUUAGUUAUUUUGUGAAUGGUUUUAUCAAUUUGAACAUUCCACUGACGCUGAGGGUGUCACGCAAAUCUUUCUUAAAGAAGAGAUAUUAUUCAUUUACAAGUUCAAUGAUUGAUAGAUAAUUUGAUCAAUCAUAGUAAAGAAGUAUAUAGCAUGGCAGAGUACUCUUAUAUAAAUUGAGUGUAAUUAUUUUUGAUUUUUAGGAAUUAAUAAGUUAGAACAUUUAAAUGCAGAAAUACUUUGAAAAAUGCAAUUCUUUUAUCUCUUACUAUUAGUUUAUUAUCUGACAAUAGACACAUACAAGUAUAUUAUGGUCCCUUAAGUUUUUUUCUCAAUGUUAACAGCACAGACCCUUAGAACAGUUAAAUUAUGUGAUGAAAUGUAUCGCGAUGUUGCUUUGAUAAUUUUGUAAUAAGUAUGUAUAGAAAAUCUUGUACACCUUUUAGAUGGCAUUGUAAUGAAAGUCUGUAUGUAACAUGCCUGAUAUUGCAGAUGCUUCAGUAGCAUAUUGACAAAGAGGCCUAAAAGCUAAUGGUACUUUAAUUCCUAUGAUCUAUUUCGAGGGAUUUUUCGUAGCUUCAAUUAUCUGAAUUCAACUUCUAUCAGCUUUGUUAUCCUUGUUGUUUACUGGUCUGGGUUAUAACUUAUAACUGUUCUGGAUACUCCUUUUCUCAAUUUUUACCUUCCGAAAUUGCAGCAAAAUGGGACUGUAGUAUUGGAGUUAGCAGAAUUGUGAUUCUUGCACCUGGGCAGUCGAUGCAUCAUUUGCCGUCCCAGUUCCCACAGAGGGGCAAGCAAACUAUAACAGGUCAAGAGGUAAACAUUAACCACUACAUACCAUGAUAUUACGACAUUAGUGUACUCUUUCUGGACGGAAAACUGUGCUAAUCUUGUUAUUUUUCUGCAUUCCUGUGUUUUCAGAAGUUAUCUUUCUCUAGACAAUUAGUCCCGUACCGCAAUGGAGCUGAGCUUGAUGAUUUGCAAUUUUGCGCACCUGGAGCCUCUAUCAUAAAACUCUGUGCUGUACUGUCACUUACAUAACCAUAGGGAGAAUUGGAACUUGUAUUUACUCCAUAGCCAACAAAAAAUAUCUUCCAAUUCAUCAAGCUUCUAAAAAGAAAGUAACUCCAUUGUCAAUGUAACAUGGUAUUGAAGAUGCUUCAGUAGCAUAUUGAAAAAGAGGCCUAAAGCUAGGGGUACUUCAAUUCCUACGAUCUAUUUAUGGAUUUUUCGUAGCUUCAAUUAUCUAAAUUCAUCUUCUUUCAGGUUUGUUAUCUCUAUUUUAUUGUUUGGCUGGGUUAUAACCAUUUUGGGUACUCUUUUUCUCAAUUUAUAUCUUCCACAUUUGCAGCAAAUGGGGACUGUACUCUUGCGGCAAUGUAUGAAUCAUCUGUUGUUCGAAAAAGUGUAGCAUUGGCAAGCAAAUUAGAACAGGUCAACAGGUUUACAAUAACAACUACCACUGUUGUUCGAAAAAGUGUAGCAUUGCCGUUUUCUAAGAAGUGUAUCCUUCUCUAGGCAAUUAUUCCCAUUCGGCAUGAAACUGAUCUUGAUACAACAAAGCUGAUACCAUAGGACUGUACCAUCUUAUUCCUAUGAGUUGCAGAGGCAAAGCAUAGUGGUACGUUUUAUAUUGACAUAAUAAGAAAUUUGAGGAAACCACAGACAUGUCAAACUUUGUCCUGUAUGUGUUGUCGGACUGAGAUAUAAUCUGAUUUUUUGUGCAGAUACAUUGUCUUGAGUGAUGCGGUACACACAUAAGGGCAUAUGCAUUCCAGCAAAUAUCACAACGUCCAAGCUUAUCAGGGAAAUGAAAUUAUAUCUACAAACUAAGCUAGAUGAUGUACAAGAUACUGGCAUUAACAAGUUCCUACUGGAAAGGAUUGGUCUGGAACUGAAGUACAAGAAGCGGAUCUGCAUAGAGUGCAAGUGGGACAAGCCGCCAGCAAGGUUUACUAAACUUAGUUGUGAUGGAGCUCUUAACACUCACAAAGCUGUCUGUGGGGGGCUACUCGGAGAUCAACAUGAAGAGUUAUUGCGAGCCUACUAUGGAGGUACACCAGAAAGAGAAAUUGAAUGAAAUUUACUAUAUGGAAUAUAAUGCGCAAGGAUGCUGAAUGUAGAGUAAAUUAAAUCAUCAUCGCCACAGACUCAAUGUAUGCACUAAAUAUUGUGAGAGAGUUGGAAGUGGAAGCCCCUCCAUGGUAUGUGAAGAACACUGUUGCAGGUAUCAUCUCACUGUACGUGUAAUGCAGACUGUACUUUCACGGUACUUAUAAUUAGGAUUUAGGCACAGCUACAGAGAAACAAAAUAUCCAUCAGACUAGCUUGCAAGUUUGGGUGGUGAUGUAAUGCACACUAUGUACUUUUAGGUUCAUUACAAUUGUAAACUGUAUAGUCUAUUGGUAGACGAUGAUUCAUAUUGUUUGCCUUCAUUUCUGUCAUGAUUGUAUAAAUUGUGUUAUAGACUUUCGAUGAAGUUUAGCUUUUUGGAUACAAUUUAUCUAUAGAAAAGCUUGUUUAGAUCCUUUGCGCAGGUGUUGUAUUCAUUUUCACCUACUAUUUAUUGAAACAAAGAGACCAGUCAGUAUCCUACACUUGGGCGGACGUUUACUCCAAGGUUUUGGUGAACUGUAGUCAUCUUGUGCUUGAACAAGUAACACUCAGACACCGUGUGUCAGUUUUAUCAUUGUUUUGAUCCCGGCAUUGAGGAUAAUGCUCAACAAGUGCAUGAUAAAAGGCCUGAACUAAUGAUUUAGUAGCAAAUGAAUAUAGUGUUAUAGUCUAGUUGUUGUUGGUGUUGUUGCAGGCACCAACAUUGUUGUGCAUCAAACGGCGAAAGUAUGGGAUAUUGGGAGGGAUCUGAUAGGACAAUGGAGCUGGUUUCUAUACCUGAUUGCUCUGGUAAUAACAUCUAUCUUCUAUCGACUUAAGUUUGGGCAAAUUGGACAUGUUAUUUUUAUGAAUGAUCUUUACUCAUUUCCGAAACAUAUUAUGUUCCCUCGAAUAGCAUUUGAAAAACAUAGGAAGAAGAAAUUUUUUAUUUUCCCUCUAUUAAAGGAUUCCAAAACAUAUUAUGUUCGGAAUCAAGAAAUUUAGAUUCCGACUGCUGAUAUUCCGAAACAUAUUAUGUUCAAGUCUAGAAUGCUUAAUGAGAAAACAUAGGAAUAAGAAAAUUACAGAUAGCAUCAGAAGCAACCCGCCUUUAUUUCACAUAGGCAUAGGCACAUAGCUUACCUUCUGUGCAAAACAUGGAAGAAGUUGGCUGCUUGCACCAUUGCAUGUUUAUGCCUUCUUUGCCUCACUUAGUUUUACCCAAAUACCUUCUUCAUCACAUUGAAAUGAAUCAAGCUUGUCACAUUUUUUGGUCUCAAGAUACUCUAGGUCUGGAAAGGAUUUUUCCAAUUGUGACCAUUCCAUCUCUAAAUCUUUCAAGAACUUAAGGCGUAAAACCUUGACCUUCCAGGUUUGAUUUUCCUCGAUGCCCAAGCUACAAAGCUUACCUCCCCUGAUAUAGAGCCUUUCCAGUUUUUCAAAUUGGCUAGGCUUUAACCAGAUCGGUGUGUUCGUUUUGGGGAAGCAUCGAAGGUCCAGUUUUUCCAGAUCCUGAGGCAUUGAAAUUAGAGACGACGUAGUGAAGGUUGCUGCCCUCUCAAGUUUUUUUGACUUAGUCGUGGUUGCUGUCGUCUCAAGGUUUUCUGACGUUGCCAUGGUUGCUUCCUCCUCAAGUUUAGCAACAACAGCUUCCUGAGUAACAGAUUUAAUCACUCCUCCCCAUGUUAUACUUAGAAUACGAAGUUUUUCGAACUUUUGCAAUUCAAGAAGGUCUUCUUCUGCAACAAUGGCAUCACUCCCAAUAAUUAAGCUCAGUUUCCUCAGCUUCUUUAAAUUAGACAAAUCUUUGAGCUGACACGGAUCCUUACUUACUGAGUUAGCUAUCACAAACCCCUUUAGCACUUGAAGAUCGGUAAGUGCUUGAAGCCCCUUAGGCAUCUGUUCAAGUAAGUAACACUCAGACACAUCUAAGUGUGUCAGUUUCUUCAUUGCUUUGAUCCCAGCUGGCAACUUCUCCAAGUUGUGACAUGCACGAAGGUCUAAUAUUUGAAGACUAGUGAGCUUGGCUACGGACUUUGGGAGAUCAGUUAUUCUCGAUAUCCCACGAAAGCUGAGAUACUUUAAGUGCUUCUGAGCACCCAAAGCUUUCAAGAAUUCAAUUUCUUCUACUUCAAUAUGAUGACUAGCAGAGUUUUGCCAUCUCCCUAAUUGAAGAACAACAAGCUUUGGGUGUUUCGUAAACCACUCUAGUUCAAUAUUAAGGUAUUUCUUAUUCACAUUGAAUAAGGUUAUUGUUCCCUCCUGUCUCGAGGUGCUAGCAUUUGUUGCACUUACACCAUGUGUCAUUACAGUCGCCUCCUGUCUCAAACCGCUAGCAGUUGUUACAUGUCCAUCAGGCUGAUUUACGUGAGCCUGAUGCACUUCCUUCUUUUUUGAACUGCUACCGUUUGAAACACUUCCAUCAGGAGGAGUUACAUGGGCCUGCUGCACUUCAAUCUCUUCCGAACUGCUCGCAGUUAUUACACUGCCACCAGGUGCUUUUACAUGGGGCUGAUGCACUUCCUCCUGUCUUGAAUCGGUAGCCGAUGUUACACUUCCACCAGGAGCCUUUCCUUGAUCCUUGUACACUUCCUCCUGUUUUGAAUUGUUUCCAUCUUUUACUUUUUCACUAGGUGAUACAAAGCACACACGGCGUGAUAUGGGUGACUCUUCAGCAGGUUUUCCACUGUCAUCGAAGUCAAAGAAACCAGCUUUUUUAGCGACUGAAAUCACCAUGCGACGAAUCCAAGGAUGCAUAGUAAAGCUGCUAACCAUUGGUCUCCUAUUUUUUUGCACAGGAUUGAUCAUGCCCUUAUUCAGCAACUUUUCCAAAACCUCUUCUCCUACUUUCUCAGAACUUACAAGGCCUUCACCAAUCCACCAGUAGAUCAGAGGCCUCUUCUUGAUAAAUGAUUUCUGUGGGAAGAUCGAGAAACAAAGCAAGCACAGUUUCAAUUGGAGUUCAAGAUUAUCAUAACUGACCUGAAGAAUUUUCAUGACAGGAUUCACCAAAAUUUUCUUUUCUAUGCUAAGUUGCUGCCAGUCUAAUGACAUCUUCCAAUCUUUUGACGCUGUUUGUUCCGACUGGGGCUUCCCAGAAGUCUUGUUAUCGAUAACUGACUGCAACUCAAUUUUAGAAUUCAUUGCUUUGAUCUUUUCAAUUUUCUCAUUCAUACUCAGAAACUUUUCAUUAAUCUUUUCUUCAGUAAAGUUGGCGAAAGUUUCACCUGCAAUAUCUUGCUCAAGAGCAUCAAAUUCUUGAAUAACAAGUUCUUCCCAAGAUUUGACUAUUGGAAAUAAUCCUGUCAUAUCUUUAAGCUCUUUCUCAAUCUUCUCAAAUUGUUCAUUCAGAAUAUCAGCAUUGCUACUUCCAUCUAGUUUAGCUUUGGCUAUUCGCUGCACCAAAGUUUUGAUAAUAAUUUCUGGAUUCCUUCGAAUUGGCAUUUUGAAAAUGGAAUGAAUAGUGAUAGAAACAAGUUAGAUGAAUGCAGGUUUAGGAUGAAAGCUUAGAAAAGGAGAAGAGUGAUUACAUUAAUACUAUAUACAGUAUUAACUUGGCCAUUGUUUAACAUGUCUUGAUUAGCUGGGCAAUGAGUGUUUACAUUACUACUAACCUAGUCUUUGGCAUUUUCUGCAAUCCACAUAUCCCCAUCCAUAUGCCCAUGUCUUUAUCAAUAUGAUAACCUUGCAAGUGGUGAUUUUUUUUCCCCAGUUGAAUGGCAAGACAGGUAGGAGGGUCUCCUGCCUAUUUAAAUUACUAUGUAGUAUGUAGCUGUAUGCGCUUCGUGCAUAACUUUAUGUUUGAGUAUGGUUUUUAGUCAAAUAAAAAAAAUUAUGGUAUUUUUCUUUCAUAUUUAAGGAUAAUUUAAUAAUUUAGAUGGGUAAAAAAAUGAUAUUAUGAUUAUUUAUUCUUAAAUAGAGAUGUUCUAGUCAUUUGAUAUCAAAUAAAUGUUUUUUGGUUUUCGAAGAGGUAUCAUGGUAAUGUAAAUUAAUAAUAAGAAUAUUCAAAUAGAGGUAUUUUAGGUGAGCUUUUAGGUACCAAAUUUUUUUCCCAUGGGCCAGAUGUGUUUUGGGGUCUUAUAGGUUAUUUAAAUGUUGUUGGGCCAUAUGGAUUAAAUGCUUGGACUAAUAACUAAUCUGGUAAAACUGGUCCAUAUCAUGGGAACAAAUGUCAAUAUUUUUUCAAUUAGGUUACGGAAAGAAAGCUGACGUCAGUUUACUAUUCACAGUCAUGUUCUCAUUAAGGUAGUUUAGAUGUAACAUAACUCUGUCAAUAAUCAGUUGUUGAGGAGUUUUAUUCCCACAAACUUUCCUCAAAGUGAAAGAGAUGUAAUCCACCAAGUUUUUUUUUUUUUUAUUAUUAUUAUUGGUAAACAGGGUUGAAGGGACCCCUACCCUUUAACAAUCAGCUGUUGACGUGUUUCGAACCCACAACCUCUCCACUUUAUGAGAGGGGUGCUACGAUUGAGCCAUAGGCUCAUUUGCAUAAUCCACCAAGUUAGGGGCACUAAUUGAUAUAUAGUUCCUUCCCAACAACUUUAUGCAUUUUAAUACUGAUCUUCAAUCUCUAUUCAACUUGCUUUUUUUAGAAAAAACUAUUAGCAUAUGACAUGGGAAUAAAUUAAUCGUUUUGACGACUUUAACGUUUCUAUUAAGACAAGCAAACAGGAAUGCCAAGAAAAAAAUGUUUAUGCUUACUAAUUUUUUUUUUUUUUUUUUAAUUUGAAUAUAAAUUGAAUUUAUGAAUAUUUAAGUAAAAGUCUCUAGACAGACCAAGGGUUAAGUAGCAAUUAAUAUAAAACAGUGGACUAAAUUAAUUAAUAAACUUAAACUUGAAGAAAAAAAAAUCCCCGAUCACAGUUUUGAUCAUAGGUGAAAAUUUAUACUACUAUUAUAAACCUGAAUAAAUUUCAGGGGUAAGUCCCGGUUAAUGAGAAUUGAGCUAUAGAAUUUUAUCACCCAAUUCUGACUAAAAUACCCUUUUAGACAUGGUUUUUUGGUAAAUUUAUAUAAUACCAUUUAAGUAAUGGUUUUCUUGUAACUUAACAUGUUUUAUUUAUGGACUGAAUUUUUAUAUAUCAAAAAAAGCCUAAUAAUUAAACGAGGGAAAAAAAAAACGGACCCAAUUAAGGUGUGAAAAUAUAAGAUUGGACCAGUUAGGGAACUAAUGGUAAAAUAGGCCCAACCGCUGAUUUCCGUGUCUUAUGGACUAGUUUACCCUUCAACUGAUGCAAAGACUUGUUUGCAUAUCAUAAACAUAUAAACAUACUUACUUAUAUCAGUCACAAUACAAAUAUAAAAUGCAAAGACUUGUUUGCAUACUUGCAAACAACAAUAUAAACCAUAAAAUGUAAAUGCAAAGAAUUGUUUGCAUACUCGAAACGACGACAAGAUAAACUAGAAAAUGUAAAGACUUGUUUGCAUCAGUCACAACACAUAAAGAUUAAAUGCAAAAACUUGUUUGCAUACUCGAAACAAUGACAUACCAUAAAAAUGCAAACAUUUGUUUGCAUAAACCAGAAGGGUAUUAUCGGUAGUGAAAGGGCCGUUUUUACAAUAUCAACGUUAAAUGGGUCUUUUCUUAUUUUACAAAUGCUUAAUGAGGGCCAAUUUUACAAACCGGGCCUUAGUUGGGCCAAUUGUGUUUUAUAGGUGCUUAAUGAGGGCCUAGAACCAUUUCCAACAAAUAAUUAAAUUAACAAAAUACAAUGAGAAUAAUGAAUUUACUUAUACGAUUUAAUAAAUUAGUGUAAUUUAUAAUAUUUAAUAAAAUUAAUAACUUAAAACUCGAAUGCUAACACGGAUAAAUUAAAAUUAACCGGUGCGUAGCACCGGCUAAGGCACUAGUAUCGAAUAAUCUCGAAUAUCCGAUUCGUGAAAAACCGGAUUAUUCCACGAAUAUCCCAAAGCCAGUGUCAAAAUGGGGAGGUUUGGCAAAUAUGCUUCUCGCGAAAUAUAUUCUGAAAAAUUCGGCAGAAUGCGGAGGUUUUCUACUAAUAUCAUAUUUUUCUUCUUCUUUCAAUGUAUAAACUUAUAAUUCAAUAAUAGAAUAUAUAAACACACCCCUUUUUUAUUAUAUAGCCAUUAUCAUCCAAAGAAAGACAUACGUUUUAAUUUAAACACACCCUCUUUUUAUUAUAUAGGUUAUGCAUUUAUAAAUAAAUUUGGGUAUUGAAAUUCGAAAUUGUAAGUAUAGAGAAAACUAGAUAAGUUAUAAAACAAUGUAAGAAUUAUUGAAACUUCGAGACAAAAGGUAUAGUGGUUUUUGCAGACCUUAAAACUGGGGGAAGACAACUCAUAAAUUCCGAAUUUUUUGUAAAUUUCGUAUUUUUCGAAUUUUUUGUUAAGAGGGAGGUUUUUGUUUCGUAUUAUAUCCGUAUGCCGUACCGUUCCGAAUUCCCAAAAAACAAAAAAAUUCGAUAUGAUUUUUCGUUAAGAGGGAGGUUUUUUUUUUUCCCUUCAUAUAGAGAUAGAGAGGCGCAUGGGUCUGUAGUUGAAGUUCAAGUUGUAGACUAAGAAAGAAGUAGUUGCAGAGAUGGGCAACUACUGCAAGUGGAGUUGAUGUAACAACGCGAAUUUUUCUACCUUUUUUAAAAAUAUGAUUUUAAGAUUUAUUGGAUUGAAAAUUUAGUUUAAAAGACGUGGCUAUAAAUUUCGUUAAAAAUCCGGAUGUCACAUGACCAUUGUAGAAUUUUAAUAAUAGUAGGGGUACAUGGUUAAUUUGCAUAGAAGGCAAAACUGUGAUAAUGUUAUCGUAGGUUCAUAGUGGUUAGAAUUGAGGAUAAUAGAUUAAGAAGAAAGAAGAUCUGAUGGCUGGCAUUAAUGGUGUUUCAUUAGCCAGACACUGUAACCAAGAGAAGACAGAGAGAAAGAAACACGAGUAGAGACUUUGAGAGAAAGAAAGAAUUGAAACAAGGGACACUGGGGUCUGGGAGUCUGGGACAGUAACCUUUAAUUGUUUUGGUGCGGGUUUCGAGGACAUGCUUGCAUUUCAUUUGCAUUUGAUUGAUCAACUGUACAUAAUUUUGUCUUAUCCUGGUGAGUGGAAUCUCACUUUGUUUUACUUAAAAUUCACUGUUAUGAUUUUUUUAUUUAAAAGCAUCUAAACUACUUUUUAAGGAGCCUCCUUCCCGAGGUCGUUCAUGAGGCCUGACGUGUCUUUCAUAUACAGUUCCGAUUAUACCCCUAUAUUUUAUACAUAAUUUCGAUUAUACCUCUAUCUUUUAUAAAUAGUUUCAAUUAUACCCCUACCUCUUAUUAAAAUUUCGAUUAUACCCCUAUCUCUUAUAAAUAGUUUCAAUUAUACCCUUAUCUCUUAUAAAUAGUUUCGAUUAUACCCCUACCUCUUAUUAAAGUUCCGAUUAUACCCCUAUCUCUUAUAAACAGUUCCAAUUUUAUCCCUAAAUUUUGAUUUUAUUUCUAUAGUUCCAAUUUUCUCCCUAAGUUCCGAUUUUAUUUUUCCACUUUCGAUUUUACCCCUAAGUUCUGAUUUUAUUUCCACAUUUUCGAUUUUAUCCUAAUGUAUUAAGAGUUGUACACUACAAUGAAAAAGGUAAAAAAAUAAUUUCAAAAAAAGUGGGACCUAUUAUAAUUUAUAUAAGAUAGCGUGUUUAUUUCCACAGUUUCGAUUUUACCUCUUAUGUAUUAAGGUUUGUAUACUACAAUGUAAAGGGCAAAAAAAUAAUUUCAAAAAAGUGGAACCUACUGUAAUUUAUAUAAGAUAAUUUCAAAAAAAAAUGGAACCUACUAUAAUUUAUAAAUAUAAAAAACCUACAGAGUUUUGUUAAAAAAAAAAAAAAAAAAAUAUAUAUAUAUAUAUAUAUAUAUAUAUAUAUAUAUAUUUUUUUUUUUUUUUUUUUUUUUUUUUUUUUUUAUGAAGUAGUUAUAAAUCCAAAUAAACAUUUAAAUAGGUUUUUUUUUUUAUUAGGCAUAAAUAAAUCUAUUAUUUUUUGUUCGCACGCAUUAGACGUGCACAUUCACAUAGUACAAAUUAAUGGAUACCAUGAUACAUGAUACUGUCGGAUAAACAGAGAAACAAACUGAAUAAUAAACAAGGUAAUAGAAACAAAUUACAACUGUUUUUUUCUAUUGAUUGAUGAAAACUCUUAAUACAAAGAUGAACUGAUUCUAACUUAUUUAUAAUAGAAAAACAACAACGAACGUGAAUGAAACUUAAACAACUAAAUCAACAUAAACAUGACUCAAUAAAACUAGCACUUCUCCUAGAUAAUAGCUACUACAUUUCUAACUUGGUAAAACACUAACACACUAAUAUGGAUAGACUUUGUCAACAGCUCAAUACUAACACUUAGUUUAAGGACUUAGACUUACAUUAACUUUUAUCAUUCUCCCUUCAUGUAAAACUGAUAACAUUGAGUAAGGAUCGAAACUUCGCGAACUUAGGAUAUGAGAGUGCCUUGGGUAAGUCCAUUUGCAACUUGAUCUUUUGCAGAACAAUACUUCACCACGAUAUAACCUUUUGCAACUGCAUCUCGAAUAAAAUAAUGACGAAGCUCAAUGUGCUUUGUUCUUCCAUGGAAAAUCGAAUUCUUCGUCAUUGAGAUAGUAGCUUUGUUGUCACAAUAGACCUUUAUUGUUGCUUCUGCUUGAACUUGGUGCAAGUCCUACAAAACUCUUCGCAUCCAAAUGGCAUGACAUGCUGCUGCAGAUGCUGCCAUAUAUUCAGCUUCAGAUGUUGAUAAUGCUACCGUUGCUUGCUUCUUUGAGAGCCAUGAUAUAUCUCCUGAACCCAGGCUAAAAACAAAUCCACUUAUACUUUUGCGGUUAUCUACGAAACCUGCCCAAUCAUUGUCAGUAAAUCUGACUAAGCUGAAAUUUUUUUGAACUGACUUAUACAAUAUCCCAUAGCUAAUCGUUGCCUGAAUAUACCGAAAAAUGCGCUUGGCAGCUCCAAGAUGAUGCACGAAAGGAUUGUGCAUAAACCUUGACACCAAACUGACAACGAACAUUAUAUCCGAACGUGAGUGAGUAAACAUCAGCCCACCAACCAUGCUUCUAAAAAAUCUCUCAUAGGCCUAUGGUGUUCCAUCAUUCAAUGACAACUUCUCAUUCGUGUUCAUGGGAGUCGAAGAUGUCUUGCAAUUCAGCAUAUUGGACCUCUUGAGCAAGUCCAACGCAUAUGUUUCCUGAGUUAUAAAGAUUCCAUCAUCUAAUUGAUGAACUUGAAGACCAAGAAAAUAAUGGAGAAGACCCAAAUCGGACAUAUCAAACUCCUUCAUCAUGCUUUCCUUAAAUUCCUUCACAAGAGUGUUAAAAGAUGCAGUGUAUAUAAUAUCAUCAACAUAUACACAUACAAUAAGAAUAUCACCAGUACCUUUCACCUUCACAUACAAUGUAGGCUCAUUAUCACUUCGAUGAAACCCAUCCUUACGAAGAUAAGAAUCAAGGUGGCUAUACCAGGCUCUUGGUGCUUGCUUGUGUUGUAUAUUGGCUCGCAACAGUUGGGUGCACAUGAUCAUACCUUAUAAGAUGUGUGAUCCAUAGGAUCAGUUCCUAUAUUGGUUAAGGAAACCAUACAUGUGCAGGAGUUCUCAUUAGACUCGGUUUCCUAUUUAUCUCGGUUUUAAAUAAGUAAUCCUAUAUGGAUUUGGUUUCCAUCCAUAGGUUAUAAAUACCCAAGUAACUUGGUAUUUAAGAAAACAAGAGAGUAAAACAAUAAAAACAUAGAGAUAGAAAGAGUAAGUGAGAGAGAACUUUGGGCGCCAAGGGUGUAUUGGGUUUAAGGUGAGAGAUUAAGAUCUUGAGAAAAAUACUAGGGAGAUUAUUUGUAACACCCCUGGUCGGCAGGUGGUUUGCCGAGGGGGUGGGUCCUACGACACGUAAGAGAGGGAUGUCCUGACAUUGGAAUAUAAGUAUAAAUCCAUCAUAUAUUAUCAUCGAGACCUUUUGGGCUAACUUGGCUCCAAAGUUCGAAAGAACUCCGAAGCUUGGCUCUAGAGUUCGAAAGAACUUCGAAGUUAAGCGUGCUCGGGUGGGAGUAAUUCUCAGGAUGGUGACCUCCUAGGAAGCAGGUUGCUGCCCAAUAAAACCCCACACUGUUGGACAUCCACAGUGCCUAAGUGGGGACAAUAUAUCACCACCGAUAUCGAACGUCCGCAAUGGGCUAAGUGUGGGGUUUUAUUGGGCAGCAGCCUGCUUCCCAGGAGGUUACCCAUCCUGAGAAUUACUCCCACCCGAGCACGCUUAACUCCGGAGUUCUUUCGAACUCUGGAGCCAAGUGAGCCCAAAAUGCCUCGGUGAUAAUAUAUGACGGAUCUAUAUCUAUAUUCCAAUGUCAGGACAUCCCCCUCUUACUUGUCAUAGGACCCACCCCUUCUGCAAACAACCUGCUGAUCCGGGGUGUUACAUUAUUGGAAUCGGUGUUUCUUUUCUUAUAGUGAAAUCUUCUCAUUAUUCCCCGUGGAGGUAGGCAUUGCCGAACCAUGCACGUAUAUCUUGGUGUUAUUGUUUUUUAUUGUUUUAUUCUUUUAUACUAUUUUUUAUUGUUUGGUAAUCUUCGACUUCAUUAACAAACGAAUCAUGUAUUGCAAAGGAGGUGUUCUCACGAAUAUCUAGAUUGCGGAUUGUUGACGUUGUUGGGAUUUAAUUAAUCAAUGCAUAUAGUUCAACAAGUAGUAUCAAGAGCUUAGGUUGGAUUUAAGGUUUUGUCAAAGAUGACGGAGACAACAAGUGUUCCUGCGAAUUGUGACGGUAAGAAACCAUCGGUUACUACUCUUGGCGGCGAUGUAAUUAUUGAGAUUAAACUGUUUGACGGUAGAGAUAAUUUUACACUAUGGCAAAGGAAGAUGAGAAACAUUUUGAUCCAAAAAGAUCUUCAUGUGGUUCUUAAUUGGAAAGACAAGAAACCAAAGGACAUAUCAGAUGACAAGUGGAGCAAAGCAGAUAUCAAAGCUAUGAGUUCCAUCGAACUACAUAUCUCGGACGAGGCGAUGUUUAAUGUGAUGGAGGAAACUAGCGUCAAAGGAACAUGGGAAAAGCUCGAGAAGUUGUAUAUGGUUAAGUUUUUAUCCAAUAAACAUUUCUUCAAAGAUGAACUCUUGAAUCUUCGGAUGGAAGAAGGUGAUGAUCUUAUGGAACAUCUAAACGUGUUCAAUAAGUGCAUCACAAAUUUGCUAUGGGUAGAUGUGAAGUAUGACGAUGACGACAAGUCUCUGUACCUGGUAAGAUCUUUUCCUCCAUCGUUCAAGCACUUCAGGACUACAUUGAUGUCCAGCAAGGAUACUUUAAAGUAUGAUGAAGUUGUUCAAGACAUAAUCUCUCAUGUGAAGAUGAAUUAGAACACAAGUGAAAACAGUCGAGCAGAAGGACUAUAUGUCAAGAAUUCUAAUGAGAGGGGCCGAACAAAUAAGAGAAGUAGCAAAUCAAAAGGCAGGGGCAGAUCUAAAUCCAGGGAUAAAGAAGGUUGCUUUGAAUGUGGUGCGACAGACCACUGGAAAUAAGAUUGUAAGAAAUAUAAGGAAAAGAAGAAGAAGGCCGAAAAUUCAAAUUCUGUCAGCGUUGUUACAGAUGAUAGCGACGGAGAAAUUUUGGCAACUUCUUCAGGUAAUGAUAUUUCUUCGCCUUGGAUUUUAGAUUGUGGUGCUUCUUAUCAUAUGUGUUCAAAUAAAGACUGGUUUGAAACGUUUGAGAAAAGAAAAGACGACGUAGUUUUUAUGGGGAAUAAUUCCAGUUGUAAAGUUUGUGGAAUUGGUACAGUAAAGUUGAAGAUGCAUGAUGAAAUUGUUAGGACUCUGGGUAACGUGAAAUACGUUCCUGCACUAAGGAAAAAUCUUAUUUCCCUGAGUUAUUUGGAUAAAAAUAGGUACACAUACAAAUCGAAAGAUGAGAAUCUCAUAGUCUCAAAGGAUUCAUUUGUCGUUAUGAGAGGAGUAAGACUUUCUAAAAAUUUGUACAAGCUUUUGGGAAAUACAGUAAUUGGUGGAGCUGCAGUUUCUACAAAAGAAGAUCGCACUCAGCUUUGGUACUUGAGGCUAGGGCAUAUGAGUGAAAGAGCGACGGAAGAACUACACAAGCGACAAUUCUUGAAGGGUGUAGGAGAGUGUAAACUUGAGUAUUUGCAAGUAUUCUAUCAUGGGAAAGCAAACUAAAGUACUCUUCAAAGCUGCAAAUACAAAGAACAUAAGUACUUAACUAUAUUCACUCAGAUGUGUGGGGACCUUCACCUACUCAAUCAAAAGGUGGAGCUCACUACUUUGUCACUUUCAUACAUGAUUUUUCGAGGAAAGUUUGGGUCUACUUCAUAAAGGAGAAAUUCGAAGUUUUCACUAAAUUCAAGGAGUGGAAGGCAGAGGUAGAGAAUCAAACAGGUAGAAAAAUCAAGUAUCUAAGAACUUAUAAUGGCGGUGAAUAUAAAGAUAAGAAGUUUCUACAAUACUGCAAAGAUGAAGGUAUUACAAGGCAUUUUAUCGUGAAAAAGAAUCCCCAACAGAAUGGAGCUGCAGAAAGGAUGAAUAAAACUCUUAUGAAUAAAGAGAGGUGCAUGAGGUUUCAUGCAGGUUUGCCAGAGAUGUUUUGGGCAGGGUCGCUUAACUAUGCUUGUCACUUGGUUAAUCGUUCACCAUCCAAGAUAUUUGAUUUCAGAUAUGCAGAAGAGGUAUGGUCAGGUAAACCGGUAGACUACUCUACUUUGAAGGUAUUUAGAUGUAGUGCAUAUGCUCUAAUUCCCAGUGAUGAGAGAACCAAACUUAAACCUAAAUCUCAUGAAUGCAUUUUCAUCGGCUUCGAGAAGGGAGUGAAGGGUUAUAAGAUAUGGGAUCCAGUGAACCGUAAGAAAAUCUUUACUAGAGAUGUUGUGUUUGAUGAGAAGACUAUGCCUAUGAAUCAAGACAUAAAGAAUGAUACGUGAGAAAAAAAUUAUUGGUGAGAAAACAACUACAGAGAUAUCUCCUCUUACCAAGGUAUCCAACAGGGAGACUCCUAUUCAGGUGGAGGAGUCAGAUGCAAGGGUCGAAGAGGAUGGGCCAGAACAACAACAGUGUGAAAAGGAGGCUGAAUUUAAUAAGGAUAAGCAACAACCUUACAGCAUAACAAAGAACCGGGGCCAAAGACAAGUCAAAGCACAUAUUAAACUUGGGUUCGAGGAAGAAGUUCAUUAUGCUUUAAGCAUUAGUGAAGGUGAUCCUACUUCUUAUCGUGAAGCAGUUGAAAGUAACUAAAGAGGAGUGGAUUAAAGCUAUGGCUGAAGAGAUGAAAUCUCUAUACAAGAACUCUAUUUGGGAGUUGGUUCCUAAACCCACAGAAAGAAAAAUUGUUGGCUGUAACUGGGUUUACAGGAAGAAGGAAGGAAUGCAUGAGAAAGAACCACCAAAGUUCAAAGCACGUUUGGUGGCGAAGGGGUACUCACAGAAGGAAGGAGUUGAUUAUGAUGAAUUUUUCUCUCCGGUAGUGAAACAUACUUCUAUUAGAGUGUUACUAUCACUGGUUGCUCAACAGGAUAUGGAGUUUGAGUAGUUAGAUGUCAAAACUAUUUUUCUCCAUGGUGAAUUAGAGGAAGUCAUCUACAUGGCUCAACCUCAUGGUUUUGUUGAAGCUGGUAAGGAAAAUCUGGUUUGUAGGUCGAAGAAGUCUCUUUACGGGUUCAAACAAUCUUUAAGGCAGUGGUAUAAACACUUCGACUCUUAUAUGUUAAACAUUGGGUAUAGAAGAUGUGACUAUAAUUGUUGUGUGUACACUCAUGUGUUCGAUAAUGGGAUGAUGAUCCUAUUGCUACUUUAUGUAGAUGACAUGCUUAUUGUUUGUUGGGAUAUGUCUAGAAUUAAGAAGCUGAAGACGUUAUUAAGCAAGAAAUUAGACAUGAAGGAUCUUGGUUCUGUACAGAAAAUCUUAGGUAUGGAGAUAAGGAAAGACAGUAAAGCGAGAAUGUUAUGGUUGUCACAAGUCAAAUACAUUCAAAAGGUACUUGAGCGCUUCAAUAUGAUUCAUGCAGAUCCUGUGUCAACUCCUUUGAACAACAAUUUUGUUUUAAACAAAAGUCAAUGUCCUUCCACAUAUGCUGAAGUUGAAGAGAUGAAGAAUAAGCUGUAUGCAAGCGUAGUAGGGUGUCUCAUAUACUCAAUGGAAUGCAUAUGACCUGAUUUAGCUCAAGCACUAAGUGUAGUAUCGAGAUACAUGGCGAAUCCGAGAAAGCCACACUAGAAAGUUCUGACAUGAAUUCUCAAGUAUCUGAAGGGCACUAAGACAUUGAGUAUCUUGUUUGAAAGACAACAAGGGGAAACAUGUGUUUCGGUUAGCGAAUAUCAAUAUGUUUCAUUCUUGAAUGAAACAUUUGAUUCUUUGCAAGGUAAAUAACACUCUGACUGUCACAUCUUAUCAUCAUAGAACUUUGAUUUAACCCGAACAUGCUUACUAAUCCAUUCAGCCAAAUAGCUUCCUUGCAAGCUUCUAUUACCACCAUAUAUUUCGCAUCAGUAGUAGAUAAAACAGUAACCGUUUGGAGCAUUGAUCUCCAACUAACCAGUCCUUCACCAUAAGUGAAGACGUACCCUGUGGUGGAUCUUCGAUUAUCAAAAUCUCCUGUAUAAUCAGCAUCCACAUAACCCGAAACACAUGUUUUCCCUUGUUGUUUUUCAAACAAGAUACCCAACGUCUUAGUGCCCUUCAGAUACUUGAAAAUCCAUGUCACAACUUUUCACUGUCGUUUUUCCGGAUUCACUAUGUAUCUCGAUAUUACACUUAGUGUUUGAGCUAAAUCAGGUCUUGUGCAUACCAUUGAGUACAUGAGACACCCUACUGCGCUUGCAUAUGGUUUUUUUUCUUCAUUUCUUCCACUUCAGCAUCUGUGGAAGGACAUUGACUUUUGUUUAAAAUAAAACUGUUGUUCAAAGGAGUUAACACAGGAUCUGCAUCAAUCAUAUUGAACCGCCCAAGUACCUUUUAAAUGUACUUGACUUGUGACAGCUAUAAUUUUCCCGCUUUCAUGUUUUUCCUUAUUUCCAUACCUAGGAUCUUCUGCACAGAAUCAAGAUCCUUCACGUCAAAUUCCUUGCUUAAUAAUGUCUUCAGCUCUUUAAUUCUAGACAUAUAUAUCUACACAAUAGCAAUAAGCAUGUCAUUUACAUAAAGUAAUAGGAUCACCAUCCCAUCAUCGAACACAUGAGUGUACACACAAUAACUGCAUAUUCUAUAUCCAAUGUUUAGCAUAUAAGAGUCGAAGCGUUUGUACCAGUGCCUUGAAGAUUGAUUGAGCUCGUAAAGAGAAUUCUUCAACCUACUAACCAAAUUUUUCUUACCCGCUUCAAUGAAAUCCUGAGGUUGAGCCAUGUAGAUGACUUCCUUUAAUUUGCCAUGGAGAAAAGCAGUUUUGACAUCUAACUGCUUAAGCUCCAUAUCUUGUUGAGCAACCAGUAAAAGUAACACUCUAAUAGAAGUAUGUUUUACUACCGGAAAGAAAAUUUCAUCACAAUCAACUCCUUUCUUUUAUGAGUACCCCUUCGCUACCAAACGUGUUUUGAACUUUAGUGGUUCUUUCUCAUGCAUUCCUUCCUUCUUCCUGUAAACCCACUUACAGCCAACAAUUAUUUUUUCUGGAAUUUUAGGAACCAACUCCCAAACGGAGUUCUUGUAUAGAUUUUCCAUCUCUUCAGCCAUAGCUUUAAUCCACUCUUCUCUUUCAUUACUUUCAACUGUUUCACGAUAAGAACUAGGAUCACCUUCACUAAUGCUUAAAGCAUAAUGAACUUCUUCCACGAACCCAAGUCUAAUAGGUGUUUUGACUUGUCUUUAGCCUUGGUUCUUAGUUAUGUUGUAAGGUUGUUCCUUAUCUUUAUCAGAUUCAACCUCCUUUUCACACUGUUGUUGUUCUGGUCCAUUCUCUUCAACCCCUGCAUCUGACUCCUCCACCUGAAUAAGAGUCUCCCUGUUGGAUACCUUAAUAAGAGGAAAUAUUCAGGGACGAACCGAGGAUUUUGAUUCUGGGGGUGGACAAAAUAAUUCAUAUAUACAAAAAAAAAAAAAAAAAAAAAAAUUGAUUAUAACACAAUGUAACUCCGAUCCAUACCAGUAUAAUAUGAAAAUGUUGUAAUUUUUGUAUUUCAAUAUAUUGUCACAAGGCUGCAAAAGUAGCAAUUUUUACUCUUUUCAACACACUAUUUCCUCAAUUCCUCGCUCUUACUUGAAAUUUUGAACAGUGGAAUCUAAGUUUGCCUUUUUGUAGUUCAAUUGUAUACACGGUAGAAAAGAGAGAGAGAGACCAUGCUUCCAUGCCAAUACAAAGAUCUUUCUAUUCUCCAUAUUUUCUUAUUGGGUUUUAAGAAUAGGCUAGGCUUAUUUAAUUUUUUUUUUUUUUUAAAAUUAGAAAAACAUCAAAAGUUCAGGGGGUGCAUCUGCACCCCCUCUGGCUCCUAUGUAGGUCCAUCCCUGGAGAUAUCUCUAUAGUUACUUUCUCAAUAAUAGUGUUUUUCUCACUAUUCUUCAUGUCUUGGUUCAUAAACAUAGUCUUCUCAUCAAAAACAACAUCUCUAUUAAGGAUUUUCUUCCCAUUCACUAGAUCCCAUAACUUAUAACCCUUCAUUCCCUUCUCGAAGCCGAUGAAAAUGUAUUCACGAGAUUUGGGUUUAAGUUUGGUUCUCUCAUCAAUGGAAUAAGAGCAUAUGCACUACAUCCAAAUACCUUCAAAGUAGAGUUGUCUACAGGUUUACCUGACCAUACCUCUUCUGCACAUUUGAAAUCAAGCAUCUUCGAUGGUGAACGAUUAACCAAGUGACAAGCAUGGUUAAACGACUUUGCCCAAAACAUCUCUGGCAGACCUACAUGAAACCGGCCUCAUGCACCUCUCUUUAUUCAUGAGAGUCCUAUUCAUCCUCUCUGCAGCUCCAUUAUAUUGGGGAUUCUUCUUCAGGGUAAAAUGCAUUGUAGUACCUUCAUUUUUGCAGUACUGUAAAAACAUCUUAUCCUUAUACUCACCGCCAUUGUCAGUUCUUAGAUACUUGAUUUUUCUGCCCAUUUGAUUUUCUACCUCUGCCUCUUACUCCUUGAAUUUUGUAAAAACUUCGGAUCUCUCCUUCAUGUAGUAGACCCAAACAUUCCUUGAAAAAUCAUCCAUGAAAGUGACAAAGUAGUGAGUUCCACCUUUUGUUUGAGUAGGUGAAGGCCCUCACAAACCUGAGUGAAUAUAAUUAAACAUUUUUGUACUUCUGUUCUUUGUAUUUGUAGUUUGAAGACUACUUUAAUUUGAUUUCCCAUAAUACAAUACUUGCAGAACUCAAGUUUACACUCUCCUACACCCUACAACAAUUGUCCCUUGUGUACUUCUUGCAUGGCUCUUUCACUCAUAUGCUCUAGCCUCAAGUGUCAAACCUGAGUACGAUCUUCUUGUAUAGAAACUGCAGCUCCACCAAUUACUGUAUUUACCAAAUUCUUGUACAAAUUGUUAGAAAGUCUUACUCCUCUCAUAACCACAAGCUAGUGAACUCUUUGAGACUACGAGAUUCCCAUAUUUGGAUUUGUAUGUGUACCCAUUCUUAUUCAAAUAACCCAGAGAAAUGAGAUUCUUCCUUAGUGCAGGAACGUAUUUCACGUUACCUAGAGUCCUAACAAUUCCAUCAUGCAGCUUCAACUUUACCAUACCGAUUCCACAAACUUUAAAACUGGAAUCAUUCCCCAUAAAAACUAUGUCGCCUUUUCUUUUCUCAAACGUGUAAAACUAGUCUUUGUUUGAACACAUAUGAUAAAAAGCACCAUAAUCUAAAAUCCAAUGCGAAGAAAUAUCAUUACCUGAAGAAGUUGCCAAAAUUUCUCCGUCGCUAUCAUCUGUAACAACACUGGAGGAAUUUGAAUUUUUGGCCUUCUUCUUUUUUUUCUUAUGUUUCUUACAAUCUCGUUUCCAUUGGUCUGUCGCACCACAUUCAAAGCAACUUUCUUUAUCCCUUGAUUUAGAUCUACCCCUGCCUUUUGAUUUGUUACUUCUGUUAUUUGUUCGACUCACCUCAUUAGAAUUUUUAACGUAUAGUCCAUCUGCAUAAGAGUUUUCACCUGUGUUCUUACCCAUCUUCACUUAAGAGAUUAUAUCUUAAACAACUUCAUCAUACUUUAAAGUAUCCUUGUCGAACAUCAAUGUGGUCCUGAAGUGCUUGAAAGAUGAAGGCAAAGAUCUGAGCAAGUACAAAGACUUGUCUUCAUCGUCAUACUUCACAUCCACCCGUAGCAAAUUUGUGAUGCACUUAUCGAACACGUUUAGAUGUUCCAUAAAUCACCACCUUCUUCCAUCCGAAGAUUCAAGAGUUCAUCUUUCAAGAACAGUUUAUUAGAUAAAGACUUACGCAUAUACAACUUCUUGAGCUUUUCCCAUGUUCCUUUGGCGCAAGUUUCCUCCAUCACAUUAAACAUCACCUCGUCUGAGAUAUGUAGUUCAAUGGAACUCAUGGCUUUGAGAUCUUCUUUGCUCCACUCGUCAUCUGACAUGUCCUUUGGUUUCUUGUUUUUCCCGUCAAGAACCACAUGAAUAUCUUGUUGGAUCAUAACGCUUCUCAUUUUCCUUUACCAUAGUGUAAAGUUAUCUCUACUGCCAAAUAGUUUAGUCUCAACUUUUACACCGCCGCCAAAAGUAGUAUCCGAUGGUUUCUUACAGUCGCUAUUCGCAGGAACACAUGUAGUCUUCGUCAUCUAUGAUAAAACCUUAAAUCCAACUUAUGCUCUGAUACCACUUAUUGAACUAUAUGCAGUGAUUAACUAAAUCCCAACAACGUCAAAAACCUGCAACCUAGAUAUUCGUGAGAACACCUCCUUUGCAAUACAGAAUCCGUUUGUCAAUGAAUUCGAAUAUUACCAAUAAACAAUAGUGAACAAAACAAUAAAGCACAAUAACACCAAGAUAUACAUUGUUCGACAAUGGCUACCUCCACAGGGAACAAUGAGAGGAUUUCACUAUAAGAAAAGAAACACUGAUUACAAUAAUCUCCCUAAUAUCUUUCUCAAGAUCAUAAUCUCUCACCUUAAACCCAAUAUACCCUUGGCUCCCAAAAGUUCUCUUACCUUUGCUCUCUCUAUUAUCUAUUGCUUUAUAUUCUUUUUCUUGUCUAAGAUUACCACAAUGUAUUCCAAUGUAAACACAUAAUCACUGGUUGCAUUUGAUUUUCUUGUAUCAGAAAAUCUAUUCGCAUUUACCGAUCCCUCAAAGAUAUUUGGAUGUUGUCCAUAAUGCAAUGUGUAGUAUGUGUUUUCUACCCAAUAUCAAAUAUUUUUUCCUUUUAUGUGUUAAAACUAAACUAAUGAUUAAACUAGUAUAUAGCUAAGCUACGGGUGUCAAUCCACGCCAAGGAAUUGGGUAACUUUAUAUAACGAAAGUGAACUACUUAUGAUGUCGUUUACGAAAAGGGAAUGAUAUAUGAAUAUUGUUUUGAAAAUAGUUUUUUGGAUAUGAUUUGAAUAGAAUAUUAAUAUAAAGUAAACGUAAACUAAAUUAAACUCAGAAAAAAGUAAAUUUAGAGUUUUAAUUAUGAGAUAAAUAUGGGGAUCACUUCACCAUCCUAGACAAAUAUCGAACUUCAUCAAUGUAUUCAAUUUCAUGCAACUAACUAUCUCUACUCUAUGACAUACUUAGUAGUGAGUUCUCUCUCUCUGCCAAAACUCACUCACCUUAAGCUACACUAAAGUCUUUGCGGAUAAUUCUUAUAGUAUAAACCUAAGGGCCUCAAAACAUAAAACAAUGACCCUUAACCUACCCUCGGUAUAGUCGAUACCAAGUAAAGUCUUACAUUUCAACAAAAGAUAUAGAAUUAGUUUAUUUUCUCUCUCUCUCAAUGCCAAAAUAAACUAACUAAGCACACGAGGUAUUGAAAAGUCUCUACACAUGUAAAAAGAUCUCUCUUUUAUUAAAAUUAAGAACAAUGUAUAAAAAUUAUUCUAAGAUGGCCAAUCUCAAAGUAAUUACUUUUUUAUGCAUGAGAAUCAAAUACAUAUCAAAAAUCACAAAUUCAUCUAGUAGGCUAAUUCACCCAAUGUGAAAAUUAGUUGAACAUGAUGGAAGAUGAUGGAAACAUGGAUGUAGAGAAAGUAAAAGACAUAUUUAAACUAUUGAAUAAGAAUACUAAAGAGAAAUUCCAUUAAUCAAUAAAAACAUGUAAGUAAAGGCAUAAACUUAAUUUUUUCUUUUUCUUCUUCUUCAUAAAAGUACAUCUAGGGUUUGAUACUUCAAUUGUGGGGUGAAGCAUACUCCAAAUUCGUGGAGAACAUAGCUUAUAGCCUUAUAUACAUAAGAAGUCCUAGUUUCACUGAAAUUGCUCUUUAAGGGGAGAAAAUUUGACUUUAGGAUUUCCUUGACCUAGGGUUGACCAAAUAACUUGUAAAUUUCCAGUUUAGACCCUUAACAUGGUUGGAAUGGACUGCAAGUGGGCCUUGGAUUUUUGACUUGUCUAUCUUGCCACCUACAAAACUGCAGUCUGUCAGAUUUUCAGGUCUCUUUUCGAGCUGUUUCUUCAACUCUUUUUUCUAAUAUUUCUUGACAGUCUUGAAGUACACAAUGAGAGAUUUCCAAUGGUAUCUUCGGAUCGUACAUCGGAGUUCUCUAACUUGGUCUACCAAAAGCUCAAAGUUGCUCUAUUAACGUUGUUUUCUGCACCUUUUUUAACUGUUUUUCUUCGUUUUAUACUUUCUUCAUGUUUCGAACCUAUAAUCAUGUAAACUAAACAAAACCACGCAUAUCAUAUCACUUUAUAGAUUAACUUGAGAGAAAUAUGGAUGUUUUAGGGGAUUAAAUAUACACUUUUUGGCACUUCUGCAUCCCAGUGAUUUUACUUGGACCAUGUUUACUGAUAGAAUAGGCAAUUUUUGGUCUUGUACAAUUCACAUACAUUGGACUACCAAUACUACGAGAAUGCUCGAGUUGGAAAAUGGUAAGACCAAUCUUUUUAUGCAACACCACAAAUGGAAUACAAUGAGUACUCACCUUAGUAAUUCCAUAUUGCACAAACCUAUAUCUAUCAUUUUCUCAAUGUAAUUUGAUUGAGACAACGCUCUUCCAUUAAAUGAUCUAAUUAUCUUAAUUAUCAAGAUAAACGUCUAGGACCUCUAGAUUUUUCACAUCAUACUUGUUUGUAAGCAUAUUUUCAUAGACUUAAUGACUUCAUUAUGCGUCAAAAAAUGAGCAUAUCUUUGACAUACAAACAAACAAUUAUAUAAAUCUCGCACUUGUUUGACAUAGAGACUCUUGUCAUAUUCAUUGAUGUGAAUCCAUAAUUCCAUUGACGUACAAAUAGGCUCUGACAAAGCCUAUUUGUUAUGACAUUUAUUAUUACUAUCACAUUAUUAUUCAUGCAUAUUAUUGGGUGUUAUAUAUAUCUAUAUAAUAUUAUAAAGCAGUCUUAUAAACACAGUCGUUAGAUGUCUAUUGAGACAACCAUAACCAUUGAUAUACAUUAAAUUAUAUAAUCGAUGUAAUAAUAGCCCUUAGAUGUGGAAAAUCGAUCCUAACCUUUAGUUGUCUAUUGAGACAAUCGUAGCCGUAGGAUUAACAUUAUUUAAGUAAUUUUUAUUUAAUGUACUAAGUAUAACCUAUAAUGAUGUAAUAAGUAAUAACUCCACAAAUUAAUUAUUACAUAACCUCAUUAUACUUUGCUUAGAAUAUAGAAUUAAAUUAAGGAAUAUUUAUUCAUAACAUCAAAAAUAUAAUAGAUAUUUAAAUGAAAACAUAUGCUUCUAUUCACGUUAUAUAUUUUCUUUGUUCCAUCUCUCCCACCCACCAAAACCAAUCCGUUUCACGCAUAGGUUUCCAGGUAAUAUGUUAGUGAUAUAAAAUGCUAAAAAGUCUUACAAUUGUUGUCAAUUCCUUCUUCAUUAGCUGUAUUGUUUUUUCCCUUCUUCUUUUUAAAACAGGUACAAAGUUCUGCUUGCAAUGGCUGCUAUAAAAUUAUUUUUUUUGGCUUCCAAUUAUUACAAAUAAUUUUCACUUUUAUUUUUUUUCCUAGUUUUAUAUAAUGUAGGAUCUAAAACUUCAACACAAAAAUAUAAUGUAUUCUAGGGACUAUCAGUGUAUAAGAACUAAGGUUGUGAUUUAUUGAUUCUUACAUUUCACUUUCUAGGUGAAUUUUCUUCCAUUCACAACUGAAUUUAUUGACACAUGUCCUUGAUUUCUGAAAAAUAAGAUGAAAACAUGAGAAACUUUUGUGUAUACAUCGACAGACAAGCUAUAUAUCGAUGCAAACCAAUCCGAGUAUGUGAACUUAUAUCCUAAUGAGUUCUUGAACUCACUUAAUCCGCAUGGAUUCCCACCAUUCUCUCUCAUGAUCAAAUCAGAUUCAAGGCUUAUACUCUUAAGAGAUCUUGCCCAUAUAGAUGGGAUCCGCACUGGAACUCGAAUAAUGGUGACAUAAUAUGCAAACCAAUACAUUCAAGAAAAAAUUCUUACUGAAAAUAAACCGGGUGAAAUAGUGGUUCUACCACGAAUAACAUUAACUUCAUCGUUUUCCAAUCCUCCGUUCCAAAUUACAAGGACAUAAUUCCCUAUUAUGUUUGAUGGUGGUGAUAAGCAAAUCGACGAUUGCAAUUAAGAUUUCUUUGUGCAGUUUUCUUCAAAAGUUUAUUUUGCUCAAAAUUAUAUAUGUAUGUGACAUAGUAGUUUUUUGCCACCAUUUCAUUAAGGUGAGUCAUUUAUUUUAUUUUUAUUUUUUCUUUGUAGAUUUUCAGGAAUAGAUUCGUAGUUAACAAUCACAGGUUAGUCACUCUACCUAAGGUUGACUUAAACUUCCGUUCGGACUUUCGGCGGCUCUUUCUGUCACCGAAACAGAAAGGAUAAGAAGUAUAUGGUAGUUCUAUCAAUUUAAUUUGGAGACUGUAUAGUUUUUGGUAGGAUAAUAACCUUGAGUAUAUUGGUUGUUCCAUUAAUUUCUAUAUCAAUUUUGUUGCUUUAUUGGUUGUUGAUCUUUUUGUUGUAUAUUCAACACCUUAGUAAUCAUUUUGCAGGAAUGGUCAUUGGUCACUCUUUCCCUUAAUCUAUUAUCAUUAUCUAUAUAUAUUAUCUUUAGAUUCAACAUACAUGGGCUAUGCAUAUAUAGUUAUGCACCUUAGUAAUCUCUUUGCAAAAUAAAUUGUCACAUGUCACUUUCUUCCCUCAGUCUAUUAUCAAUAGUUAUAUUAUCUUUCUCCUUUUUUGGGGGUGAAGAUACUGGUAUAUUAUCUUUCUCCCCAAUCUCUUUUCAAGAUACAUUUUCACCUCUUUUAUGCAUAACAGAAGAAGAAAACGAUGGUUGGAUGGCUAAAGUACAAACGAACACAUAAUAAAGUGUUCUAUUCGUAGUGAUGAAGCAUGACCAUUGUAUUCGACUUUUGUUAAUUGUUACGCCUAAUGCCUUUUUCACAUUUUUAACUUCUUACAUUUGAUUUGUUUAAGAUGUAUCUUUUUACAUAAAAAAUUGUACUUGAUGCAUAAAUGAAAAUGUUGUACAAAAUUAUACACUAUCUAUAUUUUUUUUAUCAUAUCCAUUGCAAAUGAUCAAAUUAAAUAACAAUGAUGUCAAAUGAUCUAAAUUUAAAAAUGGCGUGUGAUCUCAAAAAAUUUAUCGGUUAGAUUCAACUUAACCUUCAAAGUAUCUUGACUUUGUAACUUCUUUAAACUUCAGAUGUUACAUCUGAAAAAAUACUUAAUAAAUUGUUGCAAAAGUAUCCAAAUAUUCAUAUACCUUAUAUAAUAGUUUUCUGAACAAUUGUUUUGCACAGUUCUAUCAAAAUUUUAAAAUUAUAUCAAGGAAUAGCCCCCCAAUAAAAUCAUUAUUAUUUUACAAUAAUUCAUUUCAAUAAUUUUUAAAAAUAAAAUUAAAAUAAUAUCUUAAACAUAAAAUAUCUAUGAAAACAAUUGCAUCGCCUAUUACUGGAUAAAAAAAUUAGUAUGACAACUAUGGCUCAAAAAAAAAAAAAAAACUAUUGUAUCACCUACUUUUAUUAUGAAAAAUAAAAUACCAUUUGUAUUCGUUUCAAUAAUUUUUGAAAAGUAAAUUUUAAAAUCAAAAUUAAAAUAAUCUUGCCGUAGGCACGGGUUAUCACUAGUAUAUAUAUAUUCAAUCGAAAGGCUCCUUAGGUAAUUUAUGUUGAAUAAUCAUACGUGUGUGAGACACAUGUGGGAGAUAUGAUUAAUUCUAAUUAACUUAAAGUAUUCGCAGUUAGGGAUGAAGUUGGGCACUUCAUUUAUACGACUGUAACAUAUACGACCGCUAUAAGAUAGAGUGAUGACGUCUUAGUCGCUGGAAUAGUUGAUUCCAAGUCUAUAUGUUGGUGUAGUCAAUAACUGACACUGAAUGGGAUAGUAAUAACUAUUCACUUUAAAUUCACUGUUAAAGAAAGUGUGCAAUAACUCAUUUUACUAAAUAUUUCCUAGACUUGAAGAAUUGUGAUAAAUCAGAUUGUCUUAGGUUUGUCACUUUGAGAUGUUUUACAGUGAUGUAUAUUUAAAGUAUAUUCUAGGCAUCUUAGGUGGCAAAUAUAUUGACAUGAUGAUAACACGAAUUCUAACAUAGGAUCUACCACUCUUCAGAGUUGAUAUUCACCAUUGUGACAUUGAUUGAAUAUAAACUCGGCCGGUUCAGGAAAAAUGUUUUCCCGAUAUUCAAUUGUUAUUAUUUAUUAUUAUGUCACAAUAAGGCAAUUCAAAUAGCCAUGGGUGUGCAGUGAAGAUUAUGAUCCCAAUGGAUUAUUAUGAAUAUAGUGGUAGAGGGGUUUGAAAUUAAAUAUUUAGUAAGCAAGGGUUUUUUCUUAAAGUUUCCAUUGGCCUUGUUAUAAUCAUGGAUUUGUUAAUGGGCUAAUCCAUGAUCAUUGAGAUGAAGUCCAAAUUUAAUUAGGAUUUACUUGUUGACCAAGUGUUGGAUAAGUGUUGUCUCAGUGAAAUAAGGAACGUCGAUCCCAACUGAAUCCCAUGACCUAUGUUAAUAUAUUUUACAACGUUUUCAAUAAAUAUUUCAAUAAAUAGAAGAAGACGAAAGAAGUGAGGAAACCAUUAGUCUUGUUUUUUCGUAGAGUAAAAAAGCAUUAGGUUGUGUACAUUCGGUAGAUGGUAGAAAGAAAGUCUGUUGAAAUUCGUGAAGGUUUUAUGGCAUCCAUUGUGAAAGGUUUUUAGAAUCUGGCUAUUGAGGAAGAAACAGAAGGUAUGACUUUAAUGCUUUGAUUUUUAUACGAAUAGAUAAUGCAUGUGUAGAUCUUGUUAUAGUAAGUUUUGUUAUACUUUAUCACCAACAUAUACACCUUUCAAAUGAAUGAAAGUGUUGUUAGCAAAUUUGGCUAACAAGUCUCAUACUUAUGGAAUAUGGGAUGAAUUACAUUUCAAAUUUAGGACCUAAUCCCAAACGUGCUUACACAUAAGCAAUGGGUUCAUUUCCUGAAUGAAUUAAAACUUAUUAACUUGAUUCCUUAAAGAAAUAAUUCGUUUAUCAAUGGAUUGAGAUUUAGGCAAGUUUGGAGUAUUUCAAAAUCUCGUUGAAAACAAUGCUACUCUUAGGCGCAAUACACCUCCACAGUUGUUAGAGAUUUUGAGUAAUGUGCCUUUAAAACACAUAAAAGAAAUUUCAUAAUUUGGCUUGCUGAGAAUUACUAGAAACUUCUACGCCCCCACAAUUUUUCAAUUUUCCCACGACAGAUAAAUACCAAUUAGAAUAUUUCUCAUUUAAAUGUGAGUCACUACACUAACAUUAUCCCAAAUAUAAUCGCAUAUGUCUAGUCAUAAAUUCACAAUUUAACUAGAAUAUCUUCCACUUGAAAAGUAAUGUUACUGUACGGCUCUGAAGUCUGAACCAACACUUUGGCAUGGACUUCAAUCACACAGUAAUGGAACAUGAUGCUGCGAGCUCUUCCUCUUAUAUUCCCGAGUUAGUAUACAACAAAGUUUGGAAUCUUAAUGUUCCCUCGGAUCUCAAACUCUUCAUUUGGAAAUGCCUCAAAGAUUUACUUCCAACUGGACAAAAGCUAUCUCAUCAUCAUAUCCCCAUUGAUCCUAUGUGCACUUUUUGUGGUCUAAAGAACGAGUCAAUCCAUCAUUUGUUUUUCUUUUGUCCUUGGGUUAAAGCUGUGUGGUUCUUCAUUUCUUUCUUUAAGAACUAUCCAUGAUUUGUUUACUGGUUUUAAAUGGUUUCAAAUAAUUUUAUCUUUUGACCAGUAUAUUGGACACAAUAGAAAUAAAAUUUGGUUUAAAUCAGGUUGCCUAUGCACAAAAGCUAUUAUUUCUCAUGUUGUUUUUUAAAUGGAAGUUGUGGAUAGAUGCUUGUAAUUCAAAUACCCAGGAGGAUACUUUGCUUGUUAGUAAUGAAGCUAAUCUGGAUAUGUCGAGUUGGAUCUCACCACCACCAGGAUGGUUAAAGCUCAACUUUGAUGCAACUUUUACUUGUUCAUGAAGCAGGGAUAUGUUGUUGUUGUAAUUAGGGAUUGUGAUGGACGAAUUCUAAAUGUUGGUGGGAAGAAAAUUAAAGCUACAGAUGCUUUAGAUGCAGAAUUCUUGGUUGCAGAAGCUGCAAUCAUGAUUGUUUUGGAAAAGAAUCAUAUGGACAUUAUUCUGGAAGGGGAUAAUUUAGAAGUUGUUAAUAUUCAGUCUGGUUUUAUUGAACCUAGUAGUUAUGUUAGAAGCAUUGCUUUGUUUUGUAUGAGUAUGUUAUUUCAAUUUCAUAGUGUGGUCUGUAGGCACACUGUUAGAUCAGGAAAUAGUAUGGCCCACAAGGUAGCUGCUUGGAAUUCUGGUUCAUCAGAAUUUCUUUUGUUGUCUGAAGACUCAGUUUGUAAUUUGUUUAAUUGUUUCAAUGAAAUCAGUGAUGCCUGACACUAUGUCAGGUCUCCGUUAUCAAAAACAAAAAAAAAAUCACAAAGUAAUAUAAUGAGUCAGACUUAAUUUUACUUAAGUUUUCUCUUGGCCCAAUAAUCUAACUGAUGGACCUCACUGUAUUCCUAACCAAACCUAAGAACUAGGCUUGUGAAAUGGGUCGCGUUAGGGCUAGCCCAGCGCUUAAACAUUUGAGCCCUAUAGUCUUAAGGGUUGGACCAACCCUACACGUACUAUUCACGAGGGCCGAGAUAGGGUCGGGCCAACACUUAAACCAUUGAGCCCUUACUCUACCCUUAGCCCUCUCGCAAGGCCUUAGGGCCAGGAUUAAGGGUCGGGCUUGAAGGCCCUUCAUAUUUUCAAAUGUAUUUUUAAUAUCUACAUACUUGUUUUAAUUAAAUAGACCAUAGAAAAAAAAAUUGUUCAAAUUAUAAGUAAUUAAAUAUAGCAUAUUCUUUUGGUUAUGCACAUCAUAUUAGUAAUUAAGGGCUUCUUUGACUUUAGGGUCGGGCUAAGGGCCGUUUUAACAGACCUACCAAGACCUAUAUUUACUGUUUGAUAUAGUUUGUUGAGACUUCAGAAGUACAGAUACUGAUAUUCACUUGUUUGUUCACCUUUUCAGUGUUGCUCUGCAAUGCAUUAGUGUCUCUUAACUCUUUGCAGGAUACCAGUUGCUGUCCAUGCUCAUUCAUUAAAUAUAAAUAGUAGUUACCACUUAUCAGUGGUGUAUUUAUUUCUUUUCGCAUCGAACAGCCAAAGCCAUCUGCCCAUCACUUAUUCCAUCCAAAGACUUCACUAAUUAAACCAGUUGUAUAUUGGUUUUGAUUUUCUAUGUUUAUUACAAAUGAAGUCACAUGCUUCAACUUACAGUCACAUCUCAAUAAUUAAAUAUUUUCUUUUUAAUUCGAAAUAUACUCGAUUGAGACAAAUCUUUGUCAAUCCUCUUGAAUCGAUGAGUCUGUAGUUAGUCAAUCCUCUUGAAUCGAUGAGUCUGUAGUUAGUGGGUUUCUUUCAACAAGUUCUCUGUUUGCUCGUUCCACAAGUGAUAGAGACAUUAAUUAAAGUCUGUGUAACUCUUGUUCAUUGUCAAACAAACUGUUCCCUGUUUUUUUCAUGGUAAUGGUAUGUGAUACCAAUAUACCAUACAGCAAUUCAAAGCAUGAGGAUCUCAUCACGUGUCUUACAGUGAUUUGAUUAUUUGACCAUUAUAAUAGAAAUAUCACUCAACAUCCAACAACCAACAAGAAAGGGUUGUCGUGUGUCGUCACCAUAGUACAAAAUAUCGUGAUAUUUCCGAUAGUAAUCCUUUAAUGUUUCUGUAAAAUAUCGGCCGAUAUUUUCUGAUAUAUCUCGAUAUUUGUUUAUAUUUUCCGAUAUUUUCUGGAAAUAUUAUUUUUUAUAAAUUUUUUUUAAAAAUAAUUUGUUUAUUCCAUUAUUAGUAGAUAUGAUGUUUUUUAGGUAAAUAGUAUGAUAAUAUACUUCCAAAUUUGAUUUUAUAAAUAUUUUGUAUAACAAAUUAAUAUAUGAGUCGAUACAUUCGACGUAAAAUAUAAUAUCCACCGAUAGAUUCCAAUAUAUCCCGAUAUAUCUAUUUUUUGGAGAUCGAUACAUUAGUUUAUACCGAUAUUUUGUACUAGGGUCAUCACUAUGGUGCUCUUUUACUAUUGUCUUAAGUUUGUUGGUAACGAUAUGUGUGAACCAGUGUUAUCAGACCGAUCCAGCCCGGCGGGUUGACAUGGUGUUUUAACCGGGUUGGGUUAGUUGGUGGAUCGUUUUUACAAACAACCCACUUUUAAACCACUAAAACCAGUUGGGUUUUACCGAUUUUUGUGAAACCCGGUGACCCAUAAGUGGUUUUAACUAUAAAUUUAAUUAAAAAAUACAUCAUUAAAAACCGAACCUGCGAUCUAAGAAUAAAAACAAUGCUUUUAUACCAAUAUACUCAUAAUUAAUAAUUGAUGAUAAAAUAUGUAUAGUUUUAAUACAAAUUGUUUUCUAAUUUUAAACAAUAAACAAACACGAAAUUAACAAUAUAUUUUAAUGUUAUUAGACCCAACCCAGACACCAACCCGGGAAAGGGACUGGGUUAGGGUUCAACCAUUGGGUCAACUGGUUGGACCAGUUGAAUCUAAGUUAUAAGACACAAAGGGUGCAUAAGUUGGGGAGACAGUUUAUAAAAGACAAUUUUGAGAGAUAUUUUGGAUCGUAGGAUGUUGAUAUUUUGGACCGUAGGAUGGUUUAUUAAAAUAAUAAACCAUAAUUAAACACCCUAAUUAAACAUUAAUUUGUAAACAAUACGAAACCCUCCUCUCUUCUCAACAAGCCUCAUUCUCUUCUCAUCCUCAUCGAAUCAAUACAGUAUCUGUUGCGAUCUGUUGCACUGGUCUCUGCGUUUCUCUCUCAACCAUCUCCAGCUUCUGCCUUCUCAAUUGGCAUCUGUACGUCUCUCUCUCUCUCUCUCUCUCUAUUGAUUUUGGUUUUUAAGUUUUUUUUGUGAUUUUACACAGCAGGACCUAAGGAUUGGUUAAGAGAGCAGAAGAAGAAAGCUUCAAGGUUCCUUUUAGCUCCUAUUGAUGCUUCACGAGACUACUUGCAAACUGCAUAUCUCAUUCUAAGUACGAAUUUUCUUUGUUUAUGGAGAAUUUUAAAUAAUGUUGAAAUCAAUUUGAUUGAUUGGUUUUGACAGAGGAGAGUGAUUCUAAUGAUUCAAACAAGGAUUUAGAUGAAGUUCAGAGACUUAUGAGAUCUGCUGCUAGAGAUUGUAUCAUUGAAGACAGGAAUUCUGUAGUUUCAUUCCAAGCGAAAACCGGAGUUGAGGUUUGAUUUCUUCAAAUCAUUAAAGAAAAUCAGUUCAAUUGUAUUCUUCUUGUUUGAUGAAUUGGAGUUUAUUUGUUUGUUUGAUUUCGAAAUUUGAUGUUUCUUUCUUGUUUGAUGCUUAAACCAGUAAUUAAAUUAUGGCAAAUUGAUGUUGUUAUUUGUUUGAUUCUUUCUUCGUUGAUGUUGUUAGAAAACAAGUUGGCAGAUUGAUGUUGGGUUCUGGUUUCUAUCUAUAGAUAAAAUGCUCCACUUUCUAUACCAAUGUAUUCUACAUUUAAUUAUAGAUCAAAACUAAUAUUAUCUUAAUUGUUAGGAAUGUCUAAUUCCUAUGAAUAUUUAGGUAAAGAAUGCUAUGGCUGAGAACAACACAAAUAGUAUUUACAGGAUAUUCGUCUGGUCGCGCGGUUGCAAUCCUUGCAACCAUCUGGCUACUACUCUGUGCUCACCUACACUUGAUUCAUGAUAGUAGGCCAGGAAGAAGUUAGAAGAGUGUUGAUUGCACACAUUAAGUUUGCUUUAGUCUCUUUAGCUUCAAACAUCUACCAAUAGUAGAACAGUGUUGAUAGGCACGUGCCGAUAGUCAUUACCCUUCACCCUGUCAACAUGUUUCAAUGUUGUCUAUAUUUACCUCUCAAAACAAAAGAACAAAAUAAUAAUGAUAUUUUCCUGAUAUUGGUCUGUCCAUCGAUUAGGAAAUGGAUAGGUCUUCAUGGAUCUUAUCAAUCUGUCCAUGUUGGCAUAUAUAUCUUAUAAAUGUGACGAUUUAUGCUUCUUGUCUUCUUCUAAAUUAGAACAUAUAUAUUAAACUAGCGUGGCGAAGCCACGUGUACAACUAUAUUAAAUUAGAACAUAUAUUACUGUAGCCUGUGGACAAUUUCCAGUUUUUCUACUCUUUCUCCUGUUUUUCUACUAACUGCCACAGUAUAACAAGUUGUUAGAAUAUCUAUAUUGCAUGGGACUAACACCAUAUGUAGUUUAUUUUCUAUUAGCUAGAAAAACAAUCAAAAUUCGGUACAUAUAUAUAUUGUGGUGUCUCACUUCAAAAUUUGGUAUAAUGUAUAUUGCGGUCUGCACUGGUACCUACGAAUUCCCAGGUACCAGUGCAGAUAUAACUCCAUGCCGAUGUAGAUAUUAAAUAAUGUAUGUUGUUUCCUAAUUCAACCUCCUAUAGACUUAGGAUUUAACUAAGACAUGAAUGGAGUGUAUUCAUUAAAAAACAGAUAUUGGCAGAAGAAAACGAAACAAAACCUUGGUUUAGACGCUAAUAACGUUAUCAAGAACAUGGUGAUCAACAAAAAUAAAGCUUAUCAAUGGGUGAAAUGAACACAAACUAACAUUAAUUAAGAGUGUACCUAUGAGUCCAUGACUUAGUACUGUAUGUAACCAUCAUCUCGAACAUAUGGUUUUUCCCCAAGCUGUGCUACAAUGGUUUGAAAACCAGCAAGAAAUUCUGUUGUAUCAUUUUUUGUCAACCUCUCUAUUUCUCUUCUUUUCGAUCUCUUCUCUGCUUUGGAUUACUAGAGUCUUUCAACCAAAAAAGUUGUAUAAUUUACCACCCUCUCCACCUAAACUUCCAAUUAUAGGACACCUUCAUCGCCUCGGUCCACUGCCCCACCGAUCUUUUCGAGAUCUUUCAGAAAAAUAUGGUCCAUUGAUGCUACUACAGAUGGGGUUUUGCCCAACUGUAAUUGUAUCAUCAGCAGAGAUUGCUAAACAAAUCAUGACGACGCAUGAUGUGAUUUUUGCCAAUAGACCAGCUACAACAGCCUCAAAGGCAUUUCUAUAUGGUGCUAAAGACAUAGCUUUUGCUGAUUAUGGUGAAUACUGGAGGCAAAUGAGAAAGAUUUGUGUUGUAGAUCUCUUAAGUGUCAAGAGAGUGCAAUCUUUCAGUCUCAUUCGAGGAGAAGGAAUAGCAAAUAUGGUUAACAAGAUUAAGCAGUCUUGUUUAAUGAGAAAGGAAGUUAAUCUAACUGAACUGAUAGUGAGUUACACUACUAAUGUCAUCUCAAGGGUUGCUUUGGGUAGAAGUUUGGAAGGAGACUGGGGGAAGAGUAAAUAUGCAGACUUGCCUAAACAGAUGAUGGAGCUAUUCGGGAUUUUCAGUGUGGAAGAUAUGUUUCCUUCUUUGGGAUGGAUUGAUUUUCUAACUCGAUAUGCUCAAAAUGUCAAAAUGGUUGCUAAAUCCAUGGAUCACUUCCUGGAUGAGGUAAUUGAGGAUCAUCUAAAGUCGAGGAAUGAUAAUGAUCAAAUAUCAAAAGGAUGCCACAUUAGGCAUUGAAAUCACAAGGGAAUGUAUCAAGGCUGUUAUCUUGGUAAGAAUCUACUUGAACAAAGUAUAUAUAUAUGUACAUAGCAUCUCAUAAGUAAGCAAGAUUCAUUAGUUAAUUUUGUAACAAAGUAUUUUCUAUUAAUAACACGCAUAUAACAAGUUUACCACAUUUCACCAGGACAUGUAUGUUGGAGGAACAGAUAGUACAAAUGCAACUUUAGAAUGGGCAAUGGCAGAAAUUUUCAAUCACCCCAAUGUGAUGGAGAAACUAACAAAAGAGGUACGCCGAGUUGUUGGGAACAAAUCUAAGGUUGAAGAAAAUGACGUAAAUCAGAUGGAUUACCUACAGUGCGUAAUUAAGGAGACCUUGAGAUUGCAUCCUGCUCUGACAAUAAUAGUUCCAAGAAUACCUUCCAAAAGUACCACCAUAGAAGGUUAUGACAUUCCUGCUCAAACAAGAGUAAUUAUUAACGCAUGGGCAAUUGGAAGGGACCCCAAGAUAUGGGACAAACCAGAAGAGUUUAUUCCAGAAAGAUUUAUUGAUAAACCAGUCGAUCUUGUAGGCCAAGAUUUUGAUUUUAUUCCAUUUGGAGGUGGCCGAAGAAAAUGUCCUGCAAUUUUAUUCGCAACAACAUCUAUUGGAUCAGUUUUAGCUAAUCUCUUGUAUUGGUUUAAUUGGGAGUUGUCUGGUGAUGCAAAAGGGUCUUAUUCGUUUGAUUAUCUUAUUUCAUAGUUGACUUUAAGUUUUUUUUUUUUUUUUUUCUAAUUAUGAGUACAAUUCAUUGAAAGAGAAGGAUUUAUAUUUAUUGUCGGACAACACACACAAGGGGUGCGAGAAUUGUAUUUAUCCAGAUGAGCAUCCUUACAUUUUAUUAGUUAAAAUCAGGAACCAAGAUGACCCCCCCCCCCCCCCCCAAUAAAUUGUUUUUAAAUAUUUCAAAAAAAUAAUCGGCUUUAAUUUUUUCCCCAAAAUCCCCAGAUUUUCCCAAUUUAAUUUGUGGGGCUCCCCCCCAAGAUUAACCUUUUCCACAUUUUCCAAACCUAAUAUUUUCCCCGGUAAGAAAACCCUUCCAAAAAAAUUUGCGCCAAGAUGCUUUCGAUUUCCACGACAACAAAAGGCUUAAAGUGUAGGCCUGUUCAGCUAUCGGCAGCAAAGCCCCAUUUAAAAUCACCAAUAAAUAAGUAAUAAUAAGAAUAAUUCGAAUGUAUUUCUUUAAGCGACUGGUGGGAUUUCCACUCUUUCAAGGCUCGGAAACUCAGGAAGAAAGGAGAAAGGGAGAUUGUNNNNNNNNNNNNNNNNNNNNNNNNNNNNNNNNNNNNNNNNNNNNNNNNNNNNNNNNNNNNNNNNNNNNNNNNNNNNNNNNNNNNNNNNNNNNNNNNNNNNNNNNNNNNNNNNNNNNNNNNNNNNNNNNNNNNNNNNNNNNNNNNNNNNNNNNNNNNNNNNNNNNNNNNNNNNNNNNNNNNNNNNNNNNNNNNNNNNNNNNNNNNNNNNNNNNNNNNNNNNNNNNNNNNNNNNNNNNNNNNNNNNNNNNNNNNNNNNNNNNNNNNNNNNNNNNNNNNNNNNNNNNNNNNNNNNNNNNNNNNNNNNNNNNNNNNNNNNNNNNNNNNNNNNNNNNNNNNNNNNNNNNNNNNNNNNNNNNNNNNNNNNNNNNNNNNNNNNNNNNNNNNNNNNNNNNNNNNNNNNNNNNNNNNNNNNNNNNNNNNNNNNNNNNNNNNNNNNNNNNNNNNNNNNNNNNNNNNNNNNNNNNNNNNNNNNNNNNNNNNNNNNNNNNNNNNNNNNNNNNNNNNNNNNNNNNNNNNNNNNNNNNNNNNNNNNNNNNNNNNNNNNNNNNNNNNNNNNNNNNNNNNNNNNNNNNNNNNNNNNNNNNNNNNNNNNNNNNNNNNNNNNNNNNNNNNNNNNNNNNNNNNNNNNNNNNNNNNNNNNNNNNNNNNNNNNNNNNNNNNNNNNNNNNNNNNNNNNNNNNNNNNNNNNNNNNNNNNNNNNNNNNNNNNNNNNNNNNNNNNNNNNNNNNNNNNNNNNNNNNNNNNNNNNNNNNNNNNNNNNNNNNNNNNNNNNNNNNNNNNNNNNNNNNNNNNNNNNNNNNNNNNNNNNNNNNNNNNNNNNNNNNNNNNNNNNNNNNNNNNNNNNNNNNNNNNNNNNNNNNNNNNNNNNNNNNNNNNNNNNNNNNNNNNNNNNNNNNNNNNNNNNNNNNNNNNNNNNNNNNNNNNNNNNNNNNNNNNNNNNNNNNNNNNNNNNNNNNNNNNNNNNNNNNNNNNNNNNNNNNNNNNNNNNNNNNNNNNNNNNNNNNNNNNNNNNNNNNNNNNNNNNNNNNNNNNNNNNNNNNNNNNNNNNNNNNNNNNNNNNNNNNNNNNNNNNNNNNNNNNNNNNNNNNNNNNNNNNNNNNNNNNNNNNNNNNNNNNNNNNNNNNNNNNNNNNNNNNNNNNNNNNNNNNNNNNNNNNNNNNNNNNNNNNNNNNNNNNNNNNNNNNNNNNNNNNNNNNNNNNNNNNNNNNNNNNNNNNNNNNNNNNNNNNNNNNNNNNNNNNNNNNNNNNNNNNNNNNNNNNNNNNNNNNNNNNNNNNNNNNNNNNNNNNNNNNNNNNNNNNNNNNNNNNNNNNNNNNNNNNNNNNNNNNNNNNNNNNNNNNNNNNNNNNNNNNNNNNNNNNNNNNNNNNNNNNNNNNNNNNNNNNNNNNNNNNNNNNNNNNNNNNNNNNNNNNNNNNNNNNNNNNNNNNNNNNNNNNNNNNNNNNNNNNNNNNNNNNNNNNNNNNNNNNNNNNNNNNNNNNNNNNNNNNNNNNNNNNNNNNNNNNNNNNNNNNNNNNNNNNNNNNNNNNNNNNNNNNNNNNNNNNNNNNNNNNNNNNNNNNNNNNNNNNNNNNNNNNNNNNNNNNNNNNNNNNNNNNNNNNNNNNNNNNNNNNNNNNNNNNNNNNNNNNNNNNNNNNNNNNNNNNNNNNNNNNNNNNNNNNNNNNNNNNNNNNNNNNNNNNNNNNNNNNNNNNNNNNNNNNNNNNNNNNNNNNNNNNNNNNNNNNNNNNNNNNNNNNNNNNNNNNNNNNNNNNNNNNNNNNNNNNNNNNNNNNNNNNNNNNNNNNNNNNNNNNNNNNNNNNNNNNNNNNNNNNNNNNNNNNNNNNNNNNNNNNNNNNNNNNNNNNNNNNNNNNNNNNNNNNNNNNNNNNNNNNNNNNNNNNNNNNNNNNNNNNNNNNNNNNNNNNNNNNNNNNNNNNNNNNNNNNNNNNNNNNNNNNNNNNNNNNNNNNNNNNNNNNNNNNNNNNNNNNNNNNNNNNNNNGAUUCAAUUUUUAUUUCAUUCUUCCACUUUAACACAUUCAAGCCUGAAAUAUUUGAUCAAAACUGCAAGGAAAUGAUACUUCUGGUUGGUAAUUCAAAGUAAACAACAAUGAUUAUGGAUAAUGCAUUGCUUGCAUUUCUGUUUCAGGUAGAUUGGGGAGAAGCGACCAUGAUUCUAGCAGAGCGGAUUUUGCUAAAAAAUGCACUAAAAGAUUCCGAUAACCAGCGGUUUGCUUUUGUAUUAGACAGGCAAGUUCUAUUCUUCAAAAUGGUUGAUUCAAAGCACUUGUUUUUAUCCUCAUGUACGUUUAUUAAAACUUACUGUUUUUGGUUGAUCAAUAUAUACAUAUCAGUGUUCAAAGAGGCGGAAACUAAGAAUCUUUUAUGUUUGUGAACCUUGAUCAAUAAUCAAAGGCAAGCAUCAAUAUUCACAUAUAGGUUUGAAGCAUAUUCACUGGAACUUGAAUGGUUUGAUAUGGGCAUAUAUUUUUUGAUUAACGAAAUUUUUGUAUGAUAGCUGGCUGGGAUGCCAGAUUGGAUCAGUUGCCAUUGGUUUCAAUUUCAUUGAAAGUAACAGUAGAUCACUCAUUUUAUUCAUGCACAUAUUUGUUAUUUUACGGCUCAUCUUUGUACUGUUUGACCUCAUUGCAGUUGCAUACCGCUGUAUAACUUCAGCUACACAUAUGAUUAUAUCAUGUCAACACCAAAUAGUUUUGUUGACAGGUGAGUGAAAAGAUUUGUCUUCUUUUCUUUCACACUGAAACCGCAUUGGUUCUUCGUUUAUAGUCCUGUUGCAUUCCAUGCAAGUUACGCACAUAGAUAGAUCAUUAAGCUAUGUAAGAAGAAUCAGAAAACAAAAGAUUGAGUAAUGUAUUGCUGAUAAGUGAUAAGAGAGUAAGAGAGGGAAAAAAUGACGAGUUGCUUGUCUGUUGGUGCCAAGUACGUACUUGGAGAUAUUCUCUUAGCUAUUUAUUUAUAUAUCCUGUUGCAAAGUUUGGUUCGUCUUACAAAUGCUAUUUCGUAUUUCUAAGGUUUUCAAACUAUAUAGUUUAAGCUGAUCCCCUGUAUUUUGGGAAUUUAAGUUUAUGUUUUGAAAAUGUCAACUAUUCAUCAUAUUGUAUGGGAUUGUAGUACCUACCACCCACCUUGAAAGUUCAUUCUUGGUAACAUAUUAUCCUAGGCUAUAACUGUGGACCAGAAGUUCCCAGUCAGUGUCCUUCAGAGCAGUUUAAGGGAUGCCUUUGGGCUGCUUGUAGAAUCUGGGUUUUUGCCUUUGGAGGAUAGUUUCGUAACAAUGUUAUGCACCUUGUCCAAUCCUGGGUAAUCCAAUAGCAAAACUGUUAAGAAUAAUAUUUUAAUAGAUGUCUUGGUCAUUACUGUUUCUUAUUCUUAUUCUGAAAUAUUUAAAUAAAGAUAUAUAUGUUUUUUUUUCUGGAUUCUGAUUAUAUGAAUGGUGUGAACAGUUUUGCUGAUACAAAAGAGGGCCGGUACAAUCCAAAAAUGGAUCCUAUUGUUCCAGUCCAUAAUUGGAGGAAAGGAUCUCAGGUAUUAUAACUUGAAAUAUUGUGCUCUACUUAGGCCCCAUCCACUUACGCUAAUUACUACUUGUGUUUAAUUAUGCUGCCGUUUCUUGUAUAUGCUGAGGUCAUGAUCAUGUGACUCCCUCUAUAGUUUCAUGUAUACAGUAUUUGCUUAGGCCACUACUUCUAAGUGAAAGUCUUCAUCAUGCUAAUUUAGGCUUAUAUAUUUAUAGUUUGUAAAUUGCAAGUUACCAACGAGCUUGGUAUACAUCUCCAAUAAAAAAAUUAUAUGCAAUGGAUUGUCUUUAUAUAGAGGUCAAACUGUACUAUCUUUCUAUGAUUCUUGUGGCAUAAGUGUAAGGAGUGAAGCACGAUUUGGUGCUAAGAUCUUUUUUUAUCUACUUCUUUUAUACUAAAUGUGCUCGUAGCACAUGGUCAUAAAGUAAAACUAUAAGAGAACUCGACAAGUACAAAGAGUUCACAAAAACCUCAGUUUGAACUUUGAAUUUAGAAAGGUGAGACUGUAUAGGGAAUUAUUUCAAGUCCUUGCUCACAACCAGCUCUUUCAUCGUCAGUGAUCAAUAUUAGCUUUGAAACAUCCCAUCCCUGCCAAUCUCUUUUUCUCCAAGUUUUGAAAAUCAGGUAAUCUUCUUCGUUUAUUAACAAUUGAUAAUUUACUCUAAUAAAAUUUCAUUAAAAUUGUUGAAACUUUAGUUUGUAGAUAGAAUCAGUCCAUCUCUAUAAUUUACUGUAGUUAUAAAUUUAAUUUUUAAUGUUUACUGCCUGCUUUGUUGUAGACUUGUUUAGUUAGAAUGUUGUAUCUCCUUUCUCCCAUUUGAACUGGAUCCUCUCCUUUUUAAUGAUUUCUUCAAUACCUAUUCACUAAAUUCGCAAGUAACUCACUGCCAUCAGCCAUUUCAAUAGUGUCCAUCAUCAUUGUCAAGGUAUGAUACUCAUCGUCUGAACAUUAGCAAUGCUUCUCGAAAUAAAUCUCCAGGUUAUUCAUUAUGCAUACUGCUUCAGUUUUGCUUAUGGUUCUAUGUAUGCUCAGCAAUUUCAAAUUUGAAUUGUCAACUUAUUGAUCCUGACAACACAUUAUCCUGGUCUGGAUCUUAAUUAAAUCUUAGCUUGUGAAUACCCUCAUUAUGCUAUUGACAUGUUGUUUGGUAGAUCCCAAUGGGACGUGCUUAGAAAAUAAGUGUUGAAGUAGUCAUUGGAAUGGAAUGGUGUCAAAUCUCUCCAAGCAAUCGACUUCAUCCAACCUGAUUUAUCAAUAAUAGCCUUGCCUUUGAAACAUCCCUGCCAAUCUCUUUCUCCACACUCCGGUAAUCUUCUUCCGCUUUUUUUAUUCAAAUUCACCAAAUUUGAUAACUUUUUUUCAUUUUAGAUGUGAUAAAUUUGAUACUACCACUUGUCUGGUUGUCCUAUGCAAAGACCAAUAGGAACAAACCCAAACACUAACUCAGACAGUUAGAUCAGAGAACAUAAAAAAGAAAAACACAUACGCAGCUAACCCAAGUCAUUUGAGAGGACCCUAUUUAAUGUGGAUAUGAAUGCAGCGGUGACAUUUUAUUUUGGGUUUGUUACUGUUUCACGUGCUUUGAUAAUAUUCAGUUUUAUUAAUAAUUUACUGAUAAGAGUAAUAUUUAUUUCGAUAGGAUUUAUUGUGCUGGGUCGCGACUCACGAGAAGAAAAGUAGGCAUCUUAAUGGUCAAAUAUUGGUUAUAUGUGUUUCAUUUGUGUUUAAACUUGGGUGUCUGUUUGGGUUUAAUCAACUUGCAGUGGGGAAAAUCCAAUUCCAUGGAUGUCUUAUGGACAUUUAAUUUACGUUUCUUCCUUAUCUGAAAUUUAUCUCAUACCUGUCAUACUUUUUUAGAUAGUUUUUUCUCUCGACAUAUGUGGAGUGAAGAACAUAGUUGGAAUUCCAUUUGGUUAUCGGGGAUUUUUUGACAAGAGCUUAUCUGAAAUACCGGUGAGCACUGUUUUUAUUAACCUAUUUAAUAACCUUAUAUGUUUGAUUUUACUAUUUCUAUAUUGAAAACCUACAUUUGUUUUCAGCUCUCUUGGCAAGUGGCUCGAAACAUUAAUCUUGUUGGUGGAAGUUUGGUUGGAGUUUCUCCUGGUAGUUUGAGUACCGGUGAAAUUGUUAAUAUACUGUUGCCGUUUUUUUUUUUUAAUAUAUUAAAUAUAGACAUGACUUGUUAUUUCAAUGAAUUAUUCCGUUGUAUUUGGUAUGGUUCCUUAGUUGUACUAAAGCGCCCUAACUAAAGAUAAUCAAACUGCGAAUGACCAUAGAUGAGUUUCCAUGAUCUUUCUUUAGUUUUAUUUUAUUUUUUGAUAAAUUCAGAAUUUUAUUAAUAUCAAAAAAAAAAAAAACAAAAAAAACCAAAGAAACAAGUCUGAUCAACACACAUCCUGAUGUGUCAUCAGAUGGUUGAAAACCUGGUGAAACAGAAUUUCACUUGGACAUAAAGAGAAAUUAGAAACAGACCAAUUUUUGUAAUAAUAUUAUAUUGAAUUUUUCAAGCAGAAUCUAUAUUAGAUCUUAGUUUUUAUACUUGGUUUGCUUACCCUUUAAAUUUUACCUCUAACUGAAAUUUAACUUUUAAUUAAUUUCUCCUGAUUUCAGUGCUUUGGUGGUUUAUAUCCCAUGUCACUAUGUGUGUUGGAUAGUGGAAAUUGAGAAACAAUAUGAAAAUAUUUUCUUUGCUUCAUCAGAUACCAAAAUAGAUCACUGACUUCCUAAGAUCAUUUUGAUUCUAAACAUGUACAGUGUUAUUACUACACCAUAACAACAUUAUUCUCCUUACUUUUAUUUUUUUAUUAAAUUGGUUUAUUUUUUACUAAAAUUAUGUGUUCAAUUUAACUUUAAAUGUGUUGUUAAUGAUUGCAGAUUGCCACUUUGAAGAUUAAUUUAAAUUGAUUUGAAAGCCAAGUAAACCGUUUUCCUCAAUUAAAAUGGAAACUGCGAUUUAAUUUGCUGCACUAAGAACCAAUCUCCACUGAAAAAUUAUUUUGGGAACAAUUAACAAUCAUUUUGAACAAUUUAGUCAGUGGAUGUGAGGCUAGAUUAAUGUUUAUGUUCUUGUGUCAAAUGAAAAUCUUAUUUGUUAAAGAUCUAAUGUGUGCAUCUAUAAUCUGUUUAUGUACAGAUUAUGCCUAUAGGAAUGGGGUCUCGUGUCCUGAAAAUUAGAAUGUGUUGUACUGGAGUGUGUAAAUUCCGCAUUAGCUGAGGUAUGUAUCUCACUUGCUUUCUAUUCAUUAAGGUUCUUAAUAAUCAAUGUACUAUUGAACCAUCUAUGGCGGCAAUGAUUUUUGCGUACAUUGUUUAGUUAACAUUAGUUGUGAUAAGGUUUAAUAUAACUUAGAAAAUCCACAGUUUCUUAUCUUAGUGUAUAUAUGUUCACGCCAUUUUCUUUGCUAUGUAAUUGAAAGUGAUGAGUGAAGAAAGUUUAGAGAAAUGUAUCAUGUAUGUAUAGUCACCCACGUCAAUAUUCUUUCGACUCUUUAGAUUCUUAUCUUAGUGAAUAUAUUUUGAUGACAUUUUUCUUUUCCUACAUUGUUGAUUUUGAUAUCUUAUAAUGUAUGAUCCGAUAUCUUUUACUGUUUUUAUUUUUCAAGGAUAACUGAGUUGAGCUUAAUACAUAAUGGUUAAAAAAAAUGAGUCAAAAUCAAAUCCUGAUGCUACUUUUACUAAAUAUUAAGUGAGAAGCAAGUGUAAGUUAGGGAGAGACUAUUAGAGAAAAAGAAGAACACAAACAAUUUGAAAAUGAUGAUCUGAGCAAUAAGUCGAGCCCUUAGGUAUGUCUAACUUCAGUUAUUCAAUAGAAGUUGAAGUAUAUAUAACUAAGACCUCUACUCUCACUGUAAUUGAUUAUUGUUGUUGAUGAUUUACCAAAAAAAAUAAAAUGUUGUUGAUGAUUUAGGGAUUUCAAAUUUUCAAUUACAUGUUUUGCAAUUUCAUCAUAAGUUUUAAUUUUUAUCAUCAAUUUUAAGUUUCAAACAUAAGUUCAUGAUACAGGAUUGGGAUUACUUUGUAUCCAACUUGAAUCAUAGUCCACAAAAUUGACAUAUGGUAUGGAUUGAAGUUGUGUUGCAUUUCAGUUGUUAGUUUAUCAUUUAGAUAGAUCAAAAUAUCUUCUUUAUAAGACAUGAAUGAAUGUAACCUCUAAAUUGUGCAGUGAAACCUUCAACUUCUGUAUAAUUAAGUAAUGUGUUUUGUUCGGUUUUGUAUUGUUAAUCAAGUAAUGUGUGUGUGUUCUGGAGUGAGUUUAGUUGUAGGGAUUCUAAUGUAUGUCUUUUAUUUGGUAAUUAAAGAUUGAUACUUCAUAAACUGAUGUUGUUGCUGUUAGGAGCUCAGAGCCACUUGUGUCGUUAACCCUGUAUUGAUUUUAUACUAGCGCAUCAUGUACUUUGCUCUUUUGUCUACUCUCAAAUAUUGUGUGGUUUGGGUUACCUCUUUUUUUACUGCUUUAUACUUUUUAUGUGAUAAAUUACAAUUACACGCCAAAUUGAUAAAAAAGUUUGUGGUUUGGGUUACCCUUAUUCUUUUCAAAGCGAAUGUAAUAGUAGACUAUGCUUUUUGGAGCAUAUUCUGGAAUAGUUUACUCUAAUGUAGGACAAGUAUAUUCUGCGUAAGCACGCUCUCUUGUAAGUUGUAAUUAUCUGAAAUGACAUGUUUCUUUAAACCUUGCACAAACAAUGCAUCCUACACUUGUAACCUGUCUAGGUGCAGGCAACUCCACAAAAAAAUAUUUUGUAACAGUUGGCUACUUAUAAUUAGCAAAUUGAGCUGAUGUUAUUAUGGUAGUGAUAUCUAUACGUGCAGUAAGCACGCAUACUUCUCUUGUUCAAAUCUUAAAGCUCUUACUAUGCUUCUUGAUGUAUUGCACGUUGGUUUGUCUGUGAUUUCAUGUGUGUACGUGUGUUCAUCUGCAGUAAGGUAGUUAUAGGAAUACAAUAAUGUAGCUAAUACGAAUAUUGUGAAGUUGAGAGUUUUGAAUAGCCAAAUUGUAACACUCUUAUUUUUUGGUGCAGUUUUACUUUCUUUACAGUAAAUAAUUAGUUUCUAAAAGUUUAGUGGUUCAUGUCAUGCUUGCCUAUGCGUAGUAAUAAAUUGUAUAUAACUCUUUGUAGGCUUAUAUACGUUGAGGAGGACACAAUAAAGGAUGAGUUAUAAAGAGGUAUUUUCUUUUCAUCCUUUUCACUUCUGUGCAUCAUGUUAUCAAGUUCAUUGGUGUUAUAUGUUUAUGGAGCUUAUAAGUCAAUAUUCUUAGUAAAAAAUGUACUUCUUUACAGUAAUAUCUCUACUACUUUAUCAAGUACAUUGGCCCUCACCUCGCCCCCACUACAUUGGUUCGUGUUGCCUACCUACACUUUGGCUCAACUGUAAUAUGCCGUCCCAAUAACCCAGUUUAAAAAUCCAAUCAAUUUUUUUUUUUAUAAUAUUAUAAAUAUUAAUAAUAAGAUAUUAAAUAAUAGAAUUUUAUUUUAGAUGUGUGCUUUUUUGGGUUGUGGACAUCCAUAGAAUAUGCACAUUCACAUAGUGCACAUAUAUUACUGCUACGUGGCAUAAAUUUUCUUAAUUUACCAUUUUAUCAGGAUGUGUGUAUUAAUUUUGGAGGUUGUGUCUCUGCUUUAUUUUUGGCAAUAUUUGCAAGCGUAUAACAGAUUGGCUAAAUAAUCAGAAUGCAGAAACAAUUGUAUCAUUGUAACCAUUAUUUUGGUUAUAUCUUUGGCGACAGUGCCAUAGAAAACCAACUUUUACAAGACAACGAACUUCAUGUAGUAUGAACUUCAUUCAUACUUAGUUAGAUUAAUACAAACAUUAAACAUGAAAUUCAUUUAGUACAAUUACGAAAUGUGAAAUCAUAUUUAUAAUUCAUUUUAUAACGAAGUAAAAAAUAAUUCAUUCUAUUCAUCCAAAUAUUUUUAAUUAUAAUCAAUAUAAAUGGCAGUUUGUACAGAUCAUAUUGUUUAAAUUUUGCUUAUAGAUUAAACUUUAAUAGAAUAACUGGUAUUUUGGAUUUGUUAUUCCAUUUAAAGGUUGUUUGUAUUUUAUUGUUACAAUUCUUUUCCACUUUGUAUUAUAAUUGGCAGUGGGCACAGUUGAGUGAGAAGAUUUACAAAUUCGUUGACACUAACGUGGCGAAGCCACGGGUACAACUAGUAUAUCUAUAUAAUAUUUUUAGACAUAAUAUUAUUAACAGACAUAAUUACAUAUGUGAUAUGAUUAGAGUUUAAUAGUGUAUUUACAUGUUAUAUAUAAUCUUAGUUUUCAAUCAUAAAAUGACAUAGCCAUGGUGGUUGUAUGUUUGCAUUAUUAAUUUUAUUGAGGUCUCAUGUUUGAAUCAUUAGAAUUAUAUUUUUUACUUAAAAAAACACGUUAACACAUUAAUUACUGGGUUACUGGGUCUUGCAAAACCCAGUGAAACCCGGACGAUUUAAGUGGUUUAAAACUAGGUCAAUUGCAGAUCUGAUCCUCUACUUAACCCAACCCGGUUAAGUAACUGGCUCACCGGUUUGUCGGGUCGACCCGCCGGGCCGGGCCGAGUCUAAUAACACUGAUAUAUUUAACUCUAUUAUUAUUUGACUGGUCCGACCAGUUGACUCAAUGGUUGAACCACUAACCCAGUGACCCAGUGCCUUCACCGGGCUAGUGUUCGACUUGAGUUUGAUAACAAUUGUGUGAACUCAUAAUAAUAACUCAAGAUAAAUAAAAGUAAUAUGCAUUACAGAAAUAAUUCUAAUAAAAGAAUAAACUCAAAUGAAUUUACACUCAAUAAAUUCAAAUUAAAAAUAAACACUUACUACACUUUGCUCAUAACGAUUUGUUGAAGGAAAUGAACUGAGGCUUGUCCAAGUAAUUUCCUUAAGACAAUAUUACGUCUCUGCUAUGGUGCACACAGUCUUUGGACGAUUUGUCUCCUAAGAUACAACAGUUCUGCACUCUACUAAACUGCACUAUAAUAGCAGAGUACUAGCGAACGAAUAUGAAGAACCCUUCGAAUUAUUGUAAAGAAAUGAAGAAGACUUUGUCUAAUUAAUUGUAUACUAAUUGGCUAGAUUAACACACUAUUUAUGGUCACAUAAGUGUUUUUUCAUAAGUGUCUUCUCAUACAUACACCUUUUAUAAAAAGGUGAUAAGUUGUUUCAAAGUGUUUUUCCACAAGUAAGCACCUAUUGUAAACAAUGGCGAAACUAUGUACAACUUAACUGGAGCACGUGCCCCAGGUGAUUUUAGAAUUUUUUUUCCAUCAGACUUUAGCUCAGGCCCAAGCCCAUGAUCAGAACUGUCAUCUGUCACACAAGUCUGGCCGAAGCCCACAAACAGAACUGUCACACUAGUCUAGCCCAAGCCCAUGAUCUGAAAUUAUCACGAACAGCAACAGAGUUCUCUUCUUCGUGAGUUCGUGGUAGUUUCAAUUAGAAAUUUCAACCUCUCUCUUACUCUCUACACUAUAAAUCCUCGAUCAUUCUUCUCUCUGUUAAUUAAUUAAUUGCAAUUUCUAUUUCUAAGUAAGUUCUCUCACAUUUUUAUUAAAUCUAAUAAUUUCAUUAAAUCUAGUAUAGAAUUUGGUUUUUCUUUUAAUAAACCCUGACUUUAUUAGUAGUUAAUUUAUUGAUUUAUUUAUUAAAUGAUUAAUCUUGUCUUAUUAGAUAUUGAUUUCGUCGUGUUGCGAAUUAAAUAGUGUGUGUUUGUUUAUUCUUUUGUUUACAGAGAUGAAAAAACCGAGACUCGAUAAAAAUUGUCGAAGGAUUGAUACUUUAUUCACAAAGAAAACUCACGAAGGUGCUUCCGGUUCAACGGUUCAUACUCAAAAUGUUCAAAACAAUGAUGAAAUGGAGGUAGAGCCUACACCAAAAAAGGUCAAAUUAAAUCGUAUAGAAAUUUCAACCUCUCUCUUACUAAUGCAUCAAAUCUUCCAUCUAAUCCAAAUUUACGGCCUCAAAUUUCUGACUAUCAUCCCAAUGAUCAAAAUGUGGUUCGGAGAGCUUAUUUACUUAAGGGGCCAAAUCAGCCAAGACAAGAAGUAUAUCCACCAACACCAAAUGGAAAGAAAUUUCGUCGUUUCAAGUUAAAAUAUUAUAAGCAAUAUGUAAAUUGGUUGGAGUAUAGUAUUGACAAAGAUGCAAUAUUUUGCUUACAUUGUUAUUUAUGGAGGGAUGAAUGUGGAGAUCAUAGGGAUGCAUUUAUUAAUGGUGGAUUUAGAAAUUGGAAAAACAUCAAAAGAAUUGAUGAUCAUGUUGGAGACCAUAAUAGUGGUCAUAGUCGAGCAUGUUUGAAGAGUGAAAACCUAAUGAAGCAAGAACAACAUAUUGAGACCAUAUUAGUGAAACAAUGAGACCAAGAACGGAUUGAUUAUCGGAUUCGUUUAACUGUUUCUCUUGAUUGUAUUUGGUUUCUCUUACGCCAAGGACUAGCUUUUCGUGGUUAUGAUGAAUCUAAAAAUUCAAAGAACAUGGGAAACUUCCUUGAGCUUUUCAAGUUUUUAGCUUCUCAUAAUGAAAAGGUCGAUAGUGUCUCUUUAAAAAAUGCUCUGCAAAAUAAUCUUUUGAUAUCACCUGACAUUCAAAAGGAUUUGGUUAAUUCUUGUGUUGUUGAAACUGUUAACGCGAUUAUGAAAUACCUUGGUGAAGAAUUAUUUGUUGUAUUGAUUGAUGAAGCUCGUGAUACAUCGGGUAACGAACAAAUGGCUAUUUAUUUGCGAUAUGUUGACAAACGAGGUUCUGUGAUGGAGAGAUUUGUAGGCAUGAUACAUGUUCCUGAUACAACAUCAACUUCACUUAAGGCAUAACUUGGGGAAUUCUUUGGAAAACAUGGGUUGAGUUUCAUGAGAUUGAUCGGUCAAGGCUAUAAUGGGGCUAGCAAUAUGCAAGGGCAGUUCAACGGGCUGAAAGCACUCAUUUUGAAUGAGAAUAAAUCAGCAAUAUAUGUUCAUUGUUUUGCUCAUCAACUACAACUAGCACUUGUCCAUGUUGCAAAAGAUAUUAAAGAGAUUGCUUCUUUUUUCACCUCAGUUAGCAAUAUAGUGAAUGUUGUUGGAGUCUCUUGCAAGCGUAGGGACAACCUUCAAAAUAAACAAGCUGCCAAAGUGUUUAUGCAACUUAAAAAUGGUGAACUAUCUAGCGGUAAGGGGUUGAAUCAAGAAAUUGGUCUUAAAAGACCUAGUGACACACGGUGGGGAUCACACUAUGGUACACUGGUUAAUUUUAUUGUCAUAUUUUCAUUAGUGGUUGAAGUUCUUGAUGAGGUGAUGGAAUAGAGCUCAAGUUCGGAUAAAAAAGGAGAAGCACAUGUUCUAUUAGAUUUGAUGCAUUCAUUUGAAUUUUGUUUUAUCUUGCAUUUGAUGAGGAAUAUAUUAGGAAUUACUAAUGAUCUUUUAAAAGCUUUGCAACGAAAAGAUCAAGAUAUUGUGAAUGUUCUAGCUUUGGUGAAAGUGUGCAAGGGACGUUUGCAGCAAAUGAGAGAAGGUGGUUGGGAUUCAUUAUUUGUUGAUGUUCCUUCAUUUUGUGGAAAACAUGGUAUUGAUGUUCCUCGAAUAGAAGCUACGUUUAUUCAUCGUGGAAAAUCUCGAAGAAAUGCAGAAGAAACUACGUACCUACAUUAUUAUCAAGUUGGAUUCUUUUAUGGGUGUAUUGAUAAACAACGCGUCGAGCUUGAUAACCGGUUUGAUAAAGUGAAUACGGAGUUGCUUCUUUGUAUGGCUUGUUUAAACCCAACCAACUCGUUUAGUGCCUUUGAUGUUGAGAAGUUGAUUCGUCUUGCUGAGUUUUAUUCUGAUGAUUUCUCCGAGCAAGAACAAAAGGUUCUUAGAAAUCAACUUGAGACUUAUGGAAUUGAUAUGAAGUCCAACAACACAUUUGCAGCACUUAAAGGAAUCAACGUUUGGCUACUACAAUGGUUGAGCGUCGAAAAGAUAUUACUUAUGACUUAGUUUAUAGGCUUAUAAAGCUCUCAUUAAUUCUUCCAGUUUUUACUGCUAUACAGUUGAGAGAUUGUUUUCAGUUAUGAACAUAGUGAAGAUUCGUCUUAGGAACCGAAUGGGAGAUGAGUGGAUGAAUGAUUGUCUAGUCGCGUAUAUAGAAAAUGAAGUUUUUGAUACCAUCGACAAUGAAGCAAUCAUGAGACGUUUUCAAAAUAUGGGUAAAGAACAUGGAAGGGAUCGUAAAGGACAAUUAUAAAUUUUAAAUGUUAAAUAUAAAAGCACAAUAUAUUUUGAAGUGUAAAGCUUUUUAGUCUAUUAAUAUAUGCUUACUUUUUUAUGCAUUAAAUUUUGCUUGUCAGUUUUUUUUUUUUUUUGCUUCGAAUUGUUAGUUACUUAGUGCGGAGUGGCGAAGUGCCCCAGGUGAGGUGAGGGAAAUUCUUGGCUCCGCCACUGAUUGUAAACUAAAGGAAAAGACAUGUCUUUUCAUAAAAGAAUUAUGAAAAUACACUGAAUUUGGUCACAUCAAUUCCCAAAAGGUGUUUUUCAAUGGAUGCACCUUUUAUCCUUAAUUUUCACUCAAAAUUAAAUAUUUUAUUAGAAAACAUAUUUCCAACAAGAAAAUGUAACCUUUAAGAUUACAAAGUUGACACAAUCCGUGGACUUAGUAAAGCUUGAGUGAUUCAAGCCCAUGUGUAGUAAUGGGCCGACAUGGAUACGAGGCCCAAUAUGGAAUAUAUAAGGGUUUUCUCUACAACAGAAAACCCUAAAGAUUCAAUAUCUCUCUAGCCUCCUUCUACCAUUAGAGAGAUUGUUAUCUGUGAGAUAAUCCUUCAUUCUUCAUCAUCAUCCCAAGUCAUCAACAACAAUAACAGAGAUUCGAGAGUUGCUUCUUAGAGUGAGUCUAAGAAAGUGUUGCAGAGAUAGAAGACUACGCAGAGCACUUUUGCAAGUAUCAACUUUUGUUAUUGGGUUAAUCUGAGAUUGUAUUAGUAAGUGUACUUUUCUAUUUCAUAUAGUGGAUUAUUUAUCUUCGUGAGGACAGUCGUGGAUGUUUCCGAGUUAUUGGGUUUUACCACGUUAAAUCUUGUGUAUCCAUUAUUCUUUAUUGUCUUUUGUUUGUUUAUUGGUUAUUGUUGAAUUGCACUUAUUUUCUUCCCUGUAUUGUUUAUUGGUUAUGAUUCUAAAGUUACGGACACAAAUUGAUAUUUAUUUUCUUCCCAACAACUUUAUGCAUUUUAAUACUGAUCUUCUCUAUUGCAACUAGGUGACUGCAACAUCAUAUCCUUUGUCAACAUCUAUCCACUAUUAUAUUUAUGUAUUGUAGAUGAUGACAGGUUUGAUGUUUCUCCUGUUCAAUAAUGGCUAUGAAUUGCGCAGCUGCAGCCUGCAGGUACUUGUGAAGUCCAUAUCAAUAAUGUCUGGUACUUGCUCCUUUACAAAUGAACAAAAAACAAAUGAUGUAGACGCCGUGGUUUUGUUAGAAGUUCUUGAUCACUAAAUCUUUACCCAGUAUACGUAAUCUCUGUAUCUGACAAAAACAUUUCAUGUAGAUUUGCCAAGUGUAUAAUCCUACAACAAUCAUCAGAAAUGAAAGAUAUUGAAACAUAAUACAUUUUGCCUUCAACUACACACAAAUUAAAAAAAAUGAAAUUCAUGAAGCCAAGCUAAGAAUGAAAAUGAUCACUGGUUUCUGGCAACUUAUUUAUCGACAAUCAGUUUUGCUCUGGCAUGUCCUGUUUCAAUACGAAAUUGUUCGCCCAAGCCUAAGUGAGUCAUUAGUAACCAGACAAAUGUAAUAAGCUCUCCACCUCUACUGAGUUGCUGAGCAUGGCUAUUUGCUCUGCACUGAAUUGCAGCAUACGACAACAGCUCUAACCACACUUUGCGCAUCAAUCUCCAUCUCGGCCCCUUGUGUAUGGUUUCUAGGUUUGUAGCCAGUCUGACUGCAUCGAAAAGCACUGAUUUGCUUCUAUCCCCCUUCACAUCUGCAGGUUUUAUUUCUGUAUUUACGCUAAUUAACUUACGACAGGCCACUUCAGGUUUCGUUGCUUCUACUCUAGCAAAAAACAUUUUUGCCUCAGCACAAGUGUCUCUGUAUCUGAUUAGUCCAAUACCUGCCACUGCCGACAUCAUAGUAGGCUGCAUAACCAGAAGGUAUAACAUGUAAUCCGAUAAUAGUUUUGAAAAUUCACGGUCCUGGUCCUCCACUCUAGCAUCUUCAUUGUUCUCUGCACAGGGUUCUUCACCUUCCUUAUGAUAGACGAUUUCAGUGGCAAUAUGCCACAAUAGAAGGCUCUCAUCAUAUUCAACAUCGACGCUCCAGCCUAGUACCCUAUGAUGUAUACUGCGCCCAAGAACCCAAUCACCUCGUGCUGAACAUAUUUCCUUGGCAGUCUUUGGCUCCUUACCAAUAACUGAUUUUUUCUUGAGUUCAUCGAAGAUGAAUUCCUUCAAUGGAAGCUCUAUACUGUUUGAAGACUUGUGACAGACCUCGUCAAAAAGGUCCUUCAGACCAAUAAGAUCAACAAAGCGGUCUAAUCGUUUUGAUCUUUUGGACAAACAAAACUCAAUCAAAUUAAACUGUGACAUGGACUCGGACCACCUGGAUCGUUUCAAGAUGGGAAAUUUGGUGACAAUCCAAGAGUUAAUAGCAUCUACCUUGAAAUCUCUUUUGGCUGCAAUAGUCCAAUCGGAAAACACAAGCAUGAGGAGAGCAAUGCAAUCAAGAAUCAUUGCACCAAUAAGCAAAAAAUAGGUUGUGGUAAUGUCGAAGCGUCGCAGUCCAUUCUUCUCGUAGAACAUGAAGAGCAAGAGGGCUACUAAGGUUGAAAUGAAACAGAUACUACGAAGGAUGUAACCAGGCCGAGUAUGAACCACCUCAACUUUUGUGUACAGAAUCUCAUACAUGAAGCUGAGCUCUAUCUCUAUGACAUCAAAGGCAUCUUUUGCGUACCUUUGGAGGAAGAAUUCUCGGCUCUGAUUUCUAUCGUGGAAGCUGAAGAUGAGGUCAACAAUGAGUCCCUUGAAUUUAUUAAAAAAUUUAUAAGCAUGCUGCACCUUGUCUCUCUCACUAGCCAUUUUGACAGGGUCUGUUUUGGUGAAAUCGUUGUAGGUUUCAGGCUCUGGUAUCCUCUCAAUCUUGGCUGGAAGUUGGGAAUCCUUCAUUGACGAGUACUCAGCCAUGAGUUUUGCAUAGUUUGGACCAGGAUCAGGGUCUGUAAGCAUUGAAUCCCUGAAUCUACCCAAGCUUGCAAGAUAGAGGGCACGAGUUCUCUCAGCAUACUUGACAAGUCCAGUGAGAAACAUGAGUACUGUUGCAGGCCAAAGCUUGUUACGUGGAAGCGUUUGAAAGAAAAUAUAUGCAGCCGCAAAAAAUUGGACAAUUAGGCCUAGCCAGUGCCUAAGCCAAAGCUCGUUAUCCUCAAGUGCAAAAGCAGUGAUUGUAUCAGGGCCGCCAAGGUGCACCAAAAGGAAAGGACCCCAGAAAGCUAGAAGCUCCUCAGUGGCAAGAGACCCAUCAUCGCUGUUGGAGAUGAGUCCAAGGGAAAAAGCAGCAACCCAGUCUGCUAGUAAGUAAGCUGACCAGAUAAGCAUGAUAAUGAAUUUGCUUGACGAUCGUUUCCGUAAGGAUGCACCAAGGAUUAGAAAAGUCUGCAAGCUAAGGCUAAAGAGAACACAUACUCUGAGAUCCCAUACAUCCCAUAGUUUCUGAACACUUUCAGGAAUGGGAUUAGUAAAAGUACCAUUGUUGCUCAUGUUUGGUUAUCACCAGAAGUUUGAUAUCCAAAACAACUUUUGGAUAAAAAAGAAUGAAACUUCUUCUUGCUUUAUUUCUUCUAGUUUAAUGAUUAUUUUGUUCAAAUUUUCUGUCCAUUUUAUUACUUAAUUCAAACUUAAACAACUCACCUACUUCCAUUAAGAUAAAAUAAAUUUUUGGUUGUUGGAUUCUGGUGUGAACAUGUUCUAUACUUCUAUUAAUUCAAGCAGGCCUAUGAAGUCAAUGCCAACUGCAAUCAUGUCUAUGCUCACAGCAGCAUCUAAGUGUUUUCUAUAGUCAUUUUAGAUCCUCUUGCUUUCUUGAGCAACAACUAACAGGUGAGAAGAGAGAGAGAGAGACAGAGUUCAGAAGCUAAGAUGUCUGGUGAGAUUGUUUUAUUUCUCAAAACCAAAUUCAUUGAUGCUCUUCAAGAGGAGGGUCAGCAUCCACUUCCUUUGAGCAAGGUUUUCGUGAGCAUUAAAACAAUUCUGGAAGAGAAGAUAAGAUCAUGUAUGCUGGAUCAUACAAGGGAUAUUCAAAUGAAGGACAGUUUGUAUAAGCUCAAUGAUGCAAUCAUAGAAUGCAGAAUGAUAUCUGAUAAUCGCAGAAAACUUCCUCACCCUCCCUACACUAUUAAAGAUGCGUACGAUCUUUAUAAAAUCAGGCGUCGCUUGUUAAAACUUAAGAAGAUCCUCAGAACUGUUCCAGAUGCAAGUACUACAAGUUCUUCAUCAACAACUGUUGGUAGACAAGCCGAACAGCAAACACCUGAAAUGUCAGCAUCGACAGUUUUCGGCUUUGGUAAUCGGAUGGAAGAGAUAGUUACUUCAAUCCAGAAAGAUAGUUCUGGUGGAAUAAACAAAGUUGGGAUUGUUGGUAUGGGUGGUUCAGGGAAAACGACGCUUGCUCAUAUGGUUUUCGAUGAUGACAGGGUGAAGAAAGAGUUCAUUCCAAGAAUUUGGGUUGCGCCAAAUAAAUCUGAUAUGUUAUCAGAGACUUCUACAAAAAGCAUUGUGGAAUAUCUGCUAAAAGAAUUAGGAGAAGAUGAGGACGACGACAAUGAUGAUGAUGAUGACGACGACAAUGAUGAUGUCCAACAAGAAGAAAAGGAAGAAAAACGCAAUGAACGGAAGAAAACGGAAUCGACAAAAAGUCUUAACGACCUACUCGAUAGACUUCACAAGCAGUUAUCAGGUAAGAAGUAUCUACUUGUGUUUGAUGAUAUCUGGAAAAUAAGUGAUUGGUAUGAAAGCUUAGUUAACUCUAAGAAUGCUCAUCUUCCUCGCGGACUUCCCAAGGGAGAAGGUGGUGGAAUCAUUAUUACUAGUAGGCUUGCUGAAGAUGUAGAAAAGAUGGUUGAGGAUGCGAAUUUGCAUCGUCUUUUACCUACAUCAGAUGAAGAUUGUUGGUCAAUAUUUAUGCAGGCGAUAACAGAAAAUGGAAUCAGUUCAGAGCAUCCAACUCUUACAACAAUGAAAACUGAAAUCCUUGAAAACUGUAAUAACCUUCCUUUAGCCGCAAAGACACUGGGGAAGAUUGUUUCUGAGCAGAUUCGAACUCAACAGUGAUCUAUCAGUCUGUUACCAUAAAUGGUUCUAUUGUAUGCUGGUGAUAUACAUAUUUUGAAGGAAGGGUGUUUGUCCGCGUUUUGAAGAUGUUCUGAAGAUGUUCGUUUAAAUAGGCUUCACAGCUUCACGUGUCUUCUAAUCCUCAACAUCAUCCAUGGUAGGAAACACAGAAAUGGAAGAUGAAUACAUAAUAGAAAUCAUUGGGAGGGGAGUGUGUAGUGUAAUAUCUCACAGGAAAAUGCAAGGAUUUCAACUUUCAAGGCCUGAAAACUAGAAUAUCAAAUACCACAAUGUUCAAAUUUUAUAUUGUCAUUAAUUUACAAGCAUUUGUUACUAUGGCGUUAUCAAAAUCUAUCAAAAAAAGAUCAAACAACAAAACCUUUAUAGUGUACAACUUUAAUAGAAAGAAAAAUUAGAGGGUGAGAAGUUGCAUUAAUAAACAUGGACUCCAGGGAAAUAAAUGCAAUAUGCGCCGAGGAUUUCAAAAUGACACAUGAAACCUUAUAAACCCGAGGGCUCUGACUUUGAUAAAACUUGUCAAGACCGAAGAAGGUUCCAACUUCAUGGAGACAGCUCGCUUUGUGAAAAUCACUGAAGGAGCUUAUGAGCCAUCCAUCAUAGUAUCAUUUGUAUUUGAUGGGGUUACGCCGAAAGGGGUUUCAAUGUUCUUCUCGGUCAUGCCAGCUCCAAAAGUAAAUUCAUGAGGAAUGUUCAAGGCAGCACGAUCAAAUAUUGAGGUGGCAGCAGAAGAGUUAAAAGCAGGAACAGGAACAAUGUUAUUAGUUUUCGGGAAUUCAAAACCCGAUGACGUUGUAUUACAUACAGGGAAGACGGGCAGCACUGGGCUACUUCCGAUUGGUCCAAAUAUCUUCUGCUCGUAUCCCUGCAACUGCUCGUGUACACCUACAAAUCAUGAAAAAAAACAGGGGGGCAUCAGGCAUGCUAAAGCAAAGAACAAGUUUCAGACCGCAGUGACAACAAAAUAACGAUUACAGCAAUGCCACUUAUUAAGUUAAAUAUCAUAGAUGAUGUGGCUUAGCUACGAGAAGAACAAGAAAGAGAAUAUAGAUUUCAACCAUCGUUCUAAAGUAAAUUUCCGAAUUUCAUACAAAAGCUCUAAAUUUGUCGGUAAAAAGUGAUAACAUAGUUAAUUAUGGAAACAAAAUUUCUUUCAUUCUCCAAGACCAAAAAACUAUGAAGCACUUAGAAAAACAUGGGAACCCCAAGAGUACAAUGUAUAUGGUCUUGUAAAGCUCUACAACUAUCAUAGUUACCAGCAUUUUUCGAAAAAAAUAAAUAAAAAUAGAACAGAAGAAUGAACUUCUCUGAAUGAACUUCCAUUAAAUAGGAAACAUAAAAUAAUAAAGCUAAGUAAACAUCAACAAUCCAAUCGGUUUUCUGAUGUUUCCCACUAAUUUUGGGUCAUAUGUGCAUGGGACAAUGUGUACAUGUAAUAGGGCAAAACCCUUGUUUAAAUUAUAAAGUGAAGUCUUCUGUUUCUCAAAAGUGCAUUGACUUGUCUGUUUGACCGAGGAUGAAAAAUCUGUACACAAAUAUACAUACAAGCAUGAACAAAUGUAUAUAAGGCAGGCAAGAACCUUGAGACAGCUCAACCGAAGGCCUCCGAUCUUUCACCCAUUGGUAACUUUGUGCAAGUCUCCAUCUUUUGGAUUUCAUUAAGUAUGCUAUCACAAUGGCUGGAGACCUGUGAAAAAUAAUCAAAAUAUAGCACAUAAGAAUCAAGAAAAAUUCCCCAUGUCUGUAAAUCAAAUAAAAGGUUACAUCUAAAGAAGCAACUAACUUGUUUUUUCCUGACAUGCAGUGCACUAGAACACGAGCCUUGUCCUUUUCGCAUUGCUCUACAGAAAUCAAUCGAUUAAAUCAUUACAAGUAGAAGAGCCAAAUCAAACCCACAAAAGCUAAAUAUGUUAAGUUCAUUAAAGAUCAUGAAUAGAAAACUAACUGAAAAAUCCUGAUUAACUAAAUCAUAAACAUUGUCUUCAGAAUCUUCACAAAUACAUUAAUAACAUCUCAAGCUUAUACUAUAAAGAUUUCCCAACAUAAGGCAAUACCUAGAAAAUGAAUUGCAUCAUCAAAUGGUAAAACCUUUUCCUCUUGGAGGCAGUGAUAAGUAAAAGAAUUCCUGUAAAGAUUUUGACAGGCAGGGACAGUCUGCAAAUUCACAAAACAGAAAAAAAAAACAUUCAGAUUGGCUGCAUUCCUAAUAUAUAAUUUUUCUUUCUUUCCACCGAACUGUUAACAGUUAAUCCACAAAAGGUAACAGACUGACUGAAACAGUCGUUCGAACUUGAAAGAGAACGCAAACAUUUAAUAAAGAACCAUUGCUAUUGAUCCAUAGGAUCCUUGUUAUUAAUAUGCAUCAGUCAAUGUGCCACCAAGCGUACAUCUUACAUUUAAGCACUUCCUUUAAAAUUAUUCUCACCUUAUGUAUUGAAUCAUAACCCUACACUUUUAUAAGAUGCAGAGAAAGCAGUGGUAAUUUGUGUUACCCAAUUCUGCUAUUGUUGUUCAAUUCUUUCUUUGGUUAAUUUGUCAAAAAUAAUUGAAUUUCUUCUUCCUUGCUCGUAUGCCAAAAUAGUAAUACCACAAGUAUUAAUACAGAAACAAACAUUAGUCUACACACACCACCAAUCAAAAUUCUCCUUCUCAAUUUAUUCUUUCUCUAGAAACUCUAAUAUAUAAGGCUUCUUUUUUGGUCGAAUUCCAAAGAUUUAGCAUAAGCCCGUACAAAUUCUUACAGAUACCAGAUAUUUCAUCAUGACUCAGGUCAAGACGUGAAUAAUGUUUUAAGCAUGUCCUCACACAAACUUCGAUUGGCCGAAAAAAAAACACUAAAAGUUUUAUCACAGAAAACAACACCGAUUUCUUCAAACAGAUCAUUCUCAUAAUAUAAACAAUAAAAAUCAGAGUUUAUGUUAUGAGAACGAUUUGUUUGAAGAGUUUAGUGUUGUUUCUUAUGAAAAUACUUCUAGUGUCCUAUUUCCAGCAAGUCAAAAUUUGUGUGAGAAGACUUGCUUAAAAAAUUGUUCAUGACUUGGCCUUAGCUCUAGUAUCUGUAAGAAUUUAUACGGACUUAUGUUAAAUCUUCGGAAUUCAACCGAAAAAUAAAUCUUAUAUAUUAGAAUUACUAGAGGAGAAUUAAAGAGGAAGGAAUUGGGAAGGAAAAUUUUGAUUGGUGGUGUGUGUGUAGUUUAAUGUUUAUUCUUAUAUUAAUACUUGUCGUAUUACUAAUUUGGCAAAAGAGCAAGAAAGAAGAAAUUGAAUUAUUUUUUCUUGAGAAAUUAACCAAAGAGAAUUGAAAAACAAAAACUGAGUAGCACAAAUUAAUGUAAAGAAAAAAGUUAACCUAAGUAACAAAUAUGUCCUUGAUACUAUUGUAUGUUGUUGUGUUGUGAAUUUUUCUUAUGCAAUUUGUAGUAUUUUGGUUAAAUAGCAGUUUCAACUAAAACUUGAAGUCUACCUUUGAUAAACAUAUUGUUUCUCUUUUUACCAUUUUUAAUAGACUUUGUUCGUCUCUGAUAGAAGUAGAUUCUUGUGAGUUAAUUUGUGGUAUAAAAAGUGACUUGUUUGUUUAAGACUUUGAUAUCUAAAAGUUAGCCCCCCUCAGAGAGUGUCAAAGCACUUGGAUGUAUCCCAACCAUACAAAUCUCUCUUCAGCUUUUCUUGUGAUUUAUUUGUGCUUACUCCACCGACCGUAGGGAGGGUUUUGGGAUAUGAAGUAAAAAAACAUUUGUCUUAAAUGAUGUUUGUCCGUCUUUUUUUUGCCCUGCUCUUCUUCUUCCUCCCUCAAUCUCUCCUAUCCUCCCUUCUUUCAGGCACCAUCUCCUUCAAUUUCUUCUCCCUCUCUACCACCUCCUUCAUAUAUUCUUGUUGUUCUUCUUCGCGAAUCCUUCAAUUUCCUCAACUUCAAUUUCAAUUUCCUGAAAUCCCUCCAAUUUAUUGAAUUUCCUCAAUUUCUUCUUCCUCUCUCUGUCUGCGUUGUUCUUCCUCUUCACAGUCAGUGCCCACUGCUUCACAGUCUUCUAUUUAUUAGUUAUUUUUGCUUUAUUUUCUUUUACACUAGAAACUCUAAAGUGAUUAAUCACUUUUGUAGCUUCUAUCAAUCUAAAGUGGUUAACACUUAUUGAUUGUUGUCUUAGUUUUGCCCUAUCGCACAUGAAAGUGACAACAACGCUUAUUAUUCACUUAAAAUCCUUCAUCCACAUCCAGUACUACAGAUUGACCAAAAAUCUAAGAUUGCGAGGGAGCUUUCACCUUUACUAAAAGCGAGAUCAAGAUAAAAUUUAAUCCCCCAAUCGGUAACCCCUUAACGAGUACCAAAAACCGUUUUCCCCCAACAAUUAUCACAAUUUGUUACUACUUAUUAAACAAAUUAACUACUAACAAAAACUAAUUAUUAAUGUAAAUCAAAUCAAAGAUCAAAUAAUUCUAAAUUCAACUAAAAAUCAAUAAAACUUACAUUAAGAAUCCUUGAAAUUCCUUGAACUUUAAGAAGCUCCGAACGCGAUGCAUUAUCAUAGCUUCCUAAAUAAAGAAACUCCGGCAAGAUCUCAGAUGAGAAUGCACUGAUAUGAACAGAAGUUACUUCAUUUGAUACCGGAACCCGGUGACCACAAAUCCCACAAACUUCACCUUCUUCAUACUUAUGAUAAUGCCCACAAACCCCACAUGGGUUUUCUCUUUCUCUUUUCCUCAUCACACACACAACCAAAUCAAUAAAUCAAAGAUACCCAAAUCAAGAAAUCUCAAUUUAGAUUGAAAUUGAAUGUUUUUGUACGGAUUUGAUUGUGAUAAUCAGUAGUAAAUCAGAAGAAAAGUGGCUCUGUUUUCUGUACUUUAUUGAAGUUCUUGUUCUUUUUGUGUUAAGUAGUUGAGAAUAAAACCUAUCAAUCUAUCUAUCAUCACCUUAUUAUCACAAAAGAACUGUCCUUAUCGGAUGUAUAAAGAGGAUUUAUUUAAGAUUCGGUGAGUCAGAAAUCUAAAACAGACUUUCCAAAUCCAUCUUGUUUAUUGACCCAGUUGGAUGAGGGCUGGGGCAAACCUUUAUUGGCAAUUUGCCAAUUUGACUUAAUAAUGGGCUAGCCCAAUUGGAAAUAGUAUGGUUUAGGUUGGGUUUCCGCGGCGUCCAUAUAGGUUUUUAAGAGCAUCUCUAAUGCACAGUCUAAAAUUAGCGUGCCACAUAGGUAACACAUCAGCCAUAUUUAUAGUAUUUUUUAAGAUUUUGCAAUUUUUUAAAUUUAGAACUUUUAUUUUAAGACUAAUGUACAUAAACUUUACAACCUUCUAUUGAUGAUGGGGAAGAAAAAAAAAACUAUUUAUAAAAACAGAUUUGAACAGUAAUAAAUUUAUCUAGUUUUUAAAAAAUAUAAUAAAAAAAUCAUUUAUCAUAGAUAGAUGGUUGUAUAUUUCGUUCUAAAUUGAACCGUGUUUAUAGCAGAUCUAUUUAUAGCAUGAGUGAUAACAUAAGCGUUAGGGACAAAAUUAUAGAAAAAACUUAUUUUAGACCGUGCAUUAGAGAUGCUCUAAAAUUAAGUAAGGUUAUAGAAGUUGAAUAUUUUUUCGAGUGAAUAAGAAAUAGUUUUGCAUGUAUACUUUUGCUUUUUAUUAUUUACAAGAAAGAAAUUUUAUUUAGAUGAGAGCAAACAAAGAAGUAGAAAAGAACCAUAUCUAAUACAACCCAAGAAAUUUGGGAAAGAGAAUUUAUUUUUUUAGAGAAAGACAUAGUUGGAGAGAGAUUUUUUUUUUUUUUUUUUUUCACUUUUUUUAUGUUUAACAGAGAAGGAAGAGAGCAAAGGACUGAAAGAAAAACAAAAAAUUUAGGCUGUAGCCAAUCUGAGUGGGACGUAGAAGGGUUGUAAUGAAUGUGCAUUAGAAAAGAUGGUGGAAGUUAAACGCAUAAAGGCAAAAUUGUCGAAGUUAGCUGAUCUUUAUCUAAAUGUUCACUGUGUUCAUCUACUACAAGGGAUGAUCUCAAGAGUACAAGGUAUUCAAGAGCCAGAACCUGCUUCACAAAUCAGUAUCUGUUUCGUAUAUACUUUAUCUGCGGCAGUUUCAGUCCUUUACUUUAUAUACUCUAUAUGCUGGCUAUUUUAAAAUCACGCAAUACAUGGUAUUUUGUUUCCAAGACAUGACACAUGCACCUUAUCAAUAAUAGAGCUGAUUUUAUGCAGCAGCUAUUGACUUGCUGGAUUUAUUUGCAAGCAACAACAGAUCGAGUGAUGAGACAACUAUGGUCUGGGAAAUGCUUCUAUACAUCUACAUUCUCUAUUCUCCAGAUUGGCAUUACCAAAGUACAAUGCCAACUUUCCUCUGCCUUUAUGGUGCUGCCUUUGCCAUUGCGCAUUCACAAUUACGUUUUGAUGUAGGCUUUAAAGUUCAUUACGUCAUCCUGUGUCUCUUCUGUAUCCCUAGGAUGUACAAGUACUACAUACACACGAACGAUGCAUCUGCAAACCGACUUGUCAAGUUCUACGUCAUAACAUUGUUCGCGGGGAGUAUUUGUUGGUUGUGUGAUCGCUUAUUCUGCAAAGAGAUAUCCCGUUGGUAUUUUAAUCCACAGGGUCAUGCCUUAUGGCAUGUCUUCAUGGGUUUCAAUUCCUACUUGGCCAAUACAUUUUUGAUGUUCUGUCGUGCUCAGCAGCUUGGUUGGGCCCCUAAGCUUGUUAACUUCAUGGGGCACUUGCCUUACGUGAAGAUUCAAACAAAAAAGCCAGUGAAUAACAACAGGAUGGAAAAUAGUCUCCAAGAAAGAAAAUUGUCCAAGGUAGAAGAAGACGACGUACAAUCCCAAUCUCAACUACGUCAAGAAAAUAGAUACCAUUUUCGAAAUGGGCGACACCAUUGGCUACCAAAAAAGAAAAAAAAAAGGUAAGGCUGGUAAACAAUGACGUAAAAGAUGAUUCAUCAUAUAUAGCUGACUUAGGAUGUGCUUUCUUGUGUACCAUAUUUCUUGUAUUGGAGAUCAAGUCAAUUGAGCUUGGGAUAUUUUGUUUUUGUUAGUGCUUUCAUUUGUGUGUAUUUUCACAUUUCAGGAAAGGGUAAAACUGUGUUGAUUGUUUGCGUUGUGUGCUCGGAAUGGACAUUACUUUAUACCAUAGUUAUUUAGUUGCAAAUUUAAUGCACACUUUACAUUUAACAUAUUUUGUAAUAUCUAUAAUGCUCUACUGUUACCGUCUUCUUGUUUCCCUUGUCUCUUUCGCUCUCUGAUUUCCCCGCGCUUUACCCUCUCAAUGUUCUCUUAUAUGUGAUUGUGUCGGAAUGGAAAUGAUUUUGAGACUGUUACACUAUUAACAAGUCAUUGAAUCAAACAAUCACUAUUCCAAAACCACCAAUAUCAGGUUAAAAGUUAAAACAAUUUAAAUUUUCCACUACUUUUAUCACGUUGAUCCCGAAGAAGGAGGGUGUGCUAUCUAUUGGAGACUACCGACCCAUUAGUCUCAUUGGGGGUGUGUACAAGAUUAUCUCUAAAUUGCUCGCAUCAAGGAUUAAACAAGUGCUACAGUUUCUUGUGUCUGAUACUCAGGGAGCUUUCCUUGGGGAUAGACAAAUUCUGGAUAGUAUACUCAUUGCUAAUGAGAGUAUUGAUGCAAGAUUACGACAAGGGGAUCCUGGGAUUUUGUGUAAGAUUGAUAUCACUAAAGCUUAUGAUCAUGUGAAUUGGAAUUUUCUUGAUUAUGUGCUAAGCAGGAUGGGGUUUGGCUUGAGAUGGAGGAAAUGGAUUCGUACCUGUGUGUCGACAGCACGUUUCUCAGUGAUCAUUGAAGGUUCGCCAGAGGGGAAUUUAAGGCCCAACGAGGUNNNNNNNNNNNNNNNNNNNNNNNNNNNNNNNNNNNNNNNNNNNNNNNNNNNNNNNNNNNNNNNNNNNNNNNNNNNNNNNNNNNNNNNNNNNNNNNNNNNNUUGUCCCGUUUCCGCUGAAAUGUAUGCAUGAUGGUUUACUGAGGGGUUUUGAGAUUGGGAAUGGAGGUUUUAUGGUUGGAGUACUACAGUUCGCAGAUGACACCCUUUUUUUCACUGAACCUUCGACUCAGGCUUUGUCUGUGAUUCGACUAGUGAUUACUUGCUUUGAAGCUGUGUCUGGACUGAAAGUUAACCUCUCCAAGUCAUCCAUUUCUGCGAUUGGGGAUGUUCACAACAUUGAGAGCCUAGCUCGGUUUUUUGAGUGUGGUGUGGCCCAGUUGCCAGGGAAGUAUCUUGGGUUGCCUUUAGGGGCGCAGUACAAGAAUGUGGAUGUGUGGAGCUCAGUCGUUGAGUCGUAUCAAAAGAAGCUGAGUGGGUGGAAGCGAAAACUUAUGUCUAAGGGUGAUCGACUACUUCUUGCCAAAAGUACAUUGGCGGGCCUUGCUAUUUAUCAACUAUCCCUCUUCACUAUCCCCACGAGCAUUGCUGAGAAACUUGAGAGGAUAGUAAGAAAUUUUAUCUGGGGAUCUAGUGAAAAUAAGAAGAAAAUGCACCUUGUGGCUUGGGACACGGUGUGCUCCCCCAUGCAAGAGGGGGGCUUGGGCAUUCGGGAUUUGAAGACCAUGAAUCAAGCUCUGCUUGCAAAAUGGAUAUGGAGAUAUGGAUGGAAAAAUCUGCACUUUGGCGAAGAGUCAUUGAGGCCAAGUAUGGUGAGAGUGACAAUAGUGGUAAACCAAGGAAAACGUCUCAACCUUAUGGGUGCAGUUUGUGGCGCGGGAUCCAAGUUGUACAAGAGGAGUUCUUUGAAAACAUCAAGCAUGUGGUGAGACGAGGGGAUAAAACUCGGUUUUGGCAUGAUAAGUGGCUCGGGGAUACCAUCCUCUCAAGGAGGUUCCACAGAUUGUACAAGUAUGCUUCUAGGAAGGAGGGUACGGUGAAAGAUCAUUGUGGUGAGGAGGGGACUUGGGAGCUCCACUUGAGGAGGUCACAUUUUCGUGGAAUUGAAGUUACCCAGUUGAACCAUCUUCAGGAACUUCUUGAGGGUGUUUCUCUUAGUGAUGGGGAGGAUGUUUGGGAGUGGGUUCUGACAGGGGAUAAUGUUUUCACGGUGAAGUCUUGCUACUCAAGUCUAAUGAGCAUUGGUCGAAGGCGAUCUUCCGAACCAUUUGAGUUUCCUUACAGAGUAGUCUGGGAGCCGAAAGUGCCUAUGAACGUCAAGUUCUUCUUAUGGGGUCUGAUGUGGGAUAAAACUUUGACUAUUGAUAAACUCCAGAGAAGAGGCAUGAUCUUGACGAACAGAUGUGAGCUAUGCAAAUGUGAUGCUGAGUCCACGAAACACCUCUUCAUUACAUGUACAGUCACUAAGCAGAUUUGGCAGGGUUUAAUUUCAGUUUGUGCUAGAGCCUGUGCUGGAUUUCAUACGGUGGAGAAUCCACAACAGUUAUUGAAUUGGUGGCCAGCCUUGAACGCUCAUGGUGUUAAAAGUAAGAUCUGGAAUAUCUUGCCGUAUGCAGUGUUGUGGUGUAUAUGGCGUGCGAGAAAUGAAGCAAUAUUUCAGGGAAAUAGCCAUAGUGUGGCUAAGAUUGGGGCUGCAAUUAAGGCAGCUGUGUGGGCCUGGUUAAGCUGUGAUCGAGAUGGCUUAAAGAUGAGAGAAGACAUCAGAUUUGCUGAUCUACUUCGUGGUUGGAGCCAUCUUAUGCAAGAGCAGUGGUGAGGUUGACUAACAGUCCACCUGACGAUAUACAGUCAUCUGUAUGUGCUGAUCAGGCUUGUAAAUCUUGUUUUUGGUGUCAAAUAUAUUGUUACAUUAAUCAAAAAAAAGAAAAAAUUCAAACCGGGAAUUGUACAAAUUUAACCUCUUUUGCAGGUGUCAGUUGGGCUCAACUGGUAAAAACUUUUGGGUGAUGAUAUCAGAUGUCUAAGGUUCAAACUCUGCUAUAAUUACCGAGUUAAUGGUCUCAUUAAACACAAGUUUAACAAAAUCUUUUUUUUUUUUUUUUUUUUUUUUUUUUUGACAAAUAAACCUGUGACUCAAUCGUAGCACCCUCUCACAAAGCGAGAGAUGUUGUGGGUUGAAACAUGUCAACAACUGAUUGAUUGUUGAUAUAAGAUGUUGUGGGUUCGAAACAUGUCUGAUUGUUGAUAUAAGUUUCUACACUUAAUUUAAAAAGAUAGAGAUGUUGUGGGUUGAAACAUGUCAACAACUGAUUGAUUGUUGAUAUAAGAUGUUGUGGGUUCGAAACAUGUCUGAUUGUUGAUAUAAGUUUCUACACUUAAUUUAAAAAGAUAGAGGUCCCCGAAACUCCACUAGCCAAGAAUUUUUUGGUCAAACACAAAAAGCAAAAACACAUCGAAAGGUUGAUGUGCUAGAAUAGAUAGACAUUAGUCAUUAUCACAUAUAAAACUGGAUCGCAUUUUAUCCGACCCAGGCCGACAUCUUUUUGUUGGGUCGGGUCAUAAAUUAUUUGUCCCCGUAUUUGUUUUGUUUUCUCUCUUUCAUCUUCCUUCUCUCUCUUCAGAGUUCCCAAAUCCCUAGGGUUUUUGGAAUCUCUCUCUCUCUUCGCCAUUCACACCACCACCACCACUAUCUAAUCUGUAAGUACACCUACCUUGAAUUAUGGGUAUUUGUUGCUUUUGAUUUUGAACUUUUUUUUUUCAAAUAUGGUGAAUAAUUGAUGUUUUACUGAUAUAUUAUUAUAUUUUCAAUAAAGAUUAGGGUUUAUUGAGAAUGUUUAAGUGCAAUGAAAUCAUGAAAUUAGAGUGUAAUGUAGAGUACCCAAACUGGCAAAGUUGCGGUUUUUCAAGAAUUUGGCAUUUUUUUUUUAUUGAAUUUACAAGAAUUUCAAUUUUCCUUAUUGAGGGUAUUAUUUGUUUCAUUGUUGAAAUUUUUAUGUUAAAAGCAAUAAAUGUCAGGUUUUAUACAUAGAUUGAAGAAAUUAAUGCGGGGUUAUAGAAUUCAUUAUAAAUAUGUUAUAUGAAAAGAAAUAUAUUAGACGGAAUCACUCAAGCACAUUUUUUCGGCAUUUGGAAAGAAGACUGAAGACUCAAUUUUAUUCUCUUGAAUUAUUAUGUCUUAAAAAGUUCCUAGCAAUAAAUAUGUAUAUUUAUAGUCGUGUUUAUUUUGUUGCCAAUAGUAUGAAAAUUAAGAGUUGACUACUGUGUUUUUCGUAUGUAGAGUUAUUAUGUUUUAAAAAGUUUCUAGCAAUAAAUAUGUGUUUAUAGGCGUGUUUAUCUUAUUGCCAAAACUCCGAAAGUAAGACUAUACUGCGUUUUUCUUAAGUAAAACUUAUACCGCGUUGCGGUGUACUAUUACUUUGAACUAAAAGUAUCAAGAGCCACGUGAAUAAAAAAUUGUUUUAAUUUGAGGGAUUCUCUUAAAAAAUAAAAUAGAAUCUAGGUUAUGUGCAAAUGUGUGACGAUUUUCUUUCUCAUUCCUCGACAACUUUACUUUCAUCACCAUUUGCUUUCAAUUUACCAACAGAAAAUAGUUUUUUUUUUCAUAUAGUUAUAGGAGAUUAGAUUCAGGGAAAGGGAGAGAGAAAUCAACAGUGGAAGGCUUUUCAUCAUUGAGCUUGCUUCUUUGCAAAAGUAUCUGUUAGCUGUAUGGCUUUGUUAUAUUGAGUUCUCAUGAUUCAGGGGCGUUUUUUGUCCAUAUGUAUAAUUUUCAUAUAAUCUGUAGAAAGUAGCUGGAUCUGGGAUUUUAUUUAACCGAUAGUCUGAUACCAAGCGUCGUGAACUUUGGUUAUUGAGUUUGAGUUUGUUUUUUAUCCAAAAUGUUUGUAUUGAAAUGAUCACAUAUGGUUGACUUAUGACUGUGGUUUGCGAAAAGUUCAGAUGACCAUAUUCGCAAAUAGAGGGAAAUGCGUUGGUAGUGUAGAAUGUAUAGAAGAUAUGAUAGUUUCUAGACAACCACUAAAUUUUGUAAGGGCUUGUUGCCUUUUUCUUAUCCGUGCCAUUGACCCUGCCAGAUAGGAGCCGCGGUAUUUAUCUAAGGACAUGCAGUUUUUCUUAAUAAAGAGAACCCUGUUGAAGUUUACCAUUUCCCUAUUUUUCAUAGCUUCCUCACGGUGUGGCUAAAACAAUGGAGAAUAUAAUCAAAACUUCUGUGGAAUGGUACCGAGGAAUUCUGUUAAUACUAGGUCUUAGACCCAUUCCGUUUUGGUUUUAAAAUUUGAAGAAUAUUGAUGAUUUAAACUUUGGCCUGCUCCUUAGGUGAUUGAGGUGCCUAGCGGUGGAACGCAAUAGUGUGCGGAAGAAAGUUAAUUCUACGGUUGGUAGUCUUACUAAGGGUAGAUAGUCGUGAGAGUGCUUUAUCUUGUGUGGUUUCUAGAAAGGGUUGGGAGGAUUUCAGAGGUUUCUUUAUCUGGACCUAUGUUCAGAUAACUUUUAUUUAAACCUUAUGUUGAAGGGUUUGCAUCUCGCAUCACCAGAACCAUCCAAUACCAAUCACCAGAGUUCUCUUUUUCCAGUUGACUGGUUGAUCCUCAUGCUGUCUCAAAGUAAUGUAGUUAUAUGUCUUGAUAAUCUCACCCUUGCUAAUGCUAAGUGAUUUUAACAAACUGAAGGUGGAUAAAUCUUUUCACUUUGUAAAAGUAUGCUGUAUGAUAACGAAUACUAGUACCCUCUCCCUUCCUCUAGUUUUCAAUUGAGUUUCUUGUGUUCUUGUUAUGUUGCUAAGAUGAAUCUUUUUUCUUGCAGGCAUACAGUUACUUGGUCUGUUGAAUAUAGAAAUAUCUUAAGCUUUGUUCGCUGCGUACAUUUUGGGCACAGAUUCAAUAUAAUGACAAACACAGCGCCAAGCUUUUGGGGACCAGUCACAUCCACCACUGAGUGGUGUGAGAGUAAUUAUACCCAUUCUUCUUAUAUUGCAGAAUUUUACAACACUUUAUCGAACACGCCUAGCAUUCUUUUGGCGUUUAUUGGUCUUAUCACUGCCUUCAGUCAAAGAUUCGAGAAAAGAUUUAGUGUUCUGCACCUAUCAAAUAUGAUACUCUCCAUUGGAAGCAUGCUAUUUCAUGCCACCCUACAGAAUGUGUAAGUAUGGUUUCUCUGCAAGUAUAUAGUGAAUAUUGUCACAUAGAAUAGAGUGGUAUCUAAGCUCAUUGGUAAUGCUUAUGUUUUGAAUAUGCAUAUCUUAUACUUCUAGUGGGUCUGGAAUUAAUUAUUAUCCUUUUUUUUUGUGUGUAAUUCAAUUUUAACAAAACACAUGUUUUAGAAUUUAGCAUGUUUGGGAAAUUGCUUAUUUAAUAACAAGUCUGGAAAGUCUCUUUGCUGAACAUUUGGGUCCACGAUGUGGAAGGCCAGUUAUCUGUCAAAUUUUGGUUUGCGACACUGCUCCUUGCUUCUUCCACAAUCCUCCCGUAUUGUUCUCAUUUACUGUUCUUAGUUCCCUUGUCGCAAGAUGCAGACCAUAGACAACCUCCGAAGAUGUACGAAAAUAAUACUAACCUUCUGUAUGGUUACGCCUCUGGGAGUGAGCUGGUUGUUGUUUGAUCUAUUGCCCUUUCUCUCUUUCUGUUUAUGGUAACUUCCUUGACUCAGUGUCAGUCGCUUGGAUAUGUCCUAGGUCCGUCUGUAAUCUCUUAUUGAUGUGUAGUGUCGGCUGGGUUCACCUACACUGACUAAGUAAUGGUGGAUUGGAAGUUGGAACUGACAUCAUUUUCAGGUGUGUCAGGGUCCUUUGUAAGUUGGAGGACAGUUUGAUUUGGGCCUUGAGUUGGGAUUUUUUUUUUUUUAGUAUUUCUUUUAGUGAUUCGUGUUGUAUUUUGUUUUCUUUGUGCUAUCAGAUAUCUCACCCCCUUGCGUAUUUCUUAUGUACUUUGAUUUUCUCUAUGACAUGGUUUGAUUGUUUAUUUUUGAAGAAAUAAGUCAUACAUCUUUAGAGUACCUCACUUGUGCACACACAAUUUCUGCAUGGUGGAUCUGGUUAAGACUUAGAUUCAUAUUGAAUUUGAUGGUUAUUGGUUCAUGGAAAUUUUGUUGAAGUUAGUUCCCAAGUUAGUUGUUUUUCUCUACAUUUUCUGUCGUUUUUAUAGUACUAAUUAGCAUCUCAAAAAAGUACUAGAAAGUAGAAACUUAAGGGUAAACCAUGCUUAGUAAUUUUGAUUGGCUGUACCAUUCUGAAUAUUAUUUCCUUGAUAUUUGUCCAUGUAUAUUAGUAUUAUUGUUAUUAUUAUUAUAUGUUGAUAUUUGCCUGUGGUAGUUUCAACUUGUGUAUCUCAUGUAAAAUACCCAGUAAACUAUUAUUUGUAAAGUCAAUCAAGAUGCUGUAUCUGUUAUCAAAACAAAACACUUGCACUUUAUCCUCACCUAGAAAUUACUUGCUGAGCAUGUUUUGGUUUACUGAACUUAUUUGCAGGCAACAGCAAAGUGAUGAGACACCAAUGGUCUGGGAAAUGCUUCUUUACAUAUAUAUACUCUUUUCGCCAGAUUGGCAUUACCGGAGUACAAUGCCAACCUUCCUUUUCCUCUAUGGUGUUGCCUUUGCGUUGGUACAUUCGCAAUUACGAUUUGGCAUUGGCUUCAAGAUUCAUUACGUCAUCCUGUGCCUCCUCUGCAUCCCUAGGAUGUACAAGUACUAUAUACACACUACCGAUGCAUCUGCAAAACGACUUGCCAAGUUCUACGUGUUAACAUUAUUCGCAGGGAGUAUCUGUUGGUUGUGUGAUCGCUUAUUCUGCAAAGAAAUAUCGCAUUGGUAUUUUAAUCCACAGGGUCAUGCUUUGUGGCAUAUCUUCAUGGGGUUCAAUUCCUACUUGGCCAAUACUUUUUUGAUGUUCUGCCGAGCUCAGCAGCUUGGUUGGUCUCCAAAGGUUGUUCACUUCAUGGGGCUUUUGCCUUAUGUGAAGAUUCAGAAACCCAAAAGCCAGUGAUGAAGAAUAGCAUGAAGAGUUUCGCUGAAAGAAAUUUGGCAAUCUAGAAAAGCCAGGACAACUUACAUUCCUAUCUGUUACGAAAAAACAACAUAGACUGCCAUCUUUUUAAUGGUCGAGAACCAUUGGUGAACAAGAGAAAGUAAGCAAUUGAACAUACUUGGUGGAUGUAAUAGAUGAUCGGAUAUGGUAAUUUGAAUAUUUCAGAAUUCUUUUGAUGUAAGUGUGUUCUUGUACCAUAUCUAAUUCCUGUCUUAGAGAAGAUAUCAAGUGAGCUUGGCAUUGUGACCGUUUUGCUUAUAUAUUUUUUUACAUUUACCUUUCAUUUGAGGUUAAAAACUGCAUGGAGUUUGUAAUUUUCUUUCGUCGUGUGUUAGGAAUGUAGAUUACCUUGGCUGGUUAUUCUUGUUGACUAACAUUGUAGCCAUUUUUUCUCUUCAUGUUCAUGUUUCUUUGAAUGGUCAUUAGUACUGGUUCUACAUUCCACAAUAUUAGGCAACUGGGGUUGAUAUUACCUUGUUGAUUUAUCUUGUUGACUAACAUUGUAGCCAUUUUUUCUCUUCCUGUUCAUGUUUCUUUGAGUGGUCAUUAGUAUUGGUUCUACAUUCCACAAUAUUAGGCAACUGGGGUUGAUAUUACCUUGGCUGAUUUAUCUUGUUGACUAACAUUGUAGCCAUUUUUUCUCUUCCUGUUCAUGUUUCUUUGAAUGGUCAUUAGUACUGGUUCUACAUUCCACAAUAUUAGGCAACUGGGGGCAUCAACCGAAUUCCAUUUUGCAUUGACUUUUUUAGGCAACUGGGGCUGACAGUUCUUAUAUGUGCAUUUUAUCAUCUUGCAAUAAAAGAAGGGGAAAAAAAAUGAGUUCCACAGAAAUUUCACAAAAAACUAGCCAUGAAGAUGAAGAUCAUUUUCUGUUCGCUAUGCAAUUAGCAGGGGUUUGUGCCAGGGGGCGUGUGUAGCCAAUGUUGAGGCGAACACGACAAGCGGCAGUUUAUUCCUGUGCGAAAAAGUGGCUUAAGAGUUGUGCCAAGAAGUGUGCUACCAAGGACGAAUACUGUAAGUGGCGUUGUGCCAAUAGAUGCGUGUUGACGAAAACAAACACUACAAACGGUGUUGUACCGUGAAGUUUAGGAGGUCAGACCCAACCAAUUUUUAAGGAAAUGAGAAAAAUGAUGAGCUAGAUGCAGAGAUGCAUUUCUGAAACUCUGAAUAAAUAAAUUUUUGAAUAACUAAUGACAGGUUGUCUAUCGAUUCACUGCGCUUAUUUACAACAAGUUUGUAUCUGAUAUCAAACCAGAGCAGCAACAGCCUAAGUAGUCUGUAGUCGCCUAGUUACAAAUAUUUGAUAACAACGUCUACAGUUCUACUUAAUCGAUACAUGUUUGCCAUAUCAUUCCAUAAUAUCGUAAAUUCCUACUGACCGUAACAUAUUAAGCAAUCAUAAAAAGCGGCAUAAUUUUUUAUCAAUCAGGUUCAUCUUAUGGUGAAAUACACUAUCGUGGUAGCCGAAAUCAUUGUCUGAAGAAGGAUUAUUUUACUCAGUGCAUGCCCAACACAAUGCUUUUAUUUAUCUUAAACAUCUUAAUAAUAUUUACCUGUCCUUUGAAAUCUACAAACCAUGUAAGAACAUAAUCAAUAAACAAGUUGACAGCACUGCAGUGAGCUAAUGUAUACCUAAUUUAGUUGAAAAUGAGCAUCCAUGAUUAAGAAUAUAAUCAAUAAAUUUUCAGAGAAUUCUAUUUUAACAACAGACUCUCCUGCAAAGUUCUUAUACAUGCAUUUUAUCAUCUUGUAAUAAAAGAAAGGAAAAAAUAAAAUAAAAUGAGUUCCACGGAAAUUCCACAAAAAACUAACCAUGAAGAUGAAGAUCAUUUUCUGUUUGCUAUGCAAUUAGCAGAGGUUUCAGUUCUACCUAUGGUCAUGCAAGUGGCAGCUGAGCUUGGUUUGUUUGAUAUCAUAGCUAAAGCAGGUUCAGGUGCACAAAUGUCACCAAAGAUCAUUGCAUCUCACUUACCUACACAGAAUGCAAAUGCUGUCAGUAUGCUUGAUCGAAUUCUUCGACUUCUUACCAGCUACAAAGUGCUUACUUCCUCUGUCAUUACUAAUGACGAUGGCCUAAUUGAAAGAUUGUAUGGUUUGGCACCUGUUUGCAAAUAUUUUGUUCAAAAUGAAGAUGGAGUAUCACUGUUACCACUUAUGCUUUUGGUUCAGGACAAGGUUUUCAUGGAUAGCUGGUGAGUAGUAACUACAAUUUCAUGAUCAAGAAUUCUUCAAAAGUGUUUUGUAAGUUUUGUAAUCUUCCGUUUAUGUCGUGUUAGGGGUCAUUUGAAAGAUGCGGUCCUGGAAGGAGGAAUCGCAUUCAACAAGGCUCAUGGAAUGCACGCAUUCGAGUACCCUGGACUAAAUCCCAGAUUCAACCAAGUCUUUAACAAAGCAAUGUUCAACCACACCACAAUAGUCAUGAAGAAAAUACUUGAAACAUACAACGGAUUUGAGAACUUCAGCGAGGUUGUUGAUGUAGGUGGUGGGGUUGGAACCACAAUUAGCUUAAUCACUGCAAAAUAUCCUUCAAUCAAGGGUAUUAACUUUGAUCUGCCUCACGUCAUUGAACAUGCACCAUCUUAUCCUGGUAUGGUAUUUUUUGUUCAUCUUAAGGUCAACCAUCAUCAUUUUUUUUUCCUCUGUCAUGACACUUUUAAUCCCAGGAGUUGAACAUGUUGGUGGAAAUAUGUUUGAAAGCGUUCCUAGAGCUGAAGCAAUUUUCAUGAAGGUGAGUUAAGUAUGUUUUUAUCAGCUUAGCCAACAGCAAAAUAUGUGCAAAAUCUUACCAUAUUUAACUGUCAUAUUGACUUGCGAUGCAGUGGAUACUUCACGAUUGGAGUGAUGAUCACAACUUAAGUUUAUUAAAAAAUUGCUACAACGCGCUUCCUGAUCAUGGAAAAGUGAUAAUAGUGGAGCAUAUGUUACAUGUUGCAGCUGAGAAUAAUAUUGCUGCGAUAGGGGUUGGCCAGAAGGACCUUAUUAUGUUGUCACAAAAUCCAGGAGGGAAAGAACGCACUGAAGAAGAGUUUUAUAAUUUGGCAAGGAAAGCUGGAUUUGCUUCUAUAAAGAAAGUGUGUUUCACUUAUAAUUUCUGGGUGAUCGAGUUCUAUAAAAAAUGAAAUAUAAAUCUUUUGAUGUACUAGAUAUGAUCACGUCUACACAUCUGUUUACUGUGAGUCUGUGACCAAGAACUUGCUCUCCAUUUUUAUAUUUCAAAUAAAUUUUCAUUGACAUUAUAUUUCAAAUAAACACGGGGUUUCUUGCUCAUCGAUGCAUAUUUCAUAUUCACCAUAUCAUUCCAUAAUAUCGUAAAUUGUCAGUGACCGUAGCAUAUAUUACAUUAAUGGCAAAACAUUAAGGCGAACAACUGGAACACAUCUCAAUGGAUGUGCCCUUGUGAGCAGGAUCCCAGGAGCUUCACUCAUAUCAACAGUUGCUCCAUUUCCGCCCGCCACUGUCAAAUCAAAACACUGAAUUAUAAUUGCAAGUGUUGUUUGUACACUUCGUAAUGCCAAUGAAAUUCCAGGACAUCCUCUUUUUCCACUCCCAAACGACAACAAAUGAUAAUGGUGUCCUCUAACAUCUAACUGACUCUGCACACUUCCUUCUUCAGUUAGAAAUCUGUUUGGACAGAACUCGAGUGGAUUUUCCCAAUGCUUUGCGUCUCUUCCAAUAGCCCAAACAUUAACGAGCAGCGUAGUGUUCUUUGGAAUGUCAUACUCUCCUACCUUGCAAUCUUCACUUGCUCGUCUUGCUAGAAGGGGACCUGGCGGAUGCAGUCUGAGUGUUUCCUUUACUAUUGCUUGCAGAUACGGGAGAUUUGGAAUGUCAGAUUCUUCCACCAACCUAUUCUUUCCAACUACAGAAUCGAUUUCUUCUCUUGCCUUUUGAAAAAUAUGUGGAUGGUUGAUGAGUUCUGCGAAAGCCCAUUCCAUUGUUUUUGAAGAUGUAUCAGUACUUGCAAGAAAUAAGUCCUGUGGAAUGUGGAUAGGUAACUAAAUAGUGUUAGUUUCAGGAAUUGAGGAAGAUCUUAAUGUAAUUGAUGCAUUUGAUUGUUCUCAAUGAUCUUUUAACUUCGGUUGAGUGCAGUUCUAUUAUUGUUGAUCAGACGCCCAAAUAACGAGAUGUAAAUAUAGAAUUCUCUACUGUGUAGUCUUACCAGAAUAACUGCUUUGAUGUUCUCUCUUGUCAACUUGAACUCUGCGCUAUUGUUUUCGGCUACAUCAAGUAAAAUGUCAAGAAGAUGUUUCACAUGACCUCCCUCAAUCUUGUCGUUCCUUUUAGUCCGAAUUUCUUCCUGCUCUUUAAUGAUCUUUUCUAAGAAGGCAUCUAACUUUAGAUGAACAUUCUUACUCCUUUUCAUGACCCCUUGUAAAUCUAAAUGACGACAGAACCAUAUACAAUCUGACAAGUCGAGCAUUGCACUAAGCUCUUCAACCUCAUGCAGCAAGAUUAUAAUUUCUUCAGUCUCAAUUUCAGAUUCUGAAGACCAGCUCUUACUCAUCAUCAUUCUUGAUAUUAAGUUGGUCAUUAAUUUUAACAAUUCGCUACUGACGUUGACCGUCACUUCUGUUGUUAAAGAAACAAGUACAUCAAGAUAGAGUACAUUAAUGUCAUCAAAGAUCAUGAUAACAGUAGCAUAUAUAUUGCUUCUGCUUAUUAAAAUAAACAAUCCAAGCAAGAAAAUAAUGCCCAUAAUGGAACAUCCUUAUCAGUGGCGGAUACAUGACAUUUACGCAGGGAAGAACACCAAAUUAUUGUUUUCACUUUUUGUUUGUAUAUAUUGAAUGAACACAAGAGUUAAGUUUUCCUUAAUUUACCUGUAUCAGAUUUGUGUAACAUCAUCCUCAAGAAUCGUCGUAUUUCCUCAUGUCUGACAGAGUAUAACUGGUCAAGUGUGCGACCAUUUAAGAGCUCGGACGUGCAAAUCUUUCUCCUGAAUCUGUAUAAUGGUCCAUAACUAGCAAAUGUGAGAACUGCCGAACCAUAUGUUAUGUAAUCGCUAGCAGCUAUGAAAGGACGGUCUGAAAAGGUAAGUUCAUGAUUUUUGAGGAACUCUUUCUGAAAAGUCAAGAUGUACGCACGUUCGUCUCGUGUCCGUGUCCUUAUGUCUUUUGUCAAAGUCAGUUUUGGGUACUGGACGUACGUACCUAGUUAGGACGUACGUACGUCCAUUGAGGCAGCAAACUUCUUUUGGUCAGGACGUACGUACGCAGUUAGGACGUUCGUACGUCCAAGCAGGCAGCGAACUUUUACCGUGUGGGGACGUACGAACGUUGUUUCGACGUACGUACGUCCAAUGUGGAUUUCAGCAAUUCCGGCCCAUUUUCAGUGUAUCCCAACCCUAGGUAUAAAUAGGUUUUCUUCUCCAAUGAACGAGUUAGUUCUUUUGGCCGCACAAGUAAGGUGCUCUUGAGAGUUUGUGUGUUUGAUUGGUGAUUGGACUCAACCUUCCUUCUUCUCAAUUCAUUGGUUCCUAUCUUCCUCAUACAGUUGUGAAUUCGGCUUCGAAUCUUCUUGUGUGUUCAUCAAGGAGUCGAGUGUCUUGUGCGUACAUCAAGGUACUCCGGUGAAGUCAAGGUGUUAGAGAUAUCCUGAAGUAUCAGCUCGCAGUGAUUGCAGGUAGUUGAUAGGUUUGUAAAUCUCUUUCGUCUAGUAGAUUAUUUGUUGUCAUCAAGGCAACCGUGGACGUUUUCCAAAUUGGGUUUUACCACGUUAAAAAUUCCUGCGUGUUAUUUACUUUCUGCUUAUCGUUUGAAUUGUUUGAAUAUUAAACUGUGAGAUUAGCACUAUCUGUGUUCUUCACUUUCGCUGUUUCAGCUGUACCGGCUACAACACAAGGUAUAGAACCUAUGAGGACAUGAAUUAAGGGACCAUAUUUGUUGGAUAGCUUGUGAAGUUGUUGGUGAGGGAUUGGUGCAAUGAGGUGAAGAUGUCCAAUAAUUGGUAGGGCUAAUGGGCUCGGUGGAAGGCGAGCACCCCUUCUAGACGUCCAGAUGAUAAUUGCUACGGCCGAGAUGACAAAAAUAAUCCCAUAUACUGUGAAGUUUAGGAGGUCAGAUUCAACCAUUGUGAAAAAAAUGAGGAAAAGAGUAAGUUCGAUGCAGAGAUGAAUUUCUGAAACUGUGAAGAUAUCCAUGUUGAUGUUGCUUUCUGUAAUAAAUCAAUUUAAUGGCAAGAAGUCUACAAUAUGUUGCUUGUCAAACACUUGUUACUUCAAAUAAUUUAGUUUUAAUUUUGCAGGCCUAUUGAAAUAAUUGGAUAUGAUAAACUAAAUUAUCAUUACUAUUUUCAAAGGUGUGAUUCUCUGAUUUGAAUAAUUUAAAUAAUAAAGUAUAUCAGUUGCCUUCUAUGCUUGAUCAGCUCUAUCCACAUUGUAUAUAUGCUACAUAAGAUAGCCAUGACUGCAACAUGCAUAUAUAACUUCCAUGAGUUAGUUGGUAGAGCUCGUUUUCUUAUGGACAAAAUUUUAUUGAUAAAUCAAGGAAUUGCACAAAGGUAAUAUUAAAAAAGAACAAUAAUAUAUUAAUAUACGUCAUAAAACACACCAACAGUUGAUUAUUUGACAAAAAAUUUGUUGACUUAAUUAAAAAGGUCCUUCCAACCUCGCUUGCCAAUAAAAAUUGACACAUAUGGUUGAUCACUACCCCAUGAUGAAAUUUUUUUUAUCAAACAAUCAACUGUUGACGUGUUUUAAACCCACAUUGUACCUCUCCACUUUGGGAGAGGGAUGCAACAGUUGAGCCACAUGCUCAUUUGCUAAGCAAGUGGUUCUUGCAUCCUUGGUACCGGUACCAGGAAGAAAGCCUAACUACCAAGAUUCUCUUUUUUUUUUUUUAGAUUAUAUAUUAAUCAUGGUCCGAAGGCUUACAAGGAUAGGGCCCAAAGGGUUUACAAAGACAAAGCCCGAAGGCUAGUGAUGCUACCACCUAAGCGUCCACAUGCAUCGCCACCUUGCAACUCAGCAAUUCUGCUACUCAGGGACUUGUUUUCGCUGAAGAACACCUAGCCACAUCAUUAUCAUGGGAGAACACCUAACCACAUCAUAAUCAUAAUAGCAUGGGCUUUCUAAUCUCGAACCAGACCCGAAGGCUGACCCACCUAAGAAUUACAUGAGAAAUUCCCCCAAACACAGUUGAUGGGAAUCGAACUCACAACCUCUCACCAUGAGGAUUCUCCUCAUAUCUCAACAAUGGUGCUGCAUUUCCCUGUCUUUUGUUCAUGGAACAUGGUGUAAAAACAUUCAGAUCAAAAAGGACGAAAUCGAAGCUACCAGCAGCAGGCCCAUGGAAGCUACCUGUCAUUGGUCACCUGCACCACUUGGGAGAGGUCUUCUCCACAUCAUACACCCUGAGAAAACUGUCCAAGAACUUGUUAGAUGUAGCUAGCCUCUAUAUCUGUAAGAUCGAAAAGGACGAAAUCGAAGCUACCAGCAGCAGGCCCAUGGAAGCUACCUGUCAUUGGUCACCUGCACCACUUGGGAGAGGUCUUCUCCACAUCAUACACCCUAAGGAAACUGUCCAAGAACUUGUUAGAUGUAGCUAGCCUCUAUAUCUGUAAGAUCUGGUAGUUAGUUGGGGAACUUUUGAGCUUUACUGCAUGAGAUGAGAGAUGAGAGUCUGGCCUCUUUCAAUAUCUUGCAUGAUGAAAGCAUUGCAUGUUUUCCAUCUUUCUUGAAGGCUCUAUAGGUUGCAAGAGUGAGAUCGAUGGGUUUAGGAGUGCAAGCCUUGAAUAUAGAAGAAAAAGAUGGAGUAGUGUAAGGCUUCUUCAUUCUCUGAUGGAGCUAAGGUGUUGGUCAUGGUGUGGUGAAACGAUACCCUACCUAAAAAAUCGCCAGAGCAGAGAGGGGCGCCGCUAUUUUUAGGUUUCAAUUUUUUUUUUUGUCUAGCGCCUUUCUCAUUAGUUAUGUAAUUAGCCCUACCUAAACGUUGCAGUUCACGACAGUACUAUGGUGUACAACAGAUAACUGAAGUCCACCAUCAUAUUCCAAACAUCCAUAAAAUAUGGAUGGUAGAUCGAGCACAACGAAUGUAAGAAACUGCUUGACAUCCAUAUACGUGGUAGAUCGAGCACCUAAAGUAAGAAACUGCUCAAUUUUCAAAGUGUAAAAGUGGAAGUGUGAGACCAAACCAGAGCAGCUAGCAACAGCCUAGUAGGAUGGUUAGUUACUAAUUAAUAUUACACAACAAUUUAUACUCAUUGAUACAUAUUUGCCAUAUCAUCCCAUAAUAUCGAUUAUCGUAAAUUGUCAGUGACCAUAGCGUAUAUUACAUUAAUGGCAAAACAUUAAGGCGAGCAACUGGAACACAUCUCAAUGGAUGUGCCCUUGUGAGCAGGAGCCCAGGAGCUUCAAUCAUAUCAACAGUUGAUUCCUUCUCGUCCACUACUCUCAAAUCGAAACAUUGAAUAAUAAUUGCAAGUGUUGUUUGUACAAUUCGUAAUGCCAAUGAAAUUCCAGGGCAUCCUCUUUUUCCACUACCAAACGGCAACAAAUGAUAAUAGUGUCCUCUAACAUCUAACUGACUCUUCACACUUCCUUCUUCAGUUAGAAAUCUGUUUGGACAGAAUUCGAGUGGAUUUUCCCAAUGCUUUGCAUCUCUUCCUAUAGCCCAAACAUUAACGAGCAGCCUAGUGUUCUUUGGAAUGUCAUACUCUCCUACCUUGCAAUCUUCACUUGCUCGUCUUGCUAGAAGGGGACCUGCUGGAUGCAGCCUGAGUGUUUCCUUCACUAUUGCUUGCAGAUACGGGAGAUUAGGAAUGUCAGAUUCUUCCACCAACCUAUUCUUUCCAACCACAGAAUCGAUUUCUUCUCUUGCCUUUUGAAAAAUAUGUGGAUGGUUGAUGAGCUCUGUGAGAGCCCAUUCCAUUGUUUUUGCAGACGUAUCAGUACCUGCAACAAAUAGGUCCUGCCGAUAUGAAACUAAAUAGUGUUAGUUUCAGGGAAGAUCUUGAUGUAAUACAGGCAUAUGAUUGUUCUGAAUGCUCUUUUUACUUCCAUUUUAAUGCCAUACAUAUGCAUAUUUUAUUAUAGUUGAUCUGACGCCUAAAUAAAAUCGUAUAAGAACUAUUAUAGAAUUCUAUGUUGUGUAAUCUUACCAGAAUAACUGCUUUGAUGUUCUCUCUUGUCAACUUGAACUCUGCGUUAUUGUUUUCUGCUACAUCAAGUAAAAUGUCAAGAAGAUGUUUCAGACGACCUCCCUCAACUUUCUCGUUCUUUUUAGUUCGAAUCCCUUCCUGCUCUUUAAUGAUCUUCUAAUACGGCAUCUAAUUUUUGAUCCACAUUCUUGCUCCUUUUCAUGAUUCCCUGUAAAUCUAAAUGACGACAGAGCCAUAUACAAUCUGACAAGUCGAGCAUUGUAGUAAGCUCUUCAACCUCAUGCAGCAAGAUUAUAAUUUCUUCAGUCUGAAUUUCAUACUCUGAAGACCAGCUCUUACUCAUCAUCAUUCUUGAUAUUAUGUUAGUCAUUAAUUUUAACAAUUCGCUACUGACGUUGACAGUCCCUUCUGUUGUUAAAGAAACAGGUAUAUUACAUAUUGCCACUAUAUUAAUUCCAUAUAAACUGUAAAGAAAUGUCAUCAAAGAUCAUGGAAGAAUAACAGGUAUAUUACUCUUGAGUGGAACAUAGAUACUGAAUGAGCACAAGAGAGAAAUUGUGGGUUUAUCUUUACUUACCUGCAUCAGAUGAUUUGUGUAACAUCACUCUCAAGAAUCGCAGUAUUUCCUCACGUCUGAUGGAGUAUAACUGGUCAAGUGUCCGACCAUUUAAGAGCUCCGACGUACAAAUCUUUCUAUAAAUGAUCAUAGAAAGAAGAGGAAGAGAGACAAUUCCAGCAAGGGUGGAAUGGAAGAGGACUUUGUUGAUGUGUUUAUUAGACUUCAAGAAGAUACUAAGCUUGGAUUCCCUCUCGAAAGCAACUGCAUCAAAGCUAUAAUUUUAGUCAGUAUCGCAUAUCAUGAUAUUUGAUGUCAUCAUUAACCCAAUGAAUUUUUUUUUUCCUAUAUAAAACUAAAAUAGUUUUCACUUUGUUCAGGAAAUGUUCUUGGCUGGAAGUAUAAGUUUAUCAACUUCAACAGAAUGGGCUUUGUCAGAACUGUUAAGAAAGCCAAGACUCAUGGAGAAGGCACAAGCGGAGGUGAGGCGUGUUUUAAAUGGACAGAGGAAGGUUUCACAGUCAGACAUGAAUGAAUUAAGCUACUUGAAGUUAGUCGUCAAAGAAUCAUUAAGGCUACACCCCCCUGGACCAUUAUUGGUCCCUAGAGAAAGUAGUGAGAACUGUGAAAAUGAUGGAUAUGAUAUACCCAAGGGAACAAUCGUCUUCACCAAUGUUUGGGCAAUGGGAAGAGAUCCAGAAUAUGUCCAGGCAUGUAUUUUGGUAUAGCGAGUAUAGAAUUCUUACUCGCGCAACUACUAUACCAUUUUGACUGGAACCUACCUAAUGUGACAAAACCAGAGGACUUAGACAUGACUGAGCGCUUUGGUGGAGUAGUUACAAGAAAAUCAAACUUACGCUUAAUUCCCACCCCAUAUAGCCCGUGUGUUUAAUAUAUGAAGUUGUUAUAUAAGCAUAUAUACAUUAUACUUUGUGAAAUUUUCUUGCGAGUGUAUUGCCGAAAAUAAAGUGUCCUGCUGGGUUGGUUGUAUAUUGGAUUCACUAUAAAUGCAAAUAUCGAAUCUAUGGUUCACCAUAUUGUUGGAUUUUUUGGACGGAGGGAACUUUUUUGUUCAGGAACGUACGUACGCAGUUAGGACGUUCGUACGUUCCAUUCGACAGAUAACUUUGCAGGGAAGGAACGUACGUACGUAGUUAGGGCGUACGUACGUCCCGUAUCACAGAUGUUUGUUUUGAAGCUGAACGUACGAACGUCAAUUCGACGUACGUACGUCCUUCUUUGUUUUUUGUGAAUAUGGGCCAGUUUAAGCCCAUUUCGUGUUUGAUUGUAAGGCUAUGUUAUAAAGCCAAUGAGAGGUUGGAAAACCUAAUCUUGAUGUGAGAGAGAUUGUGAGAAGCCAUUAGAGAGUUUGAGAGAACUUUUGUGAGGAAGAACACUUUGGUUUCUUCGUGAGGGCUUCUAUAAUCGUCUCCAUCCAAGAGAGAGAGAGUUUGUAUCCUCAAUUUGUGAUUGUCUCUUUGAGAGAUUUGGUGAGGAUUUGAGAAGGGAGGAAACCUAGGGUUUCUCCAUUUGUUUGAGAGCUUUGUACUAUCUUCUCCAAUAGUAAAAGUUCUAUUUGUUUGUCCGUGGACGUAGGCAAUCAAGCCGAACCACGUUAUUUUGGUGUCUCUCUCUAUUAUUUGUUGUUGCUAAGUAGGUUUACUUCUUUACUACUUGUUUUGUCAUCUUUCAUACACUAUAUCAAUCUUGGAUAUUGGUGCAAUAAGCUUCCGCUGCGCACAACAAUUAUCGUUUCUCAAACGGUUCAAUAUUUCUUCAAUUCCAAACUGUCAAUGAAAUGUCAUCUGAUAAGCCAUUUAUUCAAUACAUUUUAACUCAGUACAUUAUUGUGCGAGCAACAUUUUCGUCCACACAAUGUGACUAGGACAACUUGGUAACCGGUUAUGCAAUUUUUAUUGUUUCUUUUAGUUUUUCAGUCAAACAUACAGGUGGCAGCUGUAUGGAUGACAAAAUUACUAUAUGGAUGACAAGCAGCUGUAUGGAUGACAAAAUUGUUAUAUGGAUGACAAAAUUCAAGAAACAAUAAGAACAAAUUUUUGUUGACUUUAGACUAACCGGUAGCAAGUUUCCACUUGAGUCCACGUGGAAGAUUGUGUGGUGUACAAGCAAAUGUACCGUAAUACACCAUACCGAAAAUGUACCGAAUAACAGCUACUUUGGAUAGACGUUACAAACUAAAAUAAAAACACAAAGUUUAUCCAAUUAAAUUCAUCAAACACUAUAAUAACUAUCCACCUUUGGGUGAUUAUAUGUAUUUGGUGCGUGAUAAAAACAUUACAUAUACCCGAUAAGAAAACAUUCUUAAUCAAAUAUAUAUUAAUAUAUACAAUAAAUUUUUAUUGGAUCACUUUGGUGAUUACACAGUUAGCAUACUGUAUAUAUCAAAAUAUGCAUAAAAACUAAUAUAACAAUUUUUUUUUUUUUUUUUUUGGAAAGUAUACCAAACAUUUAUAUUGAACAUAAGCACAUAUUUACUAUCUUAUAAAGAGAACAGCCCCGUGAAUAGUGAUAUGACGUCAGCGAUGUCCUUCCGUGACCAGACACAAAGUUUACGACACAUGUCUUACUUACGGGCCUCUGUUCCUAUUUCCCAUUAAAAGCCCAGAUUUAAGCCCAACAUAUCCCCAAAAACCCAAAUUUAAGCCCAACAUUAUAAAUGGGCUUCUCUUUCUGUUUUUUCCCAAAAAACCAGAUUUAAGCCCAACAUCUGUUUUCCCAAAACCCAGAUUUAAGCCCAACAUCUUAUGAUGUGAACUUCUUUCUUCUAUCUUCUCUCAGCCUACUACUUGCAAUUUGUAAGUGUUUUUGUUUUUUUACUUUUUUUUCUACACAUCUAAAUUAUUAAAUUACCCCAAAAAAAUACCAUAAUAUUUUUAUAUAUAUGACUAAAAAUCAUGCUCCAACAUAAAGUUAUGCACAAAGCGCGUACAACUACAUAGUAAACAGAAGGGGUUUUUAGUUUUUGAACCACCUAAAUAAUGCGUAUUUAGGAUGUAGGACGCUUUUAAUCCAUAUUUAGAGUAUAGGACGCCCUUCGUCAGUUGACUGUUAGGACUAACUAUUGACUGAAGGCAAACAAUUUAUAUUUUUAAAAUACCUAUAUUACCCCGCACAUGCACUGCACGUGCUACACUUACAACUUAACAAAAUUUGAAUUUCAAAAAAUACCACGUGUCACAAUCUGAUGUUAUCUAAUCCAACGGUUCACCUAUAUUACCCCGCACAUGCACUGCACGUGUUACAUGUACAACUUAACAAAAUUUGAAUUUCAAAAAUACCACGUGUCACAAUCUGAUGUAAUCUAAUCCAACGAUACACAAAAUAUAGCUGUUGGCAACGGUCACUCCCUCUUCUCUAUAUAACAACCUUCUUCUUUACUGUUCACUCCAACCUUACACUUCCAACUCCAACCUUCUUCUAUUCUCUUCUCCCUUCAACUCCUACCUUCUUCAAUUCACUAAUUAGCCAACCAAACAAAAUUCAAUGGGUGGAGCUCUAAUCUUGUAUUAUGUACCACGCCAGGUGAUGAUAAACAAAUUUGUUUUUCAGAUUAUAAGGUUUUUAAUGGUAGAAAAGUGUCCUCUUCUCUAAUUAUUAAUAACACAGACUGUCUUCUUCUCUAAUUAUUACUAACACAUAUUGUCUUCUUCUCUAAUUAUUACUAACACAGACUGUCUUCUUCUCUAAAUAUUUAAAAUGUUGACAGGUCUGCCAACUGUGUGAAGAUGAAGGCCAUUCAGCACAAUCUUGCCCAUACAAAAGGUACAAAUGUAAUCAAGAAGGCUGCAAAGGUUUCAUGGAUGUUAUGAUAGGUGUAAACCAUGACCAAACUGUGGAGGUAAAGUUCUUAAAGUGCGAGAUUGAUGAAUGUGAAGGGAUGCAAGACAUCAAAACCACCUACUACACUCAACAGUCUGAGUGUCCUAAGUGCAAAGGAUGUAAUCCUAAGUAAUAGUUCCUAGCUACAUUGUUUUCUGUAAUGCAAUGUAAUCACUUAUUUCCUAAAUGAAUGCAAGUUCUAAAUGAAUGCAAGCAGUGAGUUAUAAUAGUAGAGAGAGGAGAAGGGGGUUUGGGAGAAAGUGAGAUGAGAGAGAGGAGAAGGGGGUUUGAUAGAUAGAGAGGAUAAAGGUUUGAUAAGAGAGGCGAAUGAGAGAGAAUGUAAACUAGGGUUUCAAGGGAGAGAGAGAGUCAGAUUGUGGGUCGUGCCUUAUUGGCUAGAGAGUUUCCCGCCAAAUCCACGUGUCCAAAGAUAAGUGAGUAUUGUUUCCCGCCACAUACACGUGGACGGUGAGGAUUAUCUCCAUGAAAUCAACGGCUGGUAUAAUAAAUAUGUAUAUCACAUGCAUUGCACGUGCAGGGGUAUUCUUGUCUAUUUUAAAAUAUUAAUACACGUGUACGGAUAAAGAUGCAUACAUAAAAUCCAUGGUUGAAUUUGUUGCCACGUGUUAUAUUUUUAAUGUUGUUUUAUAUCUUUUGCUCAACACGUGUAGGGGUAGAAAUAGGUUUUCGAAAAAAUCCAACACAUCGUCUAUGGUCAACGUAGUCAACUGACGGAGGGCCUCCCAUACUCUAAAUAUGAAUUAAAAGCGUCCUACAUCCUAAAUACGCAUUAUUUAGGUGGACCAAAAACUAAAAACCUCUAAACAGAAAAUUAACAUCAUGGCAGCAAACAGUACAAUAAUAAAUCUGUCCAGAUGGUGGGGGUCCAACAUAAAUUGUUUAUUCUCAAACUCUUUACUUAAUUGUUUCUUUAAAGAAACAAUACAUGAUUUGCUCUUUGCAGCUACAAGCAUGUCAUCCACAUAGAGUAAGAGAAAUAUAACAAACUCAUCUUGAAGCUUUAUGAAAUAGAAACACAGAUCAUAUUCACUUCUAGAGUACCUCUGCUUCAACAUAAAUGUGUCAAACUUCUUAUAACACUGUCGUGGUGUUUGCCUCAAUCCAUAUAAGGACUUAAUCAGUUUGCACACAUAGUCUUCUUUACCAGCAACUUUAUAACCGUCGGGCUGUAACAUAUAUAUGUCCUCCUCUAAAUCUCCAUGCAAGAAAACAGUUUUGAAAUCUACUUGCUCGAGCUCUAAAUCAAACUGCGUCACCAAAGCUAACAAGACUCGGAUGGAAGUGUGUUUAACAACCGGAGAGAAAACUUCAUUAUAAUCCACACCUUCCGUUUGUGCAUAUCCCUUAGCCACUAAUCUUGCCUUGUAACGUACACCACUAGUUGUACCCUUGGAGUCUAGAAUACCAUCUUUCACUGUGAAAACCCACUUGCAACCAAUCAACUUCUAACCCUUAGACAACUUUACAAGUUCCCAAGUAUUGUUCUUGUGAAGAGAUUUCAUCUCUUCAUCCAUCGCUGACUCCCAUUCAUGAGAAUGAGAACUCCUCAUUGCCCCCUUAAAGGUAGAAGGCUCAUCAUCACUAAAUACUGAUAAUGCAAAAGAUGCACUAUCCUCAAAACCAAGUCGAACUGGUGCUUUUCUCAAACGUGGUUCACGUUGAGAUGCUAAAGAUGACCACUCAUGAUGUUGCUCUAAUUGUUGUUGUUGUAAAGUAUCUUCAAGAGGAACCUCCUCUUCAAUCUCAUCAUCUACACUCUCUGUCUCUGGAUAUGUGUCUGUAGUUACCUGUGUAACCUCUGAACUUGUAGGUACCUGUACAACAGUCACCCCUUUAUCUAUUGUAGAUGAAUAUGGAACAUUAUGCUCCACCUGCAUGGUAUCGUCACCAUCACUGUCAUUAUCAUCACCUCAUGUUGAGAGUCCCAACCUGUGAACUUUUUUGAAUCAAGCAUUGCUUUCUCAUUAAAGAUCACAUCACGACUGAUCUGGAAUUUAUUCAACUCUGGGCACCAUAAACGAUAACCCUUAAUACCUUGUGGAUAUCCCCAAAAAAUAGCUUUCCUGGCCCGGACUCCUAACUUAUCUUCUCUGAUAUGAAAAUAAGCAGGACAACCAAACACCUUCAAAUCUGAAUAAUCAGGAGGUGUACCAGACCAAACUUCCGUAGGUGUCUUACAAUCAAUGGCUGUAGAUGGUGAUCGAUUCACGAGAUAGCACGCCGUAUUUACUGCUUCAGCCCACCAUACCUUAUCCAAACCUGCAUUGGAUGACAUGCACCGUGCUUUCUCUAGUAGUGUGCGAUUCAUACGCUCAGCUACCCCAUUCUGCUGUGGUGUACCUUUCACUGUGAAGUGUCUAACGAUACCUUUUUCUGCACAAUAAACUUUCAAUGGGUCUUCAGUGUAUUCUCCACCAUUGUCAGAACGUAUCAUUUUCACAACACGGCCAGUCUGUUUUUCAACCAUAACUUUCCACUUCUUAAAUAAAUCGGUGACUUCGUUUUUGUGCUUCAUGGUGUACAACCAAACUCUCCGCGAGAAAUCAUUGAUAAAGGUCCCAAACCACCUUGCUCAUCCCUUAGAAACUGUUCUAGAGGGACCCCAUACAUCUGAAUGUAUAUAAUCUAAAAUACCCGUAAUGCGGUGAACAUCGGUACCAAAACGAACUCUGCACUGCUUGCCAAAUACACAAUGCUCACAAGAAUCGAGCUUGCAAGUUUUCAGGCCACCAAGCAAACCCUUUUUACUCAAUAUAGACAAACCUUUCUCACUCAUAUGCCCUAGCCACAUAUGCCAUAACUGAGUAGAAGUUAAUUGUUUCUCAUCAACCGCUUGAGAAACCAUAGCCAUAGCUCCACCUGAAACUAUAUCUCCAAUAAGAAAAUACAAGUUUCCAUGUCUUUCGCCCAUCAAAUAUAACCUGUCAUCAUAGUAAACCUUCAAAAGACCAUUCUCACUGGUAAACUUGAAACCACUAUCUUCAAGUACACCUAAUGAAAUCAAACCCUUUCUCAAAUCAGGAACAUGUCUGACUUCUGUUAAGGUUCUUACAGUUCCAUCAUGUGCCUUAAUCCGUACUGUACCAACACCAACUGUCUUGCAGGCAUUCAAAUUGCCCAUAAAGACUUUACCACUAUUUACUUCUUUGUAAGUUGUGAAAGACUCCCUAUCGGGACACAUAUGAUACGAAGCAGCUGAAUCAAGACACCAUCCUUCAGCUAAAUAGCUAUUUGAUGUAACUGUAGCACCUCAUCCUCAUUGUCUCCAAUAGACUUUGCUACUUCAUCACUACUUUGAGCAAUGUUAGCAACUUCAUUGUUCGGAUUAGAUUUCUUCUUCUUCACUUCUUUAGCCUUAACUUUAGGAGAAUCUUUACUAUAAUGACCCAUGUUAUGACAAUAAUAACACUCAACAUCCUUCAAAUCUCUUUUCCGAGAUUUAGAGCGACUUUUAGAACUCGACGAACCUCUAUGUGAUGAUUUACCUCUAACAUACAUACCCUCAGCCUGAACUUCAUCAUCAGCUUUCUUUUUUCUAAUGGUUUUGGAUUGUAACAUCGAAACAACAUCAUCAUAGACCAACUGCUUUGUGGUCUUUUUGUUUGCAAUAAAAUAAUCAACUGUUGUUUCCCACGAAUAUGGUAAUGAACAUAAUAAAAUUAUAGCUUUCUCACCAUCAGGUAGUAUCACAUCAAUGUUUGCUAAAUCAGAACAGAUCUUAUUAAAAUCAUUAAUAUGAUCAAUCACAGACUUACCAGGUGUAAAUCUUGUAGAAUACAAACGCCUCUUUAGAUAGAGUUCUGACGUCAAGUCCUUACUAAGAUAGAGCUUCUCUAACUUCUCCCAUAACUCCUUUGCCGAGGUUUCACCGGCAAAAUUGUGUGUGAUAUCCCUCGUCAAACAUAACCUAAUCGUACUGCAGGCUUGUUGAUCAAACUCUUCCCAAUCAUCAUUCGUCCAACCUGUUGGCAACUUUGCCGUUUCAGGUUUCCCUUUUAGGGCUUUGAUCUGCUUCAUACUAACAAGAAUAUCUUUUACAUCUGUUUGCCACGAUGUGAAGUUAUUCUUCCCAUUGAAUUUGAUAAUAUCAAAUCCAUGCACCUUUGUGUACUUACUGUUGGAAUUCGAAGAAUUCGAAUCAGCCAUCUUCUCUUCAAUAAUCAAUACCACUAAAAAAACCAAGAUUGGAUUUUUAAUAACAAACUAAGAAAAUCGGAACCGUCAACUUCAGCGAAGUACUGAGAACUGAAUACUUCGAACCACAGAACGUACGAUAUACUGUUAGAAAUCCUGAAGAGUCUACUUUCCAACCCAAAAAACGGAUCGAUGUUUCAAUAUCCGAGCACAAAGUUAUGGCCGGUUUACUACAGGGUGUCGAAUCUGGACAGAUUCCUAAAACCCAACAAAACCGUUCCGAAAUCCCGUCUUCAACCCAAAGGAAUAACCUUCGGCUCUUGAUACCAACUGUUAUGAUAAAUACACAGGAUCUUGAUAUGAUUAAUAAAGAAACAAACACAAAAGAUCUAAACUAAAGCAGAAAUACGGAAACACAAUAAUAUACGUGGUUCGACAAUAUGCCUACAUCCACGGGACAAAAAGAGAUAACUUUAUUGAUAAUUGAGAAGUGAACUACACAAAAAACUAAUGAAACCUUAGUUUAGGUUUCCUCACACAUACUUUCUUCUUUGCUCAAAUUCUUAUAGUUACACAACACCAAUAUUUAUAACCUCUUUGGUUAAUCCAAUUGGUAACCCAAUUCCUAAAUCAACAACAACUUAGAUUUCUAAUAGAUUAGAAAGUCUUAUUAAAUCCUAAUAGAAUUCCACCACACUUGUUGCCAAAUAAGGAAACCGAUUCCUAAUAGGAAUUCAUUACUUGUAAUCUCCACAUGUCACUUUUCUACAAAUCCAAUUGGGAACCUAAUUCCUAAAUCAACAACUUAGUUUUCUAAUAGAUUGAAAAUUCUUAUUGAAUCCUAAUAGAAUUCCACCACACUUGUUGCCAAAUAGGGAAACCGAUUCCUAAGAGGAAUCCAUUACAUGUAAUAACCGCUACAUGUCACUUUUCUACACAAACCAUACAACAGAUCUAUAUAUUCACUUCCAGGCCCAUGCAAAAUUCCCCAUAGUUCUAUGUUGUUCUGUGUUAUAUAUUUUCCUGCUUAGCUACUAUACAUACAACAUUCUCAUGUUCUCGAAUAACUGCAUGAAUAGCUGCAUUAUGGAUGAUUAGAGAUAGUGAUGAACACCAAAACUGUAUGAUAACUACAUACAAACUGCUAUAAUAAAAGACGUUUUUUUAGUGUUUUGUAUUGUAAUAAAAGUCUUGUUGUGCUUCUCUAAAGCCAUAAUUUUUUUUUUAAAAAAAUGUCAUUAUUCGUCUUUAAUAUUGUUGGGUUUCCUGAUGAGCAAUGUUCGAGCCAAAUUUAUUAACGUUCGAACCAUUCUGGGUUAUUAGUUUUCUGAAGAAGUUAGUUAGAAUGGGAUUUCGAGCUGUUCGAACGUCGAAAAAAGGGUUAUGUGUCUGUUACAAUCUGUUCGAAUGGGAUUUCGUGAGUUAAUGAGCCCGAAAUCGGAGUUAUGUAAGGCUUAGAUAUAAAAGCCAAAAUAUUGAGAAAACCUAAUUAAAGACAACAGUGUCUUUGUCCAAUAGACGAGGGUACUUGACUACUAUGAUGCAAUAUUUAGUACUCAGAUUUUGAUCAUCCCGAUGAAUAUGAACAAUUGAUUUUUAGUUUGUUUUUAAGUUUUUUUUGUUAUGUUGCCCAAAUUAUAUUUUUGCAGCAGUAACUAGUAACUAUCUGUUAGUAGUCAACCAAAAAAAAAAUUAUCUUGUCAGUAUCAAGUAGUAUAGUUAACAAGCUAUUGCCAACUACCUUAAACAUGAAAUAACCCAGAAAAAUACAUUUAAAGCGUAGAUAUGAAAUAACUAUUUAUUUAUUUUAAGUGUAUCACCACAGUGCCACCUAAAUUAAAUCUUCCCAACAAUAGAUUGCCGACCAUUAUCGACUAUAAUCAACAAAUUUUUGCCAAGUAUAUCAAACAUGAAUUAACUCAAUUUUAAUUUUGAAGGUGGAGCACUAUACUGCCACCCAAAUUAAAUCUUCCCAACAGUAGAUCGCCGAUAAAUAUCCACUAUAGUCAGCAAGUUAUUGUCGACUACCAUAGACAUGAAAUAACUCAAUUUUUAGUUUGAAGGCUUAGCCAUUGCCGUAUUAUUAGGAUAUUUUACAAAGGUAUUGGUGAUUAACAAAGAAAUGUAUAAAGGAUGAGACAGAGAUCAACAAUACAACAAUUCAAGUAAAACAUGAAAUCAUAGUUUGCAACAAACCCAAGUUGUUGAAACCGGCACUCGGUUGUUUGACAUUAAUUUUGUGACAUUAGAUGUCCAUGGUUAUCUCGCCUUGAGUUCAUUGUUAGGAAAACCUCGUUGUACGCGCAUGGUCCCUAGUCCUUCUCUUCGCGUCAAGUUUGUCAAAAGUAAGUUUUUGGGUUUAGGACGUACGUACCUAGUUAGGGCGUACGUACGUCAUGUUAGGCAGCAAACAUGUUUUGGUUAGGACGUACGUACCUAGUUAGGGCGUUCGUACGUCCAAGCAGGCAGCGAACUUUUACAGUGUGGGGACGUACGAACGUUGUUUCGACGUACGUACGUCCAAUGUGGAUUUCAGCAAUUCCGGCCCAUUUUGUGUGUGUUCUAACCCUAAGUAUAAAUAGGGUUUCUCUACCAAAGAACAAAUUAGUUCUUUGGCCGUCCAAUUGAAGUCUUAUUCUUGGAGUUUGUUUAGGUUGUUGUUUAGGUUGUUUUGGUGAUUGAACUCUUCUUCCUUCUUCCCCAUUCAUCUUCUUCUUCAUUAUUGUUUAUAUUGAUUUAACUUCGAGUCUUCUUGUGUGUUCAUCAAGAAGUCGAGUGUCUUGUGCGUACAUCAAGGUGCUCUGGUGAAGUCAAGGUGUUAGAGAUAACCAGUAGUGUCAACUCGCAGUGAUUGCAGGUAGUUGAUAGGUUUGUACAUCUCUUUUCAUCUAGUGGAUUUAUUUGUUGUCGCAAGGACAACCGUGGACGUUUCCCAUAUUGGGUUUUACCACGUUAAAAAUAUCGUGUGUUCUUUACUUGUUUACUGCUUUAUUAUUGUUUGCCUUAUUAUUGUUAUAUUGCACAUAUAUUGGGUUCUCAAUUGGUAUCAGUCGCAGGGCGCUUGUUAAGGAGCGUAAAGGCUCACGCGUAGAUCCUUAGUGCAAUUUUAAUGGAUUCUGAUAAAUUUGGAACACUAAUUUGUCCUCCUAAAUUUGAUGGAACUAAUUUUCCCUAUUGGAAAGUUCGUAUGGCUGCGUAUUUGCAGGCUAUGAGUGAGGAUGUGUGGAUCGCUGUGGAAGAUGGUUGGUCACCACCGAGAGUUACUACAGGUAGUACAGAUGAGGUUGUUACAAGUGUAAAGCCACGAAACACAUGGAGUGUAGAAGACAAAGUUGCUUCUACUAACAACCAAAUAGGGCUUAAUGCUAUAUUUAUGGCUUUGGAUGCUAGUGAAUUUCGGAGAGUUCAUGGUUGUAUAACAUCCAAAGAGGCUUGGGAUAGGUUGGUAAGAACUCAUGAGGGUGACAUUGCUGUCAAAGAGAGUAAGCUUGAACUUCUUAUUACUCAAUUUGAAACUAUGAAAAUGGAUAAUAAUGAAUCUUUUGAUGAAUUCUUUAUUCGUUUGCAGGAUAUUAUCAACACUAGUGCAUCUUUAGGUUUAGUGUACACCGAUACUCAAAUAGUACGUAAAGUUCUUCGGUCUUUGCCAUCUAGAUUUCGUUCUAGGAAAGAUGCUAUUCAAGAAAGCAAUGACUUAAAGACCAUGUCCAUAGAGACCUUAGCAGGAAAGUUGAGAACUUAUGAACUUGAGGUUCAACUUGAGCAACCUCAAAAUAAAUCCUUUGCUUUUAAAGCUGGAUUUUUUGAGGAUGUGCAAGAUGAAAAAAUUAAUCAUGAUGAGUCUCUUGACACUAAGCAACAUCUAAGUAUCAUUUAUCGUUAUCUCAAACAUAUUUUUAAGACUAUGAAAUAUAAUGGUUUGACUAACCAUGGUUUUGACGAGUGUAAGCUUCCCAAGAAAUUUGGUGCACAAGGGAUAGAACAACAAAAAAUCAAGUUAUCUACCACUUGGGAGGAAGAUGAAAGCGAUGAUGAUGAUGAUGUAGCGGAAGACCAUGCUACACAUUGUGUUGCCUAUGGAGCAUCUUUGAAUGAGAGUGUGGAUUGUCAGGUAACCGAUAUUGUCGAUCAUGAAUUCGAUGAUUCUAUUUUGGUAAGUCCUGGUGAGUUAAGGGAAUUACAUAUGUCAUCUGUUAAACAAUGUCAAUCCUUGCGUAAGACUAAUCAUAUUUUAAAUGAUAUGGUUGAGUCUCUUGUAAAAGAGAAAUCUGUACUUGCAGGUGAUAUGAAUGCCUUAUCUGAGGAGUUUUCCCAAGAAAAGCUAGAUUUCCAAUCUAGAAUUAUUUCUUUGGAAAUAUCCAAUCGUGAGAUAGAAGAUAAGUAUCGUUCUUUGUUGCUUGAGCAUGAAACUGUGAAAAAGGAUUUAUUUGCUUCUACUAAGCGAUUGCAAGGGUUUGAGAAAGCUUCAGUUGAUCUAGACACCCUUAUUAAAAGUGGAAAGUUUUCUUCAGAUAAGACUGGUUUAGGAUAUGAUUGUGUUGGAGCUUCUUCCAGUUGUGUUCCUCUUCCUACUACUUCUUUUGUGAGGCCAUCAUUGCCUCCUUUGUUACCAAAUCCACACAUUCCUACUCCGCCUCCACCUACCAAGGCUUUUGAAUCUAAGCCAAAUGUGAUGACCAAGAACAAGACAAGUCCUAAACAUAGACAUUUUAAGUGUUUUACUUGUGGUCGAUUAGGUCAUACUUCCGCUUUCUGUUGGGAUAAAAAUUCCAUGGUUCCAUAUUCUUCUUCUUAUGGUAAUAAUUAUUGGAACUCACAUUGUUCUUUUCCUGUACAGGCUCAUCAUUCCUCUUGGCCUCCUUUUAUGCGAAGAAGUGGCCCUAAAAAACCACAACACUUCAACAAUAGAAAGAGGGUUGUGCAAAAGGUCACCAAACCACCUCACAUAUGGGAUAGAAGCAUCGAUGCUGCCAAAUGUAGUUUAGAGAAUGAGAGGUUAAGGAUUGGAAAGUCUACUAUCAGGGAUAAUAUUCAAAAAUCCUCCAUAUCCGGGUCCAACUUGCAGAAUAUCUCUCAAGUAUGGGUACGAAAGGAUGACUUGAACAUUCUUUUUUGACUUCUUAAAGUCAGAUUGAAUAUCAUCUUCGUAUUUUUAGUUUUUUGUUUGUUUUCUAGCCUUGUGUUAUUUUAAUUGCAUAUUUUUCUAACCAUAUAGGCUAUUUGUUUGGUGUGUUUUGUCUUUCUGUUUAUGCAUGCUUUGUUUGUUUGGGUUGAAUAUCAUGUUUUUUUUUUUUUUUUUUAAAAAAAAAAAAAAAAAAAAAAAGUUUACUCUGUUAUGGGUGUUUGGGAUACACAUACUUUGUAUAUGUGGUUAGAUUGGUCUAUUACUUUCAAUCAUUCUUGUAUGCUUAGUACUCAUGAAUAUAACUAUUUUAUUACACUUAGCAUACGCUUGUGCUUUCAUGUUUAGAUUUUAGACCAACGUUUAUCUAGUUGUGUCUCAUGCAUAUAUCCUUGCUUGUUUACACUAUGCACAAUUAGGUGGCACUUUGAGAGUUUGUUUGCAUAUCUUUUUCCAUCCUUUGAACAUGAUGAACUUCUAGGAUAAUCAUUAGUUGGAAAUAUACGUAUGCAUGCCUUCUUAUGUUACCUUGAUUAUUAGUAUGAAGGCGGUGUGGUGUGGUAGUGGUCAACAAUUCACAAAAUCCCCAGCCUUUUGAUCUUCUUGAGAAAGAAAUCAUUUGGUAUACAUACCCGUUGGGGCCGUGAGGGUCAUGCAAUGACGGAUGCACUCAAGAGAUGUUAGUUCUUGUGUUGCACGUUACCAUGAUGUUGCACUACUUUAAGUUUGUUCUUAAAGGGGAAGUAAUUUGAAAAGAUGUAGGCUACACCCUACCACAUGUUGCAAAAGAUGAAGGUAAAAAUCCCUUUCACAUGUUAAUUUCUGCACAAUAUAAAAAAAAAAAAAAAAAAAACAAAAAAAGGUUAUAAGUGCAUUUCCCCGUGUCUGUUUAGGCGUUUGUGAAGUGAAAUCCUUCUAAUGGUGAAUACUAGUUGUUUUGAGUGUUCUUAUGGUUUGUGAGUGAGGUGUGAAAAUGACUCUCUUUGUGUUUUCUUUAGUUUUCCCACACACCAAGGAUGUUUGUAUGAUGCAUUUCUAAUAGAUGUUUGGUUUCUUAUCUUAAUUUUUGAUUGGUGCGUACUUUGUUUAAUGAAACCAAGUUUAUUCAUCUUUACUAAGUAUCUUGUUUUAAUUGAGCUUGCAUAUACUCUCUUCUACCCUUGUAUGCAUGGUUCUUUGUGUGUUUCAAAUAUCCUUAUUUGGGUUGUUUGUUCUAGGUGCAUCUUUCUCAUAUGCAUUGCAUUUAGGUGGAGCUUUUGUUUAGGGGGAGAAUUCUUUGUAUUGACAUCGUGUUAACAAGUGUUUAUUUUAUGGCUUCCGUUGCAUAUCCUUUUUGUUGUUAACAUGAUUGUUCUCUUUCUUUUCUUCUCUAAUCUUAUUUGUUAUGGUUUGGUAUUUUCUUCUCUCUUUCUUUUGUUCCCUUGCUUCAUUUGUGACAAAAAGGGGGAGAUUUAUGACUCUAAUACUAACACCUUCUUCUUAUUUGUUAGUGUAUUUUUGGGUCAUGUUUCAGGUAUGCUACACGUAUGGGGGAGUGAACGUGUUGAUGUUUAGAGGUUGUACAGUUUUGGGUCAUGUUUCAGGUAUACUACAUGUACGGGGGAGUGAACAUGUAUGGGUGAGUGAAAGUGAUGAUGAUCACAAAGUGCAUAUACAGUUUUGGGUAAGCUCGGGUAUUAAACCUUGGAGCUCAUGAAGUAUGGGGGAGUUGUUCGAGGAACUUCCGUUGGAUCUUUGAUUGUUGUUGCUUCCGUUCGGUCUCUGAUGAUUGAAGUGUCUUACUCAAGCUGGAUAUCAAGAAUUGGUGACUCGGUAUGUGUUCUACCUUGAGUGUUUUUGUAGGCAUGUUUUAUAAAUGCCAUGGUUUGGGUUUGUAAGCACGUUUUAUAAGUGCUAUUAGAGUCAUAGGUUUUUGUCACAAAAUCAAUGUCAAAGGGGGAGAUUGAAACCGGCACUCGGUUGUUUGACAUUAAUUUUGUGACAUUAGAUGUCCAUGGUUAUCUCGCCUUGAGUUCAUUGUUAGGAAAACCUCGUUGUACGCGCAUGGUCCCUAGUCCUUCUCUUCGCGUCAAGUUUGUCAAAAGUAAGUUUUUGGGUUUAGGACGUACGUACCUAGUUAGGGCGUACGUACGUCAUGUUAGGCAGCAAACAUGUUUUGGUCAGGACGUACGUACCUAGUUAGGGCGUUCGUACGUCCAAGCAGGCAGCGAACUUUUACAGUGUGGGGACGUACGAACGUUGUUUCGACGUACGUACGUCCAAUGUGGAUUUCAGCAAUUCCGGCCCAUUUUGUGUGUGUUCUAACCCUAAGUAUAAAUAGGGUUUCUCUACCAAAGAACAAAUUAGUUCUUUGGCCGUCCAAUUGAAGUCUUAUUCUUGGAGUUUGUUUAGGUUGUUGUUUAGGUUGUUUUGGUGAUUGAACUCUUCUUCCUUCUUCCCCAUUCAUCUUCUUCUUCAUUAUUGUUUAUAUUGAUUUAGCUUCGAGUCUUCUUGUGUGUUCAUCAAGAAGUCGAGUGUCUUGUGCGUACAUCAAGGUGCUCUGGUGAAGUCAAGGUGUUAGAGAUAACCAGUAGUGUCAACUCGCAGUGAUUGCAGGUAGUUGAUAGGUUUGUACAUCUCUUUUCAUCUAGUGGAUUUAUUUGUUGUCGCAAGGACAACUGUGGACGUUUCCCAUAUUGGGUUUUACCACGUUAAAAAUAUCGUGUGUUCUUUACUUGUUUACUGCUUUAUUAUUGUUUGCCUUAUUAUUGUUAUAUUGCACAUAUAUUGGGUUCUCAGUUGUUACUAGUAAUGAACUACAAAUAAGACAACAACAUGAAUAUAAUGCAUAAACUUGUAGUUACAAUCGAUAAUAUUUGAAUAUUUUUUAUUUUAAUAACAAGCUAAGUGCGAUAAUUUAAUUUUUUUUACCGCAACUAAAUAUCUCGAGAAAAUAAAUUUUAAAUCAAUACAAUUGAAAAACAUAUUCAUCUCAUUAAAACAAUAUGAGAAUAUUUUUAUUUGAAAAUAUAUGUUGUAAAGAAAACCAUGUUCUCUAUCGAUCAAAACAAUUUUAUUAAUUAGGUAUGAAUUUUCAGAAAAUCUAAUUGUUAUUGUCGUUGUUGAUUUGUUUAACACAAACUGCUCAGAUAUAAUAUCAAUGAGGAAUAAAGUGAAUGAGUGAUGAUCAUCAAAAUCCGAAUAUUCUCUGUAAAAUUGUAUAUUAUAGGUUCCAGGACCUAUUCUUUAACUGGGAUGCACUGUUAAAUGUAAAUUAAACAGUUGCAGUAUCUUAUUUAUUUGGUUUCGGGUUAUCGUAUAAAAUUCCUUCCUUGAUUAUUAAUAAAAUUUUAAAUAAUCUCGAAUAUUUUUUUAGGAGGUGAAAGAGUUUGUGUUUCAGAGUUUUUAUUUUAGGAGUUGAAGAGUUUUUUAUAAGAAAUAUUUUUUUUUUCUGCCCGAAGUAAAACAUUAAAACCUGUUUAGUAGGUUAUCAUGGGUGUGAAACUUAUUUAACAUGUUAAUUUGAGUAUGUUUAAGCUUUUAUACGAGGAGUGUGCCAAACGUAAGAAGGGGUGUGCCUUUAGCCUUUUUUAAUCAAAAGCUAUAAUUUGAUACAUGUCCACUAAUUUGUCCAACCCAAUAGAUUAACAGGCCCAGUUUCAACCCAAUAAACAAGUUUAAACUAAAAAGUCCGGCUCAAUAGAAGACCUCUCGUGGUGAAUAUACCUCGUCAGACCACUAGCACCAGUCCAACUAUCGACCCACUUACGUAAGUGUAUUUUCUUGCCCAUCCAUUUUUGUAAUAGGCUUCAUGGUUGUAAAAUACAGGGGCAACCAUCAACCCUGUAUUUUUAUUAUUAUUAUUGGCAAGCAAGGUUGGAGGGACCCAUACCCUUUAACUCGGUCAACAAUCAACUACAAGGAAACAAACAACUACUAGCUGAUCAGUUGGUUUGUUAUCCGUAACACCCCGGGUCGGCAGGUGGUUUGUCGAGGGGGUGGGUCCUACGACAUGUAAGAGGGGGAUGUCCUAACAUUAAAAUAUAGGUAUGACCGAGGCCUUUUGGGCUCACUUGGUUCCAGAGCUCGAAAGAACUCUGAAGUUAAGCGUGCUCGGGUGGGAGUAGUCUCAGGAUGGGUGAUCUCCUGGGAAGCAGGUUACUACCCAGAAAAACCCCACUGUGGGACUUCCGCAGUGGCUAAGUGGGGAGAAUAUCGGUGGUGAUAUAGGUCGGGUCGCUACAAAUAGUAUCAGAGCCGACGAUGGUUCUCCUGUCGAGGGUAGGAGAGUAUGCUGAAAAGGUGUCUAGCCCAGGAAGGGGUCACUAAUUUUAUUCCAUUAUUACUAUAUGACAUUAGGUUGCCACUCUUCCUUUUACAAAUUUCUUAUCAUCUGAAUCCAUAAUACUAUAUAUUGCCGUUCAAUGUUCUUCCAAAUUUUUCUGACAUAGGAAUUCUGUUGCCGUUCAUCACACAUUAAAUCAUAUUACAAGUCUUUACUAUGAUCAGAUCUGUUUGAAGUGUAAAGUGUUAUGAAUAUGCAAGUCUUUACUAUGAUCAGAUCUUUAUUAGGUUAGGGAAUUGUAAGAUUUUCUUGGAUUAUUAUCUACAGAUGCACUAAUUUUGAUUAAUACUGUGUAUUAUUAUGUUUUUCUAGAUCUGCUUUUACUAUCGAACUAUCGGUUUUUGAUUAAAGUAUGUACACAUACGUAUUUUAAUUUCUUCCGUGCAAUUCAUAAUUUAAUUUUAUUCUCGAAUGUAAUGGAAGUCAUUCAAAACUUAUUGUGAGAUUUGCUACAAUAAUCGACCCAAAAAAAAAAAUUUGUCAAUAAUCGACAGUAGAAAAUAUUCGACUGUUUACUCCUUUGUGUUUGUUACAAUAGUCUUUUUUCGAAAAUAUUCAACUGUUUACUACUUUGUGUUUUUCUACAAUGCUUUGUAAAUUAAAUACGCUGUGCUAAAAUUAUGUAGCUUUACUUAAAGAAAUUCUGUUUGAUGCAGCAGGCGUAACAUCAAUAACAGGAGAUGGUACUUUAAACCAUUUUAUCGUCUACCUACUCUGCUACUCAGUUAAGUUUGUCAGACAUAUUCUCUAUUUCAAGUUAGUAAUAUUAUAAGCAUAAUUAAUAUUAUCAAUAAACAAUAAGGAUCAUGAAUCACGUAAUUAAUCACUAACAAAUACACAUACCUUGUCUAUAGCCAUUGAUGAUCCGAGAAGCUGCACAAGAUCUAGGUUUCACUCUCCUUGCCUCUUAAACCCUAAUAUGUGUUGUAAUAGUAAGUGUAUGAGGAUGGAGAUCAUACACCAAUUUAUAGAGGUGGAGAGAGGACCUAAAUCUACAAACCUAAGCCCAUUAGAUCUAGACCGCCCAUCAUAGUUAAGAUCUACGGUAGAUAUGACUUCCACAUAACCUAUUACUAAUUAGCUUAUUUCUAUAUUAAACCAAGGUUAAAAGUACAUGGACCACAUUAUAGGUUGGGCUUUAUAUGUGGAAAUUCCAACAGUCUCCCACUUGUCCAUAGUAAAAUCUUACAUACGGUUUAACGUAGAAUACAUAAGGCGCGCAAUAAGAGCUAAAUUAGUUUCCGAAAUGGUUAUCAUAAUAUCGUCAUUAAUUAAACCACUAAUAUGAGUCAUGGCGGUUCCACAUCGCAUAAAUGACAUGGUUCCUUCCAUGUACUACGAUAUCAACAAUUUAAUUAACUAGGUCUAUAAGCGGAAGUAACAAUAAUGGUCCAGUAAUGUCUUCGUAAAAUACUAUUUCUGUCAACAAUUAUCCAUUCACAUACAUGUACAUAAACAAUGGAAAACAGAAAAUUCAGAACUUAAUCAAUAAUAAUGAGUUCAAAAUAAUGUCAAAUAAUAAGCACUAAGUAAUCCACAAAUCAUUAAGUUAUGGGUUACAUUCAAAACCCAACUUGUUAACAUGAUGCUAGAAUAUCAUUAUUUCUAGCUCUUAAGUUAGUGGAUUUACUAACACGUGUACUAAUGUAUUCCAUUGACACUCACUUGUUCUAAACUUAAGCCAUAAUCAAUAGGUAUUUUAUAUCAUGUGCUAAACAUUAGAAUACCUAUCAUUCUUACAAAGGCAUAUAGUUGCAACAUUAUUAUAAUAAAAUUCAAACGACUUAGAAAUUAAUAACUCUAAGACAUGAUAUAAAGUUUUGCAACUAUACAACAUUGCAUGUAGUUAUUUUACAACAUGCUACAAAUUCGGCUUCUAUGGUGGGUGAAACAAUAAUGUUUUAUCGACUAUCCACACACCCAUUAAAUUCCGAAUUUGUAAAACCAAUCAAGGUGAUUAAAUCUCUUAAAAUAUGAGCAUACGGUUUCUCUUUCAUUCGUUCUUGUUCCAAUUCAUUCAUAGGAUCUUGAUUUAAUUCAAAUAUUCCCCCUCUGAAUUGGAGUAUCAUUACAAUUAUGCCUUAACACAUUAAAUCUAUCCAAAACUUUAUUAAUGAAAUCUUUCUGAGACGUUCCAACAAUUAUUGUGAUCAAUCCCGAAAUAUUUUUAUUUCUAUCACAUAUGACGCAUCACCAUAACUUUCAUUGCAAAGUGUUUAGACAGAAAAAAUGUUUACAUAAACGAAAAUCACUGCUGCAAAACAAUAAAUCAUCAACAUAAUUUACUCCCACUGAACUUUGGGUAUGUACAUUAAACCCAAACGUUUGAUACUAUUAAUCAUUAGGUACCAUUUUCGCGAAGCUUGUUUUAAGUCUGUAUAUUGACUUCUUUAACAAAUAGAUUAUGUGUUCUUGGUCUUCCUUUAUGAAGUUGUGUGGCUAAUUAAACCAGCAUGUAGACUUUAUCCAAACUUUCAUUCAAAAUAUCAUUUUCACAUUUAUUUGGUGUAACUCUAAAUCGAAAUGAGUCACCAAUGCCAUAAUGAUUCUAAGAUAAUUCUUCUUUAACACAUAAGUGAAGGUUUCACGCACGAGAAAGUAAUGCCACCAUAUUGAGUAAGCUGUUUGGAUACAAGUCUUGCUUUAUGGCAUUCAAUAGAACCUUUUGAGUCAAUUCUACUAACCCCAGACUUAGUUAAAAUCCACACUUAAUUUAUCUCUUCAUUCAUGGCAUGAAUCUUUUUAUCAGAAUUACUAUAAGUAAUGGCUUGUGAAAAUGUAACUAGAUCAUUAAAUUCAAAUUCUUGUAAAUACAACACGUGGUCAUCCAAAUAGCUGGUCGUGACCUUUAAGAUCUUUUUAAUGCUACUUUUUGUGUGCGUUUACAUUCAGUUCAAUGGCAUUAAUUUCAUUAAGUGGUUGAGAAGCAACUAGUUGUUUAUUGUUGUUAAGCGGUGCAACAACAUGAGAAACAACAGAAGUAACAAUAAUAUCAUUACAAAAAAAAAAUCGAGGUAACAAAAUUGGUACCCUAACUUCUUUAAUGAUUACCUCUUUGAUAUGAUCACUCCCACUGAUUUUGCCAUUCAUAAUGAUCAAUAGUUUCCAGUUUCAAUAAUUCUAGUGGUAUGGUUAGGAUAGUAAAAUCUAUACCCUUUAGACUUUUCUAGAUAAACCCUAAAUGUGUAAAUGUCUUAAACUAGGUUUCCAUCUUUUCCACAUUUCAAAAGGUGUUUUUUGUAACUGCCUUAAUAGGAACCCUAUUCAAUAUAUACACUUCGGUUUAUAAAGUAUACAUCCACAAUGAUAUGGGUAAAUUAGAAUUACACAUCAUACUUCAAACCAUAUUCAUAAGGGUUUGAUUAUGCCUUUGAGCUAUACCAUUCUGUCAUGGAAAACCAGACAUUGUGUAUUAGGCACAAAUUCUUAACCGUUCUAGAAGUUUGGCAACCGGGAUGUUGUCCCGUGUCAUAGAUCAUACUUUCCAAGAAAUUCACUACCUCUAUAAAAAUGUAUAGUUUCCACAUUUCUAUUUAAUUGUCUCUUAACUUCAGUUAUGUAAAUUUCAAUAACAUUUACAUAUGAGACUUAUUAUGCUAUAGAUAGAUACAAUAACGAGAAAAAAUCAUCAAUAAAGGUAAUGAAAUACUUUUCUCCACCAAAAGAUGGAGCAUCAAAAGUCCACAUAUGUCUAUUUGAAUUAUUUCAAGAAGCGUACUUCCUAUGGCUCUUCUUAGUGUGUUUGGUUUGCUUGACUUAAUGCAUUCCACACACACACACACACCAAAAUUAGUAAAAUUAAGGUUCGGGAAAACCCCUUCUUUUACUAGUCUACUUUUCAUCUAGAUGUAUAAUCCAGUCUUUUAUGCCAUAAUAAAGAUAAACAUUAAUCAUAAUCAAUUCACUAAGGGUUAGGAAUACCAAUUAAGUUUGAUCGAACCAUACUAAAACCAAAAGCUUACCUUUUAAAUCAAACAAACGCCAUAUUCACAUAAAUGGCAUUGGCACACACAUAUUGUAUAUCCAAACACAAUUAGAGAAUUGUUCAUUCAACUUCUUGAAACAUGAAUUAAGCUUGAGUGACAUGAUUAUAAUGUUGUUUAAGCCUUGCCUAUACUUGAACUAGUAGUCUCGCCAUUUAAUUCACAUUCCACUUGUCUUUAAUAGUGUAAUAGUGAAACUGAACAUACUAUGUAGGCAAGAAAUUUAGAAUAAAUUGAAGGACAAAGUAAUCAUCCACUAACAUGUCUAAAUUCUUUAAUUUAACAACUAAAUAGGGAAACUCAAGGAUACAAUCAUGCAUACUAUGAGUACUAUGAAUAGUAAUCAGUUCAACAAUUAACUUUUCAGCUAGCAGUGCGAAAAUGAUUCUUAAUAUUAUUCAUCAACAAUUAUUCAUAUAAACAUUGAGUUUAAUUUGCAUGUUCAAUCUAGUUCAUGCAUAAUGCAUAAUUUUCUCCUUUUUACUGCUUUUAUAAAAUAACAGUAGAUUCAACAAUAAGGAAAUAUAUGCCAAGAUCUAGAACUCCCACUAAAAUCAACUAGACUUAUUCAUUCUAGUUCAUUAGUUUUAUUAAGGAUAAAACAUACAAAAUAUACGAAAUACAAGAAUAAUAGAACGAGAAAAAUAAACAUGCUCACAACAUUAGUCAACACAUUAAUUAAACAAUAUGACUAAGAUUUUUAGUAAUACUAUAAAUGGGUGACAUAUCACAUGAUCAAAAUAAGCAUGGUAUCUGUGGAUAUCGUACACUCAUUUAAUCACAAAUACGUGCAACCCCUUAAUUUUAUUCAAUCUAACAUAUGCCUGAUCUACCUGUGGGUAGCUCAAUAAUGCAAGUGAAUAAAUAGGCAAUAAGGUACUUAGUCUAACAUUCAACACAAUAUUUAGUUCACUGUGGUGAAAACCAAAUCAUAAUAUGAAUGGUCAAAGAAGUUUUAAUAUUCAUUAAACAUAUUGGAAUCACUGCAGUGGAUACCAAUAGAAAACUUGAUAUGAAUAUAAAACAGAAAACAAUGUCCAUAAUCGUAAUUGGUUCACUGUGGUGAUACCAAAUCAUGAUGAUAUGAACCUUAAGGGAAUAAACAUACAGGUGAAUAAAUGCGACAAGAUUAAAAUAUUAUAAUGCAUCUUAAUCAUAAGAAGUGCACAAUCUAAUAAAUUCAACUAGGGCACAUGCAUAAUAUAGGUGAAAACCAAGAAUUAUCAUAAUACAUACAAGUCUGAAUUAGACAUGGAAGCAACUAACAUUAACCUACUGUACAUAUGUGACUAAUAUAUGACAGAGGCAUGAAAGUAAAAUACAUCACAAUAUAAACUAGCACAAAAUGUCUAACAGUAAGAUCCAAACACAUUAAUUAUAGACUGUAACUAAUAGGCCCAAAGAUGAUCCCGUUAUCAUUAUGAAAAUCGUGUGCAAACAGUAAUUGAAAAUACCAAACUACCAAAACACUAAUGGACAAAGCGUUAAGUCCAAAACAAAAAUUGGUUCAGUUUGACUUUAUGGUAUAUUCAUAAAAAUCAAUAUUCAUAAACAUACUUGGUUUCACUGUGGUGAAUACCAAUAAAAACCUUAACACGAAUAUUGAAUAAGAAAAAAACAAUUUUGAUAACACUUUAGUUGGAACCAUUGUGGUGAAUACCAACGCGUUUCUUGUUAUAAAUAUUACCAUUAUAAUUUUGCACAAUAUUUAAUCAGUAAAAUACAUCAUCAUAAUACAAUUGGUUGGGUUCUUGUCACUAAGUGAGGCACAAAACCCCAAGGAAUAGUAUAUUAUAGGACCAAAAAUACUUAAUAUGGGUUGUAACAGUAAGGCCCAAAACCCAAAGAAUGAUAUACUAGAUUAUCAUCUCCUUUGGAAAGAUGUGUACUACGGCAGUAAUCGAAGUAGGAAAAUUACCCAAAAAAAAAAAAAAAAAAUAUUAAACUUUAGCCAGUAAGAAUGAAUGGGGUCUUUGGAACCGGGUUACGUAAGAAUUUAACAUUCUACGAAUUAACAUUGAACUUCAUCUAGUAAAGAAAGUCCAGAUUAAUAAGGAUUAUACGUUACUUAGAAGGGGUACUACCAAACAUGCUAAUAUCAAUCAAUUUUGGGACUACAAAGCAUAUAUAUUAGGCUAGCAAUAAAGCCCACAAUUGGACUUAUAUAGCAGUACACACCAAAACCAUAACCCAACAAGAUUAACAAAGUCACUACUGGACGAAACAUGAUGUUAUAAUUAGUGACAGUAAUGGCCUGCUAGCUUCAAACACUAAUCAUAAUGAUCAUGAAUUAAUUCUAGAAGAAGCAGCUAAAACCAUAUAUUGCAGUAAACAAAACUUUGUUGAAGUUGUUCUGUCCUUAUUGACCAACUAAUCAUGCAUCGAGAAUUCAUGCACCAUAAAACCAUAUACAUUACUGCCAACCAUUAACCAAAAAUUCAUAAGUGUUUAUAAUACCCAAAGGUCCCAUAUCAAUUAAUUAGUGAUCACGUACAGUCAAAAAUUUAUGAGUCCAAAAGCAUACUAACGCUAAUCUUGAUAUAAUUUCUAACGGAAAGAAAUACUACCGUAUUUAAUCACAAGGAAUAUCAUCUUAAUCAUACGAAUCAUCAAUCAUAAAAAUAAGAAUUACUGUUUUCUUUAUUGCGGAAUCAUAAUAAACAGUAUUAAAUUAAACGAGGACGAUAGAACUAAUAACAUGAUUCAAAUUGGCGACUGAUACCACAUAUAAGCAUAAUUAAUAUUAUCAAUAAACAAUAAGGAUCAUGAAUCACGUAAUUAAUCACUAACAAAUACACAUACAUUGUCUAUAGCCAUUGAUGAUCCUAGAAGCUGCACAAGAUCUAGGUUUCACUCUCCUUGCCUCUUAAACCCCAAUAUGUGUUGUAAUAGUAAGUGUAUGAGGAUGGAGAUCAUACACCAAUUUAUAGAGGUGGAGAGAGGACCUAAAUCUACAAACCUAAGCCCAUUAGAUCUAGACCGCCCAUCAUAGUUAAGAUCUACGGUAGAUAUAAUUUCCACAUAACCUAUUACUAAUUAGCUGAUUUCUAUAUUAAACCAAGGUUAAAAGUACAUGGACCACAUUAUAGGUUGGGCUUUAUAUGUGGAAAUUCCAACAAAUAUCAGUAAACUUUAAUCUGAAUUACAUCUUUUUAUUUUUCUCAUCUUGUUCUUGUCUUACAUUUUUGCAGUAAUCCAAAUCUUGAUACGGAAAAUUCGAUUCCAGACAGCAAUGUUUAAAAACUUGUAGCACAUCAGACUCUUUGAAGUAGCUUCCUCUGAUUUUUUACUGUGAUUGCGAUGACCUGGUGUGUAAUCUUACAACUUGCAGCACUUCGGACUCUUUGCAGCACUUCAGACACUUUGGAGACUUGUUUUUGUUUAGUGAUUGGGCCAAUUGUCAUUCUGUCCAAGACAUCUUCUCACUUUUCCCCCCUUUCUACGGCAAUCCUCUCGGCAGGAGUAUCAGAAAUAUCAUUCUCUUCGCUCCAUCAACUAAUGGAAAUUCAGUAAUGCUUAAGAGUUGAGGAAAUUUCAAAUGGCAAUUAAAGCUCAGGUCUGAUACUGGUUAGGGGGAACUUCGCGAAACAAGAACUUUCGAUUUGAGAAUACCAUCUUCGACUGGCACAGGCUUUUCUCUCUACUUGAUUCAGUUUUUUUUUCCAUGUUUCUUUUGUAUGAUGGCUUUGGCCAGAACCUGACGAUACACAACAUGUAUAGGGUCGCUUGGAUGCAAAAGGCCCAAUAAUAAUCAUUUGUUUAGUUGGUUCCUUGUUCAGUUGAAAUAAAAUACUUGCUGGUCACUUGUUUACUUGUUGAUGUUGUCUUAUACUUUCUAUUCAUUAGAAUGCAUCAUAACAAGUCAAUUCCUCCACAACAGUGGCGAUCAUGAUAGUUCGUCGAGUAUUCUACUUCACGGCAGGUACUAUGGGCACGAACUUUUGUUGUUAGGUCAUGAUUAUAAUCUUGAAAAUGUGACGAUAACUGCUUUGUGUUUGUGAGAUUUGCUACAAUAUUCAACAGUGUAUGAAUAUCUCCCCAGUGAUAGGGCCUUUGUCGUCGCAUUUUAUUGUGUAUCCUUCUUAAAAUAUGAUAGAGUUGCCUUUCAAAUGUCAAAUACAUUUUCAUUCCUAGAAAACCUUUAUCUUUAUCUAUACUUUUUACUUGAAUUUUAAGGUGUUUAAAAUUAUGUAGCUUACUUUAGGAAAUUCUGUUUGAUGCAGCAUGCGUAGCGUCAAUAAGACAAUAACAGGAGAUUGUAUAAAGCAAUGUAUCCUCUACUAAGUUAAGUUUGUCAGACAUAUUUCAAGAUGAAUGCUGAAAGUGUUUGUGGCCAUUAUCAUUGUUGCUUCUCCACAAUCAUGAGCUAUAAUUUCUUUAGAUAUUAAAUUAGAUUAAUUAAUAUUCAUGCUAUUCCUUUCAUUAAUUGAUUCUGCGAGCAUGAAAUGAGUCUGAACAUCCAUUUAUAUCCUCUGCCCAUUAGCCAUUAGGGUGCAGAGAGUUGGAGAGGACACAGUUUGAGAAACUACAAAUAGUGCUAAUCUAACAGUUCAAUAUUCAAACAACUUAAACGAUAUGCAGAAAGUAAAUAACACACAAUAUUUUUAACGUGGUAAAACCCAAAUUGGGAAACGUCCACGGUUGUCCUCGCGACAACAAAUAAAUCCACUAGAUGAAAAGAGAUGUACAAACCUAUCAACUACCUGCAAUCACUGCGAGUUGACACUCCUGGUUAUCUCUAACACCUUGACUUCACCAGAGCACCUUGAUGUACGCACAAGACACUCGACUUCUUGAUGAACACACAAGAAGACUCGAAGCCGAACUAUGAAACAAGCUUACACCAGAGUUCCUUGAUGAACACACAAAGAUACUCGACUUCUUGAUGAACACACAAGAAGACUCGAAGCUAAAUCAAUAUAAACAAUAAUGAAGAAGAAGAUGAAUGGGAAAGAAGGAAGAAGAAGAUGAAUGGGGAAGAAGAAGAUGAGUUCAAUCACCAAAACAACCUAAACCCAAAACCUAAACAAACUCCAAGACUAGAGAUGAAUUGGACGGCCAAAGAACUAACUUAUUGUUUGGAAGAGAAACCCUAUUUAUACCUAGGGUUGGAAAUCAAGGAAAAUGGGCCGAAAUAGUGUAAACCGACUUUGGACGUACGUACGUCGAUAUGACGUUCGUACGUCGUAUACACGAUCCGAACUUGCUGACUACAUGGACGUACGAACGUUCUAACUCGGUACGUACGUCCUGACCAAAACACGUCUGCUGCCUACUUGGACGUACGAACGUCCUUAAGAGGUACGUACGUCCUGAACCUAAAACUUGAGUUUGACACAAGGACAUGAGAACACAAACUCGGGACGAUGUGCGUACAACUUGGUUUUCCUAACAAUGAACUCAAGGCGAGAUAACCAUGGACACUUUGUCACAAAAUUGAUGUCAAACCACUUCGUGCCGGUUUCACAGUUAAACUUAAAAUGAGAGUGAGGAUGUUUCAUGUUAUUCAGAGUCUGUUUUUCAGUCUUCUCUUUUUGUAAGAUCUUAUAUUUGUUUCAAGUUGGUAAUAUCAGUAAACUUUGGCAUCUCUAAUGGGUCUUCUAUAUCCAAAAUUAUAGGAAUUCGGUAAAAAACCAGCCCUAACACGUCGUCUAUACAAAAAGCAGUCGGCCAUCCACGUAGGACGUGGUGGGUCGCUCUGCUAAAAGUUUGGUUAAAAUUGUUGGAGAGAUAAGAUUAUAGAAAAAAUCUAAAAUCUUUUGUUCCACGCUAGUUCAACUAGCGUGGAACGUUACACGCAAGUCUAACCAGCGUGGAACCAUUUUAAUCGAUUUUUUUUUGUUCCGCGUUGGUUGCACCAGCAUGGAACAUAAUUUUCAAACGACUAUAAUUUCCAAACGGCUAUAAUUUUCAAACAUAUAUAUAUAUAUAUAACUUCAUCUUCUUCAUCAUCUGUACAUAAUUUUUGAGUUAGAAGAAGGAUAAAAAUGGCGGAAAUAAGAGGUAGAAGAUGAAGAUGAUAAACUACUGGAACUAUGGACUGUAAAUAUGGGCCGGAUUUAAACGGGUUUAAACUGAUCCAGAUCCACAAACUUUAGUUAUGGGCCAAACGUAAAUACGGGCCAAACUUUAAUUGGGUCGAACUGUAAUUAUCCAGAUCCAGCAAAAUAAAAACAUUCCAAGCAUGUUCAACCAGCGUGGAAGAAGUAAUUUUAGAAAAAAAAAAAUGAAACUGCGUUAGGGAUGCCCCUGAUAUAGGUUUGAACGACGUUCAUAAUUUUUUUUUUUGAGAAAGGACGUGGCACCUAUGUGUCGUUCAUAAUGGUCUAUGUGUCGUUCAAAUAUAGAAGACCCAUUAGAGAUGCUCUAAGAACGAUCCCACAAAGAAAAUAAAAGAAAAAGAUGUCUAUGCAUGACUCAAAGCAAUUUCUACGCAUUUUUUCCAUUAAGAACAAAAACUAUACGAUUAGAAGAAACAAAAAUAAAUUUCUUCAUUGAAGCAUUAAGAACAAUAAAUCCAAAGGGGUAUUCUCAAAAUGGCAUUAAGAUCAAUAAAUCCAAAAUGGAGUCCAGUUACAAAAUACUGUUUUAUUACCUGAUCAGAACUGGAAGAGAAGAUCUAUCAUGGAACUUCUUCACUGAAUCAUCAUUCCAAACAUUUAAUAGAACAAAAAACAAAGGAAAAAAAUGGUCAAACUAGUAGCAAGUUCAAUUAAAGAGAGAGUAGUAAAGUUAUGGAAAGUUGGGGAGAGAGAGACAAGCUUGAAUACGUUGGGUCCAUCGUUAAGUUCAGUCAUUCAUACCAACUUAAUGAAAAACAAACAUCACCUAAGGGUCUGUUUAAUUAGGCUCAGUAAUCUAAUUUACCCAAAGGUUUGUUGUCGUUAGUAGCUUAAGUGCUUAGCAAAAAAAAAGUAGUAUACAUUUUAAGACCAUCUCCAACCACUACACUGUUAGACCAUCUCCAAAGUCCAACCCAUUGUUAUUUUGUCAAAAUUCUGGUACUGUUCACUGAUUUCAGCCUCCAACCCAUUUUCAUAUUUCUAUUUGUAUUGAUAUUUUGCUAGUUUCAUUCUUAUAUAUGAAAAAACUUUUGAGAAAAUAGCAAAAUAAAAAUAUUAUUAAAAUAUAUUUCAUCUGCCUUUUGCUAAAGGCGUAUGACAAAAGAAUUAAAAAAUAUAAUCACCAACCUUUUGUUUGAAGAAAGAGAAAGGUUCAUGGCAAGAAAUAAUAAUAAUAAAAAAUCACCAGCCUUUUAUGCGAAAAAAGUGAAUGGCUGAUGAAGUAUAUAAUCACCAGCCAUUUGACUAUGAAGACUGGUGAACCUAUUAUAGCAAAAUGGGUUGGAGAUGAUUUUACGAUUUUGUUAUAAAUAUGGAAAUAGAAAUGAGAAAAUAGAAAAAUGGCACUGCAACGGUUGGAUAUGGUCUUAGAUUUUUCCCAUUUUGGUAUUUCUAUAAAUAUAGAAAAGCUAUAUACAGUAAAACCUCGAUAAAUGAAUACCCUUGGGACCAGAUAAAUUUAUUACUUAAGCGAGGUUAUUGAUUUAUCGAAUAUUCAUUUAUCGAGGUUUUACUGUAAACUUCAACUCAUUUUUCUAAUUCACUCCACCAACCUUUUUAAUGAUUUGGUUGAUGACCAAAAACCAUAUUUAAUUGACUAAUUAUAUCUAAAUUAUAAUCGGUAAAGGGUGCAUAAUUUGACUAGGACUAAUAUUUAGUAUAACUAGGAUUAAAUUAGUAUGACUAGGAUUUUUUUUUUUUUUUUUUGCUUAAAAGUGAUUAAUAUUGAUAAAGAAAGGAAAAAAAGAGAGCACAGGAGGGAAAAAGAAUAAAACAAUCUAACACUAGAAGAGUGGUUCAUAGAACACACCAUUCUUCAUAAUACAGAACACAAAAGUUAUGAUUUAAUUUCCCUAAAGUAUGUGGCUGCUGGACUCUCAAUGGAAUUCAGGAAACUAGGCAUGCAGUUCCACCACUAUUAAAUGUACUCACCAGGUCAGCCAUAUGCACUCAUUCACACACAGGUCCAACGAAGUGAAGAAAACAAAUGAGUGUAGAUCAUGUGUUCAUCAAAGCCAUUUAAAUAUUUGUAUUUCGUUCUUUGUUUUCCACACAUCUUUAAUUGGUUUAUAAUUCACAAUUGUUUACCUCUGAAAUUUUCUGGACUAUUGUGUAAUUAGCUACUAAUUAAUACAGUGAAUUAAGUUAGUUUUAUCAUUUUCCUCAUUAUUUGGACAAGAAUAUGCCAUCCUCAUAAUUUUUAUUACAGUCAUUAUUGAGCGCAAAAGGGAUGAAUUCUAAUGUCUGACUGGAUAGAUUCUUUCUCAUAAGGUAUCUGAUUCCCGUUAAAAUUUGAUACUAACAAAAUAUAUAAUUCCUUAAGAUUCCUUCUCAUAAGGUAUUUUUAUUUGAUAUAAAUUUGAUUAAUAGUUUCAAUACCAAUUUUACAACAGUGAAACCUGUACAUAACUGGUCGUCAAUACCAAAUUUGAUUAAUUCUGUUCAGGGGAUCAUAGUCGUCUAUAUAAACUGAAAAUGAAUACUGAGACACUUUAUAAGACUGGAUAAUGGGAAUACAUCUUCUAUUUCUAUAUAAUUGAGUCUCUUAGUUUCUCGAUAACCAGUUCCUUUAGAAUAAGAGCUCUUAAGUAAGAACAUCGUAAAAAUAAGUUUGUCCUCAACACUAGGAUUCCAAACUUCGGAGAAUAAAAUUCGUGUUGCAGGGUUCUUCUCAAAUGGCAAACUAAGUAAUCAAUCUUUAAAUUCAUUAGAUGUCUUUCAUUGACUUUCAGUUUGCCAAUAACCUGAUUUUAGUUGUUAGAAUUUUGACUACGUUAUAUAAGUUAUGGCAAAGGAGACUAUAUAUAUAUUAGUUACCAGUGAAAUUUGGAAGGUCUUUACCAUUGUUUAGAACUAUAAUGUUAGCUGUGGAGAUAAGAUGUUCCACUCUGUAGUGAUCGAUCAAAAUAGCUGGUUCAUGGCGCAUUGGAAGUCUAGAAGAUAUGAAUUGCAGCUACUUAGAUAGUACAGUCCUGAAGAUUUAGUCCGCAACGGGGUUGUAAGCUGCGUCAAAGAAUCAUAUAAAAAUUUAGAUAACGUGAUAUAACUUUUUUUUCCCAAGGAAACCAUAUAUUGCAGAUAAUAAUAUGAUUGUAUUGUCUAAGUACCAAAUAGCACAACGCAACUGAAGAGAAAAUGAACAUUCUGAACAAAAGUGAGUUUCGAACAACCGAUCCGACUUCAUGACAGAGAAAUCACAAAUUUCUGAUCGAAAAUAAAGACAAGAGUCUACUAUGGAAGGAGGACUAUGCUGAUAAGAACAAAACAGUUGUACACAUGAUCCUACUGGAUGAAUUUGUAAGUAAUAUGCUACCUAUAUUUACUACCUUUUAAUUAUAGUAUUAUUUCUUGCAGUGACCUGAUUCCUGCGUUCUAGAUUAUAAUCAUUUACUUUUAGAAAUAAGGAUGUUACAUAAUUUACUAUUUAUUUGAUAAUUGUUAAAAUAUAUCCCUACAUCUUAUACUACUAUUUUUUUUCUUGGGAUUAAUGUAGAAUAUUUUAUUGAAUCUCAACAAUCAAAGUACAACUGAGUUACAUUAUAGAAAUUGCAGACUCCCUACAACACUACCUGUAUUUUACAAUCUGCUGUUGUCACUGAGUCUGAAUAGAAACUAGCUUAGAUUAAAAACAAUAUAACAGAUCUUCAAUUUCAAACUAUACAACAGUACCCCAAGACCUCAACAACAACACAUUAGCCAUCCUUGCCUUAGCCCUUAACCUGAGCUCUGUUACCACCUGUCAAUCAACAAAAAUUUUUAACUGUCCAAUACGGCAGUGACCUGCAAAUUGUUUUUGACAUCCACUUACUUGCCCAUGAUAUCCAGCCAUGACCGUAGAGUAAGCUUGAUUCGUUUCACUGCAUUAUCCAGGCCGAACAAUCUAUUUUCCGAAUCAAUUUAAUUCCUGGUAUACCAUAUGAUCAAAAAAACUGCAUAAGGUACAAUGUUCCAUGUUACUUCCGCUGAGACCUCGGUUAUUGAAACAAAUUUAUAAUAGAUAAUGUUGACAAGUCUACAUACUCCUAUUUAUCACACUCCUACUCAGAAAUUUUUAUAUUCAUAAUGUAUAUGAAUGGGUUUUUUUUUUUUUUUCCGAAUGCAUAUACAUGACUGAAAUGUAGCUUUAUAAGGGAUAACCUUUAAUCCUAAACAAAUUGAUUUCUAUGCGUUGAAACAGAGAGACAAAAUCCAUGCGAAGUUUAAAUUCUCACGACAUUCAAAACUUCGAAGAAAGAAUCGUUCAAGGAAGAAUUUGUACUUUUACCAAAUUCAAAGCUUGGGAAAUCUAGAGAGGAAAUCGUUAUUUAGAUAACGACUGCGAGACCGGGUUGCAAAGCCAUACCAUUAUAGAGACAAUCAAAGAGGACAUCGCAGAUUUUCCUGUGUACGACUAUGACUUUGAAGAAUAUUGUGAAGUGGCCACCUACUGUAGAAGAAAAAAGAAAGAAACAUGGGUAAUAUGAACAUAUACAAUUUUAAAGUCUCUAUUACUCAAUACAAAAACCAACUUUGUAUGAUUACUGAUUAUUUUUUUUUCUUUUUUUUUUUAAUUUGUCAAGAUAUAAUGGGUAGGCUACAUUAUUACAAGAAAAUCACACCAAGGGACGAUGGAGAGCGACAAACUUAUGUUCGAGAUAUCUACCUCAUGAAUGAAAGGUACAUUCAUAAUAAAUUUUUUGGGGGAAUUAAAAUUACUUAGCUGGGGAUGAUUGGAUAUGGAAAGUAUACCUAUCUAAUUAAUAACUUUAGUGUGAGUAAGGCAGAUGCGUUAGAUGAAACAUUUUAUGAUAUUAUCCACCGAUAGUUAGUAUUAUAACCUUUUAUAACAGAACUGGAACUACCACUAGAAUUUCACGUUAAUAUAUAAAAAUUACAAAACGAUACAUAGGAAGGACUGUAUCAUUCUGCACCAUAUGAGAACCCUACUAUGUAGCCCCCAAUAUGGUCGGUAAUCAAUAAAUUGGACAAAGUUCCUAAAUAGAGUUAAUCAAACCUAUAAUAUAUAUGAUUCCUGGACACCCUCCCAUUGAUAGAUUUGUGAUAGAUAAUCAACGUAUAAAUACAACUCAAUAGUAUAAGCUUGAUCUCCUUAGAAAUCAGCUUCUAUUCAGGUAGCAAUAGUUUAAUAAUGUUAAAAUUUGCUCCAUCACAAUUUUACAUUAAUAAUUUUGGUGGAGGUAGAACCCAACAACAAGGUCUGCAUGUAAGUGUUUUGGGUGUGUUAGCAAUCAUGUUCCAACGCCGUAGUCUUUCUUGAUCGUGAGGUGAUUUUCAGUUAUCUUUGUAGAAAGAAUUUCAGAUUCCUUGAUAAAAUUGUGCAUCCUUUUUCCAUUGGUAAGAUUGCAGAUGUAGUUGUGAAACAAUACCAUAAUAAAUGCAGCACUAGCAGUGAUGACUUACAGGCACCAAACCUACCACCAACAAUCUGGUUACCACCUGCAGCAUGUUUUCUCAAGCUGAAUGUGGAUAUUACAUUCACAUCUCCAAAUGACAGAUGUAGUAUUGGGUAUAUUAUUAGAAACUCAACAGGCCAGUUUACUUAUUAUGGCAGAAACUGGAAGUACCCCAGCAGGAACUGCAGAAUGCAGAGGAAUUUUGGCAGCCCUUCAAUCGUGGAUAGACCAAAGAAUCAACAAACUGGAGCUUGAAUCUGACUGUGCUGGUGCAGUGGAUUACCUUAAGGGAAAACCGACAAAUCUUUCUUGGAUUUCCUCAUCUAUCUUAGACUAUGUUUUAUCUCUAUUAUGUAACUUUGAAGUUUGUAAUUUUAAGCACUGUAUGAGGACUGGUAACUGGGCAGUUCAUCUCCUCACGUCCUAUGCGGAUGUAAGCUCCCUGGUUGUCACUUUCUAUGUUGUUGAACUUGAAUGGAUACGCAGCCAACUUCGCAGUGAUAUGUUGUUCUGUAAUAUCUCAGGAAACUGAGGAACCUGCCUUUAUCUAUAUAUAUGUUUGUGGAUUAUUGAAAAAAAAACUAUAAUGUGCUCAAAUAAAGCACAAAUGUAUCAGUGUAUAACAGCAAUUAAGUAUUCUACACAACAUUACUUGGGACCCCUAUUAGAUUUGGUUAAAGUGAAUGGAGCAUUAUUAGUUGUGGGUGCACCAGAGAAGUAGAUCUGUUUAGUUUAUUGUAUCUAAGGGUUGGUAUGUACACAACACCUAAGUUUGUAAUGUUAACCUCUAUUAAUUUUUAGUCUUUCUUAUUCUCUUUAUAUUGUUGGUUGUCUGGGUUGAUAUGUUUGUAAAAUCAACCUAAUUAUUGAAUUUAUGCUUUGGCUAUGUAACAUUUCAUUAAAAACAGCUUUGAAGAAUUACAUUCUCAGACCUCUAGAAAACAUAUUGCUUCCACUAUUAAAGUAAAUAGAACUUUGAAAGUAAAAAACAUAGUGAAAUUAAACGUUUUCUAACGAAUCUUUAAUCCCUUUUUUUUUCGCAUAUGAGCCUUUGGGUCAAGGAAAUGCAUCACUCUCACUUGGCAGCUGAUUGUUUGACAACAUGUUUCCUGACAACGUAGCACUUUGAAAAUGACACCACAAUGACAAUUAGCUGUUUUGGAAGUUUUGGGAUAACAUAGAAAUCUGAGAACAUCAACAUUUUGCCCUACAAGAAAAAUGGCCAGAAAGGCAUGCCUUGAGACUAUCUAUGUUGUAUGUGCCAUCGUAUGACUGCUAGCAGGCAUCAGGUUUUUAGAGUUUCAUAGUCUGUGUUAACUGUUCAUUGAAGAUUUUCAUCAAAGGCCUAUUAGCUCAGUUGGUUAGAGUGUCGCGUUCUUCCUGAAAGAGGGAGAAUAUAUUAAUUUGUUUGAGAAGGCAAGAUUAAAAAAUGUUCAAUUAAAAAGAAUUCGUAUAAACUGGUAUCAUGGGGUUUACCGUCAUGGCCUGAUAAUGGGUUGUUCUGUACUUCUAUGACAGUUAUGAAGCCAUGUAUAAUUGUGGUACAGCUUAAUGCUAAUCUUGGACAUUCACCAAGAUGGCUUGCUAUGUACAUUUUAUGUAUCAUCUUUGUGAUUGUCAUGAUUUGUAGAAUUUUAUUGCAUGAACUUGAAAUUUUAAAAAUUGAUGCACUCUUGCGAUCAGUUUUACAAGAUCAAUGAAUAAGACUAUGCCUCUACAAUAGGUAUAUUAAGGUAUUUAUGAUUUGAUUUAAUCUUUCCGGGUUUUAUUUCAGCAUCACAAACUUUUUUGUUUUGUCUGGAAUAGAGUAAGGUAUGCAAGCAUCACAUAACGGUAUCUCUGACUCCAUGGUGAUAGUAUCAAAGUAAUUUUAUCAAAAAUAGUUAGUAUAUACAUAAUUUGACACUCUUCAUCUUCACAUAUUUAUAUUUAAUAUAUAUAAAAAGGUUGGUGACUAUAUAUGUGAAGGCUGUUGGUUCUCUCUGGCUUGUUUCUUCUAAGUCAAGGUUGUUCUCUCUCUCUCUCUCUCAGAAUUUGGGGCUAAAACAUUUCUUCUGAACUAACAAAAAAAAAACAACUAACGAUUGAUGUUUUAUAUUUAUUUUCUGAUUUUCAAAAAAUGGGGAUUUUUUAUGUGUUCUUUAAAUUUAUUUGUUAUGUGAAUUUGACAUGAAUGUAUUGAUGGGUUGUGUUAGUUUCUGGUGCAGUGUGUUUCUGUUACAAUUUUUGAGUCUGCAAAAGGACUUGGUGGCAAAAUGUCUACAAGGAGGUAAGUUUUAUAAAUAUCUUUUCUUCAGCUGAUAAACUGCUUUGUGUUUGAUUGAAUGCAAGAAAAAAAAAAAUCGCAAAAAUCGAAUCACUAUGUUAAACUGCCAAUGGUUUUGAGUAAAACAAUGUCAUACGGUGUCAAUGUUGCGUUCAUGUUUGAAUAUUCAUUGUCGUAGUCUGUCAUAUUUCUUUGUUUCUAUUUCCCAAAACCUGCUGUACGUGAUGACCUGUGAAUAUCCUAGAAAGUGAAGAUUUUAGUGAAAAAUUAUAUGUAUCACUUGUUAAUGUGGAUAUGAUUAGGAAUGAUCAAGGGAGACAUAUGUUGGUAUUCCAGGAGUGGAAGCCAAGUUUGGAACAACUGUUGGAAUGUUACACUGGUUAGAGGAUAAGAAUUUAUGGUCACCUCGUUUGCAAUACAUUCUUCUCUUCACCUUUUUUUCUUAUCCUGAAUGAUGUCCAUCUUUAUAAUGUGAUGCUUAUGUCAGGGAGAGUGGGUUUCUGUUGGACAUUUGAUAUCAGAUUGUCGAAAAAAUUGUUGGAUGAUUAGUGACUAGUACAUGUACACUGGUAUCGUUUCGAUUAAUAAAUUGCACGAGUAAGUUGUGCAGAUGAUUAGUGAGAGUGGCGAGCGUUCCCUCUAUGUGUCUAUGUAAACAGCUUGAGUGUCACACAUUCUUUUAUUAGUACAAUUAUGCUCACUUUUUUUUUCAUCUUUUUUUUUUUUUUUUUAAAAGAAUCCAACAUUCCAGACAAACUGAACUUAAUUGUCAUACUCAGAUCCAACAGAGAAAGCAAAAACAACUUACAAGAUCAAAAGUAGUAGUACAUAGCCUCACCACUAUUACAGUAAAAACCAGACAAUUUUGUCCUCAACGAUUAGCCUUGGCAACGUGCUCAAUUUCAUCUUUCUUCUUGAUGGCAUAGCUGUUUGAUGAGCCCUUGUGAGCAUUAAUAAGUUCAUCUGCAAGGCAUUCAGCAAUGGUCUUGAUAUUCCUGAAAGCACUCUCGCGAGCACCAGUGGUCAAUAGAUAUAUUGCCUGAUUUACACGUCUAAGGGGUGAAAUAUCAACUGCUUGACGCCUCACAACACCAGCAGAACCAAUACGAGUAGCAUCUUCCCUUGGCCCACUGUUCACCACAGCAUCAACAAUAACUUGAAUGGGGUUGAGAUCUGUAAGGAGAUGGAUGAUUUCCAUGGCAUGCUUGAUGAUACGAACAGCCAUCAGCUUCUUUCCGUUGUUGCGCCCGUGCAUCAUAAGGGAGUUAGUCAGCCUCUCAACAAUAGGGCACUGGGCCUUUCUAAACCUCUUAACUGAAUACCUCCCAGCAGUGUGUGGGACAUAAGUAGCAUGCUUGGAGUGUACACCAAUGUAAUCCACCAAUGAUAUAUCAGUAACCGUAACAUCAUCGAAAGUCCAACGGUUGAAGAGUUUGACAUCAGGUUGACCUGAUGCUACUGCUACUGCUGCUGCUGCUGGCUGGUGGUGCUACUGCUGCUGCCAUGGUUGCAAAGAGUGUUCUACAAUUAUGCUCACUUCAGCGGCAGCAAGAACGAAGGAAAGACCUGUGCAGAAGCUUUGAAUGGGAGUAAAAUUGUGAAAAAAAAUCAUUAUGGUCAAACCGAACCCUGAAUUUCCCUAGAAAGAGUUGGAAUUUCUCUUAUGUGAUGCAGGAAAAAGACCAGAGCAUAUACAACUUACUUUAUACAAGCACAAGUUAGUAUGUUUGCGUGUGUAAGGAAAUCAAGAUCCAACAACCACAGAAAUGUUAUAAAAGGAACAAGUUGCCCUUUGAAAUAAUUAAGUAGUCCAUGGCCAUUAAUUAAUUAUAUAAACUCCAGACAAAACCAGCUAAUUAAUAAUUAAAAAGACCAUCCAAUUUGAUAAAGUCACAAUAAGUGGGUGCCUAGUCCAAAUUUCUUUCUCUAAAAUUCCAUAUUUUAUAAGGGUGCAAAAUUAAAAUAACUAUAAAUGGGCUCCAUAUCCGUUUGCUUGGAACUUCAAUUGUUUUUACUUGGAAAUACCUGAACUAGCUAUAUGCUCUCUAUCAUUGACUCUCCCUAGUCUUCUCUCUGAACAUCUCUGCCUUCUUCUUCUUCAUCUUAGCUUCAAACUUUUCAUUGCGGUUCAAGUGGAUUUUCUGAUAAGGUACGUGUUGCAAAAAACGCGCGUUGAUUUAUUUGUAGGUACUGGGUUUUCUAAAUGUCAGAUCUGUUAAAUUUGAAGUAGAUUUUUAGAGUUGGAAUUCUUGUAAAUUUUUAUAAUCGUUGCUACUACUGUUCACAUGAUCUGUAGAAUUCUCAAACACAUGCAUAACCAUAUGGCCUCUUGGAACAUUCAUAUUAUCACCUUUCCAUUUAUCAUAUGAUGAUAUGAAAGGCGUCUGUAGAACAAUAUACCAACUCUUUUUUAUGUAUAAGAUUUAGUACAUAUCAGGUGUAUUAAAUGAGAUUACAUUUCUUCAUUUUUUAUGUCAUCUUGUUGAAAAACUAGUACAACUCUCUGUCAUGGCAGGAAACUAUGGUUUUGGAAAUUCUGGCCAUUGUGGUUACGCCUAUCAAUGAAGUUGCGAAAUAUUUGUUUGGUUCUCUUAAGCAACAAAUCUGCUAUCUUACUAGCUACAACACAAACAUUCAGAAUCUUCGAAGCCAAGUUUCAGAAUUACAACUAACAAGACAAAGAGUACAAACCUUAGCGGAGGCAGCUCAAAGGAAUUCGGACGAGCUCUUUGUAGAUGUGCAAAAGUGGCUCGAAGACACGACCGUGGAAAAACUUGAAGAACAACAGAGGGAUUUCAACGAUGAAGUCAAUAUUAACAAGAAAUGCUUUAAGGGACUCUGUCCAGAUCUUAGCUCACGUCUCAGGCUAAGUAAACAAGCAGUGAGGAUGGCAGAGACCUUCCAUACCCUUCAAGAAAAGGGGAAUAACUUCCCCGAAACUGGAAUAGCGCAUCAACGACCUCCUCCAAAUGUUGAAUUUGUGCGCAGUACUACCAUUGUUGAGAACGU
rnacentral:lncRNA from 1 species